rnacentral:lncRNA from 1 species
GGGAUUUGAGGGAUGGUCAGAGAGAAAUAGUGAGGGAGAGGAUGGGGGGCUGAUUUUCGGUUCCUCCUUCCAGAUUUGUUCCGUAAAACCUGUUGGGUACAAUUCAAUUUCCUCCCCCUUUCCCCUGAACGAAAAAUUCGAAACCUACAACUCAAAACUCACUCAUUUGACCCCCCUCCUUGGCUUUCCACCUUACUCAUCUCCUGGUGGUUCUUUCUCUCCAUACGAUUCGAUUUCGUUGAGUUCUUCGUUGCCCUCAUGAUUUCCCAAUUUGAUUUUUUGGGCGUCCUUAGUCGUCGUUUUUAUCUGGGUUUACUGCAUUGUUGCUUUUAGUUUCUGGAUUUUUAUUUUUUUUGGCGGUUUGAUGAAUCGUGGUUAAUAAUUUCACACCAUGGGAUUUUCGCACUUCUGAUGGAAUUGAGCGAGGGGAUUCGAGGUGGGGUUUUACUGAUAAUUUGUCUUCAUUCAAAUGAAUGGUUAAAAUUUAUGAGUAUUAACAAAUUUUGUAAAUUAUUCUUAUGCAUUUUAUUGAGGGAUAUGGGGAUCUAAUCGAUUUCUCUCUGUAGUGGGAUUGAAAUUGGGACUUUGUGGUACUCUCUCUCGCUCUUCCUCUCUCAUAUGUGUAUGAAGUGAGUUCUGAAUUGAGUUCUUUCAAGGGAACCCAUCAACGGUUUGCUUGCUGGGGGAAUUCGGAGACUACCAGUGUAUGAUUUAGUUAUCAUUUAUUUUUUUACUUAAAUUUAUCCAUAAAUAAUAUGUGGGUAAAUUUAUACUAAACAAUUGUGAUAAGCCAGCCAAUAUGCCAUACGACUUUGAAAGCAUUGAUUUUAUGUAUAGUUUGCAUUUUUGCAUUGUGAAUGUUGAAUUUUGUGUUUAAUUUGGAUUUUUGUGUUUGAAUUUGUAGCAUGAUCUUCCACUGCAGCAUCCAAAUUUUGCAUUUGUAAAUUGUCAAAGAAAAACGAAGUAUGAGGAAAUUAUAGGAGAUUGUGUCGGCUUUGGCCAUGAAGGGUAUCAGCAGUUUACCGCCCCCCCCCCAACACAGGUGAUUAAUCGUUUUUUAGUCUGUGUUCUAUAUGGAUGAGAAAGUGAUUGAAAAAUAUGAUUUUUUUUAUUUGUUGGUUGAUUUUGUAAGGACGAUGUAUUAAUUUUUUUUUUUGGGAGCAGCUUCUCCAUAAAUGGGGGUAAGGCUAGCCGACAUUCACCUCUCCCAGACCCUGCGUAAAGCGUGAGCCUUGUGCACUGGGUACGACCUUGUGUAUUGGGUAUUGUGUAGAACCAGCAAUGCAAGAGCAGGAUCUGAUCAGUCACGCCCGAAAAGGGGUUUGUUUCUCAAAUCACAUUCAUUAGUUAGAUUAUUAAUGUGCGUUGGAAGGCUCUUCAAUAUGAUUUUGUAAUUUCUCAUUUCCGGCAUUCUCUUUUUGGUUUUUGGAGUAUGUAUGUGAUUUGUACUUGAUUAUAGAAUAAAAAUUAAUAAAACACGAGAUGCAGCAAUUAAUUUGCAUCCUUAUGACAACACAUAUAUGAAAGUGCAUUCAAAUUCAAUAUGCGAAUGUGUGACAGGAUUUGCCUGCCUGCUGCUGCUGGUAUGCUUGCUGUUGUUUCUCGCGUUGUUAAUUUUUUGUGUGUGUUGAUUUGAUUAACAAUUCAAGCGUAUCUCUUUUCUUUUUUUUUUUUUUUUUUUUUUUGUGUUGGUUAGCAGCCAGUUUUAUUUAUUGGAUUUUUUAUUUGGAUUUAUGGCACUGAGGGUAUAGGUGAACAGUGAAGCGGUUUGUAUGGGCUCAUGUAACUUAAACAUGUAGUGAGAAGCGAGGAUUUUGUUUUAGUGUUUAUGAUAAUCUGAAGGAAUAUGUAGAUACUAUGAUUUGAGGUUGCUUUCUUAAACCAUGAUAAAGCAGUCCAAGUAAUUUUAACAACAACAACAACAACAACAACAACAACAAAGCCUUUUCCCACUAAGUGGGGUCGGCUAUAUGAAUCCUAGAACGCCAUUGCGCUCGGUUUUGUGCCAUGUCCUCCGUUAGAUCCAAGUACUCUAAGUCUUUUCUUAGAGUCUCUUCCAAAGUUUUCCUAGGUCUUCCUCUACCCCUUCGGCCCUGAACCUCUGUCCAGUAGUGACAUCUUCAAACCGGAGCGUCAGUAGGCCUUCUUUGCACAUGUCCAAAUCACCGGAACCGAUUUUCUCUCAUCUCUCCUUCAAUUUUGGCUACUCCUACUUUACCUCGGAUAUCCUCAUUCCCAAUCUUAUCCUUUCUCGUGUGCCCACACAUCCCACGAAGCAUCCUCAUCUCCGCCACACCCAUUUUUUGUACGUGUUGAUGGUUCACCGCCCAACAUUCUGUGCCAUACAACAUCGCUGGCCUUAUUGCCGUCCUAUAAAAUUUUCCCUUGAACUUCAGUGACCUAUGACGGUCACACAACACGCCGGAUGCACUCUUACACUUCAUCCAUCCAGCUUGUAUUCUAUGGUUGAGAUCUCCAUCUAAUUCUCCGUUCUCUUGCACGAUAGAUCUUAGGUAGCGAAAACGGUCGCUUUUUGUGAUCUUCGCUAGAUUGCUCUGGUCAUUAGUAUGGAUAAGUAUAUAAAUGGAUAGAGAUAGGAAAGCGAACACAAGAUGUACGUGGUUCACCCAGAUUGGCUACGUCCACGGAAUAGAGGAGUUCUCAUUAAUUGUGAAGGGUUUACACAAGUACAUAGGUUCAAGCUCUCCUUUAGUGAGUACAAGUGAAUGAUUUAGUACAAAAGACAUUAGGAAAUAUUGUGGGAGAAUGAUCUCGUAAUCACAAAACUUCUAAGUAUCGGAGUGUGGUAUCGUCUUGACGUGCCUUAUCUGUCUCAUAGGUAGAUGGGGCAUCUUCUCUAGAAGUACUCUUCCUCCAUCCAGGGGUGGUAUCUUUAACUGGUGGAGAUGCACAAGGUAAUGUAUCAAUUUCACUUGAAGCUUACUUGUAGUUUCAGGCUUGGUCAAGCGCGAUACAAACCAUGUAGUAGGAGUCCCCCAAGUCGCUGAGCUAGGGGAUCUGCUGAAAGAGGUGACAGGCAAGGUAAGCAAUCAUAGCUCCGGCUGAUUGUUCACAGUCUCCCUAUCUUGCAGGCAGCAUGAAGGAUAAAGAGAAGAAAAUGAGAAGAGAUGAUAUGGGAUACUUUUGCUUUUGAAGAAGUAACUUUCCACAGGCUUAUUCUUGAACUGAGCUGGAGGGUUUUCUGGUUUCCUCCAGAGUAUAAGGCCGACUGAAGAAUUUGAGGAUCAAAACAAGUCCAUCAAAUCUAGAGUACGUUCAACCCUGCUGAUAUGGGAUACUUUUGCUUUGACAGAGUAAUGGAUGUAUCGGCACGUGUGCUGUUACGCUUGUCUCCACAUGCUUCCUUGUAUCCUUUUCCCUUGCCCUAUCUGUUCCUCAGGUAGAUGCAGUAUCUUCCCUGGAAGCAUAAGAUGUUGAAGAUGACUACUCGAGAGCAAUAUCAGGUAAGUAAUCAGGUAAGGGGUUCCAGGCAGUCAGUUCCUGGCUGGAAGCUUGAUUCCAAGUACUGACUGAUUGCUCUCUUUCUCCUUGCCUUGCAGGUAAGAAUAAGGUCAAAGGAAAAGACAGGGAAGAAGCAUGAUAUGGGAUACUCUUGCUUUUAACCCUGAUGAUAUGAGAUAUUCUUGCUCUAGUAUAGCUUGUUUGCAGAGGGAUUAUCGGGGGGAAAGAAAGCUGAAUAUUUCGAAAGGCUUCGUUGGGAGUGCCCUCUUAGAUAUGAGGAAGGGUUGAGCAUUUUUGCAGGUCUGCCUGUCCGUUGAGGAUGGAGGUCGACAUAUAUAGGAGUCUCCUUAACAACAAGUAGUCAUGCUAUUCCUUUACCCUACUUGGUCAUAGCACGGUAGUGGGAGCUGUCAGCUUCACAUGUUUUAACGCUGUCAAAGCACUUUGAAAAAGUGGUUUGUGGUAUCUGGAAAGCUGAUGUUGCGUGUGAAGAUUACAAACAGCUUUAUCCAAGGGGAUCCGGCUCUUGUAGUUGGGAAAGUGUUGCCUCUUCGGUUUUCGAACAAGCAAUCCUAUCGGGUAUCUGGCUCUCGAGAUUCGGAGAACGAUGCCGCUUCGAUUUUUGAGAAAGCAAUCAUGCUGGGGGUCUGGCUCUUGAGAUUCGGAGAGCGAUGUCUCUUCGAUUUUUGAGAAAGUAAUCAAGUUGGGAGUCUGGCUCUCGAGAUUCGGAGGGCGGUGCCUCUUCGAUUUUGGAGCAAGCAAUUUUGUUGGGAGUGUUUUCUCGAAUGUGAGUAAAGGUUGGGCAUGUUUGCUAGUCUACCUUGCCACGAAGCACAGAGGUUGACACACAUGGACUUUCCAAUUAUCCAGCAAUGGUACUGUUCCUUUACCCUCUUCGAUUUUUGAGAAAGUAGUCAUGUUGGGAGUCUGGCUCUCGAGAUUCGGAGGACAGUGCCUCUUCGAUUUUGGAGCAAGCAAUCUUGUUGGGAGUGUUUUCUCGAAUGUGAUUAAAGGUUGGGCAUGUUUGCUAGUCUACCUUGCCACGAAGCACAGAGGUUGACACACAGGGACUUUCCAAUUAUCCAGCAGUGGUACUGUUCCUUUACCCUUGUGGGUAAUAAUAUGGUAGCUAGACCUUCAAAAUUUAUGUGUCUAAACUUUGUUAGUGUUGUUUCUUUGCUAUUCUUUUACUCUUCUUGGUCAAAGCGAUGUAGUGGGAGCUGCAAGCUUCACGUGUUCAACUUUGGCAGAGAACUUUGGCAAAGUUAUCUGUGGUACCCAUGAGCUACUGUUGCGUGUGGGAAGUGGGUGAUUGAACAGUAAGACUCAUGUGCUUUCUACUUCACCAGAAGUCUUCGACCGAAUGCCCAUAAUUUCCGCAAAGCUGAGUGUGCGUGUGACAGGUGCUGACAAGGCUGGAAAAGUAGGUGCCUCUUCGAUUUCUGAGAUCGGCCCUCGUGGUCUCUGAGCAGCCCAGUUUUUUGAGAAAGCAAGCGCCUCUUCGAUUUCUGAGAUCGGCUUUCGUGGUCUUUGCGCAGCCCAGCUUUUGAGAAAGCAAACGCCUCUUCGAUUUCUGAGAUCGACCCUCGUGGUAUCUGAGCAGCCUUGCUUUUGAGAAAGCAAACGCCUCUUCGAUUUCUGAGCAGGCGCCUCUUCGAUUUCUGAAGCUCCGUCGAGUGCAGAUUUUUAUAGGGGCUGGCAUUAAGUUCCAAAGCACACUUGAAUCUCCACCAGUAGAAGCUCCAUUCUUGAACUUCUAAGAUCUUGAUUUGUCCGACCUCUUUUCUCUUCAACACCUUUGAAAAUGUCUGGCCCCUCCGACCGUCGUUUUGACUUGAACCUUGUUGAAGAGGCAGCCCCGCCUUCUCCUGACAACAUAUGGCGUCCAUCAUUCGUCUCCCCUACUGGUCCUCUUACCGUUGGGGAUUCCGUGAUGAAGAAUGAUAUGACCGCUGCGGUGGUGGCCAGGAACCUUCUCACUCCCAAAGAUAACAGACUACUUUCCAAACGGUAUGAUGAGUUAGCUGUUAAGGAUUCUCUGGCUCUCAGUGUUCAGUGUGCAGGUUCUGUGUCUAAUAUGGCCCAACGCCUAUUUGCUCGAACCCGCCAAGUUGAAUCAUUGGCGGCUGAAGUGAUGAGUCUCAAACAGGAGAUUAGAGGGCUCAAGCAUGAGAAUAAACAGUUGCACCGGCUCGCACAUGACUAUGCUACAAACAUGAAGAGGAAACUUGACCAGAUGAAGGAAUCUGAUGGUCAGGUUUUACUUGAUCAUCAAAGAUUUGUGGGUUUAUUCCAAAGGCAUUUAUUGCCUUCGUCUUCUGGGGCUGUACCGCGUAAUGAAGCUCCAAAUGAUCAACCUCUGAUGCCUCCUCCUUCUAGGGUUCUGUCCAGUACUGAGGCUUCGAAUGAUCCCCCUCCGGUGCCUUCUCUUUCUGGGGCUCUACCGACUGCUGAGACUUCUCCUAAGCAACCUUUGUGAAGGCUCCGUCUUGUUUGUUUAUUUUGAGUUAUGUAUAUGUACAUAUAUGUAGCUUAUCGGGGAUAUCAAUAAAUAAGCUUUCCUUCAUUUCAACGUAUUGUGUUAAAUACACCAAAGCCUUCUUCGCUAAGUUCUUUGAAUUUUCUUUUGUUGAAGCUUUGUGAGUGGAGCAUGUAGGUUGAGGUAGUGUUCCCUUAAUUUCCUGAGUGAGGAAAACUUCUCGGUUGGAGACUUGGAAAAUCCAAGUCACUGAGUGGGAUCGGCUAUAUGAAUCUUAGAACGCCAUUGUGCUCGGUCCUGUGUCAUGUCCUUCGUUAGAUCCAAGUACUCUAAGUCUUUUCUUAGAGUCUCUUCCAAAGUUUUCCUAGGUCUUCCUCUACCCCUUCGGCCCUGAACCUCUGUCCCAUAGUCGCAUCUUCUAAUCGGAGCGUCAGUAGGCCUUCUUUGCACAUUCCAAACCACCGUAACCGAUUUUCUCUCAUCUUUCCUUCAAUUUCGGCUACUCCUACUUUACCCCGGAUAUCCUCAUUCCUAAUCUUAUCCUUUCUCGUGUGCCCACACAUCCAACGAAGCAUCCUCAUCUCCGCUACACCCAUUUUGUGUACGUGUUGAUGCUUCACCGCCCAACAUUAUGUGCCAUACAGCAUCGCCGACCUUAUUGCCGUCCUAUAAAAUUUUCCCUUGAGCUUCAGUGGCAUACGGCGGUCACACAACACGCCGGAUGCACUCUUCCACUUCAUCCAUCCAGCUUGUAUUCUAUGGUUGAGAUCUCCAUCUAAUUCUCCGUUCUUUUGCAAGAUAGAUCCUAGGUAACGAAAACGGUCGCUCUUUUGCAAGAUAGUCCAAGUAAUUUUAACAUAGAUAUAAUUUUUUAUGCAAUGCAUGAGUAUAUGAAAUGUUAAGACGAUAAUAUAUCAUGUGAUUUAAAAUUCAAAGAGAGACAAUGAACCAUGUUUGAUAUUUUGUUUGUCUUGUUUCGUUUAAAUUUGGGCGUUUUUCAGUUGGAUUCAUGGGUUUUGUUUAAGAUAUCAUUUUUGGUUUAGCCAACGCAAAAGUUUACAUCUUUUCUAUGUUGGAUUCAUGGGGUUUUCUUAAGCUUUCAAGUUUUCAGUUUUUGUCAAGAAAUUUAAUCUAGGUUUCAUUUAUUUUUCAAACUAGACACUUUUGUGAAGAUUUUCUUUAUAAUUCAGUAAAUGAUUGCUCCUUUACCUGUAAAUUUGACUUAUGUAAAUUUCCAGGUUGUUCAAAACCCGCAGGGAAGCGCGGGCAAUUUUUCUAGUUAAAUGUCUAAAAGAAACGUAUAAGAGAUUUGGUGGCAUGAUUUUGUAAAUGAACACAAAUUCAGGGACAUCUUUUAUCCAACAUGACAUCAUAUUUAAAAUUUGGGUUUUAUUUAGAAGUUAUAAUAUUUAUGUGGCCUUUUGUCUAGAGUUUAAGAGUUGCCAGGAUUGGAUGAAAAUUUGCUGAGUGUUGGACAAAUGAUGCAGCAUGGAUAUUUCCUUCUAUUUGGAUUGAUGAGGUUGCUCUAUUUGAAGAUAAGAUGCUGGAAAAUCAUGUGGUUACAGUACAAAUGACUGGGAAUAGAUGUUUCCCUCUCAUAAUGGAAGAUAAGAAAUUCAAUGUGUUGAAAGCUGCUUUGGAAGACGGUGCUUAAGAUUGGCACAUAAGACUUGGACAAUUGAAUUUUCAAAGCCUGUAGUUACCUGUUAGUCGGGAAAUGGUACUAUGAAUGCCAAAGUUGAAGCAAACACAAACAGUAUGUGAAGGUUGUGCGGUGGGAACGCAUCACAGAGAAGCCUGUAGCAGGGAGAUAAUGUGGAGAGCAAGUCAUCCACUAGAGUUGAUACACUCUGAUAUUUGUGCAGGUUACAACAUCGGGUGGAAACAAGUAUUGCUUGACUUUCAUAGAUGAUUGUACAAGAAGGUAUUGGUUGUAUCUUCUGAAGCACAAGUCUAAAGUGUUCACUGUGUUUAAACAUUUCAAAGCCAUGGUUAAGCUACAAUGUGGAUACCAGAUCAAAAGAUUGAGGAGUGACAACGGUGCAAUAUCUAUUUACUAGACAUCCUUUGGGAUUCUUCCAUAUUAGAACAAGGAUUCUAUUCUAAAAAGGCCCCCUCUCCCACGGUAUAAAUACACCCAUCUAGGGUUCAUCUACGGUAGCACAAUCUAAACACUUUGAAUUCUCUUGCCCACUGCUUGAGUCUAAAAUCAUUCAUUAACUUAACUAACCUCCCCCCCCCACCCCCCCCAACCAAAGGUUUGCUUACGAUUGUUUCACUAUUUUGCAGGUUGUUCCAGACUACAUGAAUUCGUGCUCGACCGCCUCUUACGGCUCCAAACUAAUUAAUAAGUUUAAGGGGGAUAUGAUGAAGAAGUAUGAGAUGACUGAUCUUGGCUUGCUUUAUCAUUUUCUUGGUAUGUGAAUAGUUCAAACAGAGCAAAAGUAUCUUUAUCAAUCAAAAGAAGUACACUCUUGCACUUUUAGACAAAUUUAGUUUUGAAGAUUGCAAGCCUCUCACUAUAACACUUGCAGUGAAUACGAAGUUGAAAGGAGAAGAUGGUGGUGCUCUUGUAGAUAAAGCUCUUUAUAGGUAGAUUGUUGGUAGUCUGUUAUAGUUGAUAGCUACAAGGCCUAACAUUGUGUUUGAUGCGAUCUUACUCUCAAAAUUCAUGCACAGUCCUUCAAAGAAACACUUUGGUAUUGCAAAAUGGGUGCUAAGAUACAUACAAGGAACCUUGGAUUAUGCCAUUGAAUAUUUGAAAUCCAAGGAAGCAAUAUUAUGCUAAUAGGCUAUUGUGGCUGUGAUUGGAGUAGGGAUGAAAAUGAUUUGAAAAGUACUCCUGGAUAUGCAUUUUCAUUUGGCAGUGGAAUCUGCUCAUGGGCUUCAUCGAAACAACACAGUGUAGUAUUGUCUACUGCAGGUGCUGAGUAUGUUAGUGCCUCUGAAGCUAUUACUCAAGAGAUUUGGCUUUGAUUUAUAAUGGAAGACUUUGCUGAAUUACAAACUUAGGCUACUUGAUUGCAUUGUGACAACACAUCUGCCAUUGUCAUGACAAAAACCAUGUGUUUCAUGAAAGAUCCAAGCACAUAAAUAGCAGGUAUCACUUCUUUAGAGAAUCACUACAAAACAAUAUCAUCAAUCUAUUGUAUUGCAGAUCAGAGGAACAAUUGGCAGACAUCUUCAUCACAGCAUUGUCAAAUAAUCUAUUCUUCUAUCUCAGAAACAUGCUAGGGAUCAAAUCAGCAACAAUCUUAGAAGUGAGUGUUAAUGAUUAAGCAUUGGUGUUGAUUCCUUAGACUGCAAGCUUAGAAGGUAUGGACUGCACAGAGAGAAGGAGGGGGAGAGAGCGCGGAGAGAGGAAGAUGACGGAAGGGUGGGUCUUUUGAACAGAGACCUUGCAGACAAAGGGUGAGGGAGGGAUGGGACUGAUCUUAACGAAAUUACAGGUUUGUUUUCAAUUUCUUAUUUACAUGUUUUCAUAUUCAAUGGCAAUUUGGUUUCUUUUAUUUCAAAUUUAACUUCGAAAAUGUCUUUUAAAUUUAGGUAUUUUGUCUUCAACUCUAUCGCUUCCAUGCUAAUUAAGGUAGAUUAAAAAGUAGGUUUUUUAUUCAAAAUGGUCCUUGAGAUUUGCAUCAUUCAUAAGUUUGGUUUUUAAGAUUUAAAAUCAAUAGAAGUAGUCCUUGAGAUUGUCCACCAUCCAUGAUUUUGGUUCUUCCGCUGAAGCUUUUGGCCGGAAGUUUGAGCAAUUUUCAAAGUUUCGUAACUCAAUCGUUUUUUAACCAAAUUCGACUCAUAAUAUAUCAAAAUAAAGAUAGGAAAGUGUAGAAUAAGAUUAUAUCUAUUUGGAAGCCCAAUUAUUGCCGAAGAUGGUCAGAAAAUAGCCUCAAAGUUGACUGGUCCGAGGGAAAACUGGAACCGGAAAUUCGCUGAAAACUGGGUAAACUUUAAACGUUCAUAACUUCUUCAAUACUCAACAAAAUCAAGUGAUUCAAAAACGAAAAUCAUACUUCUCAACGAGAAGAAGAGAAUGGUACCUUUUUCAACAGCUAACUUGCCGUGGUUUGGUCGGAAAACGGCUCGAAAGUGGCUGUUGAAAAACAAGUCAACAACUUUCAAGCCGUUUUCUGGCCAAACCACGGUGAUUUAGCUAUUGAAAAAGGGUACCAUUCUCUUCUUCUCGUCGUGAAAUAUGAUUUUUGUUUUUGAAUCGCUUAAUUUCGUUGAGUAUUGAAGAAGUUAUGAACGUUUAAAGUUUACCCAGUUUUCCCUCAGACCAGUCAAUAUUGAGGCUAUUUUCCGACCAUCUUCAGCAACCAUUGAGCUUCCAAAUAGAUAUAAUCUUAUUCUAUAUUUUCCUAUCUUCAUUUUGAUUUAUUACGGGUCGAAUUUGGUUAAGAAAUGAUUGAGUUACGAAGCUUUGAAAAUUAUCCAAACUUCCGGCCAAAAGCUUCAGCGGAAGGACCAAAAUCAUGGAUGGUGGACAAUCUCAAGGACUACUUCUAUUGAUUUUAAAUCUCAGGGACCAAACUUAUGAUGAUGCAAAUCUUAGGGAUCAUUUUAAAUAAAAAGCCUAAAAAGAAUUGCAACAGAAACAACUAAAAACCAAGUUGGCCUGCAGGGUUAUCUGUAUGUGUAUUAUAUUGAUAAUUCUAGGACUUAUCAUAUCAUGUUCCUAACUUGAUGCUGUGGGCAUCUUCUCCUAUUAAUAACAGUGGCACCUUAAUUUGAUCAACCAAAUUUGGUGAAGCACCAGACAAACAGAAACCCAUGCAUACAGAGCCAACUGCACUGAAGCAUGAAUUUAAAAAAAAUAAUGUACAUGAUUAUUAUUCCACUACUUAAUUUGUUCCAACUCACCACAAAUUUCUCUUCAUUAUGGUUGUUAGGACAAUAGAUUAGGUUGCAAGAUAAAUUUCCAAAGUUCUACUAGCUUAGGUUUUCAGAAAUCAAACAUGCAAAGUUUCUAUGCAUGUUUUGAAAUUGGUUUUAGGAAGUGGGCUUCCAAGUCUUAACAAUAAUGGACACUAUGAAAUCAGGGUAACCAAUUGGGGAUAACUAUAUACUUCAAAAACGCAUAUUUUACACACACACACACACAUUCUGUCAAGAAUCAGAUUUGAUUGGCACAGAUGAAGAUGAACAAUAAGAAUGAACAAUAAGAGGCUAGCUAGGAGCUGAGUAAAUUGAAUCGAUUACCAUGUUGUAAUUGGCCUAGCUACUCUCUAGUUAUUCUUCAAGGUUGUAUAUAAUAUAUCUACCUAUAUAAUCUCACCCUGUUUCCCCCUUUUGUCUCUCUGUGCACUCAGAAAACAAGCCACCCUAAUUCAAGUUCUCUAUCUUCAGAUCACCAGCAAUAACCUCAUCAAGGUCCUAGGAGGAAUCACGAGGAUUCACAGCCGAAUUGGUAUGUACUUAUGCUUUUGCAAAAAGCCCUUUUCUUGCCAUUUUUCUGUUUUAGAAUUGGGACCAAAAUGAUUAUGAGUGAUUUUGAAAAACACCGAGAAAAAAUGGCUAUCAAGCAAGCAGGCUGUGAGUAUUCAAAAUAUAAUUUUCAGUCAAAUAAAAUAUUGGCACCACAAGCUUUUAAGUAGGGAGGGAUGUUUGAUUAUAUAUUUAAAUUAAGCAAAGAAUCUUGCAUAAGAAAACGAUCCAAGUUGAAGUAAACCAAAUAUAUGGUGCAACAACUGUUAGUUUGGUCAGUCUUCAUCACACUAAUCAAAUGGGCCCGAGGGGUUGAUUUUCACAGUAACCACUUACUUUUUAGUAUGUUCCGGAGUAUUUUAGUGUUUAACUAUUUUUUACAUUUUUGAGGUUCGGAGUGAUUUUUAAAACGAGUCAUGAAUUUUAGUUUUCUAAUAUUACACUCUCUAUGCUUCAGAUUUUCCACAUUUUGACUUGGACUUCUUUUUUUCUUUGUUCUGUUUGAAGAACUUAGUACUUUUGAUUUCAGUAGCAAAAUAAUUUGAACAGGAUGAGAGAGAGAGAGAGAGAGAGAGAGAGAGAAAUAAAGCAUCUACUUGAUCUCUGUACUUUCUCUUAUUCUUAUGUGUGGUUAAGGUUGCAUAUCUGAAUUUUAACCUAUCAUCAUGUAAGUAUUAUAGUGUGUUUUAGAAGCGGGAGUGUGUGAAAUGUGUUGAUGCUGAUGAUGGUGUCGAAUUUGGGGACACUUCCCAGCUAGCAGAGCAAGUAACAGAGAGCUUUUUCCAACUCAAAUUUAAUGAUUCAAGCUGCUUAAGACUUGCAUAACAUUUCCAAGUUGUAGUCGAUGUGCCUGAGUUCUUGAGUACUUCAGUCUUCACUAAUGAAUGUAACACCAUUAAGACUUGGAAUGUCUUUGGGGGGUACGAAAUAACAUUGCUCAUUUCGUAUUUUAUGGGUUCGAAUUUUUUGUCGAGUACGUGAUUCUUGCAAAAGAGUUGUAAAUAUCGUUGUAAAUAUGUGUAAGUAGAGUUGUAAACCCUACCAUUGAACACUUAAUAUAGUUGUACAUAUAUAUAGAAAUUUUUACAUGCUUUGUACAGUUUUAAACACCCACAACAUCGUGCGGGCACACUUUCGCUAGUAUUUUAUUGUACUAGUGCACUCAAAUGUCUGUAGCUAAAUAUGUUAUUAUGAAUUAGUGGAACAUAAGAAAAUAUGGAAAAACAUAAGUGUACCAAAAAGUUCGUACUUAAACAUAGUAUACUAAAUUAGUGUACCGGUAUGUUCGUGCCUACCCUAAACUAGUAUACCGAAAUGUCCAUACCUAAACAUGUUAUUCUAAACUAGUGUACUAAGAUGUUUGUACCUAAAUACAUUGUAAUAAAUUAAUGGCACAUAAGAAAAUAUGCAAAAACAUAGGUGUGCCGAAAAGCCUCUACCAAAAUAUUUUCUUAUAUAAGAUAAUUACAAUAAAUUGGUGAUGCAAAAUGUCAACAAAUAAAAGCUAAUUCAUUUGAAUUCAAAUGAGUAUUAAAAUUUAAUUCAUAUCAGCAUAAAAUUAUAAAUAGAAAAAAAGAAAGACAUUGAAUGCAUAUGCUGCCAUUAAAUAGAGUUUAGGAACUAAAAUCAAUUUUUUAAUCUUGUGUGAGACAUUUUUCUAAAUUUUAUUUUAUUUAAGGAUUAAAAAUAUAGUUUUCUAUUACUUAUAUUUCUGACUACAUAUGGUUAUUACUUUAGUCGAGAGUUGACGCACCUGGAAUGGUGUCUGGAAAACAUGAUGACCCAUAAUUCCAGCCUUGGCAGCGUAUUCCAGGCCAGAAAUGAAGCUCAAAGCCAUACACGAGAGCAUUGUGUAUGUCUUUAUAAGAGACGUUGCUGUAGUCCUUAACGGAGUAGUCAAAGUGACCCAAAUUCAUCCAAGCCCUCCCCUCUGCACUGCAACCCUCAUCCAAUUCCCAUACUUCCAUGUACUCCCCGACCAUGACGUAGCUAUACGUUUUUGGUUGGCUCGAAGAAGUAGAACUUGUAUUAUUCAAGCAUGGAGCAGUGUCCACGUACAGAGAAGAAUUCAAUGGAUUCGAACAUUUCAAGUAAUAUAUAGAUGUUAAAUUCCCUCGUGAAUAAUGUUCAUAAUAAUUUAAAGUAUUGUGCGGAAAAUUUCGAGGCAUGGAAGAGCAAUUGGUGUUCACAAGGCCAGGAUCUAGAAGUCGGAUUGUUUUGUCGUUGUAGUUGAUUGCCUGGACGUAGUAUUUUCCGGACGAAGGUAGGUAUAGUACUGUAAUGUUGCUCUCACAGGACAGAGUAUACCUUACGUCGCCACAAUAUUUUGGAUCAUCGUUCAGUCGAAAAGGAUAGCUUAUGUUGUGGACAUGGCCGCAGGAUGAAGUACAGGACUUGGCACUGGUGUCGUCCUUAGCGUUACAAGUUCCACUGCAGAAGCUAAGAAGAAGAAAGGCUAAACUUAAGGUGAAGGACCUGCUUCCACUAAUUUCCAUUGGAGAGAGAGAGAGAGAGAGAGAGAGGUGUACUAGUUCACACCAAGUAGUCAUAUAAUAUAGGAGGGGUUAAGGCACCUUCCGUGAAAUUGCAGUUGAAAUAUCCUAGAGAAAAAUCGGUCGUCAAUGGUAUCCUAGAGAAAAGUCGGUCGAUGGUGUUUGAUACGGUCAGUCAACGGUGAAGACAGUUGUGAAACAAUAAUGCUCUCCCCCGCUCUCUUUAUUAUAUAUGUCUUUCAUUAAUGGAGGAUACUGCGUAAUUACUACGCAUAUAUCUCUGCUUAAUCACACAAAACAAAAAAUACCAUGCGCCUAUAGAAAAUUUGACUUUUUCCCUAAAAAUUAAUUUUCUUUCACCUCCAACCCAUCAUAUAUAUUCUAUAAGAUAAGAAUAACCCAUUGACUAGCUCCAAUUAAGCAAGUUUCUUAACUUGCUUGAUGACUCUGAUCAUGUGUAAUUUUGGGGAAUUGGAUGCUAUUUUGUCUCUACUUUAUUAGGCUUUUUCAAAUGGUUCUUUCACAUUUUUCAAAUGGUUUACAAUCUCUCUUCAUUUUUAUUUUUUGCAAGAAUGUAUUUAGUUUUGGUUUACAAUUUCACCUAGCCAACCAAAUGUCGUAAAUACACUUGUGACUCGUUCAUCACUGAUUCAUGAAAAUGUGUCCUACUAUAUAAGCAACAAAUUCAAAACCAGGUUGAAAACUUAUGUAUGUAACUAAGGACUCAUGAGAAUUGUAACCAUUGUACCUAAGUACCAUAUGUGCUCGAUAGCUUGAGGUGUUUGUCUGACUACGUAAGUACAUUGGAGGUUUGUUGGAUUGCUUGGGUUUUCACUUGAAACCAGUGGCUGGCCAAUAUGCAUCACUUUUCCACAUAACUUUUAUGCAAAAAUCUUUCCUUAAGUUUUUACAUCACAGUUCUUGACUAGCUUCAAUAGACAUAUUGUUGUCAUGCUUGCUUAGUUAUGAUCCUUCAAAGUUUCUAUGUUCUCAGUUUCCCCUUCAAAUCGAUAUGUUUUGUAACUUCUUCUUUUUUUCUUUCUUCAGUACUUUUAUAUACUGAGAGCGAUAAUUCCGCGACUUGGUGAGAUUGGAAUGAUAAAUUAUUAGUGAGCCUUCACUUUUUCUUGAACAAUAAUCACUUUAGGAUGAGUUACAUUACCAACUAGAGAGAUUGGUCUAGUCACAUCUCUUCAGAAUGUUGAAAUAAGUUUCAAGUUUAAUCCAUAGCUCAACCAAAAUAAAUAAGAUAUUGUUGAUUGCACAUUGAUUUAUAUGAGAAAAUAAAUAAACUACUAGUAAGGAAACUGUUGGCAAGUGUUGAAUUGUUCUGGUAUUUAAGGUCUUCUUUUUCAACCUGCUGUACUUCUAGUGUAAACUUUCCUUCUUUUUUAAUGUAGAUUAGCAUAGAAUAUCGCUUAUGAUUAGAAGAAGAAAAAAGAAAAAUAAAAAGGAAACUAUUGAAUUUUGUUCAAAGUCUAGGUCGUAGUUCUUCUCUAGAUUAGAAGAAGCAGUUUUUUUUUUUUUAAGCAUAGCAAUACCAAACUGGCCCCUAAACCAACAUAAGACAAGUGAAUAAAAAACUACCACAUUGAAUUCCUAAGUAGGUAGCAUUUUACACAUCGGAGAUGCUCUUAUACUAUCCUUUUUAUAAUUUUAUAUUAUUCUUGAGUGGCAUCACUCAUCUUUGGUGCAUCCAAUGGAACCCAGUGGAUCUAGAUCGUCCAUCCAUUAAAGUGGAGGUUCAGAUGUUGGAAGGAGAGAACUUAACCAUGCCUCCAAAUUCUUGUGCCUAUACAGGUCUUGCACGAACUAAUACAAGUCCGCCUGCAGUGCCGGUAUAUUAGACUUCCAUGACUAUCGUGGUCUUUGGGGUUAACUGAAGAAUUUCCGAGCGAAUGGAACCACAUGUAACACAGCUAAGCCUAAUUGAUAGCGAUUUUACCACUUUUAAAACAAAGGGUUAAACCAUAGAAAAUUCUUGCAAGAGACAAGUGUUUGUAGUAUAGAAUGGCUCAAGCAAGGUCGAUCUCCUCAGGGACUGAUAUAAACAAUUUACGAGUUUUUGUGUAUUUAACUUAUUUAACUCUAAAAAUUACACUAAUUUGACGAAACUAAAUAUUACUGGAUGUGACUUAAACAAUUAUCUAAAAUGGGAAUUGGUUUAUAGGAAUAAUGAUUCAACUAAACAAAACAAGUAAAUGAGAAAAUUCAAGAUAAAAUAAAUGAUUGAAGAAAAAUAGAUUGACAAUAUGCUAGAGUUCAACCUUUACCAACAACACUCAUACGUAGCUUUUCCAAUUGCUUAAAUAAUUGAAAACACACAUGCUUUGAAAGUUGGAUUUUCCUUGUGUAUGUUUUACUUGUGACAUUCAAGCUAAAACGCAUACCACUACAUGCAACUUAUCCAUGACAUUUGGAUUAAAUAUAAACAUGAGUGAUUCAUUAAUCUUGGUGAAAAUCCUUUUGUUAAACCAUGUAAUCCCUAAGAGCAUGAUAUUUACCUUAGGAGAGUACAAUCCUCAAUCACAAGAAGCACAACCAAUUUUAACGUGACAUUCGUUCAAAAUUGCAUCCGAUAACUUUUCUAAGCAUCCUAAUGGUGAUCAAGCAUCAAGGUACAUAGAUAGUUUAAUUCAGUGAUUGAAAAUAUCAAAGCAAGCAUGUAACAACACUUAAGCAAUUGAAAAAUAAAUCUACGUAUUCAUGUUGCCGCUCAUGGCCUCACUCUAGCAUAAUAAUUUAGUUACACAUAAUUAAUUUGAUACAUAAGAAAUUAUUCAUAAAAGAAAAUAAAUAACUAAGAAAGAAGACACCCGUUUCUUUUCUCCCGUCGCAAGUCUAUGUGAAAUUUUCCGUGUGCACUGCCUUCUCCUGCUCCUCCCUCUGUUUCCGUGCUCUGCCUGCACUCCUGCUUUGCUCCCUCUGUUUCCGCACCUCUCCUCUAUUCCCUGUGCUUCUGCUUCUGUCCUUCUGCUGCUCGCCAGUCCGAGUCAACUGCUUCUUAUUCUUUUAUUUUCUUUUCAGUCCUGCGCACUCCACUUCCUUCCCACUCUUCUCUGUUUUUUAUUUGUUUAUUUUUUUCUUUUCUUUCCACACCUCUUUGUCUGCCAGUCUGUCUUUUUUAUUUGUUUCUUUUUCUUUUCGUCACUGCCUCAAUGCUCUCUCCACUCUGUCAGAAUUCUUCCAUGCUGUUUUUCCACUUUGUUUCCUGCCAUCCUCUCUGCUCCUUUGUCCGUGUCUUCACUUUUCUUCCUUUUAAUUGAAAUUAAUCCUAAAACACAUUUAACUGCACAAUAACACAAGGUAAGGUAAAAUGUCAUAAUUAUAACACAAAAACAUCACAAAGACUUUAAAAAUAGAUGGUAUAAAUGUAUGAAAUAUAUGAAUGAUCACUAAUCGACAAUGAUUCAUACAGCGACAGAUGAGACGCGCAAAGCAGCUUCAAAGAAAGCACUAUACUGCUUUAGUUAUGUGCUAAGUUGCAUGCAUGGACGCUUCAAUACACUAGCGUGUGACGUAUCAGACACAAAAACAAACACAAAACUUCACAGACACUCUUGGACACUUGUCCAACACUCCACAUGGCAUAUCGUUGACUUUGACUGACUGACACUUUAGGGAUACACGUAGGACAUUGUUAAAAAAACACGCCAGUGGUAAUUGUAAAAUUAAAUUAAAAUUUUAGGGUAAAAUUGAAAUAUGAAAAAAUUGUCUUAGGGUAAUAUGAAAAACGGAUUUAGAGGUAAAUGUAAUGUUGUAUUUUGUUUGGAUGAAGAAAUUUAAUAAUACUAAGGAAUUUUAAAAUGAAAUUUUAUUUUCUAGAAUUUCUGAAUUUUCUUAUUUGGUUAACUUAAAAUGAACAAGAGAAUUUGAAUACGGAAUUUAUUUAUUUAUUUUUAAACUCUCACUCAUAGAAAUUUAAAAAUGACACAUAUUUACAUGAAAUUUAAAUUUGGGGAUUCGAGGUCUCAAAUUCCAAGUUUUUUUUUCUUGCAAAGAUUCUAAAUUUCUAUUUUUAUGAAUCGAAAAAAAAGAAAUUGGUUUGUGCCAAUUUAUAAAUUCUAACGUUUGUCAACUUAUAUUGUUGCCAUACUUGCUUAGUUAUGAUCUUUCAAAGUUUUGAGCUCUCAGUUUCCCAUUCAAAUCGAUAUGUUUUGUAACAUUCUUUUUUUUCUUUAGUACCUUUGCAUUUUAAGAGCUUUAAUUGCGCUACGUGAUGAGAUUGUAAUGGAAUUAUUAGUGAGAAUUUCUUGAACAAUAGUCACUUUAGGAUGACUAGUACAAAGAUGUCAAAGUGAAGUGGGCCCUUACCAUUGACCUGCUAGGGGCACAGCCAUCAUUAUUGACCCCGAAAAGUAUGCAUGCCAAUAAAAAAUAAUUUAGUCAAAUUCUUUCUUUUUUUCAAAUAAGUAACUCAAUUUCUAAUAAACUCGAAUUUGCUGACUAGUGGGUUCUUACCUAAAUUAUAUCUUGUUUUGUCUAUGACAUUUUGAACUCCAUAAGCAAAUUUAUUGUUUCAUCUAGUUAUAUAUCUUUACACAUUAGUCACUUAAAAGAGUGUUAUAACAUUAAUUACGUAAAUGAGUGUUGUACAAACAAAAACAAAAGAAUAUCUCUUAGAUUAUUGGUGCAAAUAUCAUAUAUCAUCACAUGAUUCACCCCAAAUGUUUCGUUUUCAAUGCCAAGAGUAAUGAUGAUUACAUGUGUGUCAUUGUUAGAGGCUACCAACAGAGAGCAUUUGUGUAGUGAUUUUGUAUGUUUGCACGAGAUUUGACUUCUCAACCAAACUUUGAGCACCGAAUAGGAUGCUGGUUCGAUUAUGUACUUUUUUAUGCCCUGAGAACUGAGAACUAUGAGUUUCUCUGUGUUCUGCUUGCCUAAAAGCAUACAUUAACAACCUUGGGAUCACCUAAAUUCUAUUAAUAUAGCAUGAUAUCAAUUUAUCAAUAAAAUUAUUAAUUUACAAAGAUUAUUUCUUUUCUUGUGCAUCCAAUGGAACCUAGUGAUCUAGAUCGUCCAUCCAGUAAAGUGGUGGUUCAGAUGUUGAAAGGAGAGAACUUAACCAUGCCUCCCAAUUCUUGUGCCUCCACAUGUCUUGCACGAAAGAAUAAAAGUCCUCCUGCAGUCCCGGUACAUUAGGCUUCCAUGACUUCCGUGGCCUUUGGGGUUAACUCAAGAAUUUCCAAGCGAAUGGAACCACAUAUGAGUAUGACACAGCUAAUCCUAAUCGAUAAUGAUUACUACAGCGACAGAUGAGCGCAAAACAACUUUAAAGAAAGCACUGUUACUAGUACUUUGUUAUGUGCUAAGUUGCACGUGUGAACACUUCAAUACACUAGCGUUUUACGUAUCAAACUCAAAAACAAACACAACACUUAGUCGACACUCUUGGACACGUGUCCAACACUCCACGUGCCGUGUCGUGGACUUUGACUGAAGGACACUUCUUGGGCACUUUUAAAAUUGAAUUAAAAUUUUAGGGUAAAAUUGAAAUAAGGAAAAAAUUAUUUUAGGUAUAAUAUGAAAAAUAGAUUUAGAGAUAAUGCUAGAGAUCGCAAAUUUCUCUCUUGACGUAGGAGGCAGAUUGUCUGCCCUCCUGUUUGGAUGCCCUUCCCAUCCUCUUCUAUUUGUGCAGUCACGGUUAAGCCACGUCAACAUUUUAUAUUCUUAUUGCUUUUUGUCUUAUUAUCUCUAUAAAAAAAUUAAUAUAAAAUGUUGACGUGGCUUAACCGUGACCGUACAAAAUGGGAGGGGAUGAGGAUGACACCCAAACAGAGGGCAGACAAUCUGCCUCCCUUGACGUAAUAACAUGAAAAUUAUUGAUGACUUAAGUGUACGUGAAGCAGCUCUAGUCAAUACUCAAUUGCAAUUUGGCCCAUUUUUCUAAAGCGUGUUUGAAGCCGAGUCAUUGUUGGAAAUCUGCAAGUUCAGUUUCAUAAUUUCAUGCACUUCUACAUGAUAAGUUUCAAAAUUUCUUGCACAUCUACAAGAUUAAUUUCAUAAUUUUUUGCACUUCUGCAAUAGCAGUGUCAAAAGUUUUAGAAUUCUGCAAGGUUAGUUUCAAAAUUCCUACAUUUCUACACAAAUUUCAAAAUUUAUGCAUCAAAAUAAAACUCAAAACCUCAAAUCGAGUACUUUCAAAAUACUAAAAUCAAAACCAAAGAUCAAAAGUUUCAAUCAUUGUCAAGAAAAAAUAAAAAAUAAAAGGUUAUAGAGGACGGUGUCAUUCCACACUACAAGUUUAUACAAGUAUUGUCCUUUACUAAAAGGCUAUUUGAGGACUGAGGAUUUAGGGUUUAAGGUUUCGAAUGUAGGAGGGCAGUAAUCACGGACAACUUCUUCGAAAGAAAGGAGCAAAGAUCUAACUUCAUCCAGCAAGUGCCUUUCCAUACUCAAAUCCUCCUCAUGACAGGAGUCAGUACGAAUUUCACCUAGCCAACCAAAUGUCGUAAAUAAACUUGUGACUCGUUCAUUCACUGAUUCAUGAGAAUGUUUCCUACUAUAUAAGCAGCAAAUUCAAAACCAGGUUGAAAACUAAAUUAUGAAACAAGGGGCAACUUUUAUCUUGAGAAACCAUUUGAAAACUUAUGUUCUGUCGUAUGCAAGAAGGUAUUUCCUUUUGUGUUUUAAUUCUGCACUUAUUUUUAUUUUUUCCACAUAAAUAUAAUGUGCCUACAUUAUUUUUCUAUGGAUUAAUUUACCUACUUUAAUUAUUUUAUAUACCUACGUUAUUUUUUCUUGAAUCUUUUCACACUCGACCAAACUUCUCUUGGAAUUUUAAUUAGAUGAAACAAUAUGAAUCUUGAACAAAGCAACGCAAAACGUAAUACUGAGAGAUUGAAUCAUUGAAGUGACGUGGAGCUGGGUACUCAACACUCAUAGGAAAUCAAUCCAAGAAUGAAAACUCUCUUAUCACUUUCUAUCCAAAAUUUUGGAAUUAUGUGUGUGUUCCAACGAUUAUCCGAAGGAUUAUUCUUCUUUUAUUAAAUUUAUAAGGAAAAUUAGCAUGGGGCAUAAAUGUUGAACUGUGAAAUCCCGUCUCCGGAAUUUCACCAUUCAUUAUGUAUCUCGCAAUUUAAAUUCGUAUUUCACGUUUAUGUUAUUUUUAUUACUUAAUUUUAAUUCCGCAAAUUUUGAGCUUAAAUCGAAUAGUUAUCGGGUUUGAAUUUUCGUAAUUAAUCUUUAAGACUCGUUGACCUUUCGAGGUCACAAGUAACGUUUUCGAAUAGAUCUCGAAACCACGAGCACAUAGGCGAAAGCCGUUUGGGAGUCCGGGUUUUAACGAUAUAGUUACAGACAUUUGAAGUUGUUACUAAAUUAUAGAUUUUAAAUUUAUUUUGAAACUCCCACCUUGUGGGAAAAGGACUAAUGAGAUAAGAGAGUGAGGGACCAAUUAGAAAUGGGAGAGAAAAGGAGAACGAAUCAGGAAGGAAGGGAAAAAGAAAAAAGAAAAAAAAAGGAGGGACUGGAUGCUGCCAGGUGGCAGCGGGAGAGAGAAGAAGAUGAGGUUGCGGGAGAGAAAAGGAAGGGAAGAGUGACCAAUGGAAGGAGAGAGUAAGGAGGGGAAGGAGAGACCCAAAAAUGGGUCAUUUUUCACCCGCGAACUACCAUUUUUGACCUGGCCAUAUCUUCUUCAUCCGACUUCCGUUUUGGGUAAUCUUGGUGUCCAUAGAAAGCUCUUGACGAGUCCUACAUCCCUGUAGUGUUAGAUGUCUAUUUUUCCUUUCCAUUUUUCUAGGUCGAAGCCACAAAGUGCCUAGGGUUUUCCUGCGAGUUUUCUCAUUUUACAGUGAUUCCGACAAUGAUUACCGUCGAUCAUCACUACCAAUAGACUCCUCUCAACCCCUGGACCAAGGCCCAAGCAUUGGAUGAGGCGUCGAAGUUCGUUUUGGCGAUGAAUCGAGGAACACCCAUUUCUAGGGUCUCCAACGUGUUUGGAUGAAAUUGAGACACUUCUCGGCCGAAUUGGACUUGGCCACAGGUAUGAAAAUUGAUCCCCACACUGAGAUAUACUUGCCUGUAAAUUUGGUAAUUUUUUGAAAUUGUUGAAUUUUUCGGCGAGUCGGGGCGGCCGACCGCCACCGGCAGCAGUGCGGGCGGCGGUGCUUCGGCCAGUGGGCCGACGAUGCCUUUCUAAGUUCAAUUAGAUGUGCUGGAUUUGUAUUUGAUAUUCGUAUGACGUGGUUUGAUCGUUUGAACCUAAUUUCAUUAUGAUACAUUACUUGAUCAAAAUAUGAAUUGACGAUCCGACCGUCGGAUCGUGAUGAAAUUUUAGUAUGUUGUUCUAGAGGAAUAAUGUGGAUUUUAGAAGAUUACGGAUCCAAAAUCCAUGUGUAGAUCUUCUGGAUCAAAUUACGUAGAGAUGUGGACCCCACCGUUGAUCUGAAGUUGACUUUUGGUCAAUAGGUAUUGAAUCAUUUAUUUUACUAAAAUUAGUAUUGCUAGAGACUCAAUGAGGCUUUGCGGACUUGUCUUGGUGAGUGACUUUAAUAUAUGUGAUAUGGUUUUUACCCUGUUUUCUUAUAAGUAUCCUUUGUGGAUAUGACUUGGUUUUGUAAAUGUGUUUUCUGUUAAAAUGUGAUUUUAUAAUUGGUCAUCGAUCUAUUUUUAUUAAAUGUGAUUUGAUUUAUGGAUUGGAAAUAUUUGUGAAAAGGUGAAUUGAAGUGCAUAUUGAAAUAUUUAUGAAUUGUGUUAUAAAUAUACAUUUGAAAUGUUGAGAAAUGCGAGGGCUAGUAGGGGACCGUUACCCUAGUGUCACGGGGUUAGGUGACACCGAGUCUGCACCAUGUAGCAGUGGUACAUGGAUGGUCUUACUUGGUUAAUCCGCAAUGGGGGACCAUAUUAUUUAUGGAUCGCACUUGGUUAAUCCGCGAUGGGCGAUCCUUAUGGCCAUGUAUACUUAGGAGUGAUAAUGCUUAGUUAAUUCACGAUGGGUGAUCACUGCCUAACAGUUUUAUAGGUGUGACUUUGCUUGGUUAAUCUGCGAUGGGCGAUCCUUAUGGCCAUACAUACUUAGGGGUGAUCAUGCUUGGUUAAUCCGCAAUGGGUGAUCACUACCUAGCAGAUUCAUGGGAGUGACUCUGCUUGGUUAAUCUGCGAUUGGGGGUGGGGGGGGGGGCGCGGGGAGGGUCACUACCUACAUGGUUACUCAGGGGGUGGCUCUGCUUGGUUAAUUUGCCAUGGGGGGCCACUUCUUGUUUGGUUACUUAUGUAGGCUUCGGCCGAACUGCGUCCCUCUAGCCCUAGUUUUUAAUGUACAUAUGAACAAUGGUUUUUGAGAAUCUUGGGGGUUUGAAUGGGAAAAGCCGUUGGAUGUCUGGGUGAGUCCUUCGGAGUUGUUGAGACUUAACUAUAUUUUCAUAUUUACAAACUUAUAUUUGAGGUUUAUAAACUGUGAUCGAUGGUCUUUUCUUUUAUUGAUUAUCACAUACUUGUAUUAUUGUCACUCACCUGAGCUCCGCAACUUAUCCAAGUUCCGUUUGGCCGGUGCACCAUUCUCAUGAUGGAGGCACUGAUUUUACAUAUGAUAGGUUUGGGUAGAUUAUGAGACACCACUUGAUAUUUUGGUUCCAUUGAGUGGUCUGGAAUCCUUGCUCUUGCUCAUUCCCAUAAGGUUAGUCUAGAACCCUAGAUUCGAGUGAAUGAGAAUUACCCACAAUAGAUGAUAGGAUUUUUACCACCUGCACAAAAGGGUUAAAAACACCUAAAAUACUUGCAAGAGAAACAAGGUUAUCGUAGUAUAAUUGGCUCAAGUAAGGUCGUUCUCAACAAGGACUAAUUUAAAUAGAUUGACGUGAAAUCAAUUCCCAACUAAUUAAUUAAAACAAAGUCUUUGAAAAAGGUGAUUUAACGGCCUAAAUUAAGAAAAACGAAUUUAAUUAAAAAGAUUACUUAAAAACCCCAACUGGAAGGAGGAAGAAACAAUUUUUACAAUUCAAAGUGAGAAAGUACUAGGGUUCUGCCGUCACCCUAACAAUCCUAUGUAACUCUUCUAAAUUACUUAUGAACCAUACAUGCAUAUCUUGAAGGUUAGGUUUUCCUAGAGUAUAUCCUACCUGAAACCUCCAACAUAGAACAUAUAUCUAACAUGCAACUCGUCUGUUGUGUUCAGAUCGAAUGUGAACAUGCAAGACUAAUUAAGUUUUAUGAAAACCCUUUUGAAAAAACCAUAUAACCCUUAAAACGUGUCGUCCAUCCUAAGAGGUUGCACAUAUUAACCACAAGAAGCCUUAGUCAAUUUUAGGGACAGCCCUCUACCAAAAUUGCAUCAAAUUACUUUUCUAAUUAUCCUAAUGGUCGCGAAUCACUAAGAAAAAUAGAUAGUUUAAAGCACAGUGAUUAACAAUCCAAAACUUGCAUGCAUGAAUUCAUAAGCAAAUUAAAAGAGACUACAUAUUCUUGCUAAGGAUCAUGGCCUCACCCUAGCAAAAUAAAAUUAGUUACGCAUAUUCAUAAUUAAAAUCAACAUAAUUGUAUUAAACUAGAAAAAGAAUGAAAACACCUUGUAGAAUAAAAUUUGAAAAUCUCUAAACUUUGUCCCAAAUCUUCUCUCCAAAAAAUUGCAUGCGUUCUCUCUCUAAAAAAAACCCCUAGGUCUGCCAAAAGGCUUAUUUAUACUACUCUAAAUAAAAUCCUCCUAAUAAAAGGUCUUAGAAUAAGACUAGGAAACUAAAUAAAUUGAAAUAAAUUAGGAAACCUAAUCCUAAAUUGGCUUGGUAAAUUUGCCCAAAAUUCUGCACAGCCACGUUCUGGACCCAAAUCAGCUCCAAAACUAGCCCAAAAUUUAUGAACUUAAACUUUGACUAUUCUGAACACUUCUCCAGAAGGUCACGAACCCAUCUGAAGUCAUCUUAGGCUCCAAAAACACAGUUUAAGCCUAGAAACGUCAAUUUCCAACAACGCGCACUGCUCCUUCAUUUAAUCUCCAAAAAAUAACCGCUUGGUAGAAAUUGCUGAGAUUUUGACACGAACAAGCUAAGGAACAUACGAAAUCACUCCAAAAUUCGUCUGUUUGGUCAUGUUUUGCUCCAGAGGAAGUCAAAUUUCCUAUGUUGAAAAUAUAAAGCACAAUAUCAAAAUUCUAUCAAAAUAAUUAUCAAAUUAUACUAAGAAUAGGGUGAAACAUAUAAUAUAAUUUUGACUCAUCAAUAGACCUUGUGAAUAUAAAAUAGAUUUACCAUGUUAUUUCUCAUAAUCCAAGUAGGAAAUUAUUUAGAGUUCCUUGUUUAAAUUUGUGAAAUGAUAUGUUACUACAUUCAUUGAUUAACAUAAUUAAAUGCUAAGAUCAUGUAUCUUUGAUUCAUGAAUUGAUUGAUUGAUGGGAUUGCGGAAUGACCUUGGUUAUGGUUGUUAUUAUUAUGAUUAUUUUAGUUGAUCAAUGUGGCUUGAGAAUAAUAUGUGCUUCGUUGGUUAUUAGAUAUGUUACAUGCUGUGGAUGGAACUAUCAUGCUGAAAACAUGGAAUUUAUAUGAUGGAUGGAAUGAGAAUCUUGAAUGGCAUGUUGGUUUGUUUUGUAGCCUAAACUUGGUAAUGUCAUGCAUGUCAAGUUCUAAUAAUUGAUUACAGAAUGUUAUGUAUUCCUGUUAGAACGCACUAGAAUAAAUGUCUAAAUUAGUGAACGACGAACUAUGAAUGACUUGAUCCCUAAUGAGGGUAUGUAGGCAGUCUAAUGAGGAGGUUAGAUGCAGCCAUAAAGUAUACGAAAAAUUACUAUGCGAUUCGAUUCUCGAGUUGUGAUUUGCCAUAUCCCGGAGGUGGGGUAUGUUGAGAUACGGGUAUUUGGUGAAGUCAUGUGUUGAUUCUGAAUGUAUGUCGGGAUCGAAGCAUGACAUGAACGAAUAAAUUUUCCUCGACUUGGAAAGGGAUUGUGACUUUAACACGCUAUUUUUCUUCAUCUUAUGCAUCAUGUUUAUCAAAAGACAAAUAAUAUGACUUCACAUAAGGAGAGAAUAAGAGUAUUUUCCUUUGUAAAAAUCAACUUUUGUUUAAGAAGAUGUGGAUGCUGAUUGAUGCACCAUGUGAAUACGAAGAACGACCUUGGAGGGAGAUGAGAUAUUCAUUAGAAGCUAGCGAAAAAAAAAAAGUUAAUAAUGAUUUAGUCAAAAAGCAAGAAAGCCUCAUUUUCUAAGUGGUAGUCAUUAACACGAUACUUGAUAAGGAGAAAAGUCAUAGUAUUUUAUUUUACUGGGAACGAGGGUGCAAGGUCUCAAUUGGAAUAUGAGAUGAAGUUUCUACAUAACUAUAUAUGACAAAGAAAGAAGUCUAAGUUUGUAGGUGGUAGGGCUUUUAAUUGAUGUGAGUUUGUUGAGAAAUGAAGAUGAGCAUGAAUACUGACAUCGAUGCGAGUUAGUGAACACGAUGCUUCUCCUUUGGCCUUUUAAUAUGAUAAUACCGGAAAACAAGUUGUUACUAAUAUAUGUAUAUCUGAUUGGUGGACUAAGAUGUACAGUACGAUUUUUGAUAGAGUAAUGUUAUGGAAACUAAAUUUGUAGACUAGAUUUUGAAAACUAAAUGACAUGGAAUCCUUACUUAUGUGCUCAUUUCCGAUUAGUGACACAUCAUUUAGUUUGUAAAUUUAGUCUACAAAUUUAGUCUCCUUAACAUUACUUUUUUUGAUAACUAGCGAAGAUGAACACUCUCAUGACAAAAUUUAUCUAAAUAGACCUAAAGGCAAGACUUACGAACUUCAUAUGCAGUGGGAUAAAAUCUUAAACUAAUUUCCAUUUUUAUUUUGUAGUUGAUAGGGAUUUUACCACCUCCAAAGGUAGAGAUAAAAACACUUAAAAAUACUUGCAAGAGUACAAGGUUAUCGUAGUAUAGCAGCUCAAGCAAGGUCGUUCUCCACAGAGAUUGAAUGAAUAAUUUAUGUAAAUAUCAAAUCUUAAUUAAUUAUUUGAAAACAAAGUUUGGAAAAAGGUGAUUUUAUGACCUAAAAUAGUAAAAAUGAAUUUAAUUAAAAAUAAUUAAAUAAAUUGGCAAAGUAAAGAGAAUAAAAGAAAAUAGUUUUGAAAAUAAAUUUGAGCACUAUAGGCCGUUCUGCCAUCACCUUAACAAUUUUACGUAGUUCUUCCAAUUACUUAUGAAUUACGUAGUUCUUCAAGGUUGUAUAUAAUAUAACUACCUAUAUAAUCUUAGCCCGAGACAUGUAUAUAUAUAUAUAUAUAUAUAUAUAUAUAUAUAUAUAUAUAUAUAUAUAUAUAUAUAUAUAUACAUGUCCUGAGAAAUAUGAACAAUUAAAGGGUUUUCUAUUCAAAUUUACAUGGGUUUUGUUUGCAGCCUCGGAUCAUACAUGUGCAUUUAAUUUGGUUUUGUUUUCAGUUUCAAGAGACCCUGACAUUUUUCCUUUUAUGGGCCUUUUCUUUGCAGACUCGGACGCCCUUUGUGCUCAAGGUAGGGGCGGAGCCACCAAGGGACUAGGAUAGUCCCUGGCCCAUCCUGACUUCAUCUGAGGCAUGAACCUCAUGGAAGAAGAUGAAGCAAAUGACGUCGUUAAACUGUUUUGAUUUUAAAUCUUUUCGGCUGUCUAAUGCAACGAUAAGUUUGGCAGGGGAGUUUUAAAAGAGAUGUGCAAUUUUAAAUGGAAAAAGCAACCCCACUUCUGGUUCGAUUCUCUCACCUAACAGUAAUAUACACCCUAUAAUUUUCUAAAGCAACCCACCUUCUUUAUUUGCAGACCUCUCCCCCUUUUCCUUCUUUUUCUACUUCUUUGUAUUUUCUUUAGCCUUCCACAACCUACCUCUUACUUGGUUGUUUGGGUUUUUACAUUUUUUUCUUCUUAGUAUUGAAUUUAAGAGAAUUUUUUCAAUUUUAUGAGGAUUACACAAAUUGCAUAUGUCAACAUGUUAUGAAUUCAACUUUUUACACACACUUAUAUAUAUAUAUAUAUAUAUAUAUAUAUAUAUAUAUACACACACAUAUUUGUGAAAUACCCCUCCUCAUUCAGAAUUUUGGCUCCGCCACUGGCUCAAGGAAAACAAUUUCAACUUUUUACUUCUAAAGUGUUGCUCUUAUUUAGCAGCAGGUAUUCCGUUGUAUACAAUAAUAUGUUUUGUGUUAUGCUAGGAACCCUGUUUCCUUCUUUUGUCUCUCUGUGCACUCAAAAAACAAGCCACCCUAAUUCAAGCUUUCUACCUUCAGAUUUCCACAUUUUGACUUGCUUUUUUUUUUCUUUGUUUUGUUUAAAGAACUUAGUACUUUUGAUUUCAGUAGCAAAAUAAUUUGAACAGGAUGAGACAGAGAGAAAUAAAGCAUCUAUUUGAUCUCUGUACUUUCUCUUAUUCUUAUGUGUCGUUAAGGUCGCAUAUCUGAAUUUUAACCUAUCAUCAUGUAAGUAUUAUAGUGUGUUUGGGAAGCGGGAGUGUGUGAAAUGUGUUGGUGCUGAUGAUAGUGUCGAAUUUUAUGUGUCGUUAAGGUCGCAUAUCUGAAUUUUAACCUAUCAUCAUGUAAGUAUUAUAAUGUGUUUGGGAAGCGGGAGUGUGUGAAAUGUGUUGGUACUGAUGAUAGUGUCGAAUUUGGGGACACUUCCAGCUAGCAGAGUAGGUAACAGAGAGCUUUUUCCAACUCAAAUUUAAUGAUUCAAGCUGCUUAAGACUUGCCUAACAUUUCCAAGUUGGGGGGGGGUAGGAAUUUAUGGGUUUGAAUUUUUGUCAAGUAUGUGAUUCUUGCAAAAGAGUUGUAAAUUUGUGUAAGUAGAGUUGUAAACCCUACCAUUGAACACUUAAUAUAGUUGUACACUUAUAUACAAUUUUUUACAUGCUUGGUACGGUUUUAAACACCCACAACAUCACGCAGGCACACUUUUGCUAGUAUUUUACUAAACUAGUGCACUCAAAUGUCCGUAGCUAAAUAUAUUAUAAUGAAUUAGUGGAAUAUAAGAAAAUAUGGAAAAACAUAAGUGUACCAAAAAGUCCAUACCUAAACAUGGUAUACUAAAUUAGUGUACCAUUAUAUCUGUACCUAAAUAUAUUAUACUAAACUAGUAUACCGAAAUAUUCAUACCUAAACAUAUUAUAUUAAACUAGUGUACUGAGAUGUCUGUACCUAAAUACAUUUUAAUAAAUUAAUGGCACAUAAGAAAAUAUGCAAAAACAUAGGUGUGCCGAAAAGCCUCUACCAGAAUAUUUUCUUAUAUAAGAUACUUACAAUAAAUUGGUGAUGCAAAAUGUCAACUGUUUGUACCAUACUUGACCAAUCCCGAAACUACUGAGCACCGGUCAACGUUAUACCGUCAAGGACCCAGAAGAGCUUCCCUUCAACCAGGAGGCCAAUCACAAUGCGACACGUGUCGACAUCAGAAGCCAAUCACAGCUCGACACGUGUCAACAUCAGAAGCCAAUUACAACACGACACGUGUCAAUGUUAGAACAAAACUAGAAACUCUCUUCUAUAAAUAGGGAUCAUUCUCCCACAAUAAUCUCUAAUGUCAUUUUGUACUAAACUAUUCACUAGAACUCACAAAAUGAGAGCUUGAACCUAUGUAUUUGUGUAAACCCUUCACAAUUAAUGAGAACUCCUCUACUCCGUGGACAUAGCCGAUCUGGGUGAACCACGUACAUCUUGUGUUUGCUUCCCUGUCCCUAUUCAUUUACGUACUUAUCUUCACUAGUGAUCGAAGCAACCAAGCGAAGGUCACAAACCUGACACUUUCUGUUGUACCAAAGUCCUCGCUGAUUUUGUGCAUCAACAUUUGGCGCCGUCUGUGGGAAACGACACUUAUUCCCACUCUCUUCAGCUUUGUCAAGCUGGUUUCCACUGCUCGUACACUCUCUUUUGGCCAAGCAUCUCUCUCCGACAUGGGGAGCGAAAGAAGCCAUAGCACACAGAAUGACACCCCCAUUGGACCUAGUAUGAAGCAACGAAAGCAGGAAGGAAAUAGAGUUACUCUUCAAGCUAAAGUUGAUGAGUUAGAAGCUCAGAACAACAAGAUAGUGAUGAGGAACGAGGUUCUCCAGGAGCAGUAUGAAAAACGUUUUGAGAUGCUUCACGAGGCUAGGCAUGCUCAAGCACACAAGCUUGUCGCCCCUGCUGAGGUCAACAAUCAUCUGAAUGCCCCCCAACACGAAGGGUCACCGAUAUCCAACACGGACAUCCCUGAUAAGGAUCGAGCUACACAUCAAUGUGAUAAUCAACAUGAGACUUCUCUCAACCCAGCUGCUUCAACCCGAAGCAGAAGGAGUAGAGGAAAGCACCUCCUCACAAAAGGAGUGGAAGGAUCAAAAGCCGUCUAUCGCGAUUGUCGAGACUUCCUAAAGCAACGUCGAGAGAAUCCCAUCCACAUAAGCUCGAAGAUCAAUGACCCAAGAGUUUCUGAAAGACUCGGUCCUCUCCCACGACCCAGGCCAGCAGUUAAUCUAGGGAAUGGGCAACAAGUCCCAGAAGAACAUGAAGGUACAGGGGACUCGGAAAUGUUCCGACAUACUCACUCUAGGAGUCAGUGUGAUGAGUCCAAGGAAAAAUCACGUUAUCUUGAUCAAACUUUCCUACUUACAAGAGGCGAUGGGGACUUACGGAAGAAACCUUCAGUGGUGCACGACUCCACUCAGGACCCCCUUGUCCUACAGCUCCUGGAGGAAGUAAACAAGUUGAAGGCUGAACGUCAAGCCGAGAUACCUGACUGGAACCAACCCAGGCCUGGGCCCCUCACAAGAAGGAUCCUCAACACCCCCCUCCAAGCAAAGACAAAGCAGAAGCUUGGCUUACAACUCUAUACUGGAAAGGAAGACCCGAUUGAACACCUUAACCUCUUUGAGUCCACCAUGGUAUACCGGAGACACACCGACGAAGAACGGUGCCUUCUCUUCCCCUCCACCCUCUCUGGCUGAGCUUUAAAUUGGUAUUGCCGUCUUCCGCCUGAGACAGUAGACUCAUUUGAAGAGUUGAGGAAGCUGUUUGUCUCUCAACACAUCUUCCAGACCGAUCGCUUGCAUUCCGCAGAUGACUUGUACACUAUUCGCCAGAAGCCAGAUGAGUCAUUACGAAAGUAUGCUGGCCGCUUCAGCCAUGAGUAUUCUCGUUGCGCUGAGGCAGAUGACAAGACUGCCCUCAAGGCCUUCACGACAGGCUUACGUGACUGUUUCUUCAAGUACAUGAUCAAUGCCAACACUUGGAAGACUUACUCUGAGGUGAUGACACAAGCUUACAACCAUGCCUCAGCCGAGGCAAGGACAUAUCAAGGGAAACCCCUUACAGUAACCCCUUAUCAGCAAGUAGGGAGUGGAGGCCAGAUCCAACCAAAUGAGAAGACCUCAACCUUCCAAACGGUAGCAGCACACCCCCUGCCUCAUUUAAUGCUUCGCCAAGUCAGCAGACAUAUCAAUCCCAGGGCAAAAGGAAAGAUUUCCAUCCUCACCAAUCUCAUUUUAAUAAAAAGAAUAAGGGGCACUAUCGCGAUAACUCAGGAUAUCGUCACAAUAACGCCCGUCCCCAAGCAGUCAAUGCAGUGGGCCAAUCACGUGUCAAGACAGGCCCUACCCUCGGUAUGAGACAUACACACCUUUGAACGCUACAUGCGCGGCCAUCUACCCCAGUAUAGCUCAUUUGAUACCAAAGCCAAAGCCAAGACAGCCAGAUUACAAGUCCACGAAAAACACGGGCAUGUUUUGCUGCUACCACGAGUAUAAUGGCCAUGAUGGCGAGAAGUGCGUCAUCCUCCGUGAUCAUAUUGAAGCUUUGGCACGUGAAGGAAAAAUUGAUCAGUUCCUCCUUCACCCUCCAAAGGAUAACCGUAACCAACGCCAGGUGAAUGUGAUAUAUUCUAUAAGCGGCGGCAUACCUAUGUCUGAAUCUUCCAAUAGGGCCAUGAAAAACAGUGAACAAACUUUGAGACCUGGCCAUCAAGUGUUUCACGUGGAAGACAUCAGGGGAGGCAAGUAUCAAAAGCCUAACUGGGAUCCAAUAUGUUUCUACCCUGAGGAAGAAAGAGGUAUCAUCUACCCUCACAACGACCCGCUGAUCGUGGAGGCUCACAUAGCAAAUUUUGAUGUGAAACGAAUCCUGAUAGACACAGGUGCUUCAGUCAAUAUCAUGUUUGCUGAAGCUUUCAAGGCACUUAAUGUAGCUGAACACUUGCUCGAUCGCUCGAUUUCUCCUCUGAUAAGCUUCUCUGGCGAUAUCGUGCAACCUUUAGGGAGUAUACACUUACCCUUCACCAUUGGUACAGGCCCCUACACAGCUAUUAUUACCACUAACUUCCUAGUGGUCAAUUGCCCGACGGCAUACAAUGUCAUCUUUGGGCGCACAGGCAUCAAUGAUCUCAAGGCCAUGGUAUCCAUACAUAUGUUGUUGAUGAAGUUUCCAACCCCUUUCGGCAAUGGAUACAUCAGGGGAGAUCAACUUAGUGCUCGAUCAUGUUACAACACUUCAGUUAAGCAACAACACCUGCCUGUCCCCAAGGAGACCCUCUCUAUACAUAACCAGGUAGUAAAGACCAGUCCAGAUGAAGCCAACUUGAAUCUUCAUGAUGGCAACAGUCAACCCGACGACCCUCGAGAUGACUCAUUCACCCAGCAAGCACAACCCGCUGAAGAGUUAGAGAAUGUCUCUAUCUCCAAAGACCAUCCAAAUCGCAUGGUGAAGAUUGGCACCACUUUGUCACCACCCCUUCGGUUGUCGCUGAUCUCUUUUUUGUAAGAGAACACCGAGGUCUUCGCUUGGUCAUAUAAAGAUAUGCCGGGCAUCUCUCCCGAUAUCAUCUGUCACCACUUGAGUAUUGAUCUCAAGACCAAACCAGUAAAACAGAAGCGAAGAUCUUAUGAUGUUGAACGAUACGAGGCGAUGAAAGCAGAAGUGAAAAACUCAAGGACAUAGGCUUCGUCCGUGAAGUCAAUUACCCAACAUGGGUAGCAAAUGUUGUCCUUAUUAAGAAAAAUCCGACCAAGGAAAGUCUCUUGCUUCAGAAGGUCUUGUGGAGAAUGUGUGUCGACUACACCGACCUAAACAAAGGAUGCCCGAAGGAUAGUUUCCCCCUUCCUCUCAUUGAUAGACUUAUAGACUCUACGGCAGGGUGUGAGCUCUUGAGCUUCAUGGACGCUUAUUCAGGAUACAACCAAAUCCUCAUGAACCCCUCAGACCAAGAACACACAGCCUUCACUACUGACAGGGGACUAUAUUGCUACAAAGUCAUGCCUUUCGGCCUAAAGAAUGCAGGAGCAACUUAUCAGAGACUGGUCAAUUCAAUGUUCGCCGAACAGAUUGGGAAGAGCAUGGAAGUUUACGUUGAUGAUAUGUUAGUCAAGAGCAAACAUGCUGACCAACACAUCACCAACCUAUCUGAAACUUUCACCAUUCUAAAGAGGUAUCGAAUGAGGUUGAACCCCAACAAAUGUGCCUUCGGCGUGGGCUCUGGCAAAUUCUUAAGCUUCAUGAUUAGCCAACGAGGCAUUGAAGCUAACCCCGAAAAGAUCAAAGCAAUCCUCGACAUGAAAGAGCCAGUAACUUCAAAAGACAUCCAAAGCCUUACUGGCAAGGUGGCAGCCUUAACCAGAUUCAUCUCUAAGGCCACAGACAGAUGUGCUCCUUUCUUCAAAACAUUCAAGGGAAAUAAGAAAUACAUUACAUGGACGGAGGAAUGUGCCAAGGCAUUCAGGAACCUCAAAGAGUACAUGAGUAAAGCCCAUCUGCUCUCCAAACCAGAAGUUGGUGAUACUCUCAUUAUCUAUCUAUCAGUUUCGGCUUCAGCAGUCAGUUCUGUUCUUAUUCGAAAGGACAGUGGUGUCGAACGGCCCGUCUACUAUGCUAGCAAGGCCCUACAAGAUGCGGAGACACGAUACUCCAACAUUGAGAAAUUAGCUCUAGCAUUGGUCAUGUCUGCUCGAAAACUUUGCCCUUAUUUCCAAGCACACGCCAUCAUCGUGCUUACCAAUCACCCUCUUCGACAGAUACUCCAGAGUCCUGACACGUCUGGGUGAAUGAUUAAAUGGGCGAUAGCAUUGGGUGAGUUUGACAUCUCCUACCAACCAAAACCAGCCGAAAAAGGGCAAGCAGUAGCAGAUUUCAUCGCCGACUUCACAUAUCCUGUUGACAUUGCUUCUACACCUGAAGCAGUAGCUUCAUUACCAUCGGAAACUCAGAAGAUAGAAUCAACAACCCCAUCAUGGAGUCUGUAUGUUGAUGGCUCAUCCAACCAACAGGGCUGCGGAGCAGGAUUAGUCCUCACUACCCCGGACAAAGUGGCGAUAGAAUACGCUUUUCGUUUCAAAUUCAAGGCAUCGAACAAUGAGGCCGAAUACGAAGCCCUUCUAGCAGGCUUACGUUUGGCCAAGCACCUUGGGGUUAAACAAAUUGAUAUCUUCAGUGACUCCCAAUUAGUGGUCAACCAAGUCACGAACAACUUUGAUGCUAAGGAUAGCUCCAUGGCAGCAUAUCUUGCGCAAACACGACUUUUGCUCAAGCACUUCCACUACCAGAUCACCCAAGUUCCUCGAGCGGCAAACAGUCAUGCAGACGCUUUAGCUCGCCUCGCCUCGGCAGUGGAAGACAAGAUUGGGAGAAAAAUUCAUGUCGAAUUGUUGGCAGCACCAAGCACCAUGGUCGCGGAGGUGUGCAAUUUACAACAAUGAGAUAGUUGGAUCACCCCAAUUUAUAAAUUCCUUGCCCAUGGCACCCUUCCAAAUGACAAAGUCCAAGCUAAGCAGAUUCGAUACAAGUCUGCCCGCUACCUGAUCAUUAAUGACUAACUCUACAAGCGCGGUUUUACCCUGCCAUACCUAAGAUGCCUUACACCUGCGGAGGCGGAAAUUGUCCUUCGGGAAAUACAUGAAGGAGUCUGCGGAGAUCAUGCUGGGUCUCGGUCCCUAGCACACAAGACUUUUCGCCAAGGAUACUAUUGGCCAACACUCCACCAAGAUGCCAUCAGAAUAUCUCGCUCAUGUGAUAAGUGUCAACGCUACACAACUAUCCCUCACUCCCCUCCCGAGCCGCUUACUCCUAUGAUCAACCCUUGGCCCUUCGCCCAAUGGGGACUUGAUUUGAUCGGCCCAAUGCCUGUAGGGAAGGGCAAAGUCCGCUAUGCAAUCGUUGCAGUUGACUACUUCACAAAGUGGGCUGAAGUAGAACCCUUGGCAACCAUUACUGAGGGAAAAAUAGAAGACUUCGUAUGGAAGAACAUCCUCUGCAGAUUCGGCAUUCCCAAUGCGAUAGUCACGGACAAUGGGCGGCAGUUCGACAACAAGAAGUUCAAGAUGUUUUGCUCUAAGUUCAACAUCAACUUAUGUUUUGCCUCUCCAGCCCAUCCCCAGUCUAAUGGACAAGUCGAGGCCGUUAACAAAAUAAUCAAGCGCAUUCUGAAAACUAGCUUGGACAAAGCUAAAGGUUGUUGGCCAGAAUUCGUACCCCAAGUUCUUUGGUCAUACCGCACUUCAUAUCGGACUUCCACAGGAGAAACUCCAUUCUCACUUGCUUUUGGUACAGAAGCAGUUGUCCUGGUUGAGCUUGAGCAAGCAACAUACCGAAUCCAGAAUUACAUGCAGAGUGAGAACGACAAACAACUCACCCUCAACCUGGAUCUAGUCGAGGAACACAGAAAUCAGGCUCACCUGAGGAAUGUCGCCUACAAGCAGCGCAUUUCCAACUACUACGACUCAAGGGUCAAACCUCGCUCUUUCAAAGUGGGAGACUGGGUACUGAAGAAAAGAUUACUAUGUGAUAGGGUCCCGAGUGAAGGAACACUCAGUCCUAACUGGGACGGACCGUUCGAGGUCGUCGGCAUCAGCCGCCCUGGCUCCUACAAGCUCAGAAACUCCGACUGCAAGACCCUUGGCCAUCCAUGGAAUGCUGACCACUUGAAGUAUUAUUACAAAUAGACUCACAUUGUACAAGUGUUAAGCUACAUCCGUUCGGCAUCCUAUGUAACAAAGACCAUUUGGUAUGAAUUCAAUAAAGAGGUGAUUUAGCCAACUCGGCCCUAAACUCUUUUACAUUCUGAGCAAUGAAACACUCAAGUGUUGAAGCUUCAACGCAAAUGUUUCCAAUACAAAAUCAAAUCUAAGUAUGUGUCAACAAGACUAUACAAAGGAUCUAUGCAAACAUAGUCAAACAUUCAUCAAUGAUAGGGCAAACACUUGAAGCUUGAUAAUGCAAACACUUGAAGCUUGACAAUACAAACACUUGCUUGAUAAUGCAAACACUCAUAAACAUACAAAACAAAAAAAACUCUCAGGCUUAUAACAUGGCACAUGCCAUACAAACAACAAACUAGUGUAGGUAGAGUACAUGCAGAAAGUGAAAGCACUUCUAGUCAUCCUCAUCUGAGGUUGAACCCCUGAUCAUAUCACUAUGAGUCCUACCGCCAUUUUCUGCAUUUCCAAACUCAUCAUCACCCUGAUGACUCUGCUCAUCAGCACUAGCCUCAUCACCAGACUCAUCUGCACUGCUAGAAUAAACGGCAAGGUUGAAGGUUUCACCUUUUCGAUGAUGCUCAUCUAUUUCUUCACGAUAUUUUCGAAGAACGCUUCCAUCAUCAUAACGAUCAAGGACAGCCAUCCAUUUCCUUUUUUCAAAGUGAACUUCCCGGGUACAGCGAGGUCUAAGGACAUGGAGAAAGGCCGGGGAACCCAAGAACUCCUUCACAGCAGCUUCCUUCUCAGUCGGGAUACUACUCUUCAGCUCAGAAACCUCAACCAAGGCACUAUCCAACUCCCCUUUAACCUUGGAAACCUCGAGCAAAGUUGUCUCCAACUGUUUCUUAGUCGCCUCCAACUGUACUUUGAGUCUCAAGUUCUCACCAUUCCGCCUCUUCAAACUCUCAAAAUGUUGAUCCCUGACUUCAAUGGCCUUAGCCAAAGCUUUGCUCGUCUUCCUGGCAUCAUUCACAAGCUGCUUAUUCUCUUUCAGUUUCACCUUGCACCGCUCAGCCUCUCGCAGUCUGUCGUGAUACUCAGUCAUGACCUGCAUGACAAGACGAUCAUCGCUACCAAAAUAAUGCUAAUAAAGAGGAGAAAACAAGGAAAUGACAAAGUAACACUCACAUAUGAAGACAGCUUCAACAUCCGGUCACAAUCCGAUUCAUCUUUAGCUAAAGGCUCUCCGAGCUCAUCGAAAGUGAAUCGACGCCCUGCCAGGCAAUUGUUGAUAUACCCAAAGUCCUUUGGUCGCAUGGCAACCUUCAAAUCCUUCCAAGGGACACUGCCAACCUCUUCUUUAUCUUUACCCUUGCUGCUAGAACUAGGAUCACCUUUCUGCCCAAUGUGCUCCCUAACUGGAGGAAAGAUAGGAUUGAUAGUAGGAAGAUGAGGCAACAAUCGCCUAUCUUCCCCGGCAACUAUGGCAGCAGCACAUCCAAUGGCCUCAGCUUCAGCUUUCUUCGAGGCAGCAACCUUGAGGACUUCUUCUCGAGACUUAGUUUUAAUGAUUGGUCUCACUCGGUGCUUGCGAGCUUCCUUGUGAAACAGGAUGUCUUCUGAAGGAACUAACAUGGGCAUUCUCCUUUUCUUGGUGCUAGUCUCCACUUUCUUGCCCACCUUCUCCACUGAACAAGGAAAAUCAAAGUAAGGAAUACCACAUUAUAUAUCUAUAUAAAAAAAAAAAGGGAAGAACAAGGAUCAAGUGAGGAUACAACUUACUCGCUCGUCUCUGGCACUCGGAAACUAAGGGCUGGAAACCGUACUUUCGAAACAAGGGUCGUAGCUUACCCAAGUGUCUAUCUUCUUUAGGCACCCUCAGCACUUUCUCUACAUCAGCUAGCUCCUGUCCGGAGAGUUUGAUGGUGCCUCGUGUCACUGCAUGAAGAAAAAUCUUAGAAGCAAGAGAAAAUCACAACAAUAGCAAAUAAUGAGAAAAUGGAUACAUUACAACCUACAGUCUGGAAGUGAGUAGGAACACGUCGCUCAGGCGUGACACCCUUAGCAUGCUCCCAAUCAUUAUAAAGAAAGCACCAACGUUUCUUCCAUGUGCAGUACGCCUUUCUCUUAUCAAAGACAACACGCUCUCUCUCACUCCGACAUGCACAUUCAGCAUAACCAGUACAUGCUUUCACCGGGCGCAUCUUAUAACAGUAGCGCCACUGAUGGAAGGAAGGUUCACCUAAUCCACACUCCAUCCAUAUAAUAUAAAACCCGAUCAAGGUAUCCCAGAAACCGGGGUUGAGUUGCCCCGGUGCAUAACCAAUAAAAGACAGCAUCCGUUGCAACCACGGAUGCAAAGGUAAAUUUACCCCCAAGGUCACUAAUGUCUGGGUAUAGAACAUAACAUGACCCGUGGGCGGCUCAGAAGGCAAUUCUUCACAACGCACCAAACGUAUUCCUACACUACGGGGGAUACUACAUGAUCGCCUUAGGGCCUCAAGCUGCUUUUCGAUAUCUAACAAGUUAUUUUCUAAAUGGUCCGCUGUGAACUCAGAGCGAAAUAUGGGUAUGGCGUCACAAACAACCCCCUCACCCACUAGCAUGGAGGAAGAACCAAUAUUGGCUAAGGUUUGACAAUUGUGAGGAUCAGAACGAAAUAUGGGUAUGGCGUCACAAACAAACCCCCUCACCCACUAGCAUGGAGGAAGAACCAAUAUUGGCUAAGGCUUGACAAUUAUGAGGAUCAUCCAACGUUUCUUUCAUACCAGACUCUAACAAAGGCCAUGAAGACCCUGACAUGGCAGGCUCAAACCUAGAGCUAGAGCUAGGGGAGCCCUCAUCACUAAGACUUCCAGACUCCGACAUCUACAAACAAACAGAAACAAACUCUAUCACUACAUGAAGGAUCAAAACAUAAGGAAGCUCAUAGGGCAUGCAGAAAAGCUCAACCAGUUCCUUAUGUUCUUAACAGAAUACAUGAACACUCAAACAAUNNNNNNNNNNNNNNNNNNNNNNNNNNNNNNNNNNNNNNNNNNNNNNNNNNNNNNNNNNNNNNNNNNNNNNNNNNNNNNNNNNNNNNNNNNNNNNNNNNNNNNNNNNNNNNNNNNNNNNNNNNNNNNNNNNNNNNNNNNNNNNNNNNNNNNNNNNNNNNNNNNNNNNNNNNNNNNNNNNNNNNNNNNNNNNNNNNNNNNNNNNNNNNNNNNNNNNNNNNNNNNNNNNNNNNNNNNNNNNNNNNNNNNNNNNNNNNNNNNNNNNNNNNNNNNNNNNNNNNNNNNNNNNNNNNNNNNNNNNNNNNNNNNNNNNNNNNNNNNNNNNNNNNNNNNNNNNNNNNNNNNNNNNNNNNNNNNNNNNNNNNNNNNNNNNNNNNNNNNNNNNNNNNNNNNNNNNNNNNNNNNNNNNNNNNNNNNNNNNNNNNNNNNNNNNNNNNNNNNNNNNNNNNNNNNNNNNNNNNNNNNNNNNNNNNNNNNNNNNNNNNNNNNNNNNNNNNNNNNNNNNNNNNNNNNNNNNNNNNNNNNNNNNNNNNNNNNNNNNNNNNNNNNNNNNNNNNNNNNNNNNNNNNNNNNNNNNNNNNNNNNNNNNNNNNNNNNNNNNNNNNNNNNNNNNNNNNNNNNNNNNNNNNNNNNNNNNNNNNNNNNNNNNNNNNNNNNNNNNNNNNNNNNNNNNNNNNNNNNNNNNNNNNNNNNNNNNNNNNNNNNNNNNNNNNNNNNNNNNNNNNNNNNNNNNNNNNNNNNNNNNNNNNNNNNNNNNNNNNNNNNNNNNNNNNNNNNNNNNNNNNNNNNNNNNNNNNNNNNNNNNNNNNNNNNNNNNNNNNNNNNNNNNNNNNNNNNNNNNNNNNNNNNNNNNNNNNNNNNNNNNNNNNNNNNNNNNNNNNNNNNNNNNNNNNNNNNNNNNNNNNNNNNNNNNNNNNNNNNNNNNNNNNNNNNNNNNNNNNNNNNNNNNNNNNNNNNNNNNNNNNNNNNNNNNNNNNNNNNNNNNNNNNNNNNNNNNNNNNNNNNNNNNNNNNNNNNNNNNNNNNNNNNNNNNNNNNNNNNNNNNNNNNNNNNNNNNNNNNNNNNNNNNNNNNNNNNNNNNNNNNNNNNNNNNNNNNNNNNNNNNNNNNNNNNNNNNNNNNNNNNNNNNNNNNNNNNNNNNNNNNNNNNNNNNNNNNNNNNNNNNNNNNNNNNNNNNNNNNNNNNNNNNNNNNNNNNNNNNNNNNNNNNNNNNNNNNNNNNNNNNNNNNNNNNNNNNNNNNNNNNNNNNNNNNNNNNNNNNNNNNNNNNNNNNNNNNNNNNNNNNNNNNNNNNNNNNNNNNNNNNNNNNNNNNNNNNNNNNNNNNNNNNNNNNNNNNNNNNNNNNNNNNNNNNNNNNNNNNNNNNNNNNNNNNNNNNNNNNNNNNNNNNNNNNNNNNNNNNNNNNNNNNNNNNNNNNNNNNNNNNNNNNNNNNNNNNNNNNNNNNNNNNNNNNNNNNNNNNNNNNNNNNNNNNNNNNNNNNNNNNNNNNNNNNNNNNNNNNNNNNNNNNNNNNNNNNNNNNNNNNNNNNNNNNNNNNNNNNNNNNNNNNNNNNNNNNNNNNNNNNNNNNNNNNNNNNNNNNNNNNNNNNNNNNNNNNNNNNNNNNNNNNNNNNNNNNNNNNNNNNNNNNNNNNNNNNNNNNNNNNNNNNNNNNNNNNNNNNNNNNNNNNNNNNNNNNNNNNNNNNNNNNNNNNNNNNNNNNNNNNNNNNNNNNNNNNNNNNNNNNNNNNNNNNNNNNNNNNNNNNNNNNNNNNNNNNNNNNNNNNNNNNNNNNNNNNNNNNNNNNNNNNNNNNNNNNNNNNNNNNNNNNNNNNNNNNNNNNNNNNNNNNNNNNNNNNNNNNNNNNNNNNNNNNNNNNNNNNNNNNNNNNNNNNNNNNNNNNNNNNNNNNNNNNNNNNNNNNNNNNNNNNNNNNNNNNNNNNNNNNNNNNNNNNNNNNNNNNNNNNNNNNNNNNNNNNNNNNNNNNNNNNNNNNNNNNNNNNNNNNNNNNNNNNNNNNNNNNNNNNNNNNNNNNNNNNNNNNNNNNNNNNNNNNNNNNNNNNNNNNNNNNNNNNNNNNNNNNNNNNNNNNNNNNNNNNNNNNNNNNNNNNNNNNNNNNNNNNNNNNNNNNNNNNNNNNNNNNNNNNNNNNNNNNNNNNNNNNNNNNNNNNNNNNNNNNNNNNNNNNNNNNNNNNNNNNNNNNNNNNNNNNNNNNNNNNNNNNNNNNNNNNNNNNNNNNNNNNNNNNNNNNNNNNNNNNNNNNNNNNNNNNNNNNNNNNNNNNNNNNNNNNNNNNNNNNNNNNNNNNNNNNNNNNNNNNNNNNNNNNNNNNNNNNNNNNNNNNNNNNNNNNNNNNNNNNNNNNNNNNNNNNNNNNNNNNNNNNNNNNNNNNNNNNNNNNNNNNNNNNNNNNNNNNNNNNNNNNNNNNNNNNNNNNNNNNNNNNNNNNNNNNNNNNNNNNNNNNNNNNNNNNNNNNNNNNNNNNNNNNNNNNNNNNNNNNNNNNNNNNNNNNNNNNNNNNNNNNNNNNNNNNNNNNNNNNNNNNNNNNNNNNNNNNNNNNNNNNNNNNNNNNNNNNNNNNNNNNNNNNNNNNNNNNNNNNNNNNNNNNNNNNNNNNNNNNNNNNNNNNNNNNNNNNNNNNNNNNNNNNNNNNNNNNNNNNNNNNNNNNNNNNNNNNNNNNNNNNNNNNNNNNNNNNNNNNNNNNNNNNNNNNNNNNNNNNNNNNNNNNNNNNNNNNNNNNNNNNNNNNNNNNNNNNNNNNNNNNNNNNNNNNNNNNNNNNNNNNNNNNNNNNNNNNNNNNNNNNNNNNNNNNNNNNNNNNNNNNNNNNNNNNNNNNNNNNNNNNNNNNNNNNNNNNNNNNNNNNNNNNNNNNNNNNNNNNNNNNNNNNNNNNNNNNNNNNNNNNNNNNNNNNNNNNNNNNNNNNNNNNNNNNNNNNNNNNNNNNNNNNNNNNNNNNNNNNNNNNNNNNNNNNNNNNNNNNNNNNNNNNNNNNNNNNNNNNNNNNNNNNNNNNNNNNNNNNNNNNNNNNNNNNNNNNNNNNNNNNNNNNNNNNNNNNNNNNNNNNNNNNNNNNNNNNNNNNNNNNNNNNNNNNNNNNNNNNNNNNNNNNNNNNNNNNNNNNNNNNNNNNNNNNNNNNNNNNNNNNNNNNNNNNNNNNNNNNNNNNNNNNNNNNNNNNNNNNNNNNNNNNNNNNNNNNNNNNNNNNNNNNNNNNNNNNNNNNNNNNNNNNNNNNNNNNNNNNNNNNNNNNNNNNNNNNNNNNNNNNNNNNNNNNNNNNNNNNNNNNNNNNNNNNNNNNNNNNNNNNNNNNNNNNNNNNNNNNNNNNNNNNNNNNNNNNNNNNNNNNNNNNNNNNNNNNNNNNNNNNNNNNNNNNNNNNNNNNNNNNNNNNNNNNNNNNNNNNNNNNNNNNNNNNNNNNNNNNNNNNNNNNNNNNNNNNNNNNNNNNNNNNNNNNNNNNNNNNNNNNNNNNNNNNNNNNNNNNNNNNNNNNNNNNNNNNNNNNNNNNNNNNNNNNNNNNNNNNNNNNNNNNNNNNNNNNNNNNNNNNNNNNNNNNNNNNNNNNNNNNNNNNNNNNNNNNNNNNNNNNNNNNNNNNNNNNNNNNNNNNNNNNNNNNNNNNNNNNNNNNNNNNNNNNNNNNNNNNNNNNNNNNNNNNNNNNNNNNNNNNNNNNNNNNNNNNNNNNNNNNNNNNNNNNNNNNNNNNNNNNNNNNNNNNNNNNNNNNNNNNNNNNNNNNNNNNNNNNNNNNNNNNNNNNNNNNNNNNNNNNNNNNNNNNNNNNNNNNNNNNNNNNNNNNNNNNNNNNNNNNNNNNNNNNNNNNNNNNNNNNNNNNNNNNNNNNNNNNNNNNNNNNNNNNNNNNNNNNNNNNNNNNNNNNNNNNNNNNNNNNNNNNNNNNNNNNNNNNNNNNNNNNNNNNNNNNNNNNNNNNNNNNNNNNNNNNNNNNNNNNNNNNNNNNNNNNNNNNNNNNNNNNNNNNNNNNNNNNNNNNNNNNNNNNNNNNNNNNNNNNNNNNNNNNNNNNNNNNNNNNNNNNNNNNNNNNNNNNNNNNNNNNNNNNNNNNNNNNNNNNNNNNNNNNNNNNNNNNNNNNNNNNNNNNNNNNNNNNNNNNNNNNNNNNNNNNNNNNNNNNNNNNNNNNNNNNNNNNNNNNNNNNNNNNNNNNNNNNNNNNNNNNNNNNNNNNNNNNNNNNNNNNNNNNNNNNNNNNNNNNNNNNNNNNNNNNNNNNNNNNNNNNNNNNNNNNNNNNNNNNNNNNNNNNNNNNNNNNNNNNNNNNNNNNNNNNNNNNNNNNNNNNNNNNNNNNNNNNNNNNNNNNNNNNNNNNNNNNNNNNNNNNNNNNNNNNNNNNNNNNNNNNNNNNNNNNNNNNNNNNNNNNNNNNNNNNNNNNNNNNNNNNNNNNNNNNNNNNNNNNNNNNNNNNNNNNNNNNNNNNNNNNNNNNNNNNNNNNNNNNNNNNNNNNNNNNNNNNNNNNNNNNNNNNNNNNNNNNNNNNNNNNNNNNNNNNNNNNNNNNNNNNNNNNNNNNNNNNNNNNNNNNNNNNNNNNNNNNNNNNNNNNNNNNNNNNNNNNNNNNNNNNNNNNNNNNNNNNNNNNNNNNNNNNNNNNNNNNNNNNNNNNNNNNNNNNNNNNNNNNNNNNNNNNNNNNNNNNNNNNNNNNNNNNNNNNNNNNNNNNNNNNNNNNNNNNNNNNNNNNNNNNNNNNNNNNNNNNNNNNNNNNNNNNNNNNNNNNNNNNNNNNNNNNNNNNNNNNNNNNNNNNNNNNNNNNNNNNNNNNNNNNNNNNNNNNNNNNNNNNNNNNNNNNNNNNNNNNNNNNNNNNNNNNNNNNNNNNNNNNNNNNNNNNNNNNNNNNNNNNNNNNNNNNNNNNNNNNNNNNNNNNNNNNNNNNNNNNNNNNNNNNNNNNNNNNNNNNNNNNNNNNNNNNNNNNNNNNNNNNNNNNNNNNNNNNNNNNNNNNNNNNNNNNNNNNNNNNNNNNNNNNNNNNNNNNNNNNNNNNNNNNNNNNNNNNNNNNNNNNNNNNNNNNNNNNNNNNNNNNNNNNNNNNNNNNNNNNNNNNNNNNNNNNNNNNNNNNNNNNNNNNNNNNNNNNNNNNNNNNNNNNNNNNNNNNNNNNNNNNNNNNNNNNNNNNNNNNNNNNNNNNNNNNNNNNNNNNNNNNNNNNNNNNNNNNNNNNNNNNNNNNNNNNNNNNNNNNNNNNNNNNNNNNNNNNNNNNNNNNNNNNNNNNNNNNNNNNNNNNNNNNNNNNNNNNNNNNNNNNNNNNNNNNNNNNNNNNNNNNNNNNNNNNNNNNNNNNNNNNNNNNNNNNNNNNNNNNNNNNNNNNNNNNNNNNNNNNNNNNNNNNNNNNNNNNNNNNNNNNNNNNNNNNNNNNNNNNNNNNNNNNNNNNNNNNNNNNNNNNNNNNNNNNNNNNNNNNNNNNNNNNNNNNNNNNNNNNNNNNNNNNNNNNNNNNNNNNNNNNNNNNNNNNNNNNNNNNNNNNNNNNNNNNNNNNNNNNNNNNNNNNNNNNNNNNNNNNNNNNNNNNNNNNNNNNNNNNNNNNNNNNNNNNNNNNNNNNNNNNNNNNNNNNNNNNNNNNNNNNNNNNNNNNNNNNNNNNNNNNNNNNNNNNNNNNNNNNNNNNNNNNNNNNNNNNNNNNNNNNNNNNNNNNNNNNNNNNNNNNNNNNNNNNNNNNNNNNNNNNNNNNNNNNNNNNNNNNNNNNNNNNNNNNNNNNNNNNNNNNNNNNNNNNNNNNNNNNNNNNNNNNNNNNNNNNNNNNNNNNNNNNNNNNNNNNNNNNNNNNNNNNNNNNNNNNNNNNNNNNNNNNNNNNNNNNNNNNNNNNNNNNNNNNNNNNNNNNNNNNNNNNNNNNNNNNNNNNNNNNNNNNNNNNNNNNNNNNNNNNNNNNNNNNNNNNNNNNNNNNNNNNNNNNNNNNNNNNNNNNNNNNNNNNNNNNNNNNNNNNNNNNNNNNNNNNNNNNNNNNNNNNNNNNNNNNNNNNNNNNNNNNNNNNNNNNNNNNNNNNNNNNNNNNNNNNNNNNNNNNNNNNNNNNNNNNNNNNNNNNNNNNNNNNNNNNNNNNNNNNNNNNNNNNNNNNNNNNNNNNNNNNNNNNNNNNNNNNNNNNNNNNNNNNNNNNNNNNNNNNNNNNNNNNNNNNNNNNNNNNNNNNNNNNNNNNNNNNNNNNNNNNNNNNNNNNNNNNNNNNNNNNNNNNNNNNNNNNNNNNNNNNNNNNNNNNNNNNNNNNNNNNNNNNNNNNNNNNNNNNNNNNNNNNNNNNNNNNNNNNNNNNNNNNNNNNNNNNNNNNNNNNNNNNNNNNNNNNNNNNNNNNNNNNNNNNNNNNNNNNNNNNNNNNNNNNNNNNNNNNNNNNNNNNNNNNNNNNNNNNNNNNNNNNNNNNNNNNNNNNNNNNNNNNNNNNNNNNNNNNNNNNNNNNNNNNNNNNNNNNNNNNNNNNNNNNNNNNNNNNNNNNNNNNNNNNNNNNNNNNNNNNNNNNNNNNNNNNNNNNNNNNNNNNNNNNNNNNNNNNNNNNNNNNNNNNNNNNNNNNNNNNNNNNNNNNNNNNNNNNNNNNNNNNNNNNNNNNNNNNNNNNNNNNNNNNNNNNNNNNNNNNNNNNNNNNNNNNNNNNNNNNNNNNNNNNNNNNNNNNNNNNNNNNNNNNNNNNNNNNNNNNNNNNNNNNNNNNNNNNNNNNNNNNNNNNNNNNNNNNNNNNNNNNNNNNNNNNNNNNNNNNNNNNNNNNNNNNNNNNNNNNNNNNNNNNNNNNNNNNNNNNNNNNNNNNNNNNNNNNNNNNNNNNNNNNNNNNNNNNNNNNNNNNNNNNNNNNNNNNNNNNNNNNNNNNNNNNNNNNNNNNNNNNNNNNNNNNNNNNNNNNNNNNNNNNNNNNNNNNNNNNNNNNNNNNNNNNNNNNNNNNNNNNNNNNNNNNNNNNNNNNNNNNNNNNNNNNNNNNNNNNNNNNNNNNNNNNNNNNNNNNNNNNNNNNNNNNNNNNNNNNNNNNNNNNNNNNNNNNNNNNNNNNNNNNNNNNNNNNNNNNNNNNNNNNNNNNNNNNNNNNNNNNNNNNNNNNNNNNNNNNNNNNNNNNNNNNNNNNNNNNNNNNNNNNNNNNNNNNNNNNNNNNNNNNNNNNNNNNNNNNNNNNNNNNNNNNNNNNNNNNNNNNNNNNNNNNNNNNNNNNNNNNNNNNNNNNNNNNNNNNNNNNNNNNNNNNNNNNNNNNNNNNNNNNNNNNNNNNNNNNNNNNNNNNNNNNNNNNNNNNNNNNNNNNNNNNNNNNNNNNNNNNNNNNNNNNNNNNNNNNNNNNNNNNNNNNNNNNNNNNNNNNNNNNNNNNNNNNNNNNNNNNNNNNNNNNNNNNNNNNNNNNNNNNNNNNNNNNNNNNNNNNNNNNNNNNNNNNNNNNNNNNNNNNNNNNNNNNNNNNNNNNNNNNNNNNNNNNNNNNGCUCUUCNNNNNNNNNNNNNNNNNNNNNNNNNNNNNNNNNNNNNNNNNNNNNNNNNNNNNNNNNNNNNNNNNNNNNNNNNNNNNNNNNNNNNNNNNNNNNNNNNNNNNNNNNNNNNNNNNNNNNNNNNNNNNNNNNNNNNNNNNNNNNNNNNNNNNNNNNNNNNNNNNNNNNNNNNNNNNNNNNNNNNNNNNNNNNNNNNNNNNNNNNNNNNNNNNNNNNNNNNNNNNNNNNNNNNNNNNNNNNNNNNNNNNNNNNNNNNNNNNNNNNNNNNNNNNNNNNNNNNNNNNNNNNNNNNNNNNNNNNNNNNNNNNNNNNNNNNNNNNNNNNNNNNNNNNNNNNNNNNNNNNNNNNNNNNNNNNNNNNNNNNNNNNNNNNNNNNNNNNNNNNNNNNNNNNNNNNNNNNNNNNNNNNNNNNNNNNNNNNNNNNNNNNNNNNNNNNNNNNNNNNNNNNNNNNNNNNNNNNNNNNNNNNNNNNNNNNNNNNNNNNNNNNNNNNNNNNNNNNNNNNNNNNNNNNNNNNNNNNNNNNNNNNNNNNNNNNNNNNNNNNNNNNNNNNNNNNNNNNNNNNNNNNNNNNNNNNNNNNNNNNNNNNNNNNNNNNNNNNNNNNNNNNNNNNNNNNNNNNNNNNNNNNNNNNNNNNNNNNNNNNNNNNNNNNNNNNNNNNNNNNNNNNNNNNNNNNNNNNNNNNNNNNNNNNNNNNNNNNNNNNNNNNNNNNNNNNNNNNNNNNNNNNNNNNNNNNNNNNNNNNNNNNNNNNNNNNNNNNNNNNNNNNNNNNNNNNNNNNNNNNNNNNNNNNNNNNNNNNNNNNNNNNNNNNNNNNNNNNNNNNNNNNNNNNNNNNNNNNNNNNNNNNNNNNNNNNNNNNNNNNNNNNNNNNNNNNNNNNNNNNNNNNNNNNNNNNNNNNNNNNNNNNNNNNNNNNNNNNNNNNNNNNNNNNNNNNNNNNNNNNNNNNNNNNNNNNNNNNNNNNNNNNNNNNNNNNNNNNNNNNNNNNNNNNNNNNNNNNNNNNNNNNNNNNNNNNNNNNNNNNNNNNNNNNNNNNNNNNNNNNNNNNNNNNNNNNNNNNNNNNNNNNNNNNNNNNNNNNNNNNNNNNNNNNNNNNNNNNNNNNNNNNNNNNNNNNNNNNNNNNNNNNNNNNNNNNNNNNNNNNNNNNNNNNNNNNNNNNNNNNNNNNNNNNNNNNNNNNNNNNNNNNNNNNNNNNNNNNNNNNNNNNNNNNNNNNNNNNNNNNNNNNNNNNNNNNNNNNNNNNNNNNNNNNNNNNNNNNNNNNNNNNNNNNNNNNNNNNNNNNNNNNNNNNNNNNNNNNNNNNNNNNNNNNNNNNNNNNNNNNNNNNNNNNNNNNNNNNNNNNNNNNNNNNNNNNNNNNNNNNNNNNNNNNNNNNNNNNNNNNNNNNNNNNNNNNNNNNNNNNNNNNNNNNNNNNNNNNNNNNNNNNNNNNNNNNNNNNNNNNNNNNNNNNNNNNNNNNNNNNNNNNNNNNNNNNNNNNNNNNNNNNNNNNNNNNNNNNNNNNNNNNNNNNNNNNNNNNNNNNNNNNNNNNNNNNNNNNNNNNNNNNNNNNNNNNNNNNNNNNNNNNNNNNNNNNNNNNNNNNNNNNNNNNNNNNNNNNNNNNNNNNNNNNNNNNNNNNNNNNNNNNNNNNNNNNNNNNNNNNNNNNNNNNNNNNNNNNNNNNNNNNNNNNNNNNNNNNNNNNNNNNNNNNNNNNNNNNNNNNNNNNNNNNNNNNNNNNNNNNNNNNNNNNNNNNNNNNNNNNNNNNNNNNNNNNNNNNNNNNNNNNNNNNNNNNNNNNNNNNNNNNNNNNNNNNNNNNNNNNNNNNNNNNNNNNNNNNNNNNNNNNNNNNNNNNNNNNNNNNNNNNNNNNNNNNNNNNNNNNNNNNNNNNNNNNNNNNNNNNNNNNNNNNNNNNNNNNNNNNNNNNNNNNNNNNNNNNNNNNNNNNNNNNNNNNNNNNNNNNNNNNNNNNNNNNNNNNNNNNNNNNNNNNNNNNNNNNNNNNNNNNNNNNNNNNNNNNNNNNNNNNNNNNNNNNNNNNNNNNNNNNNNNNNNNNNNNNNNNNNNNNNNNNNNNNNNNNNNNNNNNNNNNNNNNNNNNNNNNNNNNNNNNNNNNNNNNNNNNNNNNNNNNNNNNNNNNNNNNNNNNNNNNNNNNNNNNNNNNNNNNNNNNNNNNNNNNNNNNNNNNNNNNNNNNNNNNNNNNNNNNNNNNNNNNNNNNNNNNNNNNNNNNNNNNNNNNNNNNNNNNNNNNNNNNNNNNNNNNNNNNNNNNNNNNNNNNNNNNNNNNNNNNNNNNNNNNNNNNNNNNNNNNNNNNNNNNNNNNNNNNNNNNNNNNNNNNNNNNNNNNNNNNNNNNNNNNNNNNNNNNNNNNNNNNNNNNNNNNNNNNNNNNNNNNNNNNNNNNNNNNNNNNNNNNNNNNNNNNNNNNNNNNNNNNNNNNNNNNNNNNNNNNNNNNNNNNNNNNNNNNNNNNNNNNNNNNNNNNNNNNNNNNNNNNNNNNNNNNNNNNNNNNNNNNNNNNNNNNNNNNNNNNNNNNNNNNNNNNNNNNNNNNNNNNNNNNNNNNNNNNNNNNNNNNNNNNNNNNNNNNNNNNNNNNNNNNNNNNNNNNNNNNNNNNNNNNNNNNNNNNNNNNNNNNNNNNNNNNNNNNNNNNNNNNNNNNNNNNNNNNNNNNNNNNNNNNNNNNNNNNNNNNNNNNNNNNNNNNNNNNNNNNNNNNNNNNNNNNNNNNNNNNNNNNNNNNNNNNNNNNNNNNNNNNNNNNNNNNNNNNNNNNNNNNNNNNNNNNNNNNNNNNNNNNNNNNNNNNNNNNNNNNNNNNNNNNNNNNNNNNNNNNNNNNNNNNNNNNNNNNNNNNNNNNNNNNNNNNNNNNNNNNNNNNNNNNNNNNNNNNNNNNNNNNNNNNNNNNNNNNNNNNNNNNNNNNNNNNNNNNNNNNNNNNNNNNNNNNNNNNNNNNNNNNNNNNNNNNNNNNNNNNNNNNNNNNNNNNNNNNNNNNNNNNNNNNNNNNNNNNNNNNNNNNNNNNNNNNNNNNNNNNNNNNNNNNNNNNNNNNNNNNNNNNNNNNNNNNNNNNNNNNNNNNNNNNNNNNNNNNNNNNNNNNNNNNNNNNNNNNNNNNNNNNNNNNNNNNNNNNNNNNNNNNNNNNNNNNNNNNNNNNNNNNNNNNNNNNNNNNNNNNNNNNNNNNNNNNNNNNNNNNNNNNNNNNNNNNNNNNNNNNNNNNNNNNNNNNNNNNNNNNNNNNNNNNNNNNNNNNNNNNNNNNNNNNNNNNNNNNNNNNNNNNNNNNNNNNNNNNNNNNNNNNNNNNNNNNNNNNNNNNNNNNNNNNNNNNNNNNNNNNNNNNNNNNNNNNNNNNNNNNNNNNNNNNNNNNNNNNNNNNNNNNNNNNNNNNNNNNNNNNNNNNNNNNNNNNNNNNNNNNNNNNNNNNNNNNNNNNNNNNNNNNNNNNNNNNNNNNNNNNNNNNNNNNNNNNNNNNNNNNNNNNNNNNNNNNNNNNNNNNNNNNNNNNNNNNNNNNNNNNNNNNNNNNNNNNNNNNNNNNNNNNNNNNNNNNNNNNNNNNNNNNNNNNNNNNNNNNNNNNNNNNNNNNNNNNNNNNNNNNNNNNNNNNNNNNNNNNNNNNNNNNNNNNNNNNNNNNNNNNNNNNNNNNNNNNNNNNNNNNNNNNNNNNNNNNNNNNNNNNNNNNNNNNNNNNNNNNNNNNNNNNNNNNNNNNNNNNNNNNNNNNNNNNNNNNNNNNNNNNNNNNNNNNNNNNNNNNNNNNNNNNNNNNNNNNNNNNNNNNNNNNNNNNNNNNNNNNNNNNNNNNNNNNNNNNNNNNNNNNNNNNNNNNNNNNNNNNNNNNNNNNNNNNNNNNNNNNNNNNNNNNNNNNNNNNNNNNNNNNNNNNNNNNNNNNNNNNNNNNNNNNNNNNNNNNNNNNNNNNNNNNNNNNNNNNNNNNNNNNNNNNNNNNNNNNNNNNNNNNNNNNNNNNNNNNNNNNNNNNNNNNNNNNNNNNNNNNNNNNNNNNNNNNNNNNNNNNNNNNNNNNNNNNNNNNNNNNNNNNNNNNNNNNNNNNNNNNNNNNNNNNNNNNNNNNNNNNNNNNNNNNNNNNNNNNNNNNNNNNNNNNNNNNNNNNNNNNNNNNNNNNNNCAACUUGGCGGGUUCUAGCAAAUAGGCGUUGGGCCAUAUUAGACACAGAAGCUGCACACUGAACACUAAGAGCCAGAGAAUCCUUAACAGCCAACUCAUCAGACCGUUUGGAAAGUAGUCUGUUAUCUCUGGGAGUGAGAAGGUUCCUGGCCACCACCGCAGCAGUCAUAUCAUUCUUCAUCACAGAAUCCCCAACGGUAAGAGGACCAGUAGAAGAUAUGAAGGAUGGACGCCAUAUGUUGUCUGGAGAAGGCGUGGCUGCCUCUUCUCCAAGGUUCAAGUCAAAACGACGGUCGGAGGGGCCAGACAUUUUCAAAGGUGUUGAAGAGAGAAGAGGUCAGACAAAUCAAGAUCUUAGAAGUGCAAGAAGGGAGCUUCUACUGGUGGAGAUUCAGGUGUGCUGUGGAACUUAAUGCCAGCCUCUAUAAAAAUCUGCCCUCGACGGAGCUUCAGAAAUCGAAGAGGCGUUUGCUUUCUCAAAAGCUGGGCUGCUCAGAGACCACGAGGGCUGAUCUCAAAAAUCGAAGAGGCGCUUCCUUUCUCAAAAGCUGGGCUGCUCAGAGACCACGAUGGCCGAUCUCAGAAAUCGAAGAAGCACCUGCUUUUUCAGCCUCAUCAGCACCUGUCACAUGCACACUCAGCUUUGCGGAAAUUACGGGCAAUCUGUCGAAGAUUUCUGGUGAAAUAGAAAGCACGUGAAUCUUACUGUUCAAUCACCACUCUCCACACGCACCAUCACUCCUCGGGGUACCACAUAUAACUUUGCCAAAGAUCUCUGACAAAGUUUAGGCACGAGAAUUUCGAAGUUCCAGCUACCCUACUAUUACCCACAAGGGUAAAGGAACAGCACCACUGCUUGACAACUGGAAAGUCCCUAUGUGUGUCGACCUCCGUGUUCUGCGGCAAGACAGGCUGGCAAGAACGUCCAACCUUUACUCACAUUCGAGAAAAGACUCCCAACAUAAUUACUUUCUCAAAAACCGAAACAGCACCGCUUUCUGAAUCUCGAGAGCCAGAUCCUCGACGGGAUUGCUUGUUCGAAAACCGAAGAGGCACAGCUCUCAGAACUUCGAGAGCCAGAUUUCCUUAGAUAAAGCUUGUCUGUAAUCUUCACACGUAACAUCAGCUUUCCAGAUACCACAUACCACUUUUUUCAAAGUGCUCUGACAAAGUUAAAACACGUGAAGCUGGCAGCUCCCACUACAUUGUUGUGACCAAGAAAGGUAAAAGAAUAGCAUUACUACUUGUUAUUGGGAAAUCCCUAUAUACAUCGACCUCCCUCCUCAACGGACAGGCAAACCUGCAAAAAUGCUCAACCCUUUCUCGCAUUCGAGAAUGCACCCUCAACAUAACCUCUCGAAAUACUCAGCUUUAUUUCCCCCGAUAAUACCUCAAGCAAAUAAGCCACACCAAGAACAAGAGUAUCUCAUAUCAUCAGGGUCGAAAGCAAGAGUAUCCCAUAUCAUGCUUUCUCCCUGUCCUUGUCUUCGUCCUUGUCCACACCUGCAGGACAAAGAGAAAGAGAGCAGUCAGUCGGAACCUGAAAUCAAACCUCUAAUCUGGAACUGACUGCCUGAGACCUUUGCAUGGUUGCUUACUUAGCAUUGCUCUCGAGAACUCAUCCUCAACUGCUGUCAAGGUCAUGAAUUCCACCGGCACAUACCUCAUGACAGGUUGAUCAGAUAUUGGCUCUUUACACUGAAGCUGCCAAGCGUGGAUGAGUCACUAUGAAGGAAUGUUCUGAAGGACCAUUUAAAUGCAAAGGUUGCACACCACUUCUUCCAUGCAAAAGAUUGAAGCAGAAGGUUCAACGGUGAGCUGAAACAGAUCACUACAGCACGACACCUUUCCAUACCACAUUCAUUAUUCCGUCAACAGCAAAAAGUAUCCCAUAUCAUCAAGGUCGAACGUACUCUAGAUUUGAUGGACUUGUUUUGACCCUCAAAUUCUUGAGUCGGCCUUAUACUCUGAAGGGAACCAGAAAAACCCUCCAGCACAGUUCAAGAAUAAGCCUGUGGAAAGUUACUUCUUCAAAAGCAAAAGUAUCUCAUAUCAUCUCUUCUCCAUUUGCUUCUCCUUAUCCUGGCAGCUGAAUGAGAGACAGGAGGAAAGGAGAACAAUCAACCGGAAGCCAAAGUCGAACCUCCGAUCCUGGGUUGCUUGCUUGGAAGUUUGACUGCUUACCUUGUCUGUCACCUCUUUCGGCAGAUCUCCUAGCUCGGCGACUUGGGGGACUCCUACUAUAGGGUUUGUAUCGCACUUGACCAAGCCCGAAACUACAAGUAAGCUUCAAGUGAAAUUGAUACAUUACCUUGUGCAUCUUCAUCGGUUAAAGAUACCACCCAUGGAUGGAGGAAAAGUACUUCCAGAGAAGAUGCCACAUCUACAUAUGAGACAGAUAAGGCACGUGAAAAUGAUACCUCACUUCAGUACUUAGAAGUUUCGUGAUUACUCAAUGGCUUGGAUCUUGCAAGUCCCCAACCGAGGAGCUUCCCUCACUCGGGAACUUAGGGGAGCACUAUUUGUACCAUACUUAACCAAUCCCGAAACUACUGAGCACCGGUCAACGUUAUACCGUCAAGGACCCAGAAGAGCUUCCCUUCAACCAGGAGGCCAAUCACAAUGCGACACGUGUCGACAUCAGAAGCCAAUCACAGCUCGACACGUGUCAACAUCAGAAGCCAAUUACAACACGACACGUGUCAAUGUUAGAACAAAACUAGAAACUCUCUUCUAUAAAUAGGGAUCAUUCUCCCACAAUAAUCUCUAAUGUCAUUUGUACUAAACUAUUCACUAGAACUCACAAAAUGAGAGCUUGAACCUAUGUAUUUGUGUAAACCCUUCACAAUUAAUGAGAACUCCUCUACUCCGUGGACGUAGCCGAUCUGGGUGAACCACGUACAAUUAAUGAGAACUCCUCUACUUAUCUUCACUAGUGAUCGAAGCAACCAAACGAAGGUCACAAACCUGACACUUUCUGUUGUACCAAAGUCCUCACUGAUUUUGUGCAUCAACAUCAACAAAUAAAAGCUAAUUCAUUUGACAGCAGGAUUCAACGUUUAUGUGUGCAUUAUAUCUUAAAAGUAAUUCAGCAUUAUAAGGAACAACAAAACCAUUAUCAAUUUUGAUCCAUUUUUUAUGACAUAUUUUGUAUCAUCAGUGUCUAUAAAUAGGAAACCAUUGUCUUAAAAAAUUGUCUCAUUUUUAUAUGGCUUAGGAAAGUUUUUGGAACACUUAUUUUCCCACAUGCAAGGAGAAUUUUGAUUAAUAUGUCCACAUGGACCAUGAAUCAUAAAUUGGUUAACAAUUUCGUAAAGCUGAGGAUUGACAAAUUUGUUUGGCAACUCAGCAGAAAUAAUUGAAUCUAUAUCUGAUGCCAUAUAACAUUUGAAAUUUGAUUUCAAUCAUAUUAACAUAUGAGAAUGAGGCAAACAUAUUUUUUGAAAUUCAAUUGUACAAACAUCUGUUUCCAAAAAUAAUUGAAACAGACAAAAACCCAAAAAAAAAAAAAAGUUAGCAUGAUAAAGCAAAAAAAGGGAAACAAAUUUCAGAUAAGGGAAAAAAUAAGUUUUUAGAAACUUACCUGCCUCAACUUGUCCAAAGGGUUUUCUAGAUUUAAUGAAACCGAGCAUAUCAUCAAGUUUCAUUUUAAAUAUUCUAGAAAUUAUAUCAGGCCUGUCCUCAGGUUUGUAUCCCAUUUUUUUUUUUCAAUUUCUCUUAUAAUUUCUGGCCAUUUUACUUUGCAUGUAAAGGUUAUGAACAAAUCAGGAUGACCAUAUUCUCUACAAAUAGCCAUAGCAUCUUGAUAAUUAUUAAUCAUAUAUCUAGGACUUCCUGUGUAUGAAGCAGGCAACACAAUUUUUUGGCCUAACUUGUUUGCAUCAUUGUCACCUCUUGACAUUGCAUCGUAAAUUCCCUUGUAAAUUUCACUUCUUAAAUUUUUCAGAUUUUGUCUAAUAUAAUCCAACCUAUCUUCUUCAAGUGUUGCAUAGGAAUCUACCAAAUAUUGUUGAAAAAGUCUACCACAUUUUAACAGUGUAGUUAAGUAUGGAUCUCUUUCUUGAAUUUGGUAAGCUAUAUAAGUUCUCAUAGGUAUUCUUUGUCUCUUCGUUUUUGGACCGUUAUAAUUUUCAUUCCAUUGUAAAUCUGGUCUAUACUCAACUUCACCAUAUGGAAAAAGAAUAGGAUACUGAAGGGCCAUAAAUUUUGGAUUCAAUUUUGUAACACACUUUAAUCCUUUUCUUUUACAAUCUACAAUAAUAUCUCUAUUAGAGUCAGAUAAACCUAUAUCACCAAUUAUUAAACCACCUAUUUCAUCACUUGUUGGUUGAUCAUAUUGCUUGCUAUCAUUUGGUUGUCUCCCUAACAACGUAAGUUUUAAAUUGGUCAAACCAUCAGUUUCAUAUUUGUCUCUUGUUGUUUGAAAAAGUUUGACCAACUCAUUUGAUUCAUCAAACAUUUUAAUCAAGUUUUCCACAAUUUUUGAAUCAAGUUUUUUAUUUGUUCCAUCACAAUCAAAAGCUCUAAGUUGAUUCUGUAUUUCAUUAUAUAUAUCAUAAACAUAUAACUGAGCAAAUUUUGGAGACUCAUUAUCAACAGGUAAAAGAGAACCCAUCAAAUGACAAAUUUGACCACUAAUCUUAAAAAUGUAAGGACUUGAUCCGUUAUUCAUUGAGUGAUCAACUUUUGCUCCCAUUGAAGUAAAUGAAAACAUAGAAUUGUAAGCUCUAAUAUUUUCUCGAAAUGAUAAACUCUUUUACUUCCUUUUGGAUCAAGCAAGGAAUCUAAAAAAGAUGGUGUUGGCUUUGGACUUGAAAAUUUAAUUUUUCCUUGUUGACAACAAAGAGUAAAAAUGGGUUGAUUUUUUUUUUUCUAGCUUUGUUUAAGAGGCUCUUUUAACCAAAAAUAUGCACCACAAUACACGCAUUUAUAACUUUUAUCACCCAAAUCCAUAUCUUUCACAACCCCUACAAAAAAAACAUAUAUAAAAAGAAAUGUAAUCAAUACAUGGAAGUAACUUAAUCCUAAAACCAAGCCUAAAGAAAACAAUUAUUGCAAAAAAUUAAAAACAUACCGUUUCUAUUUUUUUUUUUUGGAAAAAGGCCUGACCCUUCUUCAUGAGACAACAAUUGUCAGCAUCUACGGUAUUGAACAAACUCACAACGUUUUUCCCUUUUUUAUCAAAGGUGUACAUGGUUUUUUCAAACGGGAUGAUGUCCAACAUUUCAUUAUCGUUAACAGAGUCAAUCACACAGUGGUUAGUAGAAGAUCUACCGGAGGAACAUUGAUAUUCAACUGAUGAAUAUUCGCAAAUAAAUAUGUCAAUCGCAUACAUAAUAACAUCUUCAGAAUUAUGCCUAUAACUCGCUCUACACAUUCUUUUUCGCUGGUGACCAUCGUCAACCAAUGUAUUACAUUCACUAUCAGUAACGCUUUUGUUUCGUUUUAUAGCAUCUUUUGUUUGAUCAUUUGUACAUUUUUAGACAUGAUGGAAACCAACCGUUACAACUUUUUCAUAAACAAACAACUGGACAACAGAUUAAAAAAAAUGAAAAAAAUCAAUAAAAAGAUAAGAUAUAUAUGAAAACAAUAAAGAUCACACAAAAACUAAUGACAUGUCUGAAUCAAAAGUUUCAUUUCAAUUUAACAAAAUGCAAAAGAAAACUGCAUUGUUAAAGUUUUAAUAAAUAAUUUCAGAACUUUAAAAAAGUUACCUUGAGGACAAAGCGCCUUGGAAGUUGAGGACAAAUAGCUUUAAAUCCAAAAUACUCAAGAUUUUUCAAAUUCUGUUAAAAAAAAAAAAACACAUCACCAGAAAACUCAUUACAACAAAUAAACACUUAUUUGUUCACAGGAACUAUCUAUUGUAAUAUAUGAUGAUGGUGCACGGUUGAGUGUUUAAGUUUAUUAAAUAACUGAAAGUUGGGGGUGGCUGGGUACAUGUUUUCCUUUCCUUUCGUUUUUUUUUUUUUUUUUUUUGGUGUUUAUUUAAUAUCUCCAAGUCAACGGUAGUAGUUCCUAGGAAAACAAAAGUUGAGUUAAUUAUUAAAACAAGGAAUACCAUAGUUCACCAAUGUGACAGAGAUGCACUGUGUGUGCAAGAUUAGGGAUGAGUGCGGAUGUACUUACGCUACCAAAAAAUCUAAGCAGAAUUGAUUACUGAUUUUAAUAAUUAAAAUCAGAUACAAUUUUUCAAAAAUAAAUGCAAGGUGAUGGGUAAGUUUGUCAAUGAAACGAUUUGAAGUCAUAUCUUUACAGGUAGGAGAUAGCAGAUAUUUGCAUUGCAUAUCUUAGCAGAAUGAGCAGAUAUGAAGGAAAAUUAGAUUUAUUCAAUUUCGAUAUAAAGAGAAUUAAUUAAUGCAGGAACAACGUUUGUGCACAUUGAGAAUCAAAUUAACUAAUUAACUUACUAACCCGUAUUGUAAAUUUCACACCUAUACUCAAAACAAAUUUUGUAACCAAUGUCCCAAAAAAGAGGCAAAAGGAAAGAAAAAAAGCCUUUGUAUGGUAUACUACGGCGUUAUCUGUGUAACCGAACUCAACCCAGCAACCUUCUUGUAUACUUGGAAAUUUGUUACAGAUGUUAUGGCUGCAGAAGAAAAUAUAUCUUUCAGCAUUAAUAUCAUUAAGACUUAAGUAUAAUACCAUAGUUCACCAAUGUGACAGAGACACUGUGUGUGGAAGAUUAAUGAUGAGUAUGGAAGUAAUAAUGCUAUCAAGAAAUUUAUGCAGAAUUGAUUACUAACUUUAACAAUUAAAAUCAGAUACAACUUUUCAAAAAUAAACCAAGGCCAUGGGUACACUUUGUCAAUGAAACAAUUUUAAGUCAUAUGUUUACAGCUAGGAGAUCGCGGAUAUUUGCAUUGCAUAACUUAACACAAUGAGUGAAUAUGAAGGAGAAUUAGAUUUAUUCAAUUUCGAUACAAAGAUAAUUAAUUAAUGCUCCUUAGACAUCAAUUUGAUUAAGAUGUGUGCCUGUCUUCUCAGUUUUUGGCAUUAUAGAUGUGGGUGGUAUAAAUUUUUACUUAAAAAAUUGAACUCGAAAUGAAAACCUAGGUGAGAAAGCAUGGAAACAACUCUUGUGUACAAAUGACUUGUACGAAUGAAUUUUCUUGAGAUUUGAUCCCAGCUUUUUGAUAAUUGUCAGCUUUUAUAACUCAAACCAUUUCCAAUAACUAUUUGGUUAUAGGAUGAAUAAUUAAGCAUAAAAAAGUGAGUUCAUGCUUAUGAAAUUGAGAAGGCAGGCACACAUCUUAAACAAAUUGAAAAAUGAUGUCUAAGGAUUACAUAUAGCAUAUUUCAGCUAAUGAUACAACGGCCAUUGAAUUCUGUAUUGCAAAUUUGGCUAUUCAAAAGCCUCUGAAUUUAUAGACUAAAUCAGGAUCGCAUUAUUAAAUCAUAUUAUCAAAUUGGAAUACAAACAUUGAAAAAUACAUGAACUCAUGCGCAACUUUGAUUAAUCCAACAUUAAUAUCGGAUCUAUCUUGAGAGAGUACCUUCUCACAGAUCAAAAUAGUCACAUCUUACUUUCUAACUCUUUCGUAUAGGACCUCAUCCUUCUCACAGAUCUAUAUCUACUUCUAGAUAGCCUUUAGGAUUUCCCUGGCUUAGCACAAGAAUUCUAUCCUUAAAAGAACUCUCUACUGACUGGUAUAAAUACACCAUUCUAGAGUUCGUCUCUGGUUGCGCAAUCAUCGCACUCUAACUCUUUUGCCCACUGGUUAAGUCUUAUACUUGCUUAUUAACUUGACCGUCGGAGAGUCUUUGGCUAACACACACCCCUUAGGUCUUAGGCUUGCUCACGUUGUUUGCUGUUUUACAGGUUACUCAAAUUUGUGCCUCCACCAUCUGCGAUAGUGACGAAUUUGGUUCCAACAAUUGGUUUUUUCAUUGAGAUAGAACUCAUAUUCCUCUCGACUAGAUCACUCUACCCAUUGAGGCCCCUCUUAAAUGAUUGAGAUGUGACUGUGCCAUCUUCCCACAUGAAAAAGAUAUUUCCUUCAUGGAAAAUGUAUGGGAAAACAUGUUAUAGAUACAUGCGUCUAUAAAAGGGCUUCGAAGAAGUUCACGAGCCAAGGAAUAGGCAAAACUCAUUAACCUUGAGAUGCGAGUAAAGGCUAUUGAAGUUAAGGAAUGGGUAAAUGACGGAUCAGAAGUCAACAUCCUCUUUAAGGGUGUAGCUAAGAGGAUCGGCAUUCUUGGCAACAUUAACGAGGGUAAGACCAUCUUCCAAACCCUUAACGAAGCCACUGUCCAGUCGUUGGGAACGGUAAAACUAACAGUUCAAGCAGAAUCACAGUCACCUGGUGACCUUUCAUAUUAUGGUCUGCCUAAUCUUUACAAUGCCAUUCUCAGCCGAAACUGGUUGCACGAGAUGAAAGUUGCUCCAUCAACCUACCACCAGCUGCUUCGCUACCCCAUAGUGGAUGGAGUUUAUAGAGGGCGGAAUGUUUGAGAAGGCAAGGAAGCUGACAGAUACCAAAACCUUUUAACUCUGAAAUGGGGGCAGGAAGAACAUACAAAAACAAGAUAAGAGCUGGAGCCCAUCCCAGACACAAUACGACAGUUUUCCAUCCUUUAUCCGAUCAAUACACUAAGACAAGUGGAAAGCAAAAGAUUUUCCAUGGGUUUAAUACCUAGUACCAAAAUAAGGUGGUACUUCGGCUAUUGUGAUGGGAAUCUUUAUGAACGCAAAGUUUGGAAGGUAAUGUUUGUCCGAAUCAACAUUACCAGGGGGCUUCGAGCUUUGUGUUCUGCUUUAUUACUCAUUACUUCGAAGUUAACGUACUUCGGAAAAAUUGUCGGAUUAAAUCAUAUUCUACAAUUUUAAAGCAAAGGAUGGAAAGUCUCCCAAGCACUUAGUAACUUGGGUAAGAGCUAUUUAGACACAGGCAUAAAUGUCAUCCAAAACACCAUGCAUUCACAAGUAAAUUGCAACAAAAUAAGAUAUCCCAGAGUACCAUCACUAGGGAAAGGAUGUUCAAGUUAUAGAAAGGACAUGCCCUCAUCCUAGCAAAUAACAAAUUAACGCAAAACAUUGCCAACAACCUUUUUUGGCAACAACUUCCCUUUUGGCAGUAGUUAAAGGAUAUGCAAAAGUAUUGGCUGAUGGAUCACCACUGGAAGCAUAUCCUCUUAUUCGAAUGCCUCAAAGUCAGAAAUUUCACUCAGUAAAUCUUUAAGAGCAGCAAAAUCAGCAUCCCGGAUUUCUUUCAGAAUCUGGUAGUUGUCCCAACCUCCCAAAUGAUCUUGCUACGUGUAGCCAAAGAUAUACCCAAAGUUGUACCCCUCCGCAUAUUCUUUUGCGAGCACUUUCUUGUGAGAUGCACGCAGGCCCAUUAUUUCUGACUCAUGCUCAUCCUUGAGUUGUUGAAGAUCUGCAAGGUGAAUCAUCUCACGGAAAAGUCUUUCCACCUCUGAUUGGAGACUAGUCCACUCCCCUUCUUAAGCAUUCCGUUUCGAAGACAACGUUCGCAUUGAUUAGGCUUCAAGGCGCACCAAAGUUUGCUCCGCCUCAACUUUGGCUCCAACUUUUCCUGCAGUUCAGCAAGAGUUGCCUUGUAUUCAUUCGCUUUAACAUAUUCAAGAGUGGCUUCAUUUAAGAAUUUCUCUACCUCUACCUUAUGGGCUACUCUCAUAGUUUAUUGCUCUACUUGUACCCUCCUGAGCUCCGCCAAUUGAGCUUGCAAUUGUUGCUCGAGCUGCAUUUGGCCUCUAAUUCGUGCAAGAAAGACCGCUCAAGAAGAAAAAUUCACUUCGCUUGGUCGAAAAGAGUCGCCUUUGUUCAGACAUCAGCCUGACCAACACAAGUAAGGGAAAGGAAAAACAAAAUUACUAAAGUUAUUUUGUAAGAAAAGAAUGAAUGAUUACCUCAUAUCGACUUUCGUGACAUUGCAUCAUGGCAUCUUCAAAGGACGUGCGAGCUUCCUUGUAGUUUGCAGAAAAAAACUGCAGAGCCAAGAAGAGCUCAGGUAAAGUCUGCGUUUUGAAGUCUAUUAGUGUCCAUUAAGAAGGCAACGUGAUUUAUUGAAGGCUUAAUGACAAUCGAGGGCAGCACGCCCCCUUCAAUUCUGGUUAAAGUCGCCAGCAAGGGAAUGUUAGCUUCGAAAGGCACCUUGACAGGUUCGGGUAAACUCCUUGUCGCUGGAGGUGUCAGAACUGGGAUAUAAAAAGGUUUAAGGACUCGAACAUCAUUCAAAAGUGGAGGCAAGCUUGGAUUCAGGUGGUUGUUGUUGCGUUAGUUCUUGAGAUGGAAGGAAGAAAGGUUGAGAUUCUCUUAUGAGAGGAUGCGGAGCAGAAGUAUCUGGAGUUAUAUUUAUUGAAACAGUAUGACUUCUCUUUCUCCUCACAGUGGAAUUUCUUCCUUUUCUUUGGGAUUCUCUGGUACCACCUCUAUUUUUGGUAGUUCCCCUUCUUUGGGAUUCUCGGGUACCACCUCUAUUUUUGGUAGACGUAUUUGAAAAGGUGUAGCUAAUGACAUUGAGGAAGUUUUGCUGGACCAUUUUCACUUUUUUUUUGCUGGAGUGGGAGAAAUUUUGGGUUUAGGAUGAUGGGCCCCCUUAUAAACCUGUUUCACUUCGAUCCAAUUAGGAUUCAGAAUAGGGAAAAUAGAGCAAUGAUUGAUGACUAUAUUAUUCCCCUAAUCUCAAAAUCGAACUGGGGAAGUCAUCCAAUUCCAAUUAUGGUGCUUAAUAAGGAUUUGCAUUGCCUGAUUGAUCAACUCUGGUCAACACGCGCCAAUAUUCUUUAGGUCAUUGUUCAGACAAGGGUUGCGAGAAGUGAUGUUUUUAACUCUAACCCCUAAGAUGUCACCCUCUCAAUCACCAUCGACUACCCAGACAUCCUUGAACCAAUCUUUAUCUUGCCAAGGAAAAUCUAGGAUAUAUGGCGUUCAUAAUAGGCUGGGUUUUGGCAUGAAAUAGUAAAGGUCGUCAGAGGUUCUUCGCACGUUGUACAUCAUCCUGAAUUCUUGGAGCCCGAGAUCAGACCUUUACCAAUGAUUAGACAAAGCACGUGAUAAGUUUGAAGGCAGCUAGGGCCAAGUCACAUAUAGCAACGUCAUAACUGAUCAGAAUACCUUUUACAAGAUUAGACAAAGGGAAUCUUAGGCCUAGGGAUUAGACGAAGCAGGAAGAUCGACUUGAACAUUUUGCUCAGGUUCCCACCAAACCCUACAUUGGUUUAAUAGGUCUUGAUGGCUUUGAAUGAGGGCCUUGCCUUCUUCUUGACUACAUAAACUCAUCAAUGGAAGAUUGUACGGAAAGUUCUUUGAUGAUUUUGAAGUUUUGCUCGAAGAAACAGCCAUUAGAGAAGACUGAAAGGAUUUAAAAAUUUGAAUGUGUGGGUGAAAAAGUUGAAACCUUUUUCCUUGACUGAUUUGAGGAUUUUUUGAAAGAUGAAAGGAAAGAGCUUGAGGUUAUAUAGGUGGAAUGUUGCGAAGUAGUCCAGCCGUUAAAUGAAGUCCCACCUCUCUAGGGAUUAAUAAAUUCGACAAGUAUUUUUGACAUAAAUUUCUCCUUUUUCAUGCAUAUGCAACAAAGAUAAACUUCAUCAUUGGGACCUUUGGUGCGUUUGGUACGUGGGACGGGACGGGACGGAACGGGACGAGGCGUUCCGUCCCGCGUUUGGUGCGCCAAAAAUGGGUGGAACGGGUUGUUCCACAGGACAGAUUUUGGGUGUUUUUGCGUCCCACCUCCCCCCCUGGAACGGGUUUGUUCCACGUAUGUGGAACGCAAUGUUUUACCAUUUUAAGACAAAUAUACCCCAUGUCUUUUUCAAAAAUUACACCUUCAUUCCGUCCCGUUCCGUUUCGUCCCGUCCCGUUCCGUCCCGUCCCGUCCCGUCCCGUCCCGUUCCGUUCCGUCUGCGUACCAAACGCACCCUUAUGGCACAAUACUCGAGACAACACAUCUCAAUUUGGAAUGUCUCGUCGACUCUAUAAAAAGGGAUCACCUAAUGAAGAUUGAAGGCUAAACAAUCCGUAUUCCAGCUUACUUUGAAAGGCAUGGUCUUGGUCUUUGAAUAACUAUCCAUCCUCAAGGGGAACAAGUUCCUUUUAGAUACAUAUAGUUAGGGGCAAUUGGGGGACCAUGAUUUGCCAGAGCCGAAGUCGGGCUAAUCAAAAUAAAGUUACCUCAAAAGUUCGGUUAUGGUCUUAACAUGUCAAAGCGGAGCUAGAUUAACCGAGCUGUGGUGCCACCAACAUCCUGUUCCGGAGCAGUGUCCAAAGUCCAAACGAUUUCACUGAGAAUGACCAUACUUGUUCCGCAAGACACUGGGAUAUGAUCUGGUAUGGAAUCAACCAAAUCUUCUAUAUGUCUUGGAGUUCAUACAAUCUAGGAAUUGGUAUGCACCACAAGUAAUCACACUCCUAAAGAGGAUGCAAUAUCUACUUCUAGAUAUCCUCUAGGAUUCUCCCAGCUUGACACAAGGAUUCUAUCCUAAAAAUGUCUCUCUCAUGACUGGUAUAAAUAUACCCUUCUAGAGUUCGUUUCUAGCAACACAGUCGUCGCACUCUAAUUCUCUUGGCCACUGAUUGAGUCUUAUACUUGCUUACUAACUUGAUCGCCGAAAAGCCUUUGGCCGGCACACAUUCCCCCUGGGCAGUUUUAGGCUUGCUCACGAUUGUUUGUUAUUUUACAGGUUGCUCGGAUUUGUGCUUCACCAUAUGCGAUGGUGUGCGAAUUUGGUUCAAGCAACCGUGUUGACAAAAAAAGUCAACAUAGGUUCAAGAACUGGACCGAACCAUUCAGACCGUCCUGACAUAAUCGCUCCAAACUAAACCGAACUAAACCGUGACUAUAAAAAAUUUGUAAAAAUAAAAAUAACACAAUUGGCAACCUGAUUCUGACUACAACUCUAAAAUCAUCCUCCAGUGAUCGGUGUAUGUACUUUUGGAAAUUGAAUGCAUUGUUGUUAAGGCAGAUGAGUCUACAAAAUUUGUGAAAACAUAUUUUAGAUAUAAACUACUGAAAUGUGAGAAAUAAGAACCAAAUAACAGUGAAAUGAAUGAUAUAAGACUUAUAUUUCCGAACAACAAUGCAUUCGAUUUCCAAAAGUACAUUCAACGACCACUGGAUGAUGAUUUUAGAGUUGUAGUCGGAAUCAUCCUCCAUUGAUUUGAUAUAAAAACAUAUUUGAUGGGAUUUAGUAGCAAAUGUUGGAUUGUAGAAUCUAAAAACGGAUUGAGAGGCUAAAGUGUAAUUCGGAUAUUAGUACUACAGCCUAGUAGCGUACUUGUAAGUGAGAGAUCUUAGGUUUGUAUUUCAGGAAUAAGGAGUUCAUAGCGAAUUUAUUCCAUAUAUAAUUGUGCAUAUAAAAUAAUGUAAUUCGAAAAUUAAUUUAGUGACCAUGCUACAAUUAAUUAUAUCAUCAAUUUUGGAAUCCCUUUCUUGGCUUAUGUCAAAAUUCAAACAAAUUUAAACCUGUUGUAGGCCUAUUUAACUAAACUACACUAAGGUGUAGAGAGAGAGGGGGCUGGCAGUAGCAAGAGAGAGAGGAGAGAUUUAAUUGUGAGAUGUGUAUUGUAUCACCCCAUUGUGCCUUUAUUUAUAGUAGUAGGAUAGGUAAAAACUUUACCUUACUAGGAUUACAAUUUUUAUUAAGUAAUCAACUCCUAAUAGGAAUACAAGAGAUAUUCCUAGAUUCACUAGGAUUUACAAAAUCACAUUCUUAUUCUAAAUAUGACUGCAACACUCCCCCUUGAGUGUGUAAAUACUCAACAAGCCGUCGCAUCAGAUCUUCAGCAGAUAAGGUAGAAUAGUUGAUGAAGUCAGUGGCACAAUGGGUGAACGCAACUCUCAAAUUUAAGAAAGUAUCCAUUGGUAGUAAAACUCAUAAAACCUCGCUAUAGUAAAACUCAACAUGGGAGAAAAACUCAUAGACUAAGGAGAAAAGUGAGAAGUAUGCAUAAUGUCUAAAACAAACGUCACACAAGAUGAAAUUAGUGAACUCAACGGAGUAUGAUCAUCCCAGGAUAGGUGCCUCAUCAAAAUCUUGUUAGGUAGCAAUAACCCAGUAGGAAAAUGCUCUUAAUCAUAGGAAAAAGAGUUCAUUAAGGUCAAGUGAGUAUGCUUCUGGAUACUCCCCCUGAGUUAGACAUAACUUCUAAAUAAGAAAACUACAAGUGAUUCAACUCAGAUAAUUUAAGCAUAUCGAUUCCUUGGACGAGCUUCUGAAAAGUAGACUUAGGUAAUGACUUGGUGAAGAGAUCAGCCAGGUUGUCCUGGGAACGGAUUUGCUUGACUUUAAUGUUCUGAUGUUGCUGCUGCUAAUAAGAGUAGAAGAAUUUCGACACUAUGUGCUUGGUGUUGUCUCCCUUGAUGUAUCAAUUUUUAACUGCUCGAUACAUGUUGCAUUGUCUUCAAAGAUCAUCGUAGGAAGGUCAACGACGGAAGUAAAACCUCUAGAGCUUCGAAUAUGUUGCAUGGCUGCUCUCAACCAAAAGCACUCACACGAUGCUUCAUGCAGGGCGAGGAUCUCAGCAUGGUUCGAAGAAGUCGCAACUAGCGUUUGCUUGGUAGACCUCCAAGAUAUAGCGGUGUCUCCAACGGUAAAGACAUAAUUGGGAACGUGUCCUAUAUAGGUCAGACAGAUAUCCAGCAUCUGCAUAACCAACAAAGCAAGAAUCAAUCCAAGAACUGAUAGGGGCUGCAACACUCGAAGAUUCGGGGGUAUAAAACAAGCCCAAAUCCAUCGUACCCUUGAGGUAGCAAAAAAUGUCUUUAACAAUAUUCCAGUGCUUGCAUGUGUACGCAUUACCGUAUCUUGCCAAACGAUUAACAACAAAGGAAAUGUCAGGUCUAGUGCAUUAAGCCAAGUACAAUAUAGCCCCAAUUGCACUUAGGUAUUGAACUUCGAGUUCCAAAAUCUCUUCCUCAUCCUCCUUUGUAUGGAAGGGAUCUGGUUUAACAUCUAGAGUCCGAACGACCAUAGGUGUACUCGAAGGCUUUAUCCUAACAUCGCAACACCUUCUGGGUAUAGUUUGGUUGAUGUAUUAGGAUUCCAUCUGAACAAUGCUCGAUCUCCAGGCCGAGGCGAUAUCGAGUUUUCCAAAGAUCUUUCAUCUCAAAUUCCGAUUUCAAGUGUGUAGCAAUUUCUUCAAGCUCUGUGAGAGUUCCAAUGAGGUUCAUGUCAUCGAUAUAAACUGCAACGAUUGCAAAUCUAGAAUGUGGUUUCUUUAUGAACAUGCAUGGGCAUAAUUCGUUGUUCACAUAACCCUGACUUAUCAAAUAUUCACUCAGACAGUUAUACCACAUCCGCCCGGAUUGUUUUUGAAUCCUUAGAGUGACAUCCUCAUUCUAAUAGAGAAAGUGUUCCGUGGUUUAGAACUAUUUGAACCAGUCAAUGGAAGUCCUUCUAGAACUUUCAUGUAUAUUUCUGUAUCUAAAUCCCCAUAGGAUACGCGGUUACCACGUUCAUAAGCUGCAUAUUCAGCUUUUCAGAAACUACCAAACUGAUAAGGUAGCGGAACAUUAUGACGUCUAUUACGGGGGAAUACGCCUCCUUGUAAUCAAUCCUAGGGCAUUGAGAGAAGCUUUGCUCUACGAGGCAUGCUUUGUAUCGCACUAUUUCAUUCUGCUCAUUACGCUUCCUCACGAAAACCCACUUGUAGCCAACGAGCUUCACAUGUGGAGGAGUAGGAGCUACGAGCCCAAACACCUUAUGUUUUGCAAGUGAAUCAAGUUUGACCUAGAUUGCUUGUUUCCAGUUUGACAAAUUUGUUCUACAUCGGCAUUCAUCAACAGAACGUGGUUGCAUGUCAUCACUAAGCAUGAUGUCAGUAGCUACUAAGUACGCGAAUGCAUCGUCGAUGAUCAUCUCAUUCUUAUUCCAAACCUCAUCCAAUACUGCGUGGUGGACCAAAAUCUCACGAUUCUCAAGAAACCAGUUUAUCUCAUCUAAGACAUCACCGUAAUCUAGAAUAACCUUCAUGCGUUGGAACGGAUGAGUGAGUGAUGGUCAGAUUCAAACUGGGGUCACUAGUUGGUGCUGAUUUCCUCUUUCGGGUUUGUGAAUCCUUUGAACCAAGGGGUCUACCACGCUUCAGGAUUGGAGCAUAUGAUUGGCUAGCUGCCAAUGUACUAGGCCACGUGGAAGGUACAGCCUCCCCACCAUCGGGGACGGUCCGGCCUUCCCAGGCAGGAUAGUGACGUAUAUGGGAUACGUAUAUCCUUGCAGGUGCGUUUGCAGCGGGUAUAUGUGAUAUUGUCACCUUUGCUAGAUUGGUAAAAGCAUCUAGUAUGCUCUAAGCAAUGCUCUGAAGAUCUAUAAUUUGGCGCACCUCAGUUUCAAACUGAGCAGUGCGGGGUUCUAAAUAAGACAUAGUGGGAGCAUACCAUGACAAUUCGUGGCAUUCUCCAGGAACAUUAGCAUGUUUAUCUCCUCCUAACGACAGGAAAACUGUCUCAUCAAAGUGACAAUUUGCAAAAUGUGCAGUAAAGAGUUCUUCUGUUAAGGGUUCUAAAUAGUGAACAAUUGAUGGCGAAUCAUAAUCGACAUAGAUUCUCAUUUUUCUCUGAGGACCCAUUUUGGUACGUAGUGGCGGCGUUAUUGGCACAUAAAUAGCGCACCCAAACACCCGUAAAUGAGAGACGUCAGGCUCGUAUCCAAUGACCAACUGUAAUGGUGAAUGUGGUUGGGUAGCGGUGGGCCUCAGGCGGACCAACAUAGCUGCGUGCAAUAUUGCAUAGCCCUUGGCAGAUACCGAUAGUUUGAUUCACAUAACCAAAGUCUGAACUAUUAACUGAAGGUGCUUUAUGAAAGCAUUUGCCAGGUCGUUUUGGGUGUGAACAUAGGGUACAUGAUGUUCCACAUCAAUCCCUACUAACAUGCAAUAAUCGUCAAAAGUUUGUGAUGUAAACUUUCCAGCAUUAUCCAGUCGAAUCGACUUAAUCAGAUAAUUAGGAUGGUAAGUGUGAAAUCCCGUUCCUGGAUUUCACUGUUAUCACCUACAUAUUUGUAUUAUUGAGAUUUUAUAUUAUUUCUCGAUAAUUUAUUUUAAUUUGUUGAAUUUAAAUUUUAAUUAAAUUAGUUAUUAACGUUUGAAGUUUGGGGCAUUUUAAAAAUAAAUAGAAAAAUCUAGAAUUCUCUUAUCAAAUAUGGUGUGCCACAUGGGUGGCCCAGAUUUAAUGAAAAGGAAAAUGGAUGGUGGAGAUGCAAAGGAAAGGACUUGAGAGAGGAGUGGAGAGCAUGGGCACUGCCCAAUUAGAAAUUAAGAAAAGAGGGAAAUGAGAGAAGAAAAAAAUGAGGGAAGAAAAGGAAGAAACGGGUUUGUACGACCCGUGGGUAUUGCCGGCCACCCAUCUCCAUUUUCCGACGAAUUUCUUCAAACAACCACUUGGAAACACUCUCUUGACCUUCCCUCUACAUGUUUCACCCUAAAAAUCAAAGGUUUUGGACUUGAAUUAGGGAGAAACCGCAUUAAGGGUGCGGCGGGUGUGUGUGUCAAAUCUCCCAAAUCCCAAAUGUUUACACACAAUGACCAAUCAAAAGACUUCCCUUAAGCCCCUGAACAAAGCCCAGGCAGUGGUGGAGGCGUCGGAGCAAGUUUGGAGGUCGAAUUGGAGCACACCCAAUUCUAGGGUUCUUACGGGUUUUAGAGAAAUUGGAGCACUUCUUGAUAAAAUUGGCCUUGGUCACAGGUAUAAAUUUUACUCUACUCAUUGAGAUCUUCAUUUCUGUAAUUUUUGGUAAUUUUUAAAAAUAGUUGAAUUUUCCGGCAAAUCGGGGCGGCCGACCGCCACCCGCGGCGGCGACCCGGCCAGCAGGCCGACGAUGUCCUUUUAAGUUCAAUUAGAUGCCUUGAUUUCAUAACUGACAUCCUUAUGAUAUAGUUUGAUUGUUUGAACCUAAUUUCAUUACGAUAUGUGGUUAGGUCAAAAUGUGAUUCGACGAUCCGACCGUUGGAUCGUCAGCAAACUUUAAUGCGUCAUAGAAUGUAAUAUUUGAGGAUGGUUUGAAUUGAUGGAUUGGGAAUCCGAUGUACUGAUCUUCCUAAUUUGGAUUUCUAAGUUUGUAAAAUCAAACGUUGGUCGCCACUUGAAAUUGUAAUUAGCGGGGAUCCGACCGUCGGAUCAUGAUAAAAUUUUGGUAGGUUGUUUUAGAAGUAUAAUGUGGACUUUAGAAGGUUACGGAUCUGAAAUCCAAUGUGCGGAUCUUCCAUAUUGAAUUGUGUAGAAUUGUGGAUCCUACCUUUGACCGAGAGUUGACUUUUUGUCAACAUGUCUCCAAACGUUCUUAAUGCUAAAUUUAGUACUACGAGAGACUUAAGUGAAGUCUAGUGGACCUCCAUUGGUCGGAGAGUGACUUGAAUAUUUGUGAUACGGUUAUUACUUUAAUCAUUUAUGUUAAAAUCAUUUAUGAAUAUGAAUUCGUCUUAUAAAUAUGAUUUCUAUUGAAAUGUGAUUUUCAUAUAUUUAGCCAUAGACUUAUGUUUAUUAAACAUGAUGUGGCUUGUGUACUGAUGAUAAUGGUGAAUAUGUGUGUUUAAUUAUUUCUAGUAAUGCAAAGGAUAAGUAUGAUAGAUUUUAUGGCAAUGUGAUCUUAGAAUCCUAUUAGAAGUAUUUUGUAGAACUUAUAUGCUUGUGAGACCUAUUAGGUGGUGGUCAUGAGAAGUGGAUAUGGUAGGUGACUACGUUGUAAGUAUAGAGGGGAUGAGGGUUAGAUAUACUUGGUACAUUCAGUGGGUACCAUAUCCACAUGGAUUCCGUUGAGUGAUGUUCCGGAAUCAUAUCGUUGUUUGGAUUCUGUUGAUGAUGUUCCGGAAUCGUAUCGUUGUUUGGAUUCCGUUGAGUGAUGUUUCAAAAUCGCAUCGUUGGUUGGAUUUCGUUGAGUGAUGUUCCGGAAUCGUAUAGUUGUUUGGAUUUCGUUGAGUGAUGUUCCGGAAUCUUUGGAUUCCGUUGAGUGAUGUUCCGAAAUCGCAUCGUUGGUUGGAUUCCGUUGAGUGAUGUUCCGGAAUCGUAUCGUUGGUUGGAUUCCUUUGAGUGAUGUUCCGGAAUCGUAACUUUAAUAUGUGUGAUAUUGGUGAUUACCUAUGUUUCAUAAUUAUGACCCUCUGCAGAUAUAAAUUGGUUUUAUGAAUAUGUUUUCUAUUGAAUUGUCAUUUCCAAUACUUAGACAUCGAUUCAUGUUAUGAAAUGGGGUUUGGCGUGUAUAUUUGAAUUAUGGUUUGAUUUGUAUGAUUGGCAUGUUGUGACGAAAUGUGAGGACUAGUAAUGGACUGUUAACCAUUGUGAUGGAGAUUGGUUGCUUCGAUAUUGUUUGAUUUUCCGCUUUGUUGAUCAGUUCUAAAUUUGGUACUUGUGCUUAAUUUCCCUUUGUUGAGCUUUUGUAAAUUAAGUAACUUGUGUUUGUCUCAGUUAUUUGAGACGUCGUACAUUAUGGUUGUUAGCCUUUCGUGAUUCCGUUGAGUGAUGAUCCGGGAUCGUAUUCACCUUGGGUUUUAUUGAGUUUAGAUUGUCAUAACUUCAUAGAUGUAGGCUUCAGUCGAACUGUGUCGCUCUAGCUCAGCAUUCCGAUGAAUUGUAUGUGUUAUUGAUGAUAUGGUUAUUGGCAUUAUUGAUUGAUGUGAUAAUUGGAUGGUGUUGGAAUGCAUAUGUGAGGGUGAAUGACAUUAUGACUAGAGAUUAUUAUUGUGCUUAUUUAAAUGUUCCUUGAGGUGCCACAUAAUUGAAUUGUGGUAUUAUGUUGAGACCUAGUAGUCUAUGUGAUAAAUGUUCGAGAGUAAUGAAAUGGUGAACUACGAAUGGCUUGAUCCCUAUUGAGGGUACGUAGGCAGUCUAAUGAGAAUGUUAGAUGCAGCCAUAAAGCUAGAAAAGAAAAAAAAUUAUUGUGAAAUUUGGACCUUGAGUGGCCUUCUUUCAUAUCCUGGAGGCAGGGUAUGUUAGAAGUUCGAGUUUUCAGUAACAUCACGUGUCGAUCCUGGGCGUAGGUCAGGAUCGGGGCGUGACAGUAAGCCCUUACCUUAAUAAUUUGUGCUAGGUGUUUAGCAAAUGCAGCAUUGCGUGUGGACAAUAGGCAAACAUGUGACCAUCGUGUCGAUGCAUCAACCAACACCAUAAAAUAUCGAAAUGGUCCGCAUGUUGGUUGGAUAGGUCCACAAAUAUCCCCUUGAAUCAUCUGAAGAAACUUAGGAGGGGGUCAUGAAGAAACAUAAGGAGGUAACUGAUGCCCAUGUGAUGAUUUGAGGAUACAACGCAUCAUGUCAUGUCCAGGAUGUACUAAACUAUCAUGCCAAAGUAGCAAAAUGUUCUGGAACUCAGGCAUAGGGUCGGCCAUAUGAUGAGCUUCUAUGCCACGAAUGGUUGUGAUGUACAACCCAUUCGGGAGACGUUCCAACUUCUCAUGAAUACGUUUUUGGGCCAUAUUCGUAAGAAGUGAUACAAAGAAAUUCAGAAUCAUUAUCUUCAGUGGUUUCAAUAUGAUAUUGAUUAUCUCAAAUAUCUCUAAAGCUUAGCAACGUUCUUCCGAAACAUGGAGAAUAAAGUGCCUCCUUAAUGGUUAAGAUUGUACCAUUGGACAACAUGAUACAGGCUUUUCUGUAUCCUUCAAUCAGGUUGGAUGGGCCUGAUAGAGUUGUCAUCAGAGCAUUCUUGGGUAUUAAGUUAGUAAAUAAUGUCACUCACGCAAGAUGGUGUGCAUGUUAGCAUUAUCAGCCAGACAAUUAACUUCCCCACUAGACAUACCUAGAAAGAAUUUAAUUGAAUUGGUCACAUGUAUAAAUGUAAGUCCAUUCAUUAAAAUAAGCAAUUCGAGAAAAUAAUAUCCAUCAAAUAACAAUCCAUAAUUCAAAACAAACCAAAACCAAACAAAUUAUUCCAAAUACUUAGAAAAAUUGUUCAAAAUUAAACCAUGAACCUAGAAAAAUAGGGGGGAGGGUUCGGCCACUCCUAGUGAGUUUGGCCACUAGGGGUAAAACACCCUAAAACAUGUCUAAAAUUCAUUCUUCCAUCGGAGCUGAUGCCUCCUGAAAAUCCAAUAUCUCCAUUGAUGUAAUAGUAUCUUCCGAAUGUUCCACAUAUGCAAAGUUAGACUCACGACGGGAAUGAUACUUGGCAAUAGCCUUGGGGGUAGCUCGGCAUACGCAUGACCAAUGAUCCUUUGGUCCACAGCGGUAGCACAUGUCCAUUUCAGUGGAAGCAGACUGAACGGGAGCUUUGCCCUUGUUCUUGAAGUUUGGGGCCUUAGGGGCAACAGGUGGAUGCUGCUAGGUCGGAUUUCCUCCCUUAGGGCCGACACUCUAUUGACUUUAGGCCCGUUGUUGGGCUUACCGCCUAUUAUCAUAGCCACGACAAUUCUUUCGUCGUUUGUGGCUGCUAGAAUUUCUCGUAUGUACUUCAAGCGAGGUGUUUAAGCUAGUCGGUCAGGCUUGAUGAUUCUUCAUCAAAAGUUGGUUCUACUUUCAACAAGAAGUAGUACAGAGAUCAAAUCCAAAAAUUUGGUGAAUUUAUGUGCCCUAUAUUGUUACUGCAGGACAAUAUUGGUUGCAUGGAAGGUCGAAUAGGUCUUCUCUAUAAGAGAUCUGAUUCGAUUAGUUCCACUUUACAGAACUUUAGAAGUGAUCGGAUUCUACAAACUUCAUAGUUGUUUCAUUCAUGGACUUAAAGUCUUGGAAGCAAAGAUGUCGCCAAACGUGUCUUGCUUCAGGCAAGUAGAGGUCUUUCUAGUGAUCAAAACGGUUGGCCAGAACAAGCUAGAAGGUGUGUGGGUCCUCCUUAAUGAGGUACUCGGUCUACAGUGCAUCAUGGAUGUGUCUUCGAAUGAAGAUCAUUGCAGUAGCUUUUUCAUCUUUGUCGAUGGGUUCAUCAUCAAUUGGUUCCUCGAUAGCGGCUCGAAAACUCUUUGCAGUUAGAUGGAGCUUCACAUCUUGAACCCACCUCAGGUAGUUUCUUCCAGAUACUUCCAGAGCGGUGAAAUCAAGCUUUUUUAAGUUCGACAUGUCCCUAAAACAAAGGGUACAGAAAAAACGUGAUUAGUCAUAUGGUGAUCCAUAGACAUAUAUCGUAGAACAUUCAGGUUCUAUAGACAUGUAUUGGUUUAAUUUAUGCAUGAAAGUUAUAGGUUUCAUGUGGUAAGUUUUGAAUGAAAACUUCAGGUUUCAAAGGCACUAAAUAUGAAACUACAGGUUCAAUUUAGUUUUAUGAACGAUUAGUUCAUGAGUGAAAGGUUUCUGCAAGAAACACAGAAUGCAAUAUGUUGAUUUAAGUAUAGUGGAUUUGAGUUUCUUCGGGAACUCAAGUGUGAGAGCUUCGUUACUACGAAAGUAUGCCAACGGUUCAAAGUAUAAAAAUAAAUUAUUAAAUUGUUAAUGUCCAAAAGUGAUCUUUAGGUCAAUAAUUUUGGAUUCAUUAUCAUAUUAAUGGACUGCAUGUCACUUUUAAUUAAUGCAAUAGAUCGGGACUAAACGGGGUCGAUCGUGGACGCAAAAUUAUUUGGGAAAAUGCCUUGCAGGUUCGGCUGCAAGCAUGUUGGGCCUCGAUGAGGCCAACAAGCCUCAGGCUGAAAGGCUUUGGGGAGCCCAAUAGCCAAGGCUGUUGGCUUUAGGUCGAAAAACAUAGCCCAAAAAUUUGGGCUUGGGUUGGCUGCAGAAGGGCAACCCACUGGUGGCUGUAGGCCACGAGCCGAGAGGGGACACAGGUGCAGGCCUAGCGGAUUGCUGGCCUUGGGUUCAAGUAGGGAACCCAGUCGAGGCUGGGUCCGGGUAGGGGCAAGCUUCAACCCAGUGCACAAGGCUGCGGGAAGCGGGGCAGGGCUCAGGACAAAGCCUAGCAGCCUUUUGCUGCUUGCAGUUUUGGGCUGAGAAUAGAGGGAAAAAUCCAGGGAAGGCUACAAGCUUCCGUUUGGAGGUAGGUUAGGCAUAAGGCCCGAGUUAAGCUAGCCAGGCUGAGGCCUGGUGUGUCCAUGUGCUCGCAACAAAGCCUAGAGGGCUGCUGCCAAGGUCCAAACGUCAAAACGACGUCAUCCUGGUGGCGUGCUCCACACGGCUGAGCUUCAGGUCAAUGGUGGUAGUGUGGCGGAGCCACGGUGGUAGUGUGGCGGCUGUGCCGCAUGUUCCCAAUAUAUAUUUUUUUACAUCCAUAAGGUUUGAAAAACCCUAUAUUGCUUCUAAUUUAUUUAUAUAUUUUGACUCACAAUUCCACAUUGCAAUUUAAUUGGUUAAUGCAUGAAACAUAUAUAUAUGUAUAUUGAAAAAAAUAUGAAACAUAUACAAUAUAUAUAUAUAUAUAUAUAUAUAUAUCGGAAGGAAAAUAUAACCAUAGAGGGGUUCAUACAUCAUGGGGAGUGUUUUCAUGCAUCGUGGACGUUUCAAAUAUCUUCCUUUAUUUUAAGCAUACCUGAUUUGCAGAAAACUAAUAAGAGCCUUUGAAUUUUGUGGAAGAUAGCCUUCUCCUACAAUCCGUCAGUUCCUCAGCUUCUGGCAAGAGCUUGUUGAUAACGUGUUGUAGGUCUAUUUAACUGAACUAUACUAAGGGGUAGAGAGAGAGGGGCUGGCGGUAGCGAGAGAAAGAUGAGAGAUUUAAUUGUGAGGUGUGUGUUGUAUCACCUCAUUGUGGCUUUAUUUAUAGUAGUAGGAUAGGUAAAAACCUUACCCUAUUAAGAUUACAACUCUUAAUAAGUAAUCAACUCCUAAUAAGAAUACAAGAAAUAUUCCUAGAUUCACUAGGAUUUACACAAUCACAUUCCUAGCUAUUCUAAAUAUGACUAUAAACACGGAAAUUCCUGAGAUGAAUGAGACAAGAACACGUGUAUAAAAUAAUAUUUUUGUAUUAAUGAUUUUGGGGUUACAAUCUCUCAGAUUUAAUCCUCUGAUUCGAUCUCUAUAAGGUGUUGAUUUGUGGAUGGGCUGCUGAUCCAAAGGGUCAUCGGGGCUUGAUCUUUAGGAUGAGCAGUGGUGUAUGGAUCUUCAAGGGCUUUUGUGCUUGAUCUUGAAGAACAGUGGUUGAAUUUAUUAAUGUUGUUGAUCCAAAGGGCCGUCAAGGGCUUGAUCUUAGGAUGAACGGUGAUGAACGAUGAACACUUUCUUCAAGGGCAGUCGGGGUUGGAUCUUAAAUUGGUGGAAGUUCUUCAAGGGUCAUUGGGGCUUGAUCUUGAAGGAGGAUUUGACGAAGAAUGGAGAGAGCUUUCUUGAUCCUUCGGGAUUUGCUUGGAAGAUUUGGAGUUUCAAAGCUUCAAGGUUUUGGUGUGAUGUGAAUUGGUUAUGAAUUGGUCUCUAAAAUGAAUGCCUUGGCUUCCUAUUUAUAGAAUUCCAAAACUUUAAUUUUUGGAUUUAAAUGAUCAUUUGAAAUAAAUCAUUUCUGCCAAAUGUUGACACAUGUCAUGUUUGAUGACUUUUCUGAUGAUUCUUGAUUUUUCGUUAAGUCACAUGCUAUGUGUAAAAUUUAUGUGACACGUGAACGUUGAAAUUUUAAUUAUUGAUCAACAUUUAUUUCACCGAAAUUUCGAUGUUUACGAUGACUACAGCAAAACCCUCAUUUUUUCAGAUUUUGGAAAGAAUGGCGUCAUUGAAUUCAAUAUCGUGAUAUGGGAGAUUGAGUAAGCUAAAUUUGGAGUAUUUUAAUGUCACACUAAAUAUGGCACCGACAAUAGACGUAAGCCAAAGUCAUAGGUUUAAUGCAGACAAAAGUGAAUACUAAAUACUAUAUACUGGAUACUGAAUGGAGGGUGGCUUUAAAGCUUUCGGCGUACCAAAUUAUGAUACUAAUUGACUUGAUUCCUUCACAUGGUAUAUAGGCAAUCUAGCUCGAAUGUUGGAUGUAACCAUAAGAUUGAAUAAAUUAAUAUUUUAUCAUGUUCCGAAGUUCAGCACAUGACAUUAUUGUGAGGUCUAGGUAUAGUCCUUAGAGUGAUAAAAACAAGGCUCCUCCAAGGAGGGCUAGUUGGAGGUGUGAAUUGACAUUUACUUCACACUCAUAGGAAAUCAGUCCAAGAACGAAAGCUUUCUUUCCAGUUGCUAUCCAAAAUUUUGGAAUUAUAUGUGUUGUCCAAAGGAUUAUUCUUCUUUUAUUAAAUUUCUAAGGAAAAUGAGCAAGAGGCGUAAAAGUUGAACGAAUGAAAUUUCAACAAUCUGGAAAGGGAUUGUGAGUUUGCCACACCAUUUUUCUUUCUUUUAUGCCUUCAUGUUUAUUAGAAGACAAAAAUAAAUGACUUUACAUUGGAGAAAAAAAAAAGUAUUUUCCUUUGAAAAAAAAAUCAACUAUUUAUUUAAGAGGAUGUGAAUGAUUGAUGCAUAAUGUGAAUACAAAGAACGACCUUAGAGGGAGACGAGACAUUUAUUAGAAGCCAAAAAAAAAAAAGUUACAAUGAUAUAGUAAAAAGGCAAGAAAACCUCGUUUUCUAAGUGGCAGUCAUUGACACACUACUUGAUUAGAAGAAAAGUCAUAGUAUUUUAUUUACUUUUGUUGGAAUGUAUAUUAAUAAUUAUAAUAUUUAAUUCAAAAUAUUGAAUGAAAAACACAUAACCGUUUGAAAGGGAUCAAGGCAUUCCUUGGUAAAACGGUAUCAUCUAAUAGAUGAAUGUUUGUAUCUCUUAAUCAACCAAUAUCUUAGGUUUUAUAUAAACUCAUGUUAGUAUAGCCGUGAAAGAUAUAGAAAAUUAGAGUUAAUUUUUAUUCUUGAGAAAUAGGGUUUCCCCGCUUUGUUUCUCUCAUGCUUCGUAUGUCAAAUUCCAAGUCGUGUCUUGAGAGUACGGAAUAUAUAAAGUUCGCCAGAGUCCGAAGAUUGAAGUGUUUUGACUUCGAAUUAUAAAUUGUUGAAUCCUGGGAGAUGGACGCCUACCAAACUACAAGCACAAGAGUAAGGGCGAAAUUCUAUCUUUAGGACAUUGCAUUUAUGCAAGCCUCAAUCUCCAAAUUUAUCAGUUUUUCUAACUUUAUCUUUAGUUGUUUAUAUUAAUCUUGUAAACUAUUGAUGUUGUUAUUUACUUUAUGAUUAUUAUCAUUGGAAUUCUUGUGUUGUUAUCAUAUUUUCUAAUAUUGCCUCAACAAUCUAAAGAUAGAAGUUUUAUCCCUAUGGAACAAUCAGAAAAAUAUGAAUGUUCGCAGUUCUCAUAUUGAGAGUUUAAAGCUGUGGCUUUAAAAGUGUUGGACAACAUAAGGUGUCGUAUUUGAUGUGAAGCCAAGAAUUGAAUGUUUCUUGACAUUAUACUGUGAGUUUACUCUCGUUAGUUUCUGAUUUAGGUGAGAAAUAAAUAUAUGUUUAUGUGGACUGUAUGCAAUAGGGUAAAUCUAGGUUUGUAUCUCAUAAUUGAAAAGGAUUCGAUACAGAUAUGUCUCAGAAAAUGCAUUCAAUUUGUAUGGGCAUUGCCACAUUCAAUAAAAAGUCAUAUUGGUUGACUGCAAGGGUCAGAUGGUUUGUGGUCAGACCAAUGGAUAUUUGGGCAUCCCCGAUGACUUUUCUCAACAGAUGCCUUGCUUGAUCAGUUUGGUUGGCGAUUGCCGAGCAAAAUGUCUGCAUCAUAAACUUUCAAUUCAUUCCCACAAGGACUAGAUAUGCAUGAUACAAAUGAUCGAAGAUUUUGAUUUUCGCAUGGGUUUCAUUAAUGUCAGAUUUGAAGAUAAUUUGAUGAAACCAAAAUUUUCCUUCAAGACUGAUCAAAAGGAUUUGGAAUGUUUCGAAUGCAUAUACACAUGGCUAUUAGAAGAUAUGUAUAUAAUGAAUGAUAUGAUGCCAAUCCAAUUCUAGGUUGGAACUUGAGCAUGAUGGGAAUAUUUAGAAGAUUAUACUUCUAAAAUCUUUUUAAAGGGAAAAAUUAUGACGGAUCUUGGGUGAAUGACCAAACUGCCUAUUUCAGAUAGGUGCAUACCAAAUGUUUAUUGGUUAAUAAAGAAAUACAAUAGUAAUAUGCAUAUAUUUAUCAGAUUUAUGUGUGUAUUCAUAAAAUCCAUGCCUGCAUUACCAGGUAUAUAGAAAUGCAUUUAUUAUCGUUUGUCAUAUCAUUAUUGCAGAUUUGUAUUUCUCCAUUGUAUAUCAAGUGUUGUACUAUGGAGAAUUAUGAGUACUUUCUCGAAAGAGGAGUAAUGUAAUGGGAACCAUGUUCUUCAUGGUAAGACGAUGAAAUUUGACUUUGAGUAGUGACAAUCAGUCGUGAUGUUGAGACGAUCAGUCGUGAUGUUGUCCUUAGUUAAAUUGUAAAGCAUGAAGUCAUUUUGUUUGAGUUAUUCGUCUUGAAGAUGACGCUUCAGUUGUGGGGGCCAAAGUCUGCUUUGAAAGGUUUAAGCACUCUAAGGUGAGGCUUACUGUGGAAACUGUGUACAUGCUACAGACAAACCCCUAACAAUUGAAGAUAGACUUAAAAAUGACUUGUGUGUUCUUCAUGCCACAAUGCGAUUGUUCUUUCUUCGGGAUAGAGAAGAUAGCCCUCCUUAUGUCCGUAUGUGGCUAUGAACUUUGGUUUGUGACAAAGAGAACCAUUGAUUUCAAGGUCAUUGAAAUGAAAUGGGCAUGACAAUAUCCAUAGGUGAGAUCAAAGGCCAAAGAUAUAAUUGGAAAGCCUAACCAUAUUGUCUAUAAAGCAGAUUUAUGCCGUGUUUACAAACCACAUGUACAUGGUUUUUGUUUGCUCCCUAAGUCCGCCAUGGUGCCUUGCGGGCAAGCCAGGGAUUUACUUCACAUACGAGAUUGGUGGGUGCGGGCGUGCCACUACUAGAUGCCGCUAGUAGACGGGAUUUGAAUGAUUGAGGUUGCGCCUUUGGACUUCAAAUCAAGAGAUUGUGCCAUUUGAGUGGGAAUUGCUCAAAUUAAGGUUCUUUGUUUGCCUUGAAAAUAAGGACUUUACUUAUAUGGAGAGAUAGAACAAUAUGUAAAUGAUAAGGUUGCUUGGAAAUAUAAAUGACAGAGGAAAAUGACUAAUAUUGCAGAUUGCUUGUGACUGGAAAUGAGUACAUAAAAGCUACAAAUGAGAUCGAUACCGCAAAUGAGCAGCAGAGCUAAUAAACUUAAAUAAAAGAAGGCUUUUGGCAAAUCUGGUUUGAGCAGAGUUUGUGCUUUUGUUUGUUUGUUUGAGUGUCCAUAAUCCUUCUCCAUCUACUUCUUUAUAUAAGGAUCUGGAAGAGCCCCCUUAUUGAGAUCUUUGUACUUGCCCGAAAGAAGCUUGGGCAGCUUGCAUUUCCUUACUUGGGUAGCUUGCAUUGCUUUUGCCAACUUGCAUGUAGAAACAAUAUUAAAAGGGGAACUUGCAUCUCCACCAUAUGUUUUAGCACAUGUUUUCCUACUUGUAAUAAACUAACAUUUAAAAGAAGCAAGUUGGCUUCUUUCACAUAUUUUUUGCAUCCACAUCCGUAAGUUGCCUUCCAACCCUUUUGCAAGGAUGCAUGCAUCUUGAUUAAACAAAGCUUGACAAAUCUCCACCACCAAAACAAAUUGGAAGAACAAUAUUAUAGUGUCAAACCCCUCCACUUGCCUCUAAAUAUCUUUCCAAAUUAGCUUUCUUGCAUAUUAAUCCUCUAAAUGCCAUAUUUUACCCAAAUUACCCAAAUAAGUAAAAAUGGGUAUAUUUUGAGUGCAAACAGUUUUAUUACAUUCGGGCAAAAGAUUUGGUGAAAGAAAAUAACCAACCAAGUCAUUUGGGAUAAUGGGAUUUCACGAGGAUGAUGGAGGAAGAUUUAGUCUUCUUUAUAUCUUGUUCAACUAUUAAUAAUUAAAUGUGACAAAAAAAAAAGAGUUUUGCUCAUAAGCCAAGUUAGUCAUGGAUAAAACCAAAGGACAUUCCUUUGAGAGAAAUUAUACACUGAAAAUGUGGGGGUCUUUUGGAAAGAAAAGAUGAUACAUUGAAAAUGUGUGGAGCAUCUUGCAAAAUUAAAUUAGACAUGAUGAUGCUUAUUAAGUAAGCAUAUGAAUAGUCAUGCAUGGUAGUCAUAAUAUGGAAAGGAUGAAAGUCAAGAAGUGCUUUUCCCAUAAUAGCUAGUGAGGCAUGAAGGCCUAGGAAGAUAAAUACAUAAGGUCUUAUCUUUAGUUGUUUCCUACUUUUUAAAGAACAAAACAUGAUCGAUUUAACAAUAACGUUAGAAAUUAACCACAAUUAUCGAAGAAUUGUGGGGGUAGCUUAACUAUUUUUGAGAUAUGAGAUUUACUUACAAAGAAUGGAAACAUAAUUUGCUAAUCAAAUGAGACAAUCAAGAUGUCAUCUCUUGUAAUGAGUAAUUGUUUAAGGUAUGGCAAGGUUAUAGACCUUCUAUAGAUACCUUAAAUGUGGGGGAAGUCUACUUCGGUAUGGCAAGGUUAUAGACCUUCUAUAGACACCUUAAAUGUGGGGGAAGUCUACUUCCUAGUGUUAGCAAAUUAUUACAUAAGUCCUAACAUAUGUUUCGAGGACUUAACAUUGGAAAACAACUAUUCUCGUAUGAAAAAUAAUUUCAUAAUAUGGAAGUGCACACCAUAAGAGUAGUCAACCUUAGUGGUACCAAUUAGUAAAUGUUUGACUAGGGAGUAAGUUAAUCAUCGAGGGGAAUGAGGCUGAAGCCAACAUAACUAAUGAAUCAGUCGGGCGAAAACCUAACUUAGUUGAUUGGGGAUCCCAUGGUCUAAGUUCAAUAGGCAAACUAGUUGGGCAUGAUUCAAAGAAGUUAACAUACUAUAUACCUCAUUCCUAUGAUGGAAGAAGUGUGUUGUCUGCAGAAGUUUUAGGGUGUAUAUUUAUACUUAAUGACAGUGAUAUCUUAUAAAUAAGAGGAAUAGAGCAGACUAUUUUUUAUCAGUGGUUACCUAUGUGAGAAUAGAAGUGGGUCGCUUCUGUGAGAAUGAGAUGGCUAAAUUCUCUAAAGCUCUCAUGAAUCCGAGAUUUGUUCAUGACCAAAAUAAACACAACCGUAUGAACCAGAAUAUAUUAGGAUUAGGGAUGUAUGUUGCUUAUUGUCUCGGUUUACUGCUGCGGUGAACAGUUCAAGAUUCCAUAUCCACUGCGUCACCAAGUAAAUCCGAUAAGUAUUCACUAGGGUAGGUUCAAGUCCAAAAGACACCUCUCCUGAUGCAUAUCUUGUCCGCCUGUACUCUCAAAUUCUUCCUAAUUUUUCAUUCAUGUAGGGGAUUGUUGGAAUUUAUAUAUUAUAAUAUUAAUAAUUAUAAUAUUUAAUUCAAAAUAUUGAAUGAAAACCCCAUAACCGUUUAAAAGGGAUCAAGGCAUUCCUUGGUAAAACGGUAUCAUCUAAUAGAUGAAUGUUUGUAUCUCUUAAUCAACCAGUAUCUUAGGUUUUAUAUAAACUCACGUUAGUAUAGCCGUGAAAGAUAGAAAAUUAGAGUUAAUUUUUACUCUUGAGAAAUAGUGUUUCCCCACUUUGUUUAUCUCAUGCUUCGUGUGUCAAAUUCCGAGUCGUGUUUUGAGAGUACGGAAAAGACAAUUUCUAUGGGGAAAAAGUUGAAAUAGGGGAUGAAGAUUCCCGAUUUUAAUUUCGUUAAAUAGGUGUAAUUUCACAAUUCCAACUACAACAAGAAUCACAAAUUCAUAUGCGGAAAAAUCUUGCGAGCACCAAACUUUACUAUUAGGGCGCCAAAUUUCAUGAUAAAACCUGAUAAGGGGUUUAGGGCUGCAUCUUUCACUCUAUUAACUCUCCAAUCUUCGAAGGGAUUUUCGGCUCUUGCAUCAUCUCUUGCUUUUGUUCUAGGUCAGCGUCUCUACUCUCUUCUUUCUUGAAUUAUUUUAGCUUUUCGGGUAUACUCUUUAUGCCAAUUGUGAAUUUUGCUAGUUAUUUUUAUUUUAUGAUAGUCAUAUGUUUGCUGUGCUUUUUUUCUUCCGAUUGAAUUGUGUAUUGGUUGGAUCUGUAACACAAUUUUUCAGUUUUUUUUAUGGACUUUGGUGUUAGUUCCUUGUUAUAGAUAUUGUGCUUUUGAAGGUUUAACAAUAGGCAAGGCUGAAUAUGAUGAUUUCGGUGUUAAUUACUUUCUCAUGGUACUAUACCAGAUUGUUCUCUCUUUGCAUUUACAUGUAACUAACUGUUCAUUGUAGAAAUGUAGUAUUUGGAAGACCUUUUUUUUCUGAUUUAGUGUAUGUUUGUUGGACAAAAGAAACAUGUAGAAGAGAAAACAUGAUUAAUAACAUUGUGCGUCUAUUUUUUUUUUUUUUUGACAGAAGCGAUAGAGUAUUCUAUUACUAAAAACAACCAAAUACAAGAGGUGUCAUGGCUACAAUUUCUCCAUGGCAAAUUUUUUGCAAACAUUUUGUAAACGCUCUACGGCUACCACAAUAGACCAUUAUAAACAGAGAUUCCGGAUAAAACUGUCACAAGGACGGCAGACACGACAAUCCUCACACCCGUACCCUAACAUAAGAGCAACUCCAUCCAUGGAGCCCUACCCCCUGGCAAUCCACUAUUCAAUCCACCAUAUUGAACAGUAACUGCCUUAAAUGAAUAGUAAUUACCAUUAAUGAACAGUAAUUGCCAUUUACAUCUUCAUCCUUGGAACCCUCCCCCUAGCAAUAAGCAAUUAAAAUAAUAGUUUUUUUUGUUUGUUUAAAUAAUAAAAAAUUGCAAAAGCUCUGGUCCCUCUCUCUCUCUCUGACACAAAAAAAAUAAAAAAUUGCAAAGCCCUCGGGCCACAUGCCCAUCGACUCCCCACCCCCCCCCCUUCGCUCGGGCUCUCACUGUCGCUCAACCUCCACACGGCUGGACCUCUCUCCACCGGCCCUCGGGCCCUUUGUCCUCGCCUGUCGCCCGAGCAACCAGCCUCCGCUGGAGUUGCUCUAAAGCCAUCGACAAUGAGGCUAAAUAAAUCGCUUAAGAGAUACAAACAAAUCACCGCAAUAACACAAUCUACUUAACCCGCCCAAGGCGCUACAAACAAAAUCUUAAACCUAAAGUCGAUGACAUGUCCACAUGCAUGUCCAAGGGGAAGAGACGUUGCAGGAGGCAUGGGUUGCCCGACCAUGUGGGUCUGUCGGUGGCAAGGACAACAAAGCAAUACCAAACUACUUCUAUCAUUCUCCUUAGCGCUAUAUUUUUCCUUAGCGCCAUAAAUUUCGCUUAAAAAGCAUAGGAAGGAAGGCUAAAAUUAAGGCGAAGAACCUGCCUCCACUAAUUUCCAUAGGGGAGAGAGAGAGAGAGAGAACACCAAGCAGUAUUAUAAUAUAGGUGGUCUUAAAUAACCUUCCGUGGAGUCGCAGUAAGGACUUCAAAUAUCCCAGAGAAAAGUCAGUCAAUAGUUUUUGACAGAGUCAGUCAACGGCGAAGACAGAAUUGUGUAUCAUAAUGCUCUCUCCCUCUCUCUCUCUCUCUCUCUCUCUGUCGUCAAUGGAUAACACCAUAUAAUUACUACGUGUAUAUCACUGCUCAAUUACACAAUAGAAAAAUCCUUGCGCAUUAUUUUUGUUCUUAUUAGCUCAGAAAUGCAGAAAUUGAUCAUCUCUUACUUUUGCAUAUUGUUACUGGUUUUCUUCAAACUAGUUGGAGCAAGCCAUGCGUGCCUGGAAUCCAAGUGUAGCGAUGAUCAAGGCGCAGCUAUCCAUUUCCCAUUGCGCAUCAGCCGCAAACAUCAUUGUGGAAAUCCUGGGCUUGAAUGCAAUGUAAGAUAUGAGCAGCAAAUACUAGUAAAAUUAUUUGUCAAACACAUAGAUUACAAGCGUCAGGAAAUCCAAGUGUAUCCCCCAAGUGAUUGCCUGCUGCUGAAGCCUGUCGAAGUCACAAACAUAGAUUACAAGCGUCAGGAAAUCCUAGUGUCUCCCCCAAGUAACAACUUGUCAUAUUCUUUCAUCAGAAACUUAACCUUAUUCAGUUGUCCUACUUCUGUUGCAAGAGAUACAUAUGCGUAUCAAGUCCACUGCCUCGGUGACCCUGGCAGCAGAAUUUAUGCCCUUGAUUCUACAUAUCAAUUAGAAAAUCUCUUCGAGAAUCUACAAUCUUGUUCAAAGAUGUAUGAUGUUUUAUCUGGCAAUUGGGAGGGUAAUGGUUCUGUUCUUCAAUUCAAAUGGUCAAAACCAAAUUGUACAGAAUGUGAAGCGGAGGGAAAGAUGUGUAGAUGGAAGAACAAUGGCACCAACAGUGAAAUUGAAUGUCAACGCGUGAGGAAACCAAGUAAGGAGAACAUUAUAUUCAUUGCUAGUUUUAAACAUCGUUACAUUUAUGUCUGAGUAAUUAUUAUUUGAAGGAUGUUGUCCGAUCCAUUUUUCUGAGGAUAUUAAUUGUCAGUCUCGAUUUAAUUUGCAAUUCUUUUACAGGCAACACAUGGAAAUUAGUGGUUACAGGUGGAAUUCUGGGUGCUUUGCUUCUUGUUCUACUGAUGAUUGCAGCAUAUCGGGUAUAUAGCACUGAUAGGAAGGAAAAAGAGAGUCGAUUAAGAAUUGAAAGAUUCUUGGAGGAUUAUAAAGCACUCAAACCAAGCAGGUAUUCGUACGCAGAUAUUAAGAGGAUUACAAAUCAAUUCAAGGACAAGUUGGGCGAAGGAGCCUAUGGAACUGUCUUUAAAGGAAUGCUCUCUUCUGAAUUCUUUAUUGCUGUCAAAGUCCUCAACAGUUCAAAGGGAGAUGGGGAAGAGUUCGUAAAUGAAGUGCGAACGAUGGGUCAUAUCCACCAUGUCAACGUGGCUCGCUUGGUUGGAUUUUGUGCUGAUGGAUUUGUACGAGCUCUUGUUUCCCUGCAGGAUUUUAUUUCAUCUGCAGAUAGUAAGAAUUCACUUCUUGGUUGGGAUAAGCUGCAAGAUAUUGCCCUAGGCAUAGCCAAAGGAAUUGAAUAUCUUCACCAAGGAUGCGAUCUACGAAUCCUGCAUUUCGAUAUCAAGCCCCAUAAUGUGUUGCUAGACCAAAACUUCACUCCAAAAAUUUCUGAUUUUGGUUUGGCCAAGUUAUGUUCCAAGGAUCAAAGCUUGGUGUCCAUAACUACAGCUAGGGGGACCAUGGGCUAUAUUGCACCUGAAGUGUUCUCCAGGAAUUUCGGAAAUGUGUCUUACAAGGCAGAUGUCUACAGCUUUGGAAUGCUGCUGCUUGAGAUGGUAGGAGGAAGGAAGAAUAUUGGUUCAACCACGGAGAACACUACAAAUGAAAUCUACUAUCCACAGUGGAUUUACAAUCUUCUAGAGGAAGGGGAUGACCUACGAAUCCGUAUUGGGCAAGAAGAAGAUGGUAAAAUUCCAAAGAAACUUGCUAUUAUAGGGUUAUGGUGUAUCCAAUGGCACCCGUCGGAUCGUCUUUCCAUGAAAACAGCCGUUCAGAUGUUAGAAGGAGGAGGAGGAGAAAGCUUGACCAUGCCGCCUAAUCCCUUCAUGCCUACAGGUCCUACAACUAGAAAUGCAAGACGCCUAGAGCGAGAAGCAAUUGCUGAAUUAGAGUAAAACGUAUAUGACAGAUAUGUAGAUUCGUAUUGAAUGUGUAAUGAUUCAAACCUAAAGGGAUAUUUUGAUAACCAUUUCAUUUUGGCACCAAACAAAAGAAAUUUGUUUCCACUCCAUGUUUAAGCAAUAGAUGCCGAUUAUUGUUUAUCAUUUAUUAAAUUUUAUUUUUGGUUACGGUAGAAGCCUAGAAGGCAAUCGAGCACCGGACUUACCAAAUUCUAACUCAUUUCUACACACCAAGAGCUUGAUUUCGGUUCUUAUUUUUACUAUUUAAGCUAUAAGCCGUGAUAAUAAUUAGAGCACUAUCAUUUGUUGUGAGCUUCAACUGGUUAUUUUGUAUGUUUUAAACUUUUAAUUAGAAUUUAUUUUUCACUUAGACUUAUCUUUCCGUAUGGCAUGCCAUCCCAACCCUAGUUUUUCUCCUCGCUUGGAGUUUGGGAUACGAAAACUUGCCAAACAAAGUAGAUUGAUUAGUAACCGAAGCUAAUUAUUCGACUGAAUAUUGUUUAGAAUUUUAAUUAACAGAAACAAUAUGAAUCUUUUUUGUUUGUUUUGAAAACUAGAGAUUAAAUUGUUACUUGUUAGAAGUAGAGUGAUUGGUAGACAUCGAAUCCUUACAUAAGUGCAUAGGCAUUAUUGCGUGAGGAUGACGUGAGGGCAAGGGAAGUAGCAGCAGACCGUGUGGGCUGCUGUGGUUCAUCUGCUCGGGUGACAGGAUAGCCUUUUUGACGAAAUUAUAAAGCGCAUAAACUUUUUGACCAAGAGAGUGGUCAACUAGGGGUGGGCACUUGAAAUCGAAAACCGAAACCGAAACAUGAACCAAAUCGGACCGCACCGAACGAUUUGGUUUUGCGGUUUUGAAACCGAACCGCAUUGUAGGAAACGGUUUGGUUUUGGUUUUGGCUUUUGAAAACCGCACCGAAACCGAAACCGUAUCUCAAAUUAUAUGCCAUGUUUUAAUUAGUUGUUUGUUAGAGUCCAUACAUUUAGUAUGUACAUGUCAUAAUAAUGAUUAUUUUUUCCAAGUUAUAUCCCUCAUCAAGCUUGGCAUCUCAAUGUUUCUUUACAGGAAAAGAAGAAAACUUUGUCACAGUUAUAUCCUUAGAACCCUAAUUUUCAAGUUUAGAAUGAUAGCCUAUAUAAUAUAUUAAUCAGAAAUGCAAAUGAAAACUCAAAAGGAACAAUGAGCAUCAAAUAAGAGUAGUCACAGAAGGAGAGAUACAAGACCGAAUCUCUAAUCAAGUAAUAAGUUGCAGCACUUCAUUUGGGUACUUUUUCCUGCUCACAGAGUUUAUCACUUGUGCAAGAGUUUAUCAUCUGUGCAAUUAGCUAGCUAGAGUAAAGAAAAGAAUUCUCAUGUGGGUGGUUAAUUAAUGUAUGUGUGGAAAAUGAGACUGUGGUAUGUGUAAAUAAGUAUAAAUUUUAAAUUGUAGAUUUUUUUUUCUAAAAAGCCAAACUUAAACCGUUUGAAACCGCACCGAACCGAUCGGUUUUGACUUUAAAACCGCACCGAACCGCACCACAAAAAGUUGUGAUUUCGGUUUUGGUUUCACUCAAAACCACACCGAACCAAACCGUGCCCACCCCUAUGGUCAACAAAUGGGACAUGGAUUCGUCGAAUCCAAAUCCUAAGAAUUCAUUAAUCUAUAUUAUUGAAAUUUGAUCAAAAGAUUAAAAUUAUUAUAAUUUUAAAAUAAGCUCGUAUUUGUAACUGUUGAAUCAACCUUUAAUGAUCCAGAUUGAUAAAUCCUUAAGAUUAGGAUGUAUGAAUCCGAAAAGGAUCAAUGUCCCAAAAAAUAUGCAACGUUUUGCAAGGGUAUUAAAUUUAUGAGUGGGAUAGACACAAAUAGCAGACCGUGUGGGGUGCUGUGGUUGAUCCACUAGGGUGGCAGGAUAGCCUUUUUGACCAAAUUAUAAAGCAGACUUUUUGACCAAGAGGGUGGCCAACAAAUAUGCAACGUUUUACACGGUAUUAAAUUUAUGACUGAGGAUUUGGAUCCUCUCCUGAGCUAAUGGAGAUGAUCUUCCUGACCAACCAUUAUGGGUUGUUGGAUUUUUAUCCAACGGUUAUAAUUAUUAUAACUUUAAAGGAACUCCCUUUUUAUAACCGUUGGAUAAAAAUCUAACAGUCCAUAAUGGUUGGUCAGGAUGAUCCUCUCCAUUGGCUCAGGAGAGGAUCCAAAUCAGAUGGACACAAGUAGCAGACCGUGUGGGGUGCUGUGGUUCCUCCACUAGGGUGGCAGGGUAACCUUUUUGACCAAAUUAUAAAGCAGACCUUUUUGACCAAGAGCGUGGCCAAUAAAUAUGCAACGUCUUGCACGGGUAUUAAAUUUAUGACUGGGAUGCACACUCAUCUUCUUCCUCAUUCGUUGUUUAUGUAAAAAAAUGUAAUAAAUUGUAAUAAUGAUCUUUCAACUUUAAUUAAAUUGAAACAAUAGUUUUUUAAUUAAAAUUCAUUAUUAUUAGUCUAUUAACUCAUUAAAACGUGUAGCUAUAGUCAUUUUCGUCAACUCCUUCAGAAUUCUGUCAAAAUAAGUUAUGUUGAAAGGACCAUUGCUAUAAUUGGGUUAAAGUUAGGGACCAUUGCUAUAAUUGGGUUAAAGUUAGGGACCAUUGCUCUAAUUGAGUUAAAUUUGAGGAAUCAUUUCUCUAGUUGGAUUACAGUUGAUGGAUCAUUGAUACAAUUUUUCUUAUUUGAUUUUUCAUUGUGCCCCUUGAUUUAGCCUCAAGUGCAUGACAUGUGACUAUUUUGACGGAAGUUCUAAUGGAGUUGACGAAAAUAAUCAUAGUUGCACGUUUUGAUGAGUUAAGAGACCAAUGAUAAUGAAUUUUUAGUUGAGGGAUCAUUGCUCCACUUAGAUUAAAAUUAAGAGAUCAUUACUAUAAUUUACUCUGAAAACUAAAGGCCUCCUAUUUUAGUUAUGUUUGUACCAUACUUGACCAAUCCCAAAACUACUGAGCACCGGUCAACGUUAUACCAUCAAGGAUCCAGAAGAGUUUCUCUCAAACCAGGAGGCCAAUCACAACACGACACAUGUCGAUAUCAAAAGCCAAUCAUAGCGCGACACGUGUCAACAUCAGAAGCCAAUCACAACACGACACGUGUCAAUGUCAGAACAAAACUAAAAACUCUCUUCUAUAAAAGGAGAUCAUUCUCCCUCAAUAUUUCCUAAUGUUCUUUGUACUAAAUCAUUCACUAGUACUGACUAAAUGAGAGUUUGAACCUAUGUACUUGUGUAAACCCUUCACAAUUAAUGAGAACUCCUCUACUCCGUGGACGUAGCCAAUCUAGGUAAACCACGUAUAUCUUGUGUUUGCUUCCCUGUCUCUAUCCAUUUACAUACUUAUCCACACUAGUGACCGAAGCAAUCUAACGAAGGUCACAAACUUAACACUUUCUGUUAUACCAAAGUCCUCACUGAUUUUGUGCAUCAACAAGUUGCAUUGGAGAAUCCUUUCAACCAUCCAAAUCCAAAACAUGGAUCUAAGGAGCCAAGAAACAAAGAGGAGUUCGUCCAUAUUCAUGGAUACAAGAAGCUAUGAGCAAGGGAAUGAGGACCUCACUUUGGGUGACUAUCAUUUACUUCUGCAAAGAGGACCUACAAAAAUAUAAAGUCAACUCACUUUGCUUUGAAUUUGAGUUGAGUCUUUGACUAACUACUAGACUCUGAAUUUCAUGAGUUAAGUUUUGUUUUUGAAUGCAUAUAAGCAUGCUAGAGCCUUUAAUUGUUAAUUACAUGUAUAUGUGUUGCUCAAAUGAACUUAGUUUAUCAAAUUUUUCUCUCAAGACCAAGGUAUUAAAUAUCGAUGAUAUCGGAAAUAUCGGUAGUCCAAAAACACGGAAAUAUCGAUGGAAAUAUCGAUGGAAAUAUCGGGAUAUUAUCGAUAUCGAUAAAAAUAAUAUGGAAACCACGGAAAUUGUAAGAAAAACUUGGAAAUUUUUAUUGAAACUUUGCAGAAUGUUUAUUUAGUCAAUUAUCUAUUAGUUUAUCACAAAAAUUUGGAAGGAAAUGCAUUGCAUGAUGGAUUUAACUGAUUUAAGUUGAUUAUAUAGCGAGCUGGCAAACAUUGUGAGUGUAGAAAAUAUGUAGUAAUUAAUGAAAGAAGUUUAAACACACCAUAAUCAUUUAUAUAUAAUGAAUUAGUACAAUAUUUUACACUUUAUACAUUGCAUGGUAAGAUACAUGAGUGACUAAGUACCACAUAGAGUUCCUAUGAGGUUCAAAAUUUUCACUAUCUUCAUCAUCUCUAUGUGUAGAGUAAGUGUAUUGUGAAGAGUAGUCAGCAACCAUGGCAAUGGCUUUCAAGAACCGAAAUCCAAAAGUCAAUAGGAAACCGAAUACUUCGGUAUUUUUCGGGAUUUCGGGAUUACCAAACAAAUGGGAUUUGGAAACCAAUCCCAUAUCGAAAAUUUCGGUAUUUUUCGGGAUGGGAUUCCCGAACUUCGGGAUGGUUUUGGUUUGGGAUUUUUCGGUUUGGGUUUGGGACUUUUUCGGUUUGGUUUGGGAUUUUCGGGAAUUUUUUCCAACCCUACAUGUAAGUGACCAAAUAAAAAAUAGAAAAAUUAAAAACCACAUGCCAUUGACUAAGUAAUUAAUUGACACAAUUUAAAAUAUAAUACCACAAAAAAUUUGGAAUAUGUGCAAAUUUGUUUCUUGCAAAAAGAAUUCAAAACAAAACCAUAUAUAUAAAUAUUUUAGCAUGUUUUCACAAAAACAUAAGUGGUAUAGUGGUCAAGGCGCUGAAGGAGUUAGAUGGGAGGGGUUUGAAUCCCUCUAUGUGCAUGUUUGAGACUUUUCAGAAAUUUUCAAAUAUUUUUAGGUUCAUCUCGCGAUAAUAUCGAUAUUAUCGCGAUAUAUUAGCGAUAAUUAAAGGAAUACUCGUGAAAUAUCGUUAUAUGAAAAAAACGAUAAUAUCGGCGAUGUUUCGCUGAUAUUAUCGAUAUUUUCUUCUAUGUUCAAGACCAACUUCUAUGGCAUGCGUGGUGUGUUUGAGACUUUUCAGAAAUUUUCAAAUAUUUUUAGGUUCAUCUCGCGAUAAUAUCGAUAUUAUCGCGAUAUAUUAGCGAUGAUUAAAGGAAUACUCGUGAAAUAUCGUUAUAUGAAAAAAAACGAUAAUAUCGGCGAUAUUUCGCUGAUAUUAUCGAUAUUUUCUUCUAUGUUCAAGACCAACUUCUAUGGCAUGCGUGGUGUCUCAUGCCAAUCACACAAAUGUUAUGUAAAAAGAAUUUACACGUUGUGUUGCAUGAUUGACAAUUAACGACACAAUAGUGUUAUAACCGUGUCAAUGUUAUGAAAGUUUUUAUGCAAAGUCACUUGAUAUGCCGCAACAAUUAGUAAACAAUAUUAGAAAGACCUAGAGGAACCCACAAUUAAUUCCAAUUCAUUAAGUAGCUCAUGUGCAAGCAAAGUAUGGGCUUCCCAUGGGCAGGAGCUGGAAUUUACCCAUAUUUGGUAGUUAUGUAGCAUUAUACGAGGAGCCUGCUCAGCAUUCAAUAUGUUCACCCACAUGAUGUUGAGUGUAAUCCUUCUUAAGGUUCAACGAUAUUGUUUCUAUUAACAAAUAUAAAUAAAAAAAUAAGCGAAAUACUAGAGAGAUUACACGUUUAUAUUACAUUGUUGUACCAUAUUGUGAUAUGGCUGUGUACAUACCACGUCUUGUAAUGAGUUUAUCUCAUUAGAUGUUAGACUGUUGGUUAUUUGUAUUACUUAUUACAUCAUAUGGUACAUCAAUGUGGUAUAAAUAUGCAAUCUCUCCAACAUUACCCUUAGGAAAAUUUUAUUUGAACCCAUCUAACCUCUUUCUACACCCAACUUAAAUUCUAAAUGUGAAUUGUCUAUUUUAUCCUAAUGCAUAAUUACCAUCAAGUACAAGAUGAAAUUAAGAAUAAAACUAAAAUUUAUCAAUAAACCCAUACUCAAUAAUUAAGUUCUACCAUCACACAAUUUUUAUCCUACAUUCAUUUUGAAUAAAUUCCUAAGGGCUGCAAUAAAACCCUACGAUCACCUAAUAAUCAAAUCCGGUUGCUUUUUGUUUCCUCUCUAGCUUCAUGUUAACUCGAUCAGUAAAAACAAAGUAUUCAAAGUAUUCAUGUAUAAAAUAAGCCAACUUGGACUGGACUUGCUAUAAACCUAAAAACAUAAGCAGAAUCCCAGUUGCUAAUUCCACAAGAACUCGACUUGCGACCAUUCAAAACCCAAUAAAAAUUCAAGAAAACCAGAACUUACCAAGUGAACGUUGACGGCUGAGCCAGAGCAGCAACGACGAAAGGAAGCAUUGCAGAUAAGACCUGAGACGACGAGCCGUCGGAAGCCCCUUUGGAUAUUUCAGCUGAUGGGUUUAUCCCAAACGACAGCAUCAACGCGUUGCCUUCCUUCCUCUGCGACCCGACUCUGCUGAUGUGCAAUGUGCUUACUCUUGUAAUCACUCCAUGUGCCAUGUGCAAACAAUCGAAGCACAUCGAGGUAGACAUAAUUUUCAGUUCCUUCAAGCUGCACAUAUUCCACAGUAAAAAAACAAAUGCAUAUGAAACAAGACCCUAUAACAAUCAACAAUUUUAUUUUGACUUUGGCUGCAACAAAAUUCUGAUUAUACAUCCUUUGCUCAAAUCCAGAAACUACACCACCAAAAUAUACACAGAAAAAUGAAACUUCCACAAUAAAUAAAUAGAAACAUGGGAACCUGAAGAACAUUAGGGACAUCGAUAAUUUCCGAAAAGGCAAAAAGGGCAGGGUGGGAGGUGACUUCUGCGACGAGGGGGCCGAGGGCGGAGCCAUCGAGUGAUGAGGCUUGCUUCACGAAGUGAUCAAAGGCCUCCUCUUGCUUUUGCUUUCUAAAAGGGUGUAAAGAUGAAUUUUUAUAUAUUGAAUUGAGUUUGUGAGGGUAGUUUAGAUAGUAAUUUGGGUUUAGAGAGAAAUUGAUUCUUUAAUUAAAAAUAAUAUGGGUGUAAAGAAUAAGUUAGGUGUAGCAAGAAGUUGUAUGGGUUCAAAUAAAAUUUCCCUUACCCUUAUCAGAAACCCUAAAAGACAAGAAAUGCUCUAUACUAAGACGUGUUUAUCAAACCGGAAUGAAAGUGUAGGAAAUGGAAUUGCACGAACUCCAAGUCAUUUUAGUGUUUACUAAACCAGAGGGAAUCAACAUUCAGGUGGGACCCACCCAAAAUCCGGAAUACAAUUCCUUAAAUACCCGGAAAUGGAUUCUUGACUUGGGAGGUGGGAAUUGAGUUCCUGAAAAUAGAUUCAUCAGGGAUCCAAGUUUUCUACCCAUACUAUCCUCAUGCUUUUUUGGUAAACCCAAAUAUCCCUCACAAUUUCACCUCCCCAGUUCCAUGACCAGUGUAUAGACCCAUCUCUCUUCUCCCCAAUCCCACCAUUUCCUAACAGAGGAGCUUCGACUCCAGUGAAAUCCCGACCCCUUUCUCCUUGCCCCGUCGCCGCAGACUAUCCAAAAUACAUGCAUGAACGCACAAAGAGAGGGGAAAAUGUAUGGCGUGGCCGCAUGGUCAUCUAAAAACAGGGGGUGGGGACGGUUGUGAUAGGUGGUGAGGAGCUGGGUUUGGGGAUGUAGGGGGGAGAAGAUGGCAUCGCAGCUUUUUGUGUUUUGGGUUUUUUUAUGUUAUUUUAUAUUUUUAAUAAAUUUGUUAAUUAUUUAUUUUGCUGAAUAGUUAUGUUUUCAUGUAGCUAAUUGGAUUUUAUGAGCAUAUGUGGUUAUCAAAAUUAACCAUUAACUAGCAUAUAAAAAUAUAAUUUAUAACAAGGGCAAUUUAGUAAUCAAAUAGGUUUCAAUUCCGAUUCAUGUGAGUGAGUAAAUAAUUUUUAUGUAAUCAAUAUCAUUUUUAUUCCGAUUCCAGAUAGUUUAGUAAACAGAUUCAACAUGAAUCCAAUUCUAAUUCCACUUCAUUCCAUCUUCUUCUCAAUUCAAUUCAAUUCCUCAUACUCUGAUUACGGAUUAGUAAACGGGUCAUAAAACGGAAAGAGAAAAACAUUGUUCAUAACCAACAGUGUUUUUACUUUUUUGCCCUCAUUUUUAAUGUUUCUGUGUUCCCACUUUUAUGCCUCUAUACAGUGAAAUCCCCAAUUGCCCUAUGGGCAUAGGUGUGUAAAAAAAUUGUUUUGCACACGUGGCAUGCUAGGGAGAUUUCUCUGCUGCACCGUUUCCUUCCAGCUCCACUCCGAAUCGAUACUGAAUACUGCUCAACCAAAUUUUUUCAUCAUUUCAUUCCGUCCUUGUCAACCUCUUCAUUCUUGCUCCACCAUGAAUCGAAACAAAAAAUUGCUCAUCCAAAUCAAUUUCAGUUAACUCAAAUCCCUAAAACCCAAAUUUCUCCAGAUCUUUGGAUUUAGUUUACUUUUUGUUGUUGCGUAAAGCUUAAAUUUACGUACAAUUUUUUUAUUUUCUUGAUUGGAAUUUGGAAAGAAUCAAUUGUUCUUUGAAGGAAUUACAGAAAAUUGGAAAGGGGAAAUGGGAAAUGGGAAAGCGAGGAAAUGCGGGCAAAUGGGUUUUGGGAAAAUGACUUUUUUUUUUGGCAUUCGCUUUUGGCUUUCAUCCUUUCUGCGUUUGCUUUUCCUCAUUUUUUUUCUCAAGAACCAAACAUAAAAUAAAAAGAACCUAGAAAAAAGAAAAGGAAAAUCACAAGAUUAAGAAUCUGGGAUUGCAACAAUGGAGCUUCUGUGCCGAAAUAUCAAUUGGGUUCCGUUUGAUCUUCGGUGCUUCUUCUGCAUUCAAAAAGUUGGGGUUUUUUUGCGUGAUGGGAACACAUUUCCAAAUUCGACCUCAAUCCCAAAGGAACCAUCCACCAAAUAACCCUUCCUCCCUUUCUAUUUCUCUCUCUGUAAUUUCCCCUGACCGAAUCACACAAUCCAACCAACUCUCUGUGUAAGGCUGCCUCACAAAUUCCAUGGAUUUCAUGGACUUACCCUCUCUAUGAGCCUCCCUCGCCGAAUCCAACUAAUUUCCUUAGGCCCGUUUGGGAUUGAGGUGAUUUUAAAAAAAGCAAUUGUGAAAAAAAGCUGAGGGUCAUUUUUGUGUUUGGUAAACUGAAAAAAAAUGGCUUAUUUUGAAAGCUGCUGUGAGAAUAAGCUGAAAAUCAAAGGAAAAGCUGAAGCUGCUAUUUGCUGCUUUGAAAAAAAGCCAGUUUUUUCAAAGCACACGGAGCUACAAUGCUCCUUUAAUGAAAAGACACACUAUCAUCCUGCUUUUUUUUCCAAAAGCACUUUCACAAAAAAGUUUACCAAACACUCUACUGGCUUUAUUUCACAGCCGCUUAUUCUCACAGCAGCUUUUUUUCAAAGCACAGCAAUACCAAACCAGCCCUAAUUCCAUCGAUAGCCACACCCACCCCUCCCAACUGAAAAUGACAAUAAUGCCCACCCAACUUUUAUUCUCUGCCUUUAGAUCUCAAAUUAAAAUGGGUAAUAAAGUCCUUUUCACACCAAUACCCGCUAUUUAACAGCUCAAAUGUACACAACCCAAACAAACACAUGGCCUAAAGGGCCUACCCCAGACCCCCGGCCCAAAAAUAUAAAGGAAAACUAAUGAAAAUUGCUUGAAAACUUUGAGUUUUAAUGAUAAGGACAAAAUAAAGGGUAAAGUGAAUAGUACCAGGAUUGACUUUUUAGUGUAAAAAUGUGGUUUUUCGUUAAAGUGAACAGUACCGGGUGCUUUUCGUUAAAGUUCCCAAAAAAUAAUUGGAAAAAGAAGUGGCAAUUUGGUAAAUAAAAUGUUACCUUUUCCAUUGCCCAUUCCUUUUGGAAAAAGAAAUGAAAUUAAAACUCUUCAUUUAAAAUGGUCUUAAGCCAAAUUGUAUUGAAUGUGAAGCAGAGGGUAAGAGGUGUAGAUUGUAGAACAAUUACACCUAGAGCGAAAUUGAAUUUGUUGACAGGAGGAAACCAAGUAAGGAUAACGCGUCUAAAUCUUAUUUCGCAUCUAUUCUGCUCAUGAUUUUUCUGCUUUCAUGUAAUUAGCGGCUUAUAUUUGUGGUAACGAUAUUGAUUAAUUUCGAGAAAUGACAGUCUAAUUUUCGCAACUGUCUUUUGCAGGUAAAACAAAGACGGUCUAAUUUUCGCAACUGUCUUUUGCAGGCAAAACAAUGACAGUCUAAUAUUCGCAACUGCCUCCUACAGUUAGAAGCAAUUGUUGAAUUAGAGUAACACUAGAAAAUGCACCCGCGCUUUGCUGCAAGCAUUGAAUAAUUAGUCACAACAUUCAUGAAUAGCAUUCCAAUAAAGCAACUAAAAAGACGUCGUAAUACGUAAGAACCAUCGAAGUCAAAUUUUGCUUGCUAUAUAUGGAUAUGCAUGCUAUAAGAAACAUCUAUUUAUAGAUUGUAUUGUGUCAUCAAUAUCAUAGUUGCAAGUAAUCAGCCUACUACAUGGAAGAAAAACACAGAAAAGGGAAAGUAGAAAAGUAGAAACAUAAUACUUGAGUACCUGGCAAGAAUAGUAAGUUCUUGAAAAAAUUGCUAAACCGUCUAACAAAUUCAAUCGUUAAACGUUAUACUGUAACCCAAGACAAAAAUAAAGUAUAUUGUUUGUUUACAAAUCAAAACGAAGUGCUGCUACAAUCCUCAACAGCUAUGAAUCAUUUUCAAAUAAAGAUACUCAGAUUUGACGGCACAUCAAAUAACCACCAAGCGAAGCAAAUUACGCCAUGUGCUAAUAAGAAACUAAAACAAAAGCAAGAUUAAAUAUCGAAAUUUUUUUAUAAGGCAUCAAUUGACAAAAUGCUUCUUAAUGUGGUCUUCCAAGAAAUGAAUGCAGCUCACAAACAACUUAGAAAUCAUUGUCACCUCAAUCUUACUAAAUAGAAGCAUAAAUGGACAUGAUAGCUCCCUAAUUUUGUAAUAGAAACUCUAACAAAGAAUAUCAGGCUCCAAAGGCCCUAACUUUUCCUAGGCAUAAAUCUAUACAUUGCAAGUUUAAUUCCAACGAAGCAAAUAUGCGUGCAAAGUAAAAGGCAUCAACACUACAUGUACUGCUUACAAUCGUCUCAAGUUGCUGACAACAACAACAACAACAACAACAACAAAGCUUUUUCCCACUAAGUGGGGUCAGCUAUAUGAAUCCUAGAACGCCAUUGCGCUCGGUUUUGUGUCAUGUCCUCCGUUAGAACGCCAUUGCGCUCGUCUCAAGUUGCUGACACAAUGUUUAAAAUAUUCCAAGACUCAAAGAUUUUCACACAAAUAGAGCACCUUACCAAAACAAUAACCGAGGUUGUCGUAUUUGAAUCAAGCAGAUGCUUUGCAAGGCCUUCUUCAAUAUCGUCUCAUAUUCCCUUUUCAUUUUUCGUAUAUGAUACAAUAAACUAUUCAAAUCUAGACAUAAAUAAGAGAAUCUGCUACACCCUACUAUCACAAUUGUCAGUCCUGAACAAUAAUGCAAGUCUAGUGGCAAAAACCACCUCAAUGAACAACUCACACACACUGAUCAUACAUCUCUAACUCUCUUUUUCAAAUAACACACACUCUGAUCCAAAACAGGGUAAAUAAAAUGCACAUCCUUAUACAUUUCUAACUUUCUUUUUCGAAAUCCAAAAUAGGGUAUUCUAACUCUCUUUUUCAUUCAUUUCUUACAAACCAAUCAUACAUUUAAAAUAGGCUUUGAAUAAAAAUAGGGUAUAUAAUUAUAUACCUCAAAAUGCCUAGGAACCAACUUCCCCCUCCAACGAUUCAAAUUCUUGAAAUUGCCAACACAGUAAAUCCAUUAGUACUAUAUAAAUGAAAACACAAUUGAAACCCAUCAAACAAAACAAUCCCACAAUUUAAAUGAUUCAAUCCUACUACAAUUGAAAUUCACAGAAAGAAUGAAAAACCAGAACAAAACUGCAGCACCUAAAAAGUUGUCAUACAAAAAAACAUGGAAUGUAAAAAUAUGUUAAGAAAUCUAGUUCGUUAAUUUCCAGCUGCUAAGUGGCAUUAUGUAACUUUAGUAGUAUAACUAAUUAACUACUUAUCUGGUGGGUUGCACUUCUAUCCAAUUGGUAAGGAAAGGAAAAUAAAAAUCAACCCCUUGGUCUUAGUUGUGGCUGCAAAGUGCAGGCCACCACCAAGUCUCAGUGUUUGUGUUUUAGCAAAACACUUAAAUAAAUUAAAUUCUGAAAUGUAAAUUAUAUUCCUAUAACUUUAAGAUGCACAUAUAGUAUUGUUGAAGUCGAACUGAAAGCACUGACAAUUCCAAGCAACAGAGCAGCAAUUAUUAAGAGCCAAAACUCAUUCCUAGUCUCCUCAUCCUGGUACUCAACUCUAAUCUUCGGUCAGCAUCAUUGACUGAAAUUAGGAGAGAAAAAGAAAAGGAAUUUCAGAAAUUGUCUAUGAAGCAAAGGAUACUGCAGUUACUUCAAGACAUGUAAAUUGCAUAUGUAUAAAGUAAUUUUCUACAUAAAGGAAUGAGGCAUAACUUUCUCUCUCCUCUUCAAACCCUAAACAGUGCAAAGCCACAAACUUUACAGAGAUUAGAAUGAGAACUGGAAUUAAUAGAACAAUGACUGAAAAGUAACAUACUUGAGGAGUGAAUGAUUUAGUGUUUCCAUCAUCGGAACGCCGGAGUAAGUCGCUAAGAGAGGUCGCAAACAGCCCAAAGGGACAAACCCAGACCCCCGGCCCCGAUCCAUACCCUUCCCCCUCAAAUCCCGACGGCCCCCAUACUUUUCUCUGACUGUACACCCUCUCCCACUCAUGAAAUCGAGGAUCUGCAGCAAUGGUACUGAGAUCCCCACUCCUCCCUCUCCCUUUCUCUCUGUCGCUCUGUCUCCCUCUCCCACUGUCUGUCUAUCUUUAUCCCAGAGCGGCAUGGUCUCCCAUCCCUGAAACCCUCACCGAAAGGUGGCAAUUUUGUAAAUAACUUGAAAUCCACCAACAGCAGGAGCAGAGAAUUGAAACAAACAUUUAGGCUCGUUCGAUAACCAUUUAGGCCAAAACUGAGCACACCUAAACCAUUCCUACUCGUGCCAAAUGUUAGUGGGGAAGCAAGAUGAUGACUUUAUUGUUCAAAACCAAAAGAAAAAAAGAGAGAAAACAAAAUAACAAAUCUAAUGGUUGUAGUGUAAAAGCUGAGAACGUAAAUAAACAUGCAGAGAAAAAAAUUGAAGAUACAAAGUAGCUGCAUCAUGAAACACUUACUCCAAUUAGACGCAAAAAGUGAUGGUGAUGAGAAGAGAGAGAAAAUGCAAUCGUUUUGAUUUUUCUGGCUUUUAAAGGGAGCAGCUUUCUUCGACCACCCAAAAAAGGAAGCUGCUUCGUAUGGUUGUGAUUUCCUGAGUGUAUGUGAGCGGGUCUAUGGCACUUGCACUUUUUGUGUCGGUUACGGUAACCGGGCGAGCUGAACACGGCGGCAUGGGACUGAAUUCGGAGAGGUGAGAAAAAUUAAAAACACAAAAAGAAGGUGUUCAUUUUGUCACAUUUUUAUUACUAAAAAUUCAAUAAAGUACAUUCAUUAGUAUGGUAACUUAACUAUUUAAUUCCAUCUCAUUAAACUAAAAAAAACAAUUACAAAAAAAUAAGGGAAACCUUGUCCAAAGAGACCUGAGAGAAAGUGACGACUUCUCCUCUCAUUCCACUCCAUACUUGAUCUCUAAAGUCCAUUUGGCAUGUAAUUGAUGUUCAAUUUCAAAUUUAGUGGUAGCAAUUAGCAAAGCUAAUGAAAGAAUCAAAUAAAAUGAAAGAAAAAGCAUCAUGAAAUAAAUCAAGAUGAAGAAUGAAAUUUUGGCAACUCCCCAUUCUCUUCUUUUAUAUAAAAGAUACAUCCUAUUUGUAGUGAAAACAGGUCCCGACAAGCCCAUUUAUCCUCAAGAAGUAUUUUCUAUGACUUUAAAAACAUAAUCUGUGAAAUUAUCUCUUGGCAGAGAACAACAACAAAUCUUCAUGCAUAGCUUGUAGAGAAAGACAUCAGGCAUACAAAAGAACACGCAAGCAUAAAAUAAACGACGCAGGGAAAACAAAAAAUACAAUUAAAUACGCUGUCAAAAGAACAUGAAUAAAUGAAAAUUACAAAACAAAGAAGUGAUGAGAAACCAAAGUACCCAUUUCAUAAUCUAAUUGUUUUUUAGUUUGCUGCCAGCCAUCCCUGAGUAAUGCAUUCACUUCUGAACCCCAAACACACUGAAACAAAAAUUCACACACAUGAACUACAACUCCGCUAUGUAACAAGAAUUAAAAGCAUCUCAAAACAAAAUGGCAAACUAUAAGAGCACUGUAAAAGUAAAAUUGCAAGAAAUCUAAUACUUGGAGGGCAAGUACUAAUCAGACGAAAAUGAAAGAUUGAACUACUUCGCGUGGAACUGUGCCUUGGUUUUUUCCCAUGCUUACAGGAAGCUUUGCACUGAGCCCUUAUAGCCCAAAUUUUCUCUGAAGGAAAAAAAAACACAAUUUUGAAAUAAGAUUUUCAUAUUAUACCUUAAAGAGAAGAAUUAGACAACAAAAAAGAGAAGAAUUAGACAACAAAAAAGAGAAGAAUGAGUACUAUUCAUCAUAUAUUGUUAGAGUAUGUGGUCCUCUGGUCCAAUGGUCCUGCAGCCAUAUUUACUUUAUAACUCUUUCUUUUAGUCUUAAAAACAUCUUGGAUCUCAAAUUAACAUGUUAGCUAUGCGUUAGAACAUAUUGGGUUCAAUCCAUUGUCUUGAAUAUCACCCCCAGUCACAGCUGUCUCUUCGGGGCAUACAGAAGGCCUGAGAGGCAUUUGCAGACAUUCAAUAUCUGCUCCAAGCAUUUCGACAACUUUGGACAACGAAGGGCAAUCACUUGGUUUCAUUUGAAUACACACAAGGCGGUUAUAACCAUCUUUCUUAUCACUUUCUUUUCAUCCUCUGUAACAUUGUCUAUUUCCAAGUCAUUUCCCACAAUAUAUUGAUCAUAUACCCAUAACGGGAAAUAGAUUUGGCUUGGAUGCUCUACCGUUGCAUUCAAAUUCUUCCUUCUGCUUGCCAUUUCCAUCAACAACAUUCCAAAACUAUAGACAUCGGCCUUGUAUGAGACACCUCUAAUAUUUUUGUAGAACAACUCAGGAGCAAUAUAUCUCAUUGUACCCCGUGCUGCCGUCAAAGAGACAAUGCUAUUAUCUACUGGAUACAAUUUUGCAAGCCCAAAGUCAGAAACCUUUGUGUUUGCACUCAAAAUAUACCCAUUUUUACUUAUUUGGGCAAUUUGGGUAAAAUAUGGUAUUUGAAGGAUUAAUAUGCAAGAAAACUAACUUGGAAAGAUAUUUGGCUGCAAGUGGGGGGGGUUUGGCACUAUAAUAUUGUUUUUCCCAUUUGUUUAGGUGGUGGAGGUUUGUCAAGCCUUUGUUUAAUCAAGAUACAUGCAUGUAUUGCAAGUGGAUGGGAGAGCUUUCGGGCAAGAACGUGUAGUGAAAGAAGCUAGUUUGCUUCUUUUAAUUAUUUUAUUGCAAGUGGGAAAAUACAUGUGGUGGAGAUGCAACUUGCUUCUUUUUUAAUUGUUAGUUUAUUACAAGUGGGGAAACAUGUGCUAAAAACAUGUGGUGGAGAUGCAAGUUUCCCUUUUAAUAUUGUUUCUACAUGCAAGUUGGCAAAUGCAAAUGCAAGCUGCCCAAGCUUCUUUCGGGCAGGUACAAAGAUCUUAGCAAGGGGGCUCUUCCAGACCUCUAUAUAAAGAAGCAGAUGGAGAAGGAUUAUGGACACUCAAAACAACCAAUCAAAACUCUACUCAAAUUAGCUCAUCAGCUUCCUUGUAGACAUUUAUUUUUAGCCAAGCAUCCUUUGCUUUUCUUGUUUAUUAGCUCUGCUACUCACUUGUAGUAUCGAUCUUAUUUGUAGCUUUUAUGUACAACCCUCUUUCAGUCAUUUAAUCUACAAGCAAUCUGCAAUAUUAGUCACUUUCCUCUGUCAUUUAUAUUUCCAAGCAACCUUGUCAUUUACAUAUUGUUCUAUCUCUCCAUAUAAGUAAAGUCCUUAUUUUUAAGGCAAACAAAGAACCUUAAUUUGAGUAACUCUCACUCAAUGGCACAAUCUCUUGGUUCGAAGUCAAUCUCAGGCGCAACCUCAAUCAUUCAGAAUCUGUCUACUAACGGUAUCUAGUAGUGGCAUGCCCGCACCCCACCAAUCUCGUAUGUGAAGUAAAUCCCCGGCUUGCCCGCAAGGCGCCAUGGCGAAUUUAGGGAGCAAACAUAUUUUGGCACACCCGGUGGGAUACCUUAAAUAGAGUUAUAUUAUGAGCAAUCCUUAUGUUCAUGAUUUUUCUCAAUAUGCUUUUUCGGAGUAUGAGGAGGAUGACGGUGUUGAAGAGCGCCCAAGCUAUGGCUAUCACAUAGAGCCAACCUAUGAGUUGUCAACUUAUGGGUACAUGGCUGAAAAGUACUCAAGUCCCAUGGAACAUGAUUGUCGGCCAACUAAUGGCCAUCAAAUAAAUAAUAAUCUUGAAGAUUGGCCAACUUAUGGCUAUGAUGAAGGUUAUUAUUCUUUUGAAGACAAUCAUAUUCAUGAAUACUAUGAUAGGCCAACAAAUGGCUUUGAGUAUCAAAAUGCUUCCAAUGAGUACAUAGAGCCAAUAUAUGAGAUACCAACUCAUGAUCAUCCAGAUGAAAAGCUCUACAAAGAGGAUGUGGGCAAAUUAGAGAAGGUGUCCAAACUCCAUGUGGCAAGCAUCGAUAUGGUGAAGAGGUGACCAAGUGUUUUAGAAAGGUGGAGGAAAGCUAUACCACUUUUGGAGAAACUUUGAGAAAGUUGAUAGAUCAAAUGUGUCAAAUCCCCUCUACAAAGCACACUCACCCUACUACAACCAAGGAAGAACAAAUCAUACACGUUGAUGAAGGCCAAACAAUGGCCCCACCCAAUGAAAAAUCCAUGAAAAUGGAUAUGGUUGUAGAAGGCCAAGCCGACAUAUUGAAACCGAUAACGGCUAAGAUGGAGCUUAUGGCUAUUGUAGGCCAAACACCAACGCUCGGGGGGCUCGAACUCACACCUCAUGUGGAGCCCGAAGAAGAAGAAAAUAUUUCCCACUCUCUUCUCCGCCAACACAAGCAUGUCAUCCAUACCAAGAUCUCAAGAAGGGCAAAGCUUGGGAUCAAACAUAAAUGGCCACCUCCUAUUGUUUCCAAGCUAUAUGGUAUGGCUAAUUUAAAUGGUGGAUCUAAUCUCUCUACACUCAAUUUUAAAAAGAGAAAAAGAUUUGAGUGUUAAGAGAUAUCUGGGCAAUCAAGGGGCUUAACCAAUAUGCCCAAGUGGGGCUUAUUUUGUUGUUUCCUCUUUUGCCUGAAGUUGAACUCCCAGUCUUCCUUUUCUUCUUUCCUUCUCUCUUUCCUUUUCUUUCUCUCCUGUUUCCUUUUGCCCGAAAGUAGGUGCCAAAUCCCUCCUCUAUUCCUUUUUCUUUAUUUCUUUCUCUUUGUCUUAUCUUGUCUUUCACUUUUCCCAAAAGGGCUAUAUAUAUACAGAGAGCUUAAGGGGAGGGAUCCCCAUUUUUUGAAAAAAAUGGGGAUUAGGUGUGGGGCCCACUUCACAUUGAACUUCAACAAUCCGAACCGUCUAUUUUGUUAGUCUCGAUUCAUAGAUCAUCCUUGCAAAAAUUCAAUUCAAUCCGAAACCAUUUGCCUAUUUAAUUAUCAAGAUCAAAUUUCAUUUUUUCUUAUAUAACAAAGUAUUCGUUUAUUUCAUUGAACCCAAUUAGAUGUCUUAAACAUUUCCAAUUUAGCUAAUAUUUUGCAAGGAUGAUCUAUGAAUCGAGACUAACAAAAUAGAUAGUUCGGAUCGUUGAAAUUCGAUGUGAAGUGGGCCCCACACCUAAUCCCUAUUUUUUUCAAAAAAUGGGGAUCCCUCCCCUUAAGCUCUAUAUAUAUAUAUAUAUAUAUAUAUAUAUAUAUUAUAUGUGAAAAGAGGGGAAUGGAAGUACUUUGCCCGAGUGGGCUUGUUAUAUAUAUUAUUUUAUAUAUUAUAUUAUAUUAUAGUUUUGAAAGUCAUUCAAAAAAAAAAAAAAAAAAAAAUCUGAGCAGUUUGCCCGAUUCCCUUUUCUUCAAAAUUUGCCCAAAUUGGUUCUUUCUUUUACUUUGGUCUGUGUUACCCGAGAGGGCUUUGUCCCUUUUUGUUUCUCUUGCUUUGGUUGCCUGACAGUCUUCCCUUUUAUUUGUUCUUUCACUUUUUCCAGCCAACCCAACAGGGCCUUUAAUUUCCUUUUUCUGUUUGCCCGAAAGGGCUCUGUUUUUUUGUGUGUUUCUUGUGCUGUUACAAAGAAAAAGAUAUAAAAAUUAAAAAUUCCAAAAAUCACAAAAACAUUUUGCUUUCUUGCUUUUGUUUUUUCUUGCUUUCUUUCCUUUUUUGUUUUCUUGCUGGGGAACUUUACAGAAAAUAUCAAAAAGUUGGGCAGCUUGUGAGUAGCCAUUUUUACCUUUCUUUCCACUUUUCUCUUAUCCAAUGAGUGUAUUUAGCCCGAACCCAAAAGUUGAAAUUAGAAAACCAUCUAGUGGCUGUACCCAAAUUCAUGGAAUGAGGAGUUUCAUAAAAAGCCGAAUCUAUGGCUUUCUUGCUGAAAAGCAUGUCAUCUGUGUCUCAAUGGCUAUUGCAAGAAAGCAUGGGGCUAUCUUGCCCAACUGGUGGUGCCCGAUGGAACCAUAACCAUGCCUGACGGUAAUGACGUCUUCCCUACUCACCACCAACAGACUCUGCAUGUCUCCCUAACGCUCACCAGUUCCUACAACCAAGGGUCGGGCUACUUUGACGACUACCAUUAGAGGCUACAGUAAGAGCUUUUGAUGUGGCUACUAUUAAUCACUGGAGACUAGUUUUCAUGGGUAAGAAAAUAGAAAAAUGGAGCUGCAUCUAAAUGUGAAAUCCGAAAGCUGGAGGAAGAUGACAGAAAAUUAUGUUGCUGUUGCCCGAGGAUGCUACAAUCUUGCCCGAUGAGCAUGACAUCUUCUCUGUUGCAAUUUGUUUAGAUGUUGUCAAUCAUAUAUGGGGCCCCAUGCUUGAUCUGGCAAACGUAUUUGAAGUGUUCAUGCCACUACAACCAGCAAUAAAUCAAGACCAGAUCUCUGAAGGAUUCUGCAGAUCGGUCGGUUCACUCAGACAUAACCACCUCCCUCCGAGCGGAACAAAAGCAACAGUGCAAAGUAGACAGCAUUACCUUGAUUUGGGAAGCAGAAUUCUGAACCUCAAGCAGGAUCUCUUGAUACGCAGGAGUUGGAGUAAGGAAACAAUGGCAGCCAACAUAAUAGCCGCAGCUUCGAAGCCAGACCUACCCGGCCUUCGGUCGUCAUCUUUAACCCCUUGGAGCUUCACCACUGGUUGAAGGAAGUAUGCAGAAAUUUACCUUUGCAGACGGAGCUUGGUUUACAUUUGCCCAGUUAAAAAGGAGGAGGAAGGGAUUGGAUCUCCAACAAACACUAAUAGCUUUCCGUUCUUUCUGCAACAAUCAAUUUUCAUGAUCCGUGGACUUGGGUUAUUUUCUUCACGCACGCACAAGGCAUACCCUUUCAUAGCUCCAGGAAAAAUCACCACUCUCUUCUCAUUUGACCAGCAGCUCUCUCUCUCUCUCUCAGACUUGGAUUAUGGUUGCCGCACCUUGAUCUUUAAGUGAUACCUCGAACAGAGAAACAACUUCUCUUUUGGAGAAGAGGAAAGGCUAGAGAACGACCCACGUUCAUCUUUUUCUCUCUAUCUCUCUCUCUCUCUAUCUAUCUCUUUCUUUUUCCUUUUCUUUUUCUUUUCUCUUGCUUUCUGUUCCUUUUCUUUUUCUUUUCUCUUGCUUUCUGUUCCUUGUCCCUUUCUCAAGGUAUGUCCUUCACUUGGCCCGAAAGGGCAGCAUACUAUAUAUAUUAUAGUAUGUGGCCUAAGAAAGAAAGUCUAGUCCUUUUUAUUAUUUCUUUUCCUCUUAUCUUUUUGUCUCUCUCUCUUUCUUUUCCUUCCUUUCUCUUUCUUCCUGUCUAUUUUUUCUUUUUGUUUUGAGUUGCCCGAAAGGGCUUUAUAUAUAUAUAUAUAUAUAUAUUAUAUUUGAAAAAGGCAAAAAGAAAAAGAUAAAAAAUAAUAGUUGCCAAAGUUUAUUUAUGUUUUAUCCUUCUUUUCCAGUUGUCCGACUUCGGGCAUUUUCAGUUUAUUAUCUAUGUAACCAGUGAAGAUGCUCUUAUGUUUUUUGGUAUCAACAAGAAGGAUGCACAAGUCAGACAACAUUUUUUUCCAAUGCUAGUUGCACUACCAAUUGCCUUGCUCCUCUUGCCAAAGUUUAUCAACGACGGCAGGACCGAAGAGGUAGACGUGCCUCUUCCUUCGACAUCAUUCUUGGCAGCAUUAGAGUUGUAAGUUUCACAAACUUUGCUCAAAUUUGUAAAACUUGGGGGGCACUGUUUGCACUCAAAAUAUGCCAAUUUUUACUUAUUUGGGCAAUUUGGGUAAAAUAUGGUAUUUGAAGGAUUAAUAUGCAAGAAAACUAACUUGGAAAAAUAUUUGGCUGCAAGUGGGGGGGGGGUUGGCACUAUAAUAUUGUUUUUCCCAUUUGUUUGGGUGGUGGAGGUUUGUCAAGCUUUUGUUUAAUCAAGAUACAUGCAUGUAUUGCAAGUGGAUGGAAGAGCUUUCGGGCAAGAAUGUGUAGUGAAAGAAGCUAGUUUGCUUCUUUUAAUUAUUUUAUUGCAAGUGGGAAAAUACAUGUGGUGGAGAUGCAACUUGCUUCUUUUUUAAUUGUUAGUUUAUUACAAGUGGGGAAACAUGUGCUAAAAACAUGUGGUGGAGAUGCAAAUUUCCCUUUUAAUAUUGUUUCUACAUGCAAGUUGGCAAAUGCAAAUGCAAGCUGCCCAAGCUUCUUUCGGGCAGGUACAAAGAUCUUAGCAAGGGGGCUCUUCCAGACCUCUAUAUAAAGAAGCAGAUGGAGAAGGAUUAUGGACACUCAAAACAACCAAUCAAAACUCUACUCAAAUUAGCUCAUCAGCUUCCUUGUAGACAUUUAUUUUUAGCCAAGCAUCCUUUGCUUUUCUUGUUUAUUAGCUCUGCUACUCACUUGUAGCAUCGAUCUUAUUUGUAGCUUUUAUGUACAACCCUCUUUCAGUCAUUUAAUCUACAAGCAAUCUGCAAUAUUAGUCACUUUCCUCUGUCAUUUAUAUUUCCAAGCAACCUUGUCAUUUACAUAUUGUUCUAUCUCUCCAUAUAAGUAAAGUCCUUAUUUUUAAGGCAAACAAAGAACCUUAAUUUGAGUAACUCCCACUCAAUGACACAAUCUCUUGGUUCGAAGUCAAUCUCAGGCGCAACCUCAAUCAUUUAGAAUCCGUUUACUUGCGGCAUCUAGUAGUGGCACGCCCGCACCCCACCAAUCUCGUAUGUGAAGUAAAUCCCCGGCUUGCCCACAAGGCGCCAUGGCGGAUUUAGGGAGCAAACACUUUGCUUUAAAGUUCUCAUCAAGAAGGAUGUUAUGAGGCUUGAUGUCGAAAUGUAGAAUUUGCAUUUUGCAACCUUGAUGUAGAUAUUGUUGACUUUUGUAUUUUAGGUAGGAUCCCUAAUUGAUAUGUAAUCCCAUGUAAUCACUUGUAAUUAGUUUUUCUUUCCUUUUAUGUUAGGGUUGUACACCUAUAAGUUCCUCUUAUUGAGAAGAAUAUAUCAUCAUUCAAAGCAUUCUCUUCUUGGCACCAGAGCCUAGGUUUUGAAAAGAAAAAAAAAAGAAAAGAAAGAGGAGACGAGAUCGUGCUCUGUACGGAAAACCAUAACUACCAGCCGCACAGCCAGUUGUGCAGCGCCGUCCGACCAGCAAGCGACGCCGUCGUUUCUGACCCGAGAACCCGAACUACCCGCCAUGCACCCAGGUGUGCAGUGUGCCGAUCAACCAGCGAGCGACGCCGUCGUUGCUGAUCCGAGUUCACCGAGCCACUCCCUGCAUCUACCACCACGAACCGAGAUUCAACCCACUGCCUGAAAUUUGUCCCAGAUUUCGGCCUGUGUAUCUGUUUUGCGUGCCCAGAUUCGAUUGAACCGAGUGCACCCACUUCACAAUGGCUCCCUGUGCUUGUCCUUUUUCAAAUGGAUUUGACCGAACCGGACAUGAGAGUAGGACCGAUCGAGACCAGUUCAAGACUUGUGAUCCCCACUGUAACAAGUCGUGUACCUCGAUUGUCGAAUCGAAAAUAGAUUCUAAUAUAGGUAACAAAGGUAAGGCUUUAAAAGUUUCUGCAUCUGUUACGAAUAAUACAUGGAUAAUUGAUUCCGGUGCUACUGAACAUAUGACUUGUGAAUCUAGGCAGGUACAAAUCCUAAAACCACCCACCAAAACUGUUGUGAGUGUUGCCAACGGUAAUGUUGUUCUCAUUAUUGGAGAAGGCACUGUCUCCCUGUCAAAUACCCUUAGUCUUGAUACCGUGCUUGUUGUUCCUUCUCUUGACCAUAAUUUAUUAUCUGUUGCUCAAAUAACUGUCGCCCUGCAUUGUCUUGUGAUUUUUUGGCCUUCCUUUUGUGUUUUUAAGGACAUUCGGACUCACAAGACGAUUGGUUAUGGUAUUAGGAAGGGGAAGCUCUAUUACUUGGAGCUGACAUCAAACAGUUUUCGAAUGUUGACUCACGCUCUUGCAGUGGACGGAAAUUCGGGGGAUAGGAAUAAAGCUUCGGAGGUUUGGUUGUGGCAUCGUCGACUUGGACAUGCUUCUUUCGGCUAUCUACGGAGGUUGUUUCCUAGCCUAUUUGUUAAGCAUGAUGUUUCUAGCUUUAAAUGUGGUGUUUGUGAACUAGCUAAAAGUCAUCGUGCUUCGUUUCCAUCCAGUUUGAAUAAAAGUUCUGUUCCAUUUAUGAUAAUUCAUUCUGAUGUUUGGGGUCCAUCUAAAACUGCUACAUUUGGUGGUGCUCAUUGGUUCGUUACUUUUAUUGAUGAUUGCACACGUAUGACUUGGGUUUGUUUGAUGAAAUCCAAAGGUGAAGUUACUUCUUUGUUUCAACAGUUUUACAAAAUGGUACAAGUACAAUAUAAGUCACAAAUACAGGUUCUCAGGAGUGAUAAUGGUGGCGAAUAUGUUAACUCUGAACUUCGUGCCUUUCUUGAUCAUCAUGGGAUUGUUCAUCAAACUACAUGUCCAUAUACUCCACAACAAAAUGGGGCUGCCGAAUGCAAGAACCGUCAGCUUCUGGAGGUUGUUCGUGCUUCUUUACUCGAGGCUCGUCUCCCGUUAUCCUAUUGGGGAGAAGCUCUCACCUCAGCUGCGUAUCUCAUUAAUCGUGUUCCAUCCCGAUCGGUUGAUUUUCAGACACCCCUUCAGGCAUUUUCUUUACAUGUUGAUGCUCCUGCAUUCCCUAAUCUUCCACCUCAUGUGUUUGGAUGUGUGGCCUUCGUUCAUCUUCAUAAACAACAGCGAAGUAAGCUUGAACCUCGAGCCUUACGAUGUGUGUUUGUGGGGUAUGCAUCAAGGCAGAAAGGAUACCGUUGUUAUCACCCACCGACGAAUAAGUUGUUUGUCACUAUGGAUGUUGCGUUUCAUGAGAAUGAUAUGUACUUUGCCAAUCUCGAGUCUUCACUUCAGGGGGAGAAUCAGAAAGAAGUUCAAACUCUUGAUUAUACUAUUCCAGAUAUAGAUAGAGUGAAUGAUUUGGAUUUAAGUGGUGAUGUCUUGGAAAUAAGUGGUGAUCAUUCACACGAAAAUAAUGAUGUGAAUGAAUUGGAAUUAAGUGGUAAUGUCUUGGAGACAAGUGGUGAUCAUUCACAUGGAAACAAUGUUGAAAACCUUGAAAGGGAUGAGUCGACAUCGCCAGAUAACUCACUGCCUGAUAGCUCACUGCCAGUUUCCUCACCACCGGACAACCCUGUGUCGCCAGCUACCUCACAGUCGAUCUUGAGUCCCAAUAACCAUAAUCAAUCGUCUUCGAUCCCGGAUGCACCACCACCACGUCGUCUCCCUGAUCGCAUCAACCGAGGUAUUCUUAAACUUACUUAUGAAGCCGACCCUAAAUGCAAAACUAGGUAUCCGGUGAGUAAGCCCAACCCUGAGUCUAAUGUGUUAUACCCGUUAAGUAAUUAUGUGUCUACCAGUCACCUGUCAGAAUCAAAUAAGUCAUUUGUGCAUCAAUUAUCUACUGUAUCUAUUCCUAACAGUGUGUAAGAGGCUUUAACUGAUCCACGUUGGCAAGUAGCAAUGAAUGAAGAGUUGAAGUCUUUGAAGAAGAAUGCUACCUGGGAGAUCACAGAUUUGCCAGCUGGCAAGAAACCUGUGGGAUGCAAAUAGGUCUAUACUGUGAAAUACAAAGCAGAUGGGACGGUGGAUCGUUUCAAGGCAAGACUGGUAGCAAAAGGAUAUACUCAAAAAUAUGGAAUCGACUACACAGAUACAUUUGCAGGAGUAGCCAAGAUCAACACAGUUCGUGUUUUGUUGUCCUUGGCUGCAAAUCUUAAUUGGCCUUUACAACAGUUCGAUGUGAAGAACGCCUUCUUGCAUGGAGACUUGACAGAAUAAAUUUAUAUGGAUCUUCCACCGGGAUGUAAUGCUCCAGAUAAAUACAAAAGAAAAGUGUGCAGAUUGAAGAAAUCUUUGUAUGUCUUGAAGCAGUCCCCUCGAGCAUGGUUUGGAAGAUUCACAAAAUCUAUGAAAGCAUUUGGUUACAGACAAAGUAACUCUGAUCAUACUUUGUUCCUGAAAAGACAGAAUGGGAAGCUUACUGCACUUAUUGUGUAUGUAGACGAUAUGGUGGUAACAGGUAAUGAUCCGGAAGAACGUGCGGCCUUGCAAAGAUACCUGUCUACAGAAUUUGAAAUGAAUGACCUUGGAUCCCUGAAAUAUUUUUUAGGGAUUGAGGUGUCGAGAAGCAGUUCUGGAAUUUUCUUGUCUCAGAGGAAGUAUAUUAUUGAUUUGUUGCACGAAACUGACAUGUCAGCUUGUCAGCCAGUAGCUACACCAUUAGAAGAAGGAUUGAAGCUUAGUGUUGAUCCUAAUCAAGUACCAAUUGACAAAGGAAGAUACCAAAGGUUAGUAGGCCGUUUGAUGUAUUUGGCACACACAAGACUGGACCUUGCUUAUGCCUUGAGUGUAGUGAGUAAAUACAUGCAUGAUCCUGGAGAACAACAUAUGAAUGCCGUGACGAGAAUAUUGCGAUAUUUGAAGGGAAGUCCGGGCAAAGGAAUUUUGUUUAAGAGGAAUAAUCACUUUAGUGUUGAAGGUUAUACUGAUGCAGACUGGGCAGGUUCCAUUGAUGAUAGACGCUCAACAUCAGGUUACUUUACGUUUGUUGGGGGUAACUUGGUUACAUGGAGAAGUAAGAAACAGAAUGUGGUUGCCCGUUCCAGUGCAGAAGCAGAAUACAGAGGUAUGGCUUUGGGGAUUUGUGAAAUUUUGUGGCUUAAGCUUCUGUUAAGCGAUUUGGGUAUACAACAUGAUCAGCCCAUGAAAUUAUUUUGUGAUAAUAAAGAUGCUCGUGACAUUGCACAUAAUCCGGUACAACAUGAUAGAACAAAGCAUGUUGAAGUUGAUUGGUUCUUCAUCAAAGAAAAAUUGGAAGGGAAAAUAAUUGAAGUACCAGCGAUAAGAACAGAAGAUCAGUUGGCAGAUAUCCUCACAAAAGCUGUUUCGAGUCACAAGUUUUCAAGUUUCUUACACAAGUUAGGCAUGAUCGACAUAUAUUCACCAACUUGAGGGAGAGUGUUGACUUUUGUAUUUUAGGUAGGAUCCCUAAUUGAUAUGUAAUCCCAUGUAAUCACUUGUAAUUAGUUUUUCUUUCCUUUUAUGUUAGGGUUGUACACCUAUAAGUUCCUCUUAUUGAGAAGAAUAUAUCAUCAUUCAAAGCAUUCUCUUCUUAUAUUCGAUCCCUUGACUCCAAGAGAAAUCUUGUACAUAGUCUUGAUAGUUAAGGGAGACUUCCUUAUUUGGAAUAAAUGUAUUUAUCAAGAGAGUCAUUAGGUAUGAAGUCAUAUAUUAGAGCGCUCUUUGAUCCCUCGACACAAUAUCCAAAAAGUUGCACCACAUUGGCACGGUGAAUCCUUCCGAUUGUAGCUAUUUCGCUAAUGAAAUCUUGGCCAUCAGCUUUGGGCUUGCCCAAAACUUUAACUGCUACAAAUCGGCCACUGCGUAGCUUUCCUUUAAAUACAAAGCCAAAGGCACCUUCGCUCAACUUGUCCUUAAACCUGCAAGUCAUUUUCUUGAUGUUCGAGUAAGAGUACCUUAUAGGCAUGAAGUUAUUGCAUUGCAAAAAAUCUUCUAUUGUGCUAUACAUUGAUAAAUGUCUUUUGCGCCAUGUAGAUUAAAAAUGCAGUCACAACUACAACUCCAAAAACAAAUCUGGCUAGGAAAAAUAACCCUGCAUGCAUUGACAUUAGUAUGUUAGAUCCACUGUACUACUUUUUCUUCCCUUUCUUUCCAAAUUACUUUGUCUUUGAUGUAAUUAAAGAGAGAAUGGGAAAUCUACAUAUGCUGAUAAUACAAUCUCGUAUUAGUUCUUACCGAUGCAUAUGAGUAUAAACCAUCCACGUACUGCAACAUAAUUAAUCGACAAUGAGUUUCAAAAGUGCAUAAAGUGAAGAAAAAAAAAUUUGAAAAAAAUCAAAGGGUGCCUCUAUUGACACCCAAAUUUUAGUUAGUUUCACUCAACUAAAAAAAAAAUUCAUCGAACUUUUUAAUUUGCCUUCGAAAUUGAGUUCACCCAACCCACCAACCAGCAAGCACCACUCAACCAAAAAAUGAACAACACAAAGAGCUGGCAUCGACGCUGUCGAUGAAGGAGGGACAUGAGGAUGGUGUAGUUUCGUCUGGCGCGCGGUAGUGGUUUUGUCUGUUCAUUUUCUCUUUCUUUUGGUAGGUGGAGGCUGGUGUGGAUUUGGGCGAACUUAAAAAUGAGGGGAAACUAUGAAGUUUGACAAAAUGUUUUAGUUAGGUGAACUUAACUAAAAUUUGGGUGCUAAAAAAGGUACCCAAAAUCAAAAGGCUUUUGUUUACCCAAUGCUAUGUACAGGUUUGACUUUUGUUUAUAUUCUUGGAUCUGUUGCUUGGUUGUAUAAUUUGGAUGUGGUUUUGUUUCAAGAUAAUUUGUUCUUCGUUUCUUGAGGCUUUUGUGUGUAGAUUUGAAACCGUUUAGCUUUCAAGCCGUUUAUACUCAAGGUAAAUAAUUUCGUUUUUUUCUUUUUAACCUUUUUUGUAAGAAUUUUUUAUUUAAUUUUGUGAGAGUUGUGUUUUCUAUAGUAUGAAAAUUGAAUCUUUGUGAUCUUAUAUCCUUAGAUAUGUUGCUUGGUUAUAUGAUUUGGCUGUGUGCAUUGUUUCAGGACAAUUUGUUCUUCGUUUUUGGGGCUUCUGUGCGUAGUUUUGAAGCCUUUUGUAGUCAACAUAAAUAAUUUUAUUUUUCUUUGUUUCUAGUCUUCUUUGUAAGAAUUUCUUAGUUAAUAUUUUGAGAAUUAUGUUUACUAUAGUAUGAAAACUGAAUCUUUGUGAUCUUCUAAGUGAUGUAACGUCAUUGCACCAUGUAUGACUGCCAUUAUCGAACAUGAAAAGCUUUUUUAUUUCUGUACUCCGUCCUUUCAUACGAUCUGCCUCAAAAAUGGUUUCAUUACAAGUUCUAACAUGAUUUUUGCGAUGUCUUAUGAAAAAACAAUGUCCACCAAAACAAUAGGAAAACGUCGCCGUCUGCUCUUCUUGGCUGAGCUUCAUGACUGGCCGAAUUCCCCUAUUCCCUUCCUCUUAUACUUUUUUGUAUUCGUUCACCAAAACAAUAGGAAAACGUCGCCGUCCGUUUGAUUGACGGCGAAAGAAAAAGACAGAGAAUAAAAGCCUGACGGAAUAUUGCGAUUUGAGAAAAAAAAGAAAGAACCACGUUGACAUAAUAUACUCACAAUAGGUGUACAAGGUUAAUAAAGCUUUACUGUGGUUCCAUUUUUUUGCAUACUUCAAAGGCUCUGAAUUGCUAAUGGAAUUAGCCUUUAGUUUUAGGAAGAAACUUGGAACCCCCUCCGUCCGUUCUAUCCCCAAUGGAAUUAACACUUGGAUAGUACUAUGACAAUGUGUCAUUAUUUGAUGCAUACCUGUAUAAAUUUAGGCUAAGUGUUUUAUACACAAAUUGGUACAGAUUAAGCUUCUGGGAGCAAAAUCAUAUACGGGAGAGCUAACUAUACAAUGAUACAUUCUUAUCUGUUAAUUAUCUUUGGUUACCAGCUAUCCAUGUUGCUGACAUAUUAAAUUACACAACAUCUAUUGUAAUUUAUGUCUUAUUAGUAACAUAAUGAUCUGGUUUCAAUUUGCUACAGGCAUUAUUUCCUGACAAUAGCUAUGGUUUUGAUUAUAGCUGUGACUGAAAAAUUAUUCCGAAACUAACAUUUGAGGAAUUCAAGGUUUGUUAGUUAAUUUGUACAUCAGAAUACCAUGACAAACUGUGAAGUUGUAAUUGUUGACCUUACAAUGUAUCUUUUUUGGUUUGGAGCAUUAGACUUAUAUGUGCUACUUUCACUUCAUGAAGGCUAACUCUUUAUUUUAGGCCUUAGAAUAUAAUUUCUUGGAGAAUCUACAUUGUUGUUGAUAAUUUUUUGAACAAUAUUAUCCCCAAAAUUUCUCCGCAUGUUACCCUCAACGUAGACAUCAUAUAACCAUCAUUGAACUUCUGAACCAAAAAUUUGAGUUUUGUGAUUAUAACUAAACAUCUAUAAACACAUGAUACAGAUUGAGACGAACGUCAAAUUUAAAAUGGCAUUAAUCAGGACAGCUGCAAACUCUGAUUUGCGGCCUUUGAAAUGGAGAAGUUACUUCUUGCUUCACUUCAGCAGCAUAGUCCAGCUUCUAAAUUCAGUUCUCAGGUAUGAGGUUUCUCAGUUACCUCUUUUUUGUAAUAAAACAUUUGACCAGUACUUGCCAGGAUAUCCAAUUAAUUAGGUCAGUUUUUGUCAGCCGUAAUAAUUUGUUUUUGCAACUUUAUAUGUGUCUCUGUCUCCAAAUGAUGAUCUCUUAAUUUGCUUCUAUAGCUUUUGUAAUAUGAUGAUCUCUUAAUUUGCUUUUGCAUAUCUUCUUUGCUUCCUCUGCUAGCUCUAUAUGAGAUUCCAUCUCCAAAUAAUUAUUAUUAUUUCCUAUUUUUACAGGAAGCAAAUCAUUGAAUACACAUGGAAAAUUAAAAGGGUUUUAGUUUUUGGAUUAGUUUAAAUUUUUUGUUUGUUAUUGCUUGUAUUGCUGUUAAAUAUUUGAUGGGUAGUUUGAAAUGGGGAACUUGGUUGAUCGAGUAUUAACUUUUAUUAAAUUAAUAUUCUUAUUCAAUAUUGAAUUAAGACUCCUCUUAUUAAAUUAAGACUCUUAAGGCUCUAAUCUAAUUUUCAUGCUCAACAUCUCCUCUAUCUUUCUACAAUUGGUAAAACUUUUGUAUUAUUAUUCCAAUUUUGGUUACUGGGUUGUGGAAUUUUCCAUUUUUUUCUGGGUAAUCAAUACUAUAUAUAUGCAUGAAAAGUAUAAACAAUAUUUUGGGUCAAAUUUAGUUGUUUAAUUUUUUAUUUUUUUUGUGACAGUGAGAUUAUGGUAGGAUUUCGUUUAGAUUCCGUGGCCCAAUGGGAGUCUCUGCUUUGAUAAGAUUGGGGUUGAUGCCAAGAAAGCCUUUCUACUGUGGACGCCGCAGCCGCCUAGCGCUGUUUUCCAAAAUCCUCUCUCACUUGGGUAAGCAAUUACGACUUUUUGGUUCAGUUUUUAUUAUGCCCAAUUUUGUAUUUAAACUGAUUUGGGGUUACUGAAAUAGGCAUGCUUGAUGAGUGCUGCAGAGCUGCCAUCCCUGAAUCAGAAGAUGUUCAGAAGGAAGAAGGAAGAACAAGAAGAAAAAGAAGAAGAAAGUCGUGGAAUAUCAAAAGCUUUUAGCUUUGUGAAGGUAUGCUUUUUCCCAACUCAUCUCUUGCUUUUGUUGCACUGAAUUGGUAGAUUGGGUUCAAAAUAUAUAUAUAUGUGAUUUUUUGUGUAACUAUUCUUUACAUAAUUACCAAUUGGAGGUGAUUUGAGAUCAUGUAACAUUUCCUCGCCAGAACCGAAGAUUGCCGUCGCUCAAAGCUGCGUUUCAUGAAACAAGUUCAUCUCCUGCCAAUUUUGUGUACCCACUUUUUAUUCAUGAGGGUUGGUGCUUGCUUGCAACAUAAUUUGGUGCUAUUAAGUUUUGCGGUUUUACAAUCUGUUCAUGCUUAAACCUCUUUCAAAUUUUCAUUUCUGUGUAAAUCUAGCAGGUAGGUCGACACACCUAUCUGGGCAAUGUCGGGAUGUCUAGGCUUGGGUGGAGACAUGGACUUAUGAAAGAGGUGAAGUAGCUUAGUUCGAUCUCAUUAGCUCUUAUCUAAAAAGUUCUAUUGAUUUUAUAAUCAAAGAUACAUAUAUUAUAGAAACAUAGGGUAUAUCAUUAAUUUCUUGAUGUAAACAAUUAUAACUUGAGCAACCAUUUAAAGUAUUUUGGUAAUCAGCAUACUUAAACUUAAAUGUGAUAUAUCCGUUUAGUUUUUUUUUUUAUACAGUGAUAAUACUCAAGUAUAAUUUACAUCAUAUAUCUUUUGAAGUACAUGAAACUAUGAAGAAAAUGAUAAACCAAAUCCCAUUCCAUCUCCGUUUGCUACUGCACAAUCACAAUCCAAUUCCAACAUGGAAUCCUCAGACGACAUGCCUACUGCAGAACAAGUUUCAUCUUGACUUAACUUCUAUUUAGUCCACUUCUUGUUUAGAUUGUAAUCCUAGUUCUACGUGUGUUUGUAUAGUACUCCUAUAAAUAUCAAUGAACAUCGCUCACUCUAAUUAAGAGUUGAGAUUCUGCAAAUCAUAUUUACUAUCUUUCAUGGUAUCACGAGCCAGGGUCUAACGACAACAGUUCAUGUUAUAAUUUUUUUCUCUUCUGCAGAUCCUAAACUAUGGCAUCUUCUUCCUCCUCCGCUGCUCCCUCCGUCUCAAAUUUUCUUACGAUUAAGCUCGACCGCAACAACUACCCUCUUUGGCGUGCUCAAUUUCUUCCCUUGCUGCGCAGCCGCAACUUACUCUCUUAUGUUACUGGCGAAACUCAAUGCCCCUCUGCCUUUCUUCUUGAUGACAAUGGUAAAUUCACAGACAAAGUCAAUCCAUUAUAUAAUGAAUGGAUCCAGACUGACGAGAUGAUCCUAUCUUGGAUUACGAGUUCUCUUACUCCCAAGGUUCUUGCUACGAUCGUCAACAAAAUUGAUAAAGCCUCUGCUUGGUCGUCAAACCCGAAUUAAUCUGAUUAUGGGGGUUUUGUUUUAUAUCAAUAUAUUGCAGCAGAAGUCGCACUUUGAAGAGUUCGUGCUGCACAGAAAGAUGAUGAAAUGCUACCUGUUGAGUCUAUCAUUGCUCCAUUGGAGACAGAGCUGAAGCUUGCUGCAGGAGUUAUACAUUUGUUAUGCAAUAUGACCCCUUUAAUUUUAUUUUAAAACUGAUACAAAAAUACUACAAAAAUUUAUGUAGUAUUUUUGUAUCAGUUUUGAGUGUCUAUUUUGGCUUCCAUAUUUCGUCUGUACAUGUGAGAGGUAUAGUGUUCAAUAUGUAUUUGGUUUCUAUAUUGUUAAUGGAUCUUCUUUUUUUUCUUUUUUUUUCUUUUUUUUUAAAGAUAACCAAGUUGCAGGAUGACAGCAGAACACUUGAUCUGCAGGUAAACCUUCAAUUUCCAUAUGAAGUUUGCAUGUUCGUUGUUUCUGGAAUUUGAGUUUUUAUUAUUUAUCAAUUCUAUCACAUAGAUUACGAUUUCACAUAUGGGAUUAUUAAUGGCAAUUAGAUGAUAGAAGAAUUGGGAUUGGAAGAAGAUAUUGAGUUGUUUAUUUAUGGGGAUUAGAAAAUGAUUAUCAUACGAGUGAUAUUUAUUUUUGUGUGGAUUGUUAAUAUAUAAAACUAUAAGCUUUUGAGAUUGGGAGACAAAACCCACACAUUCAAAUCAGACAAAAUAAAUAAAAAAUUUAACUGACUUAAAGAUCAAACUCCAAAAGGGUAUUAAAAACAAGGCUUAUUUGAUCCAUUGAGUGUGAAAGUUUUGAGCUUUGAAGAAGCAGAGGAGGAGAGUUGUUAACCAAGCUGCAUUAUCCAUGUAUUAGGAUGUUGAAGGUAGGCAGGAAAAUUACUUUUUGACGCCAUAUCCAGAGGAGCAUAACGACAGGCCUGCAUUUUUGCAGCAAUGACCAAAACAAGUAGAAGUGAAGGCUUGACUGUUUGGGUAUUCAUCCUAAACCUAAUUAUUCUUAUUUAGGUUUAGGAUAAAUGAUUGAGUGUGUCUCGAUGAUUGUAUUACUAUGUUUGAUGAAUGAUUUGAGGAGUUGGAAAUGGUUUAUUGCUUAUCUUUUUUUUAGGUGUGUACUUUGGUUAUUUCCGAGCUUUUCAUGACUUUUGAUACCUAAUAGAGAAUAUGGAAACCCCAACUUUAAUUUUAUGAAUUGGUUUUGGUGCCUAAAAUGAAAUCUAGCAUAGUGAAAUCUUGCAUAAUGAAAUUAUGACAAAUUUCCCUUCAUCUUUAGAUUUUCAUUUAAUUCAAUUCGUAUGCAAUUUAGGGUUAUUCAAUUCAUGAGUGAUCAAAUUAUGUUUUUAAUUCCUUCUUUUGAUUUACAGUUCAACAUUGUCGUACAAAAUGAAAAAGGCGCCAGUAACAGAGUUAUGGAUUUGGAUGCCUUUAGUGGAAUAAAACUGAAUUUUUUAACUUUGUAUAGUUGUAAACAUAAAAUACUCCAUGAGAUAGACUCAUAGCUUUUGAAAACAAUCCUUGAGGAUGGCAUAACAACAUCUCCAACUUUUGUCAUGUAAUGUAUGAAUGUCAAUAGCACUUCGUAAACAUAUGGAUGUAAUAUAUGUAUAUAAACACUCUUUAGCAUGUAUAUUUUUCAAAACUUUCUACAUCUUCAACAAUGUUUCAAUGAUUUCUUGAUGUAAACAAUGAUAAUUUGAAGAACCAUUUAAAGUAUUUUGGUAAUCAGCAUACUUAAGCUUAAAUGUGAUAUAUCCGUUUAUUAUUUUUUAUACAGUAAUAAUACUCAAGUAUAAUUUACAUCAUAUAUCUUUUGAAGUACAUGAAACUAUGAAGAAAAAACCCUAAUUAAUCUAAUUAUGGGGGUUUUGUUUUAUAUCAAAAUAUUGCAGCAAAAGUCACACUUUGAAGAGUUCACGCUGCAUAGAAAGACGAUGAAAUGCUAUCUGUUGAGUCCAUCAUUGCUCCAUUGGAGACAGAGCUGAAGCUUGAUGCAGGUGGUAUACUUUUGUUCUGCAAUAUGAUCCCUUUAAUUUUAUUUUAAGAUAGAUAGGGUUGAAAAAAAUUUAUGUAGUAUUUUUUUUUUUCAGUUUUGAGUGUCUAUUUUGGCUUCCAUAUUUGGUCUGUACAUGUGAGGUAUAGAAUGUUCAAUAUGUAUUUGGUUUCUAUAUUGUUAAUGGAUCUAUUUUUUUUUUUAGGUAACCAAGUUGCAGGAUGAAAACAGAACACUUGAUCUGCAGGUAAACCUCCAAUUUCCAUAUGAAGUUUGCAUUUUCGUUAUUUCUGAAAUUUGAGUUUUUACAGGAUGAAAACAGAACACUUGAUUUGCAGGUAAACACUUGAUUGGUUAUUUCCGAGCUUUUCACGACUUUUGAUACCCAAUAGAGAAUAUGGAAACCCCAACUUUAAUUUUAUGAAUUGGUUUUGGUGCCUAAAAUGAAAUCUAGCAUAGUGAAAUCUUGCAUAAUGAAAUUAUGACAAAUUUCCCUUCAUCUUUAGAUUUUCAUUUAAUUCAAUUCGUAUGCAAUUUAGGGUUAUUCAAUUCAUGAGUGAUCAAAUUAUGUUUUUAAUUCCUUCUUCUUUUGAUUUACAGUUCAACAUUGUUGUACAAAAUGAAAAAGGCGCUAGUAACAGAGUUAUGGAUUUGUAUGCCUUUAGUGGAAUAAAACUGAAUUUUUUAACUUUGUAUAGUUGUAAACAUAAAAUACUCCAUGAGAUAGACUCAUAGCUUUUGAAAACAAUCCUUGAGGAUGGCAUAACAACAUCUCCAACUUUUGUCAUGUAAUGUAUGAAUGUAAAUAGCACUUCGUAAACAUAUGGAUGUAAUACAUGUAUAUAAACACUCUUUAGCAUGUAUAUUUUUCAAAACUUUCUACAUCUUCAACAAUGUUUCAAUGAUUUCUUGAUGUAAACAAUGAUAAUUUGAAGAACCAUUUAAAGUAUUUUGGUAAUCAGCAUACUUAAGCUUAAAUGUGAUAUAUCCGUUUAUUAUUUUUUAUACAGUGAUAAUACUCAAGUAUAAUUUACAUCAUAUAUCUUUUGAAGUACAUGAAACUAUGAAGAAAAAACCCUAAUUAAUCUGAUUAUGGGGGUUUUGUUUUAUAUCAAAAUAUUGCAGCAAAAGUCACACUUUGAAGAGUUCACGCUGCAUAGAAAGACGAUGAAAUGCUAUCUGUUGAGUCCAUCAUUGCUCAAUUGGAGACAGAGCUGAAGCUUGAUGCAGGUGGUAUACUUUUGUUCUGCAAUAUGAUCCCUUUAAUUUUAUUUUAAGAUAGAUAGGGUCGAAAAAACUUUAUGUAGUAUUUUUUUUUUUCAGUUUUGAGUGUCUAUUUUGGCUUCCAUAUUUGGUCUGUACAUGUGAGGUAUAGAAUGUUCAAUAUGUAUUUGGUUUCUAUAUUGUUAAUGGAUCUAUUUUUUUUUUUAGGUAACCAAGUUGCAAGAUGAAAACAGAACACUUGAUCUGCAGGUAAACCUCCAAUUUCCAUAUGAAGUUUGCAUUUUCGUUAUUUCUGGAAUUUGAGUUUUUGCAGGAUGAAAACAGAACACUUGAUUUGCAGGUAAACACUUGAUUGGUUAUUUCCGAGCUUUUCACGACUUUUGAUACCCAAUAGAGAAUAUGGAAACCCCAACUUUAAUUUUAUGAAUUGGUUUUGGUGCCUAAAAUGAAAUCUAGCAUAGUGAAAUCUUGCAUAAUGAAAUUAUGACAAAUUUCCCUUCAUCUUUAGAUUUUCAUUUAAUUCAAUUCGUAUGCAAUUUAGGGUUAUUCAAUUCAUGAGUGAUCAAAUUAUGUUUUUAAUUCCUUCUUCUUUUGAUUUACAGUUCAACAUUGUUGUACAAAAUGAAAAAGGCGCUAGUAAUAGAGUUAUGGAUUUGGAUGCCUUUAGUGGAAUAAAACUGAAUUUUUUAACUUUGUAUAGUUGUAAACAUAAAAUACUCCAUGAGAUAGACUCAUAGCUUUUGAAAACAAUCCUUGAGGAUGGCAUAACAACAUCUCCAACUUUUGUCAUGUAAUGUAUGUAAAUAGCACUUCGUAAACAUAUGGAUGUAAUAUAUGUAUAUAAACACUCUUUAGCAUGUAUAAUUUUCAAAACUUUCUACAUCUUCAACAAUGUUUCAAUGAUUUCUUGAUGUAAACAAUGAUAAUUUGAAGAACCAUUUAAAUUAUUUUGGUAAUCAACAUACUUAAGCUUAAAUGUGAUAUAUCCGUUUAGUAUUUUUUAUACAGUGAUAAUACUCGAGUAUAAUUUACACCAUAUAUCUUUUGAAGUACAUGAAACUAUGAAGAAAAAACCCUAAUUAAUCUGGUUAUGGGGGUUUUGUUUUAUAUCAAAAUAUUGUAGUAGAAGUCACACUUUGAAGAGUUCACGUUGCAUAGAAAGACGAUGAAAUGCUAUAUGUUGAGUCCAUCAUUGCUCCAUUGGAGACAGAGCUGAAGCUUGCUGCAGGUGGUAUACUUUUGUUCUGCAAUAUGACCCCUUUAAUUUUAUUUUAAGACAGAUAGGGUUGAAAAAAAUUUAUGUAGUAUUUUUGUAUCAGUUUUGAGUGUCUAUUUUGGCUUCCAUAUUUGGUCUGUACAUGUGAGGUAUAGAGUGUUCAAUAUGUAUUUGGUUUCUAUAUUGUUAAUGGAUCUAUUUUUUUUUUAGGUAACCAAGUUGCAGGAUGAAAACAGAACACUUGAUCUACAUGUAAACCUUCAAUUUCCAUAUGAAGUUUGCAUUUUCGUUGUUUCUGGAAUUUGAGUUUUUGCAGGAUGAAAACAGAACACUUGAUCUGCAGGUAAACACUUGAUUGAUUAUUUCCGAGCUUUUCACGACUUUCGAUACCCAAUAGAGAAUAUGGAAACCCCAACCUUAAUUUUAUGAAUUGGUUUUGGUGCCUAAAAUGAAAUCUAGCAUAGUAAAAUCUUGCAUAAUGAAAUUAUGACAAAUUUCCCUUCAUCUUUACAUUUUCAUUUAGUUCAAUUUGUACGCAGUUUAGGGUUAUUCAAUUCAUGAGUGAUCAAAUUAUGUUUUUAAUUCCUUCUUUUGAUUUUCAGUUCAGCAUUAUCGUAUUUUGGAUGCCUUUAGUGGAAUAAAACUUAAUUUUUUUAACUAUGUAUAGUUGUAAACAUAAAAUACUCCAUGAGAUAGACUCAUAGCUUUUAAAAACAAUCUUUGAGGAUGGCAUAACAACAUCUCCAACUUUUGUCAUGUAAUGUAUGAAUGUAAAUAGCACUUUGCAAACAUAUGGAUGUAAUAUAUGUAUUUAAACACCACUCUUUAGCAUAUAUAUUUUUCAAAACUUUCUACAUCUUCAACAAUGUUUGAAGCCCCGCAACAAUGGGCGGGUACACUUGCUAGUAUACAUCUAAAAUUAUAAGACUAAAUCCUUUAGUUCUUGGAUUCAUCUAAGAACUACUUAUUCCAGCAGAUGUUAUGCUUGCACUACUAGAAUUUAUGGCUUGCCCUGUCAACUAUUGCGCGACAGAAGACUUCGUCGGUUUCACCUUUUUUAACCGACAUAAUAUAAGUUUAGUAGGGCAAAAUCAGUCAACAAACUGGGUUGACUGAAUAGAUUUACAGGAUGUCUAGAGUUCGUAGGUUAAGACAUCAGUCGUUGGGCAAACAUUUGGAGCGAAGAUGUGAGUGUUUUAACUGACGAAUAAGCUGGUCGUCAUGUAGAUCUUCUUUCCCGACUGAUGGUUCAACGAGUAGCUCUUUGGAUAACAAUUCAUCUUCAAGGGGAACAGGUUGCCCCUCAAAUGAAUGGUUAGAGGCAAUUGUGAGACUAUAAUUUUCUAGGGCCGGAAUAUCUAUAACCAUCCACCAAAUACCCCUUCUUCCCUUUCUAUUUCUCUCUCAGUAAUUUCCCCUGACCGAAUCACACAAUCCAACCAACUCUCUUUAAGCCUCACUCAUCGAUUCCAUGGAUUUCAUGGACUUAUCCCACCCUCUCUCCUUCCCCCUAUAUAUAGCAAGUCCCCUUGCCUCAGUGUCCCUGGCAACAAAAUUUAUGGCGUGUAUUCGGUCUUUCAAUUAUUUGAAAGCUUCCCUGCCUUGCAGUCUUGUACAAAGGCGUAUGGUGUUUCAUUAGUUCCAUUUGGUGGUUGGGUGGGAAAUGAAAUUAAAACACUGCAUUUCCAAUGGUCUAAACCAAAUUGAAUCAAAUGUGAAGCAAAGGGCAAGAAGUGUAGAUUGAAGAACAAUGGCACCAAGAGCGAAAUUGAACUUGUUGACAGGAGGAAACCAAGUAAGGAUAACGCGUCUAAAUCUUAUUUCGAAUCCAUUCAGCUCAUGAUGUUUUUAAUGAUGAUGAUCGGUAUACUUUGCUACAUGCUGUGAUUUUUCCGCUUUCAUGUAAUUAACGGCUUAUAUUUGUGGUAACGAUAUUGAUUAAUUUUGAGAAAUGACAGUCUAAUUUUUGCAACUGUCUUUUGCAGGCAAAACAAAGACGUUUGCAAGGGUGAGUUAUGUAGGACCAAUGUUUAGCUUUGUUUCAUGUCCAAAUGACACUUGAGAAUAAAUGUUUACUCAUGGAUAAUAUCUAUCUAUUUGCAGGAGCAACCCUGGGUUUAUUUGUUCUUUUACUACUGGUCAUUGCCGCAUAUCACGCCUAUAGCACUGACAAAAGUAAAAAGAAAAUCGAAUGAAAUUUGGUAAGUUUUCAGCGGACUACAAAGAUCUUAAGCCAAGCAUAUAUUCCCAUUCAGAUAUUAAGAGGUUUACAAAUCAAUUCAAGUACAAGUUGGGCCAAGGAGCAUACAUAAUUGUUUUUAAAGGAUAGUUUUUUUCUGAAUGCUUUGUUGCCAUGAAAGUACUUAACAUUUCCAAGGGUGACGGGGAAGAGCUUGUAAAUGAAGUGGGGAACAAUGGGCCAUAUUCACCAUGUCAAUGUGGUUCACUUGGUUGGUUUUUGUGCUGAUGGAUUUAGAUGAGCUCUGGUUUAUGAGUUCUUUUCCUUUGGUUCACUCCAGGAUUAUAUUUCAUCAGUAGAUAGAUUUCUUUCCUUGGUUGGCAUAAGUUGCAAGAUAUUGCUAUCAGCAUAGCCAAAGGAACCAGGGAUGUGAUCUACAAAUCCUCCAUUUCGAUAUCAAACCCCAUAAUGUUUUGCUCGACCAAAAAAUCACGCCAAAAAUCUCUGAUUUUGGUCUGGCCAAGUUAUGUUCCAAGGAUCAAUCAAUGUGACUAAAGCAAGGGGGACCAUGUGACUAAAGUACCCGAAGUGUUUUCCAGGAAUUUCGGAAAUGUGUCUUACAAGGCAGAUGUCUUGAAUGCUGCUGCUUGAGAUGGUAGGAGAAAAGAAGAAUAUUGGUUCAACUAGAGGACACAACAAAUGAAAUCUACUAUCCAAAAUGGAUUUAUAAUCUUCUAGAGGAAGGAAAUGACCAACAGAUCCCUAUUGAGGAAGAAUGUUAUGGUAAGAUUCCAAAGCAACUUGCAAGUUUAGGGCUCUGGUGCAGCCAGUGACACUCGGUGGAUCGGCAGUCCAUGAAAACGGUGGUUCGGAUGUUAGGAGGAGGAGAAAACUUGAUGAUGCAAGCAAUCCUAAAAGCCUCAUACAGUUAGAAGUAAUUGCUGAAUUAGAGUAACAUAUGUAUAUGUAUACGCACCAACACUAGUCGUUCUUAGAUGAAUCCAAGCCAAACAAUUACAGACAACAGUUAUUCACUAAAUCACUUUAAGGCAAGAAUUUAAUUAAUAAUACAUUACUGCACUUUCUUAACCAUUUGACCAUCACCUAGCAGACAAUGAACACGUUAGCUCCGCGUUAGAACAUCUUGGGUUCAAUUCAUUGUCUUGAAUAUCACCCUCUGUCACAGGCGUCUCUAGGGGGCAUAGAGAAGGCCUGAGAGGCAUUUGCAGACAUUCAACAUCACCUCCAAGCAUUUUGACAACUUUGGACAUCGAAGGGCGAUCACUUGGUUUCAUUUGAAUACACCAUAAGGCGGUUAUAACCAUCCUUCUUAUUACUUUCUUUUCCUCCUCUGUAACAUUGUCCGUUUCCAAGUUAUUUCCCACAAUAUACUGAUCGUAUACCCACAUUGGGAAGUAGAUUUGGCUUGAAUGCUCUACCGUUGGAUUCAAAUUCUUCCUUCUGCUUGCCAUCUCCAUCAACAACAUUCCAAAACUAUAGACAUCUGACUUGUAUGAGACACCUCCAAUAUUUUUGUAGAACAACUCAGGAGCAAUAUAUCCCAGUGUACCUCGUGCUGCCGUCAAAGAGACAAUGCUAUUAUCUACAGGAUACAAUUUUGCAAGCCCAAAGUCAGAAACCUUUGCUUUAAAGUUCUCAUCAAGAAGGAUGUUAUGAGGCUUGAUGUCGAAAUGUAGAAUUUGCAUUUCGCAACCUUGGUGUAGAUAUUCGAUCCCUUGAGCCACUCCAAGAGAAAUCUUGUACAUGUUCUUGAUAGUUAAGGGGACACUUCCUUCUUUGGAAUAAAUGUAUUUAUCAAGAGAACCAUUAGGCAUGAAGUCAUAUACUAGAGCGCGUUUUGAUCCCUCAACACAGUAUCCAACAAGUUGCACCACAUUGGCAUGGUGAAUCCUUCCGAUUGUAGCUAUUUCGCUAAUGAAAUCUUGGCCAUCAGCUUUGGGCUUGCCCAAAACUUUGAUUGCUACAAAUCGACCACUGCGUAGCUUUCCCUUAAAUACAGAGCCAAAGCCACCUUCGCCCAACUUGUCCUUAAAUCUGCGAGUCAUUUUCUUGACGUCCGAGUAGGAGUACCUUAUAGGCAUGAAGUUGUUAUUGCAUUGCAGAAAAUCUUCUAUUGUGCUAUACAUUGAUAAAUGUCUUCUGCGCCAUGUGUAGAUUAGAAAUGCAGUCACAACUGGAACUCCAAAAACAAAUCUGGCUGGGAAAAAUAACCCUGCAUGCAUUGACAUUAAUACGUUAGAUCCACUGUGUACUACUUUUUCUUCCCUUUCUUUCCAAAUUACUUUGUCUUUGAUGUAAUUAAAGAGAAAGAAUGGGAAAUCUACAUAUGUUGAUAAUACAAUCUCGUCUUAGUCCUUACCGAUGCAUAUGAGUAUAAACCAUCUACGUGCUGUAACAAAAUCAAUCGACUAUGAGUUUGAAAAGUGCAUAAAGUGAAAAAUAAAUAAAUAAAUAAAAUCAAAGGGUGCCUUUAUUGACACCCAAAUUUUAGUUAGCUUUACUCAACUAAAAAAAUUUUGUCAAACUUUUUAAUUUGCCGUCGAAAUUGAGUUCACCCAACCCACAAAGCAACAACUACCACUCACCAAAAAAACCAACAACACACAUCCACCAGUACCACUCACCAAUAGAAAGAGAAGGAACACACAGACCCACCAAGGAGCCGGCAUCGACGCAUCUACGAGGGAGGGACCGGAGGGUGGUGUAGUUUUGUUGGGCGCGCGGUAGUUGUUUUGUCUGUUCAUUUUCUCUUUCUUUUGGUAGGUGGAGGCUGCUGUGGAUUUGGGCGAACUUAAAAAUGAGGGGAAACUAUGAAGUUUGACAAAAUGUUUUAGUUAGGGGAACUUAACUAAAAUUUGGGUGCCGAUAAAGAUACCCAAUAUAAAAAAUACUUGAGCGUAUAGACUAAUUAAAUGAAGUUGAUCUUACCGAUCGGGUGGCUGUAUGAUGAAUACAACUUGCCAGCUGCAAUAGAUACCACAGAAAAGUGAGCAAAGACAUACAGUUACUAGGUUUAAGAAGUACAGAUAGAGCACACAAAAAUAAAAGAAGCUUUUGGAGAGAAACUUCUUACGCAAAUAUAUGUAUUCAUGACCUACAGUGAAAAUUGUGAAGAAGAAUACACAACAUUAGCAAUAGCUCACCCAGUCUUCAGAAUUUAAAAAAAUCAAGUUUGUCGAUCGAAAACUUGUAAAUAAAACAAAAAGAGGACCCCUUACUGAUUUGUUGCCAUAGAUAUUGAAAGAAACCUACAAGAACAAAGAAAGAACAAGACCACAUGCAUUAGCAUAACAAGUGUGAGGUGUAUAAGUCGUUAGAAAAUAAAUUUAGAAUUCUAGUGCUGUCAAUACAUUGAUAAUAUAAUAUAUAUGUGUUAUUUUUUCUGAAAAUUUAACUUUCCCCCUCCAAACUCAUUUUUCUAGCCUCUAGCCCAUCAUAUAAUAUUUAUCCGAAUAAAACCCAAUGAUUAGGAUCCAACUAAGAAACUUACCAAAUUAAGUUUGUGUGUCCAUUUUUAUAUUUUUUGGAUCGCUAAUAUACCCCAUCUAAGCCAGUAUGGAAAGUUCUUGUAAUUUUGUUUUAAUUGAUCACGUGCAUUGAAUUUGGCAAGGUCUUGUAGCCAUGAAAAAUGGUUCUAGAUGGAGGAAUUAAUUGGGAUUUUUUUUUUAAUUUUGACAACAAAUUUCAAUUUGAAUAUACCUAAUUUAGUGUUUAUUUUCAACAAUAUCUAUUGUUUAAUUUUAUGAAAAUAAUUUACCUACUAUGAAAAUUAAUUUUAUGAAAACAAUAUCUAUUGUUUAAUUUUAUACCUAUAGGAUAAUUACAUGAAAAUAGUUUACCUACUAUGAAAAUUAAUUUUUUCAAAACAAUAUCUAUUGUUUAAUUUUAUGAAAAUAAUUUACCUACUGUAUAAUUACAUGAAAACUAAUGUGCCUAUUUUUUAAAUUUGUUACAAAAUUAAUUUACCUACUCUUUAUGGUAUUAGUAAUAUAUGUCCGUACGUAUUUGAUCUAAUUAGGUUUUGGAUUGGAGGAGUUGACACAAAAUUAUAAAUAUAUUAAACAAAUUUAUCUAUCCUUAAGUUGGAGGGGAAUUGGCCUGCACAUUGCUACGGUAAACAAAUGCCACUCGAUUUCACGUUAUUUACAACAAAGCUAUCAGAUUUGGGUUGGGUUGGAGGGUAAUUUUGUGCAUAGGGUUUAGGUGCCCUCCUAUAUAUGACCCUUGAUUUUACUUUAUUUACACCACUGCCAUCAAAUAUGUGGCUGAAUUGGAGGGUAUUAUUAAAAGUUAGGAGGAUAGUUUUGUCCAAGGGGUGGGGGCGACAUUCGCAGACAGGGGGCGAUGGGAGCCAUGCCCAUUGCACAGAAACAAAGGGAGUGAUGGGGGAAAUUACAGACAGAAAAGGAAGGGAUGGGGGGAUUUGAUGGGUGGUCACAGAGAGAUUGGGUGAGGGAUGUGAGGGGACAUUACAGAGAGAUAAAUAAAAGGGAGGGAUCGGGUGAUUUGAGGGAUGGUCAGAGAGAGAAAUAGUGAGGGGGAUGUGGGGCUGAUUUUCGGUUCCUCCUUCCAGAUUUGUUCCGUAAAACCUGUUGGGUACAAUUCAAUCCCUCCCCCUUUCCCCUGAACGAAAAAUUCGAAACCUACAACUCAAAACUCACUCAUUUGUCGCCCCUCCUUGGCUUUCCGCUUUAUUCAUCUCCCGGUGUUUCUUUCUCUCCAUACGAUUCGAUUUCGGUGAGUUCUUCGUUGCCCUCAUGAUUUCCCAGUUUGAUUUUUUGAGCGUCCUUAGUCGUUGUUUUUAUCUGGGUUUACUGCGUUGUUGCUUUUAGUUUCUGGAUUUUUAUUUUUUCCGCGGUUGGAUGAAUCGUGGUUAAUAAUUUCACACCAUGGGAUUUUCGCACUUCUGAUGGAAUUGAGCGCGGGGAUUCGGGGUGGGGUUUUACUGAUAAUUUGUCUUCAUUCAAAUGAAUGGUUAAAAUUUCUGAAGUGAGUGUGCAGGUGGGCCCGUUCACUAACUAAGCUUUCAAGGGAACCCAUCAACGGUUUGUUUGCUGGGGGAAUUCGGAGACUACCAGUGUAUGAUUUAGUUAUCAUUUAUUUUUUUACUUAAUUUUAUCCAUAUAUAAUAUGUGGGUAAAUUUAUACUAAACAAUUGUGAUAAGCCAAUAUGCCAUACGACUUUGAAAGCAUUGAUUUUGUGUUUAGUUUGCAUUUUUGCAUUGUGAAUGUUGAAUUUUGUAUUUAAUUUGGAUUUUGUGUUUGAAUUUGUAGCAUGAUCUUCCGCUGCAGCAUCCAAAUUUUGCAUUUGUAAAUUGUCAAAGAAAAACGAAGUAUGAGGAAAUUAUAGGAGAUUGUGUCGGCUUUGGCCAUGAAGGGUAUCAGCAGCUUGUUCCCCCAUACAGGUGAUUAAUCGUUUUUCAGUCUCUGUUCUAUUUGGAUGAGAAAGUGAUUGAAAAAUAUGAUUUUUUAUUUGUUGGUUGAUUUUGUAUGGACGAUGUAUUAAUUUUAUUUUUUUUGGGAUUUUGUGUAUUGGGUAUUGUGUAGAACCAGCAAUGCAAGAGCAGGAUCUGAUCAGUCACGCCCGAAAAGGGGUUUGUUUCUCAAAUCACAUUAAUUAAUUAGAUUAUUAACGUGCGUUGGAAGGCUCUUCAAUAUGAUUUCUAAUUUCUCCUUUCCAGCAUUCUCUUUUUGGUUUUUGGAGUAUGUAUGUGAUUUGUAUUUUUUUAUAGAAUAAAAAUUAAUAAAACACGAGAUGCAGCAAUUAAUUUGCAUCCUUAUGACAACACAUAUGAAAGUGCAUUCAAUUUCAAUGUGCGAAUGUGUGACAGGAUGUGCCUGCCUCCUUGAAAACACUUUAUGUGAACAAGUGUGAGGUUCUACAUAAAAACAGGGCCAGUAAUACCCUGAACGUGGAAUCCUUACGAGGAUCUCUUGAAAAACUGACAAUAAAUGGAUGCCCGGGUCUCUCAUUGUUACUAGAGUCGACGGAGACGCUGCCGUCGCUUCAGAAGCUUGAUAUUGAUAGUGUUGGUGGGAAAGAGUUGUUGGCGCAAAUGGUGCACAACAGCAAUCGUCUUCAAAGUUUGACUUUAUAUAAAUGUUACUCACCCUUGUCGUUCCCUACAAAUGGUCUGCCCACCACGCUGACGUCACUGAGCAUAACAGAUUGCAAGAAAUUAGAAUUCCUAUCACGUGAGAUGAUGGCCAAAUUGACUUCCCUUCGGUCUUUGCGUCUAUCCAACAGCUGUGAACGCAAAGGCUUGAGUAUUUGCAGUUUAGUUUUUUUUUUCUUCAUUUUAGAGAUUUUUCUACUGUUUGGUUUUUGGGUUUUGUCUAAUUUUUGUGGUCUGCUUUAUAGAUUGUUCUCUUUGGAAGCUUCUUUCCAGCCUUGACCUUCUUCUUGCCUGGUGCCUUCUCAUUGAGUAUUGGAGGAGCAUUAAAACACAGGUGUGUGUGUGUUUUGUCGACGUAAGAGAUGAACGACAUAAAAACAUCCAUCUCUGUAUUUUUUUGUGCUUUUUCUAACCCAUCAAUUUCUUUUGAGUCAACCAAAUAGUCCCAAAUUGCAACUUAUGUUGUGAGGUAUUAUUGUCUAAAAUUAAGUAUGCAUGUAUAUUUUAUGUUUAUGCCCGCGCACACCUCCGCAUGGUGUUAAUCUCUGUGGGUCAUCUAUGUAUAUGUAGAUAUAUCUAUAUGUGUAUGUGUGGAAUGCAACAUAUCGGAUUUAGGUUAUACUGUGCAUAGUUUUAUUGCCUGUUAUUAUCUACGAUAUCACUAUGCCAUUUCUAUACUGGCUCUGAAAGUUAUUCAUGAGCUUAUAAGCACUUACCAUAAUUUAAGCAGUCUGUUUUGGGUUCUUUUUCAUUAGGUCAUUAGCUACAGAUUAAUGGAGAAACGAGGACCAUGCCACUGAUUUGGGUUCUUUUUCUAAUUUUCUGAUUUUGGGGUUUUGCAGGGAGUACUGAUGUACUGAUUUUCUGGGAUUUUUUUUUGUCCUUGCAGGAUUUUUGGUCUUUGAAAUGGGUAUGUGUUGUUUUUAAUGUUUCAGUUCUAGCGUGUUCCGUUCUUCGUUGCUUCGUGAUUCUCAUUUUUCAGUGUUGGGUGAUGGAAAUUUGUUAAAGUAGUUGGUAGUUUUUUGAGAAAGUUGGCAUUUUUAGUUAUAUUUUCUGUUUAAUCCUAAAUGUAAGACUGGAAAAUCAUUGAAAUGAUGGUUUUUUAAAAACUCAUAAUUUUUUUGUUCUGGGAUUUAAAAGCAUCUUUUCCAGAUUGGUUACAAGGGUUAUGUUCUCUUCAAUUGGUUCACCUAAUUUUGAUUAGUUUUAAGUUUUGUCCUUUUAAGUUUGUCUUUUAAGUUUUGUUCUUUAAGUUUUGUCUUUUAAGUUUUGUUCUCUAAGUUUUGUCUUUUAAGUUUUGUCUUCUGUGCUGUAAUGAGAGAUUUCUGUUGGCUUUUCGGAUUUUGGCAUGGGAAAGUUCACUUAUUUGUCUAAUUAGAUUGUGUAUGCCUUCGAUUCUUUAUUUAAUUGUUCUGUUUGCGUUCGGGUGUGAUGAUCUAAAUUUCAUAUGUUUGGAAUUAUUUACUUAACACCAAUUUGUUACAUUCAGAUCUCCACCCCACAUUUCACUAGUUGAAAUUCCAUAGAAGUCGGUUACUGCAGAUUGCGUCUACAAUUAGAUCAGAGAUCAACUGCUCUUUUGUUAUCCUGCAGAAGAUUGCUUUUGGGAAGGAUCUGAAGUAGUUUCUCUCUGUAUGUUUAUUCCCAUGUAGCUCUGUCUUUUCUAAUUGUGUUGAUAUUACACUGUAAUUCAUGAUGAUGAUUUAAUUGUUUAUUGAUUUGUAAUUGAUUGUGAAUAAUGUGGCAUAUAUGAAUUGCAAUCUGUGUUUGUAUGAAAGGGAUGGCAUAUUAUGUUGCUGACUUAAUUGUUUAUGUUUUUCAUAUUUGCAAAUGGUGUUAUGAUCAAUUAGGUGAUUGCUGACCUGUGACUUUGUUUGGAGCUCAAAUUUUGUGAGCAUUACAUUGGAUUGUUUUGAUGUUGUUUUGGUUAACAAUGCAGCGAUAGGAGAAACAAAGAGGAUGACACUUAUAACUGCCCUUCCCCAUCGGCCGUCUUCAAAUUUGGAUCACAAGAAGGGAGCAACAUAGGUGUUUUCCUUCUUCAUUUAGAUAUGGUUAGUGUAAAUAAUUGGACAAAAGAGCCAAACAAACCCUGUUCUCUCAAAUGGAGUCGAUGAUGUGGUCGACGGCCACCAGCCCCAACUCAAGAGUUUGGCCUUCAUAUAAUUGGAUUGUAGUAUAAUUUUAUUUUGGUUCAUUUCUUUUUUCCUUUAUAUAAGUGCAGGUGUUGUGAUGUUUUGAAUAAAGGGUGAUGAAAGGUGGUUCACACACUUCCUCCUUACUUAAAGCAAGUGGAGAUGACGGUUUGUAUAAAAAGAAAAACUUGCCACGUACUUCAAUUUUCUAUUUUAUUAAUUAUUGUUUGGUUUUCCAAAUGUUGUAUUCACUAAGAGACCAAUUAUGUCUUUGAGAAACAAGUUUCUUUGUCUACAUUGCGAGAAUUUGCAGUUUGCAACUUUCAUUGGUUAUUAUAUUUGAUUGAGUUAAACUUGGAUUUCUGGAUUUUGACUUUUUCGUUUGUUUCUUUGUUGCAGAGUUGGCUUCAUUUCAUUCCAGGAACUGUCUAAAUAGGGCCAAGAACUCACUAAUAGGUAGUCAAGAAGAAUUCAGUGUUGCCUUCAAUUUUUGCCUUCUGUUUACAUUCUUCCUGGAUGCACUCUCACCGCUUCUCUCGCUUACCACUUUUGUCUCACUCACCGCUUCAUCUCUUCUGUUGCUUACAAGGUCGUGUCAUAUAUUUUUUUAAUUUUGUGUGGUUUAAUUUAUUGAAUAUUUGAAAAAAGAGAUAAAAUUUUCAAUUUACAAUUACUGAUAUGAUGUUUGUUUUGAAAAUCAUUAAGGUGAAUGGAGAGAUUUACAACCAUGAAGAGCUGAGGAGCCGUUUGCCAAAUCAGAUUUAUAGGGCUUCAUCAAUUAUAAAUAAACGACUUUUCAUUCCCAAUGACCUUUAUCGUUUUUCUUAAUGGGUUAGCUGAACAUGAGGUAGAUGCUGACUUUAUCAAAUAUGAGAAUGUUUUAGGAUUUCAUUCUAAUUUUUUGGCUGUUUGAUUACUUUGCUUUUCGUAAUUUGAUUUGCUUAUCGUCAAUUGGAUGGGAUAAAACAUAUUUUUGUAACCAGUUUGUACUUUUUUUUUCUUUUUUUUGUGGAAACUAACCAGUUUGUACUUUUACCAAUUACCAUAUCGGUUUUGAUGGAAUUGGAGCUUUCAGUAAUGGGUUCUGAGGGAAUUGGAGUUCUGAGUAAUGGGUUUUUUUUAACAACUAUAGUAUCAUUUGUGAUUCAUUUAUUUAUAAGAUAUUAUAUAGGAAACUGUUUUUAGCACUCUAAAAAUCUUAUUCUACACUCUCGACAAAUGUAUUUUUCUUUCUAAUUAUGAAAAGUUUGGAGGGCAAAAUGAGAAUUGUGGAGUGCCAAUAACAAUUCCCUAUUAUAUAUAGCUCUACUAGGAAGGCGACUGUAUGUCUUCAUCCUGUUAAAUUGUAUAUGGCUCUUGAUGUCGGCUGAAUUAAAUCAAAAUGAAAACCAAGCUGCUGAUCUUACCAGCCCAUAUCACUUAUCACUUGCUUAUUUAAAUUAUUUGAAGAUGCGUAUGUGGAUUGGUGAUUUUGUUGGAUUCACUUGGCUCAAAUAUAUGUUAUCUGAGUCGCUACAUUUGAGAAUGUGAUUUUGUUCCUACCACCAUUUUGCCCACUUUUUGUGGAAAUUAUUUCUGCUUGUUGUGAAUGAUACAUUCAUCCCCGGCAGCAAAGUGCGAAGUGCGGGCGCAUUUUCUAGUUUAAGUAAAUCACACAAUGGGUCAUCAAUAAUAACAAACUUGUCAUUUAUGAGAGUCAAACAUGAGGCCACCUACCUACUAGUUUAGUGGAAUACCACAAGUGACAUGUUGAUACCUUUAAAUCUCAUAUAAUGGAUUGCAGAAUUAGGAUAUUCCUAGACUAAUUUAGUUAGUGCGUGAACCCGAACAAUUAACAAGGGUUUUAUUCUUGCUUGAAUGUUUGUUAUAUGUUCCUAGUUUGACAAGGCAAUUAUAUUUCCGACUACAAGUUAUUAAUUUAGUCGAGAAUUGACGCACCUGAAAUGGUGUGAGGAAAACAUGUAUCCACAUGAGCCGCAGUCCACUGUCCUUGGCAUCUAUCUUUAAAAGGCUCGAAAUGAAGCUCAAAGCCAUACAUGAGGGCAUUGUGUAUGUCUUUAUAAGAGAAGUUGCGGUAGUCCUCAACGUAGCCGGCAGCCAAACUCAUCCACUCUACACUGCAACCAUCAUCCAAUUCCCAUACCUCCCUGAACCUGUCCCCAACAUAUUCCCCGACCAUGACAUAGCUAUUCGUUUUUGGUUGACUCGAAGAAGAAGAAGAAGAAGAAGUAUUAUUCAAGCAUGGAGCAGUGUCCACGUACAGAGAAGAAUUCGAUGGAUUCGAACACUUCAAGUAAUAUAUAGAUAGAGAAUUAAUGUCAUAGGCGGGCCAAUAUAGAGAAUUGAUGUCCUCGGUGGUGGGCGGAAUAUUUUGAGACAUGGAAGAGCAAUUGUUGUUGUCAAGCCCAGGAUCUCGAAGUCGGAUUGUUUUGUUAUUAUAGUUGAUUGCCUGGACAUGGUACUUUCCGAAAGAAGGUAGGUCUAGUACUGUAAUGUUGCUCUCACAGGACAGAGUAUACGAUAUGUUGCCACAGUACUUUGGAUCAUCGUUAAGUCGAAAAGGAUGGCUUAUGUUGUGGAUAUGGCCGCAGGAUGAAGUGCAGGACUUGGCACUACUGUUGUCAGCGUUACAAGUUUCACUGCAAAAGCAAAGAAGAAGAAAGGCUAAACUUAAGGUGAAGGACCUGGUUCCACUAAUUUCCAUUGCUCUGAGAGAGAGAGAGAGAGAGAGAGAGAGAGAGAGGGUACCAUAGCUUAAACACCAAGGAGUUAUAUAAUAUGGGAGGGGUUAAAGCACCUCGCUUACAGUUGCAGUAAGCCCGUCAAAUAUCCUAGGGAAAAGUCGGUCAAUGGUGUCCUAUAGAGAAAAGUCGGCCUUGGUGUUUGACACGGUCACUCAACUCUCUCUCUCUCUCACAUUGACGAGGGACACUGUAAUUGAAAAAAAAAAAUGUUCUUCAGAGAUAGAUCUUGAAAUUCUUAUUUUAUAUAAAAAAAACACCUAAUAUUAAAUUAUUAAUCAUUCAAAUGAAAUUCUUAAAAUUAAGUAUAAAUAAUACAUAACGAAAACUGAGCACAUACAAUCAACGGUCACGAUCGUGAAAUCCUCCGGAUCCUCAGAAAAAAAUCCGACGAUGAUCUUUUUCUGUGUAAAAUAAUUUGAGGGUAUAAUACUGGAUGUGGAGCCAAAAAUAUUCGCUAGGCGACACGUGGACUUUUGGACAAAAGAGGACAAAAAUACCCUCGAAGCAUACAAGGAUUCCUACGCGCGAGCAGUGGGCAAUCAUCUUUCAAUCAAGUCAAAAGUGCCCAAAAAAGGUAACAAUUAAAAACCUCUCUCAUCAAAUCCUUUCUAUAAGGUAUUUCCCAAAACCUAGUAUUUUCUAUUUCAUUAUUUAGCUAAUCAAUUAGCUAAAUAAUAUAAACCUACCAUAUCUCCUAAAAUCACCCAAUUAAUAGCCCAAAACCGGCCCCCACUAUUCACAUCCUCAUCUUUCCCAUUUUCCUUAUUAAAAUAAUCAUUCAUUUUUAUAAACCACCCAUUUUAUUAUUUUCAUAUUUAAUUAGCCAAUAAAUUGGCAAAUUAAACAUGAAAUUAACCCCCACAAAAACCCUAUGGCUGGCUACUAUUAUUCAAAAUAGGGCAAACCCUAACUCUAUAAAUAAACACAUAUUCUCACCAAAAAUUCAUUCCAACUCUCUCACAAAAAAUCACAAAUACUCUAAACACUAUUUCUCUCUAAAAUUCUAACUUUGGCAUCAGAGGUUCUUCGGCCAAAGCCCCCCCCAUUCAUCGUGGGCGCGUGAGGCUCUUGGCCUUAACCUAAGGUGCUAGUUGUUUUGUAGGUGCAAAAUCGUCCAAGAUCGAAGAGGAGAAAAUUUGCAUCCACAAAUUGGUGCUUUCAUUGAGAGUUGAAAUCCAUACUCGUAGAAGACUCUCGCACAAAAAGGUUUUUUCUUUUAUUUUCUAGUCCAUUUGAAUAUUUUUCAUACGUUCUUAUUAUUAGAAUUUUUUUACUUGCAAAGGUUCUUUGAUAAAACGUAUAAGCAAAAUAUAAUGGCUAGAAAUUUAGAAAAUUCCACAAGUGAAAAUUCUAAUGUUCAAGAAAUGGGAUUGCGGAGAUCCGUGAGGCUAAAUGCGACAAUAAGGGGAGCGGCAUCAUCAUCACGAGCUUCCACCAUGGGAACCACCAUGGUGGCUACCUCGGUAGCCACCCGCGGCGAGGUCCAUGGUGCCUUCACCACGGCCACCAUGGGAACCACCGCGGUGGCUACUUUGGUAGCCACUCGUGGCGAGGUCCAUGGAGCCUUCACCACGGCCCGGAGAUCCGUGAGGCAAAAUGCGACAAUAAGGGGAGCGGCAUCAUCACCACAAGCUUCUACCAUGGGAACCACCGUGGUGGCUACCUCGGUAGCCACCCGCGGCGAGGUCCAUGGUGCUUUCACCACGGACACCAUGGGAACCACCGCGGUGGCUACUUCGGUAGCCACUCGUGGCGAGGUCCAUGGAGCCUUCACCACGGCCCGAGCCGUGCCAUCCAAGGCUCACGGUACCAAGACCACGAUCCAAGCCGUGCCAUCCAAGUUUACGUGGACCCAAGCCCAAGCCUCGCAUUCACAUGCACCGCGCAUUGAGCAGCCUGUUCCCGUGAUCCAGCCUGUUCCCGUCAAGCAACCCACUCUCACGGCCCAACCUGCUCAUGCCGAGCAGCCUGCUCUCGUGACACAGCCUGCUCCCGACGAGCAGCCCACUCCCGUGGCCCAGCCUACUUUCGUCGAGCAGCCCACUCCGGUGGCCCAGCCUGCUCCUGCUAAACAGCCCACUCCUGUGGCCCAGCCUCCUCUUGCUAAGCAGCCUGCUUUCGUCGAGCAGCCCACUCCGGUGGCCCAGCCUGCUCCUGCCAAGCAGCCCACUCCGGUGGCCCAGCCUGCUCCUGCCAAGCAGCCUACUCUCGUGACCCAGCCUGCUUCCGACGAGCAACCCACUCCCGUGGUCCAGCCUGCUUCUUUCGAGCAGCCCACUCUCACGGCCCAGCCUACUCCUGUGGCUUUCCAAGCAGCCCAAGUCGGCCCAAGACUAUCUCCCGGACCUACCAUCGAGCCGAGGGCAUUCUCACCACAUUUUUUCACGGAUUUGACAUUUCCCAACUCAAAUCUCGCGCCCGGAGUCUACCACAUUUCCACUGCCCAAGGAGGCGCAUUCCUUCCAAGCUCUUCCAAUCCAAAUGGCGAACAACACUUGUCUCGACAAGUCAUAGAGUUGACGAGCGCCCUUGCACAACAGAAAACCUUGGUGAAUCAACUUUUGCAACGUAUCGGGAUCCAACGUGCCCCGGACGAGGUAUCCCGAAGUAGGACAAGGGCAAACGAACAUUUCCAGCAGCCACUCGACCAGCCACGAGCCGAACGUUUGGGCAGUGUACAUUCCCGUCUUAGAGCGCGAGGGAGCAUGCACUCUCGACUAGGCCCACGGAUGAGCAUACAUUCACGGUUGGGGUCAUACUCCGAUAGUCAACAUGAGCAACCUUCCGGGCAAAGUGUCUAUUCGCAGCUAAGCCCACAAGGAGCGUCAUCCACCUCACAUCAGAGUAGGCAGCACGACGGACGGAGAGAAGCAGUCACUCAAUCCAGCUCAAGUUCAACCAGCAGCCUGCGAAGAACUCGCUCGCCUACUAGGAACGCACCACAUGCACUGCAUUCGCGGCAUAGACGAGCCAAACACAUGGAAGAGCAGCUUAGACCAGCAAGUCAUGACUGGAGGCAGCCAAGAGCUCCGCUACCCCAACAAAGGCAAAUUCAGGAAGAAGUAGAGAGACUCUUGACCAAGCGAUUGCAUGAUUUCCAACGCAACGAGGUCACCGACGAGGCACUACGACGGAACAUGACCAACAUAAGCAAGCAGGUCACCCUUCACGGACGAGAUCGAGCAGGCAGAGCCUCCACGAGAGUUCAGCAUGCCACAUUUCACAUCUUUCAAAGGGGAUGAAGACCCGGAGAGACACUUAAAGCGCUACCGAAGCGCAAUGAUCCUUUAUCGAAACAACGAUGAGCUUAUGUGCAAGAUAUUCGCCACCACUCUACAAGGCGAGGCGCAAGAUUGGUUCUACACCCUGCCGUCACAAUCCAUCCGGAAUUUCUACGAACUUUCUUUGGUUUUCACCAAAGAAUAUUCAUCCUAUCGCUCGAUCAAAAAGAAAUCUGAUCAUUUGUUCAACGUCAAGAAGAACCCAAAGGAGUCAAUUCGCGACUAUGUGAGGAGGUUCAAAGUAGAGAAGGCAAAAAAUAGUCGGAUGCAACGACUCGAUAGCUAGAGCAGCCUUCCAAAAAGGACUUCCAGCAGACCACCCGCUAUUUGGAAAAUUGAUCAUGAAAGAAGAUCUAACUCUGGCAGACUCUUUUGCUUUGGCAGAGAAGUAUGCACUUUGGGAUGAGGCUCGCCAAUGCACAUUCAAGGACUUGAAGAAGUACCCGACAUCACCUCCCUAGAAGCAGCGGAGGACUUAUUCACAUGUUUGACGAUAUCUAAAGUAGCAAUAAGCUCUACCAUCAUGCGAGAAGAGAUGGGGGCCCGACUACCUGUAUUCCACAGUUACCUGUAUUCUACAGUUCAAAAGCUCUCCUCGAUGUUAUUAAAAAUUCAAAAGCUAACUUUGGUGAUAGUUGUUGCAACCCAGAAGCACAAGUUUUACUUUCAAACGCAUGCAAUCAUCCUAAUGACGUACUAUUCUGCCCAAUCCAGACGCGCGACGAUAAAGGUGUAGACCAUGGCGGAUGUAAAGUUUUCUGACGAACGCAACACUAGAAGGACACACUCGAAAGCAAGUUUUGUCCUCGUCACCCUAAAAGAUUCUACAUAGGAGCAACAUGUACCGGCAGUUGAGUACCAUUUCUUGCUGCGCAUCACACGGCCCUAGCCGACCCUUGCUCAAUGAUUCAACUCUAGAGUGGCCCAAUACCGGCAGUUGAGCAUCUCCUGUUGCGUAUGACAUGGCCCCAUCUCCACAGCUCCCUACUGCGUCUUCACGCCGAGCCUAAGUGACGUAACAGAGCAGCCCAACGAUGCCUCAGAAGUAGCCGAGCACACUCUAGCUGCGCCUACUCCACCCGAUGGAGACUUUUGGCAUUUGCAUGUCGACGACGCAGAAAAGCCUUCAUCACUGCCGGCAGAGAAGGCUCCAAAAAGAUGGAUCCCAUCUGGGAAGGUCCGUACAAGAUCAGCAGAGUAGGGGGCAAGAGUAAUUACACCCUCACCACCAUGAAGCAGCAAAAAUAUUGAAAAGAAAUGGAUGGCCUACAAUCUGAAGAAGUACCAUGUGUGACCUCCCGCUACAUCAAAACCCGAAGACUCAAUAAGCUCGACGGGCACCACCUCACAAGCUGGGGACUAUCCAGUUGUUAUGCAGUUCCUACCUUACAGCUAAAGUUCUCGUUCGUUUCACUCGUUUUUCAAUGAGGAAUUUAGAAGUAAUCACAACUUGGCUUGGUUGCAUGCUUACAACAACUAAUCACUCCUGCACUUCAAAAGAAGAUUGCGCCCUUCUUAGGGACUCAUCGCAGGAAUUGCGCCCCCCGAGGGACCAACCAUGCUCUCCAGUGCGAGAGGGUAAACCAAUUCUCCGACACCCAUAUGGGUCAGCUCUCCAAGACGGGAGGAUAAACUUUACACUCCGAAUAUCCAGACGUGGAUGAGCCUGGCUGCCCUAGUAUAACUAGAUGCACGAUGGCUUGCGCCGGGAUUCCUAGAAGUAGCCGCAAUGGUCUUUUUCAAGGCUUAGCUAACUGAAGGAUUUUGGGUCUCUUGGCCUAAUCCGUGGGGAACCGGGCCCUAGAGACGGAGAGGGCACAUUACGCAGUACAUCCGAUGGACGGCUGCCCUGGAAUCCUAAAGCUGCUACCGAGUGCACUAAGGUAGCCUACGGAUUCCGGAAGACUGCCUACGGCUUGCCCUUCGAGCAGUGAAGCCGCACUAGACUUAUACAACCGCACAUUCUUGUGAAAGGUUAAACAAGCUAGCGCGCAUAUACGAAGUUUUAUCCACUGCCGACAUGCUAUGUAGUUGAUAAGCUUCACCUCUGCCAAGCGCGGAACAACCUACACCAAGUCCUAAAGUGUUGUGAUACUUGCUACGCAACCUACGGAAUUGAAAAAAGUCAAGGUUAACAGCCGAGUGGUUACGCGGACUUGUCUACUUCUGUAAGUAAGGCAUCCGGCUGCCAACCCUAUGGCUAACAACUUUGCAAAGUUCUACACCAACACCUACGGCUGCAUAGGCUACGCGAGUUUGUCUGCUUAUAAAAAAGUAGCAUGCCUGCCACUGGUCUAUCAAGUCUAAAGGUUAGGGCAUGAACAAAAGAAGUGAAGAUGAAGAAAAACGAAGGAAAACAUGUUUAUAAACAACUAGCAAAGGCCGAAUGAGUUCAAGCAAAACAAGAGCUACAAGGAAAAACAAAGAAAAUCCUAAAGGCUACCUAAAAUACUACACUACAGCAGCUUGGACAUCCCACGACUACUCGAUCGCCACACCUUCAACAGCCGUAACGCUCUUAGCAGCGGCAUCAUCCGGCGCUUCACCCCCCGGCUGCCCUAGUCUGGGCACUAACUUCUCCAACUACUUCACCAAUGGAAGCCUUAAAAGUAAAAGCAAACAAGUCUUCCGGAGAAAUAGAGAAGGUCUUAAAACCUCAAGCCCAUCCUUCUCACCCUUCAGCUGCUCAUUCUUCUUAAGCAGACUAACACGGACGCGCUACAGCUCAUCCACUCUCUUCUUAGCAUAAGUAGCGAAACGAAGCUCAGAAAUUGCAAGCUUAAGAUCUUGAAUCUGAGGCGAAUCAAUCUCAGCAGCAAAGGGAGCAGGCUUUGGCGCCACUUUAGCAGCAGAGUCCACCUUACCACUCUUCAUAAUAGCAAGUCUCUAAAAAGGUGAACCGGACUUGGCUCCCAAAGAACGUCCUGGUACAAACUUCGGCACUGGGGGCAUGAUAAAACCUUUACGCUGAGUAAUCUUAUCCACAAUUGUACUAGCCAUUCUCAACAUGGAAGACGCCACAUGCUCAGAUCUAGCAGCCUUACAUUUCUUCCCAUUGGAAGAAGUCAUGUCAAUCACAUACCUCUCGGUAGCAAGUGGACCAUCAUGAGCAGCAGAAGAAGUCUUCAAUUUUUUCUUAACUGGCAUCUCAUGAGCAGGUGGGGAAGAUCUCUUCUUUCCAUCUUCAUUCAUAGUAAGCUCCACGAUAGCGAUCAGAUGAGCCAAUGCAUCCGCCUUGAUCCUCUUUACCUCCUCUUUCCGGAGCAGCCCACAUUUCUUUCAGCAAAUAGGACUAAGCAGCCAACGACAUUCAUGGUACUCAGCAGGGGAGCUCAACCCAGUAUUCCAGCAGGCAGGAGGCCUGCAUGCCCAACAUUCCAGCAGCCCGUGAGACCCGCAAUCUCCUUAUUUCUCUCAAUCGCAAGCCUGGCCUGAGUCAAGUCCAAUAGCCCAAAGGACAUGAGUCAUGCGAUUCGCCUAACACUGCGCCUCAGCGCCACAAUCCUCGACCCCAGCUGCACAAGCUGCCCUUGGUUCUAGCCAAGUCAAGCAGCUUAAAACAGUGGUCCCUACCACAAUACCUCAUCGGCCCAUGUCGAGCCGACUCCUGGCCUAUGCCAGCCGACGUGCCGCACCACCCCGAUGGCUGCCCUGCAAUAGCACUAUCCAAGAAGAAGGCAAGAAAAAUUAAAUUUUUCUUACAUCGGUGCGGCACGAAAAAGACGAAGAAAUCAACGAAAGACGGUCUUUUGCACAGGCAAGACGUAGAAGAUUGCUAGAGGAGAGGGAACAAAUAUCCUCUAACUUUCUCUCUCUUGUUGGGUAGAAUAAAUCGCUCUCCAAAGUUGAUUUAAUAACCCACUUAAGGUGGACUUAAAUAGGCUUUGAGAGAAAUUUAUUUCCCUUUCCUAGAAGGAUCUAAUUUCCAUUUAAAGAGAGAAUCAACAACAAAAUAGGAAUCAAUUUAGAGUUGCCUAAAGCGAGAAAAUCUCUACACCUGUUGCCCUUUUCUGCAAGCAGCCCAACAGGUGUGGGGGCAUUUGUGGAGCCAAAAAUAUUCGCUAGGCGACACGUGGACUUUUGGACAAAAGAGGACAAAAAUACCCUCGAAGCAUACAAGGAUUCCUACGCGCGAGCAGUGGGCAAUCAUCUUUCAAUCAAGUCAAAAGUGCCCAAAAAAGGUAACAAUUAAAAACCUCUCUCAUCAAAUCCUUUCUAUAAGGUAUUUCCCAAAACCUAGUAUUUUCUAUUUCAUUAUUUAGCUAAUCAAUUAGCUAAAUAAUAUAAACCUACCAUAUCUCCUAAAAUCACCCAAUUAAUAGCCCAAAACCGGCCCCCACUAUUCACAUCCUCAUCUUUCCCAUUUUCCUUAUUAAAAUAAUCAUUCAUUUUUAUAACCACCCAUUUAUUAUUUUCAUAUUUAAUUAGCCAAUAAAUUGGCAAAUUAAACAUGAAAUUAACCCCCACAAAAACCCUAUGGCUGGCUACUAUUAUUCAAAAUAGGGCAAACCCUAACUCUAUAACUAAACACAUAUUCUCACCAAAAAUUCAUUCCAACUCUCUCACAAAAAAUCACAAAUACUCUAAACACUAUUUCUCUCUAAAAUUCUAACUUUGGCAUCGGAGGUUCUUCAGCCAAAGCCCCCCAUUCAUCGUGGACGCGUGAGGCUCUUGGCCUUAACCUAGGUGCUAGUUGUUUUGUAGGUGCAAAAUCGUCCAAGAUCGAAGAGGAGAAAAUUUGCAUCCACAAUGGAUGUGCGAUUAAACCGAAGAACCCACCACCUCCAUCUUCUCCGACCAACUUGAACCCAGCCACUACUACAUGUCAUCCCGACAACCCACUCUCAGCUUCCCAAACCGCCAUUUUUCACCCACUCACUUACCUCUCUCUCUCUCUCUCUCUCUCUCUCUCUCUCUCUCUCUCUCUCUUACCCAAGCCACUGCCAUUAUUCAUUCAAUCAACCCAAAACACGAGAGCCACCCCAUCUCACCACUCGAACAGAUGCAGCCACCCACCCAUUUAAUCCCAGUCCAAAAUCAAACCCUCUCCUAAACCCACCCCAGAAUCCAAUAAUUUCAAAAAAUGGCUGAUUAUAUCAUUUCAAGAACCUCACAAUUCCAAAAACUAAAAACCCACUUCAAAGAUGUAAUAUUUUUCUCUCUUCCUCUUUUUGGGUUUUUUUUUUUUAUCAAUUCUCUUCUGGGUUUUUGUUUACAGUGUAAAAUCAACACUAAUUUACUAAUUUUGCUUUGAUUUUUCAAACACUAUUGAGGCGUGAUAACCUGUUGCAAGCUCAGCCAUGGCGGCUACUGCAAAAUCUAACGGAAAAACCAUCACAGACUCUGCCAUUUCAUCCAAGGUUCCGACAAUAGCAAACCCUUUAACGAAUAGCUGUCGCAGAUUUCUUCCAACAUCAAUCACCACGCGAAAUUAAUUGUCAAUGAAGACGAUCCCAUUCCCCUUCGAAAUCUGCUGGGGGAAAGAGGCCUUCUUUCAUAUCUGCUCUGAGACCUGUUUAUGCGAGAGAGUGGUGAGCCUGACGACAGAGAGAAAGAAGGGCAGGAUUGGAAAAUUGGAAAGUUCAUUUAUUGGUUACUGUUUAUCCGUGUUUCUUCGAAAUAAGCUGCUUUUUCCAGCUUUGGGUUUUCAGUAUUUUUUUAACCCAUAAUUUUGAAAGAAAAAAAACUGAUUUGAAAUGUUAUCAAACACUUAAAAUGUUCCAAUCUUUUUUCAUACCUAUUUUUUUUAUUAAAAGUUAAGCUAAACAAAAACCAGGAUUAAGUUUACUACUUUGAAGUUUCUUGCUUUUCAACAUUUCAUACAUUGAAUUUUUCUCAUCCAGUGUCAUACCUAAGGUGAGAAUUGUGGGACACUUUUAUACAUCCGUUAGAUUUUCUGUGAAUUAUGGGACACUUUUAUACAUCCGUUAGAUUUUUUGUGAUAACCUUCGCUGACCCACGAUGCGGCAUGCAUGUGGACAUUAAAAAAAAUUCAAAAAUUCAAAAAUUCAAAAAUUUUAAAAUUUAAAAUUCAAAAAUACUAAAAACCUAAACUUUUCAUAAUAUUGAGUUGAGAGACUGAAUCUUUUCACACUCGGCCAAAUUUUCUUUGAAUUUUAAUUAAAUGAAACAAUGAAUCUUGAACAAAGCAAAACAAAACGUAAUAUUGAGAGAUUCAGUCAUUGAAGUGGACGUGGAUGUUGGGUACUCAAUAGUCCAAGAAUGAAAAUUCUCAUAUCAGUUUCUAUCCAAAAUUUUGGAAUUAUGUGUGUUGCAACGAUUGUCCAAAGGAUUAUUCUUCUUUUAUUAAAUUUCCAUGAAAAAUGAGCAUGGGGGCAUAAAAAUUGAACGAAUGAAAUUUCAACGAUUUGAAAAGGGUUGUGAGUUUGACACGUCAUUUUUCUUCCUUUAAUGCAAUCAUGUUUAUUAAAAGACAAAAAUAAAUAUGACUUUACAUAAGGAGAGAGAAAGAAUAGUUUUCUUUGAAAAAAUCAACCAUUUAUUGAAGAGGGAUGUUGAUAAGGAGAUGAGACAUUCAUUAGAAGCUAGAAAAAAGAAGUUAAAAGUGAUUUAGAAAAAAGCAAGAAAGCCACAUUUUCAAAGUGGUGGUCAUUGCACAAUACUUAAUUAGAAGAAAACUCAUAGUAUUGUAUUUACAAUUUCAAGUCUUUAUGGGGAACGAGAGUGCAAAUUUUCCAAUUGGAAUAUGAUAUGAAAUUUCUAGAUAACUAUAUAUGACAAAGAAAGAAGUCUAAGUUUCUAAGUGGUAGGGCUUCCAAUUGAUGUGAGUUUGUUGAGAAAUGUAGAUGAAGAUGAAUAUUGUUGUUGAUGUUAGUGAACAACAGAACAAGUUGCUUCUCCUUUGGCCUUCUAACAUGAUAUCACGGAAAACAAGUUGUUGCUAAUAAAUGUAUCUGAUUGGUGGACUUAGACGUGCGCGGUACGAUUUUUGAUAACGAGAAAAGAUGGACAGUGUCAUGACAAAAUUUAUCCAAGUAGACCCAAAGGAAAGACUUAGGAACUUCAUAUGCAGUGGGAUAAAAUCUUAAGCUAAUUUCCUUACCUAUUUUAUAGUCAUUAAGUAAAAUGUAUAUGUAUAUUUCUAGAUGCUGACACACCAAUGUACUUACUAUUAACUCCUUUCAAAUACCCAUUCGCAGAAACGCAAAUCUCUCUUGCAUGCUUGUUGUAAUGCUCAUGUAGUGCGUAUCUAAUAUCUUAUGUGUAUAAUUUUUUGUGAUCCAUUUUUUCAUCACUAUGCCAAAAUCCCUUUAGAAUUUGCAAUUUAUCCAUUUGGUUAUGGUAAAAAAAAAAACUCGGAAUUUCAUUUAAACUCAAAAAUCUAGAAUUGGGAAAGCAAUUUUCCCUUGUUCGGCAACUUGUAGCGAUAGCAAAGGCAAAUUGUACAGGAAAAAAGUGGAAAUUGGGGAUGAAGAUCCAAUUUUAAUUUCGUCAAAAUAAGUGUAAUUUCACAAUUCCAACAACGUUGAGAACAAAUGCAUUGCGGGGAAAUCUUGCGACCACCAAACUUUACGAUUAGAGGGCCAAAUUUCAUGAUAAAACGUAAUAAGGGUUUAGGACUGCAUCGUUCACUUUGUUAACUCUCCAAUCUUCGACGGGAUUUUCAACUCGUGCAUCAUCUUUUGCUUUGUUCUAGGUCAAAGCCUACUCUUUUCUUUCUUGAAUUAUUUUAGCUUUGAGGGUAUACUCUUUAGGCCAAUUGUGAAUUUUGCUAGUUAUUUUUAUUUUCUGAUGGUCAUAUGUUUGUUUUGUUUUUUUUUUCUUCCAAUUGAGAUGUGUAUUGGUUGGAUCAGUAACUUUUUUUUUGGAUUUUUAUUUUUAUUUUUAUGGAUUUUGGUGUUAGUUCCUUGUUAUAGAUGUUGUGGAGCAAAAAAUAAUCUCAAAAAUCGUGGAGGUGACACACGGAUUUUUGGACAAGAAUGACAAAAUUAUCCUCGAAGCACAUCAGGAUUCCCACGUGCAUGCAACGGACAAUAACGGCUCAAUCAUGGAAGAGUCAAAGGUGAUCAAUAUGGUAUUUAUUCAAAUCCCUCUCAUCACUCCUCAUCAAUCCCUUUUUUAUUUUAUUCAAAAGGUAACUCCCAAAACUUCCUAUUUAAUUUAGGGAUCAUUGUCAUGUUAAUUGCAAGAUAUUAUUUCACAAAAUAUCUUGUAAUUAUUCUUCAAUUACCACCAUGUAUGGCCGGCCACUCCUCACAUUAUGGGCCGGUCACUCCUCACCCUAUGGGUCGGCCACUCCCUAUAAAUAGCCCUAUUAUUCCACUAAUAAGGAAGCCAUUUGCUACCCACAAACUCCUAAACACAUUCUUUCAGAAUUCUAACUUUGGCAUUGGAGAUUCUUAGGCCAAAUCCCCCCUCCCAUUCAUCAUGGGCGCAUAAGGCUUUUGGCCUUAGUCUUAGGUAUUAUUAUUUUGCAGGUGCAUUUUUGUCAAAGACGAAGAUGGUGAAAAUUUGCAUCCACAAAUUGGUGUUUUCAUUGAGAGUUUGAUUCAUAAGCUCGAAGAAGACUCACAUUCAAAGUUUCACAUUUCUCAUUCAUAAGUAAAUUUUUCAUACGUUCUUAUUCCUAAAAUUUUUUAAAUCUUUGAAUAGACGUAUGAGAGAAAUACAAUGGCUAGAAAUUUAGAAACCACGACGAACGAAACUUCCUACGUUCAAAGAUCCAGAUAAAAUGAUGGAAAUUGCGAUGUAGCCCCACCACGACGAUCCACGAAGCUCAACGUGGUGGCAAAAUGAGUAACUUGGCCACCACGGAGUACCACCACCACCAUAGCCAAGGCAACCCAUGUUGCAGUGGGGAGUGGGACAGCUUCAUGGCAGCAAAGCCACGAAGCAACAAUAAAUGCCAUCUUGCAGUAAUGAGCCCAGGCCCGUGUCACAAGGCAGUCAACCCAGCGCUAGGUAACCUAGAUCUAGUAGGCCCACGACGUUGCCAUAGCAGCUGAGGCCUAAAGCAAGGCCCAAACAGUUGCGGUUGCGGCAAAUGGAGCAGCACAACACUGGCGGGGCCAAUGCACCCUUGGCCUAAUGCUAAGCAGGCUAAAUCGCACCACACCCACUAUUCAAACUAACCCUAAGUUGAGUAAGUAGCAUUGAAGGUUGUCAACCGCAAGGCGUUGAAGUACGAAUAAAGUUACACACCCCGCACAUGACUUGGCCCACUUCCGCGGCCCAACUUGCUCGCAAGGUCCACCUAGUGAUCCCGACUAGUCGAAGGCCAGUUUAAUCAUCCCAUCUUCAGAUUUCUGGACUGACGAUUGAAUCGGGGGUAUUUUCACCCCGAUUUUCUACAGAUUUGACAUAUCUCAACUCAAAUCUCGCACUUGGAGUCCAUUGCACUUCCAUUACUCAAGGAGACGCAUACCAUUUAAGAUCUUCCAUCCCAAAUGGCGAACAACACUUGUCUCGACAAGUCAUAGAGUUGACAUGCGCUUUUGCGCAGUAGACGACCUUAGUGAAUCAGCUCUUGCAACGCACAUAGAUGCAGUGUGCCCCAGACGAUGUGUCCCGAAGUAAGACAAGUACAGAUGACGAUUCUCUCCAGCAGCGUCCCAACAAGCAGCCGCUCGACUAGCCACGAACCGAGCGUUCUGGCAGUGUACACUCCCGUCUAGGUCCUCAAGAAAGCGUAUACUCUCGUCUUAGCGCGCGAAUGAGCGUGCACUCAUGGUUAGGCCUAUGGACGAGCAUACAUUCACGGUUGGGACCAUACUCUUAUAAUUAACAUGGACAACCUGCUAGACGAAGUGUUCAUUCGCGGCUAGGCCCGCAAAAAGCAUUUUCCACCUCAUAUUGGAGUAAGCAGCACAGAAGACGAAGAUAAGCAGUCAAUUAAUCUGGCUCAAAUUCAAUCGGCCACCUGUAAGUAACCAGUUCGCCUGCCAAGAACGUAUCAUAUGCAAUGUAGCCACGACAUAGACUAGAUGAGCACAACGAUAAGCAACCUAGACUAACAGGUUACGACUGGGGGCAGCCAGAAGCUCUGCUGCCCCAAUAGAGGUAAAUUUAGAAAGAAGUUGAGAGGCUCAUGACCGAACAAUUGUGCGAUUUCCAACGCAACGAAGCUACUGACAAGGCGCUUAAACGAUACACGACCAACAUAAAUGGGUCACCUUUUAUUGACAAGAUUGAGCAGACAGAACCAUCCUACAUACACUGGCGGAUACAAAGAUUACAUCUAUUUUAACAUAUGCAUCAACUCAGCCUAAUGGCGUGUCGAGGGCAAAUGGGUACCAGAAUGGCACACCAGCCCAACCACCAAGAACCAGGGCCAAAUCUUAUUUUCAUCACUCCACACGAUUCAAUACUUGAGCAGCACAUCACCAGUAAUCGAGCACCGCAGACCUAAUGGUCCAAUUCCUCCUGAUGCACACAAGCUCACCCCAGCUCCACGCUCAAAGCCUUGCCUACCUGCUCCACAACACUCAGCCACCCUUGAUUUGUCACCAUGGCUCACAAUUAUGCCAAUUUUGCACCACAGCUCAUAGCCGUGCUAAUCUUGCCAUGCGGCUCUUAACUACGUUAACCAAGCCCACGAUACUUUAUACUUCAAAGCAUCCAACGACGGAGUAGAACACGAGGCUCUACUAGCAGCCCCUGCUAGUGAAAGACUUUGCGGUGAAGAGGCUUCCAAUCCAUUCAAAUUCUCAGUUGACCACCUGUUGGGUUUUACGACUCAAAAUUAGGAUGAUGCAAAAAAAAUUGUGUUACCUAUUUGGUUUUGGUGUCGUAUUUGGGUUUGGAUUUUGACCUCUUAGUUGGUUUCCGUGGUGGAGAGAUUUUGUUAAUUACCUAUUUGAUUAGGAUUUGGAUUUACUUCCUAUUAAGAUUCUUAUUGUAACCUAAGUCUUAUGCACUAUAAAUAGGACCUCAGGGUUAGUGUAUUUUGUGUGGCUCAUUCGUGUGGCAAUUUGGUGAGAGUCAAUUUGUGAGUUUGUGAGUUAGAGAGCAAUUUGGGAGAAUCUUCUCCGUUAGUUUUGGGUUCUCUACUCGUUUGGUUUAGGGUUUGUAAUUUGUGGGAUUUGGAUUGUGAGAGUCUGAACACUAUUUUGUAAUCUCCGUUUGUUUAGUGAAAUUUCUUGUCAUGCUUCGCUCGUGGACUUAGAUUUUACACCGAACCACAUAAAUCUCUUGUGUUAGUUUGAGAUUGUUUGUUUUAGUUUUCACCUACGACGUUGAUAUCGGUACUUUGUUAGAAUUCGCUUUCCUUUGCUCAUAAAAGUACAACAAGUGGUAUCAGAGCCCGGCUUUCGGCUUGGGCUUUGCUUGGCAAUCACUAUGAAGCCUUCUGUGUCGUCGGUGAAAGUUGAUAUUGAAAAGUUCGAUGGCAAUGACUUUGGUAUUUGGCAAUUGAAGAUGCGUACUUUGUUAAUUCAACAAGAGCUUUUAAAAACGCUAAAGGGUGUGAAGGCUUUCCUGAAUUCGUGGACUGAUGAAGAAAAAAAAAGAUGUUAUGGAGCGGGCACUUGGAACAAUCCUGCUAACUUUAUCGAAUGAAGUCUUGCGUCAAGUUGGUAGCAUCAAAUCUGCACCGAAGUUGUGGCUAAAAUUGGAGAGUUUGUAUAUGACCAAAUCCCUUGCUAAAUGGUUGUAUUUGAAGAAAAGUUUGCGUACUCUUCGUAUGGAUGAAGGUACGUCAAUUCAUAAGACCAAAUCCUUAUUGCUGCCAAAAGUCCUCAACAGUUCCAAGGGAGAUGGGUAAGAGUUCGUAAUAGUGAGAGAUUGAAUCUUUUCACACUCGGCCAAAUUUUAAUUUUAAUUAGAUGAAACAAUGAAUCUUGAACAAAGCAAAACAAAAUUUAAUACUGAGAGAUUGAAUCAUUGAAGUGGACGUGGAUGUUGGGUACUCAACAGUCCAAGAAUGAAAACUCUCAUAUAAGUUUUUAUCCAAAAUUUUGGAAUUAUGUGAGUAUUGCAACGAUUGUCCGAAUGAUUAUUCUUCUUUUAUUAAAUUUCCAUGGAAAAUGAGCAUGGGGCACAAAAGUUGAACGAAUGAAAUUUCAAUGAUCUGCAAAGGGAUUGUGAGUUUGACAUGCCAUUUUUCUUCCUUUUAUGCAGUCAUGUUUAUUAAAAGACAAAAAUAAAUAUGACUUUACAUAAGGAGAGAGAAAGAGUAUUUUUCCUUGAAAAAAUCAACUAUUUAUUGAAGAGGAUGUGGAUGUUGAUUGAUGCGCAUUGUGAAUAGGAAAAAAAUAACCUUGAAGGGAGACGAGACAUUCAUUAGAAGCUAAAAAAAAGUUAUAGUGAUUUAGAAAAAAAAAGUUUUAACGAAACAUUUCCGGUACUGUUUACUCUUUACGAAAAACCACAUUUUUACCUUUCCUAACUACUAUUCACUACAUCUUUAUUUAUCAUUUUUCAUUAAAACUAAAGUUUUUGUUUUAACUUUUCGUUAGUUUCCUUUAGAAAAAAGCAAGAAAGCCUCAUUUUCAAAGUGGUAGUCCUUGAAACAAUACUUGAUUAGAAGAAAAGUCAUAGUAUUGUAUUUACAAUCUCAAGUCUUGAGGGGUAACGAGAAUGCAAGUUUCUAAUUGGAAUAUGAUAUGAAAUUUCUACAUAACUAUAUAUGACAAAGAAAGAAGUCUAAGUUUCUAAGUGGAAGGGCUUCCAAUUGAUGUGAGUUUGUUGAGAAAUGAAGAUGAAGAUGAAUAUUGUUGUUGAUGUGAGUUAGUGAACAACAGAACAAGUUGCUUCUCCUUUGGCCUUCUAACAUGAUAUUACCGGAAAACAAGUUGUUACUAGUAAAUGUAACUGACUGGUGAACUAAGACAUGCGGUACGAUUUUUGAUAACUAGAGAAGAUGAACAGUGUCGUGACAAAAUUUAUCCAAGUAGACCCAAGGGAAAGACUUAGGAACUUCAUAUGCAGUGGGAUAAAAUCUUAAGCUAAUUUCCUUUUUAAUCUUAUAGUCAUUAUGUAAAAUGUAUAUGCAUAUUUCUAGAUACAUACACACCAAUGUACAUAAUAUUAACUCCUUUUAAGUAGUCAUUUGCAAAUCCCUCUCGAGUGCUCUUUGGAAUGCUCAUGUGGUGCCGUUCUAAUCUCUUAUAUAUAACUUUUUGUGAUCCAUUUUUUCAUCAAUAUGCCAAAAUCCCUUUAGAAUUUGCAACUUAUCUUUUUGGUUACGGUAAAAAAAAAACUCGGAAUUUCAUUUAAACUCGAAAAUCUAGGGAUGUGAAAGCAAUUUUCUCUUGUUCGGCAACAUGUAGCGAGAGCAAAGGCAAAUUGUACAGGAAAAAGUUAGAAAUUUGGGAUGAAGAUUCCCAAUUUUAAUUUCGUCUAAAUAAGUGUAAUUUCACAAUUCUAACUACGAUGAGAAUCACAAAUAUAUUGCAGGGAAAUCUUGCGACAACCAAACUUUACGAUUAGGGUGCCAAAUUUCGUGAUAAAACCUAAUAAGGGUUUAGGGCUACAUUGUUCACUCUGUUAACUCUCCAAAUCUUCGACGGGAUUUUCGGCUCGUGCAUCAUCUUCUUGCUUUGUUCUAGGUCAACGCCUCUACUCUCUUCUUUCUUGUAUUAUUUUAGCUUUUCAGGUAGACUCUUUAUGGCUGUUGUGAAUUUUGCUAGUUAUUUUUAUUUUCUGAUAGUCAUUUGUUUGUUGUGCGUUUUUCCUUCCAAUUGAAUUGUGUAUUGGUUGGAUUUGUAACAUUUAUUUUUUUUAUUUUAUUUUAUGGAUUUUGGUGUUAGUUCUUUGUCAUGGAUGUUGUCCUUUUGAAGGUUAACAAUAGCCAAGACUAAACAUGAUGAUUUUGGUGUUAAUUACUUUCUCAUGAUACUAAUGCCAUAUUGUUCUCUAUUUUGCACUCACAAGUAAAGAGAAAUAUCCUAGACCCUAACUGGAUAUGUUAUUGUCAUGGUCAUGCAUUGGUAUGGUAACAAUAUGUUUGGAUAAGGAAAAUAAACUUAGAAUUUGACAAAAGAUAAAAUUUAUAAAUUGAUACAAUCAAUUCCUUUGUUUAGAUUCAUAAACAUAGAAAUUUAAACUUUCCGCGUGAGAAAAAACUUGGAAUUUGGGACCUUCAAUUCUCAUGUUUAAAUUUUAUGUAAAUAGGUGUCAUUUCUAAAUUUCAGUAAGUGAGAAUUUAAAAAUAACAAACAUGUAUUCAAAUUUCAUUCAUCUUUUAGGUUAACCAAACAAGAAAUUUUAUAAAUUCUAGAAAAUAAAAUUUCGUUAUUUCAAUUUCUGUUAUUUUAAAAUUAGUAAUCUUAAAUUUUCUCAUCCAAACAAAAAGUUUCCUUGUCAUAGAACUUUCAAUUGGGAUCAAGGAAGACAAUCUUUUCACAACUGAUUAUUCUCACCAAAUUUUAUUAUUAUUUUAAAGCAGAUCAAUACCAAACUUCAAAAGCAAAGUAGGAAGGCUAAAAUUAAGGUGAAGAACCUACUUCCACUAAUUACCAUGGGAGGGAGAGAGAGAGAACCAAGCGAGAGAGAAGAGAGAGAAAACACCAAGUAGUAUUAUAAUAUAGGUGGGGUUAAAUCACCUUUCGUGAAGUUGUAGUAAGAGCAGCUCCAGCGGGAGCUCCAACUUGAUGUACCGGUGAGAUUUCCUACCCAAUAGCCCCAGCUCCUUGCUCCAGUCCAUGCGGGUGAUUGGGCUGAGGGGGGCCGAGUGAGAGGCCUGACUCGAAUCGGUGGCCUGAGAGCCUGAGACCAAAAAUUAUCUUUUUGGAUAAUGACACGUGGUGCAACGAGAACGAUUAAAAAUCUUAUCCGAAAUUACAAAUAGAAUUAUUUUGUAUUAUUUUAUAAAAUAAAAAAUACUAAUAUUUUAUUGCUUAUUGACAUGACUAUUCAAUUACGGGUGGAGAUGCAGAAGACAAUUAUUAUUCAUUAAAGGUAAUUAUUGUUCAUUGGAGGGGAUUGAAUAUGAAGUUGCACUAGAAGGCCUUUGUCACGGCAAUAGGCAAUUACUGUUCUAAGGACUUCUAUCCUAGAAGAGAGACAAAAACACCAAGUAGUAUUAUAAUAUAGGUGGGGUUAAAUCACCUUCCGUGAAGUUGCAGAUAGAGUAAGGACUUCUAUCCUAGAAGAGAGACAAAAACACCAAGUAGUAUUAUAAUAUAGGUGGGGUUAAAUCACCUUCCGUGAAGUUGCAGAUAGAGUAAGGACUUCUAUCCUAGAAGAGAGACAAAAACACCAAGUAGUAUUAUAAUAUAGGUGGGGUUAAAUCACCUUCCGCGAAGCUGCAUUAAGGACUUCUAUCCUAGAAGAGAGACAAGAACACCAAGUAGUAUUAUAAUAUAGGUGGGGUUAAAUCACCUUACGUGAAGUUGCAGUAAGGACUUCUAUCCUAGAAGAGAGACAAAAACACCAAGUAGGAUUAUAAUAUAGGUGGGGUUAAAUCACCUUACGUGAAGUUGCAGAUAGAGUAAGGACUUCUAUCCUAGAAGAGAGACAAAAACACCAAGUAGUAUUAUAAUAUAGGUGGGGUUAAAUCACCUUCCGUGAAGUUGCAGUAAGGACUUCUAUCCUAGAGAAAAGUCGGUCAAUGGUGUUUGACACAGUCAGUCAACGAUAAAGACAGAAUUGUGUAACCAUAAUUCUCUCUCUAUCUCUUUUUCAUUAACGGAGGACAGUGUAUAAUUACUACGUAUACAUCUCUGCUCAAUUAUUGAAAAGAAAAAUCCAUGUGCAUUAUUUUUAUUAUUAUUAUCUCAGAAAUGCAGAAAUUGAUCAUCUCUUCCUUCUGCAUAUUGAUACUGGUUUUCUUCAAACUAGUUGAAGCAAGCCAAUAUGUGUGCGCGAAAUCCAACUGUAGCAAUGAUCAACGCCCGGCUAUCCAUUUCCCAUUGAACAUCAGGCGCACACAUCAUUGUGGAAAUUCUGGGCUUGAAUGCAAUGGGAGAUAUGGGCAGCAAAUACUAAUAAAAUUAUUUGUCAAACACAUUGAUUACAAGCGUCAGGAAAUCCAAGUCUAUUCCCCAAGUAACUGCCUGCUGCUAAAGCAUGUUGAAAUCCCAAACAUGCCACCCUCUCCCUUCAACGUGUCAGUCGAUGACUACAUGAGUACCCUUACCUUAUUCAGUUGUCCUACUUCUGUUGCAAGACGAGAUACGUAUCAAGUCCCCUGCCUCGGCGACCCUGGCAAGAAAACUUAUGCCAUUCGUUCUUACUAUGAUUUUGGAACUCUCUUCCAGAAUCUACAAUCCUGUACAAAAAUGUAUGAUGUUUUAUCAGUUCCAAUAGCCUAUGAAUAUUAUGUUUUUCGUUUCAAAUGGUCUAUACCAAAUUGCAGAAAAUGUGGAGAGGGAAAGAAGUGUGGAUGGCAGAACAAUGAAAUUAAAUGUCUUCCCUGGAGGAAACCAAGUAAGGAUAACAUAUGUAUUCAUUGCUAGUUUUAAACAUCUUUACAUUUAUGUCUUAGUAAUUAUUAUUUGAAGGAUGUUGUCCAAUCCAUUUUUACUAGGAAUAUUACCUGACAGUCUCGUUUAAAUUCGCAAUGAUCUUCUACAGGCAACACAUGGAAAAAAGUGGUUACAGGUGGAAUCCUGUGUGCUUUGCUUCUUGUUCUACUGACGAUUGCAGCAUAUCGGGUAUAUAGCGCUGAUAGAAAGGAGAAAGAGAGUCGAUUAAGAAUUGAAAGAUUCUUGGAGGACUACAAAGCACUCAAACCAAGCAGGUAUUCGUACGCAGAUAUUAAGAGGAUUACAAAUCAAUUCAAGGACAAGUUGGGCCAAGGAGCCUAUGGAACUGUCUUCAAAGGAAUGCUCUCUUCUGAAUUUUUUAUUGCUGUCAAAGUCCUCAACAGUUCCAAGGGAGAUGGGGAAGAGUUCGUAAAUGAAGUGCGAACGAUGGGUCAUAUCCACCAUUUAAACGUGGCUCGCUUGGUUGGAUUUUGUGCUGAUGGAUUUGUACGAGCUCUUGUUUACGAGUUCUUCCCCAAUGGUUCCCUGCAGGAUUUCAUUUCAUCUGCAGAUAGUAAGAAUUCAUUUCUUGGUUGGGAUAAACUGCAAGAUAUUGCCCUAGGCAUAGCCAAAGGAAUUGAAUAUCUUCACCAGGGAUGCGAUCUACGAAUCCUGCAUUUCGACAUCAAACCCCAUAAUGUUUUGCUAGACCAAAACUUCACUCCAAAAAUUUCUGAUUUUGGUAUGGCCAAGUUAUGUUCCAAGGAUCAAAGCUUGGUGUCCAUGACUACAGCUAGGGGGACCAUGGGCUACAUUGCACCUGAAGUGUUCUCCAGGAAUUUCGGAAAUGUGUCUUACAAGGCAGAUGUCUAUAGCUUUGGAAUGCUGCUGCUUGAGAUGGUAGGAGGAAGGAAGAAUAUUGGUUCAAUCACGGAUAACACUACAAAUGAAAUUUACUAUCCACAGUGGAUUUAUAAUCUUCUAGAGGAAGGGGAUGACCUACGAAUCCACAUUGGGGAAGAAGGAGAUGGUAAAAUUCCAAAGAAACUUGCAAUUAUAGGGCUAUGGUGUAUCCAAUGGCACCCGUCGGAUCGUCCUUCCAUGAAAAUAGCGGUUCAGAUGUUAGAAGGAGGAGGAGAAAGCUUGAGUAUGCCGCCUAAUCCCUUUGUGCCUACUGGUUCUACAACUAGGAAUGCAAGACGCCUAGAGCUAGAAGCUAUUGCUGAAUUAGAGUAAAAUGUAUAUGCAGAUAUGUAGACGUAUAGAUAUAGUAAUAUUUAUAUUGAAUAAGAGGCCGUUUGAUAACCAUUUCGUUUUCAGCUUUUAAUUUUUAUUUUUCACUUUUUUGAAAACUAAAAACUAAAAUCUUGUUUGGUAAAUACUUUUAGUUUAAAAAAAUUAUGAAGACUGAGAACUAAAAUGUGAAAGCUCAAAGGAAGUAGAUUAAAAGUAGUUACCAAACAAACUGGAAUCUCAAUAAUAAAAAAAGAUUGAAUUGCACAAUGCAAUCCAAACCAAUCAAAACAUUAAAAUAGCAAAAAAAAAUUAAAAUUCUAGUUGAUUAGAUUCUAAACGUAGUAAAAAUGAACAGAUCCAAUGAAAAAACAAAAAAUUCUCAAAUAAAAAUAGGGAUAAAGUAAAAUAUUUAUAAAUAGCUCUUUGUCUCUUAUGUCAUCAAUUAUUUCUAUAGUAUAUACAGGUUUUUGGAAAAAUUAGGUUCUCAUCCCUUAUUUUCAUAUUACAUUGAUUGAAAUCUUAUUAUUUUUCUAUUUUAGAUCAAGGUCCCUUGACUUAUUCCAUGUCAUCAUUUUAGUAUUUAAAAUAUUACACGUCAUCAUAAACGAAAUCUCAUCCCUUUCUGCAUUUAAGGCAAAAUAAACUAUAUGAGUAAGUUUAAAACAAGGAAAAUCCAUUUGAACUCCUCCAUUCUUCUUCUUCCCUUAUGCACAUCUGGAAUCUACAACACCCCAAACCCAAUUUUCUCCAUUUUUUCUCCAUUCCUGAAUUGAUCCAAUGCAUAUAUGUUGAAUAAACCUAUUGUGAUUAAAAUACAAAUUAGCAUCAAUGGUUUUAUCGGCUUGUGAGAUUUGUGUGGCAUAGGCAAGGCAAUGCAGGCAUUGCUUUCUCAAGGAAUCUGGUUGAUUCAAACAUGCAGAGACUGUAGAGUGAGCGGGCUAUGUGAAAAUUGUACCAUUCUGAAGUCAUUUUCUUUUGUUCUUUAUAUUUUUUUUCUUUUUCUUUUAUUAUUAUAUAUUAGUCUUGGUUAUUCAAUGUCUGGUUGGCUACACUUAUAUCCAUGGGUACAUUUUUAAUCUACAUGUUUCGUUCUAAUAUAUCUAUUGCUAUAAUAUGUUUUGGUUGGUUCAAAUUUGUUUUACAUAAAUAUAUGGGUACAAAGUUUUUGGAGAAUAUUAUGUAAAAUGGUUUUUAAGGUUGCUGCAUUUUACGUUCCCACAUAUGCAUGUCUAUAAAACAAUGUGGUAUGAUGUACAUUCUUUUCUUUGAGUUUUUAAAUGUACCCAUGAGUUUUCUUGUAAAUUCGUAUGUACCCAUAUGCUAUUUAUGUUAUGGGUACAUACAUUAUUUUUGGUCUAAGUUCAGGAUACAUUGCUUUUGUAUGUAUGAAUUCAUGGGGUACAUUAUUUCCCUUAAUACUACUCAAUAAAAUUCACAAAAAUAUGUGUAGUGUGCAUGAUUUUUUAUUGUAGAAAUUGUUUGUUUUUUUUAAGUCUCAUAAUUCAUGAAAUUUGUACAUAUAUGAUCCCAUAAAUUUUUUAAUUUUAUUAAAUUUCUGUUAGACUUGAUCGAUUGAUUGAAUCUCAUAAUACUAGGAUUUUGAAUUACAUAAAUUCUUGGAUUUGAAUCCCUUAAAUGUUGGACUGCAAUCAAUAUUUUAAAUUACAGUUUUUUGUUUAAGAUAUCAAAAAGAUGACAUGGGAAUAUAGUAAUACUAAAAUGCUGAGGUGUACAAAGUCAAGGGACUUUGAUCAAAACAUAAAAAACAAUAAGAUUUCAAUCUAACAAUUGAAUUGACUAGGGACCGGAACCAAAAUGACCCUAGAUUUUUAUUGAGUUUAAUCUUAAUCAAAAAAAGACUUCUUGUAUCACAGAAAAUACAAGAACCAUUAUUUGAAUGAAAUAAAAGCUAUGGGAUGGAGAUAUAAAUGGAUCCUUUUAUUCACAAUCGGAUUAUAUUUAUUUGAUACACUGUUGUCAAUAUGAAUGUUGAGAAAAGACUACAAAAGAAAAAACAAUUUAUAAAUAUAACUAAAAAUUCCAAUUUCAAUCAAUUAGAUAAUUAGAAUUAUAAGAAGAAAAAAAACAGAAAUCUCAGUUUUCAGUUUAAAAAAAAAUGAAAACAAAAACUGAAAACUGAAAACAAAAUGGUUAUCAAAGCCGUCCAAAUAAUAGAAGUUUGUUUCCACUCUUUGUUUAAGCAUAGAUGCCAAUUUUUGUUUAUCAUUUUUUUAACCUCUAUUUUUUGUUACAGUAGAAGCCCUAGAAGGAAAUCGAGCACUGGACUUACCAAACUCUUAACUUAUUUCUACACACCAAGAGCUUGAUUUCGGUUCUUAUUUAUACUAUUUAAGCUAUAAGCCGUGAUAAGAAUUAGAGAACUAUCAUUUGUUGUGAGCUUCAAUUGGUUAGCACUUUGUAUGUUUUCAUUAGAAUUUAUAUUUCACUUAGACUUUCUUAUUAAAAAAGGGAUCAUUUGGUGACUUCACCAUGACAGUCCAAUUUUAUGGGGGCCAUGAGUACUCACAAAGGUAUUUCAGCCUCCCCCUAUAUCUACCGUCGCGUGAUUCACCAUUGCCGGGAAUCGAACUCAAGACGUGUUGUAUAGAAUACAAGCCUAAAAUUCGUUUCUAACCACUGAGUCACCCCGCGUUUGAUUAUAUUUCACUUAGACUUAUCUUGCGGUAUAGCAUGUCAUCCCCGCCCAAGUUUUUCUGUUCGCAUUGAGUUUGGGAUACCAAAACUUGCCAAACAAAGUAGAUUGAUUAGUAAGCGAAGCUAAUUAUUCGACUAAACAUUGUUUAGAAUUUUAAUUAAAAGAAACAAUAUGAAUCUGUUUUUUUUUUUUUUUUUUGACAAACUAUAACGUUAAGGAGUUAAAUUGUUAGUUGUUAAGAGUACAGGGAUAGGUGAGGAUCGAACCUCCACCAGAGUGCAUAGACAUUAUUGGUUCUACAACUGCGGUAAAUCACAUAAAACAAAACGUAAUACUUUGAGGAUGGAAGACACUUCGUGGAUAGCGGGCAAUCAACACUAUCAGUCGCUAUCCAAAACUUGGAAUUAUGUUUAUUGUCCGAAGGAUUUUUCUUCCAUUAAAUUGCUAAGGAAGAUGAGGAUGGGUGGAGUGUCUAAAUGUCAAGGUUGAUAAGAAAGUGUAUGGUGUUCAGCAUGCGAUUGAGAUUUGUUGAGUGGCACAACAAACCACAUAAAAUUUUCUAAAUGAUAAGCAAUGAUAAGCUUGAGUAUAAUUUUUUACCACGUAUUUAUCUUUAAAAUCAUUAUAAUUAGAUUUUCUCUUAAUUAAUAUAGACCGUUAGAUUGACCCAAGUUUUUUUCCUCUUUUCUUUCCCCUCGUUUUUUUCUUCUCUGAUUUUCCAUUCACCGUGUAGCAGUCGUUCUUCCCCAACUAAGUUUCUUAUUUUUCUUCACAAAAAAAUUGUAGAAAAUAUUAAGAAAAGAAAAGUCAUCAAUAUCAGACUCGAUCAGGUAAUCGUUCCAACCUUCCCAGCAACUCUCAGUCUUAACAAGGCACCAAAUUUUCUCCGCCACCUAACUCGUCAUUCAUUCAUGGGUGUUUCAAGCUUGGUGAAAAUUGAUAGAGUUCCAUGUGUGUACAGGGAUGUGAACAUAUUGGCCACUCUCUAAGAAUGAGUCAUUGGAAAAGUUGAAGGAAAGAUGUAACCGAUGAAAUUAAUGGAUUGGAAUUACAAUGAAGUCUGUGUUGGUUUAUCACAAAGAACCCAGAAACAAAAUUUUAAAAGCAAACAAUUACAACUUCUCAAAUAUUAUGUAACAAACUUUCAAUGAAAUGUUGCUCAUAAUUGAAAAAAGGUUGACGAAGGACGGAGUUGGGAUUAUUUUAGAUGGGGAAGAGUUAAAAGAAGGAAGCACCAUUUAAUUACUAAAAGUAAUUGGAGAAAUGGUAAUUCAAUGGUGGGCGUUUUUAAGGUGUGGACCUUGUGUCACACCCCGAUCCCAACAUACAUUGAGGAUCGACACCUGACAUGGGGACCUAGGGGACAUAAAUCUUACGUAAGAUACAGAAUGAAAUACUAUAAAUAAUAUCCCAAAAUGAAUAUGAUAGUGGGUUCACCCCCUAUAAAAUAUAUACAAGUUUGUACAUUCACAAAAAAAAAAAAAAAAAAAACACACACACACACACACAAAACUCUUGCUAGGCCAAGACUUGCCCAUGGUUCUCAAAGGAAAGUCCUAAAAGAAAUAGUACAAUGAAGGAUAAAGGGGUAACCUAAACACUCCAAGUCUCUGAUCUCUGCACUGCUACCCCCACCGGCUCCUCGUAAUCUACCUCAGACCUGUCACUUGUACAAACAGUGCCUACAUUGUGGGAAUGGUGCACCGGGCAAACAAAAACCCAGAUAAGCUGCAAAACUCGUGUGGUAGCCGGCCUGGGACAUGGGAGGGGGCCGAGUCUUUCAGAAACCCUUGGGUCAUUGAUCUUCAAGCUUACAUGGAUGGGAUUGUCUCGACGUUGCUUUAGGAAGUCUCGACAGUCGUGAAAGACGGCUUUCGAUCCUUCCACUCCUUCUGUAAGAAGGUGUCUUCCUCCACUCCUUCUGCUUCGGGUUGAAGCAGCUGGGUUGAGAGAAGUCUCAUGUUGGUCGCGAUUUCGAUGAGUAGCUCGCUCCUCAACAGGAAUACCCAUGUCGAGGGAAAAUGAGCCUCUGUGUUGGAGGCACCCAGUUGAUGGUUGACUUCCACAGGGGUGAUGAGCUCGUGUGUUUUAGUAUAUCUAGCCUCGUGGAGCAUCUCGAAGACCUUUUCAUACUGCUCUUGGAGGAUCUCAUUCUUCAUCGCUAUCUUGUUGUUCUGAGCCUCCAGCUCAUCGACUUUAGCCUGAAGAGCAAACUUCUUUUGUUCCUUCUUUCGUUGUUUCGCACCAGGUGUAAGAGGGGUGUCAUUCUGUGUGCCGUGGCUUCCUUCGCUCCCCAUGUUAGAGAGGGAUGCCUGGUCAAAAGAGAGAGUACGAAUGGUGGAAACCAGCUUGGCAAAGCUAAAGAGAGUGGGAAUAAGUGUCGUUCCCACAGACGGCGCCAAAUGUUGAUGCACAAAAUCAGUGAGGACUUUGGUACAACAGAAAGUGUUAAGUUUGUGUCCUUCGCUAGAUUGGUCCGGUCAUUAGUGUGGAUAAGUAUGUAAAUGGAUAGGGACAGGGAAGCAAACACAAGAUGUAUGUGGUUCACCCAGAUUGGCUAUGUCCAUGGAGUGGAAGAGUUCUCAUUAAUUGUGAAGGGUUUACACAAGUACAUAGGUUCAAGCUCUCCUUUAGUGAGUACAAGUGAAUGAUUUAGUACAAAUGACAUUAGGAAAUAUUGUGGGAGAAUGAUCUCCUUUUAUAGAAUAGUUUCUAGCUUUGUUCUGACAUUGACACGUGUCAUGCUGUGAUUGGCUUUUGAUGUUGACAUGUGUCGCAUUGUGAUUGGCCUCCUGGUUUGAGGGAAACUCUUCUGGGUCCUUGACAGUAUAACGUUGACAGGUGCUCAGUAGUUUCGGGAUUGGUCAAGUAUGGUACAAACAAAGUCACUGAAAACUUCGAAGGAGUCACCCAGACAUCCAACGACUUUUCUAAAUCAAAUCUCAGAGAUUCCCAAAACUAUCGUUCACAAAUACACUAAAAACUAAGGCUAGAGUGACACAGUUUGGCCAAAGCCUACAUAAGUAACCAAAUAAGAAGUGGCCCCCCCAUAGCGGAUUAAUCAAGUAGAGCCACUCCUGAGAAAGUAACCAAGUAGGUAGUGACCCCAUCACGAAUUAACCAAGCAGAGUCACUCCUACGAAACUGUUAGGUAGUGAUCACCCAUCGCGGAUUAACUAAGCAUGAUCACCCCUAAGUACGUAUGGCCAUACCUAAGAAAUAAGGAUCGCCCAUCGCGGAUUAACUAAGCAUGAUCACCCCUAAGUACGUAUGGCCAUACCUAAGAAAUAAGGAUCGCCCAUCGCGGAUUAACCAAGCACAAUCCAAAAAUAUUAUGGGUCCCCUAUCGCGGAUUAACCAAGCAGGACCAUCCAUGUACCACUGCUACAUGGUGCAGAUUCGGUGUCACCUAACCCCGUGACACUAGGGUAACGGUCCUCUACUAGCCCUCACGUUUUUCAAACAUUUCAAAUAUAUAAUUUAAAACACAAUUCAUAAACAUUUCGAAUAGGGAAGUCACAUAGUGUUUAAUAAUGUAGGUCAAUGGAAAACUUUAAAAACAAUUAUUUAGCAUAAAACAUAUUUUAGAAAUCCAUGCUGUAUCCACAAAGUAUACUAGCACGGGAGAUUUUCAGGGUAAUAACUCUAUCACAUAUAUUAAAGUCACUCACCUGGAGUCCGCACUAACGCACCCUAGCACGAAUAUCAAGAUGUCACGUACUAUCAUUUGUAACAUCCCACAUCAACCAACAGAGAGGGGGUGAUGUGUCUUAUAUGUACAUGCCCACCUCUAUAGCACGAGGCUUUUUGGGAGCUCAUUGGCUUCAUAUUCCAUCGGAACUCCAAAGUUAAGCGAGUUUGGGCGAUAGUAGUCCAAGGAUGGGUGACCCACUGGAAAGUUCUCGUGUGAGUUCCUAGAAACAAAACCGUGAAGGCGUGGCCAGGGGGGCCAAAGUGGACAAUAUUGUGUUACGACGGAAUUAAGACUGAGAUGUGACAGAAUGGUAUCAGAGCCGCUCUGCCGCGUGGUGCAAGUGUGCCGAAGAGGACAUCGAGCCCCUAAGGGGGGUGGAUUGUAACAUCCCACAUCGACCAACGAAGAGGGGGUGAUGUGCCUUAUAUGUACAUGCCCACCUUCAUUUAGCACGAGGUCUUUUGGGAGCUCACUGGUUCCGGGUUCCAUCGGAACUCCGAAGUUAAGCGAGUUCGAGCGAGAGCAUUCCCAUGAUGGGUGACCCACUGGGAAGUUCUUGUGUGAGUUCCCAGAAACAAAACUGUGAGAGCAUGGCCGGGGCCCAAAGCGGACAAUAUCGUGUUAUGGCGGAGCCGAGAUUGGGAUGUGACAUCGUCACCUAAGACAAAGUACAAGUCCACAUUUAGAGUUCUUCGAGUAUUCACAUAAUCAAAAAUUUACAUACGCACCCUACAACUAAUGAAGAGAAAUCGAGACACGUUGACAAAAAGUCAACCGUCGAUCAACGGUAGGGUCCACAACCCUACGUAACUUAAUCCGUAAGAUCCAGCCACUGUAUUUGUGAUUCAUAAGUUCCUAAGGUCCUCAAAUCUUACGUACAAUAACAUACUAAACUUUAGUGACGAUCUAAUGGUCGAAUCAUCAUUUACUAUAAUGUUCAAAUGACGCAAAUUCGUCAAUCGGAUGUCAAAUAUGGAAUCGGUCAUCGAAUUUAGCCUAGGAAGAUCAAGUGGUGUCUCAAGCCACGCACCACCAUGCGCAGCAGUUGGCAACCCAGAUUCGUCGAAAAAAUCACCUGAUUCCAAAAUGAAUGUCGUGAGACGUGGAGUAAAUUGUAUACCUGUGAGAAGCCCAAUUUGGCCAGGAAGUGGCCUGAAAUCACUUUAGACCGUCGGAAACCCUAAAAUAGGUGAAUCUCGAUUAGUCAUCUCUGGUAUUCCACCGUCCUCAAACUUGUUUAGGGUUCUCAAAAAAAUGCUAAUGAUGAUGGUGAUUGAAGGAGAACGUUUCAGAAAUAGUGAAUCGCCGGCGAGGGUUUCACGGAAUCGACAUGGGUGUUCCUCGUGGAACCAAGACCAAAUCUCAACGGUUUUGGCUAGAAAUGGAUGCUGGGAUGUCGUGGUGAGGUUUGGUAUUGAUGGGAGGUCGAAGAAAGUCAAAAAAAUCGACGAAAAAACUGUCGUCGGAGUCACAGGAAACGUGUUAGAAAAAUGAGUCGCCGAGUUUGAAACGGGUCGAAGGCUUUUGGGACAGCUACUUAAUCUCUCUUCUCUGAUUAGUCACUCCACUCACUCUCUCAUUUGAUUGGUCCAGCCUUCCCACAUGGUGGGAGUUCCCUCAUAUAGUAACCCAAAAUUUACUAUUUAAAUUUGGUAUCAAACGUCCGUAACUUUUUUGUUAUAGUUCCGAUUCACAAACGGCUUUCGCCUACGCGCUCGUAUGAUCGAAUUAUACUUGAAAACAUUAAUUGUGACCUUAAAAAGGUCUACAAGUUUUAAAAGAUUAAUUACAAAAAUUCACACCUUGUAACUAUACGAUUCAAAUUCUAAAAUUAACGGAAUUAAAAUAAACUAAAAAUAAUGUAAACACGAAAUACAGACUUUAAUAAUGAAAUACGUAAUUAAUAGUGGAAUUCUGGGGAUGGGAUUUCACACCUUGCGUCCGGACCUUGAGUGCGGAUCAGAAUCCAAAGGUCGUGAUCUGACGAGCUCAUGUAUAGAACAGAGUUGUUGUGACCCAAUGCAAUUCAAAACUUUUAUGUUUUUUUAUUUACUGGGUACGUUUUUGUAGGAGGAAAAGGGGAAGUCGAGGGAUUCUUUGCGCAAUAAAGAGGGAAAGAGAGAAAAGGGGAGCUAAGAGGUUCUUCGCGCGUUAAAUUUUUGCUUCUGAUUUUGCAACCUAGAAAUAAAGUAUUUUCUUUAUGGUUUAUGGUUCAAGAAUAUAAUGGAUGCAACCUAAAAAUGUUUAUUUUUUUAUUUUUUACUUUUUUUCUUCUUAUGUUGGCUUUUGGUUUAUUCUUAUAAUGCACUAUAUAUUAACUAAAUUUAUAAACAUUUUGUAUCUUUGUUGCAGUCAAAUUAAUCAUAUGGGUUGGCAUGACGAAGUUCGACUGAGACAUACAGAUGUUUUGCAAUCUUAAGUCUAACCUGACACACCCCGACCUCAAUAUCCAGUGGACACCAAAAUUGAGGUGUGAUGGCCAUCAUCCGGAUGGGUGACGAAACCAUUAUAUGCAUGAAAACAUAAUUACCCAAACACGUCUUAUUAAAAUAUUGAGUAAAUACCAUACAAGAUAGAAUACGUCAGAGCUGUUGCAAAAUACCUCAACGUCCGAUGUAAUCACUGAUAGAAUUACUGAAUCAUGUAUAAAUGGAAAGCUGAUAAAUACAUGUAAUUUGAGUGGAUACUUACCAGCAGCAUGGAUACAAUAUCAUCCACCAGUCGUAACUAGUGAAAGUUGGAUAAUAUAAUCAUGUCAUUGCCGAGUAAUCUCAAGGCAAUGACAAGAUGAGAAUGUAACUGAGUAAUCAUAUCAUUACUAAAUAAUCUCAAAGUAAUGACAAGCUAAGAGUAUAACCGUAUAAUCAUGUCAUUACCUCGUAAUCUCAAAAUAAUGAUAAGCUGAGAGUAUAACUGUAGUACCUCUUAUUAGUGCAAUGCAUGAUAUGAAUUCCAUCUCACAUAUAUAUGCAAGCCAUAAUCAAACCAAUAAACAUCCAACAAAAGCCACAAUCCUUUUAACAUUCGACCACAAGAUCAAUUUUCAUAUUUCCCAAACCUAGGUUCCAAAGCAUUGUUUCGAAUUAUUAAUACAAGAAACCACCACCACCUCAAUCAACUCCUAUUCACAAGUGUAAGCAAUUACUAAAUGCAUCACUUUCGACUCUAGUCUUAAUUAGAUUACUUGGGAUACUCACACCAUCAGAUCCAAGUACUAUUUUGAUAAACUUUAAAUAGCAUGGUUAAAAUAAAUGAAACACUUUUAGAAAAUAAGUGAAGAUGUUGUUUACAAAUAUAGAUGCAUCUGUAUAUAAAAGCUUUGGCGGUUGAUCCGUAUACACACUUCCAGAGAUAUAAGCAAGUUCAUUGGAAUAUACAUACAUAGUUAAUGUAUUACAAUAUAAUUAAUAAGAAAACAAUUGCAUCCCUUUCAGAUUAUAUAUAUAUAUAUAUAUAUAUAUAUAUAUAUAGACACACACAUACAUACACACAGGCCCUUUAUGCAAAGGAAUUUCCAUUUUUUUUCAAAAAUGGGGAUUAGUUGUGGGGCCCACGCUGCAUUGAACUUUAACGAUCCGAACAGUCUAUUUUGUAAGUCUCGAUUCAUAGAUCAUCCUUGUAAAAAUUCAAUUCAAUCCGAACCCAUUUGCCUAUUUAAUUAUCAAGAUAAAAUUUUAUUGUUUCUUAUAUAACAAAGUAUUCGUUAAUUUCUUUGAACUCAAUUAGAUAUCUUAAACAUUUCCGAUUUGGUUAAUAUUGUGUAAGGAUGAUCUAUGUGGUGCAACUUGAAAAAUAGACGAUUACGAUCGUUAAAGUUCGAUGUGGUGAGAACCCUACAAUUAAUCUUCAUUUUUAUAAAAGAAUGGGAACCCCUUCCCUUAAAGGUUUCCUAUGUAUAUAUUUGUUCUCCAGACAUAUGCAAAAGGUAAUGUAAAACCAAUGAGAACUUAAAUAGAUAUUCCAUACAUAGGACAAUUCCAUAUAUGCUUUUUCAACAUUUAUAUCGAAAAGCCAAAUUGUUUUGAGGAAAUUAAUUGUAGCAAUGAUCCCUUAACUUUUAUCUUAUUGGAGCAAUGGUCUCUCAACUAAAAAUUCAUAACCAUUGGUUCCUUAACUCCACACAACGUGUAGUUAUGGUCAUUUUCAUUAACUCCGUCAGAACUUUUGUUAAAACAAGUAAUGUUAGAAGAAUCAUUGCUACAAUUAAGUUAAAGUUGGGGACCAUUGCUCUAAUUAAAUUAAAAUUGAGGGAUCAUUUCUCCAAAUUGCUUAAAGUUCAAGGACCAUUUCUACAAUUUUCUCAUCUAGUUUCCCAUAUUUACCCCAUGAUUCAGCUUCACAUGCAUUGCACAUGACUCAUUUUGAAAUUUUUUUUAACGAAAUUGAUGAAAAUGACCAUAAAUGCACGUUUUGAAGAGUUAAGAGACCAAUGGUCGUGGAUUUUAGUUGAGGGAUCAUUGCUCCAAUUUAGUUAAAGUUAAGGGACCCUUGCUACAAUUUUCUCAAAUGUUUUGUAUGCGAAAAUAGGCAUUUGUAAAGUUUGGCUUGUUCAUGGCAUUAUUACUUUAGUCUAAAGUAAGGCUGGAAAUGGCACUGUAGAAAUGAAUAGUGUUCCAAUCCGAAUUUCAGUUUAAUUACAACAAUGCCAUUGCUCUUUGUGUUGCCUUUAGGUGAGCAGCCCGGCUUGCAGCCAGGCCCAAAUGUAUUGGUUUUAGCUGAGAAGCCCGGCCCUUAGUCAAGCCCAAAAUUUUAAAUUACAGUUUUGCCCAUACAAAAUAACAAUCCGAUUGUAUCGAGAAGGACAAUUUUGUCCUUUCAGUUUUGGGUGAGAUAGGGGGUAACAGGGUAAGUUUCAUUUGCUGUCGUUGAAUGAGGGUUUCGAGGAUGAGGGCUCUGUGUGUGUGGGUGUGUGAGAGAGAGAGAGAGAUAGAGAGAGAUAGAGAGGGAUAUGGCGAUGGAAGGAGAGCGAGGGGGAAGGGAAGGGUUCUCGGCACUGUUGCUGCAUGUGAAUUUCACAAGUGGGAGAGUGGGUAUGGUCAGAGAAGACCAUAUAGGUCGUUGGGAUUUCAGGGAAACGGGGUAGGGGUCAUGAAUGAACCCUGCUGAGAGUGGGUACUGGAUCUUGCGCUGCAUGCCUCAAAUCAAAGAUAAGUUCGUUUUUUUUAUUGUAUUUUUUAUGGUAGCUUAGCUUUUGGAAUUGUUUAGUAUGUUAGGUCCGAUUUUGGGGGAUUUAUCUUUUUAGAGAGAGAGAUGGACAGGGAGAUAGAGAUAGAGAGAGAGAGAGAGAGAGAGAGAGAGAGAGAGAUGAGGAAGCAUGACUGUGUGCAAUUUUUUAUGUUAAUUAAUGGGUUGGUGCGCAGGGUGAGUGACAGAGUGACAGAGUGAAGGAGGGACGUGUGGGAGGGUAUGAGUUUUCAGUUCUUUCUUUUGAUUCAACAGGUUAUACACUGUUUGAAAAACCUUUUUUUUAUUAUUUUGUUCUCGUUUGCUUUGUUAAAACCAUCAUUUGAAUUUUUGGGUUUCAUUGUGCUUAUUUCUCUGCUUCUUCAUAAUUUGCUGGUGUUUGCUUCUCAUCCCUCUGUUGGUAGAUCUUUUUCUCAUUUCUUGGUUCCUUAUGUAUUCUUUGGUACAAAUCUGUUUACUUUUUGGCUGUGUGAUAAUCUUAGCAGGUGAACUAUAUGAACGUUUUUUUGAAACGAGUUAAGAAGAUCCAGCUGAAAAGAGCAUACAAGAUAGAGAACUGGUAUGCUGCUCGCCAGGGAAAGGCUGCUGGAAAGGUUGAGACGGAUGCCUCUUUCAGAAACCAGGUCAGUUUCCUGCUGCUCGGCGUCUUAAUGUAUCCAAAUUGUUUAUCUUUUGAUGAAAUUAGCUGGCUAUAUUUUCUAUUUUAUUUAUCUGCAUAUUAUUUUGGUUUGUUGAAAUUUUGACUAUAGUCAUUGUCACAUGGGCGCCUAGCCCAACCCAAAUUAGUUGAGGAUAUUUAAAUCUUCACCAUGGUAUUAUAGUACUCACUCACAGUUGUGAAUACUAAGGUGCAUGCAUGGCAUGAAGAAGUGGACCGUGCACGCCAAGGUCAGAGGGAUGCAGAAGGCAAGCUUUUUUCUUUGGAGGUAAGUAUCCUUUGUUUAUUGCCCAACAGUGUUGUUAUUAUCAAUUUGUAGCUUUGCGUUCUGAAUUUUUUGCUUUGUCAAACAACCUUCUUGAAAUGCUCGAUUUCAAGCCGAAGUCCAAAAAAUGAAAGUUGAGAUGGCUUCCAUGAAGAGGGAUGUAGAGCAUUACUCGCGCUAGGUGAAAUCUGCUUCCUCUCUUUUCGUAUAUCUUCAUAUGAAGAGUUUUACUAAGUUAUAUUGAGAACUAUGUUAUUUAUAGGUUAUAUUUUCCAUUUUGCAGGAACACAUGGAGCUAAGGAAGAGCUAUCGUGAACUCACUGAUCUACUGGUAAUGUCACUCAAACUGCUUUAUUUGUGCAUGCUGCUACUAUGCGCUUGAAUGCAUUUUAUUACUGGCGGGAUGCGAAGAAAGCUAGAUAUAUGUGCUGGAUCGCUUGAUUAAUGUUAGGGUUUUAACAACUAAUUGUUAGCAGCUAGAAGCCCUGGUUAGAUUAAUGCUAAUUUGAUUUUCCUUACAGUACUUGAGUGCCAGUUUCAUAUUGUUUGUUCCCUGUUGGAUACCUGCUGUACAGUUUCAUUUCUGUUUCUUCAUAACUUUCUUGGCCCUGGGAUAUAUGCAUAUUGAGUACAAUGAAUAUCCAUUGUUCUCUAACUGUUGGGCUUUACUAUCUUUGUAGCAGCCUGCCUAACAUUUUUUAGGCUCUACACUCUACCAUCCAAUUUAUGAAAAAUUCAAAGAUUGGACGAUAUUGAUUGCAGAAAUGAAAAAAAUACUAUGAUAUUAGAAAGGUGAAUGUAAUUGUGUUAGAAUAAGCGUCUAGCAUGAUGGGUAAUAUUUUAAGUUUGUAUUUCUAAAAUUUUUUCGUUCUGGAGUAUGAUUUACCUCAAUUGUUUUGUACUUUAAUCUUUACUAAUUUUCAUUGUGGAGUAUGAUUUGCCUCAACUAACAACUUUUCAUUGUUUAACUUUUUCCUCCCUUAGAUAGUUGCAUAUGUUUGAUUUGUUAAUCUGCUUCUUACACAUGUUGUUUCCUAAUGGUGUAGGUGGGUUGUCGGAUGCAUGUGCAGAUUACUUGAAUAGACGAAGCUAAGAAUGACUUAGUAUUAAGUGAGACAGAAGCUUGGGUCAGUUGGAUUUUGACAUUUGAUUUAUUCAUGUUUUUUGUUGCUUGCAAUGUUCUCGCAUUGUUUGUUCUGAGAUUCUGUGAUCUUAUUUUUCAUAGGAACUGACAUUGGUUUGCCAUAUAAUGUUUCAGGAACUAAUACAACAACUAAUCACCUUGCUUAGCUCUCAAGACACAUACUUAACAGGUUAACAAACACUAACCUAUAAACUGAUCUGCUAAGCUGGACCAUUAACCUCUGUUUAUAUCCCUGCCACUCAUCUUUUGGCACUUAUCAAUAGCAAAAUCUAGAGUUGUUGAAACCCCAAUUUUAAUGAAUAUUAUUUUUAGUUGAUAAUUAAAAUUAAUUGAUGAUUAAUCUAUUCCAUUGUGCAUUAUUUUAUCGCCAAAUACUUUGAAUAUUCAUUAGCAAAAGAUAUAGGGUUCACUAUUUAAUGAAUAGAAUUUUGAUGGUGGAUUGCAUUUCCUGAGUUAUAAAUGUGGUGAAUCCAUUAUUUACUAGCUGAAUAAUCAUAAUGUUUUGGCCACUUACCUUGAAUUUUGUUCAAAUUGAAGAAGUCACAUGUUUCUUUCUGUUGUUGAGGUAAUCUCUCUGUUGAAAGCUUCUAUUUCUUUUUUUUUUUUCUUUUUUUCAUUUGGGUAGAUUUUUUUUUUUAUGGAUUUAUGUAUUUUUUUUCCAGAGAAUUCGAAAUGAAAUAAGAAUAGCGGAUUGAGCAUAAACAAAUUGAUGAAAUUUUUAUUUGAGUGUUUGUGUUAGUCCUUUUUUGAUUUGUUGAGGUUUGGAAUUAUUUGAGUUUUUUUGCUGUUAGUACUAUGAAGGAUGCUUGGCAAUCGCGAAAUGGGGGCUACCUCUUUGGAAAGAGAAGUCUCGCUAUCCAACCUCUCAUGAAUUACAAACAGGGUGAUUUCUUGCUGAAAAACCACUGAACCAGUAGAACUUUCCUCGGUUCUUCAAUUCGAUUCGAAUAAUUUUUUUACCCAGAAAAGCCAGCGUUUCCUGGUGGGUUUUACAGCUUUCUCAAUGUUUUUGUGAUUUUGGAUUUGCAAAUUUGUUUUCUGUUCAAAUUUCCUUUUGUGAUUUUGGAGGUUUUGUUUAUCGAUUCUCUCACUCAUCUCUCAGCUCUCUCUCACUUUUGAGGUACAUGCCGUUGGAUUCCGUUUGCUGCUGCUGAUCUGUAGGUAAAGCUUCAAUUACCAUAUAAAGUUUACAUUUUUCAUGAUUUCUUGAAUUUGGGUUUUAAACAAAGGAAAUAUUGCUAGAUUCUUAUCUUAUGUGCAAAUUACUGGCUAUUUGGAUUGGUGCCUGAGAUUUAGAGAAUGCCUCGCAGCUUUAAUUUCUUUUUCCUUCAUUAUUACUGUUUUCAAAAUUUUUAUUGCUGGGUAUUGAUAAUUUGUAGUAUGUGAGGGCUUCAAUAUGUUGGAAUUUUGAAUGGUUAUUGCUUCAUCGGAAUUUGGGUGGUCCAAAUUUUGAAUUAGAAGAAACCCAUUUGAUUAAUAUUUUUGGUGGAUUGGUUCUCUGUGUUUUCCUUGCUAUUUCUCCCCCAGUUGGAAAUUGGAAGCCCCAACUUUGAGCUCAGAGCUUGAAUUUCUCAAUCGUUCGUUUCUCUGCACUCUCAUCAAUCACUCUUGAUCCUCUAUCUAAAGAACUGGGUAAUUUUCCAGCUCUAUCAAGUAAUACUCCAUUUAAUUGCUUAAUUGAGGUUUUUUGUUUCUCUUUUUCGCUCUUUCAUCAGUUCAUUGACUUUGAUGUUGAGCUUAAGUAAAUGGGAGAUCAUUAAUUGGCAUUGUUCAAGAUAUAAUUCUGUGUUUUUGGAUUUGUGAAACGAUUUGCCUAAUGAUGAUAGUGGUUAAAAUAAAUUUUUCGUUAUGAAGAGAACAUUGUUCUUCAUUUGCCUACGGUUUUAACUACAAAGUUAAACUACUAUGCUUUUGUUCAAUUGACUGCAACUCAUGCCGCAGUUUGCUUCACAAACCUCUACGGUUAGCUUCCAUACAGUAUGUUGCAAGUUUGAGGAUAUCUUUACAUCUUAAUUUUUGCUCUCUCUGGUUGCUUCAAGUUUGUAAUUUUACGUGUUACAUUGCUACUUGAUUUGAUUAUAAAAAUGCAAAACAAAAUCCGUUUUGCUUUUAUUCAACUUAAAUGUAUCCUUUUGUUUGUUCAUAAUUGUGUUGAAUUUAUUCAACUUAAAUGUGUUUUAUUCAUCUAUUUACGCUUAAAACAACUGGUUCCCCUAGCAAUGCGCGGGCCUAAUUUCUAGUACAUAUACUAAAAGCCAGCAGAAAAUUACUGUUCAUCAUGGGAGAUAGAGCACUGUUCAUUAACAGUGAAAGGGCGAAAAUGCCCUCGGUUUCUUCUUUACUUCACGUACUGUUUACGAAUUGCUACAGUAUAAAGUCCGUUUUGUCCUUCCUGUCCACACAUCUUUCAUCGUCCGUUUCUCUUGCUUCGACCGUAUCUUUUUUGCUUUACCUUUCCUCUUCAUUUUUCGCAUUCGUUAGGCUGCGAUUUUCGGAGGUGGAUUGUUUGCCCUCCCAUUUCCAUGCUCUCCCCAUGCCUAUGUGGUCACAGUUAAACCACGUCAAUAUUUUAUAUUAAUUUUUUAUAAAAAUAAUAAAACAAAAAGUAAUAAGAAUAUAAAAUAUUGACGUGGCUUAACGUGGUCCGUGAUCACAGUAGGCAUGGAAAUGGUCCGCGACUUUCUCCCUUUUCGCCAGCCCCUCUUUUGCUCUCAAAUCCUUGCUCUUUCUUUUGCAAAAUAGUCUCAGAAGAGAUCCUGGGUUUAUCGAAUCCUUUGUUGUUCGGCGUUUUGUUCUCAUCUUGUGAUCGUCGGGUCAGCAGCUUUAAGGUAAGUUUGUUUUUAAUGAUUUAUCCUCAUUUUACGAUGUCUGGGCUAACAAAUUUAAGAUCUUUAUUUUUCUUUUUGCUGCGGAUCUGCAGGUUUUGACAAGUUUUUUGUGAAAUUGGUGCUGUCAGUGGGUGUUAACAUCAGGUACCCAUGUUCAGUUUUUCGUUUUGAUUUGAAGGAAUUUCUUGCGCAGAAGUGCUAGGGUUUCUUGGUGAGUUCUUCGGGUUGUGCAUAUGGGUAAUUUUCUUUUCGGUUUAACCCGCUGCUUCUGCUGCUCUCUCUCUUUCUCUCAUCCCUGCCUGCUCCUCUCCAAUUGUUUGCUGUUCUUAAAUAUUGUGUUCAUUGCCUGAUACAAGGAGCUGCAGCAAUCUGUUUUAUCCUACACGGGACAACGAGGCAAUGGCGUGACAACAGGUGAGCUUGGAUAUCCAAAGAAAGAGAACAGUUGGUUCAUCUGCUGGAGUCUGAAGCUCAGAGAAGUGGAGGAAAAUUGCAGGUGUGCGAGAAAUUUUAUUUUGCUGAUAGGACUCCUUAUUUACGGAUGCAUUUUGAAAUAAUUGAAAAGUUGGAUUUGAGUUAACAGCUAUAAAAAUGUAGACAUGAUUGCUGAGAUUAUGCUAUGAAAGUGGAAUAAAAAAAUGGUAGUUUAUAAUAUUGCGUACCAAUUUUUUUCUCUCUUUUUUACCAAAUGAUAAGGGUGGUGGCUCAGGCCGCCCCCCCUACGCGUCCCCACUCUUCGACAAGUUGAAAUCAUGGUGAUAGUUUAUGGGCUGUGGUCUUGGGAUUCUGCAAAUAGAUUAAAAAACAGACACUUAACUAUCUUGUUAUUAAACAUUUCUGCAUCAUUCAGUUGCUCUUGAUUUUCGUCUUUUAAGCGAUCUUAUUUCUGCGAUCUGACUUGAGGAGGGUUUUUAGACCUAUGGUUGUGGGUGUUUUGUCUGACCCCAUUAAAUUGGUUUCCGAGAUUUGUAGACUUGCGAUCGGCAGUCAAACAUUUUGUGAUUCUUGCUUUUUUUCCGACUGGGAUUGACGAAUUUUGGCCGAAUCUGUUUCCUGUUUUCUUCUCUGUUUGAGCGGCCGCUGCCUUUCGGUCGUUGAGCGCCGGCAGUCUUUAGAUCUUUGGCAAAUCAAUUUAAUACAACCGAGGUAUGUUUUAUAACUGCUGUCUUUCAAUUUUUGUUCUGUAUUUUUGUUAAUUUGGAUGAAGCUCUAAUAAUUUUGUUUUGGAUCAGUUGUGGUCCUCUGUUAGGAUUUUCCUGGCUAAGAGGGUAUUUGCGUUUUUGUUGCUUGGUUGGUCGAUCACAGAUUUACGAACAGCUGUGGUGGUCCUGUUAUUUUUUUGGUAUGUUUUUUCUCCUUUUUGGUUUUUUCCCGGUUUGAGCACCCAUUCAUGAAGAAUUAAAAUGUGUUUAUAGUUUUUCAGGAGAGAUUAGAAAAGUGAUUUCAAUUUGGGAAAAUUUAAUGUUGGUUAAAAUUUGUCUAUAAUUUUUGGGAAGGAAUGAGAGGACCCAUUGAAGUAUGUGUUGUGAUUAUUUUUUAUUCAUAUUUUUAACAAAUUGGGCAUGAAUUGGUAGGUUAACUGUGUGUGUUUAUUAUUUGAAUCGGCCAUGUUUGUCUUUCUAUGGUUCUAAAAAAUUUGUAAAGGCUGUUAACUUGGAAGAAAAUGGGAUCGAGGGUGAGGGGAAAACGGCAGAGAAAGCAUGGAAGAGAGAUUUGGGAUUAGGGGUAGGAAAACAGAUGAAAAGAAUAUGAUAGAGGAAUGAGUUCAGUUCAUUUUCACUAUUUUUUUUAACUGAUUUGGAUUUUGUUUGGGUUUGAGGCCAUCAUUGGCGUUAAGACGUUUAUUAUCAGAUCGUGUGUGUUUUUUGCUAACUUUUAUUGGUCAUUUUUAUGUUGUUCUUAUGAUUUUGUGUGGUAGGGUUUCUGAAUUUUAUCGUUAUUCAUUUGGUUUUUUGUGUGUGUUGGUUUGUUUAUUUUGCAGGUUGUGUUUGUGCUGGGACAACAUUUUCCACCUUCUGUUUGCACUGGGAUGAUUGCGUUUUAAAACUGUUGGGGUGAGAUUUACAUAUGGAAUCAUUCCAUUUUUUUUCUUCCAAAUAUGUGCAUUUAGUUCUUUUUAUUUUAAAUUUUAAAAAUUAAAUCGUUAUUUGAGUAAAAUGUUUUAUUAAUUUAUGUUAUGUGUUGUGAUCAGGAAUUCUGUUGGAUUUGCAAAUUUUGGUUUGAUGAGAGAGAUGAGGAGUUUUUUUUGUUUGAAUUUUUUAUUGGACCGAUUUUCAAUUGGAUUGCAUUCUGCCUUUUUGCACCAUUCUUAUGCAAGCAAUUCAUUGUUUUAAAUACAAUUUGAAGAGAGCUGGGUUGCGGGUUGGAUAUAAAAUGUUAAGGUGAGAUAAAAUCGAGAUACCAAGGGUGGAAGAAUGAUUCAGAAUUGGGGGAGGAAAACAGAGGGAAGAUGGAAGAGUAUAAGAGAAGGAUAGGGUUGACCUCAUUUAGAGUUUUUAUUUACUUUUUUUUUUAUUAUUUAUAAAUUGAUUCAGGACUAGCAUAUCAUUUCUAAAUUUCUAACAUUUUUGUUUAAUUUGACUCCAGUUGAUGGAAAACAGAGCUCUUACUCCUAUCAAUCAGUUGGUCCCGUACAUAAAUGCAGAAAAAUCAAGGUUCGAGUUUGCAGAGUAUGCAGACCAAGGUUUCCUGAAACUACUGGUGCUGUCACGCCCCAAUCCCGACCUAUGUCCAGGAUCGACACGUGACGUUAACAAAUACCCAUAUCUCUAACAUACCCCGCCUCCGGAAUAUGGGCAAAGCACAACUGCGUAAUAAUUUUUCGUAUACUUUAUGGCUGCAUCUAACAUCCUCGUUAGAUUAUCAUACCUUAUGGCUACAUCUAACAUCCUUGUUAGACUGCCUACGUACUCUCAAAAGGGAUCAAACCAUUCGUAGUUCACCACACUCCAAUCCACAAAAAUUUGCACAUGCACUGAUUAUAAAAUGGAACUGCACCUAUAGAAACCUAAUCAUAACCCGUGGGCGAUUUGCUCCCACAUAAGAAAGACGUCCACAGUACCAUGAAAUACUUCCACAUCUUUCCUUCCCAUUUACACAAUAUUUUAUUUCACCUCCCUGAUAAAUAUAGCAUUUACAUUACAUGUGGCAGACAAAUUUGCAUAUUCAACUAUAAUAAAAUACAAUCUUAGUAGGAAAAACCUACAAGACCACCACUCGUUUGAGCCAAACUUUAGCUUAGCACUCAACUGGUGCUCACACCAUGUGAGUGCACGAUCCUUUAAGAUGGAUGCGAUGGUUCUCUUUUGAGAUUAAUUUUGUUACAGGUAUAACAUAGUUGGCAACCGUUUAGAAAUAGAUGCCUCAUGUUCAAAACUCUCAUUACCAAAUGUUCUAACAAGUUAGUAGAGAAGGUAAAAGAACCCAAAUGGCGAGAAAUAGUGUCCUGAUGAAACAAAAGAUGUAACCCUCAUUCAAGCACGAACAUCAUUUCCUUGAGAAUCUGCGAUUUCUUCCCUCAUUUGGUCAAUAUAGCUUGUAUUCCAACUGCAACUUACUAAUAGCAUUUGUUCUCUCCUCGAAUGAAACCAUAACCAGCCAUUUUAAAUAAAGCUGAACAGUUUCACGUUGGGAAAAUAAAGAUUAUAACAUACAGGUUUUGGAUUAGAUUCCCAAACCAACAGAAAAUUAAGAUAGGAAUCUAUUUUGGGUUAACUGAGGUAUGAGUGGUAUACAAAUGAGAAAUUCCCUACAAAAGUCAAUAAAACCAGUUACAUAACAUGUUGAAUAUAAUACAACAUGAAAUAAGAAGCACCACUUGUUUAUCUGACUUUUUAUACAUGUAUUUUCCUAAGGGAUAAAAACGUGCGGGUUUUGGGAUCAAUCUGAAGAGGGCUUCACCACGAAUACAUAGCCUUUGACCGUGCAUGAUUUCGUUGCCGUAUGAGAAAGUUAUCAUUUUUUUUUUUUGUGAAGAAGAAUUAAGGGGGAGAAGAACAGCUGCCCCCUCUGUUUCUGCAUCUGCCCAGCGGGGAAAGAAAAAGAAGAGAAGCCCUUGGCUUCUAGAAUACUCCCUCCCCAAAAUUACAAUUUUGCUCUCUAACUUUGAUUGUUUAUAUCUUAUUCGUUAUAACUCUGUUUCACGAACAGCUUUUGCUUACAUGCUCACAUAGUCGUCAUCUAUUUAAAUAUAUCAAGAAAUACAAUAAAAUACAUCCUCGUAUAAGUAUGUUAACCAAUUAGGGCACUUUCGUCAUUUCCACUUAUCGAUAGAUUUUAACACGUUAAUUAUAAUAAUGUCCGGAAACAGCUUUAAAAUUUCCAAAUUCUAUUUCCAUAACCAUAAAUCGAUUUAUUAAUUUUUCAGGGUAUCACAGGUGCAUAUUCAGGCUUGCAUUGUAUAUUACUUUCCUAUUAAAAAUUUGUUUGGAAUUUGCUUUUCCCACAAAGGAGAAGAGCUGACAGUUACGCUGUGGGCAGAUGUUGCUCGAAGUAUUGCUUCUUUAUCCAUUGAAUCAUUGUCUCUGCCGAUCUUUGCGGUUUUCACAAGUUUAAAGGUCAAGCUGUACCUAGGUGUUUGACUUAAUUAAAAACUAAUCUAUUUAUUUCGGAGGCGGAGCAAAAUGCUAUCUGUCUUACCCCUCUUGGUGAUCUUAGUCGGAAAGAUCGGCUAGUUUGGGAUGUGAGUAAGAAUGGGCAGUACUCGGUUCGAUCGGGCUAUCAUUGGCUGCAAUCUAGGUCUGUUGGGUUCAGGGAUCAACGCCAGCUUGGUGCUUGCUUAGUUCCGAGGCAUUUGUGGCGCAUGGUUUGGUAGUUGAGUGGGCCUCAUAAGCUCCGUCAUUUCUUUUGGUUAUCUUUGCAUAAUGCAUUACCGUCAUUUCUUUUGGUCCGUGACCAGGCAUGAGGAGAGCAUGGAAAUGAGAGGGCAGACAAUCCACCUCCGCGACUUUCUCCCUUUUCGCCAGCCCCUCUUUUGCUCUCAAAUCCUUGCUCUUUCUUUUGCAAAAUAGUCUCAGAAGAGAUCCUGGGUUUAUCGAAUCCUUUGUUGUUCGGCGUUUUGUUCUCAUCUUGCGAUCGUCGGGGUAGCAGCUUUAAGGUAAGUUUGUUUUUAAUGAUUUAUCCUCAUUUUACUAAACUAUUUAUGGUAACUUAGUAUGGUAACUUAACUAAGUAAGUUUGCUUUUAGCCCAAGGGUUGGAGAUGGUCUUAGUAUGGUAACUUAACUAUUUAAUUCCAUCUCAUUAAACUAAAAAAAACAAUUACAUAAAAAUAAGGGAAACCUUGUCCAGAGAGACCUGAGAAAGUCCACCCCUAAGGACUUUGCGCCAGCACCCAGCGUAUUUAUCUACUCAAGUGAACAGUAAUAGACUGGAGUGAACAGUAAUAGGCCAAGGCAUCUCCACCCCUAAAAAAAUGCGCUGGCACCCAGUGCAUUUAUUUGGUGUGUUUUUUUUUUAAAGUUUAUUUCAGAUAAGAUUUUUAACCAAUUUCGGAUAAAAUUUCAAAUAAACUUAAAAAAAAACACUCUAAAAUAAAAUUACAUACUCAUCAAAUAAACUUAAAAAAACACACUAAAAUAAAAUUACAUAAACUCAUCAAAUAAAUUAAGGAUGAGCUUUUUGGUAUUUUUUUUUCACACAAAAAGUAUAUGAAAGCUUUGGUAGAAGGUCUAGAAAAUAUUGAAAUGUGGUGUAAGGUGGAAGAUGAGGGUUAGGUAUUUAUAGAAAAAAAAUAAUAACUUUUUUAAAAUUUUACUGUAUUUUAAAAAAAAAUCUGUAUUUUUUUAUAUUUUUAAUUAAUUUUAAUGUAGUUAAUUAAUUUGGACCGUUGGAUUUGAAAAAUAUUCAAAUCCAAUAGCCCAGGAUCGGCCACGUGGCCAACGCCAGCAAAUGGCCCAGCUUCUUGGUCAGCCUGUUUUGUGCUGGCCCAGAGACCAGUUUGGGCUGGGUGCCAGUCUGUUUUGUGGGCUGGAGUGAAUGGACAGGGUCCCAGCCUGUUUUUUGUGCUGAGUGCUGGCCUAAUCCACCACCGGUGGACUUGCUCUGAGAGAAAGUGACGACUUCUCCUCUCAUUCCACUCCAUACUUGAUCUCUAAAGUCCAUUUGGCAUGUAAUUGAUGUUCAAUUUCAAAUUUAGUGGUAGCAAUUAGCAAAGCUAAUGAAAGAAUCAAAUAAAAUGAAAGAAAAAGCAUCAUGAAAUAAAUCAAGAUGAAGAAUGAAAUUUUGGCAACUCGCCAUUCUCUUCUUUUAUAUAAAAGAUACAUCCUAUUUGUAGUGAAAACAGGUCCCGACAAACCCAGUUAUCCUCAAGAAGUAUUUUGUAUGACUUUAAAAACAUAAUCCGUGAAAUUAUCUCUUGGCUGAGAACAACAACAAAUCUUCAUGCAUAGCUUGUACAGAAAGACAUCAGGCAUACAAAAGAACACGCAAGCAUAAAAUAAACGACGCAGGGAAAACCAAAAAUACUAUAGAACACGUCGCUGUCAAAAGAACAUGAAUAAAUGAAAAUUACAAAACAAAGAAGUGAUGAGAAACCAAAGUACCCAUUUCAUAAUCUAGUUGCUUUUUAGUUUGCUUGCCAUUUUUAGUUCUUCAAUUUAGAGAGAAACGAUAAUUCAGCACAUGAAUAAAGUGAAAACGUAAAAGAUAUGUGGGAUAAGCUGACAGCCAUCCCUGAGUAAUGCAUUCACUUAUGAACCCCAAACACAACGAAACAAAAAUUCACACAUGAACUACAGCUCCGCUAUGUAACAAGAAUUAAAAGCAUCUCAAGACAAAAUGGCAAACUAUAAGAGCACUGUAAAAGUAAAAUUGCAAGAAAUCUAAUACUUGGAGGGCAAGUACUACUCAGACGAAAAUGAAAGAUUGAACUACCUCGCGUGGAACUGUGCCUUGGUUUUUUCCCAUGCUUACAGGAAGCUUUGCACUGAGCUCUUAUAGCCCAAAUUUUCUCUGAAAGAAAAAAACACAAUUUUGAAAUAAGAUUUUCAUAUUAUACCUUAAAGAGAAGAAUUAGAAAACAAAAAAGAGAACAAUGAGUACUAUUCAUCAUAUAUUGUUAGAGUGUGUGGUCCUUUGGUCCAAUGGUCCUGCAGCCAUAUUUACUUUAUAACUCUUUCUUUUAGUCUAAAAAACAUCUUGGAUCUCAAAUUAAUAUGAAUACGGAUUCAUACGCAUGCAUUGCAUUACAACCACAAUGCAAUAUCUCAUUAGAAAUCCCCACACAAAAUUUUUUUAUUUCUACUUUGAUUUUAGUUUAUAUUUUUUCUAAAGCACGAGGGAGCUAAUUUUUUUUUAAAUUUUUUUUAUUCCAAUAAUGUUAUAGGGUUGAAAGGAUAUUAUCAAUUUAAUUGAUUGUAUUUGAUUGGUGGAACUUCUAUAUCUAUAUUUCAGUUUUUCAAAUUCAGCACUGGGAGAGUCAUUCAUAAAAUGUUUGACAGUGAGAUUACCUCCAUGGAUUAUGCUCACAAUGGACAGCUCAUUUUCCGCAGUGAUGGGACAAUAUAUUUCAGUCAUUCGCCAUUCAAUCAAUUCAAACCGAGGAACAAGCAACAUCAAGAAGAGGAUCUGCCAUGUCAGGAUCACUGUCGUCCAAUUAAUACAAAAAAUCUAGAUAAAAACGAUCAAUUUACAUAAAAGCCUUUCAUUUUCUCAGCAACCAAGCAAAAGAAAAUACCUAUCCGUUAACACUCGAUUUGGGAGUAAAUGUUGCUGAAACUGGACUUCAAUCCCCUCAACCGCAACAACCGAAUCGAGGUGUGCAAGUCAUUGAAAAACUCACCCAAGAUUUCAAAAUCUGCAUAAAUAAAUAAAUAAGCACAUAAAUUAGCCAACCCUGUUAUGAUCCCACAUCGGGUACACAAGAAAUUGUGUAGUGGUACUUAAGUGCAAGGGGUCCUCCCACCUAUUGGACUAGUUUUUUGGAUUGGGCUCUUCCCUUGGGCUUGAGUACCUAACAUUGGUAUCAGAGCCUAGGUUCCCGACGCUGCGGGACUUGGCGAGUGGUGCAGCCUCGUGGUGCCGCCUUGAGAGUAUGGGCUCCUAAGGGUCUUGGCGACGGGCAAGGUAUGAAAUGCCGAUAUUAUCGCGAUAUUUCGCCGAUAAUAUCGGUUUUUUGAGUUACCGAUAUUUUAAUACUUAUCCACUGAGUUUUCGUCAAAAUAUCGCGAUAAUAUCAACAAUAUCGCGAUAUUACCGAUAAUAUCGCGAUAUUUUGGAGAUGUGCGAAUCGGAGAAGAACGCCGGAGCUUUUACAGCUCCGGCCGACUGUAAAAGAGCACCCUAGACUCCGAUCUAGGUAUCAAAAUGAAAUACAAGAUGAGAGGAAUGUUUUUAUAACUUCCGUUUGCCGUGAAACGGUCGAAGGUGUUCGGAAAGUUCGUCGACACCCACGGCCUCGCCAGAGAUGGGUGUGCCUAUUCCCGAGCCGAUUUCGUCCCAAAAACCUUGCAAAAACACGAGAUAGAACUUAAAUUUCACGUCUAAGCUUCAAUCUAGAAUAGAAUGAGGUAAACCCGAAGCUUACCUAACCGGAGAAAUUCAAGAAACUCGUCGGAGGGUUCCUGCGUCGCCGAGUUGCAGAGACGAGAAGGAGAGGGAGAAAGACGAGGUUGCUGAUGACGAUGGGUGUCUUCCUCAAGCAAGUGCGAUGGUGUGCGUGUGUGUAUGUGGGUCUCGGUGCAGAGAGAAAGGAGAGAGAUGAGAGUUUCGAGAGAGAGACGGCACCGACGAGAGCUAUUUGUUUUUUUUUAUCUUAAAAAGAGAGAGGUCUAAGAGAAAUGGGAAGAGAGGGCCGAGUGAAAUGAAAGGAGGUCCUUGAAUUAUUGAGAGAUAUCUCUGAGAGAGGCCUAGGAUUUCUAAAAGGUAAUCAUAAAUGGGAAAAAUGGGGCACAUCUUAGCCUUUAUUUUGGAAUCCUAAGAAGUUCACCACAUGGAUGCAUGACAUGUGUGCAUGCCAUGUUUGUUGAAUGGGAAAAGUCUGACACGGAAAGACAAAGAGUCGUUUGGGGCUCUGGGCUCGAGGCAAGACAGAAAGUGCUAGGGUUUUUUUCUGAAAUGAACAUAAGCUGCUAAAUUCGCAUAUAUUAUAGUUGUUGCUAAAGAUUGUCACUAGUGUGGACUUGGACGUGUUGGUCAACAUGUCCUCACAAUCCCCAAGUUCUCUGGUUCGAACCCUUGCGCCCAUCAAAUUUUCUUUCUUUUUGAUGCGCUUUUCCCAUGGCUCUAGGUCUUGAUUUCGAAUCCAAGUGAGCCCUUUCCUUUUUCUUUUUUGUUCUUUUUGUUUUAUUAUUUGUUUAUUUUAAUUUAUUUGUUUCUUUUAUGUUUUUCUUUUCUUUUAGUUUCUUUGUCUUAGGCGUUCGUUUUUAUUAAAGUAGGAUGUAAAAUCAAUUAUCUUAAAAUUAUGUGUUUUUAAAUUUUGGACUUGUUUGUUGGAUACUUUUUUUUCAUUUUAUCAUUCUUUUAUUAUGAAAAUAUGCUAAAAUAUGCUAAAAUAUCACUUAUGUUUUUGUGAAAAUAUGCUAAAAUAUUUAUAUAUAUGAUUUUGUUUUGAAUUCUUUUUGUACUAAUUCAUUAUAUAUAAAUGAUUAUGGUGUGUUUAAACUUCUUUAAUUAAUUACUACAUAUUUUCUAUACUCACAAUGUUUGCCAGCUCGCUAUAUAAUCAACUUAAAUCAGUUAAAUCCAUCAUGCAAUGCAUUUCCUUCCAAUUUUUUGUGAUAAACUUGUGAACACGGAAAAUUCCUGAAACGAAAGAGACAAGAACGAACGUGCACAAACAAAUAUUAUGUAUUUGAUGAUUUUGGGUUACAAUCUCUCUCUAUUUGAUCCUCUGAUUCAAUCUCCGUAAGGUGUGUAUUUGUGGAUGUGUGAUUGAUCCAAAGGGCCGUUGGGCUUGAUCUAAUGAUGAACGUUCUUCAAGGGCCGUGGACUUGAUCUUGAAGGUGGAUUUGAGCGGAUCUUCAAAGGGGCUUUUGGGCUUGAUCUUGAAGAACGGUUGGAUGUGUGGAUUUGUCGAAGUUGUUGAUCCAAAGGGCCGUUGGGGCUUGAUCUUGGAUGAACGGAUGAUGAACGAUGGUGCUUUCUUCAAGGGUCGUCGGGGCUUGAUCUUGAAUUGGUGGAUGGUUGAUCCAAGGGCCGUCGGGGCUUGAUCUUGGAAGAACGAUGAACGAAGAACGAAGAACACUUUCUUCAAGGGCCGUCGGGGCUUGAUCUUGAAUUGGUGGAUGAUUGUUGAUCCAAAGGGCCGUUGGGGCUUGAUCUUGGAAGAACGAUGAACGAAGAACAAAGAACGCUUUCUUCAAGGGCCGUCGGGGCUUGAUCUUGAAGGUGGAUGAUUGUUGAUCCAAAGGCUGUCGAGGCUUGAUCUUGGAAGAACGAUGAACGAAGAACACUUUCUUGAUUCUUCGGGAACCUGGACGCUUGAGAGCUUCGGAGUUUCAGAGCUUCAGAGCUUCAAGGUGUAAUAUGAAUUGGUCCCCCCUAAAUGAAUGAAAUGGGCUUGUAUUUAUAGAAUUUUCCAAGGCCUAAUUUUGAAUAUAAUAUCUCAGAUGAAAUAAGUCGUUUCUGCCAGGUGUUAACACGUGUCCUAUUUGAUGACUUUUCCAACUCAUUUCAAUUUUCGUUUAGUCACACGCUACGUGUAAAAUUUAUGUAAUACAUGAGCGUUGACACUUUGAUUUAUCGGUCAACAUUUAUUUACCGAAAUUUCGAUGUCUACAAAUGCCCCCACUUCAAGGCACGUCGUAUACCUGUGCUUGUCACGUGUAGGAGAUGCGUUUUGAAGUCCCUUACCGUAGAUGCCGAUUCAAGGGCCGUUGAAGCUUGAUCUUGAAUUGGGCUUGAGAUUUCUUCAAGGGCCGUUGAGGCUUGAUCUUGAAUUUUUGUUUGAAAUUUCUUCAGGGGCCGUCGAGGCUUGAUCUUGAAGGUUGAAAUUGGGCCACAAGGAGCUUCAUGUGGUAGAUGAUCUUUGGCUUUGGUAGUGGAUGAAUCGGCACGUAUUUUAUUGCGCUUGUUGACUUUCCACAGCUUUGAUCUUGAACUGGGUUGGAGGAUUUUCUGGAUUCCUCCAAUUGUUGAUUUUCCACAGCUUAUUCUUGAACUAGGUUUUGAUUCAAGGGUGGUAGACACUUGAUCUUGAAUCGGACUUGUGAUUUCCUCGAUGGCCGUCGAGGCUUGAUCUUGAAUUUGGUUGGAAACUUCUUCAAGGGCCGUCGAGGCUUGAUUCUUGAAGGUUGACUCGAACAUAUGGCAAGCAGGCACGAGGUGAAGGUGACGACUUGUUGCUUUGUUCAAUCUUUCUAAUUCACACCUGAGCAGUUUGGUCAACGGUAUGAUCCUCAAGAUUGAUGGGCUCUUCUUCCAGUUGGUGACUUGAUCUUUAAGGAUUUGAUUCAAGGGUGGUGAAUCGGCACGUGCAGCCCACAACGCCUAGUAAGCCGACCCAAGAAUUUGAGGGUCAAAACGGAUUCACCGUCAGAGUGAUUGCAACUUUGAUGAUAUGAGAUACUCUUGCUUUUGAAGAAGUAGUGGAUGAAUCAGCACGUGCUUUGUUGCGCUUGUCUCCACAUGCUUCAAGGUAUCAUCUUUAUUUCCUUUAUCUAUUCCUCAGGCAGAUGUGGCAUCUUCUCGAGUUCUUCAUCUCAGACUCUUUCUGCUGAGUUGACUGUUCAUGCUGCAUUCUUCUCUGCUUGUUCAUUCUGCACGUUGUCUCCACAUGCUGCAAGGUAUCAUUUUCACUUGCCUUAUCUGUUCUCCGGGCAAAUGUGGCAGCUUCUUUGAAAGUACAGUAGCAGCGGGAGGCGAGUACUCGAGAGCAGUGCUAGGUAGGCAAUCAGGGAAGGGUUCCAAGCAGUCGGUUCCUUACCCGAGUUUGAGUGGAAGUUCCGGCAUAUUGUUUUUUUUAUCCUUGUCUUUGUAGGUAAGAACAAGGACAAAGGAAAGGACAGGGAGAACGCAUGAUAUGAGAUACUCUUGCUUUCUACCCUGGUGAUAUGAGAUACUUUUGCUUUGGAGUCAUUGGCUUGCAGAGGUACCCCAAGGAAUAAGGAACACUGAAUGACUCGAGAGGCUUCGUUGGGAAAACAUCUUUGGAGAUGAAGAAAGACUUUGUGUGUCUGCCUUGCUAUGGAAGGCGAAGGUAGACAAUUAUAGGAAGUUCUUUGAUACCUGUAGAUGUACUAUUCUUUCACUCGUGUCGGCAACCAAUGCGUGAUUGAUCUAUAUGGCUUCACGUGCUUCCUUCUUUAUCAGAAAUCUUCGACAAACUGUCCGUAAUUUCCGCCAAGCUGAGUGUGCAUGUGAUAGGUGUUGACGCGGCUGAAAAAGACUGGCGCUUAUUCGAUAACUGGGAUCUGCGCUUCGACAAAUUACCCGUGAUUUCCGCAAAGCUGAGUUUGCGUGUGAUGGGUGCUGACGUGUCUGGAAAAGACUGGCGUCUCUUCGAUGUCUGGGAUCGGCACUUCGACAAAUUGCCCGUGAUUUUCGCAAAGCUGAGCUUGCGUGUGACGGGUGCUGACGCGUCUGGAAAAGCAAGAUGCUUCUUCGAUUUCUGAGCUUGCCUCUUCGAUUUUUGAAUGGCCUCUUCGAAUUCUGAGCUCGCCUCUUCGAUCUCUGAAAUCCCGUCGAGUGUUGAUUUUUUAUAGAGGCAUGCUGUUCGUUUCAAAGCACACUUGAAUUUUACUUGUGAAAACUCCCUUCUUGCACUUCUAAGAUCUUGAUUCGUCUGACCUCUUCUUCCUUCAACACUUUGAAAAUGUCUGGACCCUCCGACCGUCGUUUUGAUUUGAACUUUGGUGAAGAUGUAGUCCCGUCUUCUCCAGAUAACAUAUGGCGCCCAUCCUUCAUAUCCCCUACUGGUCCUCUUACUGUUGGGGAUUCGGUGGUGAAGAAUGAUAUGACCGCUGCGGUGGUGGCCCGAAACCUUGUCACUCCCAGAGAUAACAGACUACUUUCCAAACGGUCUGAUGAGUUGGCUGUUAAGGAUUCUCUGGCUCUCAGUGUGCAGUGUGCGGGUUCUGUGUCCAACAUGGCCCAACGCCUAUUUGCUCGAACCCGUCAAGUUGAAUCGUUGGCGGCUGAAGUGAUGAGUCUUAAACAGGAGAUUAGAGGGCUCAAGCAUGAGAAUAAACAGUUGCACAAGCUUGCACACAACUAUGCCACAAACAUGAAGAUGAAGAUUGACCAGAUGCAGGAAUCUGAUGGUCAGAUUUUACUUGAUCAUCAGCGGUUUGUGGGUUCGUUCCAACAGCAUUUGCCUUUGUCUUCUGGGGCUGUACCGCGUAGUGAAGCUCCUCAUGAUCAACCUCCAGCCCCUCUUCUUUCUGGAGUUCCACCGAGUGGUGUGACUUCAAACAGUCAACCUCCGACGUCUCUUUUCCCUAGAGCUCCACCGAGCACUGAGACACCACCUGAGCAAUAAAGACUCCCUCCCGUUUGUUUGCACAUUUGUAAAUUUUUUUUUUUUUUUUUUUUUUUUUUUUUUUUGGUAUGUAGAAUGCAAUUUUAUGUAAAAUUUCCAGAAAAAAUAAAUAAAAUGGAUUUUUAUUUCUCUUAAUGCUUUUUUUUUUUUUUUUUUUUUUGCUGUAUAUAUUAUACACACACAUUUAUACAUACAUAUAUACAUACAUAUAUAUAUAUUUUCACGUGGAGUGAUCCACCAUCCCAAAACCCAUUUUCCCUUUGUUUUUUUUUGCAUGGUGCUAGCCACCAAGAAUUCACCUUUUUUUUUUUUUUAAUUAAUUAAUUAAUUUAUUUAUUUAUUAAUUUAUUAUUAUUAUUUCUUUUUCGUCUGCUUUCACAUGGUGCUUGAUCCACCACUCUCUUUUCUUUUUUCACGUGGUGCCAGAUGCACGCCCCUUUUUUUUUCACGUGGUGACAGCACCACUCUGCUUUGCUCUACCACAUUUUUUUUUUUUUUGUAUAAAUUAGGAUGCUUGGCUGAGGGAUUUUGUAGGGAAGGACGAAGACGGACGGAGAGCCGGAGUUUGAGGAAGAGCUUCUCGGCCGGCUAGUCGUUUGACAGCGGUCUUUGAAGUUGGUGGCAGCUGCGAGGCAAGAGACGGAGGAGGACAGGGCAGCUGUGACGGACAGAGACGCCAUGGCAGGACCUCGAGGAGUUUUAAGAUACUGGUGCAGGUACUGGCGAGGUGAUUUUGACGAGAAAAGCAUGAAGAGGGCGUCGAGCACCAUGGGCCUGCAAUCCUUAAGGUUGAUCUCGUAGUCCUUGAGCUCUUGUUCAGGCAUGACGGGAUCCGCUGCGGUCUUUUUUAUCGGCAAUAAAGUUCUUUGCCUCAUAAAACAGCCCAGAACGCGAUAGAAGAGUUACGAACAAAGCACAAUGUGCAACUGUAGGUGUCUUGAUGCAGUUGAAGUAAAACUUCCCUUCCUCGACCAUGCGUGCUGCAACGCAAGCAUGAAGGACAGCAGCAUAGGUGAUUUCAUCGAUCUGUGUACUCGUUUCCUUCUCCAUUUGGCAGAAUAAAUCUACUCCGAUCUUUCCUUGUCCGUGUAAGCUGUACCCAGUUAUCAUCACUGUCCACGAAACAAGAUCUCUUGUACUUCGACCCUGGCAAAAACUUUUGCAGCUGAUUUGAUAAAUCCCGACUUGACAUACAUGUCCAUAAGAGCAUUCAGAACGGUGAGAUUCAUUCGAAUACCAUGUCGCAGCAAGAAUCCAUGAGUCUCUUUUGCCAUGUUUACCUGCAGACAUUCUUGCGCAUGCUGGGAGAACACUAGAGACCGAGAGCGGAUCAGGUUUCACCCCGUCUCCAACCAUCUGCCUAAACAGCUUAAGACCCUCAUUGAAGCAUCCCCUCUUCACAUUGGCAUGAAUCAUUUCUGUCCAAGAAAUGACAUCUUUCUCCGGUAUUUGGUUGAAAACUGCCCAAGCUUCGUCGACACAGCCACAGUCCAUGUAUAUUUUCAAGAUGGUAUUGCUCACCAACACAUCAUACUCCAAUCCACGUUCCUUGGCAACCCUGUGGACUUUUGUUCCAUCAAUCAACGAUCUCAACAUGCCACAGGCACCAGCCGCCGUCGCCACAGCCACAGAAUCUAUCUGUGCUCCGGACUCCACCAUUCUCUCAAACACAUGAACCGCCUUGCCGGGUUUACCUUCCGCAAUGUACAGCCUGGCCAGCAUUGUCCAUGAAACAGAGUCCGUAACCAGGGACUUGUCAAACAGCCCUUUCGCGGAGUCCGCGCUGUCGAGGCGACCGUACAACUCAAUGAGAGCAGCAACCACGUACCGGUCACCAGAGCAGCCGAGCUUGUGAGCGUGGGCAUGGAGUUGCUUGCCGAGGGAGAGAUCAACCGAAAGGCGAGAGGCAGACAAGACGCGAGGAAGAGUGUGUCUGUCGGGCGACGAACGCGCGGAUGAGCAUUUGGUGGUAAGUGGCGAGGGCGUGGUGGAAGUCGGCAUUGGCGAUAUGGGUCUGGAUAAGUCUGUUCCAUGCAAAGGUAUCUGAGUGGGGCAUUUUGUCGAACACCUUGUGGGUGACGGCCACCUUCGUGGUGGGUUUAGCAUUUCGGGAGUGCUUGUAGUGGGCUGUGUUGAUUGGGUUCUCGGUGACGAUCAAGCGCUGGAUUUGGGCGGAUGGAAGGGCUUCCAUUUCAGUUCAGUCGCACCCAAUUCAGCAUUGCCCGUACGGAUUCGAGCGCAGUUAUCGAGGAGGAGUUUCCUUAAGAAUAGAACCAAUCACCGACUCCUCAAACCCAUCCGGAUAUGCGAUUUUCAUGAGGUGCAAACAAGAACCCUCUGCCAUAAGUGGCAUGAUCACCCAAAGGUUUCUUUCAACGACAAAUGAACAAAACGCCCUCACGACAUUGGGAUGAUCUAUUAAUCUCAUCGUCUGCGCCUCCCUCCGGAUAUCCUCGAAAUUGCUAUUGCACCGAUCGAGAUCCAAGCACUUGACGGCGACGACUUCAUUGAAAGGGAGAUAGAUCGCUCUGUAAACCGUUGCGCUGGCGCCAUAUCCGACCUCUUCCAGAAGCUUGUAGUCGUUCGGAUUCGCCGAGUGAAGCCUCGAAUUGCUACCCAUCCUCCCCAUCUGUUCGAGGACUUGUGCUUCAGAUAUGUCGUUUUGAGGCUACGGGCUCUGCGUUUGGGCUGUGUGCCAGUUUGGGCUUAGUGUUGCUUUGGAGAGAUCUAGGUUUGGUUGAAGAGGUACGGUGAAGCCAUGGGCAAGGGAGAUGACGAAUUGGGCUUGGAGGCUGACACUUGGGCCUGGAUGGCCUCCUUUUGAGAGGCUUGCUGCUGAUGGAUAUACAUAUAUAUAUUUGUAUGUAUAUGUAUGUAAAAGAAAUCUUUUUUUUUUUUUUUAAUUUUUUAAUUUUUUUUUUUAUGUGACUGAACUCGAAAAAAUUGAACAUUCGAGCUGCCUACGUACCCCUCCAAAGAAGAGAUCAAGUCGCAACGUAGUUCAAAUACAUUUUUGGUAUUUUCUUUUUGUGUCGUUUGCAGUUUUAACUCAUGCAGGCAAGGAGUGUUGGUGUCGUUUGCAGUUCCAACUCUUGCAUACAAGGAGCGUUGGUGUUGCCUUUUAUGCUCGUGUAGGCCAGGAGCGUUGGUUCGUGCAGUUUAGGCUCGUGCAGGCGAGGAGCCUUUGGUGUCGUUCGCAGUUUCAACUCGUGCAAACAAGGAGCAUUUGGUGUCGUUCGCAGUUUCAACUCGUGCAGACAAGGAGCAUUUGAUGCCGUGUUGCAGUUUAGGCUCAUGCAGGCGAGGAGCGUUGGUGUCUUGUAGUUUAGGCUCUUACAGACAAGGAGCUUUGGUUCGUGCAGUUUAGGCUCGUGCGAACAAGGAGCAUUGUUGGUUCGUCAAGCGAUCCGAGAGAGUUGUUCCUCACAAUCUUCAUAGCAAGGAGCCUUGACCGCGUGAUUGAAGAAGUCUUCGGGUAAAAAGUCGCGCAUCGUGAUGGCAACAGACAAUCUUUGUGUCGUAGUUUCAUCAUCUUCAACACGUUCACGUUGCUUUGAAGGUUGACAAUAGCUGCUUUGCCCCCUUUUCAAUUGGCGGACUUGUGGAGGAGACGUAUGCUUCUUGUGCAAUUUCUUAGGAGUGACUUGAGUCCAUCCUUCAAUUUUGCUUGUCUUGGACGAUGCCCCCAGCGGUUGAGGUGAAAACUUUGAGUCGGAAGAGCCAGAAGUGAAGGUGGUAUAGUUUGACUUUGCCACUUCGUCAAGAUCUAGCUCGAUGAUUCCUUUCUGAGCCAGCUUCAUGAUGAGAUCUUUCAGCACGAAACAUUUUUCUGUCGGAUGACUGAUGAAGCGGUGGAAUUUACAGUACUUUGGACUGUCGGUGCGAUUCAUCUCUUCUGGCCGUUUGCACUCAGGCAAACCAAUCACCUUCUUUUCCAACAGGUCAUCCAGUAUGGCAACCACAUCAGAGUCGGGGAAUGGAUAAGUCUUCUCCUCAAGCUCCUUUAAAGUGCGUCUACGCAUUUCUUGAUCACGAAAAGCUUCGGUUUGAAUCGCCUUGCCUCGUGUGGAUAUUUUGACGGGAGAUGUGUUGACCGUCAUCGCUUCCUUGGUGGGUUUCCAUGCAGCCUUUUCCACCUUUGUCCCAAGAACUUUGUCGUUCUUGUAGUCGGCGAUUGGUUCUUUCUUCCCAUGAUGGGCGAUGCUCAACUCCAUGUCAUGGGCGCGAGUGGCCAAUUCCUCGAAGGUCCGCGGUUUAAUGCCUUGAAGGAUGUAUUGCAAACCCCAUUGCAUGCCUUGGAUGCACAUCUCGAUUGAAGAGGUUUCCGAGAGCCUGUCUUUACAGUCGAGGCUUAGAGUGCGCCAUCUGUUGAUGUAGUCAAUGACUGGCUCGUCCUUCCACUGCUUUGUGCUUGUUAGCUCUAGCAUGCUCACAGUGCGGCGAGUGCUGUAGAAGCGGUUGAGGAAUUCCCGCUCCAAUUGCUCCCAGUUGUUGAUGGACUCAGGCUCUAGGUCAGUGUACCACUCAAAGGCGUUUCCUUUUAGUGAGCGCACAAACUGCUUGGCGAGGUAGUCCCCUUCGGUCCCUGCGUUGUUGCAAGUUUCAACAAAGUGGGCAAUGUGUUGUUUCGGGUUUCCCUUUCCAUCAAAUUGCAUGAACUUUGGCGGUUGAUAACCCUUCGGCAUCCUUAAGGCGUCGAUUUUCUUUGAAUACGGCUUCGAGUACAACCCGGAGGUAUUUGAGCUCCCUUCGUACUGUGCCUUGAUGGUGUUGGUGAUCAUCUAUUGCAGCUGCUGGAUAGAAAGAGAUCCCAUGAGUGCCGCUGCUUGGUCUGGCUCCGGCUUUGCAUCGUUUUUCUCCACCUGAGGCUCAUCUUCUUCGUCAUCUCUUCUCUUUAGUGGAUCAUUCUCUGGGUCGGGUUUAUCGCCGUCCUGCGCCUUUAGUCGAUUGACGAGUGCUGCAAUUUGCAAGUCUUUUUUCUUCCACCGUUCGGGUCAGCCUUGCGAUUGCUUCAUUCAUCUGAGCCAGUUGUUCUUCAACGGAGGUAACGCCGAUAGUCAUGACUUGUGCGACCAAUAUACGUGACUUUCCUUUAGACAUCCAGGAUGCUGAUGAAGAACGUCGUUGGCUGCUUUGGGAUGUCAUCUUAUGUGCCUCAGCAUCAUGCUUCGGUGCCCCCAGCGAGGUCAGGUUGAUGACAGACUCGCACCUUGGAUGCUCCCCUUGCUCUUUUAGCGGCACCAAUUUUGAAGUAGCAUGUUGGGGAGCGGUUGUGGCGCCAAUGGAUUGUCUGUUUGCGGCAGAAGUGCUUAGGAUCCUUCCCUCAGUGGUUGCGAGAAUGGCUUGUCCUUUGCUUGAUGCCAUUGACUUUGAGGUGUGCUUGGAUUCCUUGAACGAAGAAAGAGAUGAGAGGUAGAGAUUGUCCCACCGGGCGUGCCAAUUUGUGAACACGGAAAAUUCCUGAAACGAAAGAGACAAGAACGAACGUGCACAAACAAAUAUUAUGUAUUUGAUGAUUUUGGGUUACAAUCUCUCUCUAUUUGAUCCUCUGAUUCAAUCUCCGUAAGGUGUGUAUUUGUGGAUGUGUGAUUGAUCCAAAGGGCCGUUGGGCUUGAUCUAAGGAUGAACGUUCUUCAAGGGCCGUGGACUUGAUCUUGAAGGUGGAUUUGAGCGGAUCUUUAAAGGGGCUUUUGGGCUUGAUCUUGAAGAACGGUUGGAUGUGUGGAUUUGUCGAAGUUGUUGAUCCAAAGGGCCGUUGGGGCUUGAUCUUGGAUGAACGGAUGAUGAACGAUGGUGCUUUCUUCAAGGGCCGUCGGGGCUUGAUCUUGAAUUGGUGGAUGGUUGAUCCAAGGGCCGUCGGGGCUUGAUCUUGGAAGAACGAUGAACGAAGAACGAAGAACACUUUCUUCAAGGGCCGUCGGGGCUUGAUCUUGAAUUGGUGGAUGAUUGUUGAUCCAAAGGGCCGUUGGGGCUUGAUCUUGGAAGAACGAUGAACGAAGAACAAAGAACGCUUUCUUCAAGGGCCGUCGGGGCUUGAUCUUGAAGGUGGAUGAUUGUUGAUCCAAGGGCUGUCGAGGCUUGAUCUUGGAAGAACGAUGAACGAAGAACACUUUCUUGAUUCUUCGGGAACCUGGACGCUUGAGAGCUUCGGAGUUUCAGAGCUUCAGAGCUUCAAGGUGUAAUAUGAAUUGGUCCCCCCUAAAUGAAUGAAAUGGGCUUGUAUUUAUAGAAUUUUCCAAGGCCUAAUUUUGAAUAUAAUAUCCCAGAUGAAAUAAGUCGUUUCUGCCAGGUGUUGACACGUGUCCUAUUUGAUGACUUUUCCAACUCAUUUCAAUUUUCGUUUAGUCACACGCUACGUGUAAAAUUUAUGUAAUACAUGAGCGUUGACACUUUGAUUUAUCGGUCAACAUUUAUUUACCGAAAUUUCGAUGUCUACAAAACUAAUAGAUAAUUGACUAAAUAAACAUCCUGCAAAGUUUCAAUAAAAAUUUCCAAGUUUUUCUUACAAUUUCUGUGGUUUCCAUAUUAUUUUUAUCGAUAUCGAUAAUAUCCCGAUAUUUCAAUCGAUAUUUCCGUGUUUUUGGACUACCGAUAUUUCCGAUAUCAUCGAUAUUUUAUACCUUGGCGACGGGGGACUUGCCGACUGGUGCCACCGUGGACGUUGGGUCUUUCGAAAUGUGGUGUAAUGUUAUGAUCCCACAUCGGCUACACAAGAAAUUGUGUAGUGGUACUUAAGUGCAAGGGGUCCUCCCACCUAUUGGACUAGUCUUUUGAGUUGGGCUCUUCCCUUAGGCUUGAGUACCUAACAAACCCAUAAAUCAAAGAAAUCAAAAUCCACCCAGAAUCAAAGAAAUCAAAAUCCAUCCAGAACCAAAGAAAUCAAAAUCACACACAGAUAUACAAGGUGUACAGUACUGACAUGCCUUAAAUGAUAUUAUUCACAAGAUUUAUAAAGCUCAUGUCGUAAUACUUGUGCAGAAUCUAUCAUUCACGGCGUCACUUUUGUGCAAGUUGUAAAUAAAAUUAUUCACAAUUUAAACAUUGUGUGUCGUAUUUGACAAUUUAUACUACGCACUUUCUUUUUCUUUUAAAGCUUUGCGUUAUGUCGUGAAGUUGACUUUCUAUAUAUUUGGGUUGUACCUUUUAUGGCGCAAAUAACACGUCGUAAAUAAUGGCUUUUAGCACAGAAGUUUUGUGGUAAAGAAGCCCGCGCACUAAUUCAUUCUCGCGCCUUCUCUUUUUUAUUUAGCCGCUUCUUUUUUUAUUUUUUAUUUUUUUUGUUAAAUUCCCCUCAAAUGUUAAAAGAAAAAUUAAUGAAAUAUUUGAAAACUUUGAGUUUUAACGAUAAGGAUAAAAUAAAAGGUAAAAUGAAUAGUACCAAAAUUGACUUUUUAGUGUUAAAAUAUGAUUUUUCGUUAAAGUGAACAGUGCCGAAAGUUUUUCGUUAAAGUUCAAUGUUAAAAGGUUUGUAUUUUCUUGGUAAACUUGAAAGACAAACAUUGCAAUUGCAUUUUCAUUUACCCAAUAUUAAUUGUCGAGAGCCCACCCCCUUCCCUUCUCACUGACAUCGUAACUCUCUCCUCUCCAUCGAUCUCGCUCCAUCUGCUCGCCGUCGCUCUAUAUGCUCGUCAUCACCGUCGAUUCGUCUGCUCGUCGUCACCGUCGCCCAUCUGCUUUCCGUCACCGUCGAAGUGCCCCGCCAUUCAAGAUCUGAAAUCCCCAAUACAGGGUGCUUUGCGGCAUUUCGUUCUCCAAAACUUUAGGUAUGCUCUCAAUCUGUAUCAACCCUAUCCUGUCCCCUCUAGAUUUUUGUUUAGUCUCAACUUUAUGGUGCUUUUCUUAGAUUUGUUCUAUCACUGUAAUUUUAAGGGAUUUUAGGUAAUAAAUUUGGUUGAGAAUCUCAGUUAGGUUUGUAAUUGUUUUCUUGGUUGCCUGGGUUUGAGGAUGAUUAAUCCACUUUCUGAAGUUUAAUUACUUUGAACUUUGAUUUGUGGGAAACUGCAAUCAAAAUGUUGCUAUGGCUUUAUAGUUAGAAUCGAUUGUGAGUCUUUGCACCACAUCAAGCAAUACCCCGGUGUUGUAAUUCCGAGGUUUGUAAUUGCCGCUGUUAAUGAUGGUUUGGUCCAUCCUUUUUAGGGAGAUGACUUCAAUGAUUGAAACUAGUUUAUCAUUAUUUCAGAACUCUGUAAUACGAGACAUGAUAUUCCAAAAAAUAUUUGCAUGAAUAUAUGUGCAUUGACUGACUAUUUUUCAGUCUUUGAUAGUGGAGAUAACUCUUUCAGGUCAUAUGUAGUUCUUACAGAAAUUGUAUGGUAUUUUGGUUGGUUUUGUGUUCUGGUUGUAGCAAACUGGUGGAUGCCCUGAGAUGAGUAGUUAUCUACAAAGUGGAUGGAUCCUGAAGAGUACAAAGUCUAAGGCAUUUUAUGUAAAGGUAAAUCCUGUUACUUUUAAUUACUUAUAUGUGAAUGCCUGCCAUUUGAAGUAAAAAUUCUUUUAGCCAUUACAUUCUUCAUAAAGAUCUUUAUAUGCUCAAAAGAAGGAUUUUUUUUAGAUGCCAUGUAACUGGUGGUGGCUAGCCUCUUCUUUUUAAGACUCUAGUGUGUUUCAAUUACACUAGUCAAUCGUUCUUAUGUGUAUUAUGUUUUGUUGAUAAGAUGGCCAAGACAAAGUUGUAGAGCCCUAGUAGCAGGGUGCUGUUGGCAUUUAUAUUUUUCUUUUGAAGGGGUGUUUAUUGCUUUUAUACUUUCAUUGUUUACUCUCAUACAUACAAUACUGAAAAAUAAGCAUGUAUUGACGCGUAAUUUUAGAUCCAUAUUUAUACAUAAUUUUGAUUACAUGUCCAAAUUACCCAAGAUUCUUUUUCCUUUACAAAUUUGUGGAGUGCAUUACAUGGAUAUGAUUCAUGUAUGAAAUACACAUGACUCUCACUAAUUUAAGGGCAGCAUCAUUGACUGUACAGUUUUCAAUUCUUUAUAAUCAUGAGUAUAGACAUUUUUUAAUUCUUUAUAAUCAUGAGUACAACAAUAGUUUCUAUAACAAAAUUCUGUUAAAUAUGUAAUAUCAGUAUUUGUUUUCCAGGUUCAUUAGUUGAGGAUGAUUUUUCCAAGAAAGAAAAGAUCGCGGCUUUCAGGCCGAUCUAAAGAACAUUAUGUUGAUAUUGCACCUGAGAUCUUACAAGAAGAGGACGAAGAAGUACCAGAUGACCUAUUUACAGAGGAGUCGAAUCAAACUAAAAGAAAGAGGGGUCCUACUAGAAUGAAGACAAUUUCCACAAAUGAUGGUCAACGAAUUGAGAUUGAAUGGAAUGAAAACGGCCAGUUUAUUGGUGACGGAUCUAUUGACUUAUCUUCUUACAUGGGUUCUUUGGUCCGAGAGGUUGUCCCUAUAACAUUUGAUACUUGGAAGGAUGUUCCUAAGAAAACAAAGGACAUCCUAAUCAAGGUAAUAUGCAGAUAAGUCAAUUCUGAUCCCUCUACUUCAAGGUGAACAAUUUAUAGUUUAUAAAUUUUACUUGUGUUAAUAUAUAUUUUUUGGUAAAUGUUAUGGAUAUUUUAUCAAAUCAGAGAGUAAAUUCGUAUUAAGUGAAGAUUGGCAAAGAACAUAUUGUUUUGAAAGGAUGAAUAAUGUUUGCAGAUCACAUAUAUCAGUAGUUGUGAAGUCCAUAAGAGAAGCAAGAAAUUGGAAAGCAAGGCUUCGUCUAAAACCAAAUAAUGUCAAAUUAAUUCAAGAUUGGAAGACUUCCCUUGCAAAGUGUAAGCUCAUUUUCCUUUUCUUUUAUUUCUAAGAUUAGUUAUCUUCUUUUGAGUUCAAAAUUGGGUCAGAGAAAUCAAACUGAUAGUAGUUAAAAGUCUAUUUCAACACCAAGCCUUGUCUACACAAGAAUUUGGUGUUAGUUAAACAUGUGUAUGAUUCUAUCUUGAUUGCAUGUUAAUUUAGUUUGAAGAUAGAUUUGGUACAUGCUAGCUAAUUGAUACGUGAUAUGAAUCUUUGGUUUCCUUUUGAUAGGACAAAAGCGAAACAUUCAGAGAGAUGAAGUCUAAGCAACUCCGCACACAUGUAGUCGCAAGGGAUAUGGUAGGUUGGCGGAGGAUUUGGUAAUUACAUUUCAUUCUAGUGCCUUCUUUUCUACAGGACAAGAACAAUUUACUAAUUUUAUUCUGUGUUCUACUGUGUGUUUACUACAUUUAUGUUUCUAUUUUGUAGAAAAGAAAAAGUGUAGACCCUUCUCUAGUUUCUAGAGGUGAUGUUUGGAUUGCAGCACAUACUAAAAAGGGUGGUGGACCAUCCAAUUUGCUUGCUGCAGAGACUAUUGUAAGUAAUUUUUAACCAUUUAUUUCUUCUUGUUUGUUGAUAUGCAAUGAUGAAUGAGGUCUUAACUUUGAUGUGCAACGUUAGGAAAAAAAUUAAGCAAUAUGGAAAUGGAUCAUCAUCUGGUUUUCGAGGUGACGUUCUUUCCAAAGUUUUUGGUGCUGAGCGACAUGGUCGUGCAAGAGGAGUUGGAGGUGGUGUUCCUCCUACAAAGCUUGGAAUAUUUUCACAACAAAAAUUGCGUAAUCACCAAAUGGAUGAAAAGGUGCACAAUUUAACUAAUCAGGUCAGAGCACUGACAGAAUUGGUGUAUCUUUUUAUGAAAAAUCAGGUUAGUGAUUUAAUAACAUUGGUAUCAUAUUGAAUAUUUGUGAAAUCAGUUUUAGUGACACAUCAAAUCACAGGGUAAUGAUCUACCAAGUGAGGCAUCUCCUGACACACAGGUUGCAGCUCCUGAGGCACAUGUUGAUACUGUCGCAAGAACUGAAACUUGUCUUUCCCAUUGCGCAACAAAUGAAUCGUGGUGGCGAGGUUGAUACACUUUUUCAAUGAGCCUUCUAACUAUUAAUGCUCAUUGACUCUGUUAAAAGCUCUGCCAUUUUCAAUCUAACUAGACACUAGAAAUGAUCAUUGACUCUGUUAAAAGUUAUGAUGUUUUGGUCCUUCUCCAUAGUUGCGCAUCUACUGAUGUCUAUUUUUUUUCAAAUACUGCAGGUUAUUUCUGAAAACAUUGAAACAUCGUGGUGUACCAGAUGGUUUGAUUAUAAGACACCUUCCUUUUGGUCCACCAACUUAUUUAUAACUGCUAAAUGGUACGUAGUGUGAUAAUUUUCAAAUAUUUUGAUAUUAAGACAGGUGUAGGACAACAUAGAAAUUCUUAGGGCCUUCAGCAACAAAAUUAUGAAAAAGUGAGUGAGAUACAAUUAAAAAAAUGAAAGAGAAGGAUCAUGAUUCAUGAUCUAAAGGUUUGAAUAGGGUAGAAAGGAUUUAGUUUCGUUGUUAAAAUCGAUUGUGAGUCUAUUGUUAUUGUAUUGUCAAUUUGUUUAUUUACUUGAACUUCCUAGUAUCAAUUUGGUUCGAUAUAUCUAGCACCACCAUAGAUAUAUCUAGUAUCAAUUUGGUUAGAUAUUGUCAAUUUGUUAUUGUAUUGUCAACUAUAGAAUGUGCAUCAGUUGUAAAAGGAACAAAACAAUUCAGAUUUUUUGUUUAUGUCCAAACUUAGAAUUGUAUUGUAAUUGACAAUUUCUACUAAUUAAUUUAAAGUAUUUGGAGUUUAAUAUGUUUAUGAUCAAUAUUGUUAUCCUUCUAUUGUAUCAGUUUAGAUGUUAUGAAGUGAGGUCUGUCUAAAAAUGAUAUGCUAAAUAUAGAUGUAAAUUACGGCAUCUAAAAUCAGCAAUAAUUGUUGAUGGUAGUCUUUUUUUACGAUGCACGAUGUAUGCCGUAAUCACCUUCACAAUAUUACGACACUCAACAAAUGCUGUAUCAAAUAUAAAUUACUGCACACAAGUAUGUCGUAAUUGUUUUUCAGUAUUACGACACCCUAUUAACGCUGUAACUAAUACCAAUUAAGGCGCGUAGGACAUGCCUUAAGAACAUUUAUGGCGUGUUUUACUUAAAUUAUUCACUACUAUUAGAGUACGUCGUAUUUGUCAAAACAUCUUUUACAACAGGGGCUUUUACUGCUUGGAGGCUCACGUCGUGAAUUUCCAUUUACGGCACCCUUUGUGCGCCGUAAAAGGCCAAUUCUAUUGUAGUGAUCCAUGGGUACAUUUUUAAUCUACAUGUUUCGUUUUAAUAUAUCUAUUGCUAUAAUAUGUUUUGGUUGGUUCAAAUUCGUUUUACAUAAAUAUAUGGGUACAAAGUUUUUGGAGAAUAUUAUGUAAAAUGGUUUUUAAGGUUGUUGCAUUUUAUGUACCCACAUAUGCAUGUCUAUAAAACAAUGUGGUAUGAUGUACAUUCUUUUCCUUGAGUUUUUAAAUGUACCCAUGAGUUUUCUUGUAAAUUCAGUAUGUAUCCAUAUGCUAUUUAUGUUAUGGGUACAUAAAUUAUUUUUGGUCUAAGUUGGUGGGUACAUUGCUUUUGUAUGUAUGAAUUCAUUGGGUACAUUAUUUCCCUUAAUACUACUCAAUAAAAUUCACAAAAAUAUGUGCAGUGUGCAUGAAUUUUUAUUGUAGAAAUUGUUUUUUUUUAAUUUUUAAUUUUUAAGUCUCAUAAUUCGUGAAUUUUGUACAUAUUGAUCCCAUAAAUUUUUGAAUUUUAUUAAAUUUCUUUUAGACUUGAUCGAUUGAUUGAAUCUCAUAAUAAUCCCUUAAAUGUUCCAAUCAAUAUUUUAAAUUACAGCUUUUUAUUUAAGAUUUCAAAAAGAUGACAUGAAAAUAUAGUAAUACUAAAAUUUUAUUUUAAAUUACAUUUGUGUAACAAUCAAUGGUAUGUUAAAACUGGGCAAAAAAAAAAGGUAUAUUAAAAAAUUAUAAUUUAUUCUUUUUUUCAUAACUGUCUUCUGCUUAGAUUAAAUUUUUACCAAUUUGGGGGAAUUAGUUCUUACCAAUAUAUAUGCACAGUAUUUGCUUUUUACCUGGGCUUAACACAUGAUUAAUUACUUUCCUACCUGCUAACGCGUUGAUUUGCGCAUCCAAAGUAUUAUCAAAGUCACUGCCACCAAAAAGGUGCCCACUCCACAACCUUUGGUUGAACCAAAGAACAUCACAACAAUAAGGAAAUCGUUAAAUCUAUCUCCGCAACAUUUUUAUUAAUCAUUAGAUAGAUUAAACGAUUCCCCUGUUCAUAUUGUGUUCUUUUGUUGAACCAAACCAUGUCAACAAAAUAUAUCUAUGGUUAAGCAUCUAGAUUCAUGCUUUUGGAUGUGCAUCUUAAACCCCUCAAUGAAUAGCCAAGCAAUUUAUCAUGUGUUUACAGUAGGUCAAAAGAAGAAAGUGUUUGUCUAUAUAUUGGUAGGAACCAAUUCCUCUGAAGAGGAGAGAUGGAAGUGAUGAUAAUACUUUAAAUAAUCAAAGCCCAAACAUUUUAUCAAAUUUCAUCUCUGUACUCCACGGAGACACUAAAUGAGACAUAUCUGGUCCAUCUCUGAACAUCUUUUCUUACCGUUCUUACAAUAGAAAGGGCACAAAAUUGACUUACACAGUCUUGCACAAUACUCACUUUGCUUCAACCCAUAUUUCACUUUGUCAAAUCAUACACGUUCCUGCAAUAGGUGAACUCAUAUGUAUCUACCACUUCUUGCUAAUUUUAAUUUUUCCAUUCCCAUUUUUGCUACAAGUUUCACAUAAAUUUUUUAUUGCACUUGUCAAUUCUUUAUACUUUUUUAUUGUAUUUUUUUUUUGUCUUUUUUUUGUAUUAAACAAUUACAUGUCCUCCAAAAGUUUUGCUUAUUGCCCUAUUUCAUCAAGCUCGGUAUAAAUAGAUCUUAAUUUUUUACUACAGUUAAAUACAUGGACAUGCCUCCACAAAUACAAAUUAGUUCUUGCUUAAAUACUUUGUGUGUUUACAUAGAAAAUGUUCCCAUCGUCUACCAAAAUCCUCCACACAUGAAAACAAAAAUUCUUACUCAAAAAUACAUAUUACAAUACCACCAUAUCUGUUGUUUUUUAUUAAAUUAACACACUGUUUUCAAUUUUAUCUUUAACACAAAAGAAAAUGCUCUUACACAAUAUGCUUGUUUACAUUUUAUAACUUAUCUACCACAUGUUAAUCGCAAUUAUAUAAAUAGGAAAACACGUGUCAAUAGAAGUGUGAUGCAUGCUACUUCGUUAACAAUAGUGGCAACUAAACAAUUAAAUAAUUUGUUUCAAUUAGUUAGUACAUUUUAUAAAUUUCUUAAUUAGAACUGUUUCAGUAUAUUCAAUACAUUUUUAAACAACUUUCCAGUUAGUUGCCCAAACUAAUUAUUCCAGCUUAUUCAUAGUAUAAUACCAACAAUUUAACAACCAAUGAUACUUCGUUUAACAUAAACUUCAUUUGGAAAAAACAAAAAAAUAUCUUUUUCUCUGCUGAAAAAUCCAACAGAGUUAUUGAUGCAGAUCAGUUAUACCAACAAAUUACCAUAGUUUACCCAAUGCUAUACAGGUUUGACUUUUGUUUAUAUUCUUGGAUCUGUUGCUUGGUUGUAUAAUUUGGUUGUGUGUUUUGUUUCAGGACAAUUUGUUCUUCGUUUCUUGAGGCUUUUGUGUGUAGAUUUGAAACCGUUUAGCUUUCAAGCCGUGUAUACUCAAGGUAAAUAAUUUCGUUUUUUUCUUUGUAACCUUUUUUGUAAGAAAUUUUUAUUUAAUGUUGUGAGAGUUGUGUUUUCUAGAGUAUGAAAAUUGAAUCUUUGUGAUCUUAUAUCCUUAGAUAUGUUUCUUGGUUAUAUGAUUUGGCUGUGUGCAUUGUUUCAGGACAAUUUGUUCUUCGUUUUUUGGGGCUUCGGUGUGUAGCUUUGAAGCCUUUUGUAGUCAACAUAAAUAAUUUUAUUUUUCUUUGUUUCUAGUCUUCUUUGAAAGAAUUUCUUAGUUAAUAUUCUGAGAAUUAUGUUUACUAUAGUAUGAAAAUUGAAUCUUUGUGAUCUUGUAAGUGAUGUAACGUCAUUGCAACAUGUAUGACUGCCAUUAUCGAACAUGAAGAGCUUUUUGAUUUUUGUACUCCGUCCUUUCAUACGAUCUGACUCAAAAAUUGUUUCAUCACAGGUUCUAACAUGAUUUUUGCGACGUCUUAUGAAAAUACAAUGUCACUUCUGGUAUUCCAACUUAAACAAAUUACAAGGGAUGUCUAGUUUUAAACCUGCAGUUAGUAUAUACUAAAACGACGGUUUUGGCCCUGCUCUCGACUUCUUCAGAAACCUCGAGAAACUUCAAACUGAGAAAGCUUCUCCCUUCCAUCUCUGCUACGCGAUCUCUGCUUUGCGAUCUCUGCUUCCUCCGUGAUUUCUUCCCUCCUGAUCGACAUCUAUUCGAAUUGAAAACCUUCUGGAGCUCUCUUCCCCAAAUUUCAGCAGCAACUUUGCUCCAGAUCUUUCCAAUUGAAAUUCCUCUCCUUCACAUUUUGCAUAUUGAAUUUCGCAUCAUUAUCAUCUCCCUAGAACCUAGGAGUUUGGUUCGGUUUCGAGUUUUCCGACGGAAAUCCGGCGACAGCGGCCAUCGAGGUUGGUCUGAAACUAUUCCUCAUCACCACAAGUACUUUCUACACCUAUUACACUUUAGAAAAAAUUUCAUGAUUUGGUGGAAUCCAAUUUAAUGAUUAGAAAAAUUUUCAUUAAUUUUCUGGGUUCGUGGGUUGGAGGUGGAUUAGAAAUUUUUUCAUUAUUUUUCUGGGUUUGUGGUUUUUUUCCAAAACGUUUUUCCUUUCUACUAAUCCAAGUUCCUUCACAUCAAUCUCUCUGUUUCGUUCUUGAUCUUCCGCGAGUAGAAUACCUCUCCUUGCUCUCGAGCGCGUGGGCAGUCGCUCCAAGGCAGCCCAUGACGUCAUUUUCCGAUUCGACUCGGAGGAGGUUGGCUGCUCUUCUUGGCUGAGCUUCAUGGCUGGCCGAAUUCCCCUAUUCCCUUCCUCUUAUACUCUUUUGUAUUCGUUCACCAAAACAAUAGGAAAACGUCUCCGUCUGUUUGAUUGACGGCGAAGAAAAAAAGACGGAGAUAAAAGCCUGACGGAAGCUGAAAGCUUGGACUCUGUUUGUAUUUUUAAUGGAUUUUCAGAACACAGGUCAAGAAUACUGCGAUUUGAGAAAGAAAGAAAGAACCACGUUGACAUAAUAUAUUCACAAUAGGCGUACAUAAAGCUUUACUGUGGUUCCAUUUUUUUGCAUAUUUCAAAGGCUCUGAAUUGUUAAGGGAAUUAGCCUUUUGUUUUAGGAAGAACUUGGAACCCCCUCCGUCCAUUCUAUUCCCGAUGGAAUUAACACUUAGAUAGUACUAUGACAAUGUGUCAUUAAUUGAUGCAUACCUGUAUAAAUUUAGGCCAAGUGUUUUAUACACAAAUUGAUACAGAUUAAGCUUCUGGGUCGAAAUCAUAUACCGGUGAGCUAACUACACAAUGAUACAUUCUUAUCUGUUAAUUAUCUUUGGUUACCAGCUAUCCAUGUUGCUGACAUAUUAAACUACACAACAUCUAUUGUAAUUUAUGUCUUAUUAGUAUCAUCACUUUUGUUCUUUAUUUCAAUGUCUAACAUAAUGAUCUGGUUUCAAUUUGCUACAGGCAUUAUUUCCAGACAAUAGCUAUGGUUUUGAUUGUAGCGGUGACUGAAAAAUUAUUCCGAAACUAACAUUUGAGGAAUUCAAGGUUUGUUAGUUAAUUUGUACAUCAGAAUACCAUGACAAACUAUGAAGUUGUAAUUGUUGACCUUACAAUGUAUCUUUUUUGGUUUGGAGCAUUAGACUUAUAUGUGUUGCUUUCACUUCAUGAAGGCUAACUCUUUAUUUUAGGCCUUAGAAUAUAAUUUUUUGGAGAAUCUACAUUGUUGAUAAUUUUUUGAACAAUAUUAUCCCCAAAAUUUCUCCGCAUGUUACCCUCAACGUAGACAUCAUAUAACCAUCAUUGAACUUCUGAACCAAAAAUUUGAGUUUUAUGAUUAUAACUAAACGUCUAUAAACACAUGAUACAGAUUGAGACGAAUGUCAAAUUUAAAAUGGCAUUAAUCAGGACAGCUGCAAACUCUGAUUUGCGGCCUUUGAAAUGGAGCAGUUACUUCUUGCUUCACUUCAACAGCAUAGUCCAGCUUCUAAAUUCAGUUCUCAGGUAUGAGGUUUCUCAGUUACCUCUUUUUUGUAAUAAAACAUUUGAUCAGUACUUGCCAGGAUAUCCAAUUAAUUAGGUCAGUUUUUGUUAGCGGUAAUAAUUUGUUUUUGUAGCUUUAUAUGUGUCUCUGUCUCCAAAUAUGAUGAUCUCUUAAUUUGCUUCUAUAGCUUUUGUAAUAUAAUGAUCUCUUAAUUUGCUUUUGCAUAUCUUCUUUGCUUCCUCUGCUAGCUCUAUAUGAGAUUCCAUCUCCAAAUAAUUAUUCCUUAUUUCCUAUUUUUACAGGAAGCAAAUCAUUGAAUACACAUGGAAAAUUAAAAGGGUUUUAGUUUUUGGAGUAGUUUAAAUUUUUUGUUUGUUAUUGCUUGUAUUGCUGUUAAAUAUUUGAUGGGUAGUUUGAAAUGGGGAACUUGGUUGAUUGAGUAUUAACUUUUAUUAAAUUAAUAUUCUUAUUCAAUAUUGAAUUAAGACUCCUCUUAUUAAAUUAAGACUCUUAGAGUGCGUUUGUUGCGCCAGACUGUCUCGGACUGGACUAGCUGCCGGGACUAAGCUGGACUGGCUUAGACUGGACUAAGCUAGACUAACUUAGUGAAGCGUUUGGUGUAAUGUCGGACUAAGAAGCAGGAUAAGAAAAACAGUACUGUUCACCAGAUUUGUGUUUGCUUAGACUAGGAUUACAAAUUUUUGCCAUUGUGUAAUAGAGUAAUGCUACAAAUCUCAUGAUAUGGGUUAAUUGGAGCAUAUUUUUGCCAUGUAUAUUAUGAAUCUUAAAAAAAAUUGACAAUUGUUUUGUUUCUAUUACCUGCUAAUAGAAUUGGGUUUAAUUUGCAAAUGUAGCUUAGUUUAAACUCUAUCACCCAACAGAAGAAAAAUAAUAGUGCCCAAUACAUGCAACUUCAACAAAUACAAGUACAUAAGAAGAUCUCCAUAAUUUAGAAAAUCCUAGUUAACAUUAGUUAACAUUAGCCAAAAUAGAUCUCCAUAAUUUACAAAAUGGCUAGUUAACAUAAGCCAAAAUACUAGUGCAAAGCUAAGUUAUAAGCCAUAACAUAAGAUUGUAUGAUUAAUAAAAUACAUCCAUGUUAACAUUAAUAAAAUACAUCCAUGUUAACAUUAGCCAAAAUCCUCAUCCGCUUGCGUUGUCGCUUAAAAGCCUUUGGACGAACACUUUCUUGAGUUCCGGUUUGAUUGCCCUGAACACUCCCACAUUUUUUGGUUUAUCCAAAAUAAGAGACAAUGCAUCAAUUUGAUCCAUAGGAGAGAGACCCAUUACUUCAAGUUCAUUAGCUAUGUCAGUAUGAUCUGCAAUACCUUGAACUAAAGCUUCAGUUACCAUUUGCAUCCUCUUCCCACUUUCAACAUAAAAAUCUUUCAGUCCACUGAUAAUUGCCUCGGUUCCAUCACUUGAAUUUCCCACAGCUCUUUUCCUCUUUCUUUGGCUAUUUUCAGAUGGGGUGCUUUGUUGGCUUUGUUGGUUCAUUGAAGAAACAAAAUUUUCACCUCCAAUAUCACUUUCACCAACAUGAUCAUGACUUUGUUCCUCCACCAUUUGAGCAGGGGUUUCGGCUACAUUACCCGUAGCCCGAUCUUUUCCAAAUAUAUAUGCAAAUCUAUCAAACAGUGGAAAAGGUUUGCUUCUCCAUCCAUCGGCUUCUUUAUUUCUCUAAGAUUAUAUCAACAUAGCAAAACUAAAAUUUAGCAUGCGUAACAAAUAUAGCAGCAAGAAUAUAACUAAUGUAUAAAUAAAAUAGGAUAUGAACCUGCACAUAAGUUUGCCAUGAGUCAUCACUGUCAACUUCAACGCACUUUUUGACAUCAUUUCAUGCAAAUCCACUUGUGUUUAUCAUGUCAACGACCAUACUAUAUGUUUUUUUCCAUUUCUUCAACUUGGACUCAAUAUGUGGAUUUGCCUUUAUAUUUGAAUGAGGACAUAAAACAUUGACAACUUUUGCUAUUUCAACCAAAGUACCUUGUUUGAAAGCACCGGUGUCACACCGUUGCUUCCGAGCAACAAAAUCCUCAAGAACUCCUAGUAAUACUUCUUCCUCAAAUGCUUCCCAUUUACGCCUUCUUCCUUUUGGCUCUUGAGUAGCAUUCAAAAUAUUUUCGUUAUCCAUACCUAAACAAAAAAUAUUUUAAUGAAGGAAAAUACCAUACAAAUAAUCAAUUUGCAUAAUAUCCAAUCAACUUGCAUAAUAUCCAAUUAAUUUGCAUACCAUCCAAUCUUUGUGCUAAUAUCUAACAAAUGCAUGAUAAAAAGGAAUACUAAAAUAAAAUGUUAUCAUUAACACAUAUAGCUAGUUCGGUUGCUGGUUCCUAAUUGCUCUCCAUUCAUUAUACAUUUCCUGAGCCAUGUCAUUCCUCUUUGCAGUCCACUGGUCAGAUGUUUGAACACUACCAACAUAUUCACCUUCUUCUGUAUUUUGUCCAUCUUCUAUUAUUGGAAAAUUCUCCAUUGGAUCUACAGACAUCUCUUGCCUAAUAAGAUUGUGUAGUAGGCAACAAGCGGUAAUUAUUCGACCUUGUGUCCUUAUCGGAUAGAAAGAUGGACUCCUUAGUAUCGACCACCUUCCUUUUAGCAAGCCAAAACAGCGUUCAAUUACAUUCCUUGCCUUAGAAUGCUUCAUGUUAAAAUAUUCUUCCUUAUUAGAAGGUGUUCGUCCCUCCCAUUCAGAUAAAUGAUAAGGUAUUCCUCUAUAGGGUGCAAGGAAUCCUUCACCAUUUGUAUAACCACCAUCUACAAGGUAAUAAUAACCUAAUGAAAAAAAAAACAGACCUUAUUAGUGUUUUGUAGUUGACAAACAGAACUAGACCUAACUUACAAAGUUGAGACUAAGUAAUAGUCUUACCCGCUGGUACCUUAAAACCAUUAGGCCUAGUAAUUGCAUCAUGUAGCACUCUAGAGUCUGAUGCAGAACCCUCCCACCCCGUAAACACAUAUAUGAACUGCAUAUCUCCUGAACACACACCUAACACAUUAGUUGCGACUCGACCCUUUCUUGUUCGGUAUCUUGGUUUGUCAAUUUCAGGUACAUGCACAUCAAUGUGUGUUCCAUCCAAUGCUCCCAAGCAAUUCUUAAAAAAAAAAAAAAAAGUUUUUGUUAAUUUAUACAAAGGGAAUGAAGAGUUAAAGCUUAGGGAAAAUGAAAAAAAAUUCUCAUCAUACCUUAAAACAUCGCCACCUAGGAUCUGUAGAAUCAAUAGGCACAGGCUGAGGGACUUUUAGUAGGAUACCUUGUAAUCGCAAAAUUCCUUGCAAUACGAUAUUGAAAUACCUACUUAUAGUCUCUCCCGACCUAUAAAAUCUACCGCCAACACUACGAUUCUUAGUAUGAUGUGCUAAUAUUUGUAAAGUCAUACACACAUGCUCCUCUACAGACACCAAACCAUCAGUUUUUACCCUCCCAUCUUGACGAAGUAAGUCACAUAAUAUGCCAAAAGUCCUUCUAUCCAUUCUCAAUUCGUUGACACAUUCAGUAUCAGUAUUCCCUAUUAUACCAUUCAGAUAACACAAACUAAUCUCUCGUCUAAUAAGUGAACGGUUAGUCAAUGUGGGUCGUUCAACAUGUCUCUGUUUGCCACGUAGCAUCAUCAACACAAGAAUCGUACAAAUGCAAAUUGUCUCCAAAUAAGACAUCUCUAACAAUAAGAUCAAUAAAAGCUUCCUUCGAUCCAUAUCUAUCCAAACAAAAAAAAACAAAAAACAAAUUAAGGACAUUAUAUAUGUAAUAUUUACUGUUAUUAAGGGUUAUGGAAAUGAAGUGAUUAUGAUACGAAAUGAACUAGAUCAAAGUAACUAGCGAAGUCACAAUCCGAGGCAUCAAAUAUACGGGUGGUGUUGGAAAAAAAAAAGUUAUCAUUAACCCGAGGCAACAAAUAUACAGGUCAGAUGCACACACUGCAUACACACUCACACACAUACUCACACGGACAUACACACUAUCACACACGGACAUACACUCACACACACCCUACAUACAUACAUACAUACACACACACACUGCAUACAUACACACACACACACACUGCAUAUAUACACACACACACACACUGCAUACAUACACACACACACACACACUGCAUACAUACACACACACACACACACACACACACUGCAUACAUACACACACACACACGACAUACAUACACACACACACACACACACUGGUCAGAUGCACUGCACUCACACGGACAUACACACUCUCACACACUGACAUACAUACACACACACCCUGCAUACAUACACACACACACACUACAUACACACACACACACACACACACACACACUGCAUACAUACAUACACACGCACACACACUGCAUACACACACACACACACAUUGCUUUAUGAAAACCCCAAAUUCCAAAUUUGAAACCCCAAAUUCCAAAUUUCUAAUCUCAAUUUCAAACCCCAAAUUCCAAAUUUCUACUACAUACUUACAUACACACACACUGCUUUAUGAAAACCCCAAAUUCCAAAUUUCAAACCCCAAAUUCCAAAUUUCUAAUCUCAAUUUCAAACCCCAAAUUCCAAGCUUUAUGAAAACCCCAAUUUCUAAUCUCAAUUUCACCCAAAUAUCAAAACCCUAAAAUUUGUUCAACUGCAGAAUCAAAUAAAGCUCAAACCCAAAACAAAUCCGCCCAAAUCGACGAAAAAAAUCCACCCAAAUCGACGAAAAAAAUCGAACAAUCGAAGCUUACCAGACAACUGGAGGCAGAUGAGGGCGAGCAGAUCUGUUACGUGAAGACGAGGGAGUGGACGACGAGAGGAACAGAUGAGGAGCAUGAUGCAGAUGAGGGCGACCAGGAUGCAGCUGACGGCAAGCAGGAUGCAAAGAUAAGGAUGAGGAGGACGACGUGAGGGAGGAGGACGUCGACGACACUCUCUCCUAGGAUGAUCGAGGUUCUUUCUCGCAAGAGCGCAAUCGGAUGAGGAGGACGACGUGAGGGAGGAGGUUUUAUGAAUCUGGACGUUUUUGGGGUGGUUCGCUAAGAACUCCUAGCGAGGGUUUAAUCCGUGCGAGUCAGAUCUAAUCCCAUUAAACCUAAUCCUUGCCCCUACCAAACAUCAGACUACAAUACCAAUUAGUGGAGUCCAGAACAGUCCCCCCUAAGAAGGUCAAACAAACACGCCCUUAAGGCUCUAAUCUAAUGUUCAUGCUCAACAUCUCCUCUAUCUUUCUACGAUUGGUAAAACUUUUGUAUUAUUAUUCCAAUUUUGGUUACUGGGUUGUGGAAUUUUCCAUUUUUUUUCUCGGUAAUCAAUACUAUAUAUAUGCAUGACAAGUAUAAACAAUAUUUUGGGGCAAAUUUAGUUGUUUAAUUUUUAAUUUUUAUGUGACAGUGAGAUUAUGGUAGGAUUUCGUUUAGAUUCUGCGGCCCAAUGGGAGUCUCUGCUUUGAUAAGAUUGGGGUUGAUGCCAAGAAAGCCAAUAAGCCUACUGUGGACGCCGUAGCCGCCUGGCGCUGUUUUCCAAAAUCCUCUCUCACUUGGUUAAGCAAUUAAGACUUUUUGGUUCAGUUUUUAUUAUGCCCAAUUUUGUAUUUAAACCUUAAAAAAAUUUAAACUGAUUUGGGGAUACUGAAAUAGGCUGCAGAGCUGCCAUCCCUGAAUCAGAAGAUGUUCAGAAGGAAGAAGAAGAAGAAGAAGAAGAAAGUCGUGGAAUAUCAAAAGCUUUUAGCUUUGUGAAAGUAUGCUUUUUCCCAACUCACCUCUUGCUUUUGUUGCACUGAAUUGGUAGAUUGGGUUCAAAAAUAUAUAUAUGUGAUUUUUCGUGUAACUAUUUCUUUACAUAAUUACCAAUUGGAGGUGAUUUUAGAUCAUGUAACAUUUCCUCGCUAGAACCAAAGAUUGUCGUCGCUCAGAGCUGCGUUUCAUGAAACAAGUUCAUCUCCUGCCAAAUUUGUGUACCCACCUUUUAUUCAUGAGGGUUGGUGCUUGCUUGCAACACAAUUUGGUGUUAUUAAGUUUUGCGGUUUUACAAUUUGUUCAUGCUUAAACCUCUUUCAAAUUUUCAUUUCUGUGUAAAUCUUGCAGGUAGGACGACACACCUAUCUUGGCAAUGUCGGGAUGUCUAGGCUUGGUGGAGACGUGGUCUUAUGGAAGAGGUGAAGUAGCUUAGCUCGAUCUCAUUAGCUCUUAUCUGUUCUAUUAUGUUAAGAUCAAUAGUAAAAAGUUCUAUUGAUUUUAUAAUCAAAGAUACAUAUAUUAUAGAAAUAGAGGGUAUAUCAUUAAUUUCUUGAUGUAAACAAUCAUAACUUGAGGAACCAUUUAAAGUAUUUUGGUAAUCAACAUACUUAAACUUAAAUGUGAUAUAUCCAUUUAGUAUUUUUUUUAUACAAUGAUAAUACUUAAGUAUAAUUUACAUCAUAUAUCUUUUGAAGUACAUGAAACUAUGAAGAAAAUGAUAAACCAAAUCCCAUUCCAUCUCUGUUUGCUACUGCACAAUCACAAUCCAAUUCCAACAUGGAAUCCUCAGACGACAUGCCUACUGCAGAACAAGUUUCAUACUGACUUAACUUAUAUUUAGUCCACGUCCUGUUUAGAUUGUAAUCCUAGUUCUACGUGUGUUUGUAUAGUACUCCUAUAAAUAUCAAUGAACAUCGCUCACUCUAAUUAAGAGUUGAGAUUUUGCAAAUCAUAUUUACUAUCUUUCAUGGUAUCACGAGCCAGCGUCUAACGACAACGGUUCCUAUUAUAAUUUUUUUCUCUUUUGCAGAUCCUAAACUAUGGCAUCUUCUUCCUCCUCCGCUGCUCCCUCCAUCACAAAUUUUCUUACGAUCAAGCUCGACCGCAACAACUACCCUCUCUGGCAUGCUCAGUUUCUUCCCUUGCUGCGCAGCCGCAACUUACUCUCUUAUGUUACUGGCGAAACUCAAUGCCCCUCUGCCUUUCUUCUUGAUGACAAUGGUAAAUUCACCGACAAAGUCAUUCCAUUAUAUAAUGAAUGGAUCCAGACUGACCAGAUGAUCCUAUCUUGGAUUACGAGUUCUCUUACUCCCAAGGUUCUUGCUACGAUCGUCAACAAAAUUGAUUCGGCCUCUGCUUGGUCGUCAAACCCGAAUUAAUCUAAUUGUGGGGGUUUUGUUUUAUAUCAAUAUAUUGCAACAGAAGUCACACUUUGAAGAGUUCAUGCUGCACAGAAAGAUGAUGAAAUGUUACCCGUUGAGUCUAUCAUUGCUCCAUUGGAGACAGAGCUGAAGCUUACUGCAGGAGUUAUACAGUUGUUAUGCAAUAUGACCCCUUUAAUUUUAUUUUAAAACUGAUACAAAAUACUACAAAAAUUUAUGUAGUAUUUUUGUAUUAGUUUUGAGUGUCUAUUUUGGCUUCCAUAUAUCGUCUGUACAUGUGAGAGGUAUAGUGUUCAAUAUGUAUUUGGUUUCUAUAUUGUUAAUGGAUCCUUUUUUUUUUAAUUUAAUUUAAUUUUAUUAAGGUAACCAAGUUGCAGGAUGACAUCAGAACACUUGAUCUGCAGGUAAACCUUCAAUUUCCAUAUGAAGUUUGCAUGUUCGUUGUUUCUGGAAUUUGAGUUUUUAUUAUUUCUCAAUUCUAUCACAUAGAUUAUGAUUUCACAUAUGGGAUUAUUAAUGGCAAUUAUAUGAUAGAAGAAUUGGGAUUAGAAGAAGAUAUUGAGUUGUUUUAUUUAUGGGGAUUAGAAAAUGAUUAUCAUACGAGUGAUAUUUAUUUUUGUGUGGAUUGUUAAUAUAUAAAACUAUAAGCUUUUGAGAUUGGGAGAUAAAACCCACAAAUUCAAAUCAGACAAAAUAAAUAAAAAAUUUAACUGACUUAAAGAUCAAACUCCAAAAGGGUAUUAAAAACAAGGCUUAUUUGAUCCAUUGAGUGUGAAAGUUUUGAGCUUUGAAGAAGCAUAGGAGGAGAGUUGUUAACCAAGCUGCAUUAUCCAUGUAUUAGGAUGUUGAGGGUAGGCAGGAAAAAUACUUUUUGACGCCAUAUCCAGAGGAGCAUAACGACAGGCCUGCAUUUUUGCAGCAAGGACCAAAACAAGUAGAAGUGAAGGCUUGACUAUUUGGGUAUUAAUCCUAAACCUAAUUAUUCUUAUUUAGGUUUAGGAUAAAUGAUUGAGUGUGUCUCGAUGAUUGUAUUACCAUGUUUGAUGAAUGACUUGAGGAGUUGGAAAUGCUUUAUUGCUUAUGUUUUUCUUAGGUGUGUACUUUGGUUAUUUCCGAGCUUUUCACGACUCUUGAUACCUAAUAGAGAAUAUGGAAACCCCAACUUUAAUUUUAUGAAUUGGUUUUGGUGCCUAAAAUGAAAUCUAGCAUAGUGAAAUCUUGCAUAAUGAAAUUAUGACAAAUUUCCCUUCAUCUUUAGAUUUUCAUUUAGUUCAAUUUGUAUGCAAUUUAGGGUUAUUCAAUUCAUGAGUGAUCAAAUUAUGUUUUUAAUUCCUUCUUCUUUUGAUUUACAGUUCAGCAUUGUCGUACAAAAUGAAAAAGGUGCCAGUAACAGAGUUAUGGAUUUGGAUGCCUUUAGUGGAAUAAAACUGAAUUUUUUAACUUUGUAUAGUUGUAAACAUAAAAUACUCCAUCAGAUAGACUCAUAGCAUUUGAAAACAAUCCUUGAGGAUGGCAUAACAACAUCUCCAACUUUUGUCAUGUAAUGUAUGAAUGUAAAUAGCACUUUGUAAACAUAUGGAUGUAAUAUAUGUAUAUAAACAGUCUUUAGCAUGUAUAUUUUUCAAAACUUUCUACAUCUUCAACAAUGUUUCAAUGAUUUCUUGAUGUAAACAAUGAUAAUUUGAAGAACCAUUUAAAGUAUUUCGGUAAUCAGCAUACUUAAGCUUAAAUGUGAUAUAUCCGUUUAGUAUUUUUUAUACAGUGAUAAUACUCAAGUAUAAUUUACAUCAUAUAUCUUGUGAAGUACAUGAAACUAUGAAGAAAAAACCCUAAUUAAUCUGAUUAUGGGGGUUUUGUUUUAUAUCAAAAUAUUGCAGCAGAAGUCACACUUUGAAGAGUUCACGCUGCACAGAAAGACGAUGAAAUGCUAUCUGUUGAGUCCAUCAUUGCUCCAUUGGAGACAAAGCUGAAGCACACUCCAGGUGGUAUACUUUUGUUCUGCAAUAUGACCACUUUAAUUUUAUUUUAAGACAGAUAGGGUUGAAAAGAAUUUAUGUAGUAUUUUUGUAUCAGUUUUGAGUGUCUAUUUGGACUUCCAUAUUUGGUCCGUACAUGUGAGGUAUAGAGUGUUCAAUAUGUAUUUGGUUUCUAUAUUGUUAAUGGAUCUUUUUUUUUGUUUUAUAGGUAACCAAGUUGCAAGAUGAAAACAGAACACUUGAUCAGCAGGUAAACCUUCAAUUUCCGUAUGAAGUUUGCAUUUUUGUUGUUUCUGGAAUUUGAGUUUUUUGCAGGAUGAAAACAGAACACUUAAUCUGCAGGUAAACACUUGAUUGGUUAUUUCCAAGCUUUUCACGACUUUCGAUACCCAAUAGAGAAUAUGGAAACCCCAACUUUAAUUUUAUGAAUUUGUUUUGGUGCCUAAAAUGAAAUCUAGCAUAGUGAAAUCUUGCAUAAUGAAAUUAUGACAAAUUUCCCUUCAUCUUUACAUUUUCAUUUAGUUCAAAUCGUAUGGUUUAGGGUUAUUCAAUUCAUGAGUGAUCAAAUUAGGUUUUUAAUUCCUUCUUCUUUUGAUUUUCAGUUCAGCAUUGUCGUAUUUUGGAUGCCUUUAGUGGAAUAAAACUGAUUUUUUUUUAACUUUGUAUAGUUGUAAACAUAAAAUACUCCAUGAGAUAGACUCAUAACUUUUGAAAACAAUCUUUGAGGAUGGCAUAACAACAUCUCCAACUUUUGUCAUGUAAUGUAUGAAUGUAAAUAGCACUUUGUAAACAUAUGUAUGUAAUAUAUGUAUAUAAACACCACUCUUUAGCAUAUAUAUUUUUCAAAACUUUCUACAUCUUCAACAAUGUUUCAAGCCCCGCAGCAACGGGCGGGUACACUUGAUAGUAUACAUCUAAAAUUAUAAGACUAAAUCCUUUAGUUCUUGGAUUCAUCUAAGAACUACUUAUUCCAGCAGAUGCUAUGCUUGCACUACUAGAAUUUAUGGCUUGCCCUGUCAACUAUUGCGCGACAGAAGAUUUCGUCGGUUUCACUUUUUUUAACCGACAUAAUAUAAGUUUAGUAGGGCAAAAUCAGUCAACAAACUGGGUUGACUGAAUAAAUUUACAGGAUGGCUAGAGUUCGUAGGUUAAGACAUCAGUCGUUGGGCAAACAUUUGGAGCGAAGAUGUGAGUGUUUUAACUGACGAAUAAGCUGGUCGUCAUGUAGAUCUUCUUUCCCGACUGACGGUUCAACAUGUAGCUCUUUGGAUAAUAAUUCAUCUUCAAGGGGAACAGGUUGCCCCUCAGAUGAAUGGUUAGAGGCAAUUGUGAGACUAUAAUUUUCUAGGGCCGAAAUAAAAAAUACAUAAACCCUCACUCAUUCUGUCUCUGUAACCAUCCACCAAAUACCCUUUCUUCCCUUUCUAUUUCUCUCCUAGUAAUAUCCCCUGACCGAAUCACACAAUCCAACCAACUCUCUUUAAGCCUCCCUCACUGAUUCCAUGGAUUUCAUGGACUUAUCCCACCCUCUCUCCUUCCCUCUAUAUAUAGCAAGUCCCCUUGCCUCAGUGUCCCUGGCAACAGAAUUUAUGGCAUUUCUUCGUUCUUUCAAUUAUUUGAAAGCUUCCUAGCCCUGCAAUCUUGUACAAAGGCGUAUGGUGUUUCAUCAGUUCCAUUUGGUGGUUGGGUGGGAAAUGAAAUUAAAACACUGCAUUUCAAAUGCAUUUCAAAUGGUCUAAACCAAAUUGAAUCAAAUGUGAAGCAAAGGGCAAGAGGUGUAGAUUGAAGAACAAUGGCACCAAGAGCGAAAUUGAACUUGUUGACAGGAGGAAACCAAGUAAGGAUAACACGUCUAAAUCUUAUUUUGAAUCCAUUCAGCUCAUGAUGUUUUGAAUGAUGAUGAUCGGUAUACUCUGCUACAUGCUGUGAUUUUUCCGCUUUCAUGUAAUUAACGGCUUAUAUGUGGUAACGAUAUUGAUUAAAAAAGGUCGUACCCAGUGCAUAAGGCUCCCGCUUUACGCAGGGUCUGGGAGAGGUGAAUGUCGGCUAGCCUUACCCCCAUUUUAUGGAGAGGAUGCUCCAAAGUCUCAAACCCGAGACCUACCGCUCAUGGGCGAAGGCAUUUGCCAUCGCACCAAAUGCGAUAUUAAUUAAUUUCGAGAAAUGACAGUCUGAUUUUUGCAACUGUCUUUUGCAGGCAAAACAAAGACGUUUGCAAGGGUGAGUUGUGUAGGAGCUUUGUUUCAUGUCCAAAUGACACUUGAGAAUAAAUGUUUACACUCAUGGAUAAUAUCUAUCUAUUUGCAGGAGCAACCCUGGGUUCAUUUGUUCUGUAACUGCUGGUCAUUGCGGCAUAUCACGCCUAUAGCACUGACAAAAGUAAAAAGAGAAUCGAAUGAAAUUUGAUAAGUUUUCAGCGGACUACAAAGAUCUUAAGCCAAGCAUAUAUUCCCAUGCAGAUAUUAAGAGGUUUACAAAUCAAUUCAAGUACAAGUUGGGCCAAGGAGCAUACGGAACUGUUUUUAAACGAAAGUUUUUUUCUGAAUGCUUUGUUGCCAUGAAAGUACUUAACAUUUCCAAGGGUGACGGGGAAGAGCUUGUAAAUGAAGUGGGAACAAUGGGCCAUAUUCACCAUGUCAAUGUGGUUCACUUGGUUGGUUUUUGUGCUGAUGGAUUUAGAUGAGCUCUGGUUUAUGAGUUCUUUCCCUUUGGUUCACUCCAGGAUUAUAUUUCAUCAGCAGAUAGAUUUCUUUCCUUGGUUGGCAUAAGUUGCAAGAUCUUGCUAUCAGCAUAGCCAAAGGAACUAGGAAUGUGAUCUACAAAUCCUCCAUUUCGAUAUCAAACCCCAUAAUGUUUUGCUCGACCAAAAAAUCACGCCAAAAAUCUCUGAUUUUGGUCUGGCCAAGUUAUGCCAAACAAUUACAGACAACAGUUAUUCACUAAAUCACUUUAAGGCAAGAAUUUAAUUAAUAAUACAUUACUGCACUUUCUUAACCAUUUGACUAUCACCUAGCUGACAAUGAACACGUUAGCUCCGCGUUAGAACAUCUUGGGUUCAAUUCAUUGUCUUGAAUAUCACCCAUUGUCACAGGCGUCUGUUGGGGGCAUAGAGAAGGCCUGAGAGGCAUUUGCAGACAUUCAACAUCUCCUCCAAGCAUUUUGACAACUUUGGACAUCGAAGGGCGAUCAUUUGGUUUCAUUUGAAUACACCACAAGGCGGUUAUAACCAUCUUUCUUAUUACUUUCUUUUCCUCCUCUGUAACAUUGUCCAUUUCCAGGUCAUUUCCCACAAUAUAUUGAUCGUAUACCCACAUUGGGAAGUAGAUUUGGCUUGAAUGCUCUACCGUUGGAUUCAAAUUCUUCCUUCUGCUUGCCAUUUCCAUCAACAACAUUCCAAAACUAUAGACAUCUGACUUGUAUGAGACGCAUCCAAUAUUUUUGUAGAACAACUCAGGAGCAAUAUAUCCCAGUGUACCCCGUGCUGCCGUCAAAGAGACAAUGCUAUUAUCUACAGGAUACAAUUUUGCAAGCCCAAAGUCAGAAACCUUUGCUUUAAAGUUCUCAUCAAGAAGGAUGUUAUGAGGCUUGAUGUCGAAAUGUAGAAUUUGCAUUUCACAACCUUGGUGUAGAUAUUCGAUCCCUUGAGCCACUCCAAGAGAAAUCUCGUACAUGUUCUUGAUAGUUAAGGGGACACUUCCUUCUUUGGAAUAAAUGUAUUUAUCAAGAGAACCAUUAGGCAUGAAGUCAUAUACUAGAGCGCGUUUUGAUCCCUCAACACAGUAUCCAACAAGUUGUACCACAUUGGCAUGGUGAAUCCUUCCGAUUGUAGCUAUUUCGCUAAUGAAAUCUUGGCCAUCAGCUUUGGGCUUGCCCAAAACUUUAACUGCUACAAAUCGACCACUGCGUAGCUUUCCCUUAAAUACAGAGCCAAAGCCACCUUCGCCCAACUUGUCCUUAAACCUGCGAGUCAUUUUCUUGACGUCCGAGUAAGAGUACCUUAUAAGCAUGAUGUUGUUAUUGCAUUGCAGAAAAUCUUCUAUUGUGCUAUACAUUGAUAAAUGUCUUCUGCGCCAUGUGUAGAUUAGAAAUGCAGUCACAACUGGAACUCCAAAAACAAAUCUGGCUAGGAAAAAUAACCCUGCAUGCAUGGACAAUAAUAUGUUAGAUCCACUGUGUACUACUUUUUCUUCCCUUUCUUUCCAAAUUACUUUAUCUUUGAUGUAAUUAAAGAGAGAGAAUGGGAAAUCUACAUAUGUUGAUAAUAUAAUCUCGUCUUAGUCCUUACCGAUCCAUAUGAGUAUAAACCAUCCAAGUGCUGCAAAAAAAUCAAUCGACUAUGAGUUUGAAAAGUGCAUAAAGUGAAAAAAAAAAAAAAAAAAAAAAAAAUCAAAGGGUGCCUUUAUUGACACCCAAAUUUUAGUUAGUUUUACUCAACUAAAAAAUUUUUGUCAUCAAACUUUUUAAUUUGCCGUCGAAAUUGAGUUCACCCAACCACAAAGCAGCAACUACCACUCACAAAAAAACCAACAACACACAGCCACCAGUACCAUUCACCAAUAGAAAGAGAAGGAACACACAGACCCACCAAGGAGCCGGCAUCGACGCAUCUACGAGGGAGGGACCGGAGGGUGGUGUAGUUUUGUUGGGCGCGCGGUGGUUGUUUUGUUUGUUCAUUUUCUCUUUCUUUUGGUAGGUGGAGGCUGGUGUGGAUUUGGGCGAACUUAAAAAUGAGGGGAAACUAUGAAGUUUGACAAAAUGUUUUAGUUAGGGGAACUUAACUAAAAUUUGGGUGCCGAUAAAGAUACCCAAUUUCAAAAAUACUUGAGCUUAUAGACUAAUUAAAUGAAGUUGAUCUUACAGAUCUCGUGGCUGUAUGAUGAAUGCCACUUGCCAGCUGCAAUAGAUACCACGGAAAAGUGAAUAAAGACAUACAGUUACUAGGUUUAAGAAGUACAGAUAGAGCACACAAAAAAUAAAAGAAGCUUUUGGGAAGAAACUUCUUACGCCAAUAGUUGUGUUCUUGACCUACAGUAAAAAAUGUGAAGAAGAAUACACAACAUUAGCAAUAGCUCACCCAGUCUUCGGAAUUUAAAAAAUCAAGUUUGUCUCGAUCGAAAACUUGUAAAUAAAACAAAAAGAGGACCCCUUACGGAUUUGGUGCCAUAGAUAUUGAAAGAAACCUACAAAAACAAAGAAAGAACAAGACCACAUGCAUUAGCAUAACAAGUGUGAGGUGUAUAAGCCGUUAGAAAAUAAAUUUAAAAUUCUAGUGCUGUCAAUACAUUGAUAAUAUAUAUAUAUAUAUAUAUAUAUAUAUAUAUAUAUAUAUGUAUUAUUUUUCUGAAAAUUUAACUUUCUCCCUCCAAACUCAUUUUUCUAGUCUCUAGCCCAUCAUAUAAUAUUUAUCAGAAUAAAACCAAAUGAUUAGGAUCCAACUAAGAAACUUACCAAAUUAAGUUUGUGUGUCCAUUUUUAUAUUUUUUGGAUCCCUAAUAUACCCCAUCUAAGCCAGUAUGGAAAGUUCUUGUAAUUUUGCUUUAAGUGAUCACGUGCAUUGAAUUUGGCAAGGUCUUGUAGCCAUGAAAUAUGGUUCCAGAUGGAGGAAUGAAUUUGGAUUUUUUUUUAAUUUCGGCAACAAAUUUCAAUUUGAAUAUACCUAAUUUAGUGUUUAUUUUCAACAAUAUCUAUUGUUUAAUUUUAUGAAAAUAAUUAACCUAAUAUGAAAAUUAAUUUUAUGAAAACAAUAUCUAUUGUUUAAUUUUAUACCUACAGGAUAAUUACAUGAAAAUAGUUUACCUACUAUGAAAAUUAAUUUUUUGAAAGCAAUAUCUAUUGUUUAAUUUUAUGAAGAUAAUUUACCUACUAUAAUUACAUGAAAAAAUUUACCUACUAUGAAAAUUAAUUUUUUGAAAACAAUAUUAUUGUUUAAUUUUAUGAAAAUAAUUUACCUACUGUAUAAUUACAUAAAAAUUAGGGAAAAUUAGAAUCCCCUACAGUUUUUAUAUAUCAUUUAGAUUAAACAUUUGUACUUUUUUAAAAUUUGAUUAAAGUGCUUUGACCAAUAGUUACCUCUAUUUUUUUAAAUUAAAAUAAUUUUUGAAUUUAUCCUUUUAUCUGCACAAUGCACUUUUCCUUAUUUAGUGGAGAUAUUAGUAAUGAAACUAUAUUUUCCCUUCUUCCAAAUAUGUUUUUUCGAUCACAGUUUUUUUUUUUUUGGGUAUGCAAACAUUUGAUAUUAUUUUUUUUCCAAAUGGUUUUUUCUUUUUCAAAUAGUUGGUGAUCAACAUAUAAGCUCUGUGUAUUUUUUUCAAUGUUUUUGUGAAAUUAUAUUUUUUUUGCUGUUUUUUAAGUAUAGUUGUUGACGAAUUAUUAUUAGGUACAAUACAUUACGUAUAUAUUAUCUGCGGGUACGUUUGAAUUUACUAAAAUCAUUAAUUGGUACGUUUGAUUUGAUACAUAUUGUUAAUAUUGGUACAUUAUUUUUAUUUUGGUACGUUUUAUUUUGAACACAUUUUGUAUUGGUACGUUUAUAGUAUUCUCAAUCCUAUUUUCUCUUAACGUACUAAAAGAAAAACUCAUUUUGGUACGUUUGAUUUUGGGGGAUUUAAAAAUAUUUUAAACUAUUUUGGAAAAAAAAAAAUCUUAAAUCGUAGAUAAUUAUUGCUAAAUUGUAGCAUUAUUGUGAAAAUAAAUUGAAUCUAACCAACUUUUUUUUUUACAAUUAUCUCUAAUGGAGGAGAGUGUAAUCAAAAGGCUAGAUUAUAGGAAAUUUGUUACAAUAUAAUGGGCAUAUAGCACCAAAAUUAUGAUAAAAAAAAGUUUAAUCAAAUCAUUAAAAGGCAUGGAUGUUUGAUCUAGAAAAUUCAAAACUGAGGCGUCUAUAUCAAAAGAUCCCUAAAAAUUAAUGUGCCUACUUUUUAAAUUUGUAACAAAAUUAAUUUACCUACUUUUUAUGGUAUUAGUAUACAUAAAUGUAGAAUAUAUGUCCGUAUAUAUUUGAUCUAAUUAGGUUUUGGAUUGGAGGAGUUGACACAAAAUUAUAAAUAUAUUAAACAAAUUUAUCUAUUCUAAAGUUGGAGGGGAAUUGGUCUGUACAUUGCUACAGUAAACAAAUGCUACUCAAUUUCACGUUAUUUACAACAAAGCUAUCAGAUUUGGGUUGGGUUGGAGGGUAAUUUGUUAAAAGUUAGGAGGGUAAUUUUGUGCAUAGGGUUUAGGUGCCCUCCUAUACAUGACCCUUGAGUUUACUUUAUUUACACCACUGCCAUCAAAUAUGUGGCUGAAUUGGAGGGUAUUAUUAAAAGUUAAGAGGGUAGUUUUGUUCAAGGGGUGGGGGCGACAUUCGCAGACGGAGGCCGAUGGGAGCCAUGCCCAUUGCACAGAGAGAAAGGGAGUGAUGGGGGAAAUUACAGACAGAAAAGGAAGGGAUGGGAGGAUUUGAUGGAUGGUCACAGAGAGAGAUUCGGUGAGGGAUGUGAGGGGAGAUUACAGAGAGAUAAAUAAAAGGGAGGGAUCGGGGGAUUUGAGGGAUGGUCAGAGAGAGAAAUAGUGAGGGAGGGAGGGAUGGGGGGGCUGAUUUUCGGUUCCUCCUUCAGAUUUGUUCCGUAAAACCUGUUGGGUACAAUUCAAUUUCCUCCCCCUUUCCCCUGAACGAAAAAUUCGAAACCUACAAUUCAAUUUCCUCCCUCCUUGGCUUUCCGCUUUACUCAUCUCCCGGUGGUUCUUUCUCUCCAUACGAUUCGAUUUCGGUGAGUUCUUCGUUGCCCUCAUGAUUUCCCAGUUUGAUUUUUUGAGCGUCCUUAGUCGUUGUUUUUAUCUGGGUUUACUGCAUUGUUGCUUUUAGUUUCUGGAUUUUUAUUUGUUCCGCGGUUCGAUGAAUCGGUUAAUAAUUUCACACCAUGGGAUUUUCGCAUGGAAUUGAGCGCGGGGAUUCGGGGUGGGGUUUUACUGAUAAUUUGUCUUCAUUCAAAUGAAUGGUUAAAAUUUCUGAAGUGAGUGUGCAGGUGGGCCCGUUCACUAACUAAGCUUUCAAGGGAACCCAUCAGCGGUUUGCUUGCUGGGGGAAUUCGGAGACUACCAGUGUAUGAUUUAGUUAUCAUUUAUUUUUUUACUUAAAUUUAUCCAUAUAUAAUAUGUGGGUAAAUUUACACUAAACAAUUGUGAUAAGCCAAUAUGCCAUACGACUUUGAAAGCAUUGAUUUUGUGUUUAGUUUGCAUUUUUGCAUUGUGAAUGUUGAAUUUUGUGUUUGAAUUUGUAGCAUGAUCUUCCGCUGCAGCAUCCAAAUUUUGCAUUUGUAAAUUGUCAAAGAAAAACGAAGUAUGAGGAAAUUAUAGGAGAUUGUGUCGGCUUUGGCCAUGAAGGGUAUCAGCAGCUUGUUCCCCCAUACAGGUGAUUAAUCGUUUUUCAGUCUGUGUUCUAUUUGGAUGAGAAAGUGAUUGAAAAUAUGAUUUUUUUAUUUGUUGGUUGAUUUUGUAUGGACGAUGUAUUAAUUUUAUUUUUUUUGGGAUUUUGUGUAUUGGGCAUUGUGUAGAACCAGCAAUGCAAGAGCAGGAUCUGAUCAGUCAUGCCUGAAAAGGGGUUUGUUUCUCAAAUCACAUUAAUUAAUUAGAUUAUUAACGUGCGUUGGAAGGCUCUUCAAUAUGAUUUCUAAUUUCUCCUUUCCAGCAUUCUCUUUUUGGUUUUUGGAGUAUGUAUGUGAUUUGUAUUUUUUUAUAGAAUAAAAAUUAAUAAAACACGAGAUGCAGCAAUUAAUUUGCAUCCUUAUGACAACACAUAUGAAAGUGCAUUCAAUUUCAAUGUGCGAAUGUGUGACAGGAUGUGCCUGCCCGCUGCUGCUGGUAUGCUUGCUGUUGUUUCUCGCGUUGUUAAUUUUUUGUGUGUGUUGAUUUGAUUAACAACUCAAGCGUAUCUUUUUUUUUUGUGUUGGUUAGCAGCCAGUUUUAUGGCCCCGAUCUAGUGAUGCUUCUCAGUGACUGUGGUAAUUGCAGUUCAUUGCCACCAGUUGGUCAGCUACCUGCUCUGAAAGAGCUAUACGUAGAAGGGAUGAAAGUUGUUAAGAGUGUUGGUGUUGAGUUGUACGGGGGAAAUCAACCAUUUCAAUGUUUAGAGAAGCUAAAGUUUCGGGAGCUAUAGCAGCCUAGUCCAAGUGGAUGUGAAAGUCCAGACUUUCCUCAUCUUAAGGAGCUGGGGUUAUACGAAUGUCCGAAGCUGAGAGGAAACUUGCCCACUCAUCUUCCCUCCUUGAAAACACUUCAUGUGAACAAGUGUGAGGUUCUACAUAAAAACAGGGCCAGUAAUACCCUGAACGUGGAAUCCUUACGAGGAUCUCUUGAAAAACUGACAAUAAAUGGAUGCCCGGGUCUCUCAUUGUUACUAGAGUCGACGGAGACGCUGCCGUCGCUUCAGAAGCUUGAUAUUGAUAAUGUGGUGGGAAAGAGUUGUUGGCGCAAAUGGUGCACAACAGCAAUCGUCUUCAAAGUUUGACUUUAUAUAAAUGUUCCUCACCCUUGUCGUUCCUUACAAAUGGUCUGCCCACCACGCUGACAUCACUGAGCAUAACAGAUUGCAAGAAAUUAGAAUUCCCAUCACGUGAGAUGAUGGCCAAAUUGACUUCCCUUCAGUCUUUGCGUCUAUCCAACAGCUGUGAACGCAAAGGCUUGAGUAUUUGCAGUUUAGUUUUUUUUUUCUUCAUUUUAGAGAUUUUUCUACUGUUUGGUUUUUGGGUUUUGUCUAAUUUUUGUGGUCUGCUUUAUAGAUUGUUCUCUUUGGAAGCUUCUUUCCAGCCUUGACCUUCUUCUUGCCUGGUGCCUUCUCAUUGAGUAUUGGAGGAGCAUUAAAACACAGGUGUGUGUGUUUUGUCGACAUAAGAGAUGAAUGACAUAAAAACAUCCGUCUCUGUAUUUUUUUGUGCUUUUUCUAACCCAUCAAUUUCUUUUGAGUCAACCAAAUAGUCCCAAAUUGCAACUUAUGUUGUGAGGUAUUAUUGUCUAAAAUUAAGUAUGCAUGUAUAUUUUAUGUUUGUGCCCGCGCACACAUCCGCAUGGUGUUAAUCUCUGUGGGUCAUCUAUGUAUAUGUAGAUAUAUCUAUAUGUGUGUGUGGAAUGCAACAUAUCGGAUUUAGGUUAUACUGUGCAUAGUUUUAUUGCCUGUUAUUAUCUACGAUAUCACUAUGCCAUUUCUAUGCAGGCUCUGAAAGUUAUUCAUGAGCUUUAUAAGCACUUACCAUAAUUUAAGCAGUCUGUUUUGGGUUCUUUUUCAUUAGGUCAUUAGCUACAGAUUAAUGGAGAAACGAGGACCAUGCCACUGAUUUGGGUUCUUUUUCUAAUUUUCUGAUUUUGGGGUUUUGCAGGGAGAACUCCGCCUAUGUACUUACAUUGCCGAUCCCAAGCUCGGAUAAAGGAGGAGGGGGAGGGCGUCAGGUAGUCGACAGUCGGCACUCCAUGAUCACGUCGAAUCCUUAUGAAAAUGAAUUCAGAAUAAAAUUGCGCUAAAGCUAGGGCGUCACCCGUAAGUGGCGCGCUGUGUGGCCCGAGCACAGUGAUAAGUGAGCAAGGGUCGCUGUAUCUCCAUCGGCACCCGGAUGCAGUGUUAAAUGAGCAAGGGGGGCAUAGGAACUUCUUUUCGAACGACUCCACUCAAAGUUGUUUGGGAGCAUAUGCUCCUAUCAACUUUACACGGGACACACAAAAGAAGUACUUUGAUCCUAUUAGACGGGGGAGGGUGAAGAAGCUAGGACAGAAGGGUAGAGUUCAAGAAAGCAAAAUGCGUUUAGGAACGUGGAAUAUAGGAACCUUAACGGGAAAAUCUAUGGAAGUAGUGGAAGUUAUGGUGAGGAGAAGGAUAAAUAUUAUGUGCCUACAAGAAACUAAGUGGGUUGGUAGUAAGGCAAUUGAUCUAGAAAACUCAGGGUUUAAACUUUGGUAUUCGGGCACAAAUAGAACGAGAAACGGUGUUGGCAUCAUCGUGGACAAGACCUUGACACAAGAUGUUGUAGAUGUCAAGAGGGUAGGAGAUAGAAUCAUGGCAAUCAAGAUUGUAAUAGGACAAGAACUUAUCAAUGUGGUUAGUGCGUACGCACCUCAAGUAGGGUUGGAUACGAGUUCGAAGGAGAAAUUUUGGGAAGACCUUGGAGACUUGGUGUAAGGAAUUGCUCAGACGGAGAAGUUAUUUAUAGGAGGAGAUUUAAAUGGACACGUGGGCAGAGAGACAGGCAACUAUGGAGGUUUUCAUGGUGGCCAUGGUUUUGGGGAGAGAAAUGAGGAUGGGGAAGCUAUCUUGGAUUUUGCAAUGGCAUAUGAUCUCUUUUUAGCCAACACCUUCUUUAAGAAGAAAGAAGAACAUGUGAUCACCUACAAGAGUGGGUUGUCAAAAACACAAAUAGAUUUUCUUCUAAUGAGAAACGAGGAUGGGGAAGCUAUCUUGGAUUUUGCAAUGGCAUAUGAUCUCUUCUUAGCCAACACAUUCUUUAAGAAGAGAGAAGAACAUGUGAUCACCUACAAGAGUGGGUCGUCAAAAACACAAAUAGAUUUUCUUCUAAUGAGGAAAGGGGAUCGUAUAACUUGUAAGGAUUGCAAAGUUAUACCAGGAGAGAGCGUGGCUAAUCAACAUCGCUUGUUGGUGAUUGAUGUACAUAUCAAAAGAGUGAGACAAAAGAACAAGACUUGGAAGUGCCCAAGGACUAGAUGGUGGAAUCUAAAAGAAGAAAAACAAGCCAUUUUCAAAGAGAAAGUAAUCAUCCAGUGUGUGGGAUAGAGAUGGGGAAGCUAGCCAAAUGUGGGAUUCAAUGGCUAGUUGUAUCCGAAAAGUAGCAAAAGAGGUAUUAGGAGAGUCAAAAGGCUUUGCCCCACACCAAAAAGAAUCUUAGUGGUGGAAUGAGGAGGUACAAACAAAGGUGAAGGCUAAGAAGGAAUGUUGUAAAGCCUUAUACAAGGAUAGAACUGAUGAAAAUGGUGAAAGGUAUAGAAAAGCGAAGCAAGCUGUGAGAGAAGCUAAGUUAGCGGCUUACGACGAUAUGUAUAAACGACUAGAUACCAAAGAAGGAGAGUUGGAUAUCUAUAAACUAGCUAGAGCAAGGGAAAAGAAGACAAGGGACCUAAACCAAGUGAGGUGCAUCAAGGAUGAGGAUGGAAAUGUUCUUGCUACAGAGAACGCGGUUAAAGACAGAUGGAGAGGUUAUUUUCAUAAUCUUUUCAAUGAAGGACAUGGAAGGAGUGCUUCUUUAGGGGAGUUGAGUAACUCAGAAGAGUGUAGAAACUACUCUUUUUAUCGUCGAAUCCGGAAGGAAGAAGUGAUUGUAGCUUUGAAGAAGAUGAAACAUAGAAAAGCAAUAGGCCCAGACGAUGUACCAAUCGAAGUGUGGAAAGUUUUGGGAGAGACAUGUAUAACAUGGCUCACUGACCUUUUCAAUAGGAUUUUGAAAACGAAGAAGAUGCCAAAUGAGUGGCGAACGAGCACUUUGGUGCCUAUCUACAAGAAUAAGGGCGACGUACAAAAUUGCAUGAACUAUAGGGGUAUUAAGCUAAUGAGUCAUACAAUGAAGCUCUGGGAGAGAGUCAUUGAGCAUAGAUUGAGGCAAGAGACACGGGUUUCGGACAACCAAUUUGGGUUCAUGCCAAGGCGCUUAACCAUGGAGGCAAUCUAUCUCUUACGAAGAUUGGUGGAAAGAUAUAGAGAUGGGAAAAAGGAUUUACACAUGGUUUUUAUAGAUUUGGAGAAAUUCGUAUGAUAGGGUCCCAAUAGACAUUCUUUGGAGGAUUUUAGAGAAGAAAGGAGUACGAGUAGCAUAUAUCCAAGCUAUAAAUGAUAUGUAUGAAUGAGCAAAGACUGCUGUAAGAACUCAUGAAGGACAAACUGAAAGUUUUCCCAUAACUGUAGGAUUACACCAAGGCUCAUCCUUAAGUCCCUACCUUUUUGCGUUGGUAAUGGAUGAGUUAACAAGACAUAUUCAAGAUGAUAUUCCUUGGUGUAUGCUUUUCGCAGACGAUAUAGUGUUGAUAGAUGAAACACAGGAAUGGGUAAAUGCAAAGCUUAACCUUUGGAGAGAAGUGUUGGAAUCUAAAGGUCUUCGCCUAAGCCGAUCAAAGACAAAAUAUAUGGAGUGCAAGUUCAGUGCAAAUGGAGGCCAAAACGAGUUAGGGGUGAGGAUCGGAGAUCAAGAAAUACCAAAGAGCGACCGUUUUCGUUACCUAGGAUCUAUCUUGCAAAAGAACGGAGAAUUAGAUGGAGAUCUCAACCAUAGAAUACAAGCUGGAUGGAUGAAGUGGAAGAGUGCAUCCGGCGUGUUGUGUGACCGCCGUAUGCCACUGAAGCUCAAGGGAAAAUUUUAUAGGACGGCAAUAAGGCCGGCGAUGCUGUAUGGCACAUAAUGUUGGGCGGUGAAGCAUCAACACGUACACAAAAUGGGUGUAGCGGAGAUGAAGAUGCUUCGUUGGAUGUGUGGGCACACGAGAAAGGAUAAGAUUAGGAAUGAGGAUAUCCGGGGUAAAGUAGGAGUAGCCGAAAUUGUAGGAAAGAUGAGAGAAAAUCGGUGACGGUGGUUUGGACAUGUGCCAAGAAGGCCUACUGACGCUCCGAUUAGAAGAUGUGACUACUGGACAGAGGUUCAGGGCCGAAGGGGUAGAGGAAGACCUAGAAAAACUUUGGAAGAGACUCUAAGAAAGACUUAGAGUACCUGGAUCUAACGAAGGACAUGACACAGGACCGAGCAUAAUGGCGUUCUAAGAUUCAUAUAGCCGAUCCCACUCAGUGACUUGGAUUUUCCAAGUCUCCAGCCGAGAAGUUUUCCUCACUCAGGAAAUUAAGGGAACACUACCCCAACCUACAUGCUCCACUCACAAAGCUUCAACAAAAGAAAAUUCAAAGAACUUAGCGAAGAAGGCUUUGAUGUAUUUAACACAAUACGUUGAAAUGAAGGAAAGCUUAUUUAUUGAUAUCAUCGAUAAGCUACAAAUAUGUACAUAUACAUAAGUCAAAAUAAACAAACAAGAGGGAGCCUUCACAAAGGUUGCUUAGGAGAAGUCUCAGCAGUCGGUAGAGCCCCAGAAAGAGAAGGCACCGGAGGGGGAUCAUUCGGAGCCUCAGUACUGGACAGAACCCUAGAAGGAGGAGGCAUAAGAGGUUGAUCAUUUGGUGCUUCAUUACGCGGUACAGCCCCAGAAGACGAAGGCAAUAAAUGCCUUUGGAACAAACCCACAAAUCUCUGAUGAUCAAGUAAAACCUGACCAUCAGAUUCCUUCAUCUGGUCAAGCUUCCUCUUCAUGUUUGUAGCAUAGUCAUGUGCGAGCCGGUGCAACUGUUUAUUCUCAUGCUUGAGCCCUCUAAUCUCCUGUUUGAGACUCAUCACUUCAGCCGCCAAUGAUUCAACUUGGCGGGUUCGAGCAAAUAGGUGUUGGGCCAUAUUAGACACAGAACCUGCACACUGAACACUGAGAGCCAGAGAAUCCUUAACAGCUAACUCAUCAGACCGUUUGGAAAGUAGUCUGUUAUCUUUGGGAGUGAGAAGGUUCCUGGCCACCACCGCAGCGGUCAUAUCAUUCUUCAUCACGGAAUCCCCAACGGUAAGAGGACCAGUAGGGGAGACGAAGGAUGGGCGCCAUAUGUUGUCUGGAGAAGGCGGGGCUUCCUCUUCAACAAGGUUCAAGUCAAAACGACGGUCGGAGGGGCCAGACAUUUUCAAAUGUGUUGAAGAGAGAAGAGGUCGGACAAAUCAAGAUCUUAGAAGUGUAAGAAUGGAGCUUCUACUGGUGGAGAUUCAAGUGUGCUUUGGAACUUAAUGUCAGCCCCUAUAAAAAUCUGCACUCAACGGAGCUUCAGAAAUCGAAGAGGCGCCUGCUCAGAAAUCGAAGAGGCGUUUGCUUUCUCAAAAGCAAGGCUGCUCAGAUACCACGAGGGUCGAUCUCAGAAAUCGAAGAGGCGUUUGCUUUCUCAAAAGCUGGGCAGCGCAAAGACCACGAAGGCCGAUCUCAGAAAUCGAAGAGGCGCUCAAAAGUUGGGCUGCUCAGAGACCACGAGGGCCGAUCUCAGAAAUCGAAGAGGCACCUACUUUUCCAGCCUUGUCAGUACCUGUCACACACACACUCAGCUUUGCGAAAAUUAUGGGGAUUCGGUCGAAGACUUCUGGUGAAGUAGAAAGCACAUGAGUCUUACUGUUCAAUCACCCACUUCCCACACGCAACAGUAGCUCAUGGGUACCACAUAUAACUUUUCCAAAGUUCUCUGCCAAAGUUGAACACGUGAAGUUUGCAGCUCCCACUACAUCGCUCUGAUCAAGAAGGGUAAAAGAAUAGCAAAGAAACAACACUAACAAAGUUUAGACACAUAAAUUUUGAUGGUCGAGCUACCAUAUUAUUACCCACAAGGGUAAAGGAACAGUACCACUGCUGGAUAAUUGGAAAGUCCCUGUGUGUCAACCUCUGUGCUUCGUGGCAAGGUAGACUAUCAAACAUGCCCAACCUUUACUCACAUUCGAGAAAACACUCCCAACAAGAUUGCUUGCUCCAAAAUCGAAGAGGCACCGUCCUUCGAAUCUCGAGAGCCAGACUCCCAACAUGACUACUUUCUCAAAAAUCGAAGAGGGUAAAGGAACAGUACCAUUGCUGGAUAAUUUGAAAGUCCCUGUGUGUCAACCUCUGUGCUUCGUGGCAAGGUAGACUAGCAAACAUGCCCAACCUUUACUCACAUUCGAGAAAACACUCCCAACAAGAUUGCUUGCUCCAAAAUCGAAGAAGCAUCGCCCUCCGAAUCUCGAGAGCCACUCCCAACAUGACUACUUUCUCAAAAAUCGAAGAGACAUCGCUCUCCGAAUCUCGAGAGCCAGACCCCCAGCAUGAUUGCUUUCUCAAAAAUCGAAGAGGCACCGUUCUCCGAAUCUCGAGAGCCAGAUCCCCGAUAGGAUUGCUUGUUCGAAAACCGAAGAGGCAACACUUUCCCAAUUUCAAGAGCCGGAUCUCCUUGGAUAAAGCUAUCUGUAAUCUUCACUCGCAACAUUAGCUUUCCAGCUACCACAGACCACUUUUUCAAAGUGAUCUGACAACGUUAAAACAUGUGAAGCUGGCAGCUUCCACUACCGUGCUAUGACCAAGUAGGGUAAAGGAAUAGCAUUACUACUUGUUGUUAAGGAGACUCCUAUAUAUGUCGACCUCCAUCCCCAACGGAUAGGCAGACCUGCAAAAAUGCUCAACUCUUCCUCAUAUCUGAGAGGGCACUCCCAACGAAGCCUUUCGAAAUAUUCAGCUUUCUUUCCCCCCGAUAAUACCUCUGCAAACAAGCUAUACUAGAGCAAGAAUAUCUCAUAUCAUCAGGGUUAAAAGCAAGAGUAUCCCAUAUCAUGCUUUUUCCUUGUCUUUUUCUUUGGCCUUGUUCUUACCUGCAAGACAAGAAGAAAGAGAGCAAUCAGUCAGUACUUGGAAUCAAGCUUCCAGCCAGGAACUGACUGCCUGGAACCCCUUACCUGAUUACUUACCUGACAUUGUUCUCGAGUACUCAUCUUCAACAUCUUAUGCUUCCAGGGAAGAUACCGCAUCUGCCUGAGGAACAGAUAGGGCAAGGGAGAAGGAUAUAAGGAAGCAUGUGGAGACAAGCGUAACAGCACACGUGCCGAUACAUCCAUUACUCUGUCAAAGCAAAAGUAUCCCAUAUCAGUAGGGUCGAACGUACUCUAGAUUUGAUGGACUUGUUUUGACCCUCAAAUUCUUCAGUCGGCCUUAUACUCUGGAGGAAACCAGAAAUUUCUCCAGCUCAGUGCAAGAAUAAGCUUGUGGAAAGUUACUUCUUCAAAAGCAAAAGUAUCACAUAUCAUCUCUUCUCAUUUUCUUCUCUUUAUCCUUCAUGCUGCCUGCAAGAUAGGGAGAUUGUGAACAAUCAGCUGGAGCUAUGAUUGCUUACCUUGUCUGUCACCUCUUUCAGCAGAUCCCCUAGCUCGGCGAUUUGGGGGACUCCUACUACAUGGUUUGUAUCGCGCUUGACCAAGCCUGAAACUACAAGUAAGCUUCAAGUGAAAUUGAUACAUUACCUUGUGCAUCUCCACCAGUUAAAGAUACUACCCCUGGAUGGAGGAAGAGUACUUCCAGAGAAGAUGCCCCAUCUACCUAUGAGACAGAUAAGGCACGUCAAGACGAUACCACACUCUGAUACUUAGAAGUUUCGUGAUUACGAGAUCAUUCUCCCACAAUAUUUCCUAAUGUCAUUUGUACUAAAUCAUUCACUUGUACUCACUAAAGGAGAGCUUGAACCUAUGUACUUGUGUAAACCCUUCACAAUUAAUGAGAACUCCUCUAUUCCGUGGACGUAGCCAAUCUGGGUGAACCACGUACAUCUUGUGUUUGCUUUCCUAUCUCUAUCCAUUUAUAUACUUAUCCAUACUAAUGACCGGAGCAAUCUAGCGAAGAUCACAAAAAGCGACCGUUUUCGCUACCUAAGAUCUAUCGUGCAAGAGAACGGAGAAUUAGAUGGAGAUCUCAACCAUAGAAUACAAGCUGGAUAGAUGAAGUGUAAGAGUGCAUCCGACGUGUUGUGUGACCGUCAUAGGUCACUGAAGCUCAAGGGAAAAUUUUAUAGGACGACAAUAAGGCCAGCGAUGUUGUAUGGCACAGAAUGUUGGGCGGUGAAGCAUCAAUACGUACACAAAAAUGGGUGUGGCGGAGAUGAGGAUGCUUCGUGGGAUGUGUGGGCACACGAGAAAGGAUAAGAUUGGGAAUGAGUAUAUCCGAGGUAAAGUAGGAGUAGCCGAAAUUGAAGGAAAGAUGAGAGAAAAUCGGUUCCGGUGAUUUGGACAUGUGCAAAGAAGGCCUACUGACGCUCCGGUUCGAAGAUGUGACUACUGGACAGAGGUUCAGGGCCGAAGGGGUAGAGGAAGACUUAGAAAACCUUUGGAAGAGACUCUAAGAAAAGACUUAGAGUACUUGGAUCUAAUGGAGGACAUGACACAAAACCGAGCGCAAUGACGUUCUAGGAUUCAUAUAGCCGACCCCACUUAGUGGGAAAAGGCUUUGUUGUUGUUGUUGUUGUUGUUGGGGUUUUGCAGGGAGUACUAAUGUACUGAUUUUCUGGGAUUUUUUUUGUCCUUGCAGGAUUUUUGGUCUUUGAAAUGGGUAUGUGUUGUUUUUAAUGUUUCAGUUCUAGCGUUUUCCGUUCUUCGUUGCUUCGUGAUUCUCAUUUUUCAGUGUUGGGUGAUGGAAAUUUGUUAAAGUAGUUGGUAGUUUUUUGAGAAAGUUGGCAUUUUUAGUUAUAUUUUCUGUUUAAUCCUAAAUGUUUUGAAAACUCAUAAUUUUUUUGUUCUGGGAUUUAAAAGCAUCUUUUCCAGAUUGGUUACAAGGGUUAUGUUCUCUUCAAUUGGUUCACCUAAUUUUGAUUAGUUUUAAGUUUUGUCCUUUAAGUUUGUCUUUUAAGUUUUGUUCUUUAAGUUUUGUCUUUUAAGUUUUGUUCUCUAAGUUUUGUCUUUUAAGUUUUGUCUUCUGUGCUGUAAUGAGAGAUUUCCGUUGGCCUUUCGGAUUUUGGCAUGGGAAAGUUCACUUAUUUGCAAGGUUCUAAAAAACGCUAGGCGUUAGUUGGGCGGUGGGCUAGCGCCUAGCGGCUAGGCGGCUAGGCGGGAUCUAGGCGGGAUCUAGGCGGGCGCCUAGGCGGCCUAGGCGGAUUUAGGUAAAUUUCUUAUAUAUUUUAUGAAUUAAUUAAAUUUACUAUAUCAAAUGUAAAUAAUUAUUAACUAAUAUGUUAUUUCUUAUAGAAGAACAUACAUAGUGAAUGUUUUAUGUACAUAUAUAAUAUAUUUGUCUAGGAAAAAAAAAUAUUAUCUAAAUAAUUUUUAUAACAUAUAUAUAUAUAUAUAUAUAUAUAUAUAUAUAUCCCAAACUUUUAAAAAUAUAAAUAGCAUUGGGAGAGGGGCGUAGGGUUUCUAAAAGCACACUCAGAAAUAGAGCAUAUUUUAGUCUUUAUUUUAGAAUCCUAAGGAGCACCCUACUCGGAUGCACGACAUGUGUGCAAAUCUGGAGAUUCUUGCUGUAUCGGAUACACCAAUGCUUAGUCAAAAUUUCCUGCUAGGGUUUAUGGUGGACAUGUGUGUGUGGUCUUCAUUAUUAAACCCAUUAGCACCUCACCUUUUCACAUCACCCGUCCAUCACCUUGGGUGGUUUUGAUAAUUAAAACCAUCAACAUCCAUGGUUUUGAUAAUUAGAACUACCAACUUUUCCUUGGAUUUGAGAAUCUGAGAUCCCAUUCAUCGCCAUCAAAUAUUGAAAUGUUUCAUUGUUCAUCUCUUUCUCCCUCUUCUCACUCUCUAUUCCCUCAUCUUCACAGAGAUGAGUUACAGAAAUUCUCCGGUAAUCUCUCUCUCUCUCUCUUCGUAAUCGACGAGCUCCUCGACUUGAAGUCGCAGCCAAGUUAUGAAGAAUCGAGAUGCGAGAGCAAGUGGAGAGUGGAGACUCUGGAAAUUGGGAGUGACGAUCGACGACGAUGAGUCGAUGACCCAGGAAACCUCUUGAAGUUGCAGCAGGUGAGUGCACUGCAGUUGAGGAAGAAGAGACGAAGAGACUUAGUUUCUGAAAUUAGGGUAGCUGCAAGGCACGGGAACUUAAAAACAAAAAAACAAAAAGAAAACCGCCUAGCUCCGCCAGCCGCCUAGCCUGCCUAGGCGCCUCCUAGCCCGCCUAGGUGCCGCUUAGCCACCGCCUAGAGCCCAGCCGUUUUUUCCCACCGUUUUGCACAAAAACGCCUUGGCCACCCUCCGCCUAGCGCCUAGGCGGCCGCCUAGGCCGUUUUUUAGAACACUGCUUAUUUGUCUAAUUAGAUUGUGGAUGCCUUCGAUUCUUUAUUUAAUUGUUCUGUUUGCGUUCGGGUGUGAUGAUCUAAAUUUCAUAUGUUUGGAAUUAUUUACUUAACACCAAUUUGUUACAUUCAGAUCUCCACCCCACAUUUCACUAGUUCAAAUUCCAUAGAAGUUGGUUAUUGCAGAUUGCGUCUACAAUUAGAUCAGAGAUCAACUACUCUUUUGUUAUCCUGCAGAAGAUUGCUUUUGGGAAGGAUCUGAAGUAGUUUCUCUCUGUAUGUUUAUUCCCAUGUAGCUCUGUCUUUUCUAAUUGAUGGUGUUGAUAUUACACUGUAAUUCAUGAUGAUGAUUUAAUUGUUUAUUGAUUUGUAAUUGUUUGUGAAUAAUGUGGCAUAUAUGAAUUGCAAUCUGUGUUUGUAUGAAAGGGAUGGCAUAUUAUGUUGCUGACUUAAUUGUUUAUGUUUUUCAUAUUUGCGAAUGGUGUUAUGAUCAAUUAGGUGAUUGCUGACCUGUGACUUUGUUUGGAGCUCAAAUUUUGUGAGCAUUACAUUGGAUUGUUUUGAUGUUGUUUUGGUUGACAAUGCAGGGAUAGGAGAAACAAAGAGGAUGACACUUAUAACUGCCAUUCCCCAUCGGCCGUCUUCAAAUUUGGAUCACAAGAAGGGAGCAACAUAGGUGUUUUCCUUCUUUAUUUAGAUAUGGUUAGUGUAAAUAAUUGGACAAAAGAGCCAAACAAACCCUGUUCUCUCAAAUGGAGUUGAUGAUGUGGUCGACGGCCACCAGCCCCAACUCAAGAGUUUGGCCUUCAUAUAAUUGGAUUGUAGUAUAAUUUUAUUUUUGUUCAUUUCUUUUUUCCUUUAUAUAAGUGCAGGUGUUGUGAUGUUUUGAAUAAAGGGUGAUGAAAGGUGGUUCACACUUCCUCCUUACUUAAAGCAAGUGGAGAUGACGGUUUGUAUAAAAAGAAAAACUUGCCACGUACUUCAAUUUUCUAUUUUAUUAAUUAUUGUUUGGUUUUCCAAAUGUUGUAUUCACAAAGAGAGACCAAUUAUGUCUUUGAGAAACAAGUUUCUUUGUCUACAUUGCGAGAAUUUGCAGUUUGCAACUUUCAUUGGUUAUUAUAUUUGAUUGAGUUAAACUUGGAUUUCUGGAUUCUGACUUUUUCGUUUGUUUCUUUGUUGCAGAGUUGGCUUCAUUUCAUUCCAGGAACUCUCUAAAUAGGGCCAAGAACUCACUAAAUAGGUAGUCAAGAGGAAUUCAGUUUUGCCUUCAAUUUUUGCCUUCUGUUUACAUUCUUCCUGGAUGCACUCUCACCGCUUCUCUCGCUUACCACUUUUUUCUCACUCACCGCUUCAUCUCUUCUGUUGCUUACAAGGUCGUGUCAUAUAUUUUUUAAUUUUGUGGUUUAAUUUAUUGAAUAUUUGAAAAAAGAGAUAAAAUUAUAAGAUACUAUAUAAGAUACUAUAUAGUAUCUUAUAAAUAAAUGAAUCACAAAUGAUACUAUAGUUGUUAAAAAAUCCCAUUACUCAAAACUCCAAUUCCCUCCCAUUACUGAAAGCUCCAAUUCCAUCAAAACCGAGAUGGUAAAAGUACAAACUGGCUAGUUUCCACCAAAAAAAAAAGUACAAACUGGUUACAAAAAUAUGUUUUGUCCCAUCCAAUUGACGAAAAGAGAUAAAAUUUUCAAUUUACAAUUACUGAUAUGAUGUUUGUUUUGAAAAUCAUUAAGGUGAAUGGAGAGAUUUACAACCAUGAAGAGCUGAGGAGCCGUUUGCCAAAUCAGAUUUAUAAGGUCUCAUCAAUUAUGAAUAAACGACUUUUCAUUCCCAAUGACCUUUAUCGUUUUUCUUAAUGGGUUAGCUGAACAUGAGGUAGAUGCUGACUUUAUCAAAUAUGAGAAUGUUUUAGGAUUUCAUUCUAAUUUUUUGGCUGUUUGAUUACUUUGCUUUUCGUAAUUUGUUUUGCUUAUCGUCAAUUGGAUGGGACAAAACAUAUUUUUGUAACCAGUUUGUACUUUUUUUUUUGGUGGAAACUAGCCAGUUUGUACUUUUACCAUCUCGGUUUUGAUGGAAUUGGAGCUUUCAGUAAUGGGAGGGAAUUGGAGUUUUGAGUAAUGGGAUUUUUUAACAACUAUAGUAUCAUUUGUGAUUCAUUUAUUUAUAAGAUACUAUAUAAGAAACUGUUAUUAGCACUCUAAAAAACUCAUUCUACACUCGCGACAAGUGUAUUUUUCUUUUUAAUUAUGGAAAGUUUGAAGGGCAAAAUGAGAAUUUUGGAGUGCCAAUAACAAUUCCCUAUUAUAUAUAGCUCUACUGGGAAGGCUACUGUAUAUGUCUUCAUCCUGUUAAAUUGUAUAUGGCUCUUGAUGUCGGCUGAAUUAAAUCAAAAUGAAAACCAAGCUGAUCUUACCAGCCGAUAUCACUUAUCACUUGCUUAUUUAAAUUAUUUGAAGAUGCGUAUGUGGAUUGGUGAUUUUGUUGGAUUCACUUAGCUCAAAUAUAUGUUAUCUGAGUCGCUACAUUUGAGAAUGUGAUUCUGUUCCUACCACCAUUUUGCCCACUUUUUGUGGAAAUUAUUCAUUCCUGUUGUGAAUAAUACAUUCAUCCCCGGCAACGAAGUGCGGGCACAUUUUAUAGUUUAAAUUAAAUCACACAAUGGGUCAUCAAUAAUGACAAACUCGUCAUUUAUGCGAGUCAAACAUGAGGCCACCUACCUACUAGUUUAGUGGAAUACCACAAAGUGACAUGUUGAUACCUUUAAGUCUCAUAUAAUGGAUUGCAGAAUUAGGAUAUACCUAGACUAAUUUAGUCAGUGCGUGAACCCGAACAAUUAACAAGGGUUUUAUUCUUGCUUGAAUGUUUGUUAUAUGUUCCUAGUUUGACAAGGCAAUUAUAUUUCCGAUUACAAAAGUUAUUAAUUUAGUCGAGAAUUGACGCACCUGAAAUGGUGUGAGGAAAACAUGUAGACACAUCAACCGCAGUCCACUGUCCUGGGCAUCUAUCUUCCCCGAAACGAAGCUCAAAGCCAUACAUGAGGGCAUUGUGUAUGUCUUUAUAAGAGAAGUUGCUGUAGUCUUCAACGUAGCCGGCAGCCAAACUCAUCCACUCUACACUGCAACCCUCAUCCAAAUCCCAUGCUUCCAACCUGCCCCCGACAUAGUCAGCGACCAUGACAUAGCUAUACGUUUUUGGUUGACUCGAAGAAGAAGAAGAAGUAUUAUUCAAGCAUGGAGCAGUGUCCACGUACAGAGAAGAAUUCGAUGGAUUCGAACACUUCAAGUAAUAUAUAGAUAGAGAAUUGAUGUCAUAGGUGGGCCAAUAUGGAGAAUUGAUGUCCUCGGUGGUGGGCGGAAUAUUUUGAGACAUGGAAGAGCAAUUGUUGUUGUCAAGCCCAGGAUCUAGAACUCGGAUUGUAUUGUUAAUGUAGUUGAUUGCCUGGACAUAGUAUUUUCCGGAAGAAGGUACGUCUAGUACAGUAAUGUUGCUCUCACAGUACAGAGUAUACAUUAUGUUGCCACAGUACUUUGGAUCAUCGUUCAGUCGAAAAGGAUGGCUUAUGUAGUGGAUAUGGCCGCAGGAUGAAGUGCAGGACUUGGCACUACUGUUGUCAGCGUUACAAGUUUCACUGCAAAAGCAAAGAAGAAGAAAGGCUAAACUUAAGGUGAAGGACCUGCUUCCACUAAUUUCCAUUGAUCUGAGAGAGAGAGAGAGAGAGAGAGAGAGAGAGAGAGAGGGUACUAUAGCUUGAACACCAAGGAGUUAUAUAAUAUGGGAGGGGUUAAAGCGCUUCGCUUAAAGUUGCAGUAAGCCCGGCAAAUAUCCUAGGGAAAAGUCGGUCAAUGGUGUCCUAUAGAGAAAAGUCGGCCUUGGUGUUUGACACGGUCACUCACUCUCUCUCUCUCUCUCUCUCUCUCUCUCACAUUGACGAGGGACACUGUAAUUAACAAAAAAAUUGUUCUUCAGAGAUAGAUUUUGAAAUUCUUAUUUUAUAUAAAAAAACACCUAAUAUUAAUCAUUCAAAUGAAAUUCCUAAAAUUAAGUAUAAAUAAUACAUAAUAAAAACUGAACACAUACAAUCAACGGUCACGAUCAUGAAAUCCUUCGGAUCCUCAGAAAAAAAUCCGACGAUGAUCUUUUUCUGUGUAAAAUAAUUUGAGGGUAUAAUACUGGAUGUGCGAUUAAACCGAAGAACCCACCCACCUCCAUCUUCUCCGACCAACUUGAACCCAGCCACUACUACAUGUCAUCCCGACAACCCACUCUCAGCUUCCCAAACCGCCAUUUUUCACCCAUUCACCUACCACUGCCAUUAUUCAUUCAAUCAACCCAAAACACGAGAGCCACCCCCAUCUCACCAGUCGAACAGAUGCAGCCACCCACCCAUUUAAUCCCAGUCCAAAAUCAAACCCUCUCCUAAACCCACCCCAGAAUCCAAUAAUUUCAAAAAAUGGCUGAUUAUAUCAUUUCAAGAACCUCACAAUUCCAAAAACUAAAAACCCACUUCAAAGAUGUAAUAUUUUUCUCUCUUCCUCUUUUUGGGUUUUUUUUUCUUUUUUUUUAUCAAUUCUCUUCUGGGUUUUUGUUUACAGUGUAAAAUCAACACUAAUUUACUAAUUUUGCUUUGAUUUCAAACACUAUUGAGGCGUGAUAACCUGUUGCAAGCUCAGCCAUGGCGGCUACUGCGAAAUCUAACGGAAAAACCAUCACAGACUCUGCCAUUUCAUCCAAGGUUCCGACAAUAGCAAAACGAAUAGCUGUCGCAGAUUUCUUCCAACAUCAAUCACUACGCGAAAUUAAUUGUCAAUGAAGACGAUCCCAUUCCCCUUCGAAAUCUGCUGGGGAAAGAGACCUUCUUUCAGAUCUGCUCUGAGACCGGUUUAUGCGAGAGAGUGGUGAGCCUGACGACAGAGAGAAAUAAGGGCAGGAUUGGAAAAUUGGAAAGUUCAUUUAUUGGUUACUGUUUAUCCGUGUUUCUUCGAAAUAAGCUGCUUUUUCCAGCUUUGGGUUUCAGUGUUUUUUAACCCAUAAUUUUGAAAGAAAAAAAACUGAUUUUAAAUGUUUAUCAAACACUUAAAAUGUUCCAAUCUUUUUUCAUACCUACUUUUUAUUAAAAGUUAAGCUAAACAAAAAUCAAGAUUAAGUUUACUACUCUGAAGUUUCUUGCUUUUCAACAUUUCAUACAUUGAAUUUUUCUCAUCCAGUGUCAUAUCUAAGGUGGGAAUUGUGGGACACUUUUAUACAUCCGUUAGAUUUUAUGUGAAUUGCGUGGCACUUUUAUACAUCCGUUAAAUUUUUUGUGAGAACCUUCGCUGACCCACGAUGCGGCAUGCAUGUGGACAUUAAAAAAAUUCAAAAAAUUCAAAAAAUUUUAAAAUUUUAAAAUUUAAAAUUCAAAAAUACUAAAAACCUAAACUUUUCAUAAUAUUGAAAGACUGAAUCUUUUCACAGUCAGCCAAAUUUUCUUCAAAUUUUAAUUAGAUGAAAUAAUGAAUCUUGAACAAAGCAAAACAAAACGUAAUAUUGAGAGAUUCAGUCAUUGAAGUGGACGUGGAUGUUGGGUACUCAAUAGUCCAAGAAUGAAAACUCUCAUAUCAGUUUCUAUCCAAAAUUUUGGAAUUAUGUGUGUUGCAACGAUUGUCCAAAGGAUUAUUCUUCUUUUAUUAAAUUUCCAUGAAAAAUGAGCAUGGAGCACAAAAGUUGAACGAAUGAUUAUUCUUCUUUUAUUAAAUUUCCAUGGAAAAUGAGCAUGGGGCACAAAAGUUGAACGAAUGAAAUUUCAACGAUUUGAAAAGGGAUUGUGAGUUUGACAUGUCAUUUUUCUUCCUCUAAUGCAAUCAUGUUUAUUAAAAGACAAAAAUAAAUAUGACUUUACAUAAGGAGAGAGAAGGAGUAGUUUUCUUUGAAAAAAUCAACCAUUUAUUGAAGAGGAUGUGGAUGUUGAUUGAUGCGUCGUGAAUACGAAAAAAAGGACCUUGAAAGGAGUUGAGACAUUCAUUAAAAGCUAGAAGAAAAAAAAGUUAAAAGUGUUUUAGAAAAAAAGCAAGAAAGCCUCAUUUUCAAAGUUGUGGUCAUUGCACAAUACUUGAUUAGAAGAAAACUCAUAGUAUUGUAUUUACAAUUUCAAGUCUUUAUGGGGAACGAGAGAGCAAGUUUUCCAAUUGGAAUAUGAUAUGAAAUUUCUACAUAACUAUAUAUGACAAUGAAAGAAGUCUAAGUUUCUAAAUGGAAGGGCUUCCAAUUGAUGUGAGUUUGUUGAGAAAUUAGUGAACAACAGAACAAGUUGCUUCUCCUUUGGCCUUCUAACAUGAUAUCACAGAAAACAAGUUGUUACUAAUAAAUGUAUCUGAUUGGUGGACUUAGACGUGCGCGGUACGAUUUUUGAUAACUAGAGAAGAUGGGCAGUGUCAUGACAAAAUUUAUCCAAGUAGACCCAAAGGAAUGACUUAGGAACUUCAUAUGCAGUGGGAUAAAAUCUUAAGCUAAUUUCCUUACCUAUCUUAUAGGCAUUAAGUAAAAUGUAUAUGCAUAUUUCUAGACACACCAAUUUACUUAAUAUUAACUUCUUUCAAAUACCCAUUUGCAGAAACGCAAAGCUCUCUUGCAUGCUUGUUGUAAUGCUUAUGUAGUGCGUAUCCUAUAUCUUAUAUAUAUAUCUUACUUUUUGUGAUCCAUUUUUUCAUCACUAUGCCAAACGAAUAGCAAAACGAAUAGCUGUCGCAGAUUUCUUCCAACAUCAAUCACCACGCGAAAUUAAUUGUCAAUGAAGACGAUCCCAUUCCCCUUCGAAAUCUGCUGGGGGAAAGAGGCCUUCUUUCCGAUCUGCUCUGAGACCGGUUUAUGCGAGAGUGGUGAGCCUGACGACAAAGAGAAAGAAGGGCAGGAUUGGAAAAUUGGAAAGUUUAUUGGUUACUGUUUAUCCGUGUUUCUUCGAAAUAAGCUGCUUUUUCCAGCUUUGGGUUUUCAGUUUUUUUUACCCAUAAUUUUGAAAGAAAAAAAACUGAUUUGAAAUGUUUAUCAAACACUUAAAAUGUUCCAAUCUUUUUUCAUACCUACUUUUUAUUAAAAGUUAAGCUAAACAAAAACCAGGAUUAAGUUUACUACUCUGAAGUUUUUUGCUUUUCAACAUUUCAUACAUUGAAUUUUUCUCAUCCAGUGUCAUAUCUAAGGUGGGAAUUGUGAGACACUUUUAUACAUCUGUUAGAUUUUAUGUGAAUUGUGGGGCACUUUUAUACAUCCGUUAGAUUUUUUGUGAGAACCUUCGCUGACCCACGAUGCGGCAUGCAUGUGGACAUUGAAAAAAUUCAAAAAAAAUCGAAAAUUUUAAAAUUUUAAAAUUUAAAAUUCAAAAAUACUAAAAACCUAAACUUUUCAUAAUAUUGAGAGACUGAAUCUUUUCACAGUCGGCCAAAUUUUCUUCGAAUUUUAAUUAGAUGAAAAUAAUGAAUCUUGAACAAAGCAAAACAAAACGUAAUAUUGAGAGAUUCAGUCAUUGAAGUGGACGUGGAUGUUGGGUACUCAAUAGUCCAAGAAUGAAAACUCUCAUAUCAGUUUCUAUCCAAAAUUUUGGAAUUAUGUGUGUUGUAACGAUUGUCCAAAGGAUUAUUCUUCUUUUAUUAAAUUUCCAUGAAAAAUGAGCAUGGAACACAAAAGUUGAACGAAUGAUUAUUCUUCUUUUAUUAAAUUUCCAUGGAAAAUGAGCAUGGGGCACAAAAGUUGAACGAAUGAAAUUUCAACGAUUUGAAAAGGGAUUGUGAGUUUGACACGUCAUUUUUCUUCCUCUAAUGCAAUCAUGUUUAUUAAAAGACAAAAAUAAAUAUGACUUUACAUAAGGAGAGAGAAAUAGUAGUUUUCUUUGAAAAAAUCAACCAUUUAUUGAAGAGGAUGUGGAUGUUGAUUGAUGCGUCGUGAAUACGAAAAAAAAAGACCUUGAAAAGAGAUGAGACAUUCAUUAAAAGCUAGAAAAAAAAAAGUUAAAAGUGUUUUAGAAAAAAGCAAGAAAGCCUCAUUUUCAAAGUAGUGGUCAUUGCACAAUACUUGAUUAGAAGAAAACUCAUAGUAUUGUAUUUACAAUUUCAAGUCUUUAUGGGGAACGAGAGUGCAAGUUUUCCAAUUGGAAUAUGAUAUGAAAUUUCUACAUAACUAUAUAUGACAAUGAAAGAAGUCUAAGUUUCUAAGUGGUAGGGCUUCCAAUUGAUGUGAGUUUGUUGAGAAAUGAAGAUGAAGAUGAAUAUUGAUGUUGAUGUUAGUGAACAACAGAACAAGUUGCUUCUCCUUUGGCCUUCUAACAUGAUAUCACGGAAAACAAGUUGUUGCUAAUAAAUGUAUCUGAUUGGUGGACUUAGACGUGCACGGUACGAUUUUUGAUAACUAGAAAAGAUGGACAGUGUCAUGACAAAAUUUAUCCAAGUAGACCCAAAGGAAAGACUUAGGAACUUCAUAUGCAGUGGGAUAAAAUCUUAAGCUAAUUUCCUUACCUAUUUUAUAGUAUUAAGUAAAAUGUAUAUGUAUAUUUCUAGAUGCUGACACACCAAUGUACUUACUAUUAACUCCUUUCAAAUACCCAUUCGCAGAAACGCAAAUCUCUCUUGCAUGCUUGUUGUAAUGCUCAUGUAGUGCGUAUCUAAUAUCUUAUGUGUAUAAUUUUUUGUGAUCCAUUUUUUCAUCACUAUGCCAAAAUCCCUUUAGAAUUUGCAAUUUAUCCAUUUGGUUAUGGUAAAAAAAAAAACUCGGAAUUUCAUUUAAACUCGAAAAUCUAGAAUUGGGAAAGCAAUUUUCCCUUGUUCGGCAACUUGUAGCGAUAGCAAAGGCAAAUUGUACCGGAAAAAAGUGGAAAUUGGGGAUGAAGAUCCAAUUUUAAUUUCGUCAAAAUAAGUGUAAUUUCACAAUUCCAACAACGUUGAGAAUCACAAAUGCAUUGUGGGGAAAUCUUGCGACCACCAAACUUUACGAUUAGAGCGCCAAAUUUCAUGAUAAAACGUAAUAAGGGUUUAGGACUGCAUCGUUCGCUCUGUUAACUCUCCAAUCUUCGACGGGAUUUUCAACUCGUGCAUCAUUUUUUGCUUUGUUCUAGGUCAAAGCCUACUCUUUUCUUUCUUGAAUUAUUUUAGCUUUGCGGGUAUACUCUUUAGGCCAAUUGUGAAUUUUGCUAGUUAUUUUUAUUUUCUGAUGGUCAUAUGUUUGUUUUUUUUUUCUUCCAAUUGAGCUGUGUAUUGGUUGGAUCAGUAACUUUUUUUUUGGAUUUUUAUUUUUAUUUUUAUGGAUUUUGGUGUUAGUUCCUUGUUAUAGAUGUAUAGAUGUUGUGGAGCAAAAAAUAAUCUCAAAAAUCGUGGAGGUGACACACGGAUUUUUGGACAAGAAUGACAAAAUUAUCCUCGAAGCACAUCAUGAUUCCCACGUGCAUGCAACGGACAAUAACGGCUCAAUCAUGGAAGAGUCAAAGGUGAUCAAUAUGGUAUUUAUUCAAAUCCCUCUCAUCACUCCUCAUCAAUCCCUUUUUGAUUUUAUUCAAAAGGUAACUCCCAAAACUUCCUAUUUAAUUUAGGGAUCAUUGUCAUGUUAAUUGCAAGAUAUUAUUUCACAAAAUAUCUUGUAAUUAUUCUUCAAUUACCACCAUGUAUGGCCGGCCACUCCUCACCCUAUGGGCCGGUCACUCCUCACCCUAUGGGUCGGCCACUCCCUAUAAAUAGCCCUAUUAUUCCACUAAUAAGGAAGCCAUUUGCUACCCACAAACUCCUAAACACAUUCUUUCAGAAUUCUAACUUUGGCAUUGGAGAUUCUUAGGCCAAAUCCCCCCUCCCAUUCAUCGUGGGCGCAUAAGGCUUUUGGCCUUAGUCUUAGGUAUUAUUAUUUUGCAGGUGCAUUUUCGUCAAAGACGAAGAUGGUGGAAAUUUGGAUCCACAAAUUGGUGUUUUCAUUGAGAGUUUGAUUCACAAGCUCGAAGAAGACUCUCGCAUUCAAAGUUUCACAUUUCUCAUUCAUAAGUAAAUUUUUCAUACGUUCUUAUUCCUAGAAUUUUUUUAAAUCUUUGAAUAGACGUAGGAGAGAAAUACAAUGGCUAGAAAUUUAGAAACCACGACGAACGAAACUUCCUACGUUCAAAGAUCCAGAUCAAAUGAUGGAAAUUGCGAUGUAGCCCCACCACGACGAUCCACGAAGCUCAACGUAGUGGCAAAAUGAGUAACUUGGCCACCACGGAGUACCACCACCACCAUAGCCAAGGCAACCCAUGUUGCAGUGGGGAGUGGGACAACUCCAUGGCAGCAAGGCCACGAAGCAACAACAGAUGCCAUCUUGCAGUAAUGAGCCCAAGCCUGUGUCACAAGGUAGUCAACCCAGCGCUAGGUAACCUAGAUCUAGUAGGCCCACGACGUUGCCAUAGUAGCUGAGGCCUAAAGCAAGGCCCAAGCAGCUGCGACUGCGGCAAAUGGAGCAACACAACACUGGCGGGGCCAAUGCACCCUUGGCCUAAUGCCAAGCAGGCUAAAUCGCACCACACCCACUAUUCAAACUAACCCUAAGUUGAGUAAGUAGCAUUGAAGGUUGUCAACCGCAAGGCGUUGAAGUACGAAUAAAGUUACACACCCCGCACAUGACUUGGCCCACUUCCGCGGCCCAACUUGCUCGCAAGGUCCACCUAGUGAUCCCGACCAGUCGAAGGCCAGUUCAAUCAUCCCAUCUUCAGAUUUCUGGACUGACGAUUGAAUCGGGGGUAUUUUCACCCCGAUUUUCUACAGAUUUGACAUAUCUCAACACAAAUCUCGCACUUGGAGUCCAUUGCACUUCCAUUACUCAAGGAGACGCAUACCAUUUAAGAUCUUCCAUCCCAAAUGGCGAACAACACUUGUCUUGACAAGUCAUAGAGUUGACAUGCACUUUUGCGCAGUAGACGACCUUAGUGAAUCAGCUUUUGCAACGCACAAAGAUGCAGUAUGCCCCAGACGAUGUGUCCCGAAGCAGGACAAGUAUAGACGACGAUUCUCUCCAGCAGCGUCCCAACAAGCAGCCGCUCGACUAGCCACGAACCGAGCAUUCUGGCAGUGUACACUCCCGUCUAGGUCCUCAAGAAAGCAUAUACUCUCAUCUUAGCGCGCGGAUGAGCGUGCACUCCUGGUUAGGCCUACGGACGAGCAUACAUUCACGGUUGGGACCAUACUCUUAUAAUUAACAUGGACAACCUGCUAGACGAAGUGUUCAUUCGCGGCUAGGCUCGCAAAGAGCAUUUUCCACCUCAUAUUGGAGUAAGCAGCACAGAAGACGAAGAUAAGCAGUCAAUUAAUCUGGCUCAAAUUCAAUCGGCCACCUGUAAGUAACUAGCUCGCCUGCCAAGAACGUACCAUAUGCAAUGUAGCCACGACAUAGACUAGCUGAGCACAACGAUGAGCAACCUAGACUAACAGGUUACGACUGGGGGUAGCCAGAAGCUUCACUGCCCCAAUAUAGGUAAAUUUAGAAAGAAGUUGAGAGGCUUCUGACAGAACGAUUGUGCGAUUUCCAACGCAAUGAAGCUACUGACAAGGCGCUUAAACGAUACACGACCAACAUAAACGGGUCACCUUUUAUUGACAAGAUUGAGCAGACAGAACCAUCCUACAUACACUGGCGGAUACAAAUAUUACUUCUAUUUUAACAUACGCAUCAACUCAGCCUAAUGGCGUGUCGAGGGCAAAUGGGUUCCAGAAUGGCACACUAACCCAACCACCAAGAACCAGGGCCAAAUCUUAUUUUCAUCACUCCACACGAUUCAAUGCUUGAGCAUCACAUCACCAGUAAUAGAGCACCGCAGACCUAAUGGUCCAAUUCCUCCUGAUGCACACAAGCUCACCCCAGCUCCACGCUCAAAGCCGUGCCUACCUGCUCCACAACACUCAGCCACCCUUGAUUUGUCACCAUGGCUCACAGUUAUGCCAAUUUUGCACCACAGCUCCCAGCCGUGCUAAUCUUGCCAUGCGGCUUUUAACUACGUUAACCAAGCCCACGAUACUUCAUACUUCAAAACAUCCAAUGACGAAGUAGAACAUGAGGCUCUACUAGCAGCCCCUGCUAGUGAAAGGCUUUGCGGUGAAGAGGCUUCCAAUCCAUUCAAAUUCUCAGUUGACCACCUGUUGGGUUUUACGGCUCAAAAUUAGGAUGAUGCAAAAAAAAUUGUGUUACCUAUUUGGUUUUGGUGUCGUAUUUGGGUUUGGAUUUUGACCUCUUAGUUGGUUUCCUUGGUGGAGAGAUUUUGUUAAUUACCUAUUUGAUUAGGAUUUGGAUUUACUUCCUAUUAAGAUUCUUAUUGUAACCUAAGUCUUAUGCACUAUAAAUAGGACCUCAGGGUUAGUGUAUUUUGUGUGGCUCAUUCGUGUGGCAAUUUGGUGAGAGUCAAUUUGUGAGUUUGUGAGUUAGAGAGCAAUUUGGGAGAAUCUUCUCCGUUAGUUUUGGGUUCUCUACUCGUUUGGUUUAGGGUUUGUAAUUUGUGGGAUUUGGAUUGUGAGAGUUUAAACACUAUUUUGUAAUCUCCGUUUGUUUAGUGAAAUUUCUUGUCAUGCUUCGCUCGUGGACUUAGAUUUUACACCGAACCACAUAAAUCUCUUGUGUUAGUUUGAGAUUGUUUGUUUUAGUUUUCACCUACAACGUUGAUAUCGGUACUUUGCUAUAAUUUGCUUUCCUUUGCUCAUAAAAGUACGACAAGUGGUAUCAGAGCCCAGCUUUCGGCUUGGGCUUUUCUUGGCAAUCAAUAUGAAGCCUUCUGUGUCGUCGGUGAAAGUUGAUAUUGAAAAGUUCGAUGGCAAUGACUUUGGUAUUUGGCAAUUGAAGAUGCGUGCUUUGUUAAUUCAACAAGAGCUUUUAAAAACGCUAAAGGGUGUGAAGGCUUUCCUGAAUUCGUGGACUGAUGAAGAAAAACAAAGAAGUUAUGGAGCGGGCACUUGGAACAAUCCUGCUGACUUUAUCGAAUGAAGUCUUGCGUCAAGUUGGUAGCAUCAAAUCUGCACCGAAGUUGUGGCUAAAAUUGGAGAGUUUGUAUAUGACCAAAUCCCUUGCUAAAUGGUUGUAUUUGAAGAAAAGUUUGCGUACUCUUCGUAUGGAUGAAGGUACGUCAAUUCAUAAGACCAAAUCCUUAUUGCUGCCAAAAGUCCUCAACAGUUCCAAGGGAGAUGGGUAAGAGUUCGUAAUAGUGAGAGAUUGAAUCUUUUCACACUUGGCCAAAUUUUAAUUUUAAUUAGAUGAAACAAUGAAUCUUGAACAAAGCAAAACAAAAUUUAAUACUGAAAGAUUGAGUCAUUGAAGUGGACGUGGAUGUUGGGUACUUAACAGUCCAAGAAUGAAAACUCUCAUAUCAGUUUUUAUCCAAAAUUUUGGAAUUAUGUGAGUAUUGCAACGAUUGUCCGAAUGAUUAUUCUUCUUUUAUUAAAUUUCCAUGGAAAAUGAGCAUGGGGCACAAAAGUUGAACGAAUGAAAUUUCAAUGAUCUGCAAAGGGAUUGUGAGUUUGACAUGCCAUUUUUCUUCCUUUUAUGCAAUCAUGUUUAUUAAAAGACAAAAAUAAAUAUGACUUUACAUAAGCAGAGAGAAAGAGUAUUUUUCUUUGAAAAAAUCAACUAUUUAUUGAAGAGGAUGUGGAUGUUGAUUGAUGCGCCGUGUGAAUAGGAAAAAAAUGACCUUGAAGGGAGACAAGACAUUCAUUAGAAGCUAAAAAAAAGUUAUAGUGAUUUAGAAAAAAGAAAUUUUAACGAAAUAUUUCCGGUAUUGUUCACUCUUUACGAAAAACCACAUUUUUACAUUUCCUGGCUACUAUUCACUACACCUUUAUUUAUCAUUUUUCAUUAAAACUAAAUUUGUUUUUGAACUUUUCGUUAGUUUCCUUUAGAAAAAAGCAAGAAAGCCUCAUUUUCAAAGUGGUAGUCAUUGAAACAAUACUUGAUUAGAAGAAAAGUCAUAGUAUUGUAUUUACAAUCUCAAGUCUUGAGGGGUAACGAGAGUGCAAGUUUCUAAUUGGAAUAUAAUAUGAAAUUUCUACAUAACAAUAUAUGACAAAGAAAGAAGUCUAAGUUUCUAAGUGGAAGGGCUUCCAAUUGAUGUGAGUUUGUUGAGAAAUGAAGAUGAAGAUGAAUAUUGUUGUUGAUGUGAGUUAGUGAACAACAGAACAAGUUGCUUCUCCUUUGGCCUCUAACAUGAUAUUACCGGAAAACAAGUUGUUACUAGUAAAUGUAACUGACUGGUGAACUAAGACAUGCGGUACGAUUUUUGAUAACUAGAGAAGAUGAAUAGUGUCGUGACAAAAUUUAUCCAAGUAGACCCAAGGGAAAGACUUAGGAACUUCAUAUGCAGUGGGAUAAAAUCUUAAGCUAAUUUCCUUUUUAAUCUUAUAGUCAUUAUGUAAAAUGUAUAUGCAUAUUUCUAGAUACAUACACACCAAUGUACAUAAUAUUAACUCCUUUUAAGUAGUCAUUUGCAAAUCCCUCUUGAGUGCUCUUUGGAAUGCUCAUGCGGUGCCGUUCUAAUCUCUUAUAUAUAACUUUUUGUGAUCUGUUUUUUCAUCAAUAUGCCAAAAUCCCUUUAGAAUUUGCAACUUAUCUUUUUGGUUACGGUAAAAAAAAACUCGGAAUUUCAUUUAAACUCGAAAAUCUAGGGAUGUGAAAGCAAUUUUCUCUUGUUCGACAACAUUUAGCGAGAGCAAAGGCAAAUUGUACAGGAAAAAGUUAGAAAUUGGGGAUGAAGAUUCCCAAUUUUAAUUUCGUCUAAAUAAGUGUAAUUUCACAAUUCUAACUACGAUGAGAAUCACAAAUAUAUUGCAGGGAAAUCUUGCAACAGCCAAACUUUACGAUUAGGGUGCCAAAUUUCGUGAUAAAACCUAAUAAGGGUUUAGGGCUGCAUUGUUCACUCUGUUAACUCUCCAAAUCUUCGACGGAUUUUCGGCUCGUGCAUCAUCUUCUUGCUUUGUUCUAGGUCAACGCCUCUACUCUCUUCUUUCUUGAAUUAUUUUAGCUUUUUAGGUAGGCUCUUUAUGGCUGUUGUGAAUUUUGCUAGUUAUUUUUAUUUUCUGAUAGUCAUUUGUUUGUUGUGCGUUUUUCCUUCCAAUUGAAUUGUGUAUUGGUUGGAUCUGUAACAUUUAUUUUUUAUUUUAUUUUAUGGAUUUUGGUGUUAGUUCUUUGUCAUGGAUGUUGUCCCUUUGAAGGUUAACAAUAGCCAAGACUAAACAUGAUGAUAUUGUUAAUUACUUUCUCAUGAUACUAAUGCCAUAUUGUUCUCUCUUUUGCACUUACAAGUGAAGAGAAAUAUCCUAGACCCUAACUGGAUAUGUUAUUGUCAUGGUCAUGCAUUGGUAUGGUAACAAUAUGUUUGGAUAAGGAAAAUAAACUUAGAAUUUGACAAAAGAUAGAAUUUAUAAAUUGAUACAAUCAAUUCCUUUGUUUAGAUUCAUAAACAUAGAAAUUUAAACUUUCCGUGUGAGAAAAAACUUGGAAUUUGGGACCUUCAAUUCUCAUGUUUAAAUUUUAUGUAAAUAGGUGUCAUUUCUAAAUUUCAGCAAGUGAGAAUUUAAAAAUAACAAACAUGUAUUCAAAUUUCAUUCCUCUUUUAGGUUAACCAAACAAGAAAUUUUAUAAAUUCUAGAAAAUAAAAUUUCGUUAUUUCAAUUUCUGUUAUUUUAAAAUUAGUAAUCUUAAAUUUUCCCAUCCAAACAAAGAGUUUCCUUGUCAUAGAACUUUCAAUUGGGAUCAAGGAAGACAAUCUUUUCACAACUGAUUAUUCUCACCAAAUUUUAUUAUUAUUUUAAAGCAGAUCAAUACCAAACUUCAAAAGCAAAGUAGGAAGGCUAAAAUUAAGGUGAAGAACCUACUUCCACUAAUUACCAUGGGAGGGGGAGAGAGAGAGAGAGAGAGAGAGAGAGAGAGAGAGAGAGAGAACCAAGCGAGAGAGAAGAGAGAGAAAACACCAAGUAGUAUUAUAAUAUAGGUGGGGUUAAAUCACCUUUCGUGAAGUUGCGGUAAGAGCAGCUCCAGCGGGAGGUCCAGCUUGAUGGACCGGUGAGAUUUCCUACCCAAUAGCCCCAGCUCCUUGCUCCAGCCCAUGCGGGCGAUUGGGCUGAGGGGGUGCCCGAGUGAGAGGCCUGACUCGAAUCGGUAGCCUGAGAGCUUGAGGCCAAAUGAUGCAUGGACGUCAGCCACGUUAUAAGAAGGAAGCAUAAACUAUGAAUAAUGAUAGAGAUUUAGAUUUUGGUGUGUGAUUUCAUCGGAUGGAUGGUGGGUUAUAUGGAGGAAAAAAAAAAGAUUAGGUUGUAGAUAAUGCCACGUGGCAUGCCGUCAUUCGUUAAAAAUCUGAUCGAAAUCUAUCAUCAAAGAUUUUAAACAGAUUAUGACACGUGACGCAACGUGAUUGGUUAAAAAUCUUAUCAGAAAUCUAUCCUUAACGAUUCUGAAAAGGUAACGAGAUGGGGCACGACGGCAUUGGAUAAAAAUCUUAUCGAAAUCUAUCACCAAAAAUUAUCUUUUUGGAUAAUGACACGUGGUGCAACGAGAACGAUUAAAAAUCUUAUCCGAAAUUACAAAUAGAAUUAUUUUGUAUUAUUUUAUAAAAUAAAAAUACUAAUAUUUUAUUGCCUAUUGACAUGACUAUUCAAUUAUGGGUGUGGAGAUGCAGAAGAUAAUUAUUAUUAAUUAAAGGUAAUUAUUGUUCAUUGGAGGGGAUUGAAUAUGAAGUUGCAGUAGAAGGCCUUUGUCACAGCAAUAGGCAGUUACUGUUCUAAGGACUUCUAUCCUAGAACAGAGACAAAAACACCAAGUAGUAUUAUAAUAUAGGUGGGGUUAAAUCACCUUCCGUGAAGUUGCUGUAUGGACUUCUAUCCUAGAGAAAAGUCGGUCAAUGGUGUUUGACACAGUCAGUCAACGACAAAGACAGAAUUGUGUAACCAUAAUUCUCUCUCUAUCUCUUUUUCAUUAACGGAGGACAGUGUAUAAUUACUACGUAUAUAUCUCUGCUCAAUUAUUGAAAAGAAAAAUCCAUGUGCAUUAUUUUUAUUAUUAUUAUCUCAGAAAUGCAGAAAUUGAUUAUCUCUUCCUUCUGCAUAUUGAUACUGGUUUUCUUCAAACUAGUUGAAGCAAGCCAAUAUGUGUGCGCGAAAUCCAACUGUAGCAAUGAUCAAGGCCCGGCUAAUUUCCUUAGGAGGGAGAGAGAGAGAGGGGAGAGAGAACCAAGUGAGCGAGCAGAGAGAGAAAACACCAAGUAGUAUUCUAAUGUUGGUGGGGUUAAGUCACCUUCCAUGAAGUUGCAGUAAGGACUUCUAUCCCAGAGAAAAGUCAGUAAAUGAUGUUGACACAGUCCGUCAACGACAAAGACAGAAUUGUGUAACCAUAAUUCUCUCUCUAUCUCUUUUUCAUUAACGGAGGACAGUGUAUAAUUACUACGUAUAUAUCUCUGCUCAAUUAUUGAAAAGAAAAAUCCAUGUGCAUUAUUUUUAUUAUUAUUAUCUCAGAAAUGCAGAAAUUGAUCAUCUCUUCCUUCUGCAUAUUGAUACUGGUUUUCUUCAAACUAGUUGAAGCAAGCCAAUAUGUGUGCGCGAAAUCCAACUGUAGCAAUGAUCAAGGCCCGGCUAUCCAUUUCCCAUUGAACAUCAGGCGCACACAUCAUUGUGGAAAUUCUGGGCUUGAAUGCAAUGGGAGAUAUGAGCAGCAAAUACUAAUAAAAUUAUUUGUCAAAGACACAGAUUACAAGCGUCAGGAAAUCCAAGUCUAUUCCCCAAGUAACUGCCUGCUGCUAAAGCUUGUUGAAAUCCCAAACAUGCCACCCUCUCCCUUCGUGCCAGUAGUCGAUUACAUGAUUAAUUUCAUAAACGUUACCUUAUUCAGUUGUCCUACUUCUGUUGCAAUACGAGAUACGUAUGGUUGUCAAGUCCCCUGCCUUGGCGACCGUGGCAAGAGAACUUAUGCCAUUGAUUCUGGGGUUUAUUUUGAAACUCUCUUCCAGAAUCUAGAAUCCUGUACAAAAAUGUAUGAUGUUUUAUCAGUUCCAAUAGCCGAUGAAUAUUAUGUUUUUCGUUUCAAAUGGUCUAUACCAAAUUGCAGAAAAUGUGGAGAGGGAAAGAAGUGUGAAUGGCAGAACAAUGAAAUUAAAUGUCUUCCCUGGAGGAAACCAAGUAAGGAUAACAUAUGUAUUCAUUGCUAGUUUUAAACAUCUUUACAUUUAUGUCUUAGUAAUUAUUAUUUGAAGGAUGUUGUCCAAUCCAUUUUUACUAGGAAUAUUACCUGACAGUCUCGUUUAAAUUCGCAAUGAUCUUCUACAGGCAACACAUGGAAAAAAGUGGUUACAGGUGGAAUCCUGUGUGCUUUGCUUCUUGUUCUACUGACGAUUGCAGCAUAUCGGGUAUAUAGCGCUGAUAGAAAGGAGAAAGAGAGUCGAUUAAGAAUUGAAAGAUUCUUGGAGGACUACAAAGCACUCAAACCAAGCAGGUAUUCGUACGCAGAUAUUAAGAGGAUUACAAAUCAAUUCAAGGACAAGUUGGGCGAAGGAGCCUAUGGAACUGUCUUCAAAGGAAUGCUCUCUUCUGAAUUCUUCAUUGCUGUCAAAGUCCUCAACAGUUCCAAGGGAGAUGGGGAAGAGUUCGUAAAUGAAGUGCGAACGAUGGGUCAUAUCCACCACGUAAACGUGGCUCGCUUGGUUGGAUUUUGUGCUGAUGGAUUUGUACGAGCUCUUGUUUACGAGUUCUUCCCCAAUGGUUCCCUGCAGGAUUUCAUUUCAUCUGCAGAUAGUAAGAAUUCAUUUCUUGGUUGGGAUAAGCUACAAGAUAUUGCCCUAGGCAUAGCCAAAGGAAUUGAAUAUCUUCACCAGGGAUGCGAUCUACGAAUCCUGCAUUUCGACAUCAAACCCCAUAAUGUUUUGCUAGACCAAAACUUCACUCCAAAAAUUUCUGAUUUUGGUUUGGCCAAGUUAUGUUCCAAGGAUCAAAGCUUGGUGUCCAUGACUACAGCAAGGGGGACCAUGGGCUACAUUGCACCUGAAGUGUUCUCCAGGAAUUUCGGAAAUGUGUCGUACAAGGCAGAUGUUUAUAGCUUUGGAAUGCUACUGCUUGAGAUGGUAGGAGGAAGGAAGAAUAUUGGUUCAAUUACGGAUAACACUACAAAUGAAAUUUACUAUCCACAGUGGAUUUAUAAUCUUCUAGAGGAAGGGGAUGACCUACGAAUCCACAUUGGGGAAGAAGGAGAUGGUAAAAUUCCAAAGAAACUUGCAAUUAUAGGGCUAUGGUGUAUCCAGUGGCACCCGUCGGAUCGUCCUUCCAUGAAAAUAGUGGUUCAGAUGUUAGAAGGAGGAGGAGAAAGCUUGAGUAUGCCGCCUAAUCCCUUUGUGCCUACUGGUUCUACAACUAGGAAUGCAAGACACCUAGAGCUAGAAGCUAUUGCUGAAUUAGAGUAAAAUGUAUAUGCAGAUAUGUAGACGUAUAGAUAUAGUAAUAUUUAUAUUGAAUAAGAGGCCGUUUGAUAACCAUUUCGUUUUCAGCUUUUAAUUUUUAUUUUUCACUUUUUUGAAAACUAAAAACUAAAAUCUUGUUUGGUAAAUACUUUUAGUUAAAAAAAAAUGAAGACUGAGAACUAAAAUGUGAAAGCUCAAAGGAAGUAGAUUAAAAGUAGUUACCAAACAAACCGGAAUCUCAAUAAAUAAAAAAGAUUGAAUUGCACAAUGCAAUCCAAACCAAUCAAAACAUUUAAAAUAGCAAAAAAAAAUUAAAAUUCUAGUUGAUUAGAUUCUAAACAUAGUAAAAAUGAACAGAUCCGAUGAAAAAAACAAAAAAUUCUCAGAUAAAAAUAGGGAUAAAGUAAAAUAUUUAUAAAUAGCUCUUUGUCUCUUAUGCCAUCAAUUAUUUCUAUAGUAUAUACACGUUUUUGGAAAAAUUAGGUUCCCAUCCCUUAUUUUCAUAUUACAUUGAUUGAAAUCUUAUUAUUUUUCUAUUUUAGAUCAAGGUCCCUUGACUUAUUCUAUGUCAUCAUUUUAGUAUUUAAAAUAUUACACGUUAUCAUAAACGAAAUCUCAUCCCUUUCUGCAUUUAAGGCAAAAUAAACUAUAUGAGUAAGUUUAAAACAAGGAAAAUCCAUUUGAACUCCUCCAUUCUUCUUCUUCUCUUAUAAACAUCUGGAAUCUACAACACCCCAAACCCAAUUUUCUCCAUUUUUUCUCCUUUCCUGAAUUGAUCCAAUGCAUAUAUGUUGAAUAAACCUAUUGUGAUUAAAAUACAAAUUAGCAUCAAUGGUUUUAUUGGCUUGUGAGAUUUGUGUGGCAUAGGCAAGGCAAUGCAGGCAUCGUUUUCUCAAGGAAUCUGGUUGAUUCAAACAUGCAGAGACUGUAGAGUGAGUGGGCUAUGUGAAAACUGUACCAUUCUGAAGUCAUUUUCUUUUGUUCUUUAUAUUUUUUUUUCUUUUUCUUUUAUUAUUAUAUAUUAGUCUUGGUUAUUCAAUGCCUGGUUGGCUACACUUAUAUCCAUGGGUACAUUUUUAAUCUACAUGUUUCGUUCUAAUAUAUCUAUUGCUAUAAUAUGUUUUGGUUGGUUCAAAUUUGUUUUACAUAAAUAUAUGGGUACAAAGUUUUUGGAGAAUAUUAUGUAAAUGGUUUUUAAGGUUGCUGCAUUUUACGUACCCACAUAUGCAUGUCUAUAAAACAAUGUGGUAUGAUGUACAUUCUUUUCUUUGAGUUUUUAAAUGUACCCAUGAGUUUUUUUGUAAAUUCGGUAUGUACCCAUAUGCUAUUUAUGUUAUGGGUACAUACAUUAUUUUUGGUCUAAGUUCAGGGUACAUUGCUUUUGUAUGUAUGAAUUCAAGGGGUACAUUAUUUCCCUUAAUACUACUCAAUAAAAUUCACAAAAUAUGUGUAGUGUGCAUGAUUUUUUAUUGUAGAAAUUGUUUUUUUUUAAGUCUCAUAAUUCAUGAAAUUUGUACAUAUAUGAUCCCAUAAAUUUUUUAAUUUUAUUAAAUUUCUUUUAGACUUGAUCGAUUGAUUGAAUCUCAUCAUACUAGGAUUUUGAAUUACAUAAAUUCUUGGAUUUAAAUCCCUUAAAUGUUGGACUGCAAUCAAUAUUUUAAAUUAUAGUUUUUUAUUUAAGAUAUCAAAAAGAUGACAUGGAAAUAUAGUAAUACUAAAAUGCUGAGGUGUACAAAGUCAAAGGACUUUGAUCAAAAAAUAAAAAACAAUAAGAUUUCAAUCUAACAAUUAAAUUGACUAGGGACCGGAACCAAAAUGACCCUAGAUUUUUAUUGAGUUUAAUCUUAAUCAAAAAAAGACUUCUUGUAUCACAGAAAAUACAAGAACCAUUAUUUGAAUGAAAUAAAAGCUAUGGGAUGGAGAUAUAAAUGGAUCAUUUUAUUCACAAUCGGAUUAUAUUUAUUUGAUACACUAUUGUCAAUAUGAAUGUUGAGAAAAAGACUACAAAAGAAAAAACAAUUUAUAAAUAUAACUAACAAUUCCAAUUUCAAUCAAUUAGACAAUUAGAUAAUACAUCAGUAAACGCGGGGUGACUCAGUGGUUAGAAACGAAUUUUAGGCUCGUAUUCUAUACAAUACGUCUUGGGUUCGAUUCCUGACAAUGGUGAAUCACGCGACGGUAGAUAUAGGGGUGUUGUUGGAAGUUUUGAGACUCAAGUCCUUUAUAUAGAUUUAGUGCUUUAGUUUAGUAAUUAGAAUAUGGGUCAUUUGGAAAUGGAUUGAAGGUUUGGGCCUUAUGGUUGUGUGGAUUAGGCUUGUAUAAUAUAGCCUAAAUACAAUUAAUAUUAAUUAAUCAAGACAAGGGCCUUGGGCCUUACUUGGGGCCUUGGAAUUUAAAAUUAAUCUGAUUCAUUAAUUUUAAUUUUCGGAUUAAGUUUUUAAUUAAUUUAUUAUUAAUUAAAAACGUUUUGAUUAAAAGACACAGCUCUUAGAAAAGAGUUAUGAACCUUCAAAUACACUGAACUGGUAUUUGAAAGGGUGUGAAACAACCUAUAUAUCUGCAAUCCAUGGUAUCCAAAUAAAUCAUCUUUUCUUCUUCCUUUUCUUCCGUACAAACUUUCCAGAGAGAGUAAACACACAAAGCAAUUCGCUAGAAUUCUAUAAUUUAGUGCGGGUUAUAGGAUUAGGUAGUUGUAUCCUGGUCGAGCAGACGUUAUAGAACCACAAGCACAAGAGUGGGACGGAAUUACUGUUCGAAUGACAUAGCUUUUACGUUAGCCUCUACCUUCUGUAAUCAAGUUAGUACCGUUGACAUUCUUAUAUUAAUUUCUGUAUUUAUUGUAUACUUUUCAUUUUGUAUAGCAAGUACCUUUUGUUAAAUAAAAAUUGUGAAUUUCAAGUUCUGUUUAUUUCUGUUAUUCUGUUUAUUUCUGAAUUGUUCUCCAACACCCCUAUAUCUACCGUCGCGUGAUUCACCAUUGUCAGGAAUCGAACCCAAGACGUGUUGUAUAGAAUACGAGCCUAAAAUUUAUUUCUAACCACUGAGUCACCCCGCGUUUGAUUAUAUUUCACUUAGACUUAUCUUGCGGUAUAGCAUGUCAUCCCCGCCCAAGUUUUUCUGUUGGCAUUGAGUUUGGGAUACCAAAACUUGCCAAACAAAGUAGAUUGAUUAGUAAGCGAAGCUAAUUAUUCGACUAAACAUUGUUUAGAAUUUUAAUUAAAAGAAACAAUAUGAAUCUGUUUAUUUUUUUUUUUGACAAACUAUAACGUUAAGGAGUUAAAUUGUUAGUUAUUAAGAGUACAAUGAUAGGUGAGGAUCGAACCUCCACCAGAGUGCAUAGACAUUAUUGGUUCUACAACUGCGGUAAAUCACAUAAAACAAAACGUAAUACUUUGAGGAUGGAAGACACUUCGUGGAUAGCGGGCAAUCAACACUAUCAGUUGCUAUCCAAAACUUGGAAUUAUGUUUAUUGUCCGAAGGAUUUUUCUUCCAUUAAAUUGCUAAGGAAGAUGAGGAUGGGUGGAGUGUCUAAAUGUCAAGGUUGACAAGAACGUGUAUGGUGUUCAGCUUGCGAUUGAGAUUUGUUAGAGUGGCACAACAAACCACAUAAAAUUUUCUAAAUGAUAAGCUUGAGUAUAAUUUUUUAUCACGUAUUUAUCUUUAAAAUCAUUAUAAUUAGAUUUUCUCUUAAUUAAUAUAGACCGUUAGAUUCAUCUAAUGACCCAAGUUUUUUUCCUCUUUUCUUUCCACUCUUUUCCAUUCACCGUGUAGCAGUCGUUCUUCCCCAACUACGUUUCUUAUUUUUCUUCACAAAAAAUUUGUAGAAAAUAUUAAGAAAAGAAAAGUCAUCAAUAUCAGACUCGACCAGGUAAUCGUUCCAACCUUCCCAGCAACUCUCAGUCUUAACUAGGCACCAAAUUUUCUCCGCCACCUAACUCGUCAUUCAUUCAUGGGUGUUUCAAGCUUGGUGAAAAUUGAUAGAGUUCCAUGUGUGUACACGGAUGUGAACAUAUUGGCCACUCUCUAAGAAUGAGUCAUUGGAAAAGUUGAAGGAAAGAUGUAACCGAUGAAAUUAAUGGAUUGGAAUUACAAUGAAGUCUGUGUUGGUUUAUCACAAAGAACCCAGAUACAAAAUUUUAAAAGCAAACAAUUUCAACUUCUCAAAUAUUAUCUAACAAACUUUCAAUGAAAUGUUGCUCAUAAUUGAAAAAAGGUUGACGAAGGACGGAGUUGGGGUUAUUUUAGAUGAGGAAGAGUUAAAAGAAGGAAGCACCAUUUAAUUAAUAAAAGUGAUUGGAGAAAUGGUAAUUCAAUGGUGGGCGUUUUUAAGGUGUGGACCUUGUAUCACACCCUGAUCCCAACAUACAUUGAGGAUCGACACGUGACAUGGGGACAUAGGGGACAAAAAUCUUACAUAAGAUACAGAAUGAAAUACUAUAUAAUAUCCCAAAAUGAAUAUGAUAGUGGGUUCACCCCUAUAAAAUACAUACGAGUUUGUACAUUCACAAAAAAAUAAAAAAAAUAAAAAUAAAUAAAAAUAAAAAACACACACACAACUCUCGCUAGGCCAAGACUUGCCCAUGGUGCUCAAAGGAAAGUCCCAAAAGAAAUAGUACAAUGAAGGAUAAAGGGGUAACCUAAACACUCCAAGUCUCUGAUCUCUGCACUGCUACCCCCACCGGCUCCUCGUAAUCUACUCAGACCUGUCACAUGUACAAACAGUGCCUACAUUGUGGGAAUGGUGCACCAGGCAAACAAAAACCCGGAUAAGCUGCAAAACUCGUGUGAGUGACAAUAAUGCAACGUAUGUGAUAAUCAAGAAAAACAGACCAUCGAUCACAGUUUAUAAAUCUCAAAUAUAACUUCAUACUUAUGAAAUCAUAAUCAAGUCACUGAAAACUUCGAAUGAGUCACCCAGACAUCUAACGACUUUUCUAAAUCAAAUCUCAGAGAUUCCCAAAACUAUCGUUCACAAAUACACUAAAAACUAGGGCUAGAGUGACACAGUUCAGCCAAAGCCUACAUAAGUAACCAAAUAAGAAGUGGCCCCCCAUAGCGGAUUAACCAAGCAGAGCCACUCCUGAGAAAGUAACCAAGUAGGUAGUGACCCCCAUCACGGAUUAACCAAGCAGAGUCACUCCUACGAAACUGUUAGGUAGUGAUCACCCAUUACGGAUUAACCAAGCAUGAUCACCCCUAAGCACGUAUGGCCAUACCUAAGAAAUAAGGAUCGCCCAUCGCGGAUUAACCAAGCACGAUCCAAAAAUAUUAUGGGUCCCCUAUCGCCGAUUAACCAAGCAUGACCAUCCAUGUACCACUGCUACAUGGUGUAAAUUCGGUGUCACCUAACCUCGUGACACUAGGGUAACGGUCCUCUAGUAGCCCUCACGUUUUUCAAACAUUUCAAAUAUAUAAUUUAAAACACAAUUCAUAAACAUUUCGAAUAGGGAAGUCACAUAGUGUUUAAUAAUGUAGGUCAAUGGCAAACUUUAAAAACAAUUAUUUAGCAUAAAACAUAUUUUAGAAAUCCAUGCUGUAUCCACAAAGUAUACUAGCACGGGAGAUUUUCAGGGUAAUAACUCUAUCACAUAUAUUAAAGUCACUCACCUGGAGUCCGCACUAACGCACCCUGGCACGAAUAUCAAGACGUCGCGUACUAUCAUCUGCAACAUCCCACAUCGACCAACGAAGAGGGGGUGAUGUGCCUUCUAUGUACAUGCCCACCUCCAUAGCAUGAGGCAUUUUGGGAGCUCACUGGCUUCAUAUUCCAUCGGAACUCCAAAGUUAAGCAAGUUUGGGCGAGAGUAGUCCCAGGAUAGGUGACCCAUUGGAAAGUUAUUGUGUGAGUCCUAGAAACAAAACCGUGAAGGCGUGGCCCGAGGGGGCCCAAAACGGACAAUAUUGUGCUACGACGGAAUCGAGACUGAGAUGUGACAGAAUGGUAUCAGAGCCACUCUGCCGUGUGGUGCGAGUGUGCCGACGAGGACGUCGGGCCCCUAAGGGGGGUGGAUUGUAACAUCCCACAUCGACCAACGAAGAAGAGGUGAUGUGCCUUAUAUGUACAUGCCCACCUCCAUUUAGCACGAGGUCUUUUGGGAGCUUAUUGGCUUCGGGUUCCAUCGGAAAUCUGAAGUUAAGCGAGUUCAAGCAAGAGCAUUCCCAGGAUGGGUAACCUACUGGGAAGUUCUCGUGUGAGUUCCCAGAAACAAAACUGUGAGAGCGUGGCCAGGGCCCAAAGUGGACAAUAUCGUGUUAUGGCGGAGCCGAGAUUGGGAUGUGACAUUGUCACCUAAGACAAAGUACAGAUCCACAUUUAGAGUUCUUCAAGUAUUCACAUAAUAAAAAAUUUCCAUACGCCCCCUACAACUAAUGAACAGAAAUCGAGACACGUUGACAAAAAGUCAACCGUCGAUCAACGGUAGGGUCCACAACCCUACAUAACUCGAUCCGCAAUAUCCAACCACUGUAUUUGUGAUUCAUAAGUUCAUAAGGUCUUCAAAUCCUACCUACAAUAACAUACUAAACUUUGGUGAUGAUCUAAUGGUCGAAUCAUCAUUUGCUAUAAUGUUCAAAUGACGCAAAUUCAUCAAUCAGAUGUCAAAUAUGGAAUCAGACAUCGAAUUUAGCUUAGGAAUGUCAAGUGGUGUCUCGAGCACGCACCGCCGUGCGCAACAGCUGGCAACCUAGAUUCGUCGGAAAAAUCACCUAAUUCCAAAAUGAAUGUUGUGAGACGUGGAGUAAAUUGUAUACCUGUGAAGAAGCCCAAUUUGGCCGGGAAGUGGCCUGAAAUCACUUUAGACCGUCGGAAACCCUAAAAUAGGUGAAUCUCGAUUCGUCAUCCCCGGUAUUCCACCGUUCUCAAACUUGUUUAGGGUUUGCUCAUGGUCUCAAAAGAAUGCUAAUGAUGGUGGUGAUUGAAAGAGAACGUUUCAGAAAUAGUGAAUCACCAAUGAGGGUUUCACGAAACCGACAUGGGUGUUCCUCGUGGAACCAAGACCAAAUCUCAACGGUUUUGGCUAGAAAUGGAUGCUGGGAUGUCAUGGUGAAGUUUGGUAGUGAUGGGAGGUUGAAGAAAGACAAAAAAAAUCGACAAAAAAAUCGUCGUCGGAGUCGCAAGAAACGAGUUAGAAAAAUGAGUCGUCGGGUCUGAAACGUCGAAGGCUUUUGAGACAACUACUUACUCUCUCUUCUCUGAUUAGUCACUCCACUCACUCUCUCAUUUGAUUGGUCCAGCCUUCCCACAUGGUGGGAGUUCCCUCAUAUAGUAACCCAAAAUUUACUAUUUAAAUCUGGUAUUGAACGUCCGUAACUUUUUCGUUAUGGUUUCGAUUCGCAAACGGUUUUCACCUAUGCGCUCGUAUGAUCGAAUUAUACUCAAAAACAUUAAUUAUGACCUCGAAAAGGUCUACGAGUUUUAAAAGAUUAAUUACAAAAAUUCACACCUUGUAACUAUACGAUUCAAAUCCUAAAAUUAACGGAAUUAAAAUAAACUAAAAAUAAUGUAAACACGAAAUACAGACUUUAAUAAUGAAAUACGUAAUUAAUAGUGGAAUUCCGGGGAUGGGAUUUCACAACUUGCGUCCGGACCUUCAAUGCGGAUCAAAAUCCAAAGGUCGUGAUCUGACGAGCUCAUGCAUAGAACAGAGUUGUUGUGACCCAAUGCAAUUCAAAACUUUUAUGUUUUUUUAUUUACUGGGUACGUUUUUUAUUUACUGGGUACAUUUUUGCAAGACGUUAAAGAAAGCGCUUCUUGGGAGGCAACCCAUGUAUUCAAAAAAGGAAGAUCUAUGAAUCGCUCUACAAUUAGUUUUGCGUUUCUAAAAACCUUCCCUUUUCUGCAUUUCUAUUUUGCCAUGAUUGUCAUUUUUUAUUUUUGUUGUUUAUUUAAUUAUUUUUGGGUGUGGGUUUAUUUUUGAAACAUUGACAGAUAUGCAAGAUAUUCUUACAUUCAUUUUCAUGAAAAAAAGAAAAGGGAACAUUAAGCAGGAAAUUACAAGAGGGAGCCUUCACAAAGGCUGCUUAGGAGAAGUCUCAGUAGUCGGCGGAGCCCCAGAAGAAGGAGGCAGCGGAGGUUGAUCAUUUGGAGCUUCAGUACGCGGUGCAGCCCCAGAAGACGAAUGCAAAUGUUGUUGGAACAAACCCACAAACCGCUGAUGAUCAAGUAAAAUCUGACAAUCAGAUUCCUGCAUCUGGUCAAUCUUCCUCUUCAUGUUUGUAGCAUAAUUAUGUGCGAGCCUGUGCAACUGUUUAUUCUCAUGCUUAAGCCCUCUAAUCUCCUGCUUAAGACUCAUCACUUCAGCCGCCAAUGAUUCAACUUGACGGGUUCGGGCAAAUAGGCGUUGGGCCAUAUUAGACACGGAACGUGCGCACUGCACACUGAGAGCUAGAGAAUCCUUUACAUCCAACUCAUCAGACCGUUUGGCAAGUAGUCUAUUAUCUUUGGGAGUGACAGGGUUCCUGACCACCACCGCAGCUGUCAUAUCAUUCUUCAUCACCGAAUCCCCAACGAUAAGGGGACCAGUAGGGGAUAUGAAGGAUGGGCGCCAUAUGUUGUCUGGAGAAGGCGGGACUGCCUCUUCACCAAGGUUCAAGUCAAAACGACGAUCGGAUGGGCCAAACAUUUUCACAGGUGUUAAAGAAAGAAGAGGUCGGACAAGUCAAGAUCGUAGAAGUGCAAGAUGAGAGUUUUUACAGGCAGAAAUUCAAGUGUGCUUUGAACGUCCUACGUACUUCUAUAAAAAUCAGCACUCGAUGGGAUUUCAGAGAUCGAAGAGGCAAGCUCAGAAAUCGAAGAGGCCAACUAAAAAAAUUAAAGAGGCGCUAGCUUUCUCAAAAGCUGAGCUUGCUCAGAAACCACGGCCAAUCUUCUUUUCCAGAUUUGUCCGCACUUGUCACAUGCAACUCGACGGGAUUUCAGAGAUCGAAGAGGCAAUUCCAGAUAUCGGAUAGGCAUCUGCUUUUGCAGACGUGUCAACAUCUGUCACAUGCAGAGUAAGCUUUGCGAAAAUCACGGGCAGUUUGUGAAGCGCCGAUUCCAACCAUCUGCUUUUGCAGACGUGUCAACAUCUGUCACAUGCAUAGUAAGCUUUGCGGAAAUCACGGGCAGUUUGUCGAAGCACCGAUUCCAACCAUCUGCUUUUCCCGACGUGUCAACAUCUGUCACUUGCAGAGUCAGCUUUACGAAAAUUACGGGCAAUCUGUCGAAGAUCUCUUGUGAAGUUUACUAUUAAAUCAUCCAACGGUUGCUGACAAGAGUGAAAGAAUAGUACCGACUAUUAAUUCCUAUAAAUGUCAUCCUUCACCCUCAAUUGCAAGGCAGACAUACAUAACCCCCUUCUUCUCAGAAAAUGCCUUUCCAACACACCCUCUCGAGUCACUCAGUGUUCCUAAUUCCUUGGGGUACCUCUGCAAACAACUCAUCCAAAGCAAAAGUAUUUCAUAUCAUGAAGGUUGAAAGCAAGAGUAUCUCAUAUCAUGCUUUCUCCCUGUCCUUCUCCUUGUCUUUGUUUUAGGACAAGGAGAAAGAGAGCAAUCAGCCAGCACUUGGUAUCAAUCUUCCGAUCUGGAACCGACUGCCUGGAACCCCUUCCUGAUUGCUUACCUAGCCUUGCUCUCGAGAACUCAUCUUCAUCAUCUUAUGCUUCCUCUUCGUCUACCACAUCUGCCUGGGGAACAGAUAAGGGAAGUGAAAAUGAUACCUCGAAGCAUGUGGAAACAAUUUACCAAUUCAUCCUUAGCUAGGGACAAGGAGAAAAAAAGCAAGAGGUGGGCACUUGGAAAGAUUGAAGAAAGAAACAGACCAACACCUCUACCUCAUGCCUGCCCGCCGUGCAGAAGAAUCAAGCAGAGAAGAAUACAGACUGCACAAUCAAAUCAGGGAACUCUCAUAUUUCUCGCUCAGAAUUCCAAACCAGUUCAAGAUCAACGCUGUGGAAAGUCAACAAGAUCAUCUAUCUCCAAAACCAGAUUUGCGUUCUUAAACUCUACUCUGUCUGGUUUUUACUUUGCUAUACUUGUCAUGUUUAUUCGUUGUUUGUUUGUUUGCUUGUUGUUGUGUGAGUUUAUGUUUAAAACAUUGAGGACAAUGUUUGAUUUAAGUGUGGAGGGAUAACCAUUGUUUUGCAUGAAAUUCGUAGGAGUUUAUCACCCAUUACUUCUAGUGUUGUUCCUUGCUGUUUUAAGUGUUUUAAGCUGUUUUGGAGUGUUUCAGUGUGUUUUGACAUAAAAAUCCGAAAAUCUCAUAAAAAUUUGAAAAAUUGUUUUGAAAAACCAAAAAAGAGUUGUUUUUGUAUGUUUAUUUGUGUUUUAGGGUACCUUCCAACACAAUGAUGAGGAUUUGGUUUUUAAUUACAUGACUGUUAAAGAGAAUUAUAAACAUGGAUGAAAAUUUGAUUUACUCUUUGGUGUAUGCUUGGUUGUGGUUAUAAUUUAUGAAUUCACAUGCAAUCAUAAAGGAAAAAUCAAUUUUGUAACAUGCUUGAAAGAAGGAACUCAAAUGUACGCUACAACCUUGUGAGACUUGAGCCUAGACGUUUAUUUGGAGAGUUAAUAAUGUGCAUUUUUGUUUUCUAAAGUCGUUGUAUGAUCUCAUUAUUCUUUGCUUGGUUGCUACCUAGAAUGCGUUCAUCAUUAUAGAUCCACAUACUAGAACUCAUGCCCGUUCCAUUCAAAGCAUGACAUUAAUUUGCAUAACACAUAUCCAAGAUGAAGUUGUUUAGUGAACCAAAGCCAAAAUAGCCGAACCCACCUUUGUCAUUUGUUUUGUAGGUUUAAACCCCGUUGAGCCUUGUUUAGCCUAUUUUCUUUGUUAAACCACAUCAUCUCUACCUAACCUAGAAUAGGACUAUCCAUACCCUUGUUCUUGAAGUAUAGUGGAGCAUAACUUAGAAAGAAUUCAUUUUGAAACUUAUUGGGGGAAUUUAGAUUUCAAAUUUUUUGUGUGCCAAAGAAAACGGCAAGAGAAAAAAUUCGUGAAAAAAAAGAAAAAAGAAAAGAAAAAUUUGCAAAUUUUCCUGUGUUUAAAAGUAGAUGCCUAAAUUAACCCUUACAUUAAUUUUCCUUGAAUAAUUUCUCAUUCCAUCUAAUUUAGAUCCAUCUUGCUCACUAUUCUUUUUAAAUUUGUGGAUUUUGAAAUUUCAAAUGAGAAUGAAAUUGGAUGAGUUCAAUUUUCGUUUAAUUCUUACAAUUAAUAAGAAAUUCCGUCGAAAACAUUUUGAGUAUUGUUUAAUUUUUCAAUAUUACCGUAUUGUGUCAUUGAAAUAAUUAUCAGAGGAAUUAGGGAAUUCUCUUAAGGAACAACUCAAAAUGUAGUACAUGAUUAAAUAAUUCCUUUGAAUGGUCAACUAUGAUCAACAUAUCUUGUAUCAGAUCUUAGUCAAAUACCUGUUAAGAGUGUAAAUUUCUUGUGUGAAAAUGAGUGUAUCUAGUAAUUUUGGCAUUAGGAUGUUACUACAUUCUCAAAAUGCUGUUUUUUGAUUAAAUGAGCUGUGAGGUACUAAUCAAAUAUGCUCGAGGGUAAGAAUGGCUUAAAUUAUGUGAGUGGUGAUCUGGUUCAUGUUUCAUUAAAAAUCCCUGAGGCAAAUGUUGGAAGAUUUAGGUUAUGUUUUGUUUGUUUCGUUUGUUUUGUUUUGCUCGAGGACUAGCAAAAGCUAAGUGUGGGGAAUUUGAAUUUGAUAGGAGCAUUAUUAUGCGACUGAGUUAGCUUGUUCUCAUGCAUUUAUGUUGUUAUUUCUUAGUUAAUUAUGUAUUUUAAGCUAUUUUCGUGUGUUUGUAGGUCCAUAGGCCUUAUAAAGCAAUAAGGUGCAUUUUGGAGCAGUUUUGGGCUUGGAAUGGAUAGCACAUGCAUGGAGUAAGGUGAUGGACGAAAUUGAAGACUAAAGAGGCUUGGAAUGUGUUAAAAAGAAAGAAUAAUUAAUGACAAAGAGCUCAGCAACCAAACAGGGAACAUGAGUCAAGAUUACCUUAUUUUGAUUUAAUCUUUCCUAAUCUUCAAUGUCCCUAAGUUCCAACAACAUUCCUUGUCUAUUUCAUUCACUCAUUGCCUAGCACCACCCUUGUUCCCUCCAUCAUUCCAAAUUUCUUGCAUCAAUCAUCACUCCACCUUAACCCUUGACUCAUUUCUACACCAUUCCACCUCCCUUUCCUUUCUCUACCAUGUGCACAAUCAUUCAUGUUCCCUACUUGCAUUCAUUGUUGCAACACCACUCCAUUUUACCCCUCAUGCUUUGCAUCAUUACUUCACUUUCACCUUUGAAUCAUUUCAACACCACUUCAUUUUACCCAUGGUUUGCAUCAUUACUUCACUUUCACUUUCACCUUUGCAUCAUUACUUCACUUUCACCUUUGAAUCAUUUCAACACCACUCCAUGUCCCCCUCCAUUGCCUUGCCCUUCCUCUAUAAAAGGAAGUGUGUGUAACAUAAAUUUAGUUCAUAUAUUUUUUUAGAUCAUUCACUCCCAUUUCAAUACAACCUUCAUCCAAACACAUUCAUUCAUCUUCACAUCCAUUCCUCCAUACAAACAAACCUUCAAACACUCACCAACACCUUGUGCCAUAGCAAAGGAAGGAAAGGAAAAUGCUUGGACGUGCGUGCUGUCAACUUGGAUCGUUGGAGCGUUUAGGUGUUUUCUUUCUUUUGUUUCCAAUGUUAAAUUCAUUUUCUGAUUUUGUUGCAAUUAUGAGUGGCUAAAACCCUAUUUAGUUAGGGGGAAGUUUGAAGCCAUGAACAUGCUUGAGAUAUGAAUUGAUUUCUUCCAAUUGUGAUUUGAUAAGUUGUGAUUGCAAUUCAAUUAUCUAUUUUAUUCAUAACUGAUUCUUGUAUGUUUAUUAAGGAUGCAUACUUAAUUUUCAUGCAUGAAUUAGAUGCUAGAAUAUAAAUGAGUUUCACCUAAUCGUUACAAGUUUAUAUUCAUGAGUAGUGAAGGUUGUUUAUCACAAUCUGACACACCCCGUCCCGAAGGAGGGCGUGCUGGCCGUCACGUGAGAGUGACGUAACCAUUUACACAGUUCGGAAGCUUUAAAAAAAAAUUCCAAUUACUAAUAUAACACACCCGAGGGUGAGUCCUACUUUUGUGAAUUCUGUCAGAACACCGUUGGAUUCCUCGUGGCCACCAAAGCUCUGCUAACUUGAACCUGGGGCGCAAAACAAAAGCUUGAACUUGAACCUUUCAGGCGCAAAACAAAAGUUUUUUCGAAAACUUUUCAUUUAAAACAUUUCUAACCCCUCACUGUAAAACCUGUAUACUUUCCCAGAAAAUAGUGUAUAUAUAAACAUAUAUAUAAGCAAAAAUCUCGAAUCUCAAACCUUUAACACUUUUCAGAAAUAUAUAUAUAUAUAUAUAUAUAUAUAUAUAACCAUUUGAAAUCUCAAGACUUGAAUCCCAAAUCUUUAACAUUUUUCAAGAAAAGCAUGCCAUGCCAUAAAUCAAAAAUAUAAAUCAGGUGAAAUAAGGAAUCAAUCGGAGACCCUGCAGUUGGUCCUAUACGAUUAAUUCAAUAGCUCAUUAUCUCACUAAGCCGGAGUCACCACAGUAACCUAUACGGCCCUACUCUGCACAUCACUCAGAACUACGUAAGGUAGUCUAUACGAUGAAAGGUGUAAAAAUACGCUCUAGUGCUUCUCUCAUCAUAUCAUCAGCGCGCAUAACUAAGAUCACCCACUAGUCGGAAUCACGCCUAGUGAUCUAUACGACUAGCAUGUCGGAACCCUCACAUGGUCUGUACGACAUCCACCUACUUGGAUCCAAGGCGAGCGUGCGGUGUGGUGAAUAAAAUAAGCACUAACACCUAGGGUGCAGGUUAUGAGCUUAAAACAUCUUAUCAACAAUCAAUUAAAUGAAUAAAUGAACUCACCUGACUUACCUGUGCCUCCACCGCACCAUGCAACAUGUAUGCAUCAAAUAUCAAUUCGUAUAACUCAUACGCAAUUCACAUUUUUCAAUUAAUUCUAUGCAUGGCAUUUUUAAAACAUAUUUUCAUAUAAAUUCAUUUUAUGGGAAAAAUCAAUAGUAUAAAGGUAAUACAAAAACAAAACUGCCCACUCACCUGGAGUUCGCCCAACAACUCCCUAGCACCACACAUCAAGGCGUCAUGAAGAUUAGUGCCUAGAACAAUAAUCAAACCCAACCUCAGAAAUCAUGCCGAUAGAAUACAUAACUUAUAUAAGACGCGUCCCUACGUAGUUCGAUCCGGAUGAUCUGCAACUCGGAUUUCAAAUCCGUAACUUCCAGAGGUCCACAAUAUACCUCUAGGACAACAUCCUAAAAUUUCAUUACCAUCCAACGGUCGGAUCUCCGUCAAUUUCCAAAACUAAGUGCCGGUUAACAUUCUAUUUUAUGAACUUACAACUCCAAUUCCGGAAGAUCCGUAAAUCGGAUUCCCAAUCCGUAAGUUCCUAUAAUCCUCAAAUAUUACGUAUUACAACGUAUCAACGUUUGGUGACGAUCCAACGGUCGGAUCGUCAAUUCACAUUUUCACCUAACUACGAAUCGUAACCAACUUAGGUUCAAUUACUCAAUUUACGUCCAUCAAUUAUCAAAACUGAACCUAGAGCCUUAAUCACAUGCUAAUAAUGACAUUGGCGGGCCAUUGGCCAUGCGCCGCCGCGCGGGCCGCCGCGGGUGGCGGUUGGCCGCCCCCGGCUCGCCGGAAAAUUCAACUAUUUCCAAAAAUUACCAAAAUUUGCAGAUUUGAAGAUAUCAAUGAGUAGAACAACUUUCAUACCUGUGGCCAAGGCCAAUUUGGCCUGGAAGUGCUUCAAUUUCACCAAAACCGUGAAGAACCCUAGAAUUAGGUGUUUCCAAUUCGACCUUCAAACUUGUUCCAACGCCUCAAUUACCUCUUAGUAUUUGUUCUAGGUCCUAAAGGAAUGCUAAUGGUGUUAGUAAUUGAAAGAAAACAUUUCAAAAUUUCAAGAAUUUAAACAAAAGGGUCGCGGCACCCGUGUGGGUGUUCUUCGCGAAAUCACCAUGAAAUUUAAUGAUUCUUGGGGUGAAACGUGAAGAGGGAAGGCCUAGAUGUUGAUUAGGAGUGGUACCUUGACUCAAUUCGUCGGAAAUUUGGACGAAAAUGGUGAGAACCCGCCGAUUGGAAGUCGCGGGUCGCACGGGUAUACGGGUUGGGAAAACCCAUUUCUUCCUUCUCUCCUCCGCUUCUCGCCCUCUCUCCUUUCCUCCUUUCCUUCCUCUGGUUGGUCAGCUUCUCCCUCUCUCUUCUUCUGAUUCGCCUCUCCUCCUUCUUCUCCGAUUGGGCAGUUUUUGCCCAAUCUCUCUUCUUCUUUCUGUUUUCUGGUUCUUCUCACGCGCACACACACACACAACUUCCUUUUUCUCAUCCCAGCCAUCUAUUUCAUUCAUCAUUAAAUCUGGGUCGUCCAUUUUCAUAAAAGAAUUUCUAUUUUACUAAAAUUAUAAUUCCUUAAAAUCCCAAAUUUCAAACGUUAAUAACUUCUUCGAUAUAACUCCAAAUCACGAACCGUCUACGCCCACGCGUCCGUAACGACGAGUACUACGAGGAUAUGUCAAGAAAACAAAUCUUAGAUGGCACGACACAACGAUUAACCUCGAAUGAUGUGCGUGCCUCAAAGGGCAUUUUUGUAAAAUCCUUUAUGAAAACUUUAAAAAUUCUUAAAAUUAGGGACGGGCUGUCACACAAUCGCGUUAAUUGAAUUCUUGGCAAUUGUAUCAUGCAUUCAUAGUUAUAAUUGUCUCGUCAACACUUAUGAUUUUCAUUGAACGUAAUGAUCUCUGAUUGUAUCUCUAUUAUGCAUUAAUAUAGGGGACUUUUAGAGGAUGAUUUGGGUUGUCGCAUGCAUUCAUCCAAUUCAAUGAGUAAAGGAAAAUCUGAGGGUUAAUUUGUGCAUCACGGUUAAUCUGGGUGUUGAGCAUAAUAGUUUAUUGAAAAGCAAUUGGAAAUCGAUUCAUGUACAAGUGUGUCAUGUGUGAAGAACGGACCUCUAACUAAUCCAUCCAUCAUUUUAUUUCUCAAAUUCAUUUUAUAAUCUGCCUAGUUUUAUAACUUGCUUGUUUAUUUCAAAUUCAUCCAAACCAAAAUCCCCUUUUUACUUUCUUGUUUCAAAGUGUUAAAUUUCUGUUUUGUUUGUGUUUUUGAGUGUUUUGAUUCAAGCCAAAACACUAAAUUCAUCCAAAGUUGAUUUAAAGUCCAAAUCUGACUAGUUUGUGUUUUUAGGCAGUUUUGAGUGUUUUUAAGUUGUUUUGAAUCUUUAGAAUCUGUUUUGAGUCCCUUGAGUCUAUUCAAACAUUUUUAAUUUUGUUUUUAUGUUUUUGAGUCAGUUUAAAGGUUUUAGCAAGCCCUCCUAAUCCCCGGUUUAGAACGAUCCCUACUUGCAUUUAUACUACAAUUUGACAACAAGAGGGUUUAAUUUGAGUGCUUAACUUUCAUCGCAUCAUGUGAGUUCCCAGAAACAAAACUGUGAGGGCGUGGCCAGGGCCCAAAGCGGACAAUAUCGUGUUAUGGCGGAGCCGAGAUUGGGAUGUGACAUUGUCACCUAAGACAAAGUACAUGUCCACAUUUAGAGUUCUUCAAGUAUUCACAUAAUAAAAAAUUUCCAUACGCCCCCUACAACGAAUGAAGAGAAAUCGAGACACGUUGACAAAAAAUCAACCGUCGAUCAACGGUAGGGUCCACAACCCUACAUAACUCGAUCCGCAAGAUCCAACCACUGUAUUUGUGAUUCAUAAGUUCCUAAGGUCCUCAAAUCUUACAUACAAUAACAUACUAAACUUUGGUGACGAUCUAAUGGUCGAAUCAUCAUUUGCUAUAAUGUUCAAAUUACGCAAAUUCGUCAAUCAGAUGUCAAAUAUGGAAUCAGACAUCAAAUUUAGCUUAGAAAGGUCAAGUGGUGUCUCGAGCACGCGCCGCCGUGCGCAACAGCUGGCAACCUAGAUUCGUCGGAAAAAUCACCUAAUUCCAAAUGAAUGUCGUGAGACGUGGAGUAAAUUGUAUACCUGUGAAGAAGCCCAAUUUGGCCGGGAAGUGGCCUGAAAUCACUUUAGACCGUCGGAAACCCUAAAAUAGGUGAAUCUCGAUUCGUCAUCUCCGGUAUUCCACCGUCCUCAAACUUGUUUAGGGUUUGCUCAUGGUCUCAAAAGAAUGCUAAUGAUGGUGGUGAUUGAAAGAGAACGUUUCAGAAAUAGUGAAUCGCCAAUGAGGGUUUCACGAAACCGACAUGGGUGUUCCUCGUGGAACCAAGACCAAAUCUCAAUGGUUUUGGCUAGAAAUGGAUGCUGGGAUGUCGUGGUGAAGUUUGGUAGUGAUGGGAGGUUGAAGAAAGACAAAAAAAUCGACAAAACAACCGUCGUCGGAGUCGCAGGAAACGGGUUAGAAAAAUGAGUCGCCAGGUCUGAAACGUCGAAGGCUUUUGGGACAGCUACUUACUCUCUCUUCUCUGAUUAGUCACUCCACUCACUCUCUCAUUUGAUUGGUCCAGCCUUCCCACAUGGUGGGAGUUCCCUCAUAUAGUAACCCAAAAUUUACUAUUUAAAUCUGGUAUUGAACGUCCGUAACUUUUUCGUUAUGGUUUCGAUUCGCAAACGGUUUUCACCUACGCGCUCAUAUGAUCGAAUUAUACUCGAAAACAUUAAUUAUGACCUCGAAAAGGUCUACGAGUUUUAAAAGAUUAAUUACAAAAAUUCACACCUUGUAACUAUACGAUUCAAAUUCUAAAAUUAACGGAAUUAAAAUAAACUAAAAAUAAUGUAAACACGAAAUACAGACUUUAAUAAUGAAAUACGUAAUUAAUAGUGGAAUUCCGGGGACGGGAUUUCACACCUUGCAUCCGGACCUUCAAUGCGGAUCAAAAUCCAAAGGUCGCGAUCUGACGAGCUCAUGCAUAGAACAGAGUUGUUGUGACCCAAUGCAAUUCAAAACUUUUAUGUUUUUUUAUUUACUGGGUACGUUUUUGUAGGAGGAAAAGGGGAAGUCGAGAGAUUCUUUGCGCAUUAAAGAGGGAAAGAGAGAAAGGGGGAGCUAAGAGGUUCUUCGCGCGUUAAAUUUUUGCUUCUGAUUUUGCAACCUAGAAAUAAAGUAUUUUCUUUAUGGUUUAUGGUUCAAGAAUAUAAUGGAUACAGCCUAAAAAUGUUUCUUUUUUUAUUUUUUACUUUUUUUUUCUUAUGUUGGCUUUUGGUUUAUUUUUAUAAUGCACUAUAUAUUAACUAAAUUUAUAAACAUUUUGUAUCUUUGUUGCAGUCAAAUUAAUCAUAUGGGUCGGCAUGACGAAGUUCGACUGAGACAUACAGAUGUUUUGCAAUCUUAAGUCUAACCUGACACACCCCGACCUCAAUAUCUAGUGGACACCAAAAUUGAGGUGUGAUGGCCAUCAUCCGGAUGGGUGAUGAAACCAUAAUAUGCAUGAAACAUAACUAAAUUAUCAACCAAUAAAAUCUAUUGAAAAAUUUGGCAGAACAUCCCUUAAAAUAGGGAUAUGCCCAAAUUAAAAACACUUGCACAUGAUCAAAAUUAUUCAACACUUCCCCGAAGGGCCACACUUAAUGGGACUUCGACCAUCUAUUACAUGCAUGAGAAUAUGUUCAGAGCAUAAUUACCCAAACACGUCUUAUUAAAAUAUUGAGUAAAUACCAUACAAGAUAGAAUACGUCAGAGCUGUUGCAAAAUACCUCAAUGUCCGAUGUAAUCACUGAUAGAAUUACUGAAUCAUGUAUAGAUGGAAAGCUGAUAAAUACAUGUAAUUUGAGUGGAUACUUACCAGCAGCAUGGAUACAAUAUCAUCCACCGGUCGUAACUAAUGACAAGCUGAGAGUAUAACUGUAGUACCUCUUAUUAGUGCAAUGCAUGAUAUGAAUUCCAUCUCACAUAUAUAUGCAAGCCAUAAUCAAACCAAUAAACAUCCAACAAAAGCCACAAUCCUUUUAACAUUCGACCACAAGAUCAAUUUUCAUAUUUCCCAAACCUAGGUUCCAAAGCAUUGUUUCGAAUUAUUAAUACAAGAAACCACCACCACCUCAAUCAACUCCUAUUCCCAAGUGUAAGCAAUUACUAAAUGCAUCACUUUCGACUCUAGUCUUAAUUAGAUUACUUGGGAUACUCAUUCACACCAUCAGAUCCAAGUACUAUUUUGAUAAACUUUAAAUAGCAUGGUUAAAAUAAAUGAAACACUUUUAGAAAAUAAGUGAAGAUGUUGUUUACAAAUAUAGAUGCAUCUGUAUAUAAAAGCUUUGGCGGUUGAUCCGUAUACACUUCCAAAGAUAUAAGCAAGUUCAUUGGAAUAUACAUGCAUAGUUAAUGUAUUACAGUAUAAUUAAUAAGAAAACAAUUGCAUCCCUUUAAGAAUAUAUAUAUAUAUAUAUAGACACACACACAUACAUACACACAGGCCCUUUAUGCAAAGGAAUUUCCAUUUUUUUUCAAAAAAUGGGGAUUAGUUGUGGGGCCCACGUUGCAUUGAACUUUAACGAUCCGAACAGUCUAUUUUGUAAGUCUCGAUUCAUAUAUCAUCCUUGUAAAAAUUCAAUUCAAUCCGAACCCAUUUGCCUAUUUAAUUAUCAAGAUAAAAUUUUAUUGUUUCUUAUAUAACAAAGUAUUCGUUAAUUUCUUUGAACUCAAUUAGAUAUCUUAAACAUUUCCGAUUUGGUUAAUAUUUUGUAAGGAUGAUCUAUGUGGUGCAACUUGAAAAAUAGACGAUUACGAUCGUUAAAGUUCGAUGUGGUGUAAACCCUACAAUUAAUCUUCAUUUUUAUAAAAGAAUGGGAACCCCUUCCCUUAAAGGUUUCCUAUGUAUAUAUUUGUUCUCCAGACAUAUGCAGAAGGUAAUGUAAAACUAAUGAGAACUUAAAUGGAUAUUCCAUACAUAGGACAAUUCCAUAUAUGCUUUUUCAACAUUUAUAUCGAAAAGCCAAAUUGUUUUGAGGAAAUUAAUUGUAGCAAUGAUCCCUUAACUUUUAUCUUAUUGGAACAAUGGUCUCUCAACUAAAAAUUCAUGACCAUUGGUUCCUUAACACCACACAACGUGUAGUUAUGGUCAUUUUCAUUAACUCCGUCAGAACUUUUGUUAAAACAAGUAAUGUUAGAAGAAUCAUUGCUACAAUUAGGUUAAAGUUGGGGACCAUUGCUCUAAUUAAAUUAAAAUUGAGGGAUCAUUUCUCCAAAUUGCUUAAAGUUCAAGGACCAUUUCUACAAUUUUCUCAUCUAGUUUCCCAUAUUUACCCCAUGAUUCAGCUUCACAUGCAUUGCACAUGACUCAUUUUGACAAAAAAUUUAACAAAAUUGACGAAAAUGACCAUAAAUGCACGUUUUGAAGAGUUAAGAGACCAAUGGUCGUGGAUUUUAGUUGAGGGAUCAUUGCUCCAAUUUGGUUAAAGUUGAGGGAUCAUUGCUACAGUUUUCUCAAAUGUUUCGUAUGCGAAAAUAGGCAUUUGUAAAGUUUGGCUUGUUUAUGGCAUUAUUACUUUAGUCUAAAGUAAGGCUGGGAAUGGCACUGUAGAAAUGAAUAGUGUUCCAAUCCGAAUUUCAGUUUAAUUACAACAAUGCCAUUGCUCUUUGUGUUGCCUUUAGGUGAGCAGCCCGGCUUGCAGUCAGGCCCAAAUGUAUUGGUUUUAGCUGAGAAGCCCGGCCCUUGGUCAGGCCCAAAAUUUUAAAUUACAGUUUUGCCCAUACAAAAUAACAAUCCGAUUGUAUCGGGAAGGACAAUUUUGUCCUUUCAGUUUUGGGUGAGAUAAGGGGUAACAGGGUAAGUUUCAUUUGCUGUCGUUUAAUGAGGGUUUCGGGGAUGAGGGCUCUGUGUGUGUGUGGAUGAGAGAGAGAGAGAGAGAGAGAGAGAGGGAGAUGGCGAUGGAAGGAGAGCGAGGGGGAAGGGAAGGGUUCUCGGCACUGUUGCUGCAUGUGGAUUUCACAUGUGGGAGAGUGGGUAUGGUCAGAGAAAACCAUAUAGGUCAUUGGGAUUUCAGGGAAACGGGGUAGGGGUCAUGAAUGAACUCUGCUGAGAGUGUGGGUACCGGAUCUUGCGCUGCAUGCCUCAAAUCAAAGAUAAGUUCGUUUUUUUAUUGUAUUUUUUGUGGUAGCUUAGCUUUUGGAAUUGUUUAGUAUGUUAGGUCCGAUUUUGGGGGAUUUAUCUUUUUAGAGAGAGAGAUGGACAGGGAGAUAGAGAGAGAGAGAGAGAGAGAGAGGAGGAGGAAGCAUGACUGUGUGCAAUUUUUGGUGUUAAUUAAUGGGUUGGUGCGUAGGGUGAGUGACAGAGUGACAGAGUGAAGGAGGGACGUGUGGGAGGGUAUGAGUUUUCAGUUCUUUCUUUUGAUUCAACAGGUUAUACAUUGUUUGAAAAACCUUUUUUUAUUAUUUUUUUCUCGUUUGCUUUGUUAAAACCAUCAUUUGAAUUUUUGGGUUUCACUGUGUUCAUUUCUCUGCUUCUUCAUAAUUUGCUGGUGUUUGCUUUUCAUCCCUCUAUUGGUAGAUCUUUUUCUCAUUUCUUGGUUCCUUAUGUAUUCUUUGGUACAAAUCUAUUUACUUUUUGGCUGUGUGAUAAUCUUAGCAGGUGAACUAUAUGAACGUUUUUUUUGAAACGAGUUAAGAAGAUCCAGCUGAAAAGAGCAUGCAAGAUAGAGAACUGGUAUGCUGCUCGCCAGGGAAAGGCUGCUGGAGAGGCUGAGACGGAUGCCUCCUUCAAAAACCAGGUCAGUUUCCUGCUACUCGGCGUCUUAAUGUAUCCAAAUUGUUUAUCUUUUGAUGAAAUUAGCUGGCUUUAUUUUCUAUUUUAUUUAUCUGCAUAUUAUUUUGGUUUGUUGAAAUUUUGACUAUAGUCAUUGUGUCACAUGGGCGCCCAGCCCAACCCAAAUUAGUUGAGGAUAUUUAAAUCUUCACCAUGGUAUUAUAGUACUCACUCACAGUUGUGAAUACUAAGGUGCAGGCAUGGCAUGAAGAAGUGGACCGUGCACGCCAAGGUCAGAGGGAUGCAGAGGGCAAACUUUUUUCUUUGGAGGUAAGUAUCCUUUGUUUAUUGCCCAACAGUGUUGUUAUUAUCAAUUUGUAGCUUUGCGUUCUGAAUUUUUUGCUUUGUCAAACAACCUUUUUGAAAUGCUCGAUUUCAAGCCGAAGUCCAAAAAAUGAGAGUUGAGAUGGCUUCCAUGAAGAGGGAUGUAGAGCAUUACUCGCGCCAGGUGAAAUCUGCUUCCUCUCUUUUCGUAUAUCUUCAUAUGAAGAGUUUUACUAAGUUAUAUUGAGAACUAUGUUAUUUAUAGGUUAUAUUUUCCAUUUUGCAAGAACACAUGGAGCUAAGGAAGAGCUAUCGUGAACUCACUGAUCUACUGGUAAUGUCACUCAAACUGCUUUAUUUGUGCAUGCUGCUACUAUGCGCUUGAAUGCAUUUUAUUACUGGCGGGAUGCGAAGAAUGCUAGAUAUAUGUGCUGGAUCGCUUGAUUAGUGUUAGGGUUUUAACAACUAAUUGUUAGCAGCUAGAAGCUCUGGUUAGAUGAAUGCUAAUUUGAUUUUCCUUACAGUACUUGAGUGCCAGUUUCAUAUUGUUUGUUCCCUGCUGGAUACAUGCUGUACAGUUUCAUUUCUGUUUCUUCAUAACUUUCUUGGCCCUGCGAUAUAUGCAUAUUGAGUACAAUGAAUAUCCAUUGUUCUCUAACUGUUGGGCUUUACUAUCUUUGUAGCAGCCUGCCUAACAUUUUUUAGGCUCUACACUCUACCAUCCAAUUUAUGAAAAAUUCAAAGAUUGGACGGUAUUGAUUGCAUAAAUGAAAAAAAUACUAUGAUAUUAGAAAGGUGAAUGUAAUUGUGUUAGAAGAAGCGUCUAGCAUGAUGGGUAAUAUUUUAAGUUUGUAUUUCUAAAAUUUUUUCGUUCUGGAGUAUGAUUUACCUCAAUUGUUUUGUACUUUAAUCUUUACUAAUUUUCAUUGUGGAGUAUGAUUUGCCUCAACUAACAACUUUUCAUUGUUUAACUUUUUCCUCCCUUAGAUAGUUGCAUAUGUUUGAUUUGUUAAUCUGCUUCUUACACAUGUUGUUUCCUAAUGGUGUAGGUGGAUUGCCGGAUGCAUGUGCAGAUUACUUGAAUAGACGAAGCUAAGAAUGACUUAGUAUUAAGUGAGAAAGAAGCUUGGGUCAGUUGGAUUUUGACAUUUGAUUUAUUCAUGUUUUUUUGUUGCUUGCAAUGUUCUCUCAUUGUUUGUUCUGAGAUUCUGUGAUCUUAUUUUUCAUAGGAACUGACAUUGGUUUGCCAUAUAAUGUUUCAGGAACUAAUACAACAACUAAUCACCUUGCUUAGGUCUCAAGACACAUACUUAACAGGUUAACAAACGCUAACCUAUAAACUUAUCUACUAAGCUGGACCAUUAACCUCUGUUUAUAUCCCUGCCACUCAUCUUUUGGCACUUAUCAAUAGCAAAAUCUAGAGUUGUUGAAACCCCAAUUUUAAUGAAUAUUAUUUUUAGUUGAUAAUUAAAAUUAAUUGAUGAUUAAUCUAUUCCAUUGUGCAUUAUUUUAUCGCCAAAUACUUUGAAUAUUCAUUAGCAAAAGAUAUAGGGUUCACUAUUUAAUGAAUAGAAUUUUGAUGGUGGAUUGCAUUUCCUGAGUUAUAAAUGUGGUGAAUCCAUUAUUUACUAGCUGAAUAAUCAUAAUGUUUUGGCCACUUACCUUGAAUUUUGUUCAAAUUGAAGAAGUCACAUGUUUCUUUCUGUUGUUGAGGUAAUCUCUCUGUUGAAAGCUUCUAUUUCUUUUUUCUUUUUCUUUUUUUCAUUUGGGUAGAUUUUUUUUUUAUGGAUUUAUGUAUUUUUUUUCUUCAGAGAAUUCGAAAUGAAAUAAGAAUAGCGGAUUGAGCAUAAACAAAUUGAUGAAAUUUUUAUUUGAGUGUUUGUGUUGGUCCUUUUUUGAUUUGUUGAGGUUUGGAAUUAUUUGAGUUUUUUUGCUGUUAGUACUGUGAAGGAUGCUUGGCAAUCGCGAAAUGGGGGCUACCUCUUUGGAAAGAGAAGUCUCGCUAUCCAACCUCUCAUGAAUUACAAACAGGGUGCUUUCUUGCUGAAAAACCACUGAAUCAGUAGAACUUUCCUCGGUUCUUCAAUUCGAUUCGAAUAAUUUUUUUACCCAGAAAAGCCAGCGUUUCCUGGUGAGUUUUACAGCUUUCUCAAUGUUUUUUUUAUUUUGGAUUUGCAAAUUUGUUUUCUGUUCAAAUUUCCUUUUGUGAUUUUGGAGGUUUUGUUUAUCGAUUCUCUCACUCAUCUCUCAGCUCUCUCCCACUUUUGAGGUACAUGUCGUUGGAUUCCGUUUGCUGCUGUUGAUCUGCAGGUAAAGCUUCAAUUACCAUACAAAGUUUACAUUUUUCAUGAUUUCUUGAAUUUGGGUUUUAAACAAAGGAAAUAUUGCUAGAUUCUUAUCUUAUGUGCAAAUUACUGGCUAUUUGGAUUGGUGCUUGAGAUUUAGAGAAUGUCUCGCAGCUUUAAUUUCUUUUUCCUUCAUUAUUACUGUUUUCAAAAUUUUUAUUGCUGGGUAUUGAUAAUUUGUAGUAUGUGAGGGCUUCAAUAUGUUGGAAUUUUGAAUGGUUAUUGCUUCAUCGGAAUUUGGGUGGUCCAAAUUUUGAAUUAGAAGAAACCCAUUUGAUUAAUAUUUUUGGUGGAUUGGUUCUCUGUGUUUUCUUUGCUAUUUCUCCCCCAGUUGGAAAUUGGAAGCCCCAACUUUGAGCUCAGAGCUUGAAUUUCUCAAUCGUUCGUUUCUCUACACUCUCAUCAGUCACUCUUGAUCCUCUAUCUAAAGAACUGGGUAAUUUUCCAGCUCUAUCAAGUAAUACUCAAUUUAAUUGCUUAAUUGAGGUUUUUUGUUUCUCUUUUUCGCUCUUUCAUCAGUUCAUUGGCUUUGAUGUUGAGCUUAAGUAAAUGGGAGAUCAUUAAUUGGCAUUGUUCAAAAUAUAAUUAUGUGUUUUUGGAUUUGUGAAACGAUUUGCCUAAUGAUGAUAGUGGUUAAAAUAAAUUUUUCGUUAUGAAAGAGAACAUUGUUCUUCAUUUGCCUACGGUUUUAACUACAAAGUUAAACUACUAUGCUUUUGUUCAAUUGAUUGCAACUCAUGCCGCAGUUUGCUUCACAAACCUCUAUGGUUAGCUUCCAUACAGUAUGUUGCAAGUUUGAGGAUAUCUUUACAUCUUAAUUUUUGCUCUCUCUGGUUGCUUCAAGUUUGUAAUUUUACGUGUUACAUUGCUACUUGAUUUGAUUAUAAAAAUGCAAAAGAAAAUCCAUUUUGCUUUUAUUCAACUUAAAUGUAUCCUUUUGUUUGUUCAUAAUUGUGUUGAAUUUAUUCAACUUAAAUGUGUUUUAUUCAUCUGUUUACGCUUAAAACAACUGGUUCCCCUAGCAAUGCGCGGACCUAAUUUCUAGUACAUAUACUAAAAGCCAGCAGAAAAUUACUGUUCAUCAUGGGAGAUAGAGCACUGUUCAUUAACAGUGAAAGGGAAAAAAUGCCCUCGGUUUCUUCUUUACUUCACGUACUGUUUACGAAUUGCUACAGUAUAAAGUCCGUUUUGUCAUUCCUGUCCACGCAUCUUUCAUCGUCCGUUUCUCUUGCUUCGACCGCAUCUUUUUCGCUUUACCUUUCCUCUUCGUUUUUCGCCUUCGCUAGGCUGCAAUUUUCGGAGGUGGAUUGUUUGCCCUUCUAUUUCCAUGCUCUCCCCAUGCCCUCCAUUGAUGUGUGGUCACGGUUAAACUAUGUCAACAUUUUAUAUUAAUUUUUUUAUAGAAAUAAUAAAAUAAAAAGUAAUAGGUAUCCAGGAAAUUUUCGUCAAAAUAUCCAGGAAAUAGGUAUCCAGGAAAUUUGCUUUACCGAUAUUUUAAUAGGUAUCCAGGAAAUUUGCUUUACCGAUAUUUCGCCGAUAUUAUCGGUUUUUUGCUUUACCGAUAUUUUAAUAGGUAUCCAGGAAAUUUUCGUCAAAAUAUCGCGAUAUUAUCGAUAUUAUCGAUAAUAUCGCGAUAUUUUAGAUAAUAUCGAGACAUUUUGGUUUCUCGACAGUCAGUCACAAUCUCGCCGGAGAAUCAGAAUAACUCCGAGCAAGAACAAAACCUGCAACCAAACGGAACAAAAUCAUCACUAUCUUUCAACAAAAAUCACCACUUUAUACCAAAAUCAGUGACAAAAUUACACUAAUCCGAGAAGCAAGGGCUUGAAUUCGAGCAAGAUCUGGAAGAAAACAGUAGAAGCUGAGAAAUCGAGUACCUCACCGGCAGUUACAGUGCUAAAGAUCAUCAUCUUUGGAAGGCCGCGGAUCAGACGGAGCUGAGAGAUCAAUGAGUAAGCAUUUCAUAGAUCGUAUUCGAUGAGCAGCUGAAAGAGAGGAGAGAGAAAGCAGAGAGAGACGCGGACGAGGAGGAUCUCGCUGAUGGGGACGACGAAGGAGAGGUAGAGGUCGCGGCCCGCGGGACAUGGUGACGGGCUCGACGAGGAGGAAGGCGAAGGAGGAGCAGAGGAGAUGGGUGCGUGCGUGCUGCGGUGCAGAGAAGAGAGAUGAGGGAGAUAUGAGAGAGAGAGAGCCGAGAGGGAGACAGAAGAAAAAGAAAAGAAAACAGAAAGAAGAAGAAAAGAAGAAGGGAGUCGCGGGGGAACAAAGAGAGAAAAGAGAAAAGUGGAGGGGCUGCCACGUGGCCACUUCAGAAAGAAAGGGAUCCAAUGUUUUGGAUCCUGAUUGGGUAGUCAAAGAGGACCAAUUUGAUAUAUUAAAAUGUUUAGGGGAUAAUUACACAAAUAUAUCUUUAUAAAUGGGGGUGGGUGUUACAUAUUGCCCUAAAAAACUCCAAGUAAUUACAACAUCGUAUUAGAAUUGUAAUUGAUCCUUGUUAGAUUUGGUUUAGAAAUUCUAUGUAAUUUAGUGAUUGUUUCAUAUUAGAUUUAGAUUUGAAUUUUUUACUCCAUUCAGAUUUUAAAUGAUUAUAAUAGAUUUAAAAAUUUACGAACUUUGAUGAAGUUUAAUAAUUUUUAAAACUUUUAUGUAAAAUUUUAAGUGAAUUCCCUCAAAUUUUCAGGUAGCGAUUUGAGAAUGUUUAAAAUAUUAUGUGAAAUAUUUCUAAUUUUUUCGAGUUUCCCAGCUUUUUAAAAAUCUCUUUGAAUCAAUUUCUAAAUUAAUACAUUUGGAAUGUAUGAAUUUCUUAAAAAUCAUGAUCGAAUACCCCUUAAACUUUAAAGAAUCACUUAAAAUCCUAAUUAAAUGCCCUUAGAUUUUUAAGGAGAAUUAAAAUGUUUAUAAGCCCCAAUUGGAUGUACCGCUUAAUUUAACUAAUUGACACAACACAACAUAACCAGUUAAGAUUACAAAUUAACACAAAAGACGACUUGAUGCGAGGUCAUAUCUACAAAACUUGCCGCAAUAAGCCCCAAUUGGUGUGUUUAAACUUCUUUCAUUAAUUACUACAUAUUUUCUACACUCAUAAUGUUUGUCAGCUCGCUAUAUAAUCAACUUGAUAAUGUUAAAUCCAUCAUGCAAUGCAUUUCCUUCCAAUUUUUUGUGAUAAACUAAUAGAUAAUUGACUAAAUAAACAUCCUGCAAAGUUUCAAUAAAAAUUUUCAAGUUUUUUUUACAAUUUCCGUGAUUUUCAUGUAAUUUUUAUCGGUAUCGAUAUUAUGCCGAUAUUUUUAUCAAUAUUUCCGUGUUUUCGAGUACAUAUUUCCGAUAUUACCGAUUCAUCCGCGAUUUUCUCCCUUUUCGCCAGCCCCUCUUUUGCUCUCAAAUCCUUGCUCUUUCUUUUUCAAACUAGUCUCAGAAGAGAUCCUGGGUUUAUCUAAUCCUUUGUUGUUCGGCGUUUUGUUCUCAUCUUGCGAUCGUCGGGGCAGCAGCUUUAAGGUAAGUUUGUUUUUAAUGAUUUAUCCUCAAUUUACGAUGUCUGGGCUAACAAAUUUAAGAUCUUUAUUUUUCUUUUUGCUGUGGAUCUGCAGGUUUUGACAAGUUUUUUGUGAAAUUGGUGCUGUCAGUGGGUGUUAAUAUCAGGUACCCAUGUUCAGUUUUUCGUUUUGAUUUGAAGGAAUUUCUUGCGCAGAAGAGCUAGGUUUCUUGGUGAGUUCUUCGGGUUGUGCAUAUGGGUAAUUUUCUUUUAGGUAUAACCCUCUGCUUCUGCUGCUCUCUCUCUCUCUCAUCCCUGCCUGCUCCUCUCCAAUUGUUUGCUGUUCUUAAAUAUUGUGUUCAUUGCCUGAUACAAGGAGCUGCAGCAAUCUGUUUUAUCCUACACGGGACAACGAGGCAAUGGCGUGACAACAAGUGAGCUUGGAUAUCCAAAGAAAAAGAACAGUUGGUUCAUCUGCUGGAGUCUGAAGCUCAGAGAAGUGGAGGAAAAUUGCAGGUGUGCGAGAAAUUUUAUUUUGCUGAUAGGACUCCUUAUUUACCGAUGCAUUUUGAAUUAAUUGAAAAGUUGGAUUUGAGUUAACAGCUAUAAAAAUGUAGACAUGAUUGCUGAGAUUAUGCUAUGAAAGUGGAAUAAAAAAAUGGUAGUUUAUAAUAUUGCGUACCAAUUUUUUUCUCUCUUUUUUACCAAAUGAUAAGGGUGGUGGCUCAGGCCGCCCCCCUACGCGUCCCCACUCUUCGACAAGUUGAAAUCAUGGUGAUAGUUUAUGGGUUGCGGUCUUGGGAUUCUGCAAAUAGAAUAAAAAACAGACACUUAACUAUCUUGUUAUUAAGCAUUUCUGCAUCAUUCAGUUGCUCUUGAUUUUCGUCUUUUAAGCGCUCUUAUUUCUGCGAUCUGACUUGAGGAGGGGUUUUAGACCUAUGGUUGUGGGUGUUUUGUCUGACCCCAUUAAAUUGGUUUCCGAGAUUUGUAGACUUGCGAUCGGCGGUCAAACAUUUCGUGAUUCUUGCUUUUUUUCCGACUGGGAUUGACGAAUUUUGGCCGAAUCUGUUUCCUGUUUUCUUCUCUGUUUGAGCGGCCGCUGCCUUUCGGUCGUUGAGCGCCGGCAGUCUUUAGAUCUUUGGCAAAUCAAUUUAAUACAACCGAGGUAUGUUUUAUAACUGCUGUCUUUCAAUUUUUGUUCUGUAUUUUUGUUAAUUUGGAUGAAGCUCUAAUAAUUUUGUUUUGGAUCAGUUGUGGUCCUCUGUUAGGAUUUUCCUGGCUAAGAGGGUAUUUGCAUUUUUGUUGCUUGGUUGGUCGAUCCAGUGUAUUAAAAGCGUGAGGCGUGGGCGAGGCGUCCGAGGGAAGCUCGGCCUAGGCGUGAGGCGUGAGGCGAAGCCUCAUGGGACCUAAAUUUUUUAAUAUAUAUACAUUGAGCGUACACAUAUAUUAUAUUAAAAAUAAGAAGAUUAUUAAUCAAUAAUCACCUUGAGCACACACAUAUAUUAUAAAUAUAUACACACACACAUAUAUAUACAUAUAUUAUAUUAUAUAUGCAUAAAAUAGAGGAUGAAAAACACAAUGAGCACACAUAUAACAAUGCACGCAAACAACACACACAUCCAUUAUAUAAAAAUAAAAAUCAGAAAAAAGGCAUAGAGACAAAAGUGCAAGGAAGAUGUAUGAGACAGUUAAAAUCCUACCCAAAAUUUGGGUUUGGGAGUAAAGAAAAAAAAAAAAAAAAAAAAACUCACUGAGGCGCGCCUAGGCGGCUCCGGCGACGCCUAGGCGGCCUUUCGCCCACUCCAGCAAAACUGAGGCGUUAGCCAUGGAGCCAAGCCUCAAGGGCGCCCUAGGCGCGCCUCGAGGCGAGUUUUUUAAAACAUUGGGUCGAUCACAAAUUUACGAACAGCUGUGGUGGUCCUGUUAGAGCCAAGCCUCAAGGGCGCCCUAGGCGCGCCUCGAGGCGAGUUUUUUAAAACAUUGGGUCGAUCACAGAUUUACGAACAGCUGUGGUGGUCCUGUUAUUUUUUUGGUAUGUUUUUUCUCCUUUUUGGUUUUUUCCCGGUUUGAGCACCCAUUCAUGAAGAAUUAAAAUGUGUUUAUAGUUUUUCAGGAGAGAUUAGAAAAGUGAUUUCAAUUUGGGAAAAUUUAAUGUUGGUUAAAAUUUGUUUAUAAUUUUUGGGAAGGAAUGAGAGGACCCAUUGAAGUAUGUGUUGUGAUUAUUUUUUAUUCAUAUUUUUAACAAAUUGGGCAUGAAUUGGUAGGUUAACUGUGUGUGUUUAUUAUUUGAAUCGGCCAUGUUUGUCUUUCUAUGGUUCUAAAAAAUUUGUAAAGGCUGUUAACUUGGAAGAAAAUGGGAUCGAGGGUGAGGGGAAAACAGCAGAGAAAGCAUGGAAGAGAGAUUUGGGAUUAGGGGUAGGAAAACAGAUGAAAAGAAUAUGAUAGAGGAAUGGGUUCAGUUCAUUUUCACUAUUUUUUUUAACUGAUUUGGAUUUUGUUUGGGUUUGAGGCCAUCAUUGGCGUUAAGACGUUUAUUAUCAGAUCGUGUGUGUUUUUUGCUAACUUUUAUUGGUAAUUUUUAUGUUGUUCUUAUGAUUUUGUGUGGUAGGGUUUCUGAAUUUUAUCGUUGUUCAUUUGGUUUUUUCUGAAUUUUAUCUGAUUUUGUGUGGUGAGUUUACAAAAUAAUACUAAAUAAAUUUAUUUGUAAUUUCGGAUGAUUGUGAUUCAAUCCUACUACAAUUGAAAUUCACAGAAAGAAUGAAAAACCAGAACAAAACUGCAGCACCUAAAAAGUUGUCAUACAAAAAAACAUGGAAUGUAAAAAUAUGUUAAGAAAUCUAGUUCGUUAAUUUCCAGCUGGUAAGCGGCAUUAUGUAACUUUAGUAGUAUAACUAAUUAACUACUUAUCUAGUGGGUUGCACUUCUAUCCUUGAUCUCAGUUGUGGCUGCAAAGUGCAGGCCACCACCAAGUCUCAGUGUUUGUGUAUUAGCAAAACACUUAAAUAAAUUAAAUUCUGAAAUGUAAAUUAUAUUCCUAUAACUUUAAGAUGCACAUAUAGUAUUGUUGAAGUCGAACUGAAAGCACUGACAAUUCCAAGCAACAGAGCAGCAAUUAUUAAGAGCCAAAACUCAUUCCUAGUCUCCUCAUCCUGGUACUCUACUCCGUAAUCUUCGUUCAGCAUCAUUGACUGAAAUUAGGAGAGAAAAAGAAAAGGAAUUUCAGAAAUUGUCUAUGAAGCAAAGGAUACUGCAGUUACUUCAAGACAUGUAAAUUGCAUAUGUAUAAAGUAAUUUUCUACAUAAAGUAACGAGGCAUAACUCUCUCUCUCCUCUUCAAACCCUAAACAGAGCAAAGCCACAAACUUUACAGAGAUUAGAAUGAGAACUGGAAUUAAUAGAACAAUGACUGAAAAGUAACAUACUUGAGGAGUGAAUGAUUUAGUGUUUCCAUCAUCGGAAAGCCGGAGUAAGUCGCUAAGAGAGGUCGCAAACAGCCCAAAGGGACAAACCCAGACCCCCGGCCCCGAUCCAUACCCUUCCCCCUCAAAUCCCGACGGCCCCCAUACUUUUCUCUGACUGUACCCCCUCUCCCACUCAUGAAAUCGAGGAUCUGUAGCAAUGGUACUGAGAUCCCCACUCCUCCCCCUCCCUUUCUCUCUGUCACUCUGUCUCCCUCUCCCUCUGUCUGUCUAUCUUUAUCCCAGAGCGGCAUGGCCUCGCAUCCCUGAAACCCUCACCGAAAGGUGGCAAUUUUGUAAAUAACUUGAAAUCCACCAACAGCAGGGGCAGAGAAUUGAAACAGACAUUUAGGCUCGUUCGAUAACCAUUUAGGCCAAAACUGAGCACACCUAAACCAUUCCUACUCGUGCCAAAUGUUAGCGGGGAAGCAAGAUGAUGACUUUAUUGUUCAAAACCAAAAGAAAAAAAGAGAGAAAACAAAAUAACAAAUCUAAUGGUUGUAGUGUAAAAGCUGAGAACGUAAAUAAACAUGCAGGGAAAAAAAUUGAAGAUACAAAGUAGCUGCAUCAUGAAACACUUGCUCCAAUUAGACGCAAAAAGUGAUGGUGAUGAGAAGAGAGAGAAAAUGCAGUCGUUUUGAUUUUUCUGGCUUUUAAAGGGAGCAGCUUUCUUCGACCACCAAAAAAAGGAAGCUGCUUUUCGUGUGGUUGUGAUUUCCUGAGUGUAUGUGAGCGGGUCUAUGGCACUUGCACUUUUUGUGUCGGUUACGGUAACCGGGCGAGGUGGACACGGCGGCGUGGGACUGAAUUCGGAGAGGUGAGAAAAAUUAAAAACACAAAAAGAAGGUGUUCAUUUUGUCACAUUUUUAUUACUAAAAAUUCAAUAAAGUACAUUCAUUAGUAUGGUAACUUAACUAUUUAAUUCCAUCUCAUUAAACUAAAAAAAACAAUUACAUAAAAAUAAGGGAAACCUUGUCCAGAGAGACCUGAGAGAAAGUGACGACUUCUCCUCUCAUUCCACUCCAUACUUGAUCUCUAAAGUCCAUUUGGCAUGUAAUUGAUGUUCAAUUUCAAAUUUAGUGGUAGCAAUUAGCAAAGCUAAUGAAAGAAUAAAAUAAAAUGAAAGAAAAAGCAUCAUGAAAUAAAUCAAGAUGAAGAAUGAAAUUUUGGCAACUCGCCAUUCUCUUCUUUUAUACAAAAGAUACAUCCUAUUUGUAGUGAAAACAGGUCCCGACAAACCCAGUUAUCGUCAAGAAGUAUUUUGUAUGACUUUAAAAACAUAUUCCGAGAAAUUAUCUCUUGGCUGAGAACAACAACAAAUCUUCAUGCAUAGCUUGUAGAGAAAGACAUCAGGCAUACAAAAGAACACGCAAGCAUAAAAUAAACGACGCAGGGAAAACCAAAAAUACAAUUGGAUACGCUGUCAAAAGAACAUAAAUAAAUGAAAAUUACAAAACAAAGAAGUGAUGAGAAACCAAAGUACCCAUUUCAUAAUCUAAUUGCUUUUUAGUUUGCUUGCCAUUUUUAGUUCUUCAAUUUAGAGAGAAACCAUAAUUCAGCACAUGAAUAAAGUGAAAACAUAAAAGAUAUGUGGGAUAAGCUAACAGCCAUCCCUGAGUAAUGCAUUCACUUCUGAACCCCAAACACACCAAAACAAAAAUUCACACACAUGAACUACAGCUCUGCUAUGUAACAAGAAUUAAAAGCAUCUCAAAACAAAAUGGCAAACUAUAAGAGCAAUGUAAAAGUAAAAUUGCAAGAAAUCUAAUACUUGGAGGGCAAGUACUAAUCAGACGAAAAUGAAAGAUUGAACUACCUCGCGUGGAACUGUGCCUUGGUUUUUUCCCAUGCUUACAGGAAGCUUUGCACUGAGCUCUUAUAGCCCAAAUUUUCUCUGAAGGGAAAAAAACACAAUUUUGAAAUAAGAUUUUCAUAUUAUACCUUAAAGAGAAGAAUUAGACAACAAAAAAGAGAACAAUGAGUACUUUUCAUCAUAUAUUGUUAGAGUAUGUGGUCCUCUAGUCCAAUGGUCCUGCAGCCAUAUUUACUUUAUAACUCUUUCUUUAGUCUAAAAACAUCUUGGAUCUCAAAUUAAUAUGAAUACGGAUUCAUACGCAUGCAUUGCAUUACAAUCACAAUGCAACAUCUCAUUAGAAAUCCCCACACAAAAUUCUUUUAUUGCUACUUUGAUUUUAGUUUAUAUUUUUUCUGAAGCACGAGGGAGCUAAUUUUUUUUUAAAAAUUUUUUAUUCCAAUAAUGUUAUAGGGUUGAAAGGAUAUUAUCAAUUUAAUUGAUUGUAUUUGAUUGGUGGAACUUCUAUAUCUAUAUUUCAGGUUUUCAAAUUCAGCACUGGGAGAGUCAUUCAUAAAAUGUUUGACAGUGAGAUUACCUCCAUGGAUUAUGCUCACAAUGGACAGCUCAUUUUCCGCGGUGAUGGGACAAUAUAUUUCAGUCAUUCGCCAUUCAAUCAAUUCAAACCGAGGAACAAGCAACAUCAAGAAGAGGAUCUGCCAUGUCAGGAUCACUGUCGUCCAAUUAAUACAAAAAAUCUAGAUAAAAACGAUCAAUUUACAUAAAAGCCUUUCAUUUUCUCAGCAACCAAGCAAAAGAAAAUACCUAUCCGUUAAACACUCGAUUUGGGAGUAAACGUUGCUGAAACUGGACUUCAAUCCCCUCAACCGCAACAAUCGAAUCGAGGUGUGCAAGUCAUUGAAAAACUCACCCAAGAUUUCAAAAUCUGCAUAAAGAAAUAAAUAAGCACAUAAAUUAGCCAACCCUGUUAUGAUCCCACAUCGGGUACACAAGAAAUUGUGUAGUGGUACUUAAGUGCAAGGGGUCAUCCCACCUAUUGGACUAGUUUUUUGGAUUGGGCUCUUCCCUUGGGCUUGAGUACCUAACAUUGGUAUCAGAGCCUAGGUUCCCGACGCUGCGAGACUUGGCGAGUGGUGCCGCCUCAUGGUGCCGCCUUGGGAGUAUGGGCUCCCAAGGGUCUUGGAGACGGGCAAGGUAUGAAAUGUCGAUAUUAUCGCGAUAUUUCGCCGAUAAUAUCGGUUUUUUGAGUUACCGAUAUUUUAAUACUUAUCCACUGAGUUUUCGUCAAAAUAUCGCAAUAUUAUCGAUAAUAUCAACAAUAUCGCGAUAUUACCGAUAAUAUCGCGAUAUUUUGGAGAUGUGCGAAUCGGAGAAGAAGGCCGGAGCUUCUACAGCUCCUGCCGACUGUAAAAGAGCACCCUAGACUCCGAUCUAGGUAUCAAAAUGAAAUACAAGACGAGAGGAAUGUUUUUAUAACUUCCGUUUGCCGUGAAACGGUCGAAGGUGUUCGGAAAGUUCGUCGACACCCACGGCCUCGCCAGAGAUGGGUGUGCCUAUUCUCGAGCCGAUUUCGUCCCAAAAACCUUGCAAAAACACGAGAUAGAACUUAAAUUUCACAUCUAAGCUUCAAUCUAGAAUAGAAUGAGGUAAACCCGAAGCUUACCUAACCGGAGAAAUUCAAGAAACUCGCCAGAGGGUUCCUGCGUCGCCGAGUUGCAGAGACGAGAAAGAGAUGGAGAAAGACGAGGUUGCUGAUAACGAUGGGUGUCUUCCUCAAGCAGGUGCGAUGGUGUGCGUGUGUGUAUGUGGGUCUCGGUGCAGAGAGAAAGGAGAGAGAUGAGAGUUUCAAGAAAGAGACGGCGCCAACGAGAGCUAUUUGUUUUUUUUUAUCUUAAAAAGAGAGAGGUCUAAGAGAAAUGGGAAGAGAGGGCCGAGUGAAAUGAAAGGAGGUCCUUGAAUUAUUGAGAGAUAUCUCUGAGAGAGGCCUAGGAUUUCUAAAAGGUAAUUAGAAAUGGGAAAAAUGGGGCACAUCUUAGCCUUUAUUUUGGAAUCCUAAGAAGUUCACCACAUGGAUGCAUGACAUGUGUGCAUGCCAUGUCUGUUGAAUGGGAAAAGUCUGACAUGGAAAGACAAAGAGUCGUUUGGUCCUCUGGGCUCGAGGCAAGAUAGAAAGUGCUAGGGUUUUUUUUUCUGAAAUGAACAUAAGCUGCUAAAUUCGCAUAUAUUAUAGUUGUUGCUAAAGAUUGACACUAGUGCGGACUUGGACGUGUUGGUCAACAUGUCCUCACAAUCCCCAAGUUCUCCGGUUCGAACCCUUACGCCCAUCAAAUUUUUCUUUCUUUUCGAUGCGCUUUUUCCAUGGCUCUAGGUCUUGAUUUCGAAUCCAGGUGAGCCCUUUCCUUUUUCUUUUUUUUUUCUUUUUGUUUUAUUAUUUGUUUAUUUUAAUUUAUUUGUUUCUUUUAUGUUUUUCCUUUCUUUUAGUUUCUUUGUCUUAGGCGUUCGUGUUUAUUAAAGUAGGAUGUAAAAUCAAUUAUCUUAAAAUUAUGUGUUUUUAAAUUUUGGACUUGUUUGUUGGAUACUUUUUUUGCAUUUUAUCAUUAUUUUAUUAUGAAAAUAUGCUAAAAUAUGCUAAAAUAUCACUUAUGUUUUUGUGAAAAUAUGCUAAAAUAUUUAUAUAUAUGGUUUUGUUUUGAAUUCUUUUUGUACUAAUUCAUUAUAUAUAAAUGAUUAUGGUGUGUUUAAACUUCUUUAAUUAAUUACUACAUAUUUUCUAUACUCACAAUGUUUGCUAGCUCGCUAUAUAAUCAACUUAAAUCAGUAAAAUCCAUCAUGCAAUGCAUUUGCUUCCAAUUUUUUGUGAUAAACUAAUAGAUAAUUGAUUAAAUAAACAUCCUGCAAAGUUUCAAUAAAAAUUUCCAAGUUUUUCUUACAAUUUCUGUGGUUUCCAUAUUAUUUUUAUCAAUAUCGAUAAUAUCCCGAUAUUUCCAUCGAUAUUUCCGUGUUUUUGGACUACCGAUAUUUCCGAUAUCAUCGAUAUUUAUACCUUGGCGACGGGGGACUUGCCGACUGGUGCCGCCAUGGACGUUGGGUCUUUCGAAAGGUGGUGUAAUGUUAUGAUCCCACAUCGGCUACACAAGAAAUUGUGUAGUGGUACUUAAGUGCGAGGGGUCCUCCCACCUAUUGGACUAGUCUUUUGAGUUGGGCUCUUCCCUUAGGCUUGAGUACCUAACAAACCCAUAAAUCAAAGAAAUCAAAAUCCACCCAGAAUCAAAGAAAUCAAAAUCCAUCCAAAACCAAAGAAAUCAAAAUCACACACAGAUAUACAAGGUGUACAGUAUUGACAUGCCUUAAAUGAUAUUAUUCACAAGAUUUAUAAAGCUCAUGUUGUAAUACUUGUGCAGAAUCUAUCAUUCACGGCGUCACUUUUGUGCAAGUCGUAAAUAAAAUUAUUCACGAUUUAAACAUUGUGUGUCGUAUUUGACAAUUUAUACUACGCACUUUCUUUUUCUUUUAAAGCUUUGCGUUAUGUCGUAAAGUUGACUUUCUAUAUAUUUGGGUUGUACCUUUUAUGGCGCAAAUAACACGUCGUAAAUAAUGGCUUUUAGCACAGAAGUUUUGUGGUAAAGAAGCCCGCGCACUAAUUCAUUCUCGCGCCUUCUCUUUUUUAUUUAGCCGCUUCUUUUUUUGGUUUUUUUUUUUUUUAAAAUUCCCCUCAAAUCUUAAAAGGGUUUGUAUUUUCUUUGGUAAACUUGAAAGAGAAACAUUGCAAUUGCAUUUUCAUUUACCCAAUAUUAAUUGUCGAGAGCCCACCCCCUUCCCUUCUCUCUGACAUCGUAACUCUCUCCUCUCCAUCGAUCUCGCUCCAUCUGCUCGCCGUCGCUCUAUAUGCUCGUCAUCGCCGUCGAUUCGUCUGCUCGUCGUCACCGUCGCCCAUCUGCUUUCCGUCACCGUCGAAGUGCCCCGCCAUUCAAAAUCUGAAAUCCCCAAUACAGGGUGCUUUGCGGCAUUUCGUUCUCCAAAACUUUAGGUAUGCUCUCAAUCUGUAUCAACCCUAUCCUGUCACCUCUACUUCAAGGUGAACAAUUUAUAGUUUAUAAAUUUUACUUGUGUUAAUAUAUAUUUUUUGGUAAAUGUUAUGGAUAUUUUAUCAAAUCAGAGAGUAAAUUCGUAUUAAGUGAAGAUUGGCAAAGAACAUAUUGUUUUGAAAGGUUGAAUAAUGUUUGCAGAUCACAUAAAUCAGUAGUUGUCAAGUCCAUAAGAGAAGCAAGAAAUCGGAAAGCAAGGCUUCGACUAAAACCAAAUAAUGUCAAAUUAAUUCAAGAUUGGAAGACUUUCCUUGCAAAGUGUAAGCUCAUUUUCAUUUUCUUUCAUUUCUAAGAUUAGUUAUCUUCUUUUGAGUUCAAAAUUGGGUCAGAGAAAUCAAACUGAUAGUAGUUAAAAGUCUAUUUCAACACCAAGCCUUGUCUACACAAGAAUUUGGUGUUAGUUAAACAUGUGUAUGAUUCUAUCUUGAUUGCAUGUUAAUUUAGUUUGAAGAUAGAUUUGGUACAUGCUAGCUAAUUGAUACGUGAUAUGAAUCUUUGGUUUCCUUUUGAUAGGACAAAAGUGAAACAUUCAGAGAGAUGAAGUCUAAGCAACUCCGCACACAUGUAGUCGCAAGGGAUAUGGUAGGUUGGCCGAGGAUUUGGUAAUUACAUUUCAUUCUAGUGCCUUCUUUUCUACAGGACAAGAACAAUUUACUAAUUUUAUUCUGUGUUCUACUGUGUGUUUACUACAUAUAUGUUUCUAUUUUGUAGAAAAGAAAAAGUGUAGACCCUUCUCUAGUUUCUAGAGGUGAUGUUUGGAUUGCAGCACAUACUAAAAAGGGUGGUGGACCAUCCAAUUUGCUUGCUGCAGAGACUAUUGUAAGUAAUUUUUAACCAUUUAUUUCUUCUUGUUUGUUGAUAUGCAAUGACGGAUGAGGUCUUAACUUUGAUGUGCAACGUUAGGAAAAAAAUUAAGCAAUAUGGAAAUGGAUCAUCAUCUGGUUUUCGAGGUGACGUUCUUUCCAAAGUUUUUGGUGCUGAGCGACAUGGUCGUGCAAGAGGAGUUGGAGGUGGUGUUCCUCCUACAAAGCUUGGAAUAUUUUCACAACAAAAAUUGCGUAAUCACCAAAUGGAUGAAAAGGUGCACAAUUUAACUAAUCAGGUCAGAGCACUGACAGAAUUGGUGCAUCUUUUUAUGAAAAAUCAGGUUAGUGAUUUAAUAACAUUGGUAUCAUAUUGAAUAUUUGUGAAAUCAGUUGUAGUGACACAUCAAAUCACAGGGUAAUGAUCUACCAAGUGAGGCAUCUCCUGACACACAGGUUGCAGCUCCUGAGGCACAUGUUGAUACUGUCGCAAGAACUGAAACUCGUCUUUCCCAAUGCGCAACAAAUGAAUCGUGGUGGCGAGGUUGAUACACUUUUUCAAUGAGCCUUCUAACUAUUAAUGCUCAUUGACUCUGUUAAAAGCUCUGCCAUUUUCAAUCUAACUAGACACUAGAAAUGAUCAUUGACUCAGUUAAAAGUUUUGAUGCUUUGGUCCUUUUGCAUAGUUGCGCAUCUACUGAUUUCUAUUUUUUUUCAAAUCCUGCAGGUUAUUUCUGAAAACAUUGAAACAUCGUGGUGUGCCAGAUGGUUUGAUUAUAAGACACCUUCCUUUUGGUCCACCAACUUAUUUAUAACUGCUAAAUGGUACGUAGUGUGAUAAUUUUCAAAUAUUUUGAUAUUAAGACAGGUGUAGGACAACAUAGAAAUUCUUAGGGCCUUCAGCAACAAAAUUAUGAAAAAGUGAGUGAGAUACAAUUAAAAAAAUGAAAGAGAAGGAUCAUGAUUCAUGAUCUAAAGGUUUGAAUAGGGUAGAAAGGAUUUAGUUUCGUUGUUAAAAUCGAUUUGUGAGUCUAUUGUUAUUGUAUUGUCAAUUUGUUUAUUUACUUGAACUUCCUAGUAUCAAUUUGGUUCGAUAUAUCUAGCACCACCAUAGAUAUAUCUAGUAUCAAUUUGGUUAGAUAUUGUCAAUUUGUUAUUUUAUUGUCAACUAUAGAAUGUGCAUCAGUUGUAAAAGGAACAAAACAAUUCAGAUUUUUUGUUUAUGUCCAAACUUAGAAUUGUAUUGUAAUUGACAAUUUCUACUAAUUAAUCCAAGUAUUUGGAGUUUAAUAUGUUUAUGAUCAAUAUUGUUAUCCUUGUAUUGUAUCAGUUUAGAUGUUAUGAAGUGAGGUCUGUCUAAAAAUGAUAUGCUAAAUAUAGAUGUAAAUUACGGCAUCUAAAAUCAGCAAUAAUUGUUGAUGGUAGUCUUUUUUUUACGAUGUAUGCCGUAAUCACCUUCACAAUAUUACGACACUCAACAAAUGCUGUAUCAAAUAUAAAUUACUGCACACUAGUAUGUCGUAAUUGUUUUUCAGUAUUACGACACCCUAUUAACGCUGUAACUAAUACCAAUUAAGGCACGUAGGACAUGCCUUAAGAACAUUUAUGGCGUGUUUUACUUAAAUUAUUCACGACUAUUAGAGUACGUUGUAUUUGUCAAAACAUCUUUUACAACAGGGGCUUUUACUGCUUGGAGGCUCAAGCCGUGAAUUUCCAUUUAUGGCACCCUUUGUGCGCCGUAAAAGGCCAAUUCUAUUGUAGUGAUCCAUGGGUACAUUUUUAAUCUACAUGUUUCGUUUUAAUAUAUCUAUUGCUAUAAUAUGUUUUGGUUGGUUCAAAUUCGUUUUACAUAAAUAUAUGGGUACAAAGUUUUUGGAGAAUAUUAUGUAAAAUGGUUUUUAAGGUUGUUGCAUUUUAUGUACCCACAUAUGCAUGUCUAUAAAACAAUGUGGUAUGAUGUACAUUCUUUUCCUUGAGUUUUUAAAUGUACCCAUGAGUUUUCUUGUAAAUUCGGUAUGUAUCCAUAUGCUAUUUAUGUUAUGGGUACAUACAUUAUUUUUGGUCUAAGUUGGUGGGUACAUUGCUUUUGUAUGUAUGAAUUCAUUGGGUACAUUAUUUCCCUUAAUACUACUCAAUAAAAUUCACAAAAAUGUGCAGUGUGCAUGAAUUUUUAUUGUAGAAAUUGUUUUUUUUUAUUUUUAAUUUUUAAGUCUCAUAAUUCGUGAAUUUUGUACAUAUUGAUCCCAUAAAUUUUUGAAUUUUAUUAAAUUUUUUUUAGACUUGAUCGAUUGAUUGAAUCUCAUAAUAAUCCCUUAAAUGUUCCAAUCAAUAUUUUAAAAUACAGCUUUUUAUUUAAGAUUUCAAAAAGAUGACAUGAAAACAUAGUAAUACUAAAAUUUUGUUUUAAAUUACAUUUGUGUAACAAUCAAUGGUAUGUUAAAACUGGGCAAAAAAAAAAAUGGUAUAUUAAAAAAUUAUAAUUUAUUCUUUUUUUCAUAACUGUCUUCUGCUUAGAUUAAUUUUUUCCAACGUUUCUCUUCGGGAGAAUUAGUUCUUACCAAUAUAUAUGCACAUUAUCUGCUUUUUACCUGGUCUUAACACAUGAUUAAUUACUUUCCUACCUGCUAACGCGUUGACUUGCGCAUCCAAAGUAUUAUCAAAGUCACUGCCACCAAAAAGGUGCCCACUCCACAACCUUUGGUUGAACCAAAGAACAUCACAACAAUAAGGAAAUCGUUAAAUCUAUCUCCGCAACAUUUUUAUUAAUCAUUAGAUAGAUUAAACGAUCCCCCUAUUCAUAUUGUGUUCUUUUGUUGAACCAAACCAUGUCAACAAAAUAUAUCUAUGGUUAAAGCAUCUAGAUUCAAGCUUUUGGAUGUGCAACUUAAACCCCUCAAUGAAUAGCCAAGCAAUUUAUCAUGUGUUUACAGUAGGUCAAAAGAAGAAAGUGUUUGUCUAUAUAUUAAUAGGAACUAAUUCCUCUGAAGAGGAGAGAUGGAAGUGAUGAUAAUAAAAAAAAAAAAAGUCGUAUUCAGUGCACAAGGCUCCCGCUUUACGCAGGGUCUGAGAGAGGUGAAUGUCGGCUAGCCUUACCCCCAUUUUAUGGAGAGGCUGCUCCCAAGUCUCGAACCCGAGACCUACCGCUCAUGGGCGAAGACACUUGCCAUCGCACCAAGUGCGACCUCUAAGGGAUAAGAGAGUAAUCAUGAAAAUUUUGAAAGUGAAAGCAUUGCCUUGGAAUAUAUAUUCUCUUUAGGAAUUCUGUGCCCAACUAAAUUCUAGAUUCUCAAAAUAUGAAAUUAGCAACUUCACCAAACACUUGGACAUGUAACAGGUCACACGUAUGGUACCAACCUUACCAACCUUACCAACCAUCUAUAUACCUAUGUUUUCGAACAUCGUUAGAUAAUUAAAGUACAGUUCACACAGCAUUUCACAUAAAAAUGGCAUCAUACAACACAUGAGAAGUACUUCUUACAGUAGCAGUCUCGUAACAUGACUAUAGUUUUUGUUACUUCUUAAGAAAAAAGAGUUUAAAAUCCUAUUGAAAGAUAAUUGUAGAGACAGAAACCCAAACUAGUUAAUUAGGUUUCUUUACAUCUCAAUAAAAUUGAAGGGAAUGUAUCUAAUAUUAUCUACUAGAGCCUCUACAAUCAUCAUAGAAUCCACAACCCACAUUUUAAUUAAUCGAAAUUCCAUGAACACAAAUAAGCAAAAGUUGAGUGAAGCCUAAGCAAUAUGUGAUCAUUUAGAGAGUCAAACUCCAUCUUUUUAGAAUUAGGGACUUUUCAAUAUGAAAAGGUAACCUCCACAAUCCAAUAUCAUAUGAAAAGGAAAACCCAAGAAAAAUACAGUAUAAUUGUGUGCAAGAGCAACACAAAAAAAGUUGAAGAAUUAGAAAUCAUAAAGAGACUUGAGACGAUUGUUGCUCACUUAGCUAAAGAGCAUUUGCACUUGAGGUCUCGAGUUCGAUUGCCCCCUUUCUUUAGAUCGCUUGAGAGGAAAAACCUACCAUUCUCUAGUCUAAAGAUAUAUGCAUCUUUGACAUGAAUGACUAGAGGGGAAGAAAGUGCAGACAAAUCACACAUACCUUCAAAAAAUUUUAUGGGGUUGGUGAAUGGUGAUUAGGGAUACUGACUUUUAAUAGCCGUUGAUCAGUGUAUAUUGCACACGCCUUCAUCAAUGGCUAGCGUCGGUACAACUGUGAUUGGGAGGGCCUUUUUACGAUAAUAGAUGGGUAAAGGUUUCAUUAGAAGGGGAAUUUUGUUCUGGUUUGCCAUAAUAACUUGAAAUUAAUGGUUUUUUGUAAUCCUUAAGUUAUUGUCAUUUUAGGUUAACUUUGUACCUGGACUCUUUACUGGAGCUAUCAAUUGAAACCCCCAUUUUCUUACCAAAAUAUGAAAAACAAAGAGUCCCAUUUUUACAGCACAGUCCUACUCUAGUUGAAAUCCGAUCGACGGUCAAGAUUUUCUAGUCAUGUGAAAGUAUCACAUAUAUAAAAUUGACUGGAGAAGGCAUGCCACAUUGCCAUGCCCUUGACAGCUUUACUUUGUUUACAAACUUUCUAAAAGAAAGAAAGAAAAAAAUCUAAAAUGGAAGGUGAUAGCGAUUUUACCACUUGUAAAACAAAGGGUUAAACCAUAGAAAAUUCUUGCAAGAGAACAAGUGUUUGUAGUAUAGAAUGGCUCAAGCAAGGUCGAUCUCCUCAGGGACUGAUAUAAACAAUUUACGAGUUUUUAUGUAUUUAACUUAUUUAACUCUAAGAAUUACACUAAUUUAACGAAACUAAAUAUUAUUGGAUGUGACUUAAACAAAUAUCUAAAAUGGGAAUUGGUUUUAGGGAAUAAUGAUUCAACUUAAACAAAACAAGUAAAUGAGGAAAUUCAAGAUAAAAUAAAUGAUUAAGAAAAAUAGAUUGACAAUAUGCUAGAGUUCAACAUUUACCAACAACACUCUUACGUAGCUAUUCCAAUUGCUUAAAUAAUUGAAAACACAUAUGCUUUGAAUGUUGGAUUUUCCUUGUGUAUGUUUUACUUGUGACAUUCAAGCUAAAACGCAUACCACUACAUGCAACUUAUCCAUGACAUUUGAAUUAAAUAUAAACAUGAGUGAUUCAUUAAUCUUGGUGAAAAUCCUUUUGUUAAACCAUAUAAUCCCUAAGAGCAUGAUAUUUACCUUAGGAGAUUACAAUUCUCAAUCACAAGAAGCACAACCAAUUUUAACGUGACAUUCGUUCAAAAUUGCAUCCGAUAACUUUUCUAAGCAUCCUAAUGGUGAUCAAGCAUCAAGGUACAUAGAUAGUUUAAUUCAGUGAUUGAAAAUAUCAAAACAAGCAUGUAACAACACUUAAGCAAUUGAAAAAUAAAACUACGUAUUCAUGUUGCGGCUCAUGGCCUCACUCUAGCAUAAUACUUUAAAUAAUUAAAGCCCAAACAAUUUACCAAAUUUCAUCUCUGUACUCCGCAGAGACGCUAAACGAGACAUAUUUGGUCCAUCUCUGAACAUCUUUUCUUACUGUUCUUACAAUAGAAAGGGCACAAAAUUGACUUACACAGUCUUGCACAAUACUCACUUUGCUUCAACCCAUAUUUCACUUUGUCAAAUCAUACACGUUCCUGCAACAGGUGAACUCAUAUUUAUCUACCACUUCUUGCUAAUUUUAAUUUUUCCAUUCCCAUUUUUACUACAAGUUUUCACAUAAUUUUUUUAUUGCAUUUGUCAAUUCUUUAUACUUUUUAAUUGUAUUUUUUUUUUUGUCUUUUAUGUGUUUUCUAUGUUGGCACAAGGUUACAACAGUAUUAAACAAUUACAGGUCCUCCAGAGGUUUGCUUAUUGCCCUAUUUCAUCAAGCUCGGUAUAAAUAGAUCUUAAUUUUUUACUACAGUUAAAUACAUGGACAUGCCUCCACAAAUACAAAUUAGUUCUUGCUUAAAUACUUUGUGUGUUUACAUAGAAAAUGUUCCCAUCGUCUACCAAAAUCCUCCACACAUGAAAACAAAAAUUCUUACUCAAAAUACUUAUUACAAUACCACCAUAUCUGUUGUUUUUUAUUAAAUUAACACACUGUUUUCAAUUUUAUCUUCAACACAAAAGAAAAUGCUCUUACACAAUGUGUUUGCUUACAUUUUAUAACUUAUCUACCACAUGUUAAUCGCAGUUAUAUAAAUAGGAAAAUACGUGUUCAAUAGAAGUGUGAUGCAUGUCACUUCGUUAACAAUAGUGGAAACUAAACAAUUAAAUAAUUUGUUUCAAUUAGUUAGUACAUUUUAUAAAUUUCUCAAUUAGAACUGUUUCAGUAUAUUUAAUACAUUUUUAAACAACUUUCCAGUUAGUUGCCCAAACUAAUUAUUCCAGCUUAUUCACAGUAUAAUACCAACAAUUUAACAACCAAUGAUACUUCGUUUAACAUAAACUUCAUUUGGAAAAAACAAAAAAAAUCUUUUUCUCUGCUGAAAAAAUCAACAGAUUUAAUGAUGUAGAUCAGUUAUACCAACAAAUUACCAUAGUUUACCCAAUGCUAUACAGGUUUGACUUUUGUUUAUAUUCUUGGAUCUGUUGCUUGGUUGUAUAAUUUGGCUGUGUGUUUUGUUUCAGGACAAUUUGUUCUUCGUUUCUUGAGGCUUCUAUGUGUAGAUUUGAACCGUUUAGCUUUCAAACCGUUUAUACUCAAGGUAAAUAAUUUCGUUUGUUUCUUUUUAACCUUUUUUGUAAGAAUUUUUUAUUUAAUGUUGUGAGAGUUGUGUUUUCUAUAGUAUGGAAAUUGAAUCUUUGUGAUCUUAUAUCGUUAGAUACGUUGCUUGGUUAAUGUGAACACGGAAAAUUCCCGAAACGAAAAAGACAAGAACAACGUGCACAAACAAAUAUUUUGUAUUUGAUGAUUAUUUUGGGUUACAAUCUCUCUCUAAUUUGAUCCUCUGAUUCGAUCUCCGUAAGAUAUUGGUUUGUGGAUGUGCGAUUGAUCCAAGGGCCGUCGAGGCUUGAUCUUGGAUGAACGGUGAUGAACGGAUCUUCAAGGGCUUUUGGGCUUGAUCUUGAAGAAUAGUGAUGAACGGGUCUUCAAGGGCUUUUGGGCUUGAUCUUGAAGGAUGGUUGGAUGUGUGGAUUUGUCGACGUUGUUAAUCCAAAGGGCUGUUGGGGCUUGAUCUUAGGAUGAACGGAUGAUGAACGAAUAACACUUUCUUCAAGGGCCGUCGGGGCUUGAUUUUGAAUUGGUGAAAGUUCUUCAAGGGCCGUCGGGGCUUGAUCUUGAAGGUAGAUGAUUGUUGAUCCAAGGGCUGUCGGGGCUUGAUCUUGGAAGAACGAUGAACGAAGAACGAAGAAGGCUUUCUUGAUUCUUCGGGAACCUGGAUGCUUGAGAGCUUCGGAGUUUCAGAGCUUCAGAGCUUCAAGGUGUAAUAUGAAUUUGGUUCCCUUAAAUGAAUGAAAUUGGCUUCUAUUUAUAGAAUUUUCCAAGGCCUAAUUUUGAAUAUAAUAUUCCAGAUGAAAUAAGUCGUUUCUGCCAAGUGUUGACACGUGUCCUAUUUGAUGACUUUUCCGACUCAUUUCAAUUUUUCGUCGAGUCACACACUACGUGUAAAAUUUAUGUAAUACAUGAGCGUUGAAACUUUGAUUUAUCAGUCAACAUUUAUUUACCAAAAUUUCGAUGUCUACAAAUGCCCCCACUUCAAGGCGCGUCGUAUACAUGUGCUUGUCACGUGUAGGAGAUGCGUUUUGAAGUCCCCUUACUGUAGAUGUCGAUCCAAGGGCCGUCGAGGCUUGAUCUUGAACCGGGCUGGAGAUUUCUUCAAGGGCCGUUGAGGCUUGUUCUCGAACUUUGUUCGAAAUUUCUUCAAGGGCCGUUGAGGCUUGAUUUUGAAUUGGGCUGAAAGUUUCUUCAAGGGCCGUUGAGGCUUGAUCUUGAAUUGGGUUGAAAGUUUCUUCAAAGGCCGUUGAGGCUUGUUCUUGAACCUUGUUUGAAAUUUCUUCAAGGGCCGUCGAGGCUUGAUCUUGAAUUGGGCUGGAAGUUUCUUCAAGGGCCGUCGGGGCUUGAUUCUUGAAGGUGGAUGAUUGUUUAUUCAAGGGCCGUUGAGGCUUGUUCUUGAACCUUGUUUGAAAUUUCUUCAAGGGCCGUCGAGGCUUGAUCUUGAAUUGGGCUGGAAGUUUCUUUAAGGGCCGUCGGGGCUUGAUUCUUGAAGGUGGAUGAUUUUUUCUUCAAGGGCCGUUGAGGCUUGUUCUUGAACCUUGUUUGAAAUUUCUUCAAGGGUCGUCGAGGCUUGAUCUUGAAUUGGGCUGGAAGUUUCUUCAAGGGCCGUCGGGGCUUGAUUCUUGAAGGUGGACUCGAACACAUGGCAAGCAGGCACGAGGUGAAGGUGACGGUCUGUUUCUUUGCUCAAUCUUUCCAAGUGCCGACCGAUUGCUUUUCUUUCUCCUUGUCCCGCAGGCAAGAGCAAGGGUAAAAGAAAAGCAUGCCAUGAGAUAUCUUUGUUUUUGACUCUGAUGAUAUGAGGUACUUCUGCUUUUGAAGAAGUUGCGGAUGAAUCGACACGUGCUUUGUUGUGCUUGUCUCCACAUGCUCAGACUCUUGGCAGAAUGUGAAAGGUGGCAUUUUCUCGAGUUACUCAACUCAGACUCAUUCUGCUGAGUUGACUGUGCGGGCCGCAUUCUUCUCUGCUUGUUUCUUCUGGCAGCCUUGCUCUCGAGUACUCAUCUUUAACAUCUUAUGUUUCUUCUUUGUCUACCACACUGUGGAAGACGAGUACUCGAGAGUAAUACCAUGUAAGCAAUCAGAAAAGGGUUCCAAGCAGUCGGUUCCAGAUCGGAAGAUUGAUACCAAGUGUUGGCUGAUUGCUUUCCUUCUCAUUGUCCUACAGGUUAGAACAAAGACAAGGAAAAGGACACGGAGAAUGCAUGAUAUGAGAUACUCUUGCUUUCUCCCUUCAUGAUAUGAAAUACUUUUGCUUUUCAAGAUUUGUUUGCAGAGGUAUCCUAUGGGAUGAAGAACACUGAGUGAGUUGAGAGGGUUUGUUGGAAAGCCAUUUGUCGGAGAUGACGGAAUGUUAUGUAUGUCUGCCUUGCCAUGGAGCGUGAAGGUCGACAUUUGUAGGAAAUAAUAACUGGUACUGUUCUUUCACUCCUGUCGGCAACCGUUGGAUGAUUGAACAGUAAACUUCACGUGAUUUCCUCAAAGCUUUUUCUGCAUGCGACAAGUGCUGACGAGGCUGAGAGAGACAUGCGAUUGGAAUCGGCGCUUCGACAAACUUUUCCAUGAUUUUCGCAAAGCUGACGAGGCUGAGAAAGACAGAUGGUUUGGAAUCGGCGUUUCGAUAAACUGCCCGUGAUUUCCGCAACGCUGACGAGGCUGAGAAGGACAGAUGGUUUGGAAUCGGCGUUUCGACAAAUUGCCCGUGAUUUCUGCAACGCUGAGUUUGCGUGUGACAGGUGCUGACGAGGCUGAGAAAGCUGACACUUCUUCGAUUUUUGAGAUCAGUCCGUGAUCCUUGAGUAGGCCUAGCUUUGGAGAAAGCAGGCGCUUCAUCGAUCUCUGAACUCGCCUCUUCGAUCUCUGAAAGCCCAUCGCAUGCUGUUUUUUUAUAGAGGUACGCAAGACAUUCAAAGCACACUUGAAUUUCUACCUGUGAAAAAAAACUCCCCUUUUGCAUAUCUGAGAUCUUUAAUUUGCCCGACCUCUUCAUUUUGUUGAACACCUUCGGAAAUGUCUUUCCCAUCUGACCGUCGUCUUGACUUGAAUAUCGAAGAAGAUAUUGACAUGUCUUCUCCAGGCAACAUUUGGCAGCUGUCCUUCGUAUCCUCCAACGAACCUCUUACGGUUGGGGACACUGUGAUGAGGAAUGACGCAACGGCUGCAGUGGUUGCUAGAAAUCUUCUCACUCCUAGGGAUAGUAAGAUGCUUUCCAAGCGGUCCGACGAGAUGGCUGUUCAAGACUCUCUGGCCUUCAGCGUCCAAUGUGCGGGCUCAGUAUCAAACAUGGGCCAACGCCUUCUUGCUCGAUCUCGUCAGGUUGAGUCUUUGAUGGCCGAGGUGGCUAGUCUUCGGCAGGAGAUCAGAGGGCUUAGGCACGAGAAUAAAGAGUUGCAUAUGCUAGCAACUAGUUACUCAACGAGCAUGAAGAAGAAGCUAGACCAACUGCAGGAGUGUGAAGUUCGGGCUCGAAAUGAUCAUCAAAGGUUUAUGGCGUUACUCCCGAGGCAUCUUCUGCCUUCGUCAUCUGGCGCUUCACCAAAUGUUGAGGCUCCGGAAAAUCAAACUCUGGCGCUUCGUCUUUCUGGAGCUUUACCAAGUGUGGAGGCUUCAGUUGAUCCACCUCCGGUGCUUCGUCUUUCUGGAGCUCCGUCGAGUACUGAGGCACCACAUGAUCAUCCUUGAAGAUCCUUUCCUGUAAAUUUGAUUUGACUUUUUUUUUAAGGUAUGUAUAAUGUAAAAUUUCUAGAAAAAUAAAAUGGACUUUAUUUCUCUGAACAUGUUUUUUUUGUUUUUUUUUUUGGCUGUAUAUUUUCUCUUUAAUCAUGGUGCACCCAUUUUCCACAUGGUGCCAGACGGACCAAAGAUCAAACAUUUCCUUUUUUUAUUUUUUUAUUUUUUCUUUAAUCAUGGUGGCAGACGCAUAAACAAUUUCAUUUAUAUUUUUUUUUCUUUUUGCUGGCACAUGGUGCCAGAUGCACCAUUCAUUUAUAUAUAUUAUUAUAUAUGUUUUUUUUAUUUUUUUUUAUUUGCACAUGGUGCCUGAUGCACCACCUCUUUUUUUUUCACGUGGUGCCAGCAUCACUUUGCUCCACCAUCCAUUUUUUUUAUUUUUAUUUUCUGUAUAAAUUUGGGUGAUGGGUAGAGGAUUUUGCAGGCAGGGAGCAAGGAGGCCGAGAAGAUGGUGCUUCGAACUUCAUGACCGGCUAGUCGUUUGACGGCGGUCGUUGAAGUCGUUGGCAGUUGCGAGGCAAAAGACGGAGGAGAAGGUGGAGUAGGUGACCUUGAUGUCGGAUCCAGCUAGAACCCAGAGCACAGCGACUGAGCCCAAUCACCGAGCACAACCGCUGCACACCCGUUGUACUGCCACCGAGCACUGCCACUGCGCAUCUGUUGCACUGCCAAUUGCUGCAAAGGAUUAUGUUUAACGGCGGAGACGCUGCCCUAUUUGCCAUGCUAUGCCGACGUGCUUCACAUAAUUAACCAUCCAGAAUUGUUAAACAUUCCAUCUGGGUUUAUCGCAAAAACAGAAGAAGAAAAAAACCAAGAUCCAUCCAUGCCAAACACCAAUCUGCCAUCUUUUUGGGAUUUGUACGACAUCAUCAGCCAAAACCUGCUUGGUCCGCUCGCAAAUUGUGGGAGAGGAAGAGUUGGCGGAGCAGCUGUAACACUGGAAAAUGGAGGACGUUGACGAGUCCUCCAAGUUGUUCUUGACGUUGGUGCUGGAGAAACCUGCCUCUCUCAUGACUCUGCUGACACUUGGGUCGUCAAGGAUGGGGAUGAUGAGCUGCUCGAGCUCGACUUUGAUGGUUAAGAGCGGCUGCUGCUGCUGCUCGAUGCAGUCUCUUCUCUGAUGGGCUUGGGCUCUCUUGAGGGCGUUGGAGAGAGAGGGCUGCCCGUGGAGGAGAGGGCAUGGAGUUGUUGGGAGAAAUCAGGGCCGGAAUGGAAAAUAUUCCCGAGCUGCAUCAACGAGGAGAUAACACCGCUAAGUUAUUCAUCUGGUUUGCUUUAGUCAAAUGGAUCAAUCCGCGGGUCAUGCUCGCUUGCCAUCAUCAUCCCAGUGCACAGGCAUGUCGGGCACAUGACCUUUCCAGCACCAGAGCAAUUUGGGCACCUCUCAGUUGUGGGCACUCGCAAAGGUUGGUCUGAUGCACUAGAUGCUGAUAUAGGAUUGAUGUUCAAGCACACUCCACUUGCAGAACAUCUAGCACAGGCCAAGUACCCAGUUCCAUGGCAAUAUUUGCACCUUUUCUUCUCUUGCUGCUCAACAUUAUUAGCUUCAAUCAACAUCAAUGCUGAAAUGACACCCACUGCCCCACCGGAGAAGGAUGCCACAAUAGGAUCAACCUGACUUAAUUGUAAAGGCAGAUGCAUGCUACGAAUGAAAUCUUCAUACGAGGUACCUCCUAUACCUAAUUUUAGUUCCAACGAUGGCGCAAUGAGACCCCCAAAUACAAUUACACUAGAUAUCAUAGAUAAGCUUGUGAGGUAGAGCUGCUUCAACGUCUUUGGUGUCAUAUGAGGGAGAAAAGGGAUAGUGGAUGGAAUGUCAGGCAUCUCAUUUGACUCUUCCUCACAAGCCUCAUCCAUAUCUCUCGCCAUCUUUAUCCGUUGCUGCACCCGCAAUCUCCUUAGCUCUUCCAUGAGAAGAAAAAUCUUGUUGUGCCGGCUUCUUAUGUUGUCCUAAAUUUCCUGUAGUUGCAUCUGCACAAAGUCCUGCACCGUCUCCGGCUCUUCUAUGAUACAAAAAGUGCUUGGCGUGUUAUCGCCGGGGAAUGAUUCCUUGGAAGCAGAACAGGAAAUUUGGGGAUGCGGGGAGGUGAAUUUGGACAGAGAGAGACGUCUAGGGAUUCCAUGGGAGGGGGGUUGAGAGUGGUUUUUUGCCGGCGCCUCUAGGGUAGUCGUCGUUGGCUAUUGCUAUAGAGAGGUCAAUGACUUCACCGGAGAUGGCGUUGUUCUGGAGCCCGAGCGUGAGAAGCCGGGUGAGAUUGUCUGGAAAGGGUCCCCAGAGGUUGUUGUCGGCGAGGUCGAGAAGCUUGAGCUUGGUGCAAUUGACGAGAGGAGAAACGGUGUCGUUGAGGCGGUUGUUGUGGAGGUCGAAGAGUGAGCUGGGCGAGAUCAGAGAACCUUGACGAAUUCGGAGCGUUGAGGGUUAUCAACACGAUCCCAUCGACGAAGAAGAAGCAGAAUGGGCCUCUUGCGGGGCCUAUGGCAUCAACCGGUCUUUGGGCUUCUGGGCCAGUAAAUUGGAGAGAAGCCUGGGCUUUUGACUUGCAGAGAGAUUAGGCUCUGGGAGCCGCUUGUAGUAUUGUGGCUAAAGGGGUUGCUUCCUGUGGCCACUUAUAUAUAUAUAUUUUGUAAAUACAUAAAACAUUUAUCUCUUUUUUUUUCUUUUUUUUUUGUACAAAGAAAUUGUAAUAGCAUCAAAACUUUUAAUAAAAUCUUUAUUCCUUAUUUUGGUGUGACUGAACUCAAAUUUUGAAUAUUCGAGUUGCCUACGUACCUCUCCAAAGAAGAGAUCAAGUCGUAACGUAGUUCAAAUGAGUGAUGAAUUUAACAGUGAUUUUGAUGAUGAUUUUGUCGUACACAGUUUAUGCUCUUGCGGGCCAGGAGCUUUGGUUCGUGCAGUUUAGGCUCGUGCGAACAAGGAGUGUUGGUGUUGCCUUUUAUGCUCGUGCAGACCAGGAGCGUUGGUGUUGCCUUUUAUGCUCGUGUAGACCAGGAGCUUUGUGCCAUGCAGUUUAGACUCGUGCAGGCAAGGAGCGUUGGUGUUGCCUUUUAUGCUCGUGCAGACCAGGAGCGUUGGUGUUGCCUUUUAUGCUCGUGCAGACCAGGAGCUUUGUGCCAUGCAGUUUAGACUCGUGCAGGCAAGAAGUGUUGGUGUUGCCUUUUAUGCUCGUGCAGACUAGGAGCUUUGUUGUGCCAUGCAGUUUAGGCUCGUGCAGGCGAUGAGCUUUGGUUCAUGCAGUUUAGGCUCGUGCGAACAAUGAGCAUUGUGCCAUGCAGUUAGGCUCAUGCAGGCGAGGAGCGUUUAUUGGUUCGUCAAGCGAUCCAGGAGAGUCGUUCCUCGCAAUCUUCAUAGCAAGGAGCCUUGACUGAGUGAUUGAAGAAGUCUUUGGGGAAGAAAUCGCGCAUCGUGAUGGGGAUGGACGAUAUUUGUGUCGUCAUUUCAUCAUCUUCAACACUUUCACUUUUCUUUGAAGGUUGACAAGAGCUGCUUUGCCCCAUUUCCGAUUGGCGGACUUGUGGAUGAGACGUAUGCUUCUUCUGCAGUUUCUCUAGAGUGACAUGAGUCAUUCCUUCAACUUCGCUUGGCUCAACUGGCAUGGUUUUGGAGCAUGCCCCCAGCGAUUGAGGUGAAGAUUUUGAGUUGACAAAGCCGGAAGUGACGUCUUCUUCCAUGAUUUCAUCUUCUUUGUCUUCUUGGGCUUGUUGGCGUGAAGAUUGGCCGGCGUAGAUGAUGGUGCGCCUCUUUACCUUCAGUGGUCCUUUUGUGUCGACCUCCCAAGCUGUUUGGCGCUUUAUCCUUGAAUGAAUCAAGCUUCGAACGUCGUCUUUUCCUGCUAGACCGUCGAGCUUUUCUUCCUUUGGCGUUGUCUUCCUAUUUCUAGAAUGCUUCUUGGUUUCUUCAAGUUUUUCCAAAGCCGAUCGUUGGGGAGGAGAGCCAGCCUUGCUGCUUUGUUUCUUAGGUUUUGACAACCUUUCAAAAACAGAGCUUUGGGGUGUUGGCGUGUUAAGCCGUUUGAAGAUGGAAGUUCGGUCUUGCCCACCAAUGCGAUCAAGUGCCGACCUUCUGGGUUUUGAACGAUUCAGCCUAUCGAAGACUGACACUCGAAUAGGAGGUUGAGGCUCCUCUUGAUCUUGUUCAAUCCUCAAGCUGAUGUGUCGAGUGCUAGCAUUUUUUGCUUUACUUGAAAUCUUCACGGGUGCAUUUGGUGUGAAGCCAAGUCUAGCUCUGUUGUUGUCAACUCCGUAAUCAUGCUUUUCCAACUUCUUCUGAGUCUCGGUGAAGUCAUGAUCUUUGUCGUUGAUGGUGUUUGAAACCUUCUUCUCAAGAUUUGAAGAGGAAGCAAAGUCGUACCCAGCCUUUAACAUGAGUUCGUAGGCGUUUGGGUUGAGACCUUCUUCGGUCCUCUUAGUUGGAAUGAAGCUUGGGUUCGCUUUGACGCCAUGAUGCGCCUCCAGACGGUUGAUAAGUCCAACGGUUUGCAAGUUUUUCUCCUCCGCAGUCUUUAUCAGCCUUGCAAUUGUUUCCUUCAUCUGAACUAGUUGUUCUUCAAUAGAGGUAGCGCCGAUGGUCAUGACUUGUUCUUUGUUUGAAGCCAUGAAGUGUGCUUGAAUUUCUUGAACAGAGAAAGAGAUGAGAGGUAGAGAUUGUCCCACUGGGCGUGCCAAUUUGUGAACACGGAAAAUUCCCGAAACGAAAGAGACAAGAACAACGUGCACAAACAAAUAUUUUGUAUUUGAUGAUUAUUUUGGGUUACAAUCUCUCUCUAAUUUGAUCCUCUGAUUCGAUCUCCGUAAGGUAUUGGUUUGUGGAUGUGCGAUUGAUCCAAGGGCCGUCGAGGCUUGAUCUUGGAUGAACGGAUCUUCAAGGGCUUUUGGGCUUAAUCUUGAAGAAUAGUGAUGAACGGGUCUUCAAGGGCUUUUGGGCUUGAUCUUGAAGGAUGGUUGGAUGUGUGGAUUUGUCGACGUUGUUGAUCCAAAGGGCCGUUGGGGCUUGAUCUUAGGAUGAACGGAUGAUGAACGAAUAACACUUUCUUCAAGGGCCGUCGGGGCUUGAUCUUGAAUUGGUGAAAGUUCUUCAAGGGCCGUCGGGACUUGAUCUUGAAGGUAGAUGAUUGUUGAUCCAAGGGCCGUCGGGGCUUGAUCUUGGAAGAACGAUGAACGAAGAACGAAGAAGGCUUUCUUGGUUCUUCGGGAACCUGGAUGCUUGAGAGCUUCGGAGUUUCAGAGCUUCAGAGCUUCAAGGUGUAAUAUGAAUUUGGUUCCCCUAAAUGAAUGAAAUUGGCUUCUAUUUAUAGAAUUUUUCAAGGCCUAAUUUUGAAUAUAAUAUUCCAGAUGAAAUAAGUCGUUUCUGCCAAGUGUUGACACGUGUCUUAUUUGAUGACUUUUCCGACUCAUUUCAAUUUUUCGUCGAGUCACACACUACGUGUAAAAUUUAUGUAAUACAUGAGCGUUGAAACUUUGAUUUAUCAGUCAACAUUUAUUUACCAAAAUUUCGAUGUCUACAGUUAAAUGAUUUGGCUGUGUGCAUUGUUUCAGGACAAUUUGUUCUUCGUUUUUUGGGGCUUCUGUGCGUAGCUUUGAAGUCCUUUGUAGUCAACAUAAAUAAUUUUAUUUUUCUUUGUUUUUAGUCUUCUAUGUAAGAAUUUCUUAGUUAAUAUUCUGAGAAUUAUGUUUACUAUAGUAUGAAAAUUGAAUCUUUGUGAUCUUCGAAGUGUAACGUCAUUGCAACAUGGACGACUGCCAUUAUCGAACAUGAAAAACAUUUUGAUUUCUGUACUCCGUCUAGUAGAAAACUCUCGACUUCUUCAGAAACCACGAGAAACUUAAAACUGAGAAAGCUUCGCGGUCUCCCUUCCAUCUCUGCUACGCGGUCUCUGCUUUGCGAUCUCUGCUUCCUUCGUGAUUUCUUCCUUCCUGAACGACAUCUAUUCGAAUUGAAAACCUUCUGGAGCUCUCUUCCCCAAAUUUCAGCAGCAACUUUGCUCCAGAUCUUUCCAAUUGAAAUUCCUCUCCUUCACAUUUUGCAUAUUGAAUUUCGCAUCAUCAUCAUCUCCCUAGAACCUAGGAGUUCGGUUCGGUUUCGAGUUUUCCGACGGAAAUCCGGCGACAGCGGCCAUCGAGGUUGGUCUGAAACUAUUCCUCAUCACCACAGGUACUUUCUACACCUAUUACAUUUUAGAAAAAGUUUCAUGACUUUGUGGAAUCCAAUUUAACGAUUAGAAAAAUUUUCAUUAAUUUUCUGGGUUCGUGAGUUGGAGGGGGAUUAGAAAUUUUUUCAUUAUUUUUCUGGGUUUGUGGUUUUUUUUUUCCAAAACGUUUUUCCUUUCUACUAAUCCAAGUUCCUUCACAUCAAUCUCUCUGUUUUGUUCUUGAUCUUCCUCGAGUAGAAUACCUCUUCUUGCUCUGGAGCGCGUGGGCAGUCUCUCUAAGGCAGCCCAUGACGUCAUUUUCCGAUUCGACUCGGAGGAGGUUGGCUGCUCUUCUUGGCUGAGCUUCAUGGCUGGCCGAAUUCCCCUAUUCCCUUCCUCUUAUACUUUUUUAUAUUCGUUCACCAAAACAAUAGGAAAACGUCUCCGUCUGUUUGAUUGACGGCGAAAAAAAAAAAGACGGAGAAUAAAAGCCUGACGGAAGCUGAAAGCUUGGACUCUGUUUGUAUUUUUAAUGGAUUUUCAGAACACAGGUCAAGAAUAUUGCGAUUUGAGAAAAAAAGAAAGAACCACGUUGACAUAAUAUAUUCACAAUAGGUGUACAAGGUUCAUAAAGCUUUACUGUGGUUCCAUUUUUUGUUAAUGGAAUUAGCCUUUUGUUUUAGGAAGAACUUGGAACCCCCUCCGUCCAUUCUAUCCCCAAUGGAAUUAACACUUAGAUAGUACUAUGACAAUGUGUCAUUAUUUGAUGCAUACCUGUAUAAAUUUAGGCUAAGUGUUUUAUACACAAAUUGAUACAGAUUAACUAUACAAUGAUAACUAUAUACCGGAGAGCUAACUAUACAAUGAUACAUUCUUAUCUGUUAAUUAUCUUUGGUUACCAGCUAUCCAUGUUGCUGUCAUAUUAAACUACACAACAUCAGUUGUAAUUUAUGUCUUAUUAGUAUCAUCAUUUUUGUUCAUUAUUUCAAUGUCUAACAUAACUCCGCCUAUGUCUUACAUGGCCGGUCCCAAGCCCGGAUAAAGGAGGAGGGGGAGGGCGUCAGGUAGUCGACAGCCGGCACUCCAUGAUCACGUCGAAUCCUUAUGAAAAUGAAUCCAGAACAAAACCCCACUUAGUGGGAAAAGGCUUUGUUGUUGUUGUAUUUCAAUGUCUAACAUGAUGAUCUGGUUUCAAUUUGCUACAGGCAUUAUUUCCAGACAAUAGCUAUGGUUUUGAUUGUAGCGGUGACUGAAAAAUUAUUCCGAAACUAACAUUUGAGGAAUUCAAGGUUUGUUAGUUAAUUUGUACAUCAGAAUACCAUGACAAACUAUGAAGUUGUAAUUGUUGACCUUACAAUGUAUCUUUUUUGGUUUGGAGCAUUAGACUUAUAUGUGUUGCUUUCACCUCAUGAAGGCUAACUCUUUAUUUUAGGCCGUAAGAGUAUAAUUUCUUGGAGAAUCUACAUUGUUGAUAAUUUUUUGAACAAUAUUAUCCCCAAAAUUUCUCCGCAUGUUACCCUCAACGUAGACAUCAUAUAACCAUCAUUGAACUUCUGAACCAAAAAUUUGAGUUUUAUGAUUAUAACUAAACGUCUAUAAACACAUGAUACAGAUUGAGACGAAUGUCAAAUUUAAAAUGGCAUUAAUACAGCUGCAAACUCUGAUUUGCGGGAUUUGAAAUGGAGCAGUUACUUCUUGCUUCACUUCAGCAGCAUAGUCCAGCUUCUAAAUUCAGUUCUCAGGUAUGAGGUUUCUCAGUUACCUCUUUUUUGUAAUAAAACAUUUGAUCAGUACUUGCCAGGAUAUCCAAUUAAUUAGGUCAGUUUUUGUUAGCAGUAAUAAUUUGUUUUUGCAGCUUUAUAUGUGUCUCUGUCUCCAAAUAUGAUGAUCUCUUAAUUUGCUUCUAUAGCUUUUGUAAUAUAAUGAUCUCUUAAUUUUCUUUUGCAUAUCUUCUUUGCUUCCUCUGCUAGCUCUAUAUGAGAUUCCAUCUCCAAAUAAUUAUUCCUUAUUUCCUAUUUUUACCAGAAGCAAAUCAUUGAAUACACAUGGUAAAUUAAAAGGGUUUUAGUUUUUGGAGUAGUUUAAAUUUUUUGUUUGUUAUUGCUUGUAUUGCUGUUAAAUAUUUGAUGGGUAGUUUGAAAUGGGGAACUUGGUUGAUUGAGUAUUAACUUUUAUUAAAUUAAUAUUCUUAUUCAAUAUUGAAUUAAGACUCCUCUUAUUAAAUUAAGACUCUUAAGGCUCUAAUCUAAUGUUCAUGCUCAAUAUCUCCUCUAUCUUUCUACAAUUGGUAAAACUUUUGUAUUAUUAUUCCAAUUUUGGUUACUGGGUUGUGGAAUUUUCCAUUUUUUUUCUGGGUAAUCAAUACUAUAUAUAUGCAUGACAAGUAUAAACAAUAUUUUGGGGCAAAUUUAGUUGUUUAAUUUUUAAUUUUUAUGUGACAGUGAGAUUAUGGUAGGAUUUCGUUUAGAUUCUGCGGCCCAAUGGGAGUCUCUGCUUUGAUAAGAUUGGGGUUGAUGCCAAGAAAGCCAAUAAGCCUACUGUGGACGCCGUAGCCGCCUGGCGCUGUUUUCCAAAAUCCUCUCUCACUUGGUUAAGCAAUUAAGACUUUUUGGUUCAGUUUUUAUUAUGCCCAAUUUUGUAUUUAAACCUUAAAAAAAUUUAAACUGAUAUGGGGAUACUGAAAUAGGCUGCAGAGCUGCCAUCCCUGAAUCAGAAGAUGUUCAGAAGGAAGAAGAAGAACAAGAAGAAAGUCGUGGAAUAUCAAAAGCUUUUAGCUUUGUGAAGGUAUGCUUUUUCCCAACUCACCUCUUGCUUUUGUUGCACUGAAUUGGUAGAUUGGGUUCAAAAAUAUAUAUAUGUGAUUUUUCGUGUAACUAUUUCUUUACAUAAUUACCAAUUGGAGGUGAUUUGAGAUCAUGUAACAUUUCCUCGCUAGAACCGAAGAUUGCCGUCGCUCAGAGCUGCGUUUCAUGAAACAAGUUCAUCUCCUGCCAAUUUUGUGUACCCACCUUUUAUUCAUGAGGGUUGGUGCUUGCUUGCAACACAAUUUGGUGCUAUUAAGUUUUGCGGUUUUACAAUUUGUUCAUGCUUAAACCUCUUUCAAAUUUUCAUUUCUAUGUAAAUCUUGCAGGUAGGACGACACACCUAUCUUGGCAAUGUCGGGAUGUCUAGGCUUGGGUGGAGACGUGGUCUUAUGGAAGAGGUGAAGUAGCUUAGCUCGAUCUCAUUAGCUCUUAUCUGUUCUAUUAUGCUAAGAUCAAUAGUAAAAAGUUCUAUUGAUUUUAUAAUCAAAGAUACAUAUAUUAUAGAAACAGAGGGUAUAUAAUUAAUUUCUUGAUGUAAACAAUUAUAACUUGAGGAACCAUUUAAAGUAUUUUGGUAAUCAGCAUACUUAAACUUAAAUGUGAUAUAUCCGUUUAGUAUUUUUUUUAUACAGUGAUAAUACUUAAGUAUAAUUUACAUCAUAUAUCUUUUGAAGUACAUGAAACUAUGAAGAAAAUGAUAAACCAAAUCCCAUUCCAUCUCUGUUUGCUACUGCACAAUCACAAUCCAAUUCCAACAUGGAAUCCUCAGACGACAUGCCUACUGCAGAACAAGUUUCAUCCUGACUUAACUUAUAUUUAGUCCACGUCCUGUUUAGAUUGUAAUCCUAGUUCUACGUGUGUUUGUAUAGUACUCCUAUAAAUAUCAAUGAACAUCGCUCACUCUAAUUAAGAGUUGAGAUUCUGCAAAUCAUAUUUACUAUCUUUCAUGGUAUCACGAGCCAGCGUCUAACGACAACGGUUCCUAUUAUAAUUUUUUUCUCUUUUGCAGAUCCUAAACUAUGGCAUCUUCUUCCUCCUCCGCUGCUCCCUCCAUCACAAAUUUUCUUACGAUCAAGCUCGACCGCAACAACUACCCUCUUUGGCAUGCUCAGUUUCUUCCCUUGCUGCGCAGCCGCAACUUACUCUCUUAUGUUACUGGCGAAACUCAAUGCCCCUCUUUCUUCUUGAUGACAAUGGUAAAUUCACCGAUAAAGUCAAUCCAUUAUAUAAUGAAUGGAUCCAGACUGACCAGAUGAUCCUAUCUUGGAUUACGAGUUCUCUUACUCCCAAGGUUCUUGCUACGAUCGUCAACAAAAUUGAUUCGGCCUCUGCUUGGUCGUCAAACUCGAAUUAAUCUGAUUGUGAGGGUUUUGUUUUAUAUCAAUAUAUUGCAACAGAAGUCACACUUUGAAGAGUUCAUGCUGCACAGAAAGAUGAUGAAAUGCUACCCGUUGAGUCUAUCAUUGCUCCAUUGGAGACAGAGCUGAAGCUUACUGCAGGAGUUAUACAUUUGUUAUGCAAUAUGACCCCUUUAAUUUUAUUUUAAAACUGAUACAAAAAUACUACAAAAAUUUAUGUAGUAUUUUUGUAUCAGUUUUGAGUGUCUAUUUUGGCUUCCAUAUAUCGUCUGUACAUGUGAGAGGUAUAGUGUUCAAUAUGUAUUUGGUUUCUAUAUUGUUAAUGGAUCCUUUUUUUUUUUUUAAUUUUAAUAUAAUUUUAUUAAGGUAACCAAGUUGCAGGAUGACAUCAGAACACUUGAUCUGCAGGUAAACCUUCAAUUUCCAUAUGAAGUUUGCAUGUUCGUUGUUUCUGGAAUUUGAGUUUUUAUUAUUUCUCAAUUCUAUCACAUAGAUUACGAUUUCACAUAUGUGAUUAUUAAUGGCAAUUAUAUGAUAGAAGAAUUGGGAUUGGAAGAAGAUAUUGAGUUGUUUAUUUAUGGGGAUUAGAAAAUGAUUAUCAUACAAGUGAUAUUUAUUUUUGUGUGGAUUGUUAAUAUAUAAAACUAUAAGCUUUUGAGAUUGGGAGAUAAAACCCACAAAUUCAAAUCAGACAAAAUAAAUAAAAAAUUUAACUGACUUAAAGAUCAAACUCCAAAAGGGUAUUAAAAACAAGGCUUAUUUGAUCCAUUGAGUGUGAAAGUUUUGAGCUUUGAAGAAGCAUAGGAGGAGAGUUGUUAACCAAGCUGCAUUAUCCAUGUAUUAGGAUGUUGAGGGUAGGCAGGAAAAAUACUUUUUGACGCCAUAUCCAGAGGAGCAUAACGACAGGCCUGCAUUUUUGCAGCAAGGACCAAAACAAGUAGAAGUGAAGGCUUGACUGUUUGGGUAUUAAUCCUAAACCUAAUUAUUCUUAUUUAGGUUUAGGAUAAAUGAUUGAGUGUGUCUCGAUGAUUGUAUUACCAUGUUUGAUGAAUGACUUGAGGAGUUGGAAAUGGUUUAUUGCUUAUGUUUUUCUUAGGUGUGUACUUUGGUUAUUUCCGAGCUUUUCACGACUCUUGAUACCUAAUAGAGAAAAUGGAAACCCCAACUUUAAUUUUAUGAAUUGGUUUUGGUGCCUAAAAUGAAAUCUAGCAUAGUGAAAUCUUGCAUAAUGAAAUUAUGACAAAUUUCCCUUCAUCUUUAGAUUUUCAUUUAGUUCAAUUUGUAUGCAAUUUAGGGUUAUUCAAUUCAUGAGUGAUCAAAUUAUGUUUUUAAUUCCUUCUUCUUUUGAUUUACAGUUCAACAUUGUCGUACAAAAUGAAAAAGGUGCCAGUAACAUAGUUAUGGAUUUGGAUGCCUUUAGCGGAAUAAAACUGAAUUUUUUAACUUUGUAUAGUUGUAAACAUAAAAUACUCCAUCAGAUAGACUCAUAGCAUUUGAAAACAAUCCUUGAGGAUGGCAUAACAACAUCUCCAACUUUUGUCAUGUAAUGUAUGAAUGUAAAUAGCACUUUGUAAACAUAUGGAUGUAAUAUAUGUAUAUAAACAGUCUUUAGCAUGUAUAUUUUUCAAAACUUUCUACAUCUUCAACAAUGUUUCAAUGAUUUCUUGAUGUAAACAAUGAUAAUUUGAAGAACCAUUUAAAGUUUUCGGUAAUCAGCAUACUUAAGCUUAAAUGUGAUAUAUCCGUUUAGUAUUUUUUAUACAGUGAUAAUACUCAAGUAUAAUUUACAUCAUAUAUCUUUUGAAGUACAUGAAACUAUGAAGAAAAAACCCUAAUUAAUCUGAUUAUGGGGGUUUUGUUUUAUAUCAAAAUAUUGCAGCAGAAGUCACACUUUGAAGAGUUCACGCUGCACAGAAAGACGAUGAAAUGCUAUCUGUUGAGUCCAUCAUUGCUCCAUUGGAGACAGAGCUGAAGCUUGCUGCAGGUGGUAUACUUUUGUUCUGCAAUAUGACCCCUUUAAUUUUAUUUUAAGACAGAUAGGGUUGAAAAGAAUUUAUGUAGUAUUUUUGUAUCAGUUUUGAAUGUCUAUUUUGACUUCCAUAUUUGGUCUGUACAUGUGAGGUAUAGAGUGUUCAAUAUGUAUUUGGUUUCUAUAUUGUUAAUGGAUCUUUUUUUUUUGUUUUUUAGGUAACCAAGUUGCAGGAUGAAAACAAAACACUUGAUCAGCAGGUAAACCUUCAAUUUCCAUAUGAAGUUUGCAUUUUUGUUGUUUCUGGAAUUUGAGUUUUUUGCAGGAUGAAAACAGAACACUUAAUCUGCAGGUAAACACUUGAUUUGUUAUUUCCAAGCUUUUCACGACUUUCGAUACCCAAUAGAGAAUAUGGAAACCCCAACUUUAAUUUUAUGAAUUUGUUUUGGUGCCUAAAAUGAAAUCUAGCAUAGUGAAAUCUUGCAUAAUGAAAUUAUGACAAAUUUCCCUUCAUCUUUACAUUUUCAUUUAGUUCAAAUCGUAUGGUUUAGGGUUAUUCAAUUCAUGAGUGAUCAAAUUAGGUUUUUAAUUCCUUCUUCUUUUGAUUUUCAGUUCAGCAUUGUCGUAUUUUGGAUGCCUUUAGUGGAAUAAAACUGAAUUUUUUUAACUUUGUAUAGUUGUAAACAUAAAAUACUCCAUGAGAUAGACUCAUAACUUUUGAAAACAAUCUUUGAGGAGGGCAUAACAACAUCUCCAACUUUUGUCAUGUAAUGUAUGAAUGUAAAUAGCACUUUGUAAACAUAUGUAUGUAAUAUAUGUAUAUAAACACCACUCUUUAGCAUAUAUAUUUUUCAAAACUUUCUACAUCUUCAACAAUGUUUCAAGCCCCGCGGCAACGGGCGGGUACACUUGCUAGUAUACAUCUAAAAUUAUAAGACUAAAUCCUUUAGUUCUUGGAUUCAUCUAAGAACUACUUAUUCCAGCAGAUGCUAUGCUUGCACUACUAGAAUUUAUGGCUUGCCCUGUCAACUAUUGCGCGACAGAAGAUUUCGUCGGUUUCACCUUUUUUAACCGACAGAAUAUAAGUUUAGUAGGGCAAAAUCAGUCAACAAACUGGGUUGAUUGAAUAAAUUUACAGGAUGGCUAGAGUUCGUAGGUUAAGACAUCGGUCGUUGGGCAAACAUUUGGAGCGAAGAUGUGAGUGUUUUAACUGACGAAUAAGCUGGUCGUCAUGUAGAUCUUCUUUCCCGACGGACGGUUCAACAGGUAGCUCUUUGGAUAAUAAUUCAUCUUCAAGGGGAACAGGUUGCCCCUCAGAUGAAUGGUUAGAGGCAAUUGUGAGACUAUAAUUUUCUAGGGCCGGAAUAAAAAAUACAUAAACCCUCACCUAUUCUGUCUCUGUAACCAUCCACCAAAUACCCAUUUUUCCCUUUCUAUUUCUCUCCUAGUAAUUUCCCCUGACCGAAUCACACAAUCCAACCAACUCUCUUUAAGCCUCCCUCACUGAUUCCAUGGAUUUCAUGGACUUAUCCCACCCUCUCUCCUUCCUUCUAUAUAUAGCAAGUCCCCUUGCCUCAGUGUCCCUGGCAACAGAAUUUAUGGCGUUUCUUCGUUCUUUCAAUUAUUUGAAAGCUUCCCUGCCCUGCAAUCUUGUAUAAAGGCGUAUGGUGUUUCAUCAGUUCCAUUUGGUGGUCGGGUGGGAAAUGAAAUUAAAACACUGCAUUUCAAAUGCAUUUCAAAUGGUCUAAACCAAAUUGAAUCAAAUGUGAAGCAAAGGGCAAGAGGUGUAGAUUGAAGAACAAUGGCACCAAGAGCGAAAUUGAACUUGUUGACAGGAGGAAACCAAGUAAGGAUAACACGUCUAAAUCUUAUUUUGAAUCCAUUCAGCUCAUGAUGUUUUGAAUGAUGAUGAUCGGUAUACUCUGCUACAUGCUGUGAUUUUUCCGCUUUCAUGUAAUUAACGGCUUAUAUUUGUGGUAACCAUAUUGAUUAAAAAAGGUCGUACCCAGUGCACAAGGCUCCCGCUUUACGCAGGGUCUGAAAGGUGAAUGUCGGCUAGCCUUACCCCCAUUUUAUGGAGAGGCUGCUCCAAAGUCUCAAACCCAAGACCUACCGCUCAUGGGCGAAGACACUUGCCAUCGCACCAAGUGCGAUAUUGAUUAAUUUCGAGAAAUGACAGUCUAAUUUUUGCAACUGUCUUUUGCAGGCAAAACAAAGACGUUUGCAAGGGUGAGUUGUGUAGGAGCUUUGUUUCAUGUCCAAAGGACACUUGAGAAUAAAUGUUUACACUCAUGGAUAAUAUCUAUCUAUUUGCAGGAGUAACCCUGGGUUCAUUUGUUCUGUAACUGCUGGUCAUUGCGGCAUAUCACGCCUAUAGCACUGACAAAAGUAAAAAGAGAAUCGAAUGAAAUUUGAUAAGUUUUCAGCGGACUACAAAGAUCUUAAGCCAAGCAUAUAUUCCCAUGCAGAUAUUAAGAGGUUUACAAAUCAAUUCAAGUACAAGUUGGGCCAAGGAGCAUACGGAACUAUUUUUAAAGGAAUGCUUUUUUCUGAAUGCUUUGUUGCCAUGAAGUACUUAACAAUGGGCCAUAUUCACCAUGUCAAUGUGGUUCACUUGGUUGGUUUUUGUGCUGAUGGAUUUAGAUGAGCUCUGGUUUAUGAGUUCUUUUCCUUUGGUUCACUCCAGGAUUAUAUUUCAUCAGUAGAUAGAUUUCUUUCCUUGGUUGGCAUAAGUUACAAGAUAUUGCUAUCAGCAUAGCCAAAGGAACCAAGGAUGUGAUCUACAAAUCCUCCAUUUCGAUAUCAAACCCCAUAAUGUUUUGCUCAACCAAAAAAUCACGCCAAAAAUCUCUGAUUUUGGUCUGGCCAAGUUAUGUUCCAAGGAUCAAUCGGCGUGACUAAAGCAAGGGGGACUAUGUGACUAAAGCACCCGAAGUGUUUUCCAGGAAUUUCGGAAAUGUGUCUUACAAGGCAGAUGUCUUGAAUGCUGCUGCUUGAGAUGGUAGGAGAAAAGAAGAAUAUUGGUUCAACCAGAGGACACGACAAAUGAAAUCUACUAUCCAAAAUGGAUUUAUAAUCUUCUAGAGGAAGGAAAUGACCAACAGAUCCCUAUUGAGGAAGAAUGUUAUGGUAAGAUUCCAAAGCAACUUGCAAGUUUAGGGCUCUGGUGCAGCCAGUGACACUCAGUGGAUCGGCGGUCCAUGAAAACGGUGGUUCGGAUGUUAGGAGGAGGAGAAAACUUGAUGAUGCAAGCAACCCUAAAAGCCUCAUACAGUUAGAAGCAAUUGCUGAAUUAGAGUAACAUACGUAUAUGUAUACGCACCAACACAAGUCGUUCUUAGAUGAAUCCAAGCCAAACAAUUACAGACAAUAGUUAUUCACUAAAUCACUUUAAGGCAAGAAUUUAAUUAAUAAUACAUUACUGCACUUUCUUAACCAUUUGACUAUCACCUAGCUGACAAUGAACACGUUAGCUCCGCGUUAGAACAUCUUGGGUUCAAUUCAUUGUCUUGAAUAUCACCCACUGUCACAGGCGUCUUUUGGGGGCAUAGAGAAGGCCUGAGAGGCAUUUGCAGACAUUCAACAUCUCCUCCAAGCAUUUUGACAACUUUGGACAUCGAAGGGCGAUCACUUGGUUUCAUUUGAAUACACCACAAGGCGGUUAUAACCAUCUUUCUUAUUACUUUCUUUUCCUCCUCUGUAACAUUGUCCAUUUCCAAGUCAUUUCCUACAAUAUACUGAUCGUAUACCCACAUUGGGAAGUAGAUUUGGCUUGAAUGCUCUACCGUUGGAUUCAAAUUCCUCCUUCUGCUUGCCAUUUCCAUCAACAACAUUCCAAAACUAUAGACAUCUGACUUAUAUGAGACGCCUCCAAUAUUUUUGUAGAACAACUCAGGAGCAAUAUAUCCCAGUGUACCCCGUGCUGCUGUCAAAGAGACAAUGCUAUUAUCUACAUGAUACAAUUUUGCAAGCCCAAAGUCAGAAACCUUUGCUUUAAAGUUCUCAUCAAGAAGGAUGUUAUGAGGCUUGAUGUCGAAAUGUAGAAUUUGCAUUUCGCAACCUUGGUGUAGAUAUUCGAUCCCUUGAGCCACUCCAAGAGAAAUCUCGUACAUGUUCUUGAUAGUUAAGGGGACACUUCCUUCUUUGGAAUAAAUGUAUUUAUCAAGAGAACCAUUAGGCAUGAAGUCAUAGACUAGAGCGCGUUUUGAUCCCUCAACAUAGUAUCCAACAAGUUGCACCACAUUGGCAUGGUGAAUCCUUCCGAUUGUAGCUAAUUCGCUAAUGAAAUCUUGGCCAUCAGCUUUGGGCUUGGCCAAAACUUUAACUGCUACAAAUCGACCACUGCGUAGCUUUCCCUUAAAUACAGAGCCAAAGCCACCUUUGCCCAACUUGUCCUUAAACUUGCGAGUCAUUUUCUUGACGUCCGAGUAAGAGUACCUUAUAGGCAUGAAGUUGUUAUUGCAUUGCAGAAAAUCUUCUAUUGUGCUAUACAUUGAUAAAUGUCUUCUGCGCCAUGUGUAGAUUAGAAAUGCAGUCACAAUUGGAACUCCAAAAACAAAUCUGGCUAGGAAAAAUAACCCUACAUGCAUUGACAUUAAUAUGUUAGAUCCACUGCGUACUACUUUUUCUUCCCUUUCUUUCCAAAUUACUUUGUCUUUGAUGUAAUUAAAGAGAGAAUGGGAAAUGUACAUAUGUUGAUAAUACAAUCUCGUCUUAGUCCUUACCGAUGCAUAUGAGUAUAAACCAUACACGUACUGCAACAAAAUCAAUCGACUAUGAGUUUGAAAAGUGCAUAAAGUGAAAAAAAAAUAAAAAAAAUCAAAGGGUGCCUUUAUUGACAUCCAAAUUUUAGUUAGUUUUACUCAACUAAAAAAUUUUUGUCAUCAAACUUUUUAAUUUGCCGUCGAAAUUGAGUUCACCCAACCCACAAAGCAGCAACUACCACUCACCAAAAAAACCAACAACACACAGCCACCAGUACCAUUCACCAAUAGAAAGAGAAGGAACACACAGACCCACCAAGGAGCCGGCAUCGACGCGUCUACGAGGGAGGGACCGGAGGGUGGUGUAGUUUUGUUGGGCGCGCGGUAGUGGUUUUGUCUGUUCAUUUUCUCUUUGUUUUGGUAGGUGGAGGCUGGUGUGGAUUUGGGCGAACUUAAAAAUGAGGGGAAACUAUGAAGUUUGACAAAAUGUUUUAGUUAGGUGAACUUCACUAAAAUUUGGGUGCCGAUAAAGAUACCCAAAAUCAAAAGACUAGAUGGACUAAUUAAAUGAAGCUCUUACCCAUAUAUAACGAUGGACGCAACUUGCCAGCUGCUGCAGUACAUACCACGGAAAAGUGAGCAAAGACAUACAGUUACUAGGUUUAAGAAGUACAGAUAGAGCACACAAAAAAUAAAAGAAGCUUUUGGGAAGAAACUUCUUACGCAAAUAGAUUUUUUUCAUGACCUACAGUAAAAAAAUGUCAAGAAGAAUACACAACAUUAGCAAUAGCUCACCCAGUCUUCAAAAUUUAAAAAAUCAAGUUUGUCGAUCGAAAACUUGUAAAUAAAACAAAAAGAGGACCCCUUACCGAUUUGUUGCCAUAGAUAUUGAAAGAAACCUACAAGAACAAAGAAAGAACAAGACCACAUGCAUUAGAAUAACAAGUGUGAGGUGUAUAAGCCGUUAGAAAAUAAAUUUAAAAUUCUAGUGCUGUCAAUACAUUGAUAAUAUAUAUAUAUAUAUAUAUAUAUAUAUAUAUAUGUAUGUAUGUAUUAUUUUUUCUGAAAAUUUAACUUUUCCCGUCCAAACUCAUUUUUCUAGUCUCUAGCCCAACAUAUAAUAUUUAUCUGAAUAAAACCAAAUGAUUAGGAUCCAACUAAGAAACUUACCAAAUUAAGUUUGUGUGUCCAUUUUUAUAUUUUUUGGAUCCCUAAUAUACCCCAUCUAAGCCAGUAUGGAAAGGUCUUGUAAUUUUGCUUUAAGUGAUUACGUGCAUUGAAUUUGGCAAGGUCUUAUAGCCAUGAAAUAUGGUUCUAGAUGGAGGAAUUAAUUUGGAAUUUUUUUUAAUUUCGACAACAAAUUUCAAUUUGAAUAUACCUAAUUUAGUGUUUAUUUUCAACAAUAAAUGUGCCUACUUUUUAAAUUUGUAACAAAAUUAAUUUACCUACUUUUUAUGGUAUUAGUGACACACCCUGUCCCGAAGGAGGGCAUGCUGGCCGUCACGAGAGAGUGACGUAACCAUUUGCACAGUACGGAAGCUUUAAGAUACAAUUUAUAAGUUGAUACACCCGAAGGUGAGUCCUAAUUUUUGUCCAAUCUGUCAGAACACCGUCAAAUUCCUCGUAGUCACCACACCUUUGUGAUUCCUGAACCUGGAGGGGCGCAAAACCAAAAUUGAGUGGGUCAGUAAAACAAUUCUUUUCCAAAUCCAAACAUUUCUCAAAACGUUGUAACCCUCUCCGUAAAACUUGUAUACUUUCCCAGAAAUGUAAAAUAUAAAUAUACAUAUAUAUUCUCAAACUUCAUUUUUACUAUCUCAACAUUUUUCUUUAUCAAACAUGCCAUGCCAUGUCUAAUUCAACAGUUAAGUAUGGAUGCAUCAACAAUAAUCAUAUCAGGUGCAAGAAAGUAAUCAACCGGAGGCCCUCUAAUAGCCCUGUACGGUUGAACCUAGAGCUCAAAAUCUAUCACUCUCACUCUGCCGGGAGUCACCUCUGUGACCUGUCCGGCCUUCUGCACACAAGUUACGCUCUAGUGCUUUCUCAUCAAUCAUCUGUGCACAUAAUCUAAGGUCACCCACCAGUCGAAAUCUCACUAACACUCUUCGACUGGCCCGUCGCACCCACUCCGCGUGGACUGUGCGACCAGCAUCUACUUGGAUCCAAGGCGAGCGUGCGAUGCGGUGAAUACUAUAAGCACUAAACCAUGGUGCAGGAUUUGAGCUCAAUAUAUAUCAACAUCAUCAUAACAGUACUUAAAUACUCACCUGAUACUCACCUGUGCGUCCGCCGCACCAAUUCAUACAUAUGCAUCAUAUUUCAAUUCAUAUCAUUUCAUGCAUGGCAAUUCGAUUCACAUUUCUAUAUACAUUUCAUAUACUUCUAUGCAUGACCUUUCAAUUCACGUUUUCAUAUAAUUCUAUAUACCUUUCAUUUAAAACAUAAUUUCAUUCUAAUUCAAUUUCUGGGAAAACGUCAAGUAUAUAUAUACGGAAAACAAAACUGCCCACUCACCUGGAGUUCGUCCAACAACUCCCUAGCACCACACAUCAAGGCGUCAUGACGAUCGCCGUCUAGAACAGUAAUCAAAUCCAGCCUCAGAAUUCAUAUCGAUAGAACAUAUAACUUAUAUAAAAUAUGUCACUACGUAGAUCGAUCCGGAAGAUCUGCCACUCAGAUUUUAAAUCCAUAACUUCCAGAGGUCCACAAUAUAUCUCUAGGAUAACAUCCUAAAAUUUCAUUACCAUCCAACGGUCGGAUCUCCGUCAAUUUCCAAAACUAAGUGACGGUUAACAUUUUAUUUUAUGAACUUACAAUUCUAAUUCCGGAAGAUCCGUAACUCGGAUUCCCAAUCCGUAAGUUCCAAUAAUCCUCAAAUAUUACGUAUUACAACGUAUCAAAGUUUGGUAACGAUCCAACGGUCGGAUCAUCAAUUCACAUUUUCACCUAAUGCGAAAACUAUAAAACGUUAUUCGAACACCUAACCAACAAUCCUUAAUAACUUUCUCAUACGGUGUUCAAUUUGGGUAUAUGAAUAUACCACAGUGAUCUACUCAUUAAAAUAAUUUUUUACUGUAGCACGCGCCCCCACGCGCCAAGGAAGGCACGGACCUACGCGCCCCCACGCGCACCUUCUUCUUCCUUGGGUCGCCGGACUGGUUUUUCCGGCGGCCGUUUUUCAAAUUGCCAUAACUUUGUCAUUUCUCAACGAAAUCAAGUGAUUCAAAAACGAAAGUUGUAGCCCUUGAAGAGACAAAGAGAAUGGUACCUUGCACAACACCUAGUUCGCCGUGGUUUGGCCGGAAACUGCUUCGAAAGCCUCGGAGGUCGCCAGAAACUGGGUAUUUUUCAAAUCAGUAUAACUUCUUCAAUACUCAACGAAAUUGAGUGAAACAAAAAGGAAAGUUGUAGUACUUGACGAGACGAAGAGAUUGAUACCUACCUCGACUCCUAACUCACCGGAUAUUCGCCGGAAAAUGCCUCGAAAGCUCCGGCCAAACUUUGAACUUGUCGAUCUCCGUGUUCUUACAUCCAAAAACUUCCAACGAAGCACUCCGAGCUUCCUUGGGACCUCACUAAGCUCGCUAUGAUCUUGUUUUAGCCUAAAACGUAGUCAUUUAGAAGAUCAUGAACAAUACCAUUUCACGGGAACUUUGAAACUAGGGUUUUCCGAAGCAAAACUUACCUGAAAUGGAUACCAUCGUGAUCGUGGAGGUUCCAGGAGUUUGAUGGUGGUCUUAACUCUGUCGUUGGUGGAAGUUUAAGGUUGUUUUGUGGUUGGUUUGUUCGAACGGAGAAGAAGAGUGACAGAGAGAGUGAGAGAGUCGUGAGGGAAGAGAGAGAGAGACAGCAUGCAGAAAAUAGGGAGAGGAUUGAGGGGUGUGGGGAUCCCACGUGGUCCUUUUCCAAUCCCCAACUCCAAACCAUAAAAUUUUAACCUAAAAAUCUAAGUUCAAUCCUUAAUAAAUUCCAUUUUAUUUUCAAAACUUAGGAACCUAGAUAAUUAUCAACUUGAGCUUCACAUACUUAGUAUUUCUUAAGGGCAAUUUCGUUCAUUCACAGCCACGAAUGUAAUAUUUUGGAACGGGCUGUGACAAUUAGUAUACAUAAAUGUAGAAUAUAUGUCCGUAUAUAUUUGAUCCAAUUAGUAUUAGGGAGAAUGACAAGUCAUCCAAGUCUGCUACUGUUAAUAAUUCUGUUACUGUAAAUUAACUGAUUGUAUUAGUUGUGAUUAGUUAAGAUAGUUAUAAAGUAGUUAGGGGUAUCUAUGUAAAUAGCCAAAGGCUAUAUAUAUUCCUACACAAUGUGUAAAGUUCUCAGUCAAGUAAAUACAAUCAAGAAAACUUACUGUUGAAGUUUUCUGUUUCUACAUGGUAUCACGCCAUUCCGCUUCACAGCUUCGAUCUUUCUCUUCGCUUGCUGCAUCGAUCGACUCUUGAUCGAUUUUUCUUCUCUGAUCUUCUCUUCGCUUGCUGCAUCGAUCGACUCAUGAUCGAUUUUUCUUCUCUGAUCGUCACUUCUUCCCUUCCGAUCUUGUAGUAUUUUCUUGAUUUCUGUCAGUAAUGGCGGCUCAAUCGACUGGUUCAUCUUCUCCGGUCAUCUCCCCCUCGAGCCCAAACCCUAAUUUUCUCUGGAAACCCUAAUUCCUCUGGAAAUCCGAGUCCUCUGACUUCCUACACUUCUCUCUCACAAUUCAUAACAUCGGCAGCAUGGUGCCGAUCAAGCUCAAAAGAUCCAAUUACCUACCAUGGCGCGCCCUGUUUGGCCCGAUUUUCCGGCGAUACAAGCUUCUUGGAGUAAUCGAUGGUACUGACGUCUGUCCAUCGCCAUUUCUGCCUGAUCGUAGCAUCAAUCCUGCUUUUGAGGACUGGUAUGAGAAAGAUCAAAAUCUUUUUGAUCUGGUUGAAUUCCACACUUUCUGAGGAAAUCAUCCCGUUCACGGUUGGGGUUUCAUCCUCUCGAGAACUUUGGGUAAAGCUUGAACAGCGCUUUGGUGGAAUUUCAGAGGCUCAUAUCCAUCAGUUGCGAUCGCGCCUUCAAUCUGUUCAGAAAGGAUCGCGUUCUAUCUCUGACUAUCUUCAAGAACUCAAGGAAAUUUCAGAUUCUCUGCAAGCUGCUGGUGCUUCUGUCUCUGAUCGAGAUCUUAUCGCCGCCACACUACAUGGCUUGCCUGAUGAAUUUGAGUCUUUCAUCGACUGUAUCAUGCUCCGAUUGUCCUCUACCUCUCUGAUGAACUUCAUGGCCUCCUUCUCACAAAGGAAUUGUCUAUGGCCAGACGCAAAACUGUCAGUUCAUCUCCUGUCCCUGAAUCUUUUCAGGCUUUCUCGGUGCAGUCUCAGCCUCAUCUCCUUCCUACUCCAUCUGCUUUUGCUGCUCAGAAUCUCCCUCUUCAAUCUGCAUCUCGGUUCAACUCUAAUCGUGGCAGGAACACUAAGGGCCAGUUCUUUUCCAAUCGAGGUCAUCGAGGUAAUCGUGGUAAUUUUCCUAAUAAACCGUGGCAAUCGAGGUUAUCAAGGAUUUCGCAGCAAUCAAGGCUCUUCUCACUUCAAAGUGCUUUGUCAAAUCUGUGGUUCUACCAGUCAUGAGGCUAUUGACUGCUUUGAUCGUAUGAAUCCUGACAUCUUGUGGUCGUAUUCCUCCAGCUAAGCUUGCUGCCAUGUGUGCCACAACAUUCUGCUAAACCAUCUCAGCCUUGGUUAAUUGAUUCAGGGGCAACCUCUCAUAUCACUAAUGAUGUUGCUAACCUCACCUCUCCUACUCCCUACACUGGCGAGGAUUAAAGUGUAUAUUGGAGAUGGUAAAGGUUUAUCCAUCCUCAAUGUUGGUUCAUCUACUCUGCACACCUCUCAUAAUUCUUUUCAAUUGCGAAAUGUUUUACAUGUUCCCCACAUAACCCAUAAUCUUAUCUGCUUAUCAGUUUUGUUAAUGAUAAUAAUUGUUCAUUGACACUUGACCCUUAUGGAUCCUAUGUCAAGGAUCGUAUUUCGGGGAAGAUGCUUUUACGGGGACCGGUUAGAGAUGGCUUCUAUCCUCUUCAAAGUUCCAGCAAUCUUCAUCCUCUUUCACAUACCGCUUUACUUAGUAUUAAAGCUCCAGUUACAAUUUGGCACAAGCGUUUGGGUCACCCUUCCUCCUCCAUUUUUAGAAGGCUCCUUUCAUCCAAUAAUCUUGCUUUACAAGGCAAGUCUACUGUGGACUUUUUCUGUUCGGAUUGUGCUCUUGCCAAGAAUCAUAAGCUUCCAUUUAAAGCUGCUACUUCAUCAUCAACUCACAGCCUUCAACUACUGCACUGUGAUCUGUGGGGACCUGCCUCAAUCACAUCAAGUAGUGGUUUUCAAUAUUAUUUGCUCAUUGUUGAUGACUAUAGCAAAUAUAGUUGGUUCUUUCCUUUGAAAUCUAAGUCAGAUGUAUUUUCUACAUUUGUUGUCUUCAAAUCAUAUGUAGAAAAUUCACUUGGAAAUAAAAUAAAGGUUCUGCGUUCAGAUUCAGGGGGUGAAUUUACUAGUCACUCUUUUGCAUCAUAUCUCAGCAAACAUGGCAUUCUUCAUCAGUUCAGUUGUCCCCACACCCCUGAGCAAAAUGGUUGUGCAGAAAGAAAGCACAGGCACCUUGUUGAAAACAGCUCGCACUUUGCUUCUUGCAUUCUCAUGUCCCUCAUAUUUUCUGGGUUGAAGCAUUCUCCACUGCUAUCUAUCUUAUUAAUCGCCUUCCUAUUUCUGGCAUUUCACAGUCCCCUUGGCAGUUGCUAUUUCACAACCAUCCAGACUACUCUAAGCUCAAAGUAUUUGGUUGCCAAUGCUUUCCUUGGCUCAAACCUUACUUUCAUAGCAAAUUGGAUCCCAAGAGCAAAAAGUGUGUUUUCUUGGGGUAUAGUCUUCAACACAAAGGCUAUAGGUGCCUUGAUCCUAUCACCAAUCGCAUCUACAUCUCUCGUCAUGUCUGUAUUCGAUGAAAGUACUUAUCCAUUUCAGUUGUCCCACAUUCAACACUCUUUUCCUGUUCCAAGUCCUCCAUCUUCCUCACCAACAAUUUCUUCCUCUCUGGAUCUUCAUUUUUUAGCAAACACAUUCCUCCUGUUUUCAGUCAGCCAUCUACAUCACCAUUAUGUGCUUCUGUGCCUGUUCCUAUUUCUUCAUCUUCAUCUUCCCCUGCACCUGUCUCAGUUGGCUCUUCUUUCCAGUUUUGUUCCUCCUUCAGCACAUUCAUCUUUCUCCCAAAAUCAACAGAGUCAUCCUCCUGCCCCUGUUAAUUCUCAUCCAAUGAUUACUAGAUCCAAGGCUGGUAUACUCACGUCGAGAGCCUGUGCAGCAACUAAGCACCCACUUCCGGUUGAUAUGGAUUAUGUUCCUACAACAUACUUGCAAGCUUCUAAGCAUGCUCAUUGGAGGCAAGCUAUGCAAGAUGAAUUUAAUGCCUUGCUAACCACUGGUUACUUUGGUCUCUUGUUCCUUCUCACCAUUCUCAAAACUUAGUGGGCUGCAAGUGGGUUUUCCGGAUUAAGAAGAAGCCCGAUGGCACUGUUGACAGAUAUAAAGCCCGGCUUGUGGCCAAGGGUUUUCAUCAACAAGAAGGUAUUGACUUUUCAAGAAAACCUUCAGUCCAGUUGCCAAACCGGUUACAAUUCGGAUCCUUCUUACCCUUUGCUGUGCAAUAUAAUUGGUUUCUCAAUCAAUUGGACAUUAGUAAUGCCUUUCUUCAUGGAGACUUAAAGAGAGGAUGUCUACAUGCAACAACCCCCUGGUUUUGUUGAUCCCUUUACCCUACAUUUUGUAAGUUGAGGAAAUCGUUGUAUGGUCUCAAACAAGCUCCUCGAGCUUGGUUUGAUAAACUGUUCCAAGCUCUUCCUCUCUUGGAUUCACCCAAUCAUCCUCAGAUGCUUCUUUAUUUGUUCUCAAUGGUCCUCAGUUUAGUCAUUGUCCUUGUCUAUGUUGAUGACAUUCUUGUCACCGGACCCUAUCCUUACCUCUGUCAACACUUCAUUCAGCAACUUGGGGCUCAAUUUCCAGUAAAAGACCUUGGUCCUCUUCAUUAUUUCUUGGGAUUAGAAGUACAUCGAUCUUCCCAGGGUAUAUUUCUCCAUCAAACAAAGUACUUAUUGGAUCUUCUCAAGAAAACAAAUAUGGAGGGUGCAAAACCUUGUUGUACUCCCCUUGGCUCUAAGAAAUUAGAUCACAGUGGCCCUCUUCUGUCCAAUCCUACUGAAUAUCGCUCCAUUGUUGGUGGUUUACAAUAUCUUACUUGGACUAGACCCGACCUUGCUUUUGCUGUGAACCAAAUCUGCCAAUUCAUGCAUGCUCCCAGGGAACAACAUCUCCAGGCAGCAAAAAGGGUUCUCAGAUUUCUCAAAGGCUCUAUCUCACAUGGUGUGUGGUUCACUAAAGGCCCUGUCCAUCUUUCUGCCUACUCGGAUGCCGACUGGGCUGGUUGCACAAUUGACAGGAGAUCAACCACUGGUUAUUGUGUAUUUUUGGGUUCCAAUCUUAUCAGCUGGAGUGCCAAGAAGCAAAGUACUGUUGCCAAGGUCCUCUACAGAGGCUGAAUAUCGCUCCUUAGCUCACACAGCUGCUGAGAUAACUUGGGUUUGCAGAUUCUCAAAGAUCUGCACUAUCCUCUCUCUUACAUUCCCUACUUUUGGUGUGACAACAUAUCAGCAAUAUCUUUAGCAUCUAAUCCUGUCUUUCAUGCUCGAACAAAGCAUGUUGAGAUCGAUUAUCNGAAGUUUUCUGUUUUCUACAUGGUAUCACGCCAUUCCGCUUCACAGCUUCGAUCUUUCUCUUCGCUUGCUGCAUCGAUCGACUCUUGAUCGAUUUUUCUUCUCUGAUCUUCUCUUCGCUUGCUGCAUCGAUCGACUCAUGAUCGAUUUUUCUUCUCUGAUCGUCACUUCUUCCCUUCCGAUCUUGUAGUAUUUCUUGAUUUCUGUCAGUAAUGGCGGCUCAAUCGACUGGUUCAUCUUCUCCGGUCAUCUCCCCCUCGAGCCCAAACCCUAAUUUCUCUGGAAACCCUAAUUCCUCUGGAAAUCCGAGUCCUCUGGACUUCCUACACUUCUCUCACAAUUCAUAACAUCGGCAGCAUGGUGCCGAUCAAGCUCAAAAGAUCCAAUUACCUACCAUGGCGCGGCCCUGUUUGGCCCGAUUUUCCGGCGAUACAAGCUUCUUGGAGUAAUCGAUGGUACUGACGUCUGUCCAUCGCCAUUUCUGCCUGAUCGUAGCAUCAAUCCUGCUUUUGAGGACUGGUAUGAGAAAGAUCAAAAUCUUUUGAUCUGGUUGAAUUCCACACUUUCUGAGGAAAUCAUCCCGUUCACGGUUGGGGUUUCAUCCUCUCGAGAACUUUGGGUAAAGCUUGAACACAGCGCUUUGGUGGAAUUUCAGAGGCUCAUAUCCAUCAGUUGCGAUCGCGCCUUCAAUCUGUUCAGAAAGGAUCGCGUUCUAUCUCUGACUAUCUUCAAGAACUCAAGGAAAUUUCAGAUUCUCUGCAAGCUGCUGGUGCUUCUGUCUCUGAUCGAGAUCUUAUCGCCGCCACACUACAUGGCUUGCCUGAUGAAUUUGAGUCUUUCAUCGACUGUAUCAUGCUCCGAUUGUCCUCUACCUCUCUUGAUGAACUUCAUGGCCUCCUUCUCACAAAGGAAUUGUCUAUGGCCAGACGCAAAAACUGUCAGUUCAUCUUCCUGUCCCUGAAUCUUUUCAGGCUUUCUCGGUGCAGUCUCAGCCUCAUCUCCUUCCUACUCCAUCUGCUUUUGCUGCUCAGAAUCUCCCUCUUCAAUCUGCAUCUCGGUUCAACUCUAAUCGUGGCAGGAACACUAAGGGCCAGUUCUUUUCCAAUCGAGGUCAUCGAGGUAAUCGUGGUAAUUUUCCUAAUAACCGUGGCAAUCGAGGUUAUCAAGGAUUUCGCAGCAAUCAAGGCUCUUCUCACUUCAAAGUGCUUUGUCAAAUCUGUGGUUCUACCAGUCAUGAGGCUAUUGACUGCUUUGAUCGUAUGAAUCCUGACAUCUGUGGUCGUAUUCCUCCAGCUAAGCUUGCUGCCAUGUGUGCACAACAUUCUGCUAAACCAUCUCAGCCUUGGUUAAUUGAUUCAGGGGCAACCUCUCAUAUCACUAAUGAUGUUGCUAACCUCACCUCUCCUACUCCCUACACUGGCGAGGAUAAAGUGUAUAUUGGAGAUGGUAAAGGUUUAUCCAUCCUCAAUGUUGGUUCAUCUACUCUGCACACCUCUCAUAAUUCUUUUCAAUUGCGAAAUGUUUUACAUGUUCCCCACAUAACCCAUAAUCUCUUAUCUGCUUAUCAGUUUGUUAAUGAUAAUAAUUGUUCAUUGACACUUGACCCUUAUGGAUCCUAUGUCAAGGAUCGUAUUUCGGGGAAGAUGCUUUUACGGGGACCGGUUAGAGAUGGCUUCUAUCCUCUUCAAAGUUCCAGCAAUCUUCAUCCUCUUUCACAUACCGCUUUACUUAGUAUUAAAGCUCCAGUUACAAUUUGGCACAAGCGUUUGGGUCACCCUUCCUCCUCCAUUUUUAGAAGGCUCCUUUCAUCCAAUAAUCUUGCUUUACAAGGCAAGUCUACUGUGGACUUUUUCUGUUCGGAUUGUGCUCUUGCCAAGAAUCAUAAGCUUCCAUUUAAAGCUGCUACUUCAUCAUCAACUCACAGCCUUCAACUACUGCACUGUGAUCUGUGGGGACCUGCCUCAAUCACAUCAAGUAGUGGUUUUCAAUAUUUAUUUGCUCAUUGUUGAUGACUAUAGCAAAUAUAGUUGGUUCUUUCCUUUGAAAUCUAAGUCAGAUGUAUUUUCUACAUUUGUUGUCUUCAAAUCAUAUGUAGAAAAUUCACUUGGAAAUAAAAUAAAGGUUCUGCGUUCAGAUUCAGGGGGUGAAUUUACUAGUCACUCUUUUGCAUCAUAUCUCAGCAAACAUGGCAUUCUUCAUCAGUUCAGUUGUCCCCACACCCCUGAGCAAAAUGGUUGUGCAGAAAGAAAGCACAGGCACCUUGUUGAAACAGCUCGCACUUUGCUUCUUGCAUCUCAUGUCCCUCAUAUUUUCUGGGUUGAAGCAUUCUCCACUGCUAUCUAUCUUAUUAAUCGCCUUCCUAUUUCUGGCAUUUCACAGUCCCCUUGGCAGUUGCUAUUUCACAACCAUCCAGACUACUCUAAGCUCAAAGUAUUUGGUUGCCAAUGCUUUCCUUGGCUCAAACCUUACUUUCAUAGCAAAUUGGAUCCCAAGAGCAAAAAGUGUGUUUUCUUGGGGUAUAGUCUUCAACACAAAGGCUAUAGGUGCCUUGAUCCUAUCACCAAUCGCAUCUACAUCUCUCGUCAUGUUGUAUUCGAUGAAAGUACUUAUCCAUUUCAGUUGUCCCACAUUCAACACUCUUUUCCUGUUCCAAGUCCUCCAUCUUCCUCACCAACAAUUUCUUCCUCUCUGGAUCUUCAUUUUAGCAAACACAUUCCUCCUGUUUUCAGUCAGCCAUCUACAUCACCAUUAUGUGCUUCUGUGCCUGUUCCUAUUUCUUCAUCUUCAUCUUCCCCUGCACCUGUCUCAGUUGGCUCUUCUUCCAGUUUUGUUCCUCCUUCAGCACAUUCAUCUUUCUCCCAAAAUCAACAGAGUCAUCCUCCUGCCCCUGUUAAUUCUCAUCCAAUGAUUACUAGAUCCAAGGCUGGUAUACUCACGUCGAGAGCCUGUGCAGCAACUAAGCACCCACUUCCGGUUGAUAUGGAUUAUGUUCCUACAACAUACUUUGCAAGCUUCUAAAGCAUGCUCAUUGGAGGCAAGCUAUGCAAGAUGAAUUUAAUGCCUUGCUAACCACUGGUUACUUGGUCUCUUGUUCCUUCUCACCAUUCUCAAAACUUAGUGGGCUGCAAGUGGGUUUUCCGGAUUAAGAAGAAGCCCGAUGGCACUGUUGACAGAUAUAAAGCCCGGCUUGUGGCCAAGGGUUUUCAUCAACAAGAAGGUAUUGACUUUCAAGAAAACCUUCAGUCCAGUUGCCAAACCGGUUACAAUUCGGAUCCUUCUUACCCUUGCUGUGCAAUAUAAUUGGUUUCUCAAUCAAUUGGACAUUAGUAAUGCCUUUCUUCAUGGAGACUUAAAGGAGGAUGUCUACAUGCAACAACCCCCUGGUUUUGUUGAUCCCUUACACCCUACAUCUGUUUGUAAGUUGAGGAAAUCGUUGUAUGGUCUCAAACAAGCUCCUCGAGCUUGGUUUGAUAAACUGUUCCAAGCUCUUCACUCUCUUGGAUUCACCCAAUCAUCCUCAGAUGCUUCUUUAUUUGUUCUCAAUGGUCCUCAGUUUAGUCAUUGUCCUUGUCUAUGUUGAUGACAUUCUUGUCACCGGACCCUAUCCUUACCUCUGUCAACACUUCAUUCAGCAACUUGGGGCUCAAUUUCCAGUAAAAGACCUUGGUCCUCUUCAUUAUUUCUUGGGAUUAGAAGUACAUCGAUCUUCCCAGGGUAUAUUUCUCCAUCAAACAAAGUACUUAUUGGAUCUUCUCAAGAAAACAAAUAUGGAGGGUGCAAAACCUUGUUGUACUCCCCUUGGCUCUAAGAAAUUAGAUCACAGUGGCCCUCUUCUGUCCAAUCCUACUGAAUAUCGCUCCAUUGUUGGUGGUUUACAAUAUCUUACUUGGACUAGACCCGACCUUUGCUUUUGCUGUGAACCAAAUCUGCCAAUUCAUGCAUGCUCCCAGGGAACAACAUCUCCAGGCAGCAAAAAGGGUUCUCAGAUUUCUCAAAGGCUCUAUCUCACAUGGUGUGUGGUUCACUAAAGGCCCUGUCCAUCUUUCUGCCUACUCGGAUGCCGACUGGGCUGGUUGCACAAUUGACAGGAGAUCAACCACUGGUUAUUGUGUAUUUUUGGGUUCCAAUCUUAUCAGCUGGAGUGCCAAGAAGCAAAGUACUGUUGCAAGGUCCUCUACAGAGGCUGAAUAUCGCUCCUUAGCUCACACAGCUGCUGAGAUAACUUGGGUUUGCAAGAUUCUCAAAGAUCUGCACUAUCCUCUCUCUACAUUCCCUACUCUUUGGUGUGACAACAUAUCAGCAAUAUCUUUAGCAUCUAAUCCUGUCUUUCAUGCUCGAACAAAGCAUGUUGAGAUCGAUUAUCACUAUAUUAGAGAAUUGGUUUUGGCUCAACUUCUCAAAGUCAAGUUCAUCUGCAGUGAAGACCAAUUAGCUGAUCUUCACACCAAGUCUCUGUCUAAAACCAGAUUUAAUUAUCUGUGUUCCAAGCUUCCCAUUGGUCUCAUUUCUGAUCCCCCUUCUCGCUUGAGGGGGUGUAUUAGGGAGAAUGACAAGUCAUCCAAGUCUGCUACUGUUAAUAAUUCUGUUACUGUAAAUUAACUGAUUGUAUUAGUUGUGAUUAGUUAAGAUAGUUAUAAAGUAGUUAGGGGUAUCUAUGUAAAUAGCCAAAGGCUAUAUAUAUUCCUACACAAUGUGUAAAGUUCUCAGUCAAGUAAAUACAAUCAAGAAAACUUACUGUUGAAGUUUUCUGUUUCUACAGGUUUUGGAUUGGAGGAGUUGACACAAAAUUAUAAAUAUAUUAAACAAAUUUAUCUAUUCUAAAGUUGGAGGGAAAUUGGCCUGUACAUUGCUACAGUAAUUUUUUUUUACCCAAUUUCACGUUAUUUACAACAAAGCUAUCAGAUUUGGGUUGGGUUGGAGGGUAAUUUGUUAAAAGUUAGGAGGGUAAUUUUGUGCAUAGGGUUUAGGUGCCCUCCUAUACAUGACCCUUGAUUUUACUUUAUUUACACCACUGCCAUCAAAUAUGUGGCUGAAUUGGAGGGUAUUAUUAAAAGUUAGGAGGGUAGUUUGUUCAAGGGGUGAGGGCGACAUUCGCAGACAGAGAGCGAUGGGAGCCAUGGCCAUUGCACAGAGAGAAAGGGAGUGAUGGGGGAAAUUACAGACAGAAAAGGAAGGGAUGGGGGGGAUUUGAUGGAUGGUCACAGAGAGAGAUUGGGUGAGGGAUGUGAGAGGAGAUUACAGAGAGAUAAAUAAAAGGGAGGGAUCGGGGGAUGUGAGGGAUGGUCAGGGAGAGAAAUAGUGAGGGAGGGAGGGAUGGGGGGGCUGAUUUUCGGUUCCUCCUUCCAGAUUUGUUCCGUAAAAACCUGUUGGGUAGAAUUCAAUUUCCUCCCCCUUUCCCCUGAACGAAAAAUUCGAAACCUACAACUCAAAACUCACUCAUUUGUCGUCCCUCCUUGGCUUUCCGCUUUACUCAUCUCCCGGUGGUUCUCUCUCCAUACGAUUCCAUUUCGGUGAGUUCUUCGUUGCCCUCAUGAUUUCCCACUUUUAUUUUUGGGGCGUCCUUAGUCGUCGUUUUUAUCUGGGUUUACUGCAUUGUUGCUUUUAGUUUCUGGAUUUUUAUUUUUUUGGCACUUGGAUGAAUCGUGGUUAAUAAUUUCACAUCAUGGGAUUUUCGCACUUCUGAUGGAAUUGAGCGCGGGGAUUCGGGGUGGGGUUUUACUGAUAAUUUGUCUUCAUUCAAACGAAGGGUUAAAAUUUAUGAGUAUUAACAAAUUUUGUAAAUUAUUCUUAUACAUUUUAUUGAGGGAUCUAAUCGAUUUCUUUCUGUAGUGGGAUUGAAAUUGGGGCUUUGUGGUACUCUCUCUCGCUCACUCUCUCUCCUAUGUGUAUGAAUUGAGUUCUGCAGUGAGUUUGCAGGUGGGCGCGUUCACUAACUAAGCUUUCAAGGGAACCGAUCAACGGUUUGCUUGCUGGGGGAAUUCGGAGACUACCAGUGUAUGAUUUAGUUAUCAUUAAUUUUUUUACUUAAUUUUAUCCAUAUAUAAUAUGUGGGUAAAUUUAGAGGUCGCACUUGGUGCGAUGGCAAGUUCCUUCGCCCAUGAGCGGUAGGUCUCGGGUUCGAGACUUGGGAGCAGCCUCUCCAUAAAUGGGGGUAAGGCUAGCCGACAUUUACCUCUCCCAGACCCUGCGUAAAGCGGGAGCCUUGUGCACUGGGUACGAUCUUUUAUAAUAUGUGGGUAAAUUUAUACUAAACAAUUGUGAUAAGCCAAUAUGCUAUACGACUUUGAAAGCAUUGAUUUUGUGUUUAGUUUGCAUUUUUGCAUUGUGAAUGUUGAAUUUUGUGUUUAAUUUGGAUUUUUGUGUUUGAAUUUGUAGCAUGAUCUUCCGCUGCAGCAUCCAAAUUUUGCAUUUGUAAAUUGUCAAAGAAAAACGAAGUAUGAGGAAAUUAUAGGAGAUUGUGUCGGCUUUGGCCAUGAAGGGUAUCAGCAGCUUGUUCCCCCAUACAGGUGAUUAAUCGCAGUCUGUUCUAUUUGGAUGAGAAAGUGAUUGAAAAAUAUGAUUUUUUAUUUGUUGGUUGAUUUUGUAUAACUCCGCCGUGUAAGUUUAUCUUACAUUGCCGGUCCCAAGCCCGGAUAAAGGAGGAGGGGGAGGGCGUCAGGUAGUCGACAGCUGGCACUCCAUGAUCACGUCGAAUCCUUAUGAAAAUGAAUCCAGAACGAAAUCGCGCUAAAGCUAGGGCGUCACCCAUAAGUGGCGCGCUGUGUGGCCCGAGCACAGUGAUAAGUGAGCAAGGGUCGUUGUAUCUCCAUCGGCACCCGGAUGCAGUGUUAAAUGAGCAAGGGGCUAUAGAAACUUCUUUUCGAACGACUCCACUCAAAGUUGUUUGGGAGCAUAUGCUCCUAUCAACUUUACACGGGACACACAAAAGAAGUACUUUGAUCCUAUUAGACGGGGAAGGGUGAAGAAGCUAGGACAGAAGGGUAGAGUUCAAGAGAGCAAAAUGCGUUUAGGAACGUGGAAUAUAGGAACCUUGAACGGGAAAAUCUAUGGAAGUAGUAGAAGUUAUGGUGAGGAGAAGGAUAAAUAUUAUGUGCCUACAAGAAACUAAGUGGGUUGGUCGUAAGGCAAAGGAUCUAGAAAACUCAGGGUUUAAACUAUGGUAUUCGGGCACAAAUAGAACGAGAAACGGUGUUGGCAUCAUCGUGGACAAGACCUUGACACAAGAUGUUGUAGAUGUCAAGAGGGUAGGAGAUAGAAUCAUGGCAAUCAAGAUUGUAAUAGGACAAGAACUUAUCAAUGUGAUUAGUGCGUACGCACCUCAAGUAGGGUUGGAUACGAGUUCGAAGGAGAAAUUUUGGGAAGACCUUGGAGACUUGGUGCAAGGAAUUGCUCAGACGGAGAAGUUAUUUAUAGGAGGAGAUUUAAAUGGACACGUGGGCAGGGAGACAGGCAACUAUGGAGGUUUUCAUGGUGGCCAUGGUUUUGGGGAGAGAAACGAGGAUGGGGAAGCUAUCUUGGAUUUUGCAAUGGCAUAUGAUCUCUUCUUAGCCAACACCUUCUUUAAGAAGAGAGAAGAACAUGUGAUCACCUACAAGAGUGGGUCGUCAAAAACACAAAUAGAUUUUCUUCUAAUGAGGAAAGGGGAUCGUAUAACUUGUAAGGAUUGCAAAGUUAUACCAGGAGAGAGCGUGGCUAAUCAACAUCGCUUGUUGGUGAUGGAUGUACAUAUCAAAAGAGUGAGAAAAAAGAACAAGACUUGGAAGUGCCCAAGGACUAGAUGGUGGAAUCUAAAAGAAGAAAAACAAGCCAUUUUCAAAGAGAAAGUAAUCACCCAGUGUGUGUGGGAUAGAGAGGGGGAAGCUAACCAAAUGUGGGAUUCCAUGGCUAGUUGUAUCCGAAAAGUAGCAAAAGAGGUAUUAGGAGAGUCCAAGGGCUUUGCCCCACACCAAAAGGAAUCUUGGUGGUGGAAUGAGGAGGUACAAACAAAGGUGAAGGCUAAGAAGGAAUGUUGUAAAGCCUUAUACAAGGAUAGGACCGAUGAAAAUGGUGAAAGGUAUAGAAAAGCGAAGCAAGAGGCGAAGAAAGCUGUGAGAGAAGCUAAGUUAGCGGCUUAUGACGAUAUGUAUAAGCGACUAGAUACCAAAGAAGGAGAGUUGGAUAUCUAUAAACUAGCUAGAGCAAGGGAAAAGAAGACAAGGGACCUAAACCAAGUGAGGUGCAUCAAGGAUGAGGAUGGAAAGGUUCUUGCUACAGAGAACGCGGUUAAAGACAGAUGGAAAGGUUAUUUUCAUAAUCUUUUCAAUGAAGGACAUGAAAGGAGUGCUUCUUUAGGGGAGUUGAGUAACUCAGAAGAGUGUAGAAACUACUCUUUUUAUCGUAGAAUCCGGAAGGAAGAAGUGGUUGUAGCUUUGAAGAAGAUGAAGCAUAGAAAAGCAGUAGGCCCAGACGAUAUACCAAUCGAAGUGUGGAAAGUUUUGGGAGAGACAGGUAUAACAUGGCUCACUGACCUUUUCAAUAGGAUUUUGAAAACGAAGAAGAUGCCAAAUGAGUGGCGAACGAGCACUUUGGUGCCUAUCUACAAGAAUAAGGGCGAUGUACAAAAUUGCAUGAACUAUAGGGGUAUUAAGCUAAUGAGUCAUACAAUGAAGCUCUGGGAGAGAGUCAUUGAGCAUAGAUUGAGGCAAGAGACACGGGUUUCGGACAACCAAUUCGGGUUCAUGCCAGGGCGCUCAACCAUGGAGGCAAUCUAUCUCUUACGAAGAUUGAUGGAAAGAUAUAGAGAUGGGAAAAAGGAUUUACACAUGGUCUUUAUAGAUUUGGAAAAAGCGUAUGAUAGGGUCCCAAGAGACAUUCUUUGGAGGAUUUUAGAGAAGAAAGGAGUACGAGUAGCAUAUAUCCAAGCUAUACAGGAUAUGUAUGAAGGAGCAAAGACUGCCGUAAGAACUCAUGAAGGACAAACCGAAAGCUUUCCCAUAACUGUAGGAUUACAUCAAGGCUCAUCCUUAAGUCCUUACCUUUUUGCGUUGGUAAUGGAUGAGUUAACAGGACAUAUUCAAGAUGAUAUUCCUUGGUGUAUGCUUUUCGCAGACGAUAUAGUGUUGAUAGAUGAAACUCAGGAAGGGGUAAAUGCAAAGCUUAACCUUUGGAGAGAAGUGUUGGAAUCUAAAGGUCUUCGCCUAAGCCGAUCAAAGACAGAAUAUAUGGAGUGCAAGUUCAGUGCAAAUGGAGGCCAAAACGAGUUAGGGGUGAGGAUCGGAGAUCAAGAAAAUACCAAAGAGCGACCGUUUUCGUUACCUAGGAUCUAUCUUGCAAAAGAACGGAGAAUUAGAUGGAGAUCUCAACCAUAGAAUACAAGCUGGAUGGAUGAAGUGGAAGAGUGCAUCCGGCGUGUUGUGUGACCGCCGUAUGCCACUGAAGCUCAAGGGAAAAUUUUAUAGGACGGCAAUAAGGCCGGCGAUGCUGUAUGGCACAGAAUGUUGGGCGGUGAAGCAUCAACACGUACACAAAAUGGGUGUAGCGGAGAUGAGGAUGCUUCGUUGGAUGUGUGGGCACACGAGAAAGGAUAAGAUUAGGAAUGAGGAUAUCCGGGGUAAAGUAGGAGUAGCCGAAAUUGAAGGAAAGAUGAGAGAAAAUCGGUUACGGUGGUUUGGACAUGUGCAAAGAAGGCCUACUGACGCUCCGAUUAGAAGAUGCGACUAUGGGACAGAGGUUCAGGGCCGAAGGGGUAGAGGAAGACCUAGGAAAACUUUGGAAGAGACCCUAAGAAAAGACUUAGAGUACUUGGAUCUAACGGAGGACAUGACACAGGACAGAACACAAUGGCGUUCUAAGAUUCAUAUAGCCGAUCCCACUCAGUGACUUGGAUUUUCCAAGUCUCCAACCGAGAAGUUUUCCUCACUCGGGAAAUUAAGGGAACACUACCUCAACCUACAUGCUCCACUCACAAAGCUUCAACAUACAAGCUUCAACAAAAGAAAAUUCAAAGAACUUAGCGAAGAAGGCUUUGGUGUAUUUAACACAAUACGUUGAAAUGAAGGAAAGCUUAUUUAUUGAUAUCCCCGAUAAGUUACAAAUAUGUACAUAUACUUGAGUCAAAAUAAACAAACAAGAGGGAGCCUUCACAAAGGUUGCUUAGGAGAAGUCUCAGCAGUCGGUAGAGCCCCAGAAAGAGAAGGCACCGGAGGGGGAUCAUUCGGAGCCUCAGUACUGGACAGAACCCUAGAAGGAGGAGGCAUCAGAGGUUGAUCAUUUGGAGCUUCAUUACGCGGUACAGCCCCAGAAGACGAAGGCAAUAAAUGCCUUUGGAACAAACCCACAAAUCUCUGAUGAUCAAGUAAAACCUGACCAUCAGAUUCCUUCAUCUGGUCAAGCUUCCUCUUCAUGUUUGUAGCAUAGUCAUGUGCGAGCCGGUGCAACUGUUUAUUCUCAUGCUUGAGCCCUCUAAUCUCCUGUUUGAGACUCAUCACUUCAGCCGCCAAUGAUUCAACUUGGCGGGUUCGAGCAAAUAGGCGUUGGGCCAUAUUAGACACAGAACCUGCACACUGAACACUGAGAGCCAGAGAAUCCUUAACAGCCAACUCAUCAGACCGUUUGGAAAGUAGUCUGUUAUCUUUGGGAGUGAGAAGGUUCCUGGCCACUACCGCAGCGGUCAUAUCAUUCUUCAUCACGGAAUCCCCAACGGUAAGAGGACCAGUAGGGGAGACGAAGGAUGGGCGCCAUAUGUUGUCUGGAGAAGGCGGGGCUGCCUCUUCAACAAGGUUCAAGUCAAAACGACGGUCGGAGGGGCCAGACAUUUUCAAAGGUGUUGAAGAGAGAAGAGGUCGGACAAAUCAAGAUCUUAGAAGUGCAAGAAUGGAGCUUCUACUGGUGGAUAUUCAAGUGUGCUUUGGAACUUAAUGUCAGCCCCUAUAAAAAUCUGCACUCGACGAAGCUUCAGAAAUCGAAGAGGCGCCUGCUCAGAAAUCGAAGAGGCGUUUGCUUUCUCAAAAGCUGGGCUGCUCAGAGACCACGAGGGUCGAUCUCAGAAAUCGAAGAGGCGUUUGCUUUCUCAAAAGCUGGGCUGCUCAAAGACCACGAAGGCCGAUCUCAGAAAUCGAAGAGGCUUGCUUUCUCAAAAGCUGGGCUGCUCAGAGACCACGAGGGCCGAUCUCAGAAAUCGAAGAGGCACCUACUUUUCCAGCCUUGUCAGCACCUGUCACACGCACACUCAGCUUUGCGGAAAUUAUGGGCAUUCUGUCGAAGAUUUCUGGCGAAGUAGAAAGCACAUGAAUCGUACUGUUCAAUCACCCACUUCCCACACGCAACAGUAGCUCAUGGGUACCACAGAUAACUUUGCCAAAGUUCUCUGACAAAGUUGAGACACGUGAAGCUUGCAGCUCCCACUACAUCGCUCUGACCAAGAAGGGUAAAAGAAUUAGCAAAGAAACAACACUAACAAAGUUUAGACACAUAAAUUUUGAAGGUCUAGCUACCAUAUUAUUACCCACAAGGGUAAAGGAACAGUACCACUGCUGGAUAAUUGGAAAGUCCCGGUGUGUCAACCUCUGUGCUUCGUGGCAAGGUAGACUAGCAAACAUGCCCAACCUUUACUCACAUUCGAGAAAACACUCCCAACAAGAUUGCUUGCUCCAAAAUCGAAGAGGCACCGCCCUCCGAAUCUCGAGAGCCAGACUCCCAACAUGAUUACUUUCUCAAAAAUCGAAGAGAGGGUAAAGGAACAGUACCACUGCUGGAUAAUUGGAAAGUCCCUGUGUGUCAACCUCUGUGCUUCGUGGCAAGGUAGACUAGCAAACAUGCCCAACCUUUACUCACAUUCGAGAAAACACUCCCAACAAGAUUGCUUGCUCCAAAAUCGAAGAGGCACCGCCCCUCCGAAUCUCGAGAGCCAGACUCCCAACAUGAUUACUUUCUCAAAAAUCGAAGAGAGGGUAAAGGAACAGUACCACUGCUGGAUAAUUGGAAAGUCCCUGUGUGUCAACCUCUGUGCUUCGUGGCAAGGUAGACUAGCAAACAUGCCCAACCUUUACUCACAUUCGAGAAAACACUCCCAACAAGAUUGCUUGCUCCAAAAUCGAAGAGGCACCGCCCUCCGAAUCUCGAGAGCCAGACUCCCAACAUGAUUACUUUCUCAAAAAAUCGAAGAGACACCGCUCUCCGAAUCUCGAGAGCCAGACCCCCAGCAGGAUUGCUUUCUCAAAAAUCGAAGAGGCAUCGUUCUCCGAAUCUCGAGAGCCAGAUCCCCGACAGGAUUGCUUGUUCGAAAACCGAAGAGGCACCACUUUCCCAACUUCAAGAGCUGGAUCUCCUUGGAUAAAGCUUGUCUGUAAUCUUCACACGCAACAUCAGCUUUCCAGAUACCACAGACCACUUUUUCAAAGUGCUCUGACAGAGUUAAAACAUGUGAAGCUGGCAGCUCCCACUACCGUGCUAUGACCAAGCAGGGUAAAGGAAUAGCAUUAUUACUUGAUGUUAGGGAGACUCCUAUAUAUGUCGACCUCCAUCCCCAACGGACAGGCAGACCUGCAAAAAUGCUCAACCCUUCCUCUUAUCUGAGAGGGCACUCCCAACGAAGCCUUUCGAAAUAUUCAGCUUUCUUUCCCCCCGAUAAUACCUCUGUAAACAAGCUAUACUAGAGCAAGAAUAUCUCAUAUCAUCAGGGUUAAAAGCAAGAGUAUCCCAUAUCAUGCUUUUUCCCUGUCUUUUCCUUUGGCCUUGUUCUUACCUGCAAGACAAGGAGAAAGAGAGCAAUCAGUCAGCACUUGGAAUCAAGCUUCCAGCCAGGAACUGACUGCCUGGAACCCCUUACCUGAUUACUUACCUGGCAUUGCUCUCGAGUACUCAUCUUCAACAUCUUAUGCUUCCAGGGAAGAUACCGCAUCUGCCUGAGGAACAGAUAGGGCAAGUGAGAAGGAUACAAGGAAGCAUGUGGAGACAAGCGUAACAGCACACGUGCCGAUACAUCCAUUACUCUGUCAAAAGCAAAAGUAUCCCAUAUCAGCAGGGUCGAACGUACUCUAGAUUUGAUGGACUUGUUUUGACCCUCAAAUUCUUCAGUCGGCCUUAUACUCUGGAGGAAACCAGAAAACCCUCCAGCCCAGUUCAAGAAUAAGCCUGUGGAAAGUUACUUCUUCAAAAGCAAAAGUAUCCCAUAUCAUCUCUUCUCAUUUUUCUUCUCUUUAUCCUUCAUGCUGCCUGCAAGAUAGGGAGAAUGUGAACAAUCAGCCGGAGCUCUGAUUGCUUACCUUGUCUGUCACCUCUUUCAGCAGAUCCCCUAGCUCGGCGACUUGGGGGACUCCUACUACAUGGUUUGUAUCGCGCUUGACCAAGCCUGAAACUACAAGUAAGCUUCAAGUGACAAUUGAUACAUUACCUUGUGCAUCUCCACCAGUUACAGAUACCACCCCUGGAUGGAGGAAGAGUACUUCCAGAGAAGAUGCCACAUCUACCUAUGAGACAGAUAAGGAAAGUCAAGACGAUACCACACUCCGGUACUUAGAAGUUUCGUGGUUACGAGAUCAUUCUCCCACAAUAUUUCCUAAUGUCAUUUGUACUAAAUCAUUCACUUGUACUCACUAAAGGAGAGCUUGAACCUAUGUACUUGUGUAAACCCUUCACAAUUAAUGAGAACUCCUCUAUUCCGUGGACGUAGCCAAUCUGGGUGAACCACGUACAUCUUGUGUUUGCUUUCCUAUCUCUAUCCAUUUAUAUACUUAUCCACACACUAAUGACCGGAGCAAUCUAGCGAAGAUCACAAAAAAGUGACCGUUUUCGCUACCUAGGAUCUAUCUUGCAAGAGAACGGAGAAUUAGAUGGAGAUCUCAACCAUAGAAUACAAGCUGGAUGGAUGAAGUGUAAGAGUGCAUCCGGCGUGUUGUGUGACCGUCGUAGGCCACUGAAGCUCAAGGGAAAAUUUUAUAGGACGGCAAUAAGGCCAGCGAUGUUGUAUGGCACAGAAUGUUGGGCGGUGAAGCAUCAACACGUACACAAAAUGGGUGUAGCGGAGAUGAGGAUGCUUCGUGGGAUGUAUGGGCACACGAGAAAUGAUAAGAUUGGGAAUGAGGAUAUCCGAGGUAAAGUAGGAGUAGCCAAAAUUGAAGGAAAUAUGAGAGAAAAUCGGUUCUGGUGGUUUGGACAUAUGCAAAGAAGGCCUACUGACGCUCCGGUUCGAAAAUGUGACUACUGGACAGAGGUUCAGGACCGAAGGGGUAGAGGAAGACCUAGAAAAACUUUGGAAGAGACCCUAAGAAAAGACUUGAGUACUUGGAUCUAACGGAGGACAUGACACAAAACCGAGCGCAAUGGCGUUCUAGGAUUCAUAUAGCCGACCCCACUUAGUGGGAAAAGGCUUUGUUGUUGUUGUUGUUGGUUGAUUUUGUAUGGACGAUGUAUUAAUUUUUUUUUUUUUUUGGGAUUUUGUGUAUUGGGUAUUGUGUAGAACCAGCAAUGCAGGAUCUGAUCAGUCACGCCCGAAAAGGGGUUUGUUUCUCAAAUCACAUUAAUUAAUUAGAUUAUUAAUGUGCGUUGGAAGGCUCUUCAAUAUGAUUUCUAAUUUCUCCUUUCCAGCAUUCUCUUUUUGGUUUUUGGAGUAUGUAUGUGAUUUGUAUUUGAUUAUAGAAUAAAAAUUAAUAAAACACGAGAUGCAGCAAUUAAUUUGCAUCCUUAUGACAACACAUAUAUGAAAGUGCAUUCAAUUUCAAUGUGCGAAUGUGUGACAGGACAGGAUGUGCCUGCCUGCUGGUGGUGGUAUGCUUGCUGUUGUUUCUUGCGUUGUUAAUUUUUUGUGUGUUGAUUUGAUUAACAAUUCAAGCGUAUCUUAUUUUUUUUGUGUUGGUUAGCAGCCAGUUUUAUGGCCCCGAUCUAGUGAUGCUUCUCAGUGACUGGUAAUUGCAGUUCAUUGCCACCAGUUGGUCAGCUACCUGCUCUGAAAGAGCUCUACGUAGAAGGGAUGAAAGUUGUUAAGAGUGUUGGUGUUGAGUUGUACGGGGGAAAUCAACCAUUUCAAUGUUUAGAGAAGGUAAAGUUUCGGGAGAUGCCAGAGUGGGAGGAAUGGCAGCCUAGUCCAAGUGGAUGUGAAAGUCCAGACUUUCCUCAUCUUAAGGAGCUGAGGUUAUCCGAAUGUCCGAAGCUGAGAGGAAACUUGCCCACUCAUCUUCCCUCCUUGAAAACACUUUAUGUGAACAAGUGUGAGGUUCUACAUAAAAACAGGGCCAGUAAUACCCUGAACGUGGAAUCCUUACGAGGAUCUCUUGAAAAACUGACAAUAAAUGGAUGCCCGGGUCUCUCAUUGUUACUAGAGUCGAUGGAGACGCUGCCGUCGCUUCAGAAGCUUGAUAUUGAUAGUGUUGGUGGGAAAGAGUUGUUGGUGCAAAUGGUGCACAACAGCAAUCGUCUUCAAAGUUUUGACUUUAUAUAAAUGUUCCUCACCCUUGUCGUUCCCUACAAAUGGUCUGCCCACCACGCUGACGUCACCGAGCAUAACAGAUUGCAAGAAAUUAGAAUUCCUAUCACGUGAGAUGAUGGCCAAAUUGACUUCCCUUCAGUCUUUGCGUCUAUCCAACAGCUGUGAAUGCAAAGGCUUGAGUAAUUUUUGUGAGUCUGCUGUUUGGUUUUUUUUUCUUCAUUUUAGAGAUUUUUCUACUGUUUGGUUUUUGGGUUUUGUCUAAUUUUUGUGGUCUGCUUUAUAGAUUGUUCUCUUUGGAAGCUUCUUUCCAGCCUUGACCUUCUUCUUGCCUGGUGCCUUCUCAUUGAGUAUUGGAGGAGCAUUAAAACACAGGUGUGUGUGUUUUGUCGAUGUAAGAGAUGAACGACAUAAAAACAUCCGUCUUUGUAUUUUUUUGUGCUUUUUCUAACCCAUCAAUUUCUUUUGAGUCAACCAAAUAGUCCCAAAUUGCAACUUAUGUUGUGAGGUAUUAUUGUCUAAAAUUAAGUAUGCAUGUAUAUUUUAUGUUUGUGCGCGCGCACACCUCCGCAUGGUGUUAAUCUCUGUGGGUCAUCUAUGUAUAUGUAGACAUAUCUAUAUGUGUAUGUGUGGAAUGCAACAUAUCGGAUUUAGGUUAUACUGUGCAUAGUUUUAUUGCCUGUUAUUAUCUACGAUAUCACUAUGCCAUUUCUAUGCAGGCUCUGAAAGUUAUCCAUGAGCUUUAUAAGCACUUACCAUAAUUUAAGCAGUCUGUUUUGGGUUCUUUUUCAUUAGGUCAUUAGCUACAGAUUAAUGGAGAAACGAGGACCAUGCAACUGAUUUGGGUUCUUUUUCUAAUUUUCUGAUUUUGGGGUUUUGCAGGGAGUACUGAUGUACUGAUUUUCUGGGAUUUUUUUUGUCCUUGCAGGAUUUUUGGUCUUUGGAAUGGGUAUGUGUUGUUUUUAACGUUUCAGUUCUAGCUUGUUCCGUUCUUCGUUGCUUCGUGAUUCUCAUUUUUUAGUGUUGGGUGAUGGAAAUUUGUUCAAGUAGUUGGUAGUUUUUUUAGAAAGUUGGCAUUUUUAGUUAUAUUUUCUGUUUAAUCCUAAAUGUUAGACUGGAAAAUCAUUGAAAUGACGGUUUUUUAAAAACUCAUAAUUUUUUUGUUCUGGGAGUUAAAAGCAUCUUUUCCAGAUUGGUUAUAAGGGUUAUGUUCUCUUCAAUUGGUUCACCUAAUUUUGAUUAGUUUUAAGUUUUGUCCUUUUAAGUUUUGUCUUUUAAGUUUUGUUCUUUAAGUUGUCUUUUAAGUUUGUUCUCUAAGUUUUGUCUUUUAAGUUUUAUCUUCUGUGCUGUAAUGAGAGAUUUCUGUUGGCCUUUCGGAUUUUGGCAUGGGAAAGUUCACUUAUUUGUCUAAUUAGAUUGUGUAUGCCUUCGAUUCUUUAUUUAAUUGUUCUGUUUGUGUUCAGGUGUGAUGAUCUAAAUUUCAUAUGUUUGGAAUUAUUCACUUAACACCAAUUUGUUACAUUCAGAUCUCCACCCCACAUUUCACUAGUUCAAAUUCCAUAGAAGUCGGUUACUGCAGAUUGCGUCUACAAUUAGAUCAGAGAUCAACUGCUCUUUUGUUAUCCUGCAGAAGAUUGCUUUUGGGAAGGAUCUGAAGUAGUUUCUUUCUGUAAGUUUAUUCCCAUGUAGCUCUGUCUUUUCUAAUUGAUGGUGUUGAUAUUACACUGUAAUUCAUGAUGAUGAUUUAAUUGUUUAUUGAUUUGUAAUUGUUUGUGAAUAAUGUGGCAUAUAUGACUUGCAAUAUGUGUUUGUAUGAAAGGGAUGACAUAUUAUGUUGCUGACUUAAUUGUUUAUGUUUUUCAUAUUUGCGAAUGGUGUUAUGAUCAAUUAGGUGAUUGCUGACCUGUGACUUUGUUUGGAGCUCAAAUUUUGUGAGCAUUACAUUGGAUUGUUUUGAUGUUGUUUUGGUUGACAAUGCAGGGAUAGGAGAAACAAAGAGGAUGACACUUAUAACUGCCCUUCCCCAUCGGCCGUCUUCAAAUUUGGAUCACAAGAAGGGAGCAACAUAGGUGUUUUCCUUCUUCAUUUAGAUAUGGUUAGUGUAAAUAAUUGGACAAAAGAGCCAAACAAACCCUGUUCUCUCAAAUGGAGUCGAUGAUGUGGUCGAUGGCCACCAGCCCCAACUCAAGAGUUUGGCCUUCAUAUAAUUGGAUUGUAGUAUAAUUUUAUUUUGGUUCAUUUCUUUUUUCCUUUAUAUAAGUGCAGGUGUUGUGAUGUUUUGAAUAAAGGGUGAUGAAAGGUGGUUCACACACUUCCUCCUUACUUAAAGCAAGUGGAGAUGAUGGGUUGUAUAAAAAGAAAAACUUGCCAGGUACUUCGAUUUUCUAUUUUAUUAAUUAUUGUUUGGUUUUCCAAAUGUUGUAUUCACAAAGAGAGACCAAUGAUGUCUUUGAGAAACAAGUUUCUUUGUCUACAUUGCGAGAAUUUGCAGUUUGCAACUUUCAUUGGUUAUUAUAUUUGAUUGAGUUAAACUUGGAUUUCUGGAUUUUGACUUUUUCGUUUGUUUCUUUGUUGUAGAGUUGGCUUCAUUUCAUUCCAGUAACUCUAUUCCAGUAACUCUCUAAAAUAGGGCCAAGAACUCACUAAAUAGGUAGUCAAGAGGAAUUCAGUUUUGCCUUCAAUUUUUGCCUUCUGUUUACAUUCUUCCUGGAUGCACUCUCACCGCUUCUCUCGCUUACCACUUUUGUCUCACUCACCGCUUCAUCUCUUCUGUUGCUUACAAGGUCGUGUCAUAUAUUUUUUUAAUUUUUGUGUGUUUAAUUUAUUGAAUAUUUGAAAAAAGAGAUAAAAUUUUCAAUUUACAAUUACUGAUAUGAUGUUUGUUUUGAAAAUCAUUAAGGUGAAUGGAGAGAUUUACAACCAUGAAGAGCUGAGGAGCCGUUUGCCAAAUCAGAUUUAUAAGGUCUCAUCAAUUAUAAAUAAACGACUUUUCAUUCCCAAUGACCUUUAUCGUUUUUCUUAAUGGGUUAGCUGAACAUGAGGUAGAUGCUGACUUUAUAAAAUAUGAGAAUGUUUUAGGAUUUCAUUCUAAUUUUUUGGCUGUUUGAUUACUUUGCUUUUCGUAAUUUGUUUUGCUUAUCGUCAAUUGGAUGGGACAACAUAUUUUUGUAACCAGUUUGUACUUUUUUUUUUUGUGGAAACUAACCAGUAUGUACUUUUACCAUCUCGGUUUUGAUGGAAUUGGAGCUUUCAGUAAUGGGUUCUGAGGGAAUUGGAGUUUUGAGUAAUGGGUUUUUUAACAACUAUAGUAUCAUUUGUGAUUCUUUUAUUUAUAAGAUAUUAUAUAGGAAACUGUUAUUAGCACUCUAAUAAUCUUAUUCUACACUCGCGACAAGUGUAUUUUUCUUUCUAAUUAUGGAAAGUUUGGAGUGCAAAAUGAGAAUUUUGGAGUGCCAAUAACAAUUCCCUAUUAUAUAUAGCUCUACUAAGAAGGCGACUGUAUAUGUCUUCAUCCUGUUAAAUUGUAUAUGGCUCUUGAUGUCGGCUGAAUUAAAUCAAAAUGAAAACCAAGCUGCUGAUCUUACCAGCCCAUAUCACUUAUCACUUAUUUAAAUUAUUUGAAGAUGCAUACGUGGAUUGGUGAUUUUGUUGGAUUCACUUAGCUCAAAUAUAUGUUAUCUGAGUCGCUACAUUUGAGAAUGUGAUUCUGUUCCUACCACCAUUUUGCCCACUUUUUGUGGAAAUUAUUCAUUCCUGUUGUGAAUAAUAUCCCCGGCAGCGAAGUGCGGGCGCAUUUUCUAGUUUAAGUUAAAUCACACAAUGGGUCAUCAAUAAUGACAAACUCGUCAUUUAUGCGAGUCAAACAUGAGACCACCUACCUACUAGUUUAGUGGAAUACCACAAGUGACAUGUUGAUACCUUUAAAUCUCAUAUAAUGGAUUGCAGAAUUAGGAUAUACCUAGUCUAAUUUAGUCAGUGCGUGAACCCGAACAAUUAACCAGGGUUUUAUUCUUGCUUGAAUGUUUGUAAUAUGUUCCUAGUUUGACAAGGCAAUUAUAUUUCCGACUACAAAAGUUAUUAAUUUAGUCGAGAAUUGACGCACCUGAAAUGGUGUGAGGAAAACAUGUAGACACAUCAGACGCGGUCCAUCCUGAGCAUUGUGUAUUAAGGAUAAAGCUCAAAGCCAUACAUGAGGGCAUUGUGUAUGUCUUUAUAAGAGAAGUUGCUGUAGUCCUCAACGUGGCCGGCAGCCAAACUCAUCCACUCUACACUGCAACCCUCAUCCAAAUCCCAUGCUUCCAACCUGCCCCCGACAUAGUCAUCGACCAUGACAUAGCUAUACGUUUUUGGUUGACUCGAAGAAGAAGAAGAAGAAGAAGUAUUAUUCAAGCAUGGAGCAGUGUCCACGUACAGAGAAGAAUUCGAUGGAUUCGAACACUUCAAGUAAUAUAUAGAUAGAGAAUUGAUGUCAUAGGUGGGCCAAUAUAGAGAAUCGAUGUCCUCGAUGGGCGGAAUAUUUUGAGACAUGGAAGAGCAAUUGUUGUUGUCAAGCCCAGGAUCUAGAAGUCGGAUUGUUUUGUUAAUGUAGUUGAUUGCCUGGACAUAGUAUUUUCCGGAAGAAGGUAGGUCUAGUACUGUAAUGUUGCUCUCACAGGACAGAGUAAACCUUACGUCGCCACAGUACUUUGGAUCAUCGUUCAGUCGAAAAGGAUGGCUUAUGUUGUGGAUAUGGCCGCAGGAUGAAGUGCAGGACUUGGCACUACUGUUGUCAGCGUUACAAGUUUCACUGCAAAAGCAAAGAAGAAGAAAGGCUAAACUUAAGGUGAAGGACCUGGUUCCACUGAUUUCCAUUGCUCUGAGAGAGAGAGAGAGAGAGAGAGGGCACUAUAGCUUAAACACCAAGGAGUUAUAUAAUAUGGGAGGGGUUAAAGCACCUCGCUUAAAGUUGCAGUAAGCCCGUCAAAUAUCCUAGGGAAAAGUCGGUCAAUGCUGUCCUAUAGAGAAAAGUCGGCCUUGAUGUUUGACACGGUCACACUCUCUCUCUCUCUCUCUCUCUCUCUCAUUGACGAGGGACACUGUAAUUGAAAAAAAAAAUUGUUAUUCAGAGAUAGAUCUUGAAAUUCUUAUUUUAUAUAAAAAAAAGGGGUAUUUAGAUUUUAGGACCUAUAUAAGAUAAUUUUUAGAUUAUAAGGUUUCAAAAUCUUAUUUUAGUCCCUAAUUUAAUAUUCAUCGCCACAUCAUAUUAUAAGAUACCUCUAUUACCUACCAUAUUUACAAACUUUGCCAUUUAAAUUGUCAACCUAUUCUAUAAUUAAGGCUUAAAUAUAUUCCGUUAAUAAACCAUUCGUCAAUAAGAUAAAUCCAACUAUGGUAAAUUAUACUAAUUUAUACUUGCUGACAAACAAAUUAAGUCUAUAGUAAUUUUAGGUCAGUCACCUUAAGAAGUCGAAGAUGAAAAAAUCAAAUACAAAACAAUAGGUUAAAAAAAUUAAAUAAUAACCCUUAAUAUAUAUAUAUAUAUAUAUAUAUAUAUAUAUCACAAAAAAAAAGUAUAACAACUCCUUAUUGUCUAUAUAUAGGAAUUGCAUAAGUGUCGGUACAUAUGUGUAGGUACAUACAUGCACAUAGGUACGGAAGUAUCGGUAUGGAAGUGCCGGUACAUACGUACACAUAGGUACGAAAAUAUUGAUACGUUAGCAUCGGUACAAAAGUAUCGGUGCGGAAGUGUCGAUACUUAUGUACAUAUAUAUAGGUACGCAAAUAUUGAUACAUAAACAUCAAAAGAAAAAAUCGGUAGAUUCGAUGUAUGAGAAGGUAAAAAUAAAUCAUCAACACUAGAAAAAAAUGAUAAAAGUAAAUCAUGCACUAUUAGAUGCAUAAGAAGAAGAAAUAUUAGAUGUGGAUGGUGGCCCUAGCCCUCUCUUCUAACACGGUUGAAGAUAAUUUUUUGGGUUGGACAAAAAGUUUCAUUUUUAAGGAGAACCAUUUAUGUUAGCAAUAAAACUGAAAAGUUAUAAAUAAAAUAAAUAUAAGACAUUAUAAUUCACUCAAGGAUAAUAUAGGAAGAAAAAAAUUACAUAAAAGGAAUUAACUCUGACAUUAAAUAUAAAUGCUGACUUGGACAUAAGUCAAAGGACUAUAAUUAGUUUUUUAUCUUGGUUAAGGUUUUAGUCUAAAGAUAAUCUUUUUCAAGGAUUAAUAUCUAGUUUCCUAUAAAAAAAAACACCUAAUAUUAAUCAUUCAAAUGAAAUUGUUAAAAUUAAGUAUAAAUAAUACAUAAUGAAAACUGAACACAUACAAUCAACGGUCACGACCAUGAAAUCCUCCGGAUCCUCAGAAAAAAAUCCGACGAUGAUCUUUUUCUGUGUAAAAUAAUUUGAGGGUAUAAUACUGGAUGUGCGAUUAAACCGAAGAACCCACCCACCUCCAUCUUCUCUGACCAACUUGAACCCAGCCACUACUACAUGUCAUCCCGACAACCCACUCUCAGCUUCCCAAACCGCCAUUUUUCACCCAAUGGAACAUUUAAAGAAAAAAUCCAUCUGCAAAUCGAAAACCACCGAAAAAAAUUAAAUCAGAUACAUUGGAAAAAACGCAAAACUCAAUGGAACAACACUGGCGUGGAAGAGAAAAAAAGCAGAAGGUGAGAAUGGAGAGAAAGAAGCGAACGGAAAGAAAAAGCAAAGAAGAGGUUGGAAACGGAACAACAGAAGAACAAUAGAAGAACAGAAAUGGGUAUGGGAAACGGAACAACAGAACAAAAAGCAGGCGGUGUAUAGAGCAAGAAAAGCAAACCUCACGAUGACCAACACGUGCUAAGAGAGGCCCCGGUUCACUGUGUAUCACAUUUUUUAAUAUUUUUUUUGGUCUUCCCACCGGCUAUACAUGGGAUUCCAAAAUUAAGAAGGUAUAAAUUUUUAUUGUUUCUUGUGCCACAAACCAUGUGGCCCAGUCUUAAUCACAUUUUUUAAAUAUUUUUUUUGCUCUUCCCAUCAGCAGUACAUGGGUUAAAAAAAUUAGGAAAGUAUAAAUUUUUAUUGUUUGUUGUGUCACAAACCACGUUGCCCGGUUUUAAUCACAUUUUUUUAAUAUUUUUUUGUCUGCCCACCAGCUAGGUUUAAAGAAUUAAAAAAGGACUAAAAGAAAGACUCCACAGAUGGAGGAACAUGGGAAUAGAAAGGGCAAAUUUGGGAUUUUACUGUACAAAAAAGACAAAAAGUAACUGCUGAAGACUAACUUGAGGGGCAUUUUGGUCUGCACACUGCCCUAGAACAGUAACCAUCGGAUUGGGUUUUAGUAUAUAUAGAAUAUGUUUAGAUAAGGACAAUAAACUUAGAAUUUUGCCAAAAGUCAGAAUUUAUAAAUUGAUACAAUCAAUUCAUUUGUUUGGAUUCAUAAACAUAGAAAUUUAGACUUUCCGCGUGAGAAAAAACUUGGAAUUUGGGACCUUCAAUUCUCAUGUUUAAAUUUCAUGUAAAUAGGUGUCAUUUAUAAAUUUCAGUAAGUGAGAGUUUAAAAAUAACAAACAUGUAUUCAAAUUUCAUUCCUCCUUUGGUUAACCAAAAAAGAAAAUUUAUAAAUUCUAGAAAAUAAAAUUUCUUUAUUUUAAUUUCUGUUAUUUUAAAAUUCUUAGGGCUUGUUUGGUAUUCUACUUGAAUCCAACUUUUUAAACUAAAAAAUAAUUUUCAAGUUUUAGGCCUUAAAAACUUAUUUGGUAGAACUAUUUAAAAAAACUGAACUUAAGACUAACUAAAAAAUAUAAUAUAUUAUCUAAAAACACAAAAAAUGAGUUUUUAGAAUUUUUAAACUUAAAUUCACUCAUUUCUUUUCUCUCCCUCCUCCCCUCUCACUCCAAAUCUCUCUCUCUCUCUCUCUUUUCUUCUUUCUCUCUCCCCUUCUCUUUUUUUUAACCUUUUUUUGUCUCUCAUCUAAUCCGCUCUCUUCAUUUUCUCGGUUCUUUCUCUCACUCAUAUUCCUCUCUAUCUCCUCCAAUUCUCUCUCUUCAUUCUUUUUCAACCAAUAAUUUCUUACUUUUUUCCUCUUCUCUCCUCUUGAUUCUCUCUCUUCAUUCUUUUUCAACCAAUCAUUUUUUACUUUUUUUCCUUCUCUCCUCUUUCUCCCUCGACUUCCUCUUUUUGGAUCUCUUUGUUCAGUUUGAGCUGUAAGAUUUAAAAUUAUUUUAAAUCGUAUACCAAACAAGUUUUUGAGUCUUAAAGAAAAUUGUUUUUCAAAAAAUGUUCUUAAGAAAUGUUUUGAGAAAUGAUAAAAAAUUUCAAAUAAGAUACCAAACAAGCCCUUAAUAAUCUUAAAUUUUCCCAUCCAAACAAAAAAUUUUCUUGUCAUAGAACUUUCAAUUGGAAUCAAAGAAGACAAUCUUUUCACAACUAAUUAUUCUCACCAAAAGCAAUUUUUAUUUUAAAGCAAUCAAUACCAAACUGCAAAAGCAAAGUAGGAAGGCUAAAAUUAAGGUGAAGAACCUGCUUCCACUAAUUUCCUUAGGAGGGAGAGAGAGAGGGGGAGAGAGAACCAAGCGAGCGAGCAGAGAGAGAAAACACCAAGUAGUAUUCUAAUGUUGGUGGGGUUAAGUCACCUUCCGUGAAGUUGCAGUAAGGACUUCUAUCCCAGAGAAAAGUCAGUAAAUGAUGUUGACACAGUCAACGACAAAGACAGAAUUGUGUAACCAUAAUUCUCUCUCUAUCUCUUUUUCAUUAUCGGAUGACAGUGUAACACUACUACGUAUAUAUCUCUGCUCAAUUAUUGAAAAGAAAAAUCCAUGUGCAUUAUUUUUAUUAUUAUUAUCUCAGAAAUGCAGAAAUUGAUCAUCUCUUCCUUUUGCAUAUUGAUACUGGUUUUCUUCAAACUAGUUGAAGCAAGUCAAUAUGUGUGCGCGAAAUCCAACUGUAGCAAUGAUCAAAGCGGGGCUAUCCAUUUCCCAUUAAACAUCAGGCGCACACAUCAUUGUGGUAAUUCUGGGCUUGAAUGCAAUGGGAGAUAUGAACAGCAAAUACUAAUAAAAUUAUUUGUCAAAGACAUAGAUUACAAGCGUCAGGAAAUCCAAGUCUAUUCCCCAAGUAACUGCCUGCUGCUAAAGCAUGUUGAAAUCCCAAACAUGCCACCCUCUCCCUUCAACGUGUCAGUCGAUGACUACAUGAGUAACCUUACCUUAUUCAGUUGUCCUACUUCUUUUGCAAGACGAGAUACGGAUGUGUAUCAAGUCCCCUGCCUCGGCGACCGUGGCAAGAGAACUUAUGCCAUUUAUUCUGAUUAUGGUUUUAGAACUCUCUUCCGGAAUCUACAAUCUUGUACAAAAAUGUAUGAUGUUUUAUCAGUUCCAAUACCCUCUGAAUAUUAUGUUCUUCGUUUCAAAUGGUCUAUACCAAAUUGCAGAAAAUGUGGAGAGGGAAAGAGGUGUGAAUGGCAGAACAAUGAAAUUAAAUGUAUUCAAUGGAGGAAACCAAGUAAGGAUAACAUAUGUAUUCAUUGCUAGUUUUAAACAUCUUUACAUUUGUUUCUCAGUAAUUAUUGUUUAAAACAUGUCCAAUCCAUUUUUACUAUGAAUAUUAACUGACAGUCUCAUUUGAAUUUGCCUUUAUCUUUUACAGGCAACACAUGGAAAUUAGUGGUCACAGGGGGAAUCCUGGGUUCUUUGCUUCUUGUUCUACUGAUGAUUGCAGCAUAUCGGGUAUAUAGCGUUGAUAGAAAGAAAAAAGAGAUUCGAUUACGAAUUGAAAGAUUCUUGGAGGAUUACAAAGCACUCAAACCAAGCAGAUACUCGUACGCAGAUAUUAAGAGGAUUACAAAUCAAUUCAAGGACAAGUUGGGCAAAGGAGCCUAUGGAACUGUCUUCAAAGGAAUGCUCUCUUCUGAAUUCUUUAUUGCUGUCAAAGUCCUCAACAGUUCCAAGGGAGAUGGGGAAGAGUUCGUAAAUGAAGUGCGAACGAUGGGUCAUAUCCACCACGUAAACGUGGCUCGCUUGGUUGGAUUUUGUGCUGAUGGAUUUGUACAAGCUCUUGUUUACGAGUUCUUCCCCAUUGGUUCCCUGCAGGAUUUCAUUUCAUCUGCAGAUAGUAAGAAUUCAUUUCUUGGUUGGGAUAAGCUGCAAGAUAUUGCCCUAGGCAUAGCCAAAGGAAUUGAAUAUCUUCACCAGGGAUGCGAUCUACGAAUCCUGCAUUUCGACAUCAAACCCCAUAAUGUUUUGCUAGACCAAAACUUCACUCCAAAAAUUUCUGAUUUUGGUAUGGCCAAGUUAUGUUCCAAGGAUCAAAGCUUGGUGUCCAUGACUACAGCUAGGGGGACCAUGGGCUACAUUGCACCUGAAGUGUUCUCCAGGAAUUUCGGAAAUGUGUCUUACAAGGCAGAUGUCUAUAGCUUUGGAAUGCUGCUGCUUGAGAUGGUAGGAGGAAGGAAGAAUAUUGGUUCAAUCACGGAUAACACUACAAAUGAAAUUUACUAUCCACAGUGGAUUUAUAAUCUUCUAGGGGAAGGGGAUGACCUACGAAUCCACAUUGGGGAAGAAGGAGACGGUAAAAUUUCAAAGAAACUUGCAAUUAUAGGGCUAUGGUGUAUCCAGUGGCACCCGUCGGAUCGUCCUUCCAUGAAAAUAGCGGUUCAGAUGUUAGAAGGAGGAGGAGAAAGCUUGAGUAUGCCGCCUAAUCCCUUUGUGCCUACUGGUUCUACAACUAGGAAUGCAAGACGCCUAGAGCUAGAAGCUAUUGCUGAAUUAGAGUAAAAUGUAUAUGCAGAUAUAUAGACGUAUAGAUAUAGUAAUAUUUACAUUGAAUAAGAUACCGUUUGAUAACCAUUUCGUUUUCAGCUUUUAAUUUUUAUUUUUCACUUUUUUGAAAACUGAAAACUAAAAUCUUGUUUGGUAAAUACUUUUAGUUAAAAAAAAAUGAAGACUGAGAACUAAAAAGUGAAAGCUCAAAGGAAGUAGAUUAAAAGUAGUUACCAAACAAACCGGAAUCUCAAUAAUAAAAAAGAUUGAAUUGCACAAUGCAAUCCAAACCAAUCAAAACAUUAAAAUAGCAAAAAAAUUAAAAUUCUAGUUGAUUAGAUUCUGAACAUAGUAAAAAUGAACAGAUCCGAUGAAAAAACAAAAAAUUCUCAGAUAAAAAUAGGGAUAAAGUAGAAUAUUUAUAAAUAGCUCAUUGUCUCUUAUGUCAUCAAUUAUUUCUAUAGUAUAUACAGGUUUUUGGAAAAAUUAGGUUCCCAUCCCUUAUUUUCAUAUUACAUUGAUUGAAAUCUUAUUAUUUUUCUAUUUUAGAUCAAGGUCCCUUGACUUAUUCCAUGUCAUCAUUUUAGUAUUUAAAAUAUUACACGUCAUCAUAAACGAAAUCUCAUCCCUUUCUGCAUUUAAGGCAAAAUAAACUAUAUAAGUAAGUUUAAAACAAGGAAAAUCCAUUUGAACUCCUCCAUUCUUCUUCUUCCCUUAUGCACAUCUGGAAUCUACAACACCCCAAACCCAAUUUUCUCCAUUUUUCUUCAUUCCUGAAUUGAUCCAAUGCAUAUAUGUUGAAUAAACCUAUUGUGAUUAAAAUACAAAUUAGCAUCAAUGAUUUUAUCGGCUUGUGAGAUUUGUGUGGCAUAGGCAAGGCAAUGCAGGCAUCGCUUUAUCAAAGAAUCUGGUUGAUUCAAACAUGCAGAGACUGUAGAGUGAGCGGGCUAUGUAAAAACUGUACCAUUUUGAAGUCAUUUUCUUUUGUUCUUUACAUUUUUUUUUCUUUUAUUAUUAUAUAUUAGUCUUGAUUAUUCAAUGUCUGGUUGGCUACACUUAUAUCCAUGGGUACAUUUUUAAUCUACAUGUUUCGUUCUAAUAUAUCUAUUGCUAUAAUAUGUUUUGGUUGGUUCAAAUUUGUUUUACAUAAAUAUAUGGGUACAAAGUUUUUGUAGAAUAUUAUGUAAAAUGGUUUUUAAGGUUGCUGCAUUUUACGUACCCACAUAUGCAUGUCUAUAAAACAAUGUGGUAUGAUGUACAUUCUUUUCUUUGAGUUUUUAAAUGUACCCAUGAGUUUUCUUGUAAAUUCGGUAUGUACCCAUAUGCUAUUUAUGUUAUGGGUACAUACAUUAUUUUUGGUCUAAGUUCAUGGGUACAUUACUUUUGUAUGUAUGAAUUCAUGGAGUACAUUAUUUCCCUUAAUACUACUCAAUAAAAUUCACAAAAAUAUGUGUAGCGUGCAUGAUUUUUUAUUGUAGAAAUUGUUUGUUUUUUUUAAGUCUCAUAAUUCAUGAAAUUUGUACAUAUAUGAUCACAUAAAUUUUUUAAUUUUAUUAAAUUUCUUUUAGACUUGAUCGAUUGAUUGAAUCUCAUAAUACUAGGAUUUUGAAUUACAUAAAUUCUUGGAUUUAAAUCCCUUAAAUGUUGAACUGCAAUCAAUAUUUUAAAUUACAGUUUUUUAUUUAAGAUAUCAAAAAGAUGACAUGGAAAUAUAGUAAUACUAAAAUGCUGAGGUGUACAAAGUCAAAGGACUUUGAUAAAAAAAUAAAAAACAAUAAGAUUUCAAUCUAACAAUUGAAUUGACUAGGGAUCGGAACCAAAAUGACCCUAGAUUUUUAUUGAGUUUAAUCUUAAUAAAAAAAAGACUUCUUGUAUCACAAAAAAUACAAGAACCAUUAUUUGAAUGAAAUAAAAGCUAUGGGAUGGAGAUAUAAAUGGAUCCUUUAUUUCACAAUUGGAUUAUAUUUAUUUGAUACACUGUUGUCAAUAUGAAUGCUGAGAAAAGACUACAAAAGAAAAAAACAAUUUAUAAAUAUAACUAACAAUUCCAAUUUCAAUCAAUUAGACAAUUAGAAUUAUAAGAAGAAAAAAAAAAGAAAUUUCAGUUUUCAGUUUAAAAAAAAUGAAAAAAAAAUGGUUAUCAAAGCCGUCCAAAUAAUACAAGUUUGUUUCCACUCUUUGUUUAAGCAUAGAUGCCAAUUUUUGUUUAUCAUUUUUUUAACCUUUAUUUUUUGUUACAGUAGAAGCCCUGGAAGGAAAUCGAGCACUGGACUUACCAAACUCUUAACUUAUUUCUACACACCAAGAGCUUGAUUUCGGUUCUUAUUUAUACUAUUUAAGCUAUAAGCCGUGACAAGAAUUAGAGAACUAUCAUUUGUUGUGAGCUUCAAUUGGUUAGCACUUUGUAUGUUUUCAUUAGAAUAUAUAUUUCACUUAGACUUUCUUAUUAAAAAAGGGAUCAGCUGGUGACUUUACCACGACAAUCCAAUUUUAUGGGGGUCAUGAAUACUCACAAAGGCAUUUCAGCCUCCCCCUAUAUCUACCGUCGCGUGAUUCACCAUUGUCAGAAAUCGAACCCAAGACGUGUUGUAUAGAAUACGGGCCUAAAAUUCAUUUCUAACCACUGAGUCACCCCGCGUUUGAUUAUAUUUCACUUAGACUUAUCUUGCGGUAUAGCAUGUCAUCCCCGCCCAAGUUUUUCCCUUCGCGUUGACUUUGGGAUACCAAAACUUGCCAAACAAAGUAGAUUGAUUAGUAAGCGAAGCUAAUUAUUCGACUAAACAUUGUUUAGAAUUUUAAUUAAAAGAACCAAUAUGAAUCUGUUUUUUUUUUUUUUGACAAACUAUAACGUUAAGGAGUUAAAUUGUUAGUUGUUAAGAGUACGGGGAUAGGUGAGGAUCGAACCUCCACCAUAGUGCAUAGACAUUAUUGGUUCUACAACUGCUGUAAAUCACAUAAAACAAAACGUAAUACUUUGAGGAUGGAAGACACUUCGUGGAUAGCGGGCAAUCAACACUAUCAGUUGCUAUCCAAAACUUGGAAUUAUGUUUAUUGUCCGAAGGAUUUUUCUUCCAUUAAAUUGCUAAGGAAGAUGAGGAUGGGUAGAGUGUCUAAAUGUCAAGGUUGAUAAGAACGUGUAUGGUGUUCAGCUUGCGAUUGAGAUUUGUUGAGUGGCACAACAAACCACAUAAAAUUUUCUAAAUGAUAAGCUUGAGUAUAAUUUUUUACCACGUAUUUAUCUUUAAAAUCAUUAUAAUUAGAUUUUCUCUUAAUUAAUAUAGACCGUUAGAUUCAUCUAAUGACCCAAGUUUUUUUCCUCUUUUCUUUCUACUCUUUUUUUCUUCUCUGAUUUUCCAUUCACCGUGUAGCAGUCGUUCUUCCCCAACUAAGUUUCUUAUUUUUCUUCACAAAAAAAUUGUAGAAAAUAUUAAGAAAAGAAAAGUCAUCAAUAUCAGACUCGACCAGGUAAUCGUUCCAACCUUCCCAGCAACUCUCAGUCUUAACAAGGCACCAAAUUUUCUCCGCCACCUAACUCGUCAUUCAUUUAUGGGUGUUUCAAGCUUGGUGAAAAUUGAUAGAGUUCCAUGUGUGUACACGGAUGUGAACAUAUUGGCCACUCUCUAAUGUGUUGGUUUAUCACAAAGAACCCAGAUACAAAAUUUUAAAAAGCAAACAAUUACAACUUCUCAAAUAUUAUCUAACAAACUUUCAAUGAAAUGUUGCUCAUAAUUGAAAAAAGGUUGACGAAGGACGGAGUUGGAGUUAUUUUAGAUGGGGAAGAGUUAAAAGAAGGAAGCACCAUUUAAUUAAUAAAAGCGAUUGGAGAAAUAGUAAUUCAAUGGUGGGCGUUUUUAAGGUGUGGACCUUGUAUCACACCCCGAUUCCAACAUACAUUGAGGAUCAACACGUGACAUGGGGACAUAGGGGACAUAAAUCUUAUGUAAGAUACAAAAUGAAAUACUAUAAAUAAUAUCCCAAAAUGAAUAUGAUAGUGGGUUCACCCCUAUAAAAUAUAUACGAGUUUGUACAUUCACAAAAAAAAAAAAAAAAAAAAAAAAAAAACACAUACACACACACAAAACUCUCGCUAGGCCAAGACUUGCCCAUGGUGCUCAAAGGAAAGUCCCAAAAGAAAGAGUACAAUGAAGGAUAAAGGGGUAACCUAAACACUCCAAGUCUCUGAUCUCUGCACUGCUACCCUCACCGGCUCCUCGUAAUCUACUCAGACCUAUCACAUGUACAAACAGUGCCUACAUUGUGGGAAUGGUGCAUCGGGCAAACAAAAACCCGGAUAAGCUGCAAAACUCGUGUGAGUGACAAUAAUGCAACAUAUGUGAUAAUCAAGAAAAACAUACCAUCGAUCGCAGUUUAUAAACCUCAAAUAUAACUUCAUACUUAUGAAAUCAUAAUCAAGUCACUGAAAACUUCGAAUGAGUCACCCAGACAUCCAACGACUUUUUAAAAUCAAAUCUCAGAGAUUCCAAAACUAUCAUUCACAAAUACACUAAAAACUAGGGCUAGAGUGACACAGUUCGGCCAAAGACUACAUAAGUAACCAAACAAGAAGUGGCCCCCCAUAGCGGAUUAACCAAGCAGAGCCACUCCUGAAAAAGUAACCAAGUAGGUAGUGACCCCCAUCACGGAUUAACCAAGCAAAGUCACUCCUACGAAACUGUUAGGUAGUGAUCACCCAUCGCGGAUUAACCAAGCAUGAUCACCCCUAAGUACGUAUGGCCAUACCUAAGAAAUAAGGAUCGCCCACCGCAGAUUAACCAAGCACGAUCCAAAAAUAUUAUGGGUCCCCUAUCACGGAUUAACCAAGCAUGACCAUCCAUGUACCACUACUACAUGGUGUAAAUUCGGUGUCACCUAACCUCGUGACACUAGGGUAACGGUCCUUUACUAGCCCUCACGUUUUUCAAACAUUUCAAAUAUAUAAUUUAAAACACAAUUCAUAAACAUUUCGAAUAAGGAAGUCACAUAGUGUUUAAUAAUGUAGGUCAAUGGAAAACUUUAAAAACAAUUAUUUAGCAUAAAACAUAUUUUAGAAAUCCAUGUUGUAUCCACAAAGUAUACUAGCAUGGGAGAUUUUCAGGGUAAUAACUCUAUCAUAUAUAUUAAAGUCACUCACCUGGAGUCCACACUAACGCACCCUAACACGAAUAUCAAGACGUCACGUACUAUCAUCUGUAACAUCCCACAUCAACCAACGGAGAGAGGGUGAUGUGCCUUAUAUGUACAUGCCCACCUCCAUAGCAUGAGACCUUUUGGGAGCUCACUGGCUUCAUAUUCCAUCGGAACUCCAAAGUUAAGCGAGUUUGGGCGAGAGUAGUCCCAGGAAGAGUGACCCACUGGAAAGUUCUCGUGUGAGUUCCUAGAAACAAAAUCGUGAAGGCGUGGCCGGGGGGGGGGGUUAAAGCGGACAAUAUUGUGCUACGACGAAAUUGAGACUGAGAUGUGACAGAAUGGUAUCAAAGCCACUCUGCCGUGUGGUGCGAGUGUGCCGACGAGGAUGUCGGGCCCCUAAGGGGGGUGGAUUGUAACAUCCCACAUCGACCAACGGAGAGGAGGUGAUGUGCCUUAUAUGUACAUGCCCACCUCCAUUUAGCACGAGGUCUUUUGGGAGCUCACUGGCUUCGGAUUCCAUAAGAACUCCGAAGUUAAGCGAGUUCGAGCGAGAGCAUUCCCAGGAUGAGUAACCUACUGGGAAGUUCUCGUGUGAGUUCCCAGAAACAAAAUUGUGAGGGCGUGGCCAAGGCCCAAAGCGGACAAUAUCGUGCUAUGGCGGAGCCGAGAUUGGGAUGUAACAUCGUCACCUAAGACAAAGUACAAGUCCACAUUUAAAGUUCUUCGUGUAUUCACAUAAUAAAAAAUUUCCAUAUGCCCCCUACAACUAAUGAAGAGAAAUCGAGACACGUUGACAAAAAGUCAACUGUUGAUCAACGGUAGGGUCCAUAACCCUACGUAACUCGAUCUGCAAGAUCCAGCCACUGUAUUUGUGAUUCAUAAGUUCCUAAGGUCCUUAAAUCUUACGUACAAUAACAUACUAAACUUUGGUGACGAUCUAAUUGUCGAAUCAUCAUUUGCUAUAAUGUUCAAAUGACGCAAAUUCAUCAAUCAGAUGUUAAAUAUGGAAUCGGUCAUCGAAUUUAGCUUAGGAAGGUCAAGUGGUGUCUCGAGCCACGUGCUGCCGUGCGCAGCAGCUGGCAACCCAAAUUCGUCGGAAAAAUCACCUAAUUCCAAAAUGAAUGUCGUUAGACGUGGAGUAAAUUGUAUACCUGUGAAGAAGCCCAAUUUGGUCGGGAAGUGGCCUGAAAUCACUUUAGACCGUCGGAAACCCUAAAAUAGGUGAAUCUCGAUUCGUCAUCUCCGGUAUUCCACCGUCCUCAAACUUGUUUAGGGUUUGCUCCUGGUCUCAAAAGAAUGCUAAUGAUGGUGGUGAUUGAAGGAGAAUGUUUCAGAAAUAAUGAAUCGUCGACGAGGGUUUCACGAAACCGACAUGGGUGUUCCUUGUGGAACUAAGACCAAAUCUCAACGGUUUUGGCUAGAAAUGGAUGCUGGGAUGUCGUGGUGAGGUUUGGUAGUGAUGGGAGGUCGAAGAAAGCCAAAAAAAUCGACGAAAAAACAGUCGUCGGAGUCGCAGGAAACGGGUUAGAAAAACGAGUCGCCAGGUCUGAAACGGGUCGAAGGCUUUUGGGACAGCUACUUACUCUCUCUUCUUUGAUUAGUCACUCCACUCACUCUCUCAUUUGAUUAGUCCAGCCUUCCCACAUGGUGGGAGUUCCCUCAUAUAGUAACCCAAAAUUUACUAUUUAAAUCUGGUAUCGAACGUUCGUAACUUUUUCGUUAUAGUUUCGAUUCGCAAACAGCUUUCGCCUACGCGCUCGUAUGAUCGAAUUAUACUCGAAAACAUUAAUUGUGACCUCGAAAAGGUCUACGAGUUUUAAAAGAUUAAUUACAAAAAUUCACACCUUGUAACUAUACGAUCCAAAUUCUAAAAUUAACGGAAUUAAAAUAAACUAAAAAUAAUGUAAACACGAAAUACAGACUUUAAUAAUGAAAUACGUAAUUAAUAGUAGUAUUCCGGGAACGGGAUUUCACACCUUGCGUCCGGACCUUGAGUGCGGAUCAGAAUCCAAAGGUCGUGAUCUGACAAGCUCAUGCAUAGAACGGAGUCGUUGUGACCCAAUGCAAUUCAAAACUUUUAUGUUUUUUAUUUGCUGGGUACGUUUUUGUAGGAGGAAAAGGGGAAGUCGAGGGAUUCUUUGCGCAUUAAAGAGGGAAAGAGAGAAAGGGGGAGCUAAGAGGUUCUUCGCGCGUUAAAUUUUUGCUUCUAAUUUUGCAACCUAGAAAUAAAGUAUUUUCUUUAUGGUUUAUGGUUCAAGAAUAUAAUGGAUGCAACCUAAAAAUGUUUCUUUUUUUAUUUUUUACUUUUUUUCUUCUUAUGUUGGCUUUUGGUUUAUUUUUAUAACGCACUAUAUAUUAACUAAAUUUAUAAACAUUUUGUAUCUUUGUUGCAGUCAAAUUAAUCAUAUGGGUCGGCAUGACUAAGUUCGACUGAGACAUACAGAUGUUUUGCAAUCUUAAGUCUAACCUGACACACCUCGACCUCAAUAUCCAGUGAACACCAAAAUUAAGGUGUGCUGGCCAUCAUCCGGAUGGGUGACGAAACCAUAAUAUGCAUGAAAACAUAACUAAAUUAUCAACCAAUAAAAUCUAUUGAAAAAUUUGGCAGAACAUCCCUUAAAAUAGGGAUAUGCCCAAAUUAAAAACACUUGCACAUGAUCACAAUUAUUCAAACACAUCCCGAAGGGCCACACUUAAUGGGACUUCGACCAUCUAUUACAUGCAUGAGAAUAUGUUCAGAGAAUAAUUACCCAAAUACGUCUUAUUAAAAUAUUGAGUAAAUACCAUACAAGAUAGAAUACGUCAGAGCUGUUGCAAAAUACCUCAACGUCGGAUGUAAUCACUGAUAGAAUUACUGAAUCAUGUAUAAAUGGAAAGCUGAUAAAUACAUGUAAUUUGAGUGGAUACUUACCAACAGCAUGGAUACAAUAUCAUCCACCAGUCGUAACUAGUGAAAACUGGAUAAUAUAAUCAUGUCAUUGCCGAGUAAUCUCAAGGCAAUGACAAGAUGAGAAUGUAACUGAGUAAUCAUAUCAUUACUAAAUAAUUUCAAAGCAAUGACAAGCUGAGAGUAUAACCGUAUAAUCAUGUCAUUACCGCGUAAUCUCAAAAUAAUGACAAGCUGAGAGUAUAACUGUAGUACCUCUUAUUAGUGCAAUGCAUGAUAUGAAUUCCAUCUCACAUAUAUAUGCAAGCCAUAAUCAAACCAAUAAACAUCCAACAAAAGCCACAAUCCUUUUAACAUUCGACCACAAGAUCAAUUUUCAUAUUUCCCAAACCUAGGUUCCGAAGCAUUGUUUCGAAUUAUUAAUACAAGAAACCACCACCACCUCAAUCAAUUCCUAUUCAUAAGUGUAAGCAAUUACUAAAUGCAUCACUUUCGACUCUAGUCUUAAUUAGAUUACUUGGGAUACUCAUUCACACCAUCAGAUCCACGUACAAUUUUGAUAAACUUUAAAUAGCAUGGUUAAAAUAAAUGAAACAUUUGAAUGAAACACUUUUAGAAAAUAAGUGAAGAUGUUGUUUACAAAUAUAGAUGCAUCUGUAUAUAAAAGCUUUGGCGGUUGAUUCGUAUACUUCCAGAGAUAUAAGCAAGUUCAUUGGAAUAUGCAUACAUGGUUAAUGUAUUACGGUAUAAUUAAUAAGAAAACAAUUGCAUCCCCUUCAGAUUAUAUAUAUAUAUAUAUAGACACACACACAUACACAUACAUACACACAGGCCCUUUAUGCAAAGGAAUUUCCAUUUUUUUUCAAAAAAUGGGGAUUAGUUGUGGGGCCCACGCUGCAUUGAACUUUAACGAUCCGAACAAUCUAUUUUGUAAGUCUCGAUUCAUAGAUCAUCCUUGCAAAAAUUCAAUUCAAUCCGAACCCUUUUGCCUAUUUAAUUAUCAAGAUAAAAUUUCAUUGUUUCUUAUAUAACAAAGUAUUCGUUAAUUUCUUUGAACUCAAUUAGAUAUCUUAAACAUUUCCGAUUUGGCUAAUAUUUUGCAAAGAUGAUCUAUGUGGUGCAACUUGAAAAAUAGACGAUUUCGAUUGUUAAAGUUCGAUGUGGUGUGAACCCUACAAUUAAUCUUCAUUUUUAUAAAAGAAUGGGAACCCCUCCCCUUAAAGGUUUCCUAUGUAUAUAUUUGUUCUUCAGACAUAUGCAAAAGGUAAUGUAAAACCAAUGAGAACUUAAAUAGAUAUUCCAUACAUAGGACAAUUCCAUAUAUGCUUUUUCAACAUUUAUAUCGAAAAGCCAAAUUGUUUUGAGGAAAUUAAUUGUAGUAAUGGUCCCUUAACUUUUAUCUUAUUGGAGCAAUGGUCUCUCAACUAAAAAUUCAUGACCAUUGGUUCCUUAACUCCACAAAACGUGUAGUUAUGGUCAUUUUCAUUAACUCCGUCAGAACUUUUGUUAAAACAAGUAAUGUUAGAAGAAUCAUUGCUACAAUCAGGUUAAAGUUGGGGACCAUUGCUCUAAUUGAAUUAAAGUUGAGGGAUCAUUACUCCAAAUUGCUUAAAGUUCAAGGACCAUUUCUACAAUUUUCUCAUCUAGUUUCCCAUAUUUACCCCAUGAUUCAGCUUCACAUGCAUUGCACAUGACUCAUUUUGACAAAAGUUUUAACGAAAUUGACGAAAAUGACCAUAAAUGCACGUUUUGAAGAGUAAGAGACCAAUGGUCGCAGAUUUUAGUUGAGGGAUCAUUGCUCCAAUUUGGUUAAAGUUGAGGGACCAUUGCUACAAUUUGCUCAAAUGUUUCGUAUGCGAAAAUAGGCAUUUGUAAAGUUUGGCUUGUUCAUGGCAUUAUUACUUUAGUCUAAAGUAAGGCUGGAAAUGGCACUGUAGAAAUGAAUAGUGUUCCAAUCCGAAUUUCAGUUUAAUUACAACAAUGCCAUUGCUCUUUGUGUUGCCUUUAGGUGAGCAACCCAACUUCCAGCCAGGCCCAAAUGUAUUGGUUUUAGCUGAGAAGCCCGACCUUUGGUCAGGCCCAAAACUUUAAAUUACAGUUUUGCCCAUACAAAAUAACAAUUUGAUUGUAUCGGGAAGGACAAUUUUGUCCUUUUAGUUUUGGGCGAGAUAGGGGGUAACCGGGUAGAUUUCAUUUGCUGUCGUUGAAUGAAGGUUUCGGGGAUGAAGGUUGUGUGUGUGUGUGAGGGAGAUGACGAUGGAAGGAGAGCGAAGGGGAGGGGAAGGGUUCUCGGCACUGUUGCUGCAUGUGGAUUUCACAAGUGGGUGAAUGGGUAUGGUUAGAGAAUACCAUAUAGGUUGUCGGGAUUUCAGGAAACGGGGUAGGGGUCAUGAAUGAACCCUGCUGAGAGUGGGUGCCGGAUCUUGCGCUGCAUGCCUCAAAUCAAAGAUAAGUUCAUUUUUUUAUUGUAUUCUUUAAUGGUAGCUUAGCUUUUGGAAUUGUUUAGUAUGUUAGGUCCAGUUUUGGGGGAUUUAUCUUUUAGAGAGAGAGAUGGACAGGGAGAUAAAGAUAGACAGAGAGAGAGAGAGGAGGAGGAGGCGGAGGAAGUAUGGCUGUGUGCUAUUUUUGGUGUUAAUUAAUGGGUUGGUGCGCAGGGUGAGUGACAGAGUGACAGAGUGACGGAGGGAUGUGUGGGAGGGUAUGGGUUUUUAGUUCUUUCUUUUGAUUCAAUAGGUUAUACACUGUUUGAAAAACCUUUUUUUUAUUUUUUUGUUCUCGUUUGCUUUGUUAAAACCAUCAUUUGAAUUUUUGGGUUUCACUGUGCUCAUUUCUCUGUUUCUUCAUAAUUUGUUGGUGUUUGCUUCUCAUCCCUCUGUUGGUAGAUCUUUUUCUCAUUUCUUGGUUCCUUAUGUAUUCUUUGGUACAAAUCUGUUUACUUUUUGGUUGUGUGAUAAUCUUAGCAGGUGAACUAUAUGAACGUUUUUUUGAAACGAGCACAGUGAAGCAAGCGUAGAUUGGGAGGCAACCCAAUAUUUCUAUUCAUUGCCUUUUUCUGUCAUUUUCAAUUUUCUUGCAUGCUAAACUGAAUUAUUUCUUUUCUUUGUAUUUGGGUUAUGUCCACCCUUGGAGUUGAUUGCGGAAUUAUAGUUUGGGGGUCAUCAUUUGAUUUCACUGCAAAUUGGGGAAGUUUUUAGUCCAAAUGCCGGAUCACUUCAAGUAUCACCUUCCAUUCGAAGUUCACUUCCAUGCCAUGGAACCUAUGGGAGUGUGACUGGAGGCAUCGUCCGGCUGCAAGACGUUAAAGAAAGCGCUUCUUGGGAGGCAACCCAAGCUUUCUAUCUUUCAUCUUUAUUUUGAAUAAUUUUAAAUGUUCUUGUUCUGUUUUUCUCUUAUUUUCUGGUUUUUGUAUUUAAGUCCUACUUUUGUUCCUUUAUGCAGGUAAUGAUUUUGCAAUCUCUACCACAACUUCUUGCAAGGUAGUUUUACAUUCAUAAAAACGAAAGGAACAUUAAGCAUAUAAAUACAAGAGGGAGCCUUCACAAAGGCUGCUUAGGAGAAGUUUCAGCAGUCGGCGGAGUCCCAGAAGGAGGAGGCAUCAGAGGUUGAUCAUUUGGAGCUUCAUUACGUGGUACAACCCCAGAAGACGAAGGCAAAUGCAAAUAAGGAAGAUCUAUGAAUCGCUUCACAAUCGAAAAGGAACAUAUGGUAGAAAAAUUCAAAGAUGAGCAUACAAACAAGAAGGAGUCUUCAUUGGUCAGGAGGUGUCGCAGCAGUCGAAGGAACAUCAGAAAGACGAAGUGUCAGAGCUUGAUUGUCCGGAGCACUUGGUGAAGCACCAGAUGAUGAAGGCAGAAGUUGCCUCAGGAGUAAAGCCAUAAACCUUUGAUGAUCACUCCGAGCCCGAACUUCAGCCUCUUGCAGCUGGUCCAACUUCCUCUUUAUGCUUGUUGAGUAGUUAGUUGCGAGCAUGUGCAACUCUUUAUCUUCAUGCCUCAGCGCUCUGACCUCUUGCCAAAGGCUAGCCACUUCAGCCAUCAACGACUCCACUUGACGAGUUCGAGCAAGAAGGCGUUGGCCCAUGUUUGAUACUGAGCCUGCACUUUGGACGCUGAAAGCCAAAGAAUCCUGAACAGCCUGCUCGUCAGACCGCUUAGAUAGCAUCCUACUGUCUCUUGGAGUAUGAAGAUUUCUAGCAACCACUGCAGCUGUUGCAUCAUUUCUCAUCACAGUGUCCCCAACUGUAAGAGGACCGUUGGAGGAUAUGAAAGAUGGCUGCCAAAUGUUACCUGGAGACGAGAGGUCAAUAUCUUCUUCGAUAUUCAGGUCAAAACGACGGUCGGAUGGGCUAGACAUUUUCAUAGGUGUUAAAGAAAGAAGAGGUCAGACAAGUCAAGAUAGUAGAAAUGCAAGAAGGGAGUAUUCACAGGCAGAAAUUCAUGUGUGCUUUGAACAUCCUGCGAACCUCUAUAAAAAAUAGCACACAAUGAGAUUUCAGGGAUCGAAUAGGCGAGUUCAGAGAUCGAUGAAGCGCCUGCUUUCUCCAAAGCUAGGCCUACUCAGGAAUCACAGGCUGAUCUCAGGUAGUGAAGACGCGCCUGUCUCUCUCAGCCCCGUCAGCACUUGUCACAUGCAGAGAAAACUUUGAGGAAAUCACGGGCAGUUUGUCGAAGCGCCGAUUCCAACCAUCUGUCUUUCUCAGCCUCGUCAGCUUUGAGGAAAUCACGGGCAGUUUGUCGAAGCGCCGAGUCCAACCGCCUGUCUCUCUCAGCCUCGUCGGCACUCGCUUUCUCAAAAGCUGGGCUUGAAAUCACAGGCCAAUCUUCAGUUUCUAAAUUUGUUCGCACUUGUCACAUGCAACCUCUGCACUCAACGAAGCUCAGAACUCGAAGCGCCAAUUCCGGAUAUUAAAGAAGCCUUUGCUUUAUCAGACGUGUCAGCAUCUGUCAAUUGCACAUCUGCGUUGCGUAAAUCACGCGCAAUCUGUCGAAGAUUUCUGGAGAAACGGAAUGCACGUGAAGUUUACUGUUAAAUUACCCCAGGCUUGCUGACACGAGUACUAGAACAAUGCCUUCCCAGCCAUUAAGAAAAAUUCUACAAAUGUUAAAGGCAACCUCACUCAACUUUCAGCCUCACUCAACCUUUCUUCCUCUCUGAGAAUGUAUUCCCGAAGAAGCCUCCCGAGUCACUCUGUGUUUCUCAUCCCUUGGGAUACCCCUGCAAACAACCCACCCAGAGCAAAAGUAUUUCAUAUCAUAACGGUUGAGAGCAAGAGUAUCUCAUAUCAUGCUUUCUCCCUGUCCUUUGUCUCGCCAGCACUUGGUAUCAAUCUUCCGAGCGGGGACCGACUGCCUGGAACCCAUUCCUGAUUGCUUACCUAACCUUGCUCUCGAGUACUCAUCCUUCUUAUGUUUCCUCUUCGUCUACCACAUAGGGGAAGUGAUAAUGAUACCUCGAAGCAUGUGGAUACAACGUGCUGAUUCAUCCUCAACUAAGGACAAGGGAGAAAGCAAGCAAGAUGUGGGCACUUGGAAAGAUUGAACAAAGAAACAGACUAACACCUCUACCUCGUGCCUGCCUACCGAGCAGAAGAAACAAGCAGAGAAGAAUGCAGACUGCACAAUCAAACAACCCAGGAACUCUGAUAUUCCUCGCUCAGGAUUCCAAACCAGUUUGAGAUUCGCCUACACAAAUUGGUGUGUUCUUUCCUUUUCUUUAUGUGUCUUUAUUUCAUUUUAUAUUUCUUUCCUUCCAUUUUCAUGUCUUAUUGUUCAAAAAUUCCUUUCAUUAUCAUUGGGGACAAUGCUAUAAUUAAGUUUGGGGGUAUUUGGAAAUAUAUUUCGUUAGUUUAUUUCUCUAUUAAAAAAAAAAAAAAAUUUUGCAUUUUUAUUGUUGUUUGUAGCUACUUCUCAAUUCAAUGAUGAGAUUUGAUUUUAAUUUCCUUCUUACUUUCAAGAAAGUCUAAGUUCUUUUCGUUGUCUUUGUGUUAACUGUGAUUUCCAGAAAUCAACUUGAAAAAAGAAAUGUGCCUAGUCUUGUCAAUGUGAAACUUGAGCAUGAUUUAGCGUUUCAUAUGUGAAUCAUGUGAGAUUAUGUAAACCUUGUGAGUUUUUUAGCCUAUACAUGAUUGAACCAUUAUGCAUCAAUCUCAUUCCUUCUUGUGCGUAUGAUCUCACUGUACAUGUAUCUCUAGAACUUGCUUUAUACUACUCGAUUCAUUAAUCAAUUCAUGUAAUAACUUGGAAGUGAUAUAGGCCAUCUUUGGAUCGUUUGAGCCUUUCAUGCCUACCUUAUAUGCUAUGUUUAUCCUUAGUAGCCCUUUGAGCCUUUAACUAAGCCAUUUCUUUGUUAACCACAUCUCUUUACCUUGCUCCAAUAUUGGAGUUGAGCCCAUACACAAAAAUCGAUUCCUUAUUGUUUUGAGAAAGUAUUACAUGGGUUGUGCUUUUGGGGGUUUCAUUUAUAUAGAAAGAUGGAUGGAGUAUGUGUAUACAAUGAAAUGUGAAUUUGAUGGGUGAUGUAGAUUUUGAAAAUUAUUUCAAAAGAAAAAAAAAACGAAAAAAAACGAAAAAAAUGAAAAUUGGAGAGUGUUGAUUUGUUGAAAAUGUGUCGGUAGAGUAUAAAUUUCCUUUUAAAGUUAAAUUUGGGGAGUAACAGGUGCUCGAGGUUUUAUUAUUUUGCUUUCAAUUUGAGGUGGUGUGAUAUUGAGGUGUUGGAAAACUACCAAAGUGUACUUUCUCAAAAUUUUUGAUUUCCAUAUCCUUUCUUUCAUUAGCCUAUCACCUUUAGCCCCAUUACAACCGUAAUAAAGUCCUAUUGAUCCAAGGUAUUACUUAAAUAUUGAUAAGCGAGUUAGGUGGACAAGCAAGCACAUGGCGGCAUGUACAAUGAGAUUACUUGAGUGAAACACAUUAACAAAAAAUUAUGAGUGAAUGAGCGUAUGUCUUGUGAGAAACUCACAUGUUUGCAUAUGAUGAUUUAAAGGAGCUUGGAAUUGCAUUGACAUAGCUAGCUCACACAUGGCAUUUCAACGUUUUGUUUGAAGGAAAUUUGGUUAACUAUUGGAUGAUGUUUUGAGCUCUUGCUUACUUCUUGGCAGUGUAUCUCAUGACUAGCACUUAUCUCUGAAAUCGAAAUUGAGAAGUUGGCUACUAAGUUGUUGAAUCUAGUCUUAGUUGAGUGGUUUUGUUUUGCUAGAGGACUAGCAAAAAUGUAAGUUUGGGGGUAUUUGAUCACUCAUAUAUUUCAUGCAUUUAUACCAUCCAUUUCUAAAGUCUUUGUGAUGUUUUUGUGUUAAAGUUGUGGCAUUUUACCUUACCUUGUGUUAAUGUACAGUUAAUUUUAUUUUAGGAUCAAUUUCAAAGAAAAUGGGCUGAAAAGAAAAUAAAAGAAAAGAAAUAAAUGGGACGGAAAGGAAGACACUGACAGAAUAAAAGAAUGAAGAAAGAGGUAGAACGGCAGAUAGAGAAGUGGGAAGAAAGUGGAGUGCGCAUGGGAUGGAAGUGGAACAAAAAGCAGGAGAGGGAGUGAGGAGUGCGGGAUAAAAGCAAAGAAAAAUAGAAGAAUAAGAAAGAAGUGGGAGGACACGGACUGAGUGGAAGAAUUAAAGAGAGAAGCAGGGUGCAGGCACGGACAGAAAGGAGAACUGAAGAAUAAAAGAGAAGACAGAGAAGCAGAAAAAAGAAGAGAAACUGACGUGAAAGCCAGUGCGCAGAGGGCGCAGAGAGAUAGGAGAGAUUGUGCGGGAGCAGAAGCACAGAAGCAGAGGGAACAAAAUCACAGACUGACAGCAGACGCAAGAGGCACGGCAGAGAGCAAAGCUUCACUCUAUUUUUCUUGGUUUUAUCUUCUCAAACCCAUGUUUUACUUUUGGUUUAAUUUGUGAAUUAUGUGUAACUAAAUUUUAAGUAGUUAGGGGCUGUUUUGAAGCCCCGAAUAUGAUUGUAAGUUUGUUGUGAUAUUUUGUUUGAAUGACUUUUAUGAAAGGAUGAAAAUUGUUUCACUACUUAUGUGAUUGAUAAAUUCUUUAUGUGUUUCUAUGGAUGCAUACAUAGUGAGCAUAUCUAGGAUUUUAAUGCUAUGAAUAUAUGUUUACCUGCCCUUGUUGAAUGAGGACCUACAUAUGUUCUAGAGUAGCACUUGUUAAUUGUGGUUAACAUGUGAACCGAUUUCUAGGAUAAGUAAGACAAUGCCAGUACUUAUCAUGCCUUGUGAUGACUCAAACUCUUUUCGUUCUUAAUGAUUUCUACUUGUUAAAUCUAUGAACACGACAUUCUAGAUUACAUGCUAGGGACUACGUUAAGUUGAAAACGCUAUUCUCUUAACAUACUACGUAAGAAAAAGUAAUAGGUUGUGUUCUAACAUUGAGCCAACUUGAGCAUCUUCAUCCGGAAAUAAAAGGAAUUUGAAUGAAACAUAACAUGUUUGCAUGAUUAUUUGGUGGUGGAUAGCAUUUCCCCUAAUUCGUUUUCUUAACUUGUGAAUUAAAAUCUAUUGGUAUUAUUUAAAACUGGUUGAGGUCCUGUUUUGUCCGAUUUAAUUUAAAUAGCUAAUCAACUUCAAAAAUCCCAAACAUUUGUGUGAGCAUAGCUUGGUGUGUCUAGUUUAUGUGUAUAAAAUUUCGUUGCAUUUGGAUAAGUGUAAGUUAGUCUAAUAAUUAUUGUUCGGUGGCUGGUCAGUGGAGACAACCAUCCUGUUUUUGUGACAUUUUAAGUGUUUGGAUAAAACAAUUUUCUGCGGAAAAGACCCUUAUUUUCAUAUGCUACAAUCGACAAAAUUUUAGUGUUAAUAAGGAAAAUCAAUAGGAUUAUUGUGGGCUACUUUGUGGUGCGUUAUAAUUACUACCAUGCUGUCAGUGGGUGUUAAUAUCAGGUACCCAUGUUCAGUUUUUCGUUUUGAUUUGAAGGAAUUUCUUGCGGAGAGGAGCAAGGGUUUCUUGGUGAGUUCUUCGGGUUGUGCAUAUGGGUAAUUUUCUUUUCGGUUUAACCCUCUGCUUCUGCUGCUCUCUCUCUUUCUCUCAUCCCUGCCUGCUCCUCUCCAAUUGUUUGCUGUUCUUAAAUAUUGUGUUCAUUGCCUGAUACAAGGGGCUGCAGCAAUCUGUUUUAUCCUACACGGGACAACGAGGCAAUGGCGUGACAACAGGUGAGCUUGGAUAUCCAAAGAAAAAGAACAGUUGGUUCAUCUGCUGGAGUCUGAGCUUAGAGAAGUGGAGGAAAAUUGCAGGUGUGCGAGAAAUUUUAUUUUGCUGAUAGGACUCCUUAUUUACUGAUGCAUUUUGAAAUAAUUGAAAAGUUGGAUUUGAGUUAACAGCUAUAAAAAUGUAGACAUGAUUGCUGAGAUUAUGCUAUGAAAGUGGAAUAAAAAAAUGGUAGUUUAUAAUAUUGCGUACCAAUUGUUUUCUCUCUUUUUUACCAAAUGAUAAGGGUGGUGGCUCAGGCCGCCCCCCUAAGCGUCCCCACUCUUCGACAAGUUGAAAUCGUGGUGAUAGUUUAUGGGCUGUGGUCUUGGGAUUCUGCAAAUAGAAUGAAAAACAGACACUUAACUAUCUUGUUAUUAAGCAUUUCUGCAUCAUUCAGUUGCUCUUGAUUUUCGUCUUUUAAGCGAUCUUAUUUCUGCGAUCUGACUUGAGGAGGGUUUUUAGACCUAUGGUUGUGGGUGUUUUCUCUGACCCCAUUAUCCGAGAUUUGUAGACUUGCGAUCGGCGGUCAAACAUUUUGUGAUUCUUGUUUUCUCUGCCUUUCGGUCGUUAAGCGCCGGCAGUCUUUAGAUCUUUGGCAAAUCAAUUUAAUACAACCGAGGUAUGUUUUAUAACUGCUGUCUUUCAAUUUUUGUUCUGUAUUUUUGUUAAUUUGGAUGAAGCUCUAAUAAUUUUGUUUUGGAUCAGUUGUGGUCCUCUGUUAGGAUUUUCCUGGCUAAGAGGGUAUUUGCGUUUUUGUUGCUUGGUUGGUCGAUCACAGAUUUACGAACAGCUGUGGUGGUCCUGUUAUUUUUUGGUAUGUUUUUUCUCCUUUUUGGUUUUUUUCCCGGUUUGAGCACCCAUUCUUGAAGAAUUAAAAUGUGUUUUAUAGUUUUUUCAGGAGAGAUUAGAAAAGUGAUUUCAAUUUGGGAAAAUUUAAUGUUGGUUAAAAUUUGUUUAUAAUUUUUGGGAAGGAAUGAGAGGACCCAUUGAAGUAUGUGUUGUGAUUAUUUUUUAUUCAUAUUUUUAACAAAUUGGGCAUGAAUUGGUAGGUUAACUGUGUGUGUUUAUUAUUUGAAUCGGCCAUGUUUGUCUUUCUAUGGUUCUAAAAAAUUUGUAAAGGCUGUUAACUUGGAAGAAAAUGGGAUCGAGGGUGAGGGGAAAACGGCAGAGAAAGCAUGGAAGAGAGAUUUGGGAUUAGGGGUAGGAAAACAGAUGAAAAGAAUAUGAUAGAGGAAUGGGUUCAGUUCAUUUUCACUAUUUUUUUUUAACUGAUUUGGAUUUUGUUUGGGUUUAACUCCGCCUAUGUCUUACAUGGCCGGUCCCAAGCCCGGAUAAAGGAGGAGGGGGAGGGCGUCAGGUAGUCGACAGCCGGCACUCCAUGAUCAUGUCGAAUCCUUAUGAAAAUGAAUCCAGAACAAAAUCGCGCUAAAGCUAGGACGUCACCCGUAAGUGGCGCGCUGUAUGGCCCGAGCACAGUGAUAAGUGAGCAAGGGUCGCUGUAUCUCCAUCGGCACCCGGAUGCAGUGUUAAAUGAGCAAGGGGGCCAUAGAAACUUCUUUUCGAACGACUCCACUCAAAGUUGUUUGAGAGCAUAUGCUCCUAUCAACUUUACCCGGGACACACAAAAGAAGUACUUUGAUCCUAUUAGACGGGGGAGGGUGAAGAAGCUAGGACAGAAGGGUAGAGUUCAAGAGAGCAAAAUGCGUUUAGGAACGUGGAAUAUAGGAACCUUAACGGGAAAAUCUAUGGAAGUAGUGGAAGUUAUGGUGAGGAGAAGGAUAAAUAUUAUGUGCCUACAAGAAACUAAGUGGGUUGGUAGUAAGGCAAAGGAUCUAGAAAACUCAGGGUUUAAACUUUGGUAUUCGGGCACAAAUAGAACGAGAAACGGUGUUGGCAUCAUCGUGGACAAGACCUUGGUACAAGAUGUUGUAGAUGUCAAGAGGGUAGGAGAUAGAAUCAUGGCAAUCAAGAUUGUAAUAGGACAAGAACUUAUCAAUGUGAUUAGUGCGUACGCACCUCAAGUAGGGUUGGAUACGAGUUCGAAGGAGAAAUUUUGGGAAGAUCUUGGAGACUUGGUGCAAGGAAUUGCUCAGACGGAGAAGUUAUUUAUAGGAGGAGAUUUAAAUGGACACGUGGGCAGGGAGACAGGCAACUAUGGAGGUUUUCAUGGUGGCCAUGGUUUUGGGGAGAGAAACGAGGAUGGGGAAGCUAUCUUGGAUUUUGCAAUGGCAUAUGAUCUCUUCUUAGCCAACACCUUCUUUAAGAAGAGAGAAGAACAUGUGAUCACCUACAAGAGUGGGUCGUCAAAAACACAAAUAGAUUUUCUUCUAAUGAGGAAAGGGGAUCGUAUAACUUGUAAGGAUUGCAAAGUUAUACCAGGAGAGAGCGUGGCUAAUCAACAUCGCUUGUUGGUGAUGGAUGUACAUAUCAAAAGAGUAAGACAAAAGAACAAGACUUGGAAGUGCCCAAGGACUAGAUGGUGGAAUCUAAAAGAAGAAAAACAAGCCAUUUUCAAAGAGAAGGUAAUCACCCAAUGUGUGUGGGAUAGAGAGGGGGAAGCUAGCCAAAUGUGGGAUUCCAUGGCUAGUUGUAUCCGAAAAGUAGCAAAAGAGGUAUUAGGAGAGUCCAAGGGCUUUGCCCCACACCAAAAGGAAUCUUGGUGGUGGAAUGAGGAGGUACAAACAAAGGUGAAGGCUAAGAAGGAAUGUUGUAAAGCCUUAUACAAGGAGAGGACCGAUGAAAAUGGUGAAAGGUAUAGAAAAGCGAAGCAAGAGGCGAAGAAAGCUGUCAGAGAAGCUAAGUUAGCGGCUUACGACGAUAUGUAUAAACGACUAGAUACCAAAGAAGGAGAGUUGGAUAUCUAUAAACUAUCUAGAGCAAGGGAAAAGAAGACAAGGGACCUAAACCAAGUGAGGUGCAUCAAGGAUGAGGAUGGAAAGGUUCUUGCUACAGAGAACGCGGUUAAAGACAGAUGGAGAGGUUAUUUUCAUAAUCUUUUCAAUGAAGGACAUGAAAUGAGUGCUUCUUUAGGGGAGUUGAGUAACUCAGAAGAGUGUAGAAACUACUCUUUUUAUCGUCGAAUCCGGAAGGAAGAAGUGGUUGUAGCUUUGAAGAAGAUGAAGCAUAAAAAAAGCAAUAGGCCCAGACGAUAUACCAAUCGAAGUGUGGAAACUUUUGGGAGAGACAGGUAUAACAUGGCUCACUGACCUUUUCAAUAGGAUUUUGAAAACGAAGAAGAUGCCAAAUGAGUGGCGAACGAGCACUUUGGUGCCUAUCUACAAGAAUAAGGGCGACGUACAAAAUUGCAUGAACUAUAGGGGUAUUAAGCUAAUGAGUCAUACAAUGAAGCUCUGGGAGAGAGUCAUUGAGCAUAGAUGAGGCAAGAGACACGGGUUUCGGACAACCAAUUCGGGUUCAUGCCAGGGCGCUCAACCAUGGAGGCAAUCUAUCUCUUACGAAGAUUGAUGGAAAGAUAUAGAGAUGGGAAAAAGGAUUUACACAUGGUCUUUAUAGAUUUGGAAAAAGCGUAUGAUAGGGUCCCAAGAGACAUUCUUUGGAGGAUUUUAGAGAAGAAAGGAGUACGAGUAGCAUAUAUCCAAGCUAUAAAGGAUAUGUAUGAAGGAGCAAAGACUGCCGUAAGAACUCAUGAAGGACAAACCGAAAGCUUUCCCAUAACUGUAGGAUUACAUCAAGGCUCAUCCUUAAGUCCUUACCUUUUUGCGUUGGUAAUGGAUGAGUUAACAGGACAUAUUCAAGAUGAUAUUCCUUGGUGUAUGCUUUUCGCAGACGAUAUAGUGUUGAUAGAUGAAACUCAGGAAGGGGUAAAUGCAAAGCUUAACCUUUGGAGAGAAGUGUUGGAAUCUAAAGGUCUUCGCCUAAGCCGAUCAAAGACAGAAUAUAUGGAGUGCAAGUUCAGUGCAAAUGGAGGCCAAAACGAGUUAGGGGUGAGGAUCGGAGAUCAAGAAAUACCAAAGAGCGACCGUUUUCGUUACCUAGGAUCUAUCUUGCAAAAGAACGGAGAAUUAGAUGGAGAUCUCAACCAUAGAAUACAAGCUGGAUGGAUGAAGUGGAAGAGUGCAUCCGGCGUGUUGUGUGACCGCCGUAUGCCACUGAAGCUCAAGGGAAAAUUUUAUAGGACGGCAAUAAGGCCGGCGAUGCUGUAUGGCACAGAAUGUUGGGCGGUGAAACAUCAACACGUACACAAAAUGGGUGUAGCGGAGAUGAGGAUGCUUCGUUGGAUGUGUGGGCACACGAGAAAGGAUAAGAUUAGGAAUGAGGAUAUCCGGGGUAAAGUAGGAGUAGCCGAAAUUGAAGGAAAGAUGAGAGAAAAUCGGUUACGGUGGUUUGGACAUGUGCAAAGAAGGCCUACUGACGCUCCGAUUAGAAGAUGCGACUAUGGGACAGAGGUUCAGGGCCGAAGGGGUAGAGGAAGACCUAGGAAAACUUUGGAAAGAGACUCUAAGAAAAGACUUAGAGUACUUGGAUCUAACGAAGGACAUGACACAGGAUCGAGCACAAUGGCGUUCUAAGAUUCAUAUAGCCGAUCCCACUCAGUGACUUGGAUUUUCCAAGUCUCCAACCGAGAAGUUUUCCUCACUCGGAAAAUUAAGGGAACACUACCCCAACCUACAUGCUCCACUCAGAAAGCUUCAACAUACAAGCUUCAACAAAAGAAAAUUCAAAGAACUUAGCGAAGAAGGCUUUGGUGUAUUUAACACAAUACGUUGAAAUGAAGGAAAGCUUAUUUAUUGAUAUCCCCGAUAAGCUACAAAUAUGUACAUAUACAUGAGUCAAAAUAAACACACAAGAGGGAGCCUUCACAAAGGUUGCUUAGGAGAAGUCUCAGCAGUCGGUAGAGCCCCAGAAAGAGAAGGCACCGGAGGGGGAUCAUUUGGAGCCUCAGUACUGGACAGAACCCUAGAAGGAGGAGGCAUCAGAGGUUGAUCAUUUGGAGCUUCAUUACGCGGUACAGCCCCAGAAGACGAAGGCAAUAAAUGCCUUUGGAACAAACCCACAAAUCUCUGAUGAUCAAGUAAAACCUGACCAUCAGUUUCCUUCAUCUGGUCAAGCUUCCUCUUCAUGUUUGUAGCAUAGUCAUGUGCGAGCCGGUGCAACUGUUUAUUCUCAUGCUUGAGCCCUCUAAUCUCCUGUUUGAGACUCAUCACUUCAGCCGCCAAUGAUUCAACUUGGCGGGUUCGAGCAAAUAGGCGUUGGGCCAUAUUAGACACAGAACCUGCACACUGAACACUGAGAGCCAGCGAAUCCUUAACAGCUAACUCAUCAGACCGUUUGGAAAGUAGUCUGUUAUCUUUGGGAGUGAGAAGGUUCCUGGCCACCACCGCAGCGGUCAUAUCAUUCUUCAUCACGGAAUCCCCAACGGUAAGAGGACCAGUAGGGGAGACGAAGGAUGGGCGCCAUAUGUUGUCUGGAGAAGGCGGGGCUGCCUCUUCAACAAGGUUCAAGUCAAAACGACGGUCGGAGGGGCCAGACAUUUUCAAAUGUGUUGAAGAGAGAAGAGGUCGGACAAAUCAAGAUCUUAGAAGUGCAAGAAUGAAGCUUCUACUGGUGGAGAUUCAAGUGUGCUUUGGAACUUAAUGCCAGCCCCUAUAAAAAUCUGCACUCGACGGAGCUUCAGAAAUCGAAGAGGCGCCUGCUCAGAAAUCGAAGAGGCGUUUGCUUUCUCAAAAGCUGGGCUGCUUAGAGAUCACGAGGGUUGAUCUCAGAAAUCGAAGAGGCGUUUGCUUUCUCAAAAGUUGGGCUGCUCAAAGACCUCGAAGGCUGAUCUCAGAAAUCGAAGAGGCGCUCGCUUUCUCAAAAGCUGGGCUCCCUAGAGACCACGAGGGCCGAUCUCAGAAAUCGAAGAGGCACCUACUUUUCCAGCCUUGUCAGCACCUGUCACACGCGCACACUCAGCUUUGCGGAAAUUAUGGGCAUUCUGUCGAAGACUUCUGGGGAAGUAGAAAAAACACAUGAAUCUUACUGUUCAAUCACCCACUUCCCACACGCAACAAUAGCUCAUGGGUACCACAGAUAACUUUGCCAAAGUUCUCUGCCAAAGUUGAGCACGUGAAGCUUGCAGCUCCCACUACAUCGCUCUGACCAAGAAGGGUAAAAGAAUAGCAAAGAAACACAGCACUAACAAAGUUUAGACCCAUAAAUUUUGAAGGUCUAGCUACCAUAUUAUUACCACACACAGGGUAAAGGAACAGUACCACUGCUGGAUAAUUGGAAAGUCCCUGUUUGUCAACCUCUGUGCUUCGUGGCAAGGUAGACUAGCAAACAUGCCCAACCUUUACUCACAUUCGAGAAAACACUCCCAAUAAGAUUGCUUGCUCCAAAAUCGAAGAGGCACCGUCCUCCGAAUCUCGAGAGCCAGACUCCCAACAUGACUACUUUCUUAAAAAUCGAAGAGAGGGUAAAGGAACAGUACCAUUGCUGGAUAAUUGGAAAGUCCCUGUGUGUCAACCUCUGUGCUUCGUGGCAAGGUAGACUAGCAAACAUGCCCAACCUUUACUCACAUUCGAGAAAACACUCCCAACAAGAUUGCUUGCUCCAAAAUCGAAGAGGCACCGCCCUCCGAAUCUCGAGAGCCAGACUCCAAACAUGAUUACUUUCUCAAAAAAUCGAAGAGACACUGCUCCCCGAAUCUUCGAGAGCCAGACCCCCAGCAUGAUUGCUUUCUCAAAAAUCGAUGAGGCAUCGUUCUCCGAAUCAAUCGAAGAGGCGCUCGCUUUCUCAAAAGCUGGGCUGCUCAGAGACCACGAGGGCCGAUCUCAGAAAUCGAAGAGGCACCUACUUUUCUAGCCUUGUCAGCACCUGUCACACGCACACUCAGCUUUGCAGAAAUUAUGGGCAUUCUGUCGAAGACUUCUGGUGAAGUAGAAAGCACAUGAAUCUUACUGUUCAAUCACCCACUUCCCACACGCAACAAUAGCUCAUGGGUACCACAGAUAACUUUGCCAAAGUUCUCUGCCAAAGUUGAGCACGUGAAGCUUGCAGCUCCCACUACAUCGCUCUGACCAAGAAGGGUAAAAGAAUAGCAAAGAAACAGCACUAACAAAGUUUAGACACAUAAAUUUUGAAGGUCUAGCUACCAUAUUAUUACCCACAAGGGUAAAGGAACAGUACCACUGCUGGAUAAUUGGAAAGUCCCUGUGUGUCAACCUCUGUGCUUCGUGGCAAGGUAGACUAGCAAACAUGCCCAACCUUUACUCACAUUCGAGAAAACACUCCCAACAAGAUUGCUUGCUCCAAAAUCGAAGAGGCACCGUCCUCCGAAUCUCGAGAGCCAGACUCCCAACAUGACUACUUUCUCAAAAUCGAAGAGAGGGUAAAGGAACAGUACCAUUGCUGGAUAAUUGGAAAGUCCCUGUGUGUCAACCUCUUUGCUUCGUGGCAAGGUAGACUAGCAAACAUGCCCAACCUUUACUCACAUUCGAGACAACAGUCCCAACAAGAUUGCUUGCUCCAAAAUCGAAGAGGCACCGCCCUCCGAAUCUCGAGAGCCAGACUCCCAACAUGAUUACUUUCUCAAAAAUCGAAGAGACACUGCUCUCCGAAUCUCGAGAGCCAGACCCCCAGCAUGAUUGCUUUCUCAAAAAUCGAAGUGGCAUCGUUAUCCGAAUCUCGAGAGCCAGACUCCCAACAUGAUUACUUUCUCAAAAAUCGAAGAGACACUGCUCUCCGAAUCUCGAAAGCCAGACCCCCAGCAUGAUUGCUUUCUCAAAAAUCGAAGAGGCAUCGUUCUCCGAAUCUCGAGAGCCAGAUACCACAUACCACUUUUUCAAAGUGCUCUGACAGAGUUAAAACAUGUGAAACUGGCAGCUCCCACUACCGUGCUAUGACCAAGCAGGGUAAAGGAAUAACAUUACUACUUGUUAGGGAGACUCCUAUAUAUGUUGACCUCCAUCCCCAACAGACAGGCAGACCUGCAAAAAUGCUCAACCCUUCAUCAUAUCUGAGAGGGCACUCCCAACGAAGCCUUUCGAAAUAUUCAGCUUUCUUUCCCCCCGAUAAUACCUCUGCAAACAAGCUAUACUAGAGCAAGAAUAUCUCAUAUCAUCAGGGUUAAAAGCAAGAGUAUCCCAUAUCAUGCUUUUUCCCUGUCUUUUCCUUUGGCCUUGUUUUUACCUGCAAGACAAGGAGAAAGAGAGCAAUCAGUCAGCACUUGGAAUCAAGCUUCCAGCUAGGAACUGACUGCCUGGAACCCCUUACCUGAUUACUUACCUGGCAUUGCUCUCGAGUACUCAUCUUCAACAUCUUAUGUUUCCAGGGAAGAUUCCGCAUCUGCUUGAGGAACAGAUAGGGCAAGUGCGAAAGAUACAAGGAAGCAUGUGGAGACAAGCGUAACAGCACACGUGCCGAUACAUCCAUUACUCUGUCAAAAGCAAAAGUAUCCCAUAUCAGCAGGGUGGAAAGUACUCUAGAUUUGAUGGACUUGUUUUGACCCUCAAAUUCUUCAGUCGACCUUAUACUCUGGAGGAAACCAGAAAACCCUCCAGCUCAGUUCAAGAAUAAGCCUGUGGAAAGUUACUUCUUCAAAAGCAAAAGUAUCUCAUAUCAUCUCUUCUCAUUUUUCUUCUCUUUAUCCUUCAUGCUGCUGCAAGAUGGGGAGAAGGUGAACAAUCAGUCGGAGCUCUGAUUGCUUACCUUGUCUGUCACCUCUUUCAGCAGACCCCUAGCUCGGCGACUUGGGGGACUCCUACUACAUGGUUUGUAUCGCGCUUGACCAAGCCUGAAACUACAAGUAAGCUUCAAGUGAAAUUGAUACAUUACCUUGUGCAUCUCCACCAGUUAAAGAUACCACCCCUGGAUGGAGGAAGAGUACUUCCAGAAAAGAUGCCACAUCUACCUAUGAGACAGAUAAGGCAAGUCAAGACGACACCACACUCCGAUACUUAGAAGUUUCGUGAUUACGAGAUCAUUCUCCCACAAUAUUUCCUAAUGUCAUUUGUACUAAAUCAUUCACUUGUACUCACUAAAGGAGAGCUUGAACCUAUGUACUUGUGUAAACCCUUCACAAUUAAUGAGAACUCUUCUAUUCCGUGGACGUAGCCAAUCUGGGUGAACCACGUACAUCUUGUGUUUGCUUUCCUAUCUCUAUCCAUUUAUAUACCUAUCCACACUAAUGACCGGAGCAAUCUAGCGAAGAUCACAAAAAGCGACCGUUUUCGCUACCUAGGAUCUUAUCUUGCAAGAGAACGGAGAAUUAGAUGGAGAUCUCAACCAUAGAAUACGAGCUGGAUGGAUGAAGUGUAAGAAUGCAUCCGGCGUGUUGUGUGACUGUCGUAGGCCACUAAAGCUCAAGGGAAAAUUUUAUAGGACGGCAAUAAGGCCAACGAUGUUGUAUGGCAUAGAAUGUUAGGCGGUGAAGCAUCAACACGUACACAAAAUGGGUGUAGCGGAGAUGAGGAUGCUUCGUGGGAUGUGUGGGCACACGAGAAAGGAUAAGAUUGGGAAUGAGGAUAUCCGAGGUAAAGUAGGAGUAGCCGAAAUUGUAGGAAAGAUGAGAGAAAAUCGGCUCCGGUGAUUUGGACAUGUGCAAAGAAGGCCGAAUGACACUCCGAUGUGACUACGGGACAGAGGUUCAGGGCCGAAGGGGUAGAGGAAGAUCUAGGAAAACUUUGGAAGAGACUCUAAGAAAAGACUUAGAGUACUUGGAUCUAACGGAGGACAUGAUACAAAACCGAGCGCAAUGGCGUUCUAGGAUUCAUAUAGCCGACCCCACUUAGUGGGAAAAGGCUUUGUUGUUCUGUUGUUGUUGUUGGAUUUUGUUUGGGUUUGAGGCCAUCAUUGGCGUUAAGACGUUUAUUAUCAGAUCGUGUGUUUUUUGCUAACUUUUAUUGGUAAUUUUAAUGUUGUUCUUAUGAUUUUGUGUGGUAGGGUUUCUGAUUUUUAUCGUUAUUCAUUUGGUUUUUUGUGUGUGUUGGUUUGUUUAUUUUGCAGGUUGUGUUUGUGCUGGGACAACAUUUUCCACCUUCUGUUUGCACUGGGAUGAUUGCGUUUUAAAACUGUUGGGGUGAGAUUUACAUAUGGAAUCAUUCCAUUUUUUUUCUUCCAAAUAUGUGCAUUUAGUUCUCUUUUAUUUUAAAUUUUAAAAAUUAAAUCGUUAUUUGAGUAAAAUGUUUUAUCAGUUUAUGUUAUGUGUUGUGACCAGGAAUUCUGUUGGAUUUGCGAAUUUUGGUUUGAUGAGAGAAAUGAGGAGUUUUUUUUGUUUGAAUUUUUUAUUGGACCGAUUUUCAAUUGGAUUGCAUUCUGCCUUUUUGCACCAUUCGUAUGCAAGCAAUUCAUUGUUUUAAAUACAAUUUGAAGAGAGCUGGGUUGCGGGUUGGAUAUAAAAUGUUAAGGUGAGAUAAAAUCGAGAUACCAAGGGUGGAAGAAUGAUUCAGAAUUGGGGGAGGAAAACAGAGGGAAGAUAGAAGAGUAUAAGAGAAGGAUAGGGUUGACCUCAUUUAGAGUUUUUAUUUACUUAUUUUUUUUUAUAAAUUGAUUCAGGACUUGCAUAUCAUUUCUAAAUUUCUAACAUUUUUGUUUAAUUUGACUCCAGUUGAUGGAAAACAGAGCUCUUACUCCUAUCAAUCAGUUGGUCCCGUACAUAAAUGCAGAAAAAUCAAGGUUCGAGUUUGCAGAGUAUGCAGACCAAGGUUUCCCGAAACUACUGGUGCAUAUUCAGGCUUGCAUUGUAUAUUACUUACCUAUUAAAAAUUUGUUUGGAAUUUGCUUUUCCCACAGAGGAGAAGAGCUGACAGUUACGCUGUGGGCAGAUGUUGCUCGAAGUAUUGCUUCUUUAUCCAUUGAAUCAUUGUCUCUGCCGAUCAUUGUGGUUUUCACAAGUUUAAAGGUCAAGCUGUACCUAGGUAUUUGACUUAGUUAAAAACUAAUCUAUUUACUAUUAAUUUUUCUAUUAUAUUCAAACGUUAUUUAAUAUAUACUCUACUAAUAUUUUCUUAACAUGUCACACAAACAUAUUCACUUCUUUUGAUCAAUUUUUUACAGCGUUUCAUAUAAAAGCUAACAUUUAGUUGAAAUUGAUUAGCAACUCUUUUCUUGCAUGUAUACAUACGAAUUAAACAAUAGUAUUAAACUAUUUGUUAUCAUUCUCAGUUUUUGUUUUAGAAUUAGAUUAAUAUAUUUAACCUGUUUUAGAAUUAGAAUUAUUUGGUAUCACUCUCAGUAUUUGUUUUAGAAUUAGAAUUAGAUUAAUAUACUGAGAUUAUUUAGACAAAUCUAGCAUUUUCUCAAAAUAUUUGACUUUUAAACUUAGAUUAAUAUAUUUAGCAGUUUUUUAACAUGCAAUUUUUCAUUAAUUUUUCAACACACAGACAAGAUAGUCUUGAACACCAUUGGUUCAUCACUUUUCUUCAUUGAUCUAGAUAUUCUGGAAGUAAAUUCAUACAAAUCAGUGUAAGUGUGUUUACUUUGUUUAAAAAAAUAUUAUAUGCUCUCACAAUAAAAGAAGGGCUAUUCUCACAAAAUUUAUGAACUAAUGUUCUGUUUUAACCUCUACAGCUUUUCCAAAUGCACAGAACCUCUAAAAAUACUGCCACCUUUUACAAAACAGGCCCGUGAAGCUCAAAUCUUGCAGACAGCGAAGGUCACAAUUGCAGACGCUGAAAUUUUCAUGCCAAAAUAUGAUGUGGAGGAUGAGAAAUUGUUUGCUGUUGUUCUCUUUUCAGUUUUGCAGGCGAUGAUCUUUUACCAAAUGUCGAGGAGCUUCCAUGGGACAUGCUCUAUGCUCUCGCUUCCCAGUUGCCUCUGUUGGGGUUGGAAAAGCUACAGAUCACAAUGUAAGUCAAAAACAGUAAAGUUCCCAAGAUGUUCUGUGCUGGAGCAGAUUUAAAGGUACGAAUUUUUAAUUUUUUUGUGAAGUCGAUGUUUUGUUUUAAAAGGAGUUAUAAUGGAUUGAUUGGACAAGUACAGAGUGUUUGUUUGUUUGGUUGAAUGUAAAAAGGAAUUGGAAGAAUGAUGAAAGUACUUGCAUUUGGUUGUAGUUGGUCAGGCACUGAAGGACCGGUCAAUACGAAGUGCAUCUGUGGGACAAUAGUUGAAAGAAGGCCAGAGCAGGAAGAGAAGGCAAGGUUUGUGAAGAAAAACAGUAAAAGGUCGUACCCAGUGCACAAGGCUCCCGCUUUACGCAAGGUCUGGGAGAGGUGAAUGUCGGCUAGCCUUACCCCCAUUCUGCUUUUGUUUAAUUAGAAGAAAUGUGCAUUUUUUUUUCCCAGUCAAAUUCUGCUUUUGUUCUGACUAUUUUCCUUACUGUAUGCUGAUUUUAUUAUUUAAUUUUUGGUUUUUCCUUGAUUGGCUUGGGAAUUACAAUCAAAUGAUGAAUCUUCAGUUUACUUGGGUAAGCAUUUUUUAACAUAUAAUUUAGCUGACCAUUUUAACUGUCAGACCAUGUUGUUUUUGGUUAUCUAAUCAUUCCAAGAUGGCAAGUUAGGAUUGGAAGGGUUGCUAGAAAUAAGGAUUAUAUCUUGGGACAUUCGGUGAGUGAUUUUUCAAACUUUCAGUUUUACAAGACAAAAUAUCUAUUUUUGUGUGUAUUCUUCAAGCAUGUUAUCAUUAUUUAGGUUGUAGGAAAAAAAGAGAGUGACUUGAGGUGUUUUUAGAUAUUUUUGUGUGUAUUCUUCACAAUGUAUUAAAAGCGCGAGGCGUGGGCGAGGCGUCCGAGGGAUAGCCCACGCCUCACGCCUUACGGGACCUAAAUUUUUUAAUAUAUACACUGAGCGUACACAUAUAUUAUAUUAAAAAAAAUUAUUAAUCAAUAAUCACCCUGAGCACACAUAUAUAUUAUAAAUACAUAUAUACACAUAUAUAUACAUAUAUAUACAUAUAUUAUGUUAUAUAUAUAUAUAUAAAAUAGAGGAUGAAAAGCACAAUGAGCACACAUAUAACAAUGCAUGCAGACAGCACACAAUAUAGUGCAAGGAAUAGGUAUGAGGUAGUUAAAACCCUACCCAAAAUCUGGGUUUGGGAGUAAAAAUAAAAAAAAAAAAAAAAAUUGCAUGAGGCGCGCCUAGACGGCUCCGACAACGCCUUCCGGCGCCUUCCGCCCACUCCCUCAAAACAAAGGCGGCAACCCUCAAGUCCAGCCUCACAGGGUGCCUAGGCGCACCCUGAGGUGAGCCUUUUAAAACAUUGAUUCUUCAAGCAUGCUAUCAUAAUAUUUGUAACUAUAAAAAAUAAUAUACUAUUAUACCUCUGUUUCUCUUUUCUUUGUUUUCAUGAGAAAUUAAUUGCCAUUGGCAGCACUAUAGAAAGCCAUCUUUCUCCAUUAUUCUCCGCUUCAUGCAUAAUUACAUAAUUCUACUAUCACAGUUGUCAGUCCUGAACAAUAAUGCAAGUCUAGUGGCAAAAACCACCUCAAUGAACAACUCACACACACACACAGACACUGAUCAUACAUCUCUAACUCUCUUUUUCAAAUAACACACUCUGAUCCAAAACAGGGUAAAUAAAAUGCACAUCCUUAUACAUUUCUAACUUUGUUUUUCGAAAUCCAAAAUAGGGUAUUCUAACUCUCUUUUUCAUUCAUUUCUUACAAACCAAUCAUACAUUUAAAAUAGGCUUUGAAUAAAAAUAGGGUAUAUAAUUAUAUACCUCAAAAUGCCUAGGAACCAACUUCCCCCUCCAACGAUUCAAAUUCUUGAAAUUGCCAACACAGUAAAUCCAUUAGUACUAUAUAAAUGAAAACACAAUUGAAACCCAUCAAACAAAACAAUCCCACAAUUUAAAUGAUUCAAUCCUACUACAAUUGAAAUUCACAGAAAGAAUGAAAAACCAGAACAAAACUGCAGCACCUAAAAAGUUGUCAUACAAAAAAAAACAUGGAAUGUAAAAAUAUGUUAAGAAAUCUAGUUCGUUAAUUUCCAGCUGCUAAGUGGCAUUAUGUAACUUUAGUAGUAUAACUAAUUAACUACUUAUCUGGUGGGUUGCACUUUUAUCCAAUUGGUAAGGAAAGGAAAAUAAAAAUCAACCCCUUGGUCUUAGUUGUGGCUGCAAAGUGCAGGCCACCACCAAGUCUCAGUGUUUGUGUUUUAGCAAAACACUUAAAUAAAUUAAAUUCUGAAACGUAAAUUAUAUUCCUAUAACUUUAAGAUGCACAUAUAGUAUUGUUGAAGUCGAACUGAAAGCACUGACAAUUCCAAGCAACAAAGCAGCAAUUAUUAAGAGCCAAAACUCAUUCCUAGUCUCCUCAUCCUGGUACUCAACUCCGUAAUCUUCUGUCAGCAUCAUUGACUGAAAUUAGGAGAGAAAAAGAAAAGGAAUUUCAGAAAUUGUCUAUGAAGCAAAGGAUACUGCAGUUACUUCAAGACAUGUAAAUUGCAUAUGUAUAAAGUAAUUUUCUACAUAAAGUAAUGAGGCAUAACUUUCUCUCUCCUCUUCAAACCCUAAACAGAGCAAAGCAAACUUUACAGAGAUUAGAAUGAGAACUGGAACUAAUCGAACAAUGACUGAAAAGUAACAUACUUGAGGAGUGAAUGAUUUAGUGUUUCCAUCAUCGGAAGCCGGAGUAAGUCGCUAAGAGAGGUCGCAAACAGCCCAAAGGGACAAACCCAGAUCCCCGGCCCCGAUCCAUACCCUUCCCCCUCAAAUCCCGACGGCCCCCAUACUUUUCUCUGACUGUACCCCCUCUCCCACUCAUGAAAUCGAGGAUCUGUCGCAAUGGUACUGAGAUCCCCACUCCUCCCUCUCCCUUUCUCUCUGUCGCUCUGUCUCCCUCUCCCUCUGUCUGUCUAUCUUUAUCCCAGAGCGGCAUGGCCUCCCAUCCCUGAAACCCUCACCGAAAGUUGGCAAUUUUGUAAAUAACUUGAAAUCCACCAACAGCAGGGGUAGAGAAUUGAAACAAACAUUUAGGCUCGUUCGAUAACCAUUUAGGCCAAAACUGAGCACACCUAAACCAUUCCUACUCGUGCCAAAUGUUAGUGGGGAAGCAAGAUGAUGACUUUAUUAUUCAAAACCAAAAGAAAAAAAGAGAGAAAACAAAAUAACAAAUGUAAUGGUUGUAGUGUAAAAGCUGAGAACGUAAAUAAACAUGCAGGGAAAAAAAUUGAAGAUACAAAGUAGCUGCAUCAUGAACACUUACUCCAAUUAGACGCAAAAAGUGAUGGUGAUGAGAAGAGAGAGAAAAUGCAGUCGUUUUGAUUUUUCUGGCUUUUAAAGGGAGCAGCUUUCUUCGACCACCAAAAAAAGGAAGCUGCUUUUCGUGUGGUUGUGAUUUCCUGAGUGUAUGUGAGCGGGUCUAUGGCACUUGCACUGUUUGUGUCGGUUACGGUAACCGGGCGAGCUGGACACGGCAGCGUGGGACUGAAUUCGGAGAGGUGAGAAAAAUUAAAAACACAAAAAGAAGGUGUUCAUUUUGUCACAUUUUUAUUACGAAAAAUUCAAUAAAGUACAUUCAUUAGUAUGGUAACUUAACUAUUUAAUUCCAUCUCAUUAAACUAAAAAAAACAAUUACAAAAAAAUAAGGAAAACCUUGUCCAGAGAGACCUGAGAGAAAGUGACGACUUCUCCUCUCAUUCAACUCCAUACUUGAUCUCUAAAGUCCAUUUGGCAUGUAAUUGAUGUUCACUUUCAAAUUUAGUGGUAGCAAUUAGCAAAGCUAAUGAAAGAAUCAAAUAAAAUGAAAGAAAAAGCAUCAUGAAAUAAAUCAAGAUGAAGAAUGAAAUUUUGGCAACUCGCCAUUCUCUUCUUUUAUAUAAAAGAUACAUCCUAUUUGUAGUGAAAACAGAUCCCGACAAACCCAGUUAUCCUCAAGAAGUAUUUUGUAUGACUUUAAAAACAUAAUCCGUGAAAUUAUCUCUUGGCUGAGAACAACAACAAAUCUUCAUGCAUAGCUUGUAGAGAAAGACAUCAGGCAUACAAAAGAACACGCAAGCAUAAAAUAAACGAAGCAGGGAAAACCAAAAAUACAAUUGAAUACGCUGUCAAAAGAACAUGAAUAAAUGAAAAUACCAAACAAAGCAGUGAUGAGAAACCAAAGUACCCAUUUCAUAAUCUAAUUGCUUUUUAGUUUGCUUGCCAUUUUUAGUUCUUCAAUUUAGAGAGACACCAUAAUUCAGCACAUGAAUAAAGUGAAAACGUAAAAGAUAUGUGGGAUAGGCUGACAGCCAUCCCUGAGUAAUGCAUUCACUUCUGAACCCCAAACACACUGAAACAAAAAUUCACACACAUGAACUACAGCUCCGCUUUGUAACAAGAAUUAAAAGCAUCUCAAAACAAAAUGGCAAACUAUAAGAGCAUUGUAAAAGUAAAAUUGCAAGAAAUCUAAUACUUGGAGGGCAAGUACUCAUCAGACGAAAAUGAAAGAUUGAACUACCUCGCGUGGAACUGUGCCUUGGUUUUUUCCCAUGCUUACAGGAAGCUUUGCACUGAGCUCUUAUAGUCCAAAUUUUCUCUGAAGGAAAAAAACACAAUUUUGAAAUAAGAUUUUCGUAUUAUACCUUAAAGAGAAGAAUUAGACAACAAAAUAGAGAACAAUGAGUACUAUUCAUCAUAUAUUGUUAGAGUAUGUGGCCCUCUGGUCCAAUGGUCCCGCAGCCAUAUUUCCUUUAUAACUCUUUCUUUUAAUCUAAAAAACAUCUUGAAUCUCAAAUUAGUAUGAAUACGGAUUCAUACUUUAUAACUAAAGAUCUUACUGCUCUUGAUAAGAUGAACAAUACGCCAUUUCUCGCAUGCAUUGCAUUACAAUCACAAUGCAACAUCUCAUUAGAAAUCCCCACACAAAUUUUUUUUAUUGCUACUUUGAUUUUAGUUUAUAUUUUUUCUGAAGCAUGAGGGAGCUAAUUUUUUUUUUUAAAUUUUUUAUUCCAAUAAUGUUAUAGGGAGGGUUGCAAGGAUAUUAUCAAUUGUAUUUGAUUGGUGGAACUUCUACAUCUAUAUUUUAGGUUUUCAAUUUUAGCACUGGGAGAGUCAUUCAUAAAAUGUUUGACAGUGAGAUUACCUCCAUGGACUAUGCUCACAAUGGACAGCUCAUUUUCCGCGGUGAUGGGACAAUAUAUUUCAGUCAUUCGCCAUUCAAUCAAUUCAAACUGAGGAACAUGCAACAUCAAGAAGAGGAUCUACCAUGUCAGGAUCACUAUCGUCCAAUUAAUACAAAAAAAUCUAGAUAAAAACGAUCAAUUUACAUAAAAGCCCUUCAUUUUCUCAGCAACCAAGCAAAAGAAAAUACCUAUCCGUUAAACACUCGAUUUGGGAGUAAAUGUUGCUGAAACUGGACUUCAAUCCCCUCAACCGCAACAACCGAAUCGAGGUGUGCAAGUCAUUGAAAAACUCACCCAAGAUUUCAAAAUCUGCAUAGAGAAAUAAAUAAGCACAUAAAUUAGCCCAACCCAUAAAUCAAAGAAAUCAAAAUCCACCCAGAAUCAAAGAAAUCAAAAUCCAUCCAGAACCAAAGAAAUCAAAAUCACACACAGAUAUGCAAGACAACGCAAAUUUGAAGCCUUACUUUUCGGGUAGCUUGGCGGCUGACAUGAGUCUUCUUCAGAGUUUCAUCCAUCCAUGGAUCCAUUUGGUCCGCCCGUCGCUUCUGGGUCGUACAAUCUUAAAAUCUGCAAAAUGAAUUUAAAGAAUCAAUUUUUACGAUUGAAAAGCCAAAAGUGCUACAAACUCCAAAUUGCUGAGAACCAAAGUGGAGUAACAGUUACAGGUCACGAGAUGAGAUGAGGACAUUGUCGGAUUUCAGGGCGAACCUGACUCUGGAAAUUGCAUCUCGGAUCGGGCUUUCGAACUUCAAAGGAGCUCCGCUCAUUGUGGUCCUUGCAGACCGAACUGGCCUAACAAUCAGCGAGAGAAAGGAGACGGCGGCAAGAUGAGGGAUACAAUGGAUGCGAGAUCGUCUGUAUCGUUCUCGCGGGGGGUUUGCAAGACGGACGAGGAAAGUAGGGUUUGAUGAGGCAUUGUCUUCGCGCGGGGUAUGUGUCCUUCCCAUUCCAUGAUUAUCAACACGUGUGCAUCAACAGAAGCGGCAGAGAGAGGCAUUAUUGUAAAUAAAGUGAAAUCGAAGGGCAAUGGCCCUUUUUUUUUUAAGGUAAUGGCAUGGCCAUAAAUAGAAUGAAAUCCAGAUCAAAACACUGUCAUUUGUACAGUACAAUUUCUCCAUCUUCUUUAGACUAAAGUAAUGUAUAUGUUAUACGCACCAACACAAGUCCUUCUUAGAUAAAUCCAAGCCAAACAAUUACAGACGAUAGUUAUUCACAAAAUCACUUUAAAGUAAGAAUUUAAUUAAUAAUACAUUACUGCACUUUCUUAACAAUUUGACUAUCACCUAGCUGACAAUGAACAUGUUAGCUAUGCGUUAGAACAUAUUGGGUUCAAUCCAUUGUCUUGAAUAUUACCCCCAGUCACAGCCGUCUCUUGGGGGCAUACAGAAGGCCUGAGAGGCAUUUGCAGACAUUCAACAUCUCCUCCAAGCAUUUCGACAACUUUGGACAUCGAAGGGCGAUCACUUGGUUUCAUUUGAAUACACCACAAGGCGGUUAUAACCACCUUUCUUAUCACUUUCUUUUCCUUCUCUGUAACAUUGUCUAUUUCCAAGUCAUUUCCCACAAAAUACUGAUCGUAUACCUACAGCGGGAAGUAGAUUUGGCUUGGAUGCUCUACCGUUGCAUUCAAAUUCUUCCUUAUGCUUGCCAUUUCCAUCAACAACAUUCCAAAACUAUAGACAUCGGCCUUGUAUGAGACACCUCCAAUAUUUUUGUAGAACAACUCAGGAGCAAUAUAUCUCAUUGUACCCCGUGCUGUCGUCAAAGAGACAAUGCUAUUAUCUACUGGAUACAAUUUUGCAAGCCCAAAGUCAGAAACCUUUGCUUUAAAGUUCUCAUCAAGAGGGAUGUUAUGAGGCUUGAUGUCAAAAUGUAGAAUUUUCAUUUUACAACCUUGAUCUAGAUAUUCGAUCCCAUGACUCCAAGAGAAAUCUUGUACAUAGUCUUGAUAGUUAAGGGAAGACUUCCUUCUUUGGAAUAAAUGUAUUUAUCAAAAGAGCCAUUAGGCAUAAAGUCAUAUAUUAGAGCGCGCUUUGAUCCCUCGACACAAUCACAAUCACAAUCACAAUCACAAUCACAAUCACAUUCCAACAUGGAAUCCUCAGACGACAUGCCUACUGCAGAACAAGUUUCAUCCUUACUUAACUUCUAUUUAGUCCACUUCCUGUUUAGAUUGUAAUCCUAGUUCUGCGUGUGUUUGUAUAGUACUCCUAUAAAUAUCAAUGAAAACCGCUCACUCUAAUUAGGAGUUGAGAUUCUGCAAAUCAUAUUUACUAUCUUUCAUGGUAUCACGAGCCAAGGUCUAACGACAACGGUUCCUGUUAUAAUUUUUUUCUCUUUUGUAGAUCCUAAACUAUGGCAUCUUCUUCCUCCUCCGAUGCUCCCUCCGUCACAAAUUUUCUUACGAUCAAGCUCGACCUCAACAACUACCCUCUCUGGCGUGCUCAAUUUCUUCCCUUGCUGCGCAGCCGCAACUUACUCUCUUAUGUUACUGGCGAAACUCAAUGCCCAUCUGCCUUUGUUCUUGAUGACAAUGGUAAAUUCACAGACAAAGUCAAUCCAUUAUAUAAUGAAUGGAUCCAGACUGACUAGAUGAUCCUAUCUUGGAUUACGAGUUCUCUUACUCCCAAGGUUCUUGCUACGAUCGUCAACAAAAUUGAUUCGACCUCUGCUUGGUUGUCAAACCCGAAUUAAUCUGAUUAUGGGGGUUUUAUUUUAUAUCAAUAUAUUGCAGCAGAAGUCGCACUUUGAAGAGUUCAUGCUGCACAGAAAGAUUCUUAAAUGCUACCUGUUGAGUCUAUCAUUGCUCCAUUGGAGACAGAGCUGAAGCUUGCUGCAGGAGUUAUACAUUUGUUAUGCAAUAUGACCCCUUUAAUUUUAUUUUAAAACUGAUACAAAAAUUUAUGUAGUAUUUUUGUAUCAGUUUUGAGUGUCUAUUUUGGCUUCCAUAUUUCGUCUGUACAUGUGAGAGGUAUAGCGUUCAAUAUGUAUUUGGUUUCUAUAUUGUUAAUGGAUCUUUUUUUUUUUAAGAUAACCAAGUUGCAGGAUGACAGCAGAACACUUGAUCUGUAGGUAAACCUUCAAUUUCCAUAUGAAGUUUGCAUGUUCGUUGUUUCUGGAAUUUGAGUUUUUAUUAUUUCUCAAUUCUAUCACAUAGAUUACGAUUUCACAUAUGGGAUUAUUAAUGGCAAUUAGAUGAUGGAAGAAUUGGGAUUGGAAGAAGAUAUUGAGUUGUUUAUUUAUGGGGAUUAGAAAAUUUUUAUCAUAAGUGUGGAUGCAAAUUUCUUCCUCCUUGAUCUUGGACAAAAUUGCACCUACAAAACAAUUAACACCUUAGGUCAAGGCCAAGAGCCUCACGCGCUCACGAUGAAGGGGGGGGCUUUGGUCGAAGAACCUCCGAUGCCAAAGUUAGAAUUUAGAGAGAAAAAGUGUUUGAGAAUUCUAGAGAAUUUUAGCAAGAGUUGCAACUAGGUUUUGGUGAGAAAUGUGGGGCUUUCUAUAGAGGAGUGGCCGGCCUCUUAGGGUGAGAAAGGACCGGUCACAUAGCCUAGUUUGUGGGUUUUGUUCAUGAUUUAAGAUGAUUUUGGGAGUUAUGUGAUUAAUUGACUAAUUAAUUAGGAAAACUAAUAAAAAGGGCUUGAAAACUUUGAGUUUUAAUGAUAAGGACAAAAUAAAGGGUAAAGUGAAUAGUACCAGGAUUGACUUUUUAGUGUAAAAAUGUGGUUUUUCGUUAAAAUGAACAGUACCGGGUGCUUUUCGUUAAAGUUCCCUAAUUAAUUUGGCGAAAUAAAAUUAUUACCAAAUGAAUUAGCUAAUUAAUGGGAUGAAAUGGGCAAAUAUCAAGAGAUAAACAAAACAUGACCAAUUCCUUUUCUAACAAUAGGUGGCCGGCCCUUCACUUGUUUUUGGGGUUGCAUGGAUGUUUUAAUUGACAAUUAAGGAAUUGAUUAGGCAAUUAAUCCCUUAAUUAGUCAAUUAUUAUGAUUUUAAAGGAAGAUUUUAGGAAAUAUGAAAGGAAUAUAUUAUUUAGCUAAUUGAUUAGCUAAAUGGAAUAAAUUAGGUUUUGGGAAUUACCUUAAAUGAGGAUGGAUGAGAUAAUUUGGAAUUGGUUACCUUUUUGGAGCAUUUUUGACUUGGUUAAGGAUGAUUGCCCGCUACUUGCGCAUAGGAAUCCCGUUAUACCUCAAGGGUAUUUUUGUCAUCUUUUACCCAAAAAACCACGUGUCACCUUGUGAUUAUUUUUGGCUCCACAAUACGAGUGAUAUUUAUUUUUGUGUGGAUUGUUAAUAUAUAAAACUAUAAGCUUUUGAGAUUGGGAGACAAAACCCACAAAUUCAAUUCAGACAAAAUAAAUAAAAAAUUUAACUGACUUAAAGAUCAAACUCCAAAAGGGUAUUAAAAACAAGGCUUAUUUGAUCCAUUGAGUGUGAAAGUUUUGAGCUUUGAAGAAGCAGAGGAGGAGAGUUGUUAACCAAGCUGCAUUAUCUAUGUAUUAGGAUGUUGAGGGUAGGCAGGAAAAAUACUUUUUGACGCCAAAUCCAGAGGAGCAUAACGACAGGCCUGCAUUUUUGCAGCAAGGACCAAAACAAGUAUAAGUGAAGGCUUGACUGUUUGGGUAUUAAUCCUAAACCUAAUUAUUCUUAUUUAGGUUUAGGAUAAAUGAUUGAGUGUGUCUCGAUGAUUGUAUUACUAUGUUUGAUGAAUGAUUUGAGGAGUUGGAAAUGGUUUAUUGCUUAUGUUUUUCUUAGGUGUGUACUUUGGUUAUUUCCGAGCUUUUCACGACUUUUGAUACCUAAUAAAGAAUAUGGAAACCCCAACUUCAAUUUUAUGAAUUGAUUUUGGUGCCUAAAAUGAAAUCUAGCAUAGUGAAAUCUUGCAUAAUGAAAUUAUGACAAAUUUCCCUUCAUCUUUAUAUUUUCAUUUAAUUCAAUUGGUAUGCAAUUUAGGGUUAUUCAAUUCAUGAGUGAUCAAAUUAUGUUUUUAAUUCCUUCUUUUGAUUUACAGUUCAACAUUGUCGUACAAAAUGAAAAAGGCGCCAGUAACAGAGUUAUGGAUUUGGAUGCCUUUAGUGGAAUAAAACUGAAUUUUUUAACUUUGUAUAGUUGUAAACAUAAAAUACUCCAUGAGGUAGACUCAUAGCUUUUGAAAACAAUCCUUGAGGAUGGCAUAACAACAUCUCCAACUUUUGUCAUGUAAUGUAUGAAUGUAAAUAGCACUUCGUAAACAUAUGGAUGUAAUAUAUGUAUAUAAACACUCUUUAGCAUGUAUAUUUUUCAAAACUUUCUACAUCUUCAACAAUGUUUCAAUGAUUUCUUGAUGUAAACAAUGAUAAUUUGAAGAACCAUUUAAAGUAUUUUGGUAAUCAUCAUACUUAAGCUUAAAUGUGAUAUAUCCGUUUAUUAUUUUUUAUACAGUGAUAAUACUCAAGUAUAAUUUACAUCAUAUAUCUUUUGAAGUACAUGAAACUAUGAAGAAAAAACCCUAAUUAAUCUGAUUAUGGGGGUUUUGUUUUAUAUCAAAAUAUUGCAGCAGAAGUCACACUUUGAAGAGUUCACGCUGCAUAGAAAGACGAUGAAAUGCUAUCUGUUGAGUCCAUCAUUGAUCCAUUGGAGACAGAGCUGAAGCUUGAUGCAGGUGGUAUACUUUUGUUAUGCAAUAUGAUCCCUUUAAUUUUAUUUUAAGACAUAUAGGGUUGAAAAAAAUUUAUGUAGUAUUUUUGUAUCAGUUUUGAGUGUCUAUUUUGGCUUCCAUAUUUGGUCUAUACAUGUGAGGUAUAGAGUGUUCAAUAUGAAUUUGGUUUCUAUAUUGUAAAUGGAUCUAUUUUUUUUUUAGGUAACCAAGUUGCAGGAUGAAAACCGAACACUUGAUCUGCAGGUAAACCUUCAAUUUCCAUAUGAAGUUUGCAUUUUCGUUGUUUCUGGAAUUUGAGUUUUUGCAGGAUGAAAACAGAACACUUGAUUGGUUAUUUCCGAGCUUUUCAUGACUUUCGAUACCCAAUAGAGAAUAUGGAAACCCCAACUUUAAUUUUAUGAAUUGGUUUUGGUGCCUAAAAUGAAAUCUAGCACAGUGAAAUCUUGCAUAAUGAAAUUAUGACAAAGUUCCCUUCAUCUUUAAAUUUUCAUUUAGUUCAAUUCGUAUGCAGUUUAGGGUUAUUCAAUUCAUGAGUGAUCAAAUUAGGUUUUUAAUUCCUUCUUUUGAUUUUCAGUUCAGCAUUGUCGUAUUUUGGAUGCCUUUAGUGGAAUAAAACUGAAUUUUUUUAACUUUGUAUAGUUGUAAACAUAAAAUACUCCAUGAGAUAGACUCAUAGCUUUUGAAAACAAUCUUUGAGGAUGGCAUAACAACAUCUCCAACUUUUGUCAUGUAAUGUAUGAAUGUAAAUAACACUUUGUAAACAUAUGGAUGUAAUAUAUGUAUAUAAACACCACUCUUUAGCAUAUAUAUUUUUCAAAACUUUCUACAUCUUCAACAAUGUUUCAAACCCCGCAGCAACGGGCGGGUACACUUGCUAGUAUACAUCUAAAAUUAUAAGACUAAAUCCUUUAGUUCUUGGAUUCAUCUAAGAACUACUUAUUCAAGCAGAUGCUAUGCUUGCACUACUAGAAUUUAUGGCUUGCCCUGUCAACUAUUGCGCGACAGAAGAUUUCGUCGGUUUCACCUUUUUUAACCGACAAAAUAUAAGUUUAGUAAGGCAAAAUCAGUCAACAAACUUGGUUUACUGAAUAGAUUUACAGGAUGUUUAGAGUUCGUAGGUUAAGACAUCAGUCGUUGGGCAAACAUUUGGAGCGAAGAUGUGAGUGUUUUAACUGACGAAUAAGCUGGUCGUCAUGUAGAUCUUCUUUCCCGACUGACGGUUCAACGGGUAGCUCUUUGGAUAACAAAUCAUCUUCAAGGGGAACAGGUUGCCCCUCAGAUGAAUGGUUAGAGGCAAUUGUGAGACUAUAAUUUUCUAGGGCCGGAAAAUCUGUAACCAUCCACCAAAUACCCCUUCUUCCCUUUCUAUUUCUCUCUCAGUAAUUUCCCCUGACCUAAUCACACAAUCCAACCAACUCUUUUUAAGCCUCCCUCAUUGAUUCCAUGGAUUUCAUGGACUUAUCCCACCCUCUCUCCUUCCCUCUAUAUAUAGCAAGUCCCCUUGCCUCAGUGUCCCUGGCAACAGAAUUUAUGGUGUGUCUUCGUUCUUUCAAUUAUUUGAAAGCUUUCCUGCCCUGCAGUCUUGUACAAAGGCGUAUGGUGUUUCAUCAGUUCCAUUUGGUGGUUGGGUGGGAAAUGAAAUUAAAACAUUGAUUUCAAAUGGUCUAAACCAAAUUGAAUCAAAUGUGAAGCAAAGGGCAAAAGGUGUAGAUUGAAGAACAAUGGCACCAAGAGCGAAAUUGAACUUGUUGACAGGAGGAAACCAAGUAACGAUAACGCGUCUAAAUCUUAUUUCGAAUCCAUUCAGCUUAUGAUGUUUUUAAUGAUGAUGAUCUGUAUACUUUGCUACAUGCUGUGAUUUUUUCGCUUUCAUGUAAUUAACGGCUUAUAUUUAUGGUAAAGAUAUUGAUUAAUUUUGAGAAAUGACAGUCUAAUUUUUGCAACUGUCUUUUGCAGGCAAAACAAAGACGUUUGCAAGGGUGAGUUUUGUAGGACCGGUGUUUAGCUUUGUUUCAUGUCCAAAGGACACUUGAGAAUAAAUGUUUACUCAUGGAUAAUAUCUAUCUAUUUGCAUGAGCAACCCUGGGUUCAUUUGUUCUGUUACUGCUGGUCAUUGCGGCAUAUCACGCCUACAGCACUGACAAAGUAAAAAGAAAAUCGAAUGAAAUUUGGUAAGAUUUUAGCGGACUACAAAGAUCUUAAGCCAAUCAUAUAUUCCCAUGCAGAUAUUAAGAGGUUUACAAAUCAAUUCAAGUACAAGUUGGGCCAAGGAGCAUACAUAACUGUUUUUAAAGGAAAGCUUUUUUCUGAAUGCUUUGUUGCCAUGAAAGUACUUAACAUUUCCAAGGGUGACGGGGAAGAGCUUGUAAAUGAAGUGGGGAACAAUGGGCCAUAUUCACCAUGUCAAUGUGGUUCACUUGGUUGGUUUUUGUGCUGAUGGAUUUAGAUGAGCUCUGGUUUAUGAGUUCUUUCCCUUUGGUUCACUUCAGGAUUAUAUGUCAUCAGUAGAUAGAUUUCUUUCCUUGGUUGGCAUAAGUUGCAAGAUAUUGCUAUCAACAUAGCCAAAGGAACCAGGGAUGUGAUCUACAAAUCCUCCAUUUCGAUAUCAAACCCCAUAAUGCUUUGCUCGACCAAAAAAUCACGCCAAAAAUCUCUGAUUUUGGUCUGGCCAAGUUAUGUUCCAAGGAUCAAUCAGUGUGACUAAAGCAAGGGGGACCAUGUGACUAAAGCACCUGAAGUGUUUUCCAGGAAUUUCGGAAAUGUGUCUUACAAGGUAGAUGUCUUGAAUGUUGCUGCUUGAAAUGGUAGGAGAAAAGAAGAAUAUUGGUUCAACCAGAGGACACGACAAAUGAAAUCUACUAUCCAAAAUGGAUUUAUAAUCUUCUAGAGGAAGGAAUGACCAACAGAUCCAUAUUGAGGAAGAAUGUUAUGGUAAGAUUCCAAAGCAACUUGCAAGUUUAGGGCUCUGGUGCAGCCAGUGGCACUUGGUGGAUCGGCGGUCCAUGAAAACGGUGGUUCGGAUGUUAGGAGGAUGAGAAAACUUGAUGAUGCAAGCAACCCUAAAAGCCUCAUACAAUUAAAAGUAAUUGCUGAAUUAGAGUAACAUAUGUAUAUGUAUACGCACCAACACAAGUCGUUCUUAGAUGAAUCCAAGCCAAACAAUUACAAACAACAGUUAUUCACUAAAUCACUUUAAGGCAAGAAUUUAAUUAAUAAUACAUUACUGCACUUUCUUAACCAUUUGACUAUCACCUAGCUGACAAUGAACACGUUAGCUCCGCGUUAGAACAUCUUGGGUUCACUUCAUUGUCUUGAAUAUCACCCACUGUCACAGGCGUCUCUAGGGGGCAUAGAGAAGGCCUGAGAGGCAUUUGCAGACAUUCAACAUCUCCUCCAAGCAUUUUGACAACUUUGGACAUCGAAGGGCGAUCACUUGGUUUCAUUUGAAUACACCACAAGGCGGUUAUAACCAUCUUUCUUAUUACUUUCUUUUCCUCCUCUGUAACAUUGUCCAUUUCCAAGUCAUUUCCCACAAUAUACUGAUCGUAUACCCAUAUUGGGAAGUAGAUUUGGCUUGAAUGCUCUACCGUUGGAUUCAAAUUCUUCCUUCUGCUUGCCAUCUCCAUCAACAACAUUCCAAAACUAUAGACAUCUGACUUGUAUGAGACACCUCCAAUAUUUUUGUAGAACAACUCAGGAGCAAUGUAUCCCAGUGUACCCCGUGCUGCCGUCAAAGAGACAAUGCUAUUAUCUACAGGAUACAAUUUUGCAAGCCCAAAGUCAGAAACCUUUGCUUUAAAGUUCUCAUCAAGAAGGAUGUUAUGAGGCUUGAUGUCGAAAUGUAGAAUUUGCAUUUCGCAACCUUGGUGUAGAUAUUCGAUCCCUUGAGCCACUCCAAGAGAAAUCUCGUACAUGUUCUUGAUAGUUAAGGGAACACUUCCUUCUUUGGAAUAAAUGUAUUUAUCAAGAGAACCAUUAGGCAUGAAGUCAUAUACUAGAGCUCGUUUUGAUCCCUCAACACAGUAUCCAACAAGUUGCACCACAUUGGCAUGGUGAAUCCUUCCGAUUGUAGCUAUUUCGCUAAUGAAAUCUUGGCCAUCAGCUUUGGGCUUGCCCAAAACUUUAACUGCUACAAAUCGACCACUGCGUAGCUUUCCCUUAAAUACAGAGCCAAAGCCACCUUCGCCCAACUUGUCCUUAAACGUGCGAGUCAUUUUCUUGACGUCCGAGUAAGAGUACCUUAUAGGCAUGAAGUUGUUAUUGCAUUGCAGAAAAUCUUCUAUUGUGUUAUACAUUGAUAAAUGUCUUCUGCGCCAUGUGUAGAUUAGAAAUGCAGUCACAACUGGAACUCCAAAAACAAAUCUGGCUAGGAAAAAUAACCCUGCAUGCAUGGACAUUAAUAUGUUAGAUCCACUGCGUACUACUUUUUCUUCCCUUUCUUUCCAAAUUACUUUGUCUUUGAUGUAAUUAAAGAGAGAGAAUGAGAAAUCUACAUAUGUUGAUAAUACAAUCUCAUCUUAGUCCUUACCGAUGCAUAUGAGUAUAAACCAUCCACGUACUGCAACAAAAUCAAUCGACUAUGAGUUUGAAAAGUGCAUAAAGUGAAAAAUAAAUAAUAAAUAAAAUCAAAGGGUGCCUUUAUUGACACCCAAAUUUUAGUUAGUUUUACUCAACUAAAAAAUUUUUGUCAUCAAACUUUUUAAUUUGCCGUUGAAAUUGAGUUCACCCAACCCACAAAGCAGCAACUACCACUCACCAAAAAAACCAACAACACACACCCACCACUCACCAAUAGAAAGAGAAUGAACACACAGACCCACAAAGAGCUGGCAUCGACGCUGUCGAUGAGGGAGGGACCAGAGGAUGGUGUAGUUUUGUCUAGCGCGCGGUAGUGGUUUUGUCUGUUCAUUUUCUCUUUCUUUUGGUAGGUGGAGGCUGGUGUGGAUUUGGGCGAACUUAAAAAUGAGGGGAAACUAUGAAGUUUGACAAAAUGUUUUAGUUAGGGGAACUUAACUAAAAUUUGGGUGCCGAUAAAGAUACCCAAUAUCAAAAAUACUUGAGCGUAUAGACUAAUUAAAUGAAGUUGAUCAAGUUUGUCUCGAUCGAAAACUUGUAAAUAAAACAAAAAGAGGACCCCUUACCGAUUUGUUGCCAUAUAUAUUGAAAGAAACCUACAAAAACAAAGAAAGAACAAGACUACAUGCAUUAGCAUAACAAGAGUGAGGUGUAUAAGCCGUUAGAAAAUAAAUUUAAAAUUCUAGUGCUGUCAAUACAUUGAUAAUAUAUAUAUAUAUAUAUAUAUAUAUGUAUUAUUUUUUCUGAAAAUUUAACUUUUUCCCUCCAAACUCAUUUUUCUAGUCUCUAGCCCAUCAUAUAAUAUUUAUCCGAAUAAAACCAAAUGAUUAGGAUCCAACUAAGAAACUUACCAAAUUAAGUUUGUGUGUCCAUUUUUAUAUUUUUUGGAUCCCUAAUAUACCCCAUCUAAGUCAGUAUGGAAAGUUCUUGUAAUUUUGCUUUAAGUGAUCACGUGCAUUGAAUUUGGCAAUGUCUUGUAGCCAUGAAAUAUGGUUGUAGAUGGAGGAAUUAAUUUGGAAUUUUUUUUAAUUUCAACAACAAAUUUAGUGUUAUUUUCAACAAUAUCUAUUGUUUAAUUUUAUGAAAAUAAUUUACCUAAUAUGAAAAUUAAUUUUAUGAAAACAAUAUCUAUUGUUUUAUUUUAUACCUACAGGAUAAUUACAUGAAAAUAGUUUACCUACUAUGAAAAUUAAUUUUUUGAAAGCAAUAUCUAUUGUUUAAUUUUAUGAAGAUAAUUUACCUACUAUAAUUACAUGAAAAUAGUUUACCUACUAUGAAAAUUAAUUUUUUGAAAGCAAUAUCUAUUGUUUAAUUUUAUGAAGAUAAUUUACCUACUAUAAUUACAUGAAAAAAUUUACCUACUAUGAAAAUUAAUUUUUUGAAAACAAUAUUAUUGUUUAAUUUUAUGAAAAUAAUUUACCUACUGUAUAAUUACAUAAAAAUUAAUGUGCCUACUUUUUAAAUUUGUAACAAAAUUAAUUUACCUACUUUUUAUGGUAUUAGUAUACAUAAAUGUAGAAUAUAUGUCCGUAUAUAUUUGAUCUAAUUAGGUUUUGGAUUGGAGGAGUUGACACAAAAUUAUAAAUAUGUUAAACAAAUUUAUCAAUUCUAAAGUUGGAGGGGAAUUGGUCUGUACAUUGCUACAGUAAACAAAUGCUACUCAAUUUCACGUUAUUUACAACAAAGCUAUCAGAUUUGGGUUGGGUUGGAGGGUAAUUUGUUAAAAGUUAGGAGGGUAAUUUGUUAAAAGUUAGGAGGGUAAUUUUGUGCAUAGGGUUUAGGUGCCCUCCUAUACAUGACCCUUGAUUUUACUUUAUUUACACCACUGCCAUCAUAUAUGUGGCUGAAUUGGGGGGGGUAUUAUUAAAAGUUAAGAGGGUAGUUUUGUUCAAGGAAGAAAAUAUCGGUAAUAUCGGAAAUAUCGGUAGUCCGAAAACACGGAAAUAUCGAUGGAAAUAUCGGGAUAAUAUCGAUAUCGAUAAAAAUUACAUGGAAACCACGGAAAUUGUAAGAAAAACUUGGAAAUUUUUAUUGAAAUUUUGCAGGAUGUUUAUUUAGUCAAUUAUCUAUUAGUUUAUCACAAAAAAUUGGAAGGAAAUGCAUUGCAUGAUGGAUUUAACUUAUUUAAGUUGAUUAUAUAGCGAGCUGACAAACAUUGUGAGUGUAGAAAAUAUGUAGUAAUUAAUGAAAGAAGUUUAAACUUUAUAUAUAAUGACUUAGUACAAUAUUUUACACUUUAUACAUUGCAUGGUAAGAUACAUGAGUUACACAAACAACGGGAAAUUAAUGAGAAAACCCUUCCCAAAACGUCAGCACCCGCUUUUUUAAAUAACUUAUAUAAUGAACCUGUCUGGAUCACUUGUUCUAAUAUAUAAACACAAAACAAUACUAUUUGUAUCACAUUUUCUGACAAUCUCAUUGACCGCUUUUAAUUAAUAAAUUGGUCUCAAGUCUAGUUUCCUAAGAAUUUGUUUGUUUGGGCUCAUCUUUGUUGUAAUAACUUAAUUGGGCUUAGAGUUUUAUUGGGUUUACCUAGCCCGUGCGAGCUCAUCUUUGUAUUUAUUUGACGGAUACCCCGAUUUGUUAUGGCAAAAGCAACCACGCAGUCGACGCCCGAAAACCCUUCCCUCUCUCAUUUGGUCUUCGUCUGUUUUCCCGCAUCAUCCAACAGGUGGACUCGGCGCUUCUCUCUCUCUCCCCCCUCUUCGCCCUCUCCACCAAACCCUAACCCCCCAAAUUCCAACCUUCCACCAUUCAAUCCAACCAAAAUCCCCCCAAUCGGACCCCUACCCGACCCAGUUCAUCUCCGAUUGCCUCCAAUUCCACUCCGCCCCGACCCAUUUCUUCAAAAUUCCAAUUCCACUCCGCCCCGACCCAGUUCCUUCAAUUUCUCAGGUAGGUAAGCUUCGGGUUUUUCUUUUUAUAUUCUAGAUCGAAGCGUAGAUGUGAAAUUGAAGUUAUAUGUCGUGUUUUUGCAAGGUUUUUGGGAUGAAAUCGACUCGGGAAUAAGUACACCCAUCUCCGGCGAGGCUAGGGGGUAGUUUUACAGUCGACCGGAGCUGUAGAAGCUCCAGCGUUCGUCUCCGACGUGCACAGUUCCGAAAUUUCGCGAUAAUAUCGAUAAUAUCGCGAUAUUAUCGAUAUUAUCGCGAUAUUAUAACGAAAACACCUUGGAUACCAUUUAAAAUAUCGGUUCGGGAAAAAACCGAUAAUAUCGGCGAUAUAUCGCCGAUAUUAUCGAUAUUUUCUUCUAUGGUUUUGUUCAAGGGGUGGGGGCGACAUUCGCAGACAGGGCGAUUGGAGCCAUGCCCAUGCCCAUUGCACAGAGAGAAAGGGAGUGAUGGGGGAAAUUACAGACAGAAAGGGAAGGGAUGGGAGGAUUUGAUGGAUGGUCACAGAGAAAGAUUCGGUGAGGGAUGUGAGGGGAGAUUACAGAGAGAUAAAUUAAAGGGGGAUCGGGGGAUUUGAGGGAUGGUCAGAGAGAGAAAUAGUGACGAAGGGAGGGAUGGGGGGGCUAAUUUUCGGUUCCUCCUUCAGAUUUGUUCCGUAAAACUUGUUGGGUACAAUUCAAUUUCCUCCCCCUUUCCCCUGAACGAAAAAUUCGAAACCUACAAUUCAAUUUCCUCCCUUCUUGGCUUUCCGCUUUACUCAUCUCCCGGUGGUUCUUUCUCUCCAUACGAUUCGAUUUCGGUG